rnacentral:lncRNA from 1 species
AAAAGCCACAACGCGAGAGAGAGGGAAGCGAACAGCUUCAUCGACAUGGUGACACUUUGGUCUCAGAAUAGUGUGGUUUAAGGUUUGUGUGGUUUUGCAAUGGUGUGUGUGGUUUUUAAGGUUGCAGGAGGAAGGUAUUUAUAGGAUAUGGUAUAGAGGGUUGUUGGAACAAAAGUGGAACAUGAUUUAUCCAACACGUUGCUUGUACCUUAAGGAUGUGAUACGUAGCAAGACAAAGGUUGAAUCUGGGAUGAGUUACAUAAAUUUCCAUGAUCAAACUUUGAUUUCUAUAUAUUUUGUGGAAUUUCAUUACACCGCCAAAUGGAAAUUUUGUUUUGUGGAAUUUCAACAUGUUUUGUAAAACUAGGAUACUUGUGGUUUAAUGUAUAUUUUAUUUUAUUUCAAAACUUUUUUUCUUAAUAUAUGGUGCUGAUAUAUUAAUCUUCUGAAAUUACUAGAUCUAACUCACCCAUAUAAUUAUGGAUUUGUGUACAUGCAAGUUGAUUGGUAUAAAUUAUAAAAGUACUGAAAAAGAAUCUAGAAAGUCUUUUGUAAUUUUUUAUCUCAAAUUUGAAUAUCUUAUUAAGAACAAGGUUUUCAGAUGGAGGUGUAACAAUUACAAAAACUUAAAAUUAAAAAUAAUGAUUUAUUAUUUAUCACAAAGUAAAUAAAUAAAUAUACUAUAAAAAUAAAAUAAUAUAUGAUACUAUUAAAAUCAUGAAUUAAAAUAUUUAGUCAAAAUUCAGUUUACACAAUAAAAGGUUAAAAACAUUGAUGAGGGUUAUGAGACGAGACAGUCAACCUGCACUUGUCUCACUUGAGGUACGAAUUACAUGAAACAAACUUAAAUAUAUAUAUAUAUAUAUAUAUAUAUAUAUCAUAAUAGAAUUUUUUUUAUCACAAUAAUAAAUAAAAAAAAUUAAAAAAUAAAACACUUUGAACUGUUUCAAUCCAUUUACAACAAAACUUAUCAGACACAAACUAAAGUAAAAAAAUGGGGCAAUUUAAAAUCAUUAUUACUAAUUUGGACAAUUUUAUUUUAUUUUAUAAAUUUGGGUUAAGUCGUGGGGAUAAAACCCAUUUUAAAUGAGAACCCGUAAUUAUGACAAACGAGUUUGUUAACAAAGAAGAAGUUGUGUGCAUAAUACACAAUUUUUUGUACAAUCUAUGUUGAAAUUGUGUAGCAUCUGUACAACUUUGUUAAUUAACUAAAGUUGUGCAUGAAUGACACAACUUCAAUCUUGGUACCCAAAGCGGGUUGGCCAUGCAACAUGAGCAACGUAGUCCUCGUAUGUAAGACAUUGAAAUGGCUUGGGAACACCAGUGGACAUGUGAAAAGAAAGUCCUUGCAUUAUGUCCAUGAGCAUGGUGAUGACCCUUUAAUUUGUUGCAAUUUCAACUAUAAUAUAUCCAUGUCUUGUGGUGGUGGUGGUCGAAGGAAGCUUCUAGCUUGUGGCUAGGGUUAAUCUAUCUCAUUCACAAAAUGUACAUAUUAAACGUUUUAUAAAAUAGGGUUGACCAUAGGGCUUGCCAUAUGGUGGAUUCACUUGAAAACAUAAAAUUACACAGUAGAGUGAUGAGGGUCAGAAAUCCCUAAAGUUCUUGUGAGGCCAGUACAAACUCCUAUAUUCAAUGAGAGAUGAAGUUCUUAAUGUUGAUGGAGAAGGUGUCCUAAGUUGCAUAGAUGAACUUUGCAAUCUUAGUGAUAAUGUUAAAACUGUGAAAGGUAGGAUCAAAGUUGAUAAGGAUGAAACUCAUCCAAAUUUUUGAAAGAUUAUUAAAAUGGUCUCUAAAUAUGCAAUGGAAUGACAUUCUCCCAUCCUCCGUAUUCAAAAUCAUGACCCCUCACGCAUAAUGUCUUCUUUAGGGUCUAAAUGGGACAAGGAUGGUGAAGUCAUUCAUCAUACUUUGAUAUACAACUUGGAACAAACUAUGUAGUCUCCAAAUAUGCAUUUAUGUCCAAUGCAUCAUACUAGAUAUAACUUCACAGACAAAGCUUGUUCAAAGCAGUGACUCAAACUCUCUAUCUUCCUUUAUCACCCUCUCAUGGUAUAUGUUAUCACAAGAUUCUCUCACCAAGAUCUCACUAAAAGGGGUGUCAGGCUUUCCCAUCUUAUUUCAUUUUCUCNNNNNNNNNNNNNNNNNNNNNNNNNNNNNNNNNNNNNNNNNNNNNNNNNNNNNNNNNNNNNNNNNNNNNNNNNNNNNNNNNNNNNNNNNNNNNNNNNNNNNNNNNNNNNNNNNNNNNNNNNNNNNNNNNNNNNNNNNNNNNNNNNNNNNNNNNNNNNNNNNNNNNNNNNNNNNNNNNNNNNNNNNNNNNNNNNNNNNNNNNNNNNNNNNNNNNNNNNNNNNNNNNNNNNNNNNNNNNNNNNNNNNNNNNNNNNNNNNNNNNNNNNNNNNNNNNNNNNNNNNNNNNNNNNNNNNNNNNNNNNNNNNNNNNNNNNNNNNNNNNNNNNNNNNNNNNNNNNNNNNNNNNNNNNNNNNNNNNNNNNNNNNNNNNNNNNNNNNNNNNNNNNNNNNNNNNNNNNNNNNNNNNNNNCUAUGUUUGCUUAAAGCACAUCACGUUUAAGAAAAACACACACUAGUACAAAAUUUGAAAACAACGACCAUUUAUUUAGUGCGGCUUUGCGUUUAAACGCAUUUGUAAAAAACGCGGUGGCAUUUUUGUAAUUAAAUUGAUUUACAAAUGCGGUUCUAGGGUAAGACCGCAUUUGUAAAUCAAUUAAAAUGAAUUACAACUACAGUCAUAGUAAAGACCGCAUUUGUAAUUCAUUCUGAAUUGAAUUACAACUGUUCGUAUAAGUGAUGAGUACGAAAGGGGAGUAGAGGAAUUUAUACAAUUUGCGCAGCGUAACGCGGUUAUUAGUGGUCAUGAUGGAGCAAAGAUCAGGUGUCCGUGCGUUAACUGUUUGAAUGGAAGGAUACUGGAUGUNNNNNNNNNNNNNNNNNNNNNNNNNNNNNNNNNNNNNNNNNNNNNNNNNNNNNNNNNNNNNNNNNNNNNNNNNNNNNNNNNNNNNNNNNNNNNNNNNNNNNNNNNNNNNNNNNNNNNNNCUACCAUGGAUGAAGCAGUACACGAUGAUGGAGAUGAUGAUCGAUUGGAGGACAUGAUUCGUGAUGUGGGAGCUGAGUGUUUUGCAAAAGCGCAUGGAUAUGAAAGUAUGUCAAAAGAUGCAGAGACUCCUUUGUAUCCUGGAUCAACUAACUUCACACGGUUGUCGGUGGUGUUAAGAUUGAUGAAUUUGAAGGCAAUAAACGGAUGGACUGAUAAAAGCUUCACGGAAUUGCUCCAGCUGUUGAAGGAUAUGCUUCCAGAGGGAAAUAGUCUACCUAAUCGUAAUUAUGAGGCAAAAAAGAUUUUUUGUCCAAUGGGUAUGGAGUACAAAAAGAUACAUGCAUGUCCUAAUGAUUGUAUAUUAUACCGGAAAGAUUUUGAAUUGUUGAAAAGUUGUCCGAGGUGUGGGUUAUCACGUUAUAAGUUGAAACAAAAAGAUGAUGAUUCUAUUGAUGACAUGGAAAAGCAUGGACCCCCAAUGAAGGUUAUGUGGUAUCUUCCCAUUAUUCCAAGGAUGAAGCGUUUGUUUGCAAACCUAGACGAUGCUAAGAAUCUUAGAUGGCAUGCAGAUGAGAGGAAAUGCGAUGGCAUGUACCGACAUCCAGCUGAUUCUAUUCAAUGGAAGAAAUUUGAUGAUGACUUUCCAGAAUUUGGUAAAGAAUCAAGAAAUAUCCGACUUGGUUUAGCUACAGACGGAAUGAAUCCGUUUGGUAAUAUGAGUACAAAUCACAGUUCAUGGUCUGUAUUACUAGUUAUUUCCAACUUACCUCCUGGAUUGUGCAUGAAGCGAAAAUACAUGAUGUUGUCUAUGAUGAUAUCCGGUCCGAAACAACCAGGGAAUGAUAUUGAUGUUUAUCUAAGUCCCCUGAUUGAAGAUUUGAAGUUAAUGUGGGACCAGGGUGUCGAAGUAUUUGACGGAUUUGCUAAUGAAACUUUCAAGCUUCAUGCCAUGUUAUUUUGCACCAUCAAUGACUUUCCGGCAUAUGGUAACUUAUCAGGUUAUAGUGUUAAGGGUCACAAAGCGUGUCCAAUAUGCGAAGAAGACACUGCUUCUCAACAAUUGAAACAUGGAAGGAAAACAGUAUAUCUUCGGCAUCGGAGGUUUCUUAUAAGUCAUCAUCCUUACCGGAGGUUGAAAAAAGCCUUUAAUGGACACCAAGAGGGUAGUGGUCCACCAACUCCAUUAACCGGUGUUGAGGUUUACGAAAAGGUAAAUAACAUAGACCACACCUUCGGCAAGUCCAAAAAAAAGUCAUCUGUGACAAAUAUUUGGAAGAAGAAAUCAAUCUUCUUUGAUCUUCCGUACUGGUCGAGGUUAGAAGUCAGACAUUGUAUAGAUGUAAUGCAUGUUGAGAAGAAUGUGUGUGAUAGCUUAAUUGGUACACUUCUUAACAUUAACGGGAAGACGAAGGAUGGUCUAAAUGCUCGUUUAGAUUUGAUUGAGAUGAACAUACGCGGCGAGUUGGCACCCAUACAAAUGGGUAAGCGUACAUAUUUGCCCCCAGCCUGUUACACAAUGUCAAAAGAUGAAAAAAUUAGUUUUUGUCAAUGUCUAAAGGGUGUGAAAGUGCCACAAGGACAUUCCUCAAAUGUGAAGAGUAUAGUGUCAAUGCAAGAUUUGAAGUUAAUUGGGUUGAAGUCUCAAGAUUGUCACAUCUUGAUACAACAAUUGUUGCCGGUAGCAUCCNNNNNNNNNNNNNNNNNNNNNNNNNNNNNNNNNNNNNNNNNNNNNNNNNNNNNNNNNNNNNNNNNNNNNNNNNNNNNNNNNNNNNNNNNNNNNNNNNNNNNNNNNNNNNNNNNNNNNNNNNNNNNNNNNNNNNNNNNNNNNNNNNNNNNNNNNNNNNNNNNNNNNNNNNNNNNNNNNNNNNNNNNNNNNNNNNNNNNNNNNNNNNNNNNNNNNNNNNNNNNNNNNNNNNNNNNNNNNNNNNNNNNNNNNNNNNNAUAUGAAAAUUUUGAAAGGUUAUGUGAAAAAUCAUUAUCGUCCAGAGGCUUCAAUAAUUGAAAGGUACAUAGCUGAAGAAAGUAUUCAAUUUUGUUCAGAGUACAUGACAAAAGCAAAUCCAAUAGGUGUUCCAGCUAAUUCAUGGCACCACAGGCGUUCUACAAGUAAAUGUUUACGUGGUGUGAAUAUUGUAAGCAAAUCUCGAUCAGAAGUCUUGCAAGCACAUUUGUACAUAUUGAAUAACACAGAUGAAGUUGUACCUUACAUAGAAGCUCACAAAGCCAUUGUGAAGGCAGAUAACCCAAGACAAGCAGAGAAAUGGGUCUUGAUGGAACAUAAUAUAACUUUCAUGCCUUGGUUUAAAGAUGAGGUGUUCAAGGAUUCAACGACAUCAGAGACCUUGACCUGGUUGGUUGUUGGAUUGAAGUUUGAUGUCAUCUCAUGUACAGCAUACGAAGUGAAUAAUUGUAUAUUUUACACGAAGGCCAUGGAUGAAAAGAGUACAGUUCAAAAUUCUGGUGUUACUCUUGAAGCCGAGUCAAUGCAGUUUUCGACUUCGAAACAUACAAAUCCAGUANNNNNNNNNNNNNNNNNNNNNNNNNNNNNNNNNNNNNNNNNNNNNNNNNNNNNNNNNNNNNNNNNNNNNNNNNNNNNNNNNNNNNNNNNNNNNNNNNNNNUCAAUGGCAUACUAUGGUUUAUAGAAGAGAUAUGGGAGAUUGACUACACUAAGUUUUCCGUUCCAGUUUUCAAGUGUAAAUGGGUUGACAAUAAAAGUGGGGUUAAAAUUGAUGAUUCAGGAUUCACACUAGUGGACUUUCGAAAGAUAGGGUAUCGAGAUGAGCCAUUUAUAAUGGUUCAACAAGCAUCUCAAGUUUUCUACGUGAAAGAUCCUACGUCAGAACAUUGGUAUGUCGUUUUACACGGCAAAAACAAGGGGAGACCAUAGAUGAUAUUGAAAAUGGUGACCCCUGUUCAUUCACACCAAAGAUAAUUAAUAAAGAUGACGAUGUAGUUGGUGAUAUACAUGCAACCCGUAAAGACCACAGUGAAGGAAUUUACAUAUAAACUUUCAACCCCCAUGCAACCUGUAAAUAAGCAUUUUAGAUUUACAUUUUUAUGUAUUAUUUUUAGAAGAUUUUAAUUCGAUGCAGAUUAACUAAUGUUUGUUACCUAAUUUUUUUAACAGAGACAUGGAUGACGAUCAGACCCCACUCAAACCUCGAUCCGGACGAGGCAGCAGAGGACCUACUAGAUUGAAGCGUCUCGCAUUGAGACGUGCUGCUGGUGAGAAGACACGUGUUGACAUUGACGUUAACACUGGAGUGGCUUUUGAUCCUAAGGCAGAUGAGUUUAUGAGCUAUCUUGAAGUUGUUUCUCGUGAGAGGCUCUCCAUUCUGAUUAAUUCAUGGGAUGAGGUGUCANNNNNNNNNNNNNNNNNNNNNNNNNNNNNNNNNNNNNNNNNNNNNNNNNNNNNNNNNNNNNNNNNNNNNNNNNNNNNNNNNNNNNNNNNNNNNNNNNNNNAGGAUGUUCUGGUAAGCUUUACAUUUUGAUAUAAUGCUUUUAAUAUUCAUUGAUUAAUUUUAAUUUGCUGAUGUUAUUUUGCAGGCAAACUUUGAAAUUCCUGAUGUGGAACCGCUUCGAUCAAAGAUUAUAUCCAAUAUCGGACUCAAAUUCCAUACCUUUAAGUCAAGACUGACUUCGAGAUACAUUUUUGGCGACCUUAAAGACGAAAAUCCAUGUUUAAAGUACAAACAUAUUGAUGAAGAGACAUGGCGUCUUUUUAGAGAAAGCCGUGAAAAUGAGGCUUGGAUGGUAAGUGAAGUAACUUUUUGUUUAUAUAACAUUAAUAAGUUUAUCUUAUUUACUUCAGUUUGUUUAUUUCAAUUAUGACAGGAUCGUCGGAAGAAAGCUCAAGACAUAGCUUUGAAGAAUCUUACCCCGCACGUUAUGUCUCGUUCGGGGUAUCGAAAACUUGAGCAAACACUGAUGGUGGAAAAGGAGAAAUCUAAACAGGGGACAUUGUCUGAGAAUGUGGAAACAGGGGUCACUUCUCCUCCAUCACCACCUUUUCGCCAUGUAAAAUGGAAGAAAGCCCGAAUUAAAUAGUCGGGUGCACCAAGUUCUGAGCAAUCCGGGGUUAUCAUUGAAAAAGUUGUAAGUUAUUUUUGUUAUUUUCAUUUAUUUUAAAGCAUUAAUUAUAUUAAUGCUUGAAAAUAUGAUUUUUGUGUACUCUUGCAGGAUUCCUUGGAAUCCGACGGUAAAUUUGUUGCUGAAGGUCGUCACGAUAUCCUGGUUGAAGCAAUUAGAUGACCUGAGCACUCUGAUCGUGUUCGUGCAGCUGGACAAGGGGUCGGAAUUAAACUAUAUUUUGGAGUUUCAGAACGACAGUCAUCCUCCUCCUCCAAAGAGAACGAAACUCAAAUGAAGACUAAGAUACGUGAAGAAUUAAUGGAGGAGAUGAGAAAGGAGACUGAUUUGAUGUGGCUACAGAUNNNNNNNNNNNNNNNNNNNNNNNNNNNNNNNNNNNNNNNNNNNNNNNNNNNNNNNNNNNNNNNNNNNNNNNNNNNNNNNNNNNNNNNNNNNNNNNNNNNNAUAUGUAAUUUGAUUACUUGUAAAUGUACAUUUUGAUGAUCUCAAUUGAUUACUAUAUUUCUGUAUUUGUCUGGUUGGGUUUGAUCAUUAUGCAGGUUAUUAAUUUAUAUGGUUUAUGCACAAUACAAACUGCACUUUAAAAAAACACUAUUUACAAAUGCGGUCAUUUACCAAAACCGCAUUUGUAAAUGUGAAUUACCUAUUUACAAAUGCGGUCAUUUACCAAAACCGCAUUUGUAAAUGUGAUUUAUGAAUGCGGUUUUUACCAAGACCGCAUUCGUAAAUCCUAAACCCCUAAACCCUCAUCCCUCAUUCAGAAUAAUAUACAAAUGCGGUUAUUUUAAAUAACCGCAUUUGUAAAUCUAAUUUAUAAAUGUGGUUCUUUGACCGCAUUUGUAUAUGUCCGAUUUACGAAUGCAUGCUGAUCAAAUGCGGUUCUAUGACCGCAUUUGUAAAUGUAAAAUAGCCUUAUUUAUUUUACAUUUCUGCGCUAAUGAGACUAGGGGACUUGAAAAUAUUGUACCAUUUCCAACUACCAAUAAAGAAUAAAACACCAUUAUUAAAGAUUGUGUUCACAUUACUUGGCUAUAUACACAGAACAAGAGUCGGUGGCAAUGGUGUAGUGAAAAGAUUAUGAUAUAUGAACACAUAUUCAUAGUCAACCACUCUCAUUCUUUACUAAAUAUUCCAUGCAAACGUGUUGAUAUGAGCUUAAACCCUACAAAAGAAUGGAACUUGACUUGUUAAAACUAUGUAAUAAAAGAUAAAUAGAAACAAAAGUAACUAUCAUGACCUAUCUCUUUGGUCGGAUGUCUGUACAAAAUUAUUUCAAAGGCUCUGUCGCUGCGUCUAAAAAAGGUGAUUGCAAAAGUCAUUGAUGUCAGGCAGUCCGCCUUUCUUCAGGGGAGGGGUUUGUUGGAUGGUGUGUUAGUCGCCAAUUAAGUUCUGGAUGAGAUAAAGAGAAGGAAGAAAAGUUGUGUUUUCUUCAAAGCCGAUUUUGAAAAGGCGUAUGACUCAGUGAGAUGGGAGUUCAUCUAUUAUAUGUUAGAAAGGCUCGGUUUUUGUGGUAAAUGGAUUCGUUGGAUAAAAGGGUGUUUGGAGUCUGCUUCUGUGUCUGUGUUAGUGAAUGGUAGUCUGUCUAAGGAGUUCUUCCCAAAAAAAGGACUUCGACAAGGCGAUCCGUUAGCCCCUUUUUUGUUCCUUAUUGCGGCGGAAGGCUUGGCAGGCGUGUCUAGAAUGGCAACUGAGAGGAAGAUGAUAGAUAGUCUGGAGAUUGGCAGAGAGAAGGUGAAAGUUAACAUGUUACAGUAUGCUGAUGAUACUGUUUUCUUUUGUGAAGCUAAUGUCAAGAGCAUUUUCAAUAUUAAGGCGGCUCUGAAUUGUUUUGAACUUGCGUCUGGGCUUAAGGUGAAUUUUAUGAAGAGCAAGUUAGGAGGUGUGGGGGUAAAGUAAAUAUCGAUUCAGCGUUUUGCGACCAUUCUUAAUUGCGAGGUGAUGACAAUUCCUUUUGUUUAUUUGGGUUUGCCGAUAGGAGGGUGUCAUAAGAAAAAUGAGUUUUGGGCUGGGGUGAUAGAUAGAGUGAAAAGAAGAUUGAGUAGUUGGAAAGGCAGGCUAUUGUCUAUGGCAGGGCGAAUUUGCCUGAUCAAGUCGGUUCUCUCUUCUAUCCCUUUGUUUUACCUAUCUCUUUUCAAAAUGCCUGUUGGGGUGGCAAACGAGAUAGUGAGUAUUCAAAGGAAUUUCCUGUGGGGUUGGGGCUCUGAUGGAAGAAAGGUAGCGUGGGCUUCUUGGAAAAAGGUGUGUGAAGCGCGGGAGGAUGGAGGNNNNNNNNNNNNNNNNNNNNNNNNNNNNNNNNNNNNNNNNNNNNNNNNNNNNNNNNNNNNNNNNNNNNNNNNNNNNNNNNNNNNNNNNNNNNNNNNNNNNNNNNNNNNNNNNNNNNNNNNNNNNNNNNNNNNNNNNNNNNNNNNNNNNNNNNNNNNNNNNNNNNNNNNNNNNNNNNNNNNNNAGGUGUGGAGCUUAGAAGGGUGGGGUCAGAAUUUUGAAGAUGCCGUGGCUUGGAAGGUGGGUAAUGGGAAGGAAGUUAUGUUCUGGGAAGACAAUUGGGUGGGUAGGGGGCGUUGAAAAGUGUUUUCCCGAGGCUGUUUUCACUUAGUGUCUCAAAAGCUUCCUCGGUGGCAGAGGUAGGGGCUUGGAACAACAAUGUUUGGGUUUGGAAGUUUGGUUGGAGAAGGAGUCUUUUUGAGUGGGAAAAGAGUUUAGUGUGUCUACUGUCUCAGGAAGUUCAGGGUGUGAGCUUGAAUUUGGAGAAGGAAGAUAAUUGGGAGUGGAAGGAAGGGGAGGAGGUAGGGUAUUCGGUUAAACUGGAUAUCUCCGUCUAGGGGGGGGGGGGCGAAUAGGGGAGAGAGAAGGGGAGUUUAUAAAGUUCUGGAAGUGUAAGGUUGUACCUUCUGCACAUGUUACGGUGUGGAGGGUGUUGGAAAAUAAGUUGGCUACUAAGGCUAACUUGGAAAAACGUGGGAUCACGGUGGUAAGUUCUAUGUGUAGUCUUUGCGGGGUGGAGGAGGAAUCUAACACUCAUCUGUUCUUUGAGUGUAGUUUUGCGUGGCGAGUGUGGAACCUUUGUUGUGUUUGGUUGGGCGUGCAAAGUGUGUUUCAUAAUGUUCCACUGCAAAAUUUCUCUCAGUUUAGGUUGAGUAACGUGUCUGUUUCGGUAAAUAAGGUUUGGGGAGUGAUUUGGAUCGCGGUCGUCAACGAAAUCUGGAAACAUAGAAACAGAGUAAUUUUUAGAGGGGGUGUAAUAGAUGUAUUGGAAGUAUUCGCGUUGGUGCAAUUAAAGGCAUGGGCUUGGGUUACUUCCAAGUCGCAGGAUGCUAUCUUUUCCUUCUCUGACUGGUGUGUUGAUCCUUUGGUCUGUAUGAAGAUGAUGUUUUGAUGUCUUAUUUGGGUACAAGAGUGAGGGUUGUUGGUGGUUCUUUUCGGUUUUAUUUAAGUUCUUAGGAGUUGGCGGGGUGUGUGUUGUGAACAAGGUUAAAGGUCGUGUGUUUUGUAUAAGGGUUGGGUCACCCCCUAAAGUGACUCACAUUUAUUCAUUGUUUAUUGUUGAUAAAAAAAAUCAUGUCAUUACAUAAAAAUUAUUUAAAAUAAAAAAUAAUUAAUUGAUAUAUUAACUAAAUUAGAUACUAUUUUAAAAAUUAAAAAAUUAUUAAUAUUUAAAAUAAUUUAUGUUAUUAAUAAAUAGUUUCUAAAUUGAUAUUGUUAACUAAAACUUUAAUGAUUAAUUAAUUACUAAUUUAAAAGUUAUUUAAUAAUAAUAUAAAUUAUUUUAAAUAUUAAUAUUUUUUUAAUAUUUAAAAUAGUAUAUAAUAAUUAAUUAUUUUUUAUCUUUAAAACUAGUUUCUAUUUAAUAAUUUUAUUAUAAUGUCACUCUGGUUAAUCAUGAUAUAUAUUUGUCUUUUCAGUUGAAAAAUCGGUAUUAUAACACUAUAAGAAAAUCAUUAAAUAAAAUUUAUUUUUAAAAAUUAAACUAAUUUGUUAUUAUUUGACUAAAUUAGAGAGUAUCUUAUAAACUAAAAAAAUUAUUGGUAUUUAAAAUAGUUUCUAUUAUUAAUAAAUGUUUAUAAAAUAAUUUCUAAAUUCGUAUUUAACUAUUAGUUACCAAAGUUUUAGUUACUUAUUACUUUAAAUUCUAAAUUAGUCUCUAUUAGUCUUUUAGAAACUAAUUUAGAAUCUAAAAUAUUAGUAGUUAAUUUAUAUAUUAAUUUAAAAAUUAUUUUAUAAAUUUUUAUUAAUAAUAGAAAUGAUGUAAAUAGAAAUAUUUUUUAAUCUUAUUCUAUAUUUUUUAUCUCUAGAUUUAGUUACUAUUUAAUGAUUUUAUUAAAGUGGUAGGAGAGAUGUUGCUUUUAAUAUUUGUCUUUGAAUAUACUUGUCAAAGUAGACCAUAGACCAAGUUCUUCAGUCACACAAAUGGUUACAUAUUAUUUCUGAAAAAGUAAAGAAAAGUUGCCAUAGUAUUACACACUAAUUGUUGUUUUGUCGAGGACGUAUACGACGUGCAGAAUGGGAGAUGGAAGUUGUUUAUUUCCAUAUUUACAAAAAGCUGAGACUAAGAAGAAAGAGUCAUGGCUUUAUACAGCACACCAGCACCACUGCAUUCUAUCCUUUCUAUAAAUAUCACUUCAUUUUGAGUUCUCCACAACAAUCACACUCAAACAAAACCUACUUCAGAUCUUUCUUCUGAAAUGGCUUCUCAAGAGGGUGUCAUCGUGUUUCUUCCAUUCCUUCUUUCUGUAAUGUUGCUGCAUCAUCAUUUUCCCACUUCUGUCAUAAGGUAACAUUGCUACUCAUAUGUUUUAUGCUUUAAAAUUAUGCAGGUAGCAUUGUUUAUCAAAUGUUUUUCUGGUUUUGAAGCUGAAGAGUUUUUUUUAAUUUAUUUAUUCUCUGUAUAUUACAAAGUGAACUUUAAAUUUAAUUAAAUCUUAUAAAAUCGGUUCAUAAGGUGAGAUUUGUACUAAUUAUAUACAAUGAAAUAUUCUCAUAUCUAAUUGAUGUGUGAUUUCCAACACACCUCCUCACGUCAAAACUGACAGCAAAUGCGUGAGACAACAUAUUAUGAGUAGUCCAAUAACAGUCCGAUAGCGGGUGACAUGAUAUAUUUAACAAACACUCGUUAGAAUGAGCUUUUAAAUGACUCUCAUAUACUAUAUUACAAAAUGAAAUUUAAAUAACUUUGUAUUUUCUAUUUUUAGAUUCUUUGUUAAUAUGUUACAAUUUUUUUAUACAGUGCUGAAAGUGAUAAUCUCACACUCCCAUUAUUUUCUCCACCAACUCAUGCUGAUGACCAAGUGUCAAGCAACAUCAUCAAUGGAGGAACAGAGUUGUAUGUUGCAAAUGACUCAAAUAUAAACUUUAUUAGUUUAUUAUAUAUCUCAACUGAUUUAUUUAUGUCUUUUUGUUUAAUAUACUUAAUCAUUUUACUAUUUUUAUAAUUCAUACUUUUAAAUUCAAAUAUAUUUUUAUUCUUAAAAUAUUUCAAUCAUACUCUAUUGAUUUUUAUUAGUAAUUAAUACAUUUUUUUAUAAUACUAUACUUUUUACCUUAUAUAUAUAUAAUAAUAUAUUUUGCUAAAUUUUUUUAUAAGUGAUUCUGACAAAUCCACGCCUCCACCUGACACUCAAACUGAGAACGUAUUACAAAAUUCCGAUAUAAAUAUCCAAGUGUAAGUUGUUACUAUAACUUCAAAUAUUUAUUAUAUUUAUUUUAUUAGGCUUAUAGAUCAAUAAUUGAUAUAGUUAUUGUUGUUUUAUUUUACUAUAAAAUAAUAUCCAAUGAGUGUGUAUAUAGAAUUUUAUUGAAUAAAUAGUUUUUUAAAUGUAUUUAAGAAAAAUUAAUUAUGAGUUUGGUACCAUAGAAAUGGAAGGAAGAGGAUGAAUGAGAGAAACAAAUAAUAAUAAAGAAUAAAUAAUAGGACUUAAAUUGAUUUUUAUAUUCUUUAUCUUUACCAUCAAUUUAAACUCAAAAUAAUUAAUUUUUAUAACUUUUAAUAGGAUUCAAAGUGAUUCUCAUACUUCUCCAUCUCCACCACCAAGUGAAAUCCAGAAGAAUGUGCCAAGCAAUUCUAAUCUCAAAGAGCAAAAGUAAGUUGUUAAUAACUUAAAUAUGAAUUAUAUAUUAAUUUUGUACAAACCAAAUUAUUAUUAACUCUUUGUUAUUAGGAUUCAAUCUCCUCCACCUCCACCAAAAUCACCAAUUCAAACUGGGGAAAUUUCACCAAGCAUUUCUAAUAUAAAACUACAAAGGUAUGUUAAUUAAUUAUAACUCAAAUAUCAAUUAUAUAUUAAUUUUUCAUAAAACUAAUUAUUAAAUCUUUGUUAUUAGGAGUAAAUCUCCUCCACCUCCACCUACUCAAACUAAUAAAAUUGCACCUGGCAAUUCCAAUUUAAAAGUACAAAGGUAUGUUACUUAUAACUCAAAUAUCAAUUACAUUUUUUAUUUUUUUAAAUAUUUCUUAUCAAAUUAAUUAGUAGAAUUCAGUAGCUUUAUAAUUAAUGAAUAGUAAUUAUUAUUUUUUUAAUUAAUUCAUUUAUAGAAUUUUAUGUAUAAAAUUUUAACACGAGAUAUAUAUAUAUAUAUAGUGUUUUAGCUAAAAUUUGGAUAGUUAAUUAGAUAUAAUUUAAAAAUUAUUUAUCAAUAAUAUAAAUUAAUUUAGAUACAAAUAAUUUUUUUAAGUUUUAAAAUAAUAUUUAAUUUUGUAGUAAUAUAUAUAAUGAGAGUAAUGUUGUGAGAAGUAAUGAUUGUUAUCCAUCCUAAUUAAAUAAAUGUUCUUUCAAUGUUUACUUGACAAUAAUAAUUUUAUUCGAAUUGAAUUUGUUUUUAAUUUAUUGUUUUUUUAAAUUUAAUAAGAAAAAUUCACAUAUCAAUGUACAUUCUAUUCUAUUAAUUUUAAAAUUAAAAUGAAAAAAAAUGUUUCCUAUACCAUAAGAACUCGACUAAAGUCCUCAAUAGUUUUUAUGAACGAUUGAUAUUUUAAUUUUUUUUAUUUAUUACUUGUUUGUCUUCACCAAAAAAGGACUUAUUUUAUUUUAUUUUAUUUAUUAUUACAUUUAAUUUAUUAUUCCUUUAAUAUGUUUUUCUAUUUAUUUAUUUAUUUUAUUUAUUAUUACAUUUAAUUUAUUAUUCAUUUCAUAUGGACAUGCACACUUGUUGUGUUUGGCAAGAAGUAAAUUUAGUAAAUAGUAUAAGAAAUUAAAAGAGAAUAAAAAUACUAACGUUUUUUAUGGAUUUUUCAGGACUAAGAAUCUUCUUCAAAUCACUUGGAGAUGGUCACAGACAAUGAUGCAAUUCUUCACACUGAGCUUUAAUUUGAGAGAAAUACAAUGUUACAAUAUUGUAGAAUAAUAUAGCAUUCCUUAUGAUUCAAUUCUACAAAUAAAAUAUAGUUGUUUUGACCCUAAAUGUUAGUUUUACAUAAAUAUAACAAUAUUUUUUUUCUUCUAUAUAUCGACAAAGAAUUAAAUCAAUUAGAAGGAGCACUUUAGGGAUACUAAUCCUUAUACAAAAUCAUCCUAACAACCCUACAUACUACACCUACAUACAACCAUAUGACCAUAUGGGUAAUACAACUGGAUAAGCCAAACACCCUUCUUGUUCUACUUAACUCUGGAAGAGACUCCUUUACACAUUACAAUGAAUUUACUACAAGAAAAUCAUUAAAUAAAAAUCGAUUUUAAAGACAAAAAAUAAUUAGUUGUUAUAUUAUCUAAAUUAGAUACUAUUUUAGAGACUAAAGAAUUAUUGGUAUCUAAAUUAGUUUCUAUUAUUGAUAAAUAGUUUAUAAAUUGGUAUAUAAUUAGUUACUAAGGUUUUAACUAUUAACUUUAGAAUGUAAACAAUUGAUAGAUAAAACUUUGACAACUAAUUAUAUAUCAAUUUAGAAACUAUUUAUCAAUAAUAGAAACUAAUUUAGAUACCAAUAAUUUUUUUAGUCUCUAAAAUUAUAUCUAAUUUAGUCAAUAUAACAAUUAAUUAUUUUUUGUCUCUAAAAUUGAUUUCUAUUGGUCAAUACAAUCAUCAGAUGAAAGAUGAAAGAGUCACUUAUCUUGUAGAUACAAAAUUCAUGUUGUGGCACUCGACGCCUAAACGUAACAAUGUUAAAAGUAAAUCUAAUUUAAUAUUACUUUAAUUUAGUAUUUACUUAGUUUAUUGUAAAUAUUUUAAAUUAAAAUAUUUAUUAAAAUAUAAUAUUUUUUUAUAGAAGCUCUCAUGUUAGACAUUACUAUGAAACUUGACAUCUCAGCUAAGUUGACAUCUCAAGUAUCAACAAUCAUCUGCCACCACAUGAAAAAAAUAUUAUAAAAAAAAAAAAUAAAGAAAGGAAAUAACACGUAUAACUCCAUAAAACUUAGCAACCAAAGCAGUCUAAAUAUCAAGGAAAGCAGAGAAACCACCAAUAAACUCGCUCAUACUCCCACGAAAAUACCACCACAAGCAGCAAAACCAGGAGAACCCCUAGCAACACCAUCAGUAUUAAUUUUAACUCAACCUGAUGAAGGAAACUCCCAUCUAACAGGAAAGGAUGAAAAACUUUAUCACUACGAGUAUCAAUAUCAAAGAACUUAAGCACAUUGAAGUUGAGCAUAUCAUUCCUCAUAGAGCUUUUAGACGAAUUACCCACUAGACAAGUGAAAUUCUUAAUGGUGGAAAUGGCCCUGGAAAGAUCAAUCUUAACUUGAAAUCUAGCAUAAUUCCUCAUAUGCCAGAUCAUCAAAAUAGAGAAGGUAAUGACAACAAGUUUAAUCAAAUUAACCCAAGGACUGCCAUUUUUGCUUCAUUGCUCAACUUGCUUAAGAAUAGAAGCAUGCCAUUUAUACACAUUAAAACUAUAAGUAAGGAAACCAGUAACCAACCAAUUGGAUCUGACCCAUCAUGCUAAGAGAUUUCCCUUUUCAAGUCCCAAGCUUCAAUUUGACUUUAUCAGCCAAAGAUUGAAUAAACCUGAGCUUGGGAGCACCAAUAAAGAUAGACACCCCUAAAUAGUUAAAAGGUAAAAGGCCAUGACUGCAAGAAAGAUGACGUUGAAUUUUUUGUAAAGAAUCUUGCAGAAUUAUCCAUGGUGAAAAAUCUACUUUUAGAAUUGUUAACAUACUGAUUAGAAAAAUCACCAUGUUUUUGAUGAAAAAUACUCAAAUAUUUAAGAGACUUAUCAUCUGCCCUACAGAAAACAAAUAUAUCAUCAACAUAUAGAAUGUGAGAAAGAGUGAUAUAACAUUUAGGACUAGCCAUAUGCAUAAUCCUUUUAUAAUUCACAAGCUUAAAAAUGCCUUUGUUCAAAACCUCCUUCGCAAGACAGAAAAGCAAGGAGCUACAUGUUCCUACAACGUGUGGCAGAAAAGGAAGAAUAUUAAAGAAUUUGAUGGUCCCUAAUCAUAAAAUCUUCACGAAAUUCGGUAAGGCUUGAUGAUUUUUUGAUAUUUAAUAGUGUUUUUUUUUUCUUUUUGAAAUACAUAGAUUGUUUAUGUUUCAAUACUCAUCCAAUGUAGUAGUUGGACGUAAGUCAUUUUUAUAAUGAAAUUUAAAUACAUAUAUAUAUAUAAUGGAUACUAUUUCAUUAUAUUUUUCAAUUAGAAUAGUAAUCAUGUGUCUGCAUGCAUUACUUUAAAAAAAUGUAUAUAUUUAAUGAAAUAUUUUAUUAAUCAAUUUAUUAGUAUGAUUAAAAUCCAAAUUUCAUUGAAAAUGAGAACAUCAUAAUAAUUUAUCUUUACCCAUAUCUUAUUACGCAUUUGUUGUGAGAAUAAACGUGAGACGAUUUAUCUAAUUCAUUUAAAUAUUAAAAAGGAUAUUAAUUAUAUUUAAAAAAUGUAUAUAUUUAAUGAAAUAUUUUAUUAGUCAAUUUAUCAGUAUGAUUAAAAUCCAAAUUUCAUUGAAAAUGAGAACAUCGUAAUAAUUUCUUUUUACCCAUAUCUUAUUACACAUUUGUCGUGAGAAUAACUGUGAGACGAUUUAUCUAUUAAAAAAUUAUAUUUAAAAAUUUAUUUUUCAUAAAUUAAAAAAUAUAUAUUUAUUAUACGAGUCAAUUCUUAUGUACCGAGUGUUCCUAAAUAAAAUGUAGUAAAGAUUAGUCAACUAACAUGAAUUUGCAAUGAAGGGUGUAUGGGAAUACUAACAGUAGAAGAAUAAAAAGUACAACAUAGUCAACAACUUGGAUAUGUAUUAUUAGUGUUGCUAAUGUGAUGAAAUUUGUCAAAAUCAUGGAUGAAUUAAUUGGUAGAUGCAUGUAACAUGAUUAUGCUUAGUUUUGUUAAUGAUAAAACCACAUUGAUAGGUAAAUGUAGUAGGAAAACAAACACAUAUGUUACAAAAAUGUUAGCAACAAUUGUUGAUAUGAUACACUGGAUUUUGGAAGAAGGAAGUCAAUUAUUUGGCAUAUGUCUAGCAUUUUGGCUCAAUGCACAACUCUCUUUAUAUGUUGUAGCAAGGUGACCCAAUUCCUAUCCAAUAAUUGUGUUAUAUGAUUACAUUUGAGUGCUAAUAAAGGUUAUCUUGCCAAUUGAAAAUUGUAGUGUUGCAGAGAAUGGAGUUCAAUGACGUUAAACACAAAUUAUUAUGCUAAAGCCUAGAUAUGGUUUUGUGUUGUUGGGAAUCCCUCCUCAAUUAAUGGGAGACCAUGAUCAAUGAAUCUUGAUAAUCGAUCCAUUGAAUAUAUUUCAAUGAUGGACAUUCCAAAGUCUUGAAAUUGUACCUCUGUUGAAGACUAUGAAGUUCAACCUAGAAAGUUGAAGAUAGUUUUUCAAGGUCUUUGAAAAUGUGACAAACAUUAAUUAUCCAUUAUCUCUUUAGGAAGAAGUCUUUCUCUCCUUCUCUAUAUAAAGGCAAGCAAGUGAGAAGAACAACAUAGAGAGUAAAUGAGAUAAUUGAUAUCUACCAUAGUGAGAUUAGAAAUCCUAGUGAGAGGGUAGAGAGACAUUGUAUUUCAUCAUUGUUGGGUGAGAUUAAGUGGUACACUCAUAGAGUAAGAGAAACAAAUCUUGUAAUCCUACUUUCAUAGUUGAGACAUUUUCUGGACUAGGUUCCGUGGGUUUUUACUUCUCAAGUUGAGGAGGUUUUCCCACAUUAAAAAUUCUUUAAGUCAUUAUUUUAUUUUGCUAUAUUUUCUUUUUUCUGCUUAUUAGUUUUGCAAGUUUCCAUUUUGUAUCUAUACAAAAGAUGGAGAAUUAGUUAUGAUUUUCCCAACAGGUGUGAACAUGGUUGUGCCUAUGUUGGGUUCUUGUUAGGCAUUGUUGUAGUUGGAAACCAAGUGACUUCUACUUGGAAUAGGAAUAUUCUUUUAAGCUUUUCAUUGUAGGGAUGAUUGUUUUCAUAAAAAGAAUAUGAUUUUGUAGGAUGAUCAUCUAAGUUUAUUAAAGCAAGCGAAAUAGAAUGGUUUGGUGUAAAGACAAACAUAAGAUUGUUUGGACUUUUAGCUCUUAAAAAUGUUAAAAAUAGGGACUUUAAUAGUACCUAGUAAGUAGACUCAUCAGGUUUGGAACAUACAAGGACUUGAAGGGGUGAGGCUCAUAUUUGCAAGAACAUAAAUUAUAGUGAACCAACAUUUUCAAUAGUGUAGGGUAAACCAAUUUUAAUGAUAGUUGGAUUCACAUGUAUGAUGGACUCUUCAUGGGUUGAAUAAGACCUCCUUUGAGAAUUGUUUUUGUAUCUAAUGAAUUUUUUCUUAGUCAUGGUAUGAAUGUACCAUGACUGUGGUUAUUUAUGGAUGAUGCAUUGAGAGGUAAAUGUAGUUGGAAAACCAUCCCAUCUAGUGAUAAAAUAUGAAGAAAAAUUAUACUUUCACAUCCUUAUAGUUGUAUACAUCUCUUAUUUCAUAGUUUUAGAAAACAAAUAUAUAAUAAUGGAUACAUUUAAAAUUAGAUGAUAUAUAGUAGAUUUUAGCAAUGUAAUCCUACAAGUAAAAUUUAUAUAUAUUUUGCUUUUCACUUAACUAUUUUUGUAACCUUCUGAAUCAUGUCAUGUCGUUAUAAAAGUGACUCUCCUAUAAUUGUUCCAAUAGGAGAACUAAGUAUAUGAAUGGAAUAUUCACUUAUUACAAUUCAGCAUAACUAGAAAUCUUCGUAGUCUUAUAAAAAUUAAUUUUAAGUCACGAUACUCAUUCGAAUACAUGCAAAAUACUCUAUAGUCUUUGUGAUGAUAAAUGGUUAUAUGUUUUACUUUUAUAAUUGUAUAAGAUAAUUGAGUUUUAUACUUGAACUGCAUGAGUCUCCCAUAUUUAUCCAUAUUUUUUAAUUAAUUAUUAAAUAUACAAAUUUAUUUAUUUUUUAAUUUUUUAAAUAAGAAAUUUCACAUAUGUAAACCAGUGUAAUUACAAAAUGAUCAUUACAAUAAGUACGAAUCUCCAUAUAAUAAUUAAAGUUUUAUCUAAAAUUUGAAUAAUACAGUGGGUUAUGUUCCAUAUGCUACUUUGUGACAGUAUAAACUUAGAGUGCAUUGAAAAUACCUAAUAAUAUAUUCAAAAGUUAUUUGUCCAAAGAGGGAGUGUGUUUGAACUCGGUUAUCAUUUGUACUCUUUUAACCUUACCUUCAGGUCCCACAUUGGUCAGGACUCUGACAAACAAUUGGAACUUAGAAAAUAAAAACUCAACACUUACACUGUUAGAAGCCUCCUUUCUCGAUCUUUUGGCUAAGAUUAAGUGUAUAGGGUUUAGGGUUUAGAGUGAGUGUAUUAUCUGUUAUCAGUUUAAUAUAACCAUAGGCUUAUGCAUGAGGCUUAAUAUAUUUGCACACAUCAUAUACAUGUCAACUCUAAACUGUGAGAAUACAAUUAAAAGACACUGUUACAAAUAACUAGCACGACUUUUUCUUUGUUUGUGAGAAGAUAUUAAACAAACAGUUUAGUUUAGUUCAAUAAACUCAUUUUACUCAUUGUUUAUGUUUGGGUUCAUCCACCGGCUCUCAAUUUUUUUUUUUCAAUCAUGUUUAAUUCUUUCUUCAUAGCAUUAAUUCACUUCAUCACUUUCAGCUUCUUCAAAUUCAGUUCAAGUUCUAAGACAACCACAUUACACUUUUGAUUAUUCAAAUUCAGCAAUAUCUGCCCACUCCAAGUUGAGAAUUGAGGCUGGUGACUUCACUGGAUGCUUAGGUUUGACUCUUAAAGUGGAGGACUUACAGGCUGCUGCACUCAGUCCUAUUGGCUUGGUGUGCUAGUGUGCUUGGGCCAUCACUUUUUUUUUUCAAAAUCAUUUUGGAAUGGUAAAGAUUCUUCACAUAUCAGAAGAAAAAGUGCUAAAUUGCUGGAAGAUACUCUUUUUUUAUAUUAUCUUCUCUUUAAUGAGUAGCUGCAGAGAUAACAAGUUAAGUAAACCUUUUAGCCUUUGCAAUUUUAUUUUUAAAAAAUUAAUAACUCAAAACUCAGUUAUGUUAUAAAAGAAAAAUAACACUUUUUUUUCCAAAGACAUGAAUUACCAUGACUGAUUAUUAGACUUUUCACUAAAUCCAUUCUUCUCUAAAUUUUAAACACAGCAUAAUAAAUCAACAAAACUGUCGCAGUAGAAUUUUAAACUCUUCAUCACUAGUCACAUGAGGCUCAACAAACAUCUUCAUGUUUGUGUCGCUCAUUUGUGGGAUGAAAGCUGUCAUUCUACAAACUUUGAGGCAUUCAAAAUCAAACUUAAAUAUAUGGAAGUUUAUCAAAUUAUUUUUAUCCUCUCUUGUUGAAGCAUCUUAAUUUACUGACAAGUUCCACAUUUGUCAGGACUCUGUCAAGAAGAUGGAGCUCACAGUAUAAGAACAGAAUACUUUGAUGAUACAAAGCAUACCUUUCUCGGCCUUUUGGCUAAGAUCAAGUGUAGUAUCUGUUCUUAUCAGUUUAAUAUCUGAUAUGUGGAUCAUUGAUUCACACGAUAUUAAAUUAAUAUUUUGAGGGAGAGUGUCCAUUGCAAUAGCUUGCUAUUGGGACUCUUAGGCACUGCUCUUGUCUUGCACUAUUGCAAGAGUUUGGUGCAUCCCACUCCAAACAAGUUUAGAAUUUUUACAUAUGGAUUCUUUCGUUCUACAAUGCAUACUACAUGUGAAGAAGAAAAUGUCAUAAGCUGUGGUUUUUGCAUUGGUACAGAUCAACAAAUGGUUCUGGAUAAACAACAAAUAUAGAAUUAUUCAGAUUAUCCUAAACCUUGCUGAUAUAGGGUACAAUCCAGAGCAAAAUGUUGGCAGCUGAGAAUUCUGUCUCCACCAAGAAUCUUACUUUGAUUCUAAAACAUCUUUCCAAAUCCACUUUUCUUUUUUCCAAUAAGACUAAAUUAAAUGUUUGAAUCUAAUAACAUGGUAUGCAAGAUGAUCUCUCAAGAGAUGAUUAAGAGAUGAUUUUAUAGGUUCAUGGAAUUCUACAGCAAGAAAACUUAAAAGAGAAAAAAGAGGGAGAAGGGAAAAUUGGAAGAAACACAAGACAGAGCACAUGUAUUAUUCUCGUAAAGGCAAAGGCAGGCAAGGCAAGGGUGUAUACAUGCAGGGAAAACAUAAGCAAAAACCAAAAGAAAACAAACUAAUGACUAACUAACCAUCAAGAUGGUCUAAACAAUAUGCUAAGAUGUUAGACUAUCUCGUAUAAAACAAGAGGUCUAGACUGUUUAUCAACUAAACGAUCUAGUAAGAAUAAACGACUUGGUGUUUAGAUAUUCUAAACAAAAAAUAGACUAGACGGUCUAAUGAAGAUCAUCUACACAAAUACUAGAUGCUUUAGCAAAAGAGUGACAUUAUAAGACUAUACUAGACAAUCUAACAUAAUACUGUCUAUAUAUAAAAGCAACACCCAAAACUAAUGAGUGGCUAUACUACAAUCAAACAGGCAGAUUAGCUCAUACAAUUUUAGCAAAACAGGUCUUCACAAUAAUGUCAUAUUGAAUUAUUUGUUCCUUCAACAAACUAUUAUUCUGCAGAAGUAAAAUGUAUUCAAAUUAACUUCAAUUUAUCUCAAUAAAAGUUCAAAAAUUAUAAUCUUGAUUUGAACUUCCACCAUCUUAUUACUAUUAAUCUCGAUAGCUUCAAUGCUUUAUGAAACGCGUCAAUUUCUCCAUACAGAUAGACAAGUUAGUGCUUCUAGUCCACUAAGACAUGUCAUAAUUAUCAAGAUAAAUGUAACUAACAUGUAAGCAUGAUUUGGAACAUUCAAGUAGAACACAUGUACUUUAAUUGUAUUUAUCAUGAUAAUUAAGAAAUGAAAUCUUUCACUUAACUUAUCAAGAUGAUGAUCGAUUAUUGAAUACAAAAAACUUCAAAUUUUUAUGAGUGUAAGACCUGUCAGGAAGUUUUCCUACAACUUCAAAACCUUGCCUAUGUCUUAAAGAGGCUAGCUAUAUACACAAAUUUGGUAUACUAUUGCAAUUACUACUCAUCUUAUUCUGAAAUGACAAUAGAAGUAGACAUUUUGUGAAUACUAGGAAAUUGCUACAAAAUAACUAUGUUGAAUUAUUUCUUUUAGAACAUUCUUCACAGCUUUAAGCUUUCCAUGUUUCUGUUACUUAUUUGUUUAAAAAGGUUCUCUACUACCAAUUUUGAGGCAUUCAAAAUCAAAUUUUGGAGAGUAUGAAAAGAAACAACAUAGUGCAAAUAAUAAAUUCAAACAAACUAUGGAAGAAGAAUAUAAUGCAUUUGAACUCACUUACAAUGUCAAAUUUGAAUAAUAAUACAUCAUUGCAAUUGCUGAUUUAAUUCUAAAAUUAUUUUGCAUUCCUGAAACAUCUGAAGGGACAUGUGAACUAAUUAACUACUGGAGUUCUUAGCAUAGCUGUUGCUUUGCACUGCUGCAACAACUUGCUGCAUCCCUCUCAAAACAGUUAAACUAGUAGUUGAUUAUUGAACUUGCACUAAUGUGAAACUAGCAAAAAUAUUACUGCAAUUAGCAUUUUGUACAGCAAAAUUAAAAAAAUGUAUGCAUGGAGCAUGAAUAUUGAAAGUUCCGUAACUCUUCUAUCUAUGCAGAAUGUUUGGCAUGGUGCAUCUUCAGUUGUAUCAGCAGAAUUCAUCUUAUUAUGAAAUGAAAUGACAAUAGAAAAGACAAUUUGUGAAUACUAGAAAGUUGCAGAGAAUGCUCACAUACAAUAUUUUAACAGUUUGAAACAUUUAAUCACUUUGCACCGGAUCUUAAAGCACAAAUUAGGAUAUUUUAUCUUCCCGAAAUUCAUCCAAAUAUUCUAUAUCUCAUACAAAUGAAAAAAAGGACCGAAAUCUUUUUUAAAUUGAGCAGAAAACUUUAUGCUAAUUAUAUCCCACAUCAGUAAGAAAAUGACAUAAAGUUAUCUUUAAAACUUCACUGACAAGGUGUCAGAUUGCUGAGCUGAGUUACUCCAGCUUGUGACCCAAGUGGGAGCAUCAAUGUGAUGGAACAACACUGAGACUUUCUGGGUUGGGCUGUGUCUGCAAUAUGUUGGCCUGCCCAUUCCAAGUUGAGAGUUAAGUCUGGGGACCUUAGUGAAGGCAUAGGUCUCUUUACUCUUAGAGUGGAGGCACAGCGUGAGGCUGGUUUCACAGAGCAGCGACCACCUCCCACUCCCAACAGUGGAGGGAUCACAGGCUGCUGCAUCCACAGUCUUAAUGGCCUGGUGAGUCUUAGUCUGCCUGGACCAUCACUUUUUUUAUGAAGCUAAAAAACAAACAAAUCAUCUAAACUUUCUAUUAUUUCAAAGUACAUCUGCAUACUUGGAGGCGUAUCAGAAUAAUAAUACCUUGAGAAUACUUUUAUUUUUCCCAAACUCUUAGGGACUUCAGAUUCAAGAGAUGCAGCAUUUUGUCCUUUUCAUUCCUUAUCCAGUCACGCUGCUUGUCACUCCAUUGUCUCGGUGAUCCAUGAAGUAUGAAACGGAGUUGAGGAGCUCCUUGCAUGAGCCAAAUCAUGUAGAAGGUCAUUCAUAACAAAUAGUUCUUUCCUUUCACUUGAUUGUUGGAAGAAAGAACAACCUUUGGAGUCUUACUAUGUUGAGGACACUGAAGGAAAUUUUCAGUCAUCCACAACUGAAUUAAACACUCUUUUUUAAACUCGUAAUCCUUGGAGAAUAUGCAAAAUAAGCAAAGCAUGGAAUGAAUGGAAAUGAGUGAUCUGAAUGAGUUAGUGCAGAGAUCUCAGUGAUGAUGUGAUGAGUAGUAAGAAUGUGGCUUACUUUAAGUUCACUAGUCAACCCAUAUUAAUGUAAUUGCAAGGGUAACAAUUGAAACACUUAGAACAGGUAAGGCAUAGCUACUAAGAAAAACCAAGUGGAUGAUUUGGAGGUAUUGGAGUAGGUAUGUGUGCUAGUUGUGUGCAUGGACACAGGAUUUUAUCUGGGUGCAGUUGUUGCAAAUAAAUCAAAGGUGGCCAAUCUUCAUUCAAAAAGUGGAUGCAGAUGAAGAAACUAGUUUUGGCAAUGAAAACUAGCUACAGAGGAGCAUAAUGAUAGGCCUUGAAUGGAAAAUCUGCAGACCAGGAGCACAAGGGAUUUCAUUUCCAGAUUCUGGAAAGGACUAAGUUAAAAACAGAUCUGUACACAAAAUACACACAGAACUUAUGAAGGACUUCCAAACAGGUUCCUAUGUUCUUAUCCUCUUUAAUUUCAAUUUCCCAAAUUGGCUUCAGACUUUUCUAUAGGACAGAGAAGAAUCUUUGCCUUCAUUUUCUGAACACAAUGGUGCAAUUAUCUUCCCAAUUACUGUUGCUGGAAGAUUUUUUUUCCCUUGUGGUCUCUCCGAAAACAGAAAUCCUGGUGUUAUUGCUUUAGUGGCCUCUACUCUAUUUCUAACUGAUUUUGGCCACAAUUCCUUUUCCUCAUUAAUCAGAUAAUAACUAUUUCUUUGAUUUUAUCAAACUCUGUUUAACCUUGUUUAAACAUACUCAUACUUUAUUUCUCCGCAAAAUACAAUACAUAACUGAAAUUAGAGUAGGCUCAGUUAAAUUGGUUUGUUAUCAAACAAACUCUGAAGUAGAAAUAUCUUUCUGAAAUCCACCUGAUGGAAAGAACUAAAAGGUGCACUUCCGAUGACUUAAAUCCUUCAGCUUCACUUAUUUCCCACUUUUACCAACUGUCUGAUGAAGGAGUCUUUCCAAUAAAUCUUCUUGAUCAUUGGCACAAAAAAUCAUUCUAGUCAGUCACACCCUUAAUAACAUUCUAUGCCAAAUACUCUUCAAGAUGUGUGAAGAGUAGCAUCUAGCAAAUAACAUUCCCAAAUUGAAAUGUGUAAAACUCAGACUCAAGAAACAAACAACUUUCUGACUAACACAAAAGAAGAGCUUCAUUCAGACAAAGUACAAGAAAGGUAUGCAGGGCAAUAGUAUACAAAUAAUCAGUUUCUGUAUCAGUUUCCCUUCAGAUAGAAAUUAGAUAUCAAACAUGGAAUGUUUUAUCCACUAGUAUACAACUCAUCACAGACAUGCAUACAGAGAAACAACAUCACUAUCACAUAUUCAGCUUUUGAAUAUGAGUAAUCUUUUCCCUGUCUUCCCUUCCUGGUUUCUGACAACGCUGUUUGAGUACAGGGCAGUUACAGAGAGUGGAGCAAUUCUUGAGUACCAAGUUUUUCUUUGAUGCCCAAUCAAUCAAUAAUAAUGGUAAUUUUUGUGGCAAACUAGUCCAUAAAUAAACCCAAUAGUCUAACAUUUGAAAACACUUGUAAAAGAAAAAAAGAAAUUGAUUUUACAGUAAAAUAUGACAUAUCUGCGAUUCAUUCCACCUAUAAUUAGAUUAUAACAAAGGGUGAUGCAUUAAAAUAAUCAAAUAAAGUCUCAUAAUUAAAAAAAAUAGAUAUAAUCAUUGAUAAUCAAAUUUAGGCUCUGAAUUAAAAAUUAAUAUAAUUAUUAGUACAUAUAAGUACUAAUUAAUACAAUUCCAAAUAAGCAGUCACUCCAUAACAGCAUUCUACAAUAAAAAGAAAACUGAUUAUUAAAGUUACAUUUAAAUAAAUUUUAGUCUCUAAUGUAAAUAAUUAUAUAAAAACUUUGACGAAACAUUCCACUAGUAAUUGUAAUGUUAUAAGGAGAAGGGAAUGAAUUGUUAUGAAACACAUUCGAAAGGAAAAGAAAUUAUAACCAUUCAAAUGCUUCCGUCUUCCGAACAAACAGCAUCACUACUCUAUGUACGUUUGAGCAAAAGACAAUUGCCUAUUUCAAUACGUCUGGGUAAGUGUUGGAGGUUGGGGAAGUAACAAAGACUCAGUCUUUUGAGAGAUGAGAGUUGAAGACCCUUCUAGUCCAGUUUUUCUACAUUUGGAUGGUUAGAGAUGCAAGAUAGAUUGGAAGCAAACCUUCAGGAAAACAUUCUGUAAGGAAAGAAGAUGAGAGAAGAAAGAGGAAGAAGACACUAUUCUCAUACCCAAGAAAGGGAUACAGUGAUGGUUCAACACUGAUGGAAAGAUCGUCUACUGCUAUUUAUAUAGACCGUCUAACUAACUCUAAUGCUAGUAUUCGAGUUAACCUCUCGAACUGAAGUCCUAGAAAGUCUUUUAUUGUCAGAUUCAGGAGAUUUGAUGGAAACGUCCAUCAGUUAAUGACUCAAGUCCUGGACAGUCUUCUAUUGUCAGAAAUAGGAAUUUGAGGGAAACCUCCGUCAGGGAACAACUCAAAUUCUGGACAACCUUGUAUUAUCAGAGUAUGUAGAUUUGAUCGGAAACCAUCCUCAGGAAAUGACUCAAGUCUUGGACAAUAUUCUAUUGUAAGCUCUUUUAAAUUUGAUGGGAAACCUCCAUUAGGAAACAACUUAAGUAUUGGACAGUAUCUAUUGUCAGCACUUCUAGAUUUGAUGGGAAACCUCCAUCAUGGAAUGACUCAAGUCCUGAACAGCCUUUUAUUAUUAGAGUAUGGAGAUUUGAUGGAAAACUUCCAUCAGGGAACAACUCAAGUCUUGGACAAUCAUUUAUUAUCAGAGUUUGGAGAUUUGAUGGAAAACCUUUGUUAGGGAACAACCCAAGUCUUGGACAACACUCUAUUGUCAAAGUCUGGAGAUUUGAUGGGAAACCUCCGUCAGGGAACGACUUAAGUCUUGGACAUGUUUGUAUCCAUAAUCUUCUGAGAGAUGGAAGCAGCAUAUGCAUGUUUCCAACCAAUGAUUCUAAUUUAGAACAAUUCAUGAGUGUCAGUUCUUCUAGAUGAUUAUGGAUGAGACCUUGUAAAAUCAUUUGUAAAUUACGAAACCCUCUGAGAUGAAGCGUCCUGAGUGUGGGAAGAAAUCUAGUGGAAAGGCCCAUAGAAAGACACAAUCAUCAUCACUGAUUGACUCCAGCGAUGAAUCAAUGUGCAAGUCUUCAAGAGUGUCGGACCUAACGAUUUCCAACAAUGAUGCUUCCAUUCUGAGCCUUUCCAUUGUAGCCCAAUCCAACUGCAGCUUUCCACAGUCAUGUAGUUCUAAAUCAAAAGCCCUAAGAGCGAAAGCCUCAAGUUGUUGACAACCUUUAAUUCGUAGUGUUUCCAAAGGAACAAGUUGCUCUGGUAGUUGUCCUUUCAAAUUGGGACAAUUUUUUACGGAAAGCUCUUGUAGACUUGGAAAAGCACCUCGUAGAGCGUGGCAGUCCCACUUUUCCCAUUGAAUCAUAUUGAUAAACACUAAUGUUUUAAGGAUUUGAACGAAGAAGAGUUGUUUCCAUGAAAAUCAGUGUCAAUACUCACUAUCCCAUCAAGUUUUAUAAUCUUCAAGACCUUGAGAAAUGAAAAAAAGUCCAAGAGGAGGUAAACGUUCACAAGAAUUCUCAUAUUCAACAAUGAGUUCUCAUGUAACCAAUUUGGAAAUCAUUUCCCACCAUAUCUAAUGAUUAACAACUUUUUUAGAUUCUGAAUUACGUCCUCUUCUUUUUUAAAACCAAUAGAAUUUCGAUUCCAACCCCAUCCCAACCUGAACGCCAGAAGGUGUGUUUUAUUCUUCAAAUCUGCUUCUAAUGCAUAGAGGGAAUUCUCAAUAUUCUGCAGCUCCCCAACAUUAAAAGAAUUCAUUACUACUUUAAGAUUCUUCAAUUUUCCCAAAUGCGGUGGCACCUUUCUCACAUUAGUCUCUAUAAAUUCAAGGCGACACAAAUUGGUGAGUAAAUACAAAUUUGAGGACAACUCCUCCAAAUCUCCACCGUAGUUCAACAUCAGUAUUUGCAAGUGGGAGAAAGAACAUAUCUUUUCGGUUAAUCUUUUUAUUGCAGUAUGGGAGAGGUCUAAGGAACGGAGAUGCUCAAGAUUGGCAACAAAGUCAAGUAAGUCUUGAAGGUAAGAACAAUGAGACAGAGAUAAGAUACGUAUUUACUUAAAUUGGAGAACAAUUCAUGUAUCAACAUAUUGAUACGUAUGCUACUUGUUGGUAUAAAUGUACGUAAUCUUUCUGUAUUACAUAAAGUUCCAAACCCAUUAAAAUAUUGAUUAUAUUCAAGUUCAACUGAAAAAUGAUGAGUUACUUUUUGUAUCUUUUCUGUUUGAUCAACUUCCCACCUGAAGUAUAUGCUUCCACUAACAUAUCUUGCCAAAUCAUUUAGAAGGUCAUGCAUGCAUGACAAAUACUUCUUCCUUUUCGCCGGAUUGUUGAAAGAAGGACCUUGAUAUUACAUCAUUGAAGUAUUGUUGGCAAACUUCUUCUGCAAUCUUACUAUGCUGACGACAAUGUAGGAAAUUUCCAGUCAUCCACAGUUGAAUCAAAUCCUCCUUUUUAAACUCAUAAUCCUAGGGGAAUAGGGCACAAUAAGCAAAACAAGCCUUCAAAUGGGAAGGAAGGUGGAUAUAGCACACUGCUAAAGAGGGAACAAUAUGACAACUAUCUUUUGAAAAUUCCCAUAUUUCGCUUUGUAACACAAUUUCCCAUUCUGAAACACAUGAUUUUUUGUAUAACACACUUCCCAUUGUUUUCAAGAUAAGAGGUAGUCCUUUACAUUUUUUAACAAUCUUCAUGCGAAUCUCCCUGCACUCUGGAUUUGGUUGACUAUCAUCAUCUCGGGAUGCAUGUUUAGCAAACAACUUCCAACAAUCAUCUUCCUAUAAUUGCUUUAGGGAGUGAUCUUUUGACUGCAUUGUAGAAGCAACAUCCUUACUACGUUUGGUAACAAGAAUCUUACUCCCUUGGGCCCCGAAAACAAGGGGCUUCUGCACUUCCUCCCAUUUAGGUUGCUUUUCAUUCCAAAUAUCAUCCAAAACAAGAAGAAAUUUCUUCCCCGACAAUUUUUCCUUCAAUCUUCUGUGAACCAUCUCCAGAUCUCUGCUAUCAUUAGUUGAUUUAGUAACAGCCUCAAGAAUUGCUCUUGAUAUCUUGAAAAUAUCAAAUUCAUCUGAAACACAAACCUAUGCUUUGACAAAAAAUUUAGCCUCAUUACCCUCGGGUCAAUGAAUACAUGUUGAGCAAGAAGGGUCUUACCGACUCCGUCCAUUCCCACAAUAGAAAGUAUUGAUGGCUGGUUAUGAUUGUUUUCGUCAGAUGUCACCCAGUGAAAGAUCAGUUCUUUAUCAUCAUCUCUGCCAUAAAUAUCAGUUCCAACAACCAAAGAUGUUGUUUGUGAUUUCUGUGGCAGUUCAUUACUCAACCCAUAUCCAACACCCGUAGCUGUUUUCAAUCGUAGAUCACCCCUUUGGCUUGAGAGAAAUUCUAAGUCGUCAAGGAUUUGUUCCAUCCUACACUCAAUUUCCUUGUUAAUAGGAGAAGAUUUGAAUAAAUUGAGUACCUUGCAAGUACAGCCCGAACAAGUUUGAGAUUCAGAUUCAGCAUCAAGUUGUCUUUUAGAGAGCUUUUGUAUAUCAUUCAAGAGAUCCUCUGCAUGAAGGACAACAUCUUUGACCUUAAGCAGCCAGUUUCUGACAUGAGGAUCCAUGAACUGCUUUAGCUCUGCAUCAUCAGCCAGAGAAUGGAUGGAGUGCAGCUUGGUUUCCAACUUGUUGAGCAGCUUUUGAUCAAGCUCUCUUGCAUGAAAGAAAUCGAGAAUUUGAAGAGAAGCUAGCUUCUUGAAUGCAACCUGAAGGGAAGUAGAAAGAAGAGCACCAACAACAAGUUCGAAUGGCAUUGAAUGGAUUCAAGUGCGGCUAGUUUAUGCCAAUGACUCAGGGCAAUGUAGUAAUGAAACGGCAAAAGCUGUAUUGUACUAUUUUCACUGAGCUUCAAGUUGAGGUAAAUAUGUUGAAUUUUUGUAUAAUAACUUAUGCAAAUUCAAUUUCCUUGCUUCAUCUUAGAAUUUUGUAACUGGGCUUACAUACCUAUUAAAGCUCACAUCAGGCCGAUGUUUAUAGUUGAUUAUAAAGUAUAAAUGUGUCUAAACAUAAAGGGAAAACACUUUUUUUUUUUUUUAGUUUUUCAAUUUCAAAAAUUAUGUUUUGUUCUUCUUUUCUCUCAUUUCUGAAUUGUCUUCCUCUUACCUUUUCUUUCGUGUUCUUUAUUCUUCAUCAAUGGAGAUCUAAUUCUUGAGGUUCAAUUUACAUAAUCAAAGCAUGUAAUGUGAAUGGAGUUUGCAUCAAUCUUUUAAUCCUCCGAGUUUGUUUCUCUUAUUUUCUCUGAUUUCAUAUUUGCACUUUAUUAUUGUAACUUUUGUUUUUAUUUUAGAAAUAAAAUUAGAAAUAACAAAAUCUUGAUUUGAUAAUUGUAUAUGAAUUAGACUGAAUGAUAUUUUGAUUUGAUUCUUAUUUCUAGUUUAAUAAUGUUUGUUCGAUUGAAUUAAUUAAUUAAUUGAUAUGGAUAAUUAUUCAACCUUCGAUAUGAGUCUUUUGACCAUUAUGAUAAAGAAUAUGAAUCUUGAAUUUAUAAAUUGACUUUUCAUUAUCUUCUAUUUUUGUUUUCCAAUUAGUUGCAUUUUUUAAUUUUGUUUUAAUUAAAAAAACCCAAAAGUUAAUUUGUAGAAGAAGAAUAUCAAAGAUUGAAUACAAUCUAUGUGUCCUCUAAUAAUCAACUUAGAUUGUGCUCAAUAUUACAAAAUUAUAAAAAAACUUAAGUUACUAUUAUUUCAAAACAACAUAAAAAAAAUCAAUGUAAUAAUUAAAAUUUAACAUGCAUGAAAAUGAGCAAUGGUUUCAAUUCUAAUUGCAUGUUGAAUUAUUGAAAUGUAUAAUAUCAAGUUGGAAAAUAGUGUUUGGUCAAUAAAGGGUAAUUUAAGUGUAGUGUUAAAUUAUUUAAAUGUAUAAUAUCAAGUUGGAAAAGGGUGUUUUGAUCAUAAAAGGGUAAUUUAAUGAAACUUGUCUACCUGAAUAAAUAAGAGUUAUGGAACUUACUAUUUCGUUUCAUAAUUUUGUUGGAUAUCAUUCUCCGUCAAACAAUUGACUCAUUCAUAAUAAAAUGAUUUUAUUCUGAAGACAUAAGUACAAUUUGAAGAUGGAUAGCGAUGGUGUGAAUAAAGAUGAAGAUUGACAUUGUAAUGGUUCUUUAUACAUAUAAUUUUUUGCAGAACAAAUACAUUUUAAUAGCUAACUAACUAAAGAUGUGUUGGGAAAUGCAUUAAAGACCCCAUUACUUAUCUUUAUUAUCAACAAUUUUAUAAAUAAUAAAAACUAUUUUAAAUAUCAAUAAUUUUUUAAUUUAUAAAAUAAUAUCUAAUUCGAUUAAUAUAAUAAUUAAUUAUUUUUUAUUUUUAAAAUUAGUUUUUAUUUAAUAAUUUUUUUAUAUAGGGAUGAUUAAAUUGUUAAGAAAGGUUAAUAGUAACUAUAAUAAACUAUAUGUAAUUGUUUGAGAUAAAAAAAAAAUAACACUUUGACUUGUUUUUCACUACUAAAUGUAAAAUCACAUAGCUUACAAUAAUACUACAUAUUUUUUGUUUUCUCUUAUAUUAUUAUGGAGCAAAGGCAUUGUUUUAGAUCAUGUAAGAAAUCAUUAUCGUAGACAUAUCAAGGAGUACAAUUUUUCUAACUACCUUGCUUAUAUGAUAAAAAAAAAAAGGCAUUCUCAAAGUCUUACCUAAAUUAUGAUAGUUUUAAAACGAGUCUCAAAUAUAAAGAGAAUGAGUUUCUAGAUAUAGACAUAUUUUGAAAGUUGAAUUUAAAAGAAGGUGUUCACAUUACUUGGCCAUAUAGUCAAUGAGUAGUGUCAUUGUUUUAUACAUAAUUCAAGGAAACAUCUUCCUAUGACUGAGAAAUUCAUUGUCUUAAUAUUUGUUUACAUCGUAUCAUAUGACUGAGAAAAGUAUUACACUGUUUUGAAAUUAGAUAAACUAAUGAAAUAAUUCAUACAACUAAUUGUUGUUUUGUCGAGGACGUAUACGACAUGCAGAAUGGAAGAUGGAAGUUGUUAUUUCGUAAUGUAAACUCACUUAAUUUCCAUAUAAAAAAGACCCAAAAGGACAAAAAGCUGAGACUAAGAAGAAAAAGUCAUGGCUUUAUACAGCACACCACCACCAUCACUGCAUUCUAUCCUCUCUAUAAAUAUCACUUCAUUUUGAGUUCUCCACAACAAUCACACUCAAACAACAACAACUUCAGAUCUUUCUUCUGAAAUGGCUUCUCAAGAGGGUGUCAUCGUGUUUCUUCCAUUCCUUCUUUCUGUAAUGUUGCUGCAUCAUCAUUUUCCCACUUCUGUCAUAAGGUAACAUUGCUACUCAUAUGUUUUAUGCUUUAUAGUAUGCUGUAAAAUUAUGCAGGUAGCAUUGUUUGUCAAAUGUUUUUCUGGUUUUUAAUGCAGUUUGUUGAGUUUUUUUAGUUGGAAGCUAGAUGUAGAAAGUGUAGGUUUUUUUACAACAGUUAAGAGUUGAGUUAAGAGUUGAGACAUUUUUAAAAUGUUUAUUUUUAAUUUAUUUAUUAUUGGAUGAUAAAAAAAGAAAAGGUUGUUAUUACCAAAAAAUUUGCAAGAACAUCACCAAAAAAAUAUUGGUAACUUGUGUAUUUUCUAUUUUUAAAUUCUUUGUUAAUAUGUUACAAUUUUUUUUAUACAGUGCUCAAAGUGAUAAUCUCACACUCCCAUUACUUUCUUCACCAGACACUCAAACUGAUAACGUAUUACUAAAUUCCGAUAUAAAUAUCCAAAUGUAAGUUGUUGUUACCUUUAACUUUAAAUAGUUAUUUUUUUAAGCAUAUAGCACAAUAAUUCAUAUAUUUAUUGUUGUUUUAUUUGAGUAUAAAAUAAUAUCCAAUAUAUAGAAUUUUAUUGAAUGAACAGUUUUUUAAAUGUAUUUAAGAAAAACAAAUGAUAGAAAGGGCAGGAAGAGGAUGAAUGAGAGAAACAAAUAAUAAUAAUAAGGAUAGUUAAUAGGACUUAAUUAAAUUGAUUUUUAUAUUCUUUAUAUUUACCAUCAACUUAAACUGAAAAUAAUUAAUUUUUAUAACUUUUAAUAGGAUUCAAAGUGAUUUUCACACUUCUCCAUCUCCACCACCAAGUGAAAUCCAGAUGAAUGUGUCAAGCAAUUCUAAUCUCAAAGUACAAAAGUGAGUUGUUAAUAACUUAAAAAUAUCAAUUAUAUAUUAAUUUUGUAUAAAACAAAUUAUUAACUCUUUGUUUAUUAACUCUUUGUUAGGACUCAAUCUCCAGCACCUCCAGCAAAACCACCAACUCAAACUGGGAGAAUUGGACCAAGCAAUUCUAAUUUAAAACAACAAAGGUAUGUUACUUAUAACUCAUGUAUCAAUUAUAUAUAUAUAUAUAUAUAUAUAAACUGAAUACUAACUUUUUUUUUAUAGGACUGAAAGUGAGUUUGAUAUUUCUCCAUCUCUACCACCAAGUGAAAUCCAGAAGAAUGUUCCAAGCAAUUCUAAUAUCAAAGUGCAAAAGUAUGUUUUUAAUAACUCAAAUAUCAAUUAUAUAUUAAUUUUGUAUAGAACAAAUUAUAUUGUUUUGUUAUUAGGACUCAAUCUCCUCCACCUCCAUCAAAACCACCAACUCAAACUACUGGCAAAAUUGCUUCAAGCAAUUCUAAUAUAAAUGUGCAAAGGUAUGUCACUAAUAACUCAAAUAUUAAUUAUAUAUAAAAAAAAUACUAACAUUUUUUUAAUAGGAUUAAUAGUGAUCCUCACAGUCCUCCAUCUUCAUCACCAACUCAAACUCAAAAGAAUGUGCCAAGCAGUUCUGAUAUUGAAGCACAGAAGUACGUUACUUAUAACUCAAAUAUAGAUUAUAUUAUUUUUUUUUAAAAUAAUUUCUUAUCAAACUAAUUAGUAGAAUUCAGUAGCUUUAUAAUUAAUGAGUAAUUAGUUUGUUUUUAAUUAAUUCAUUUCUAGAAUUCUAUGUAUAAUUUUUUAACACCUUGAUUAUAUAUAUAUAUAUAUAUAUAUAUAUAUAUAUAUAUAUAUAUCGAGACUAAUGUAUUGACAGUAAUAAUUUUAUUAUUGUCCACCCUAAUUAAAUAAAUAUUCUUUCUAAAGUUUACUUUUUGACAAUACCAAUUUUAUUUGAAUUGAAUUGUUUUUAAUUUAUUAUUUUUGUAAAAUUUAAUAAGAAAAUUCACACAUCUCUAAGUUUGUGGUUUUUAUUCUAUUUAUUUAUUUAUUUUAUUUAGCUGUCUCUCUCUAUUUGGACAUGCACACUUACUGUGGGUAAUAUAUUUUGUAAGAGAAUAACUUUUGUGUGAGAAGUAAAUUUAGUUUAUAGUAUAAGAAAUUAAGAGAGAAUAAAAAUACUAACGAGUUUUUUGUGGAUUUUUCAGGAGUGAAGAAUCUUUUUCAACUCACUUAGAGAUGGUCACAGGCCAUGAUGAUGAAAUUAUUCACACGGAGCUUUAAUUUGAGAGAAAUACAAUGUUACAAUAUUGUAUAAUAAUAUAGCAUUGCUUAUGAUUCAAUUCUACAAAUAAAAAUAGUUGUUUUGAUUCUAAAUGUUCAAUAACAUCAUUCUUAUCUAAAUGUAACAAUGUUUAUUCUUUUAUCGAAAAAUAAUUAAAUCAAUUAAAAUGAGCAUUUCAAGGAAGUUUCAAUCUUUAUACAAAACAGUUCUAACAAUUCUACAUACUACACUUAAACACUCUAGCGCUAAAAAUUAGAUAACUUAUAGCACUAGAAGAGAUUUCUUUCCACAUUACAAUGAAUCCUAUUGCGUUUCCCCUGAAGCGGUUGGGCGGUUUCCUAGGCGGUUACUUAUUUUUUAAUGUUGCCUAUUUAAUAGGCUUUUCUCUCUUUUGUAAAAGUAGAGCAAUAUAUACGAAAUGUAAGAUUCUGAGUUAUAUCCCCUUACGUGUCUCUUCUCUUGUUUUGUUUUCUUGCAUCUUAACAUGUAUUGUGUUUGCAUCUACACGUAUUAGUUUUUGUGCAGAGUUGCUGCCUUUCACACACAUUGUUCAUCUUUAAAUCUUUCAUGCCUCUACCAUGGAGAUAUUCCAAUAUGGUAUCAAAGAGGACUGAGACCCGCUCUAUUUUCGUUGUCCUUUAAUUUUUUCCCCUAUUUCUCUCUUCCUUCUAUCUUUUUGUUUCUUGUCUUUUGAUUUUUUGUUUUCAUGGAGAGCUCAUCAAAUGCCAACAGUGUUAACAAUCCUCAGAAUCCUUCUAGCCCCCAUUAUCUUCAUUCUGGAGAAAAACCAGGCAUGAUCUUGAUAAAUAUACAACUUAAUGGUGCAAAUUAUCAUACGUGGAGCAAGAUUAUGAAACGUGUUUUAUUGUCUAAGAAUAAAUUGAAGUUCAUUAACAGAUCUUUGGAUACGCCACAACAAGGAACAUCUCUCUAUGAAGCAAGGAGAAAAAAGUGUUUUUGGAUUUUUUUUACAGACCUGAAGAUCCUACGGGAGGAACUUGAGUCAUUAAAACCAACUCCAAAAUGCAUCUGUAAGGUAAAAUGUAACUGUUCUUUGAUGAAAAAUGUUAUCAAAUAUAAAGACUUGGAAUAUGUUAUCUAUUUUGUGAAGGGUUUUAAUGAUCUUUACGACAUGUUUAAGACUCGAAUUUUACUCAUGGAUCCCUUACCAAGCAUCAACGUGUGUUCUCCCUUGUUCAACAACAAGAAAGGCAAUUAACAGGGAGUGUAGUCUUUGACAAUAAAGUUCUGAUAAAUUCUGCAAACCAAAAUAAUUGGAAACAAGAUAGAGUCAUUGGAACCGGGUGGAAAUCACAAGGGAGAGGAAGAAGCCGAAAUCAGAAUUAUGGUAAGCAAUGUAGUUAUUGUCAUAAACUAAAUCACAUUUCUGAUGAAUGUUUUUUCAAAACAUGGAUUUCUCCAUGUUAUAAACACAAGAAUGAUCGAGCCAUUAACAAUAUUGUUUCACAAAGUUACGCUGCUACUGAAGAGAUUGAAGAUAUUGAUCAAGAAGGUCAUAAGCAUUCCCUUAGUCAAGAGAGUGUAUAGUUUUCACAAGUAUAGGUUCAACAAAUCUUGAAGAUUUUUCAAGAAUAAAAAAAUGAGUCUACUCAUAAGGUGAACAACUUCACUAGUGAGUUAUCUUAUCAUUUUCCUCCUCUUUUCAUUGGAUUGAUAUUAUUAGUUCAGAGUGAAAAAUGAUUAUAAUGUUUUGCUAAUAUUUUGACAUCAUUGUCAUCACAGAUUGCACGCUAUAGAGGUCAAGGGAGGAUUGCAGAGCCAGGAUUUCAGAAUCCUCGAUGGGUUGAUGGUGAACUCGUGAUACUAGAUNNNNNNNNNNNNNNNNNNNNNNNNNNNNNNNNNNNNNNNNNNNNNNNNNNNNNNNNNNNNNNNNNNNNNNNNNNNNNNNNNNNNNNNNNNNNNNNNNNNNUAUGAAAUUUAUGUUUUAAAACAAAAAUAUAUUAUUAUAUAAUUACAAAUUUAAAUAAUUAAAUUUUAUAUUAUUUUUAUUUAUUUUUUAAAAAAAUUAUAUGAUUUUUUAUUUGAAAAAACAUUUAAUUUAAAUAAGUUGAUCUAAUGAGUAUUAAUUAAAUUUAAUAUUUAUUUAAUUUUAAGAAUUUAAAUUUUAUUUCGUAAUUUGAAAUAAUAUUAUAUUAAAUUUAUUUUUUACACUUUUUAUUGUAUGUUAUGAAGUUUUUACAUAGUGUAUUUUUUUAUUUUAAUUUGUACUGUUAAAAGAUAUUUAAUUUAAAGUGCAUAAAAAUUUAAAUAGUUUUAACCCAAUAACUGCUAAAAAAAUACUACAAUAACCAGUGAUGUUUACAAGAUUGAAAAUAUCUAAUAAUAAUAAAUAUAUAAAAUAAAAUUGAAGAUGAUAAGAAAAUAAAUUGAAAAAUAGGGGAUCGCGGUGAAAUUAAAUAAGAUAAAAGUCACUUAGAAUAACCUAUGUAAAUUUAGGGAAUUAGGGUUUGCGUGGGUAAUCGGAGGCUGGAUUGGGGUUGAGCUUCGUGUCUCCUCCUUCUCCUCGCUUCGGUCUGCAAUUAGCGAGGUGCUGGACGACUUCUUCUCGUUUCGCGGAUUGGUGCAGUUGCGUCGCUUUCUCUUCUGUGGAGCGGUGCAGUUUCGUUCUGAUUGUUCCUGUUUGGCUUUGGUGUGAAAUUGCGUGGCUUUCUUUUGUGCAGCGGUGCUGUCAUGGUGAGUUUAUUUGCGUUGCUUUCUUUUGUGAAGCGGUGUUGUUCUGUUCGGUGUAGUCCUUGUGAGUUUAAUGUGUGGCUUUCUUUUGUGAAGCGGUGGUGUUCGGUGCAGUCCUUGUUAGUGUAGGGCGUUUUAUCCUUGCAUUCUGUUUGUGCGCUAGUUUGGAUUGGUUGCUUGUUAACAGUUGAGAAUUGGAUUGGUUGCUUGUUAAUACUUGAGAAUGAUGGAGGGUUUUACGGAUUUUCUUAUUUCAUGGAGUUGUUUCAUGGACUUAGUAUGUAAUAAGAGAGUGUAUGUUAUGUUUGGUUAAAGGAAGGAAGACAUUUGCUUAGGUUUUUAGAAAUAUAUGUGACAUUUCUUUGUUAGAAUUGAUGAGAAAGAUCAUUUGGUUGGUCUUGAGGAUUGCAAGGUUCAUCUACAUGGUCGGAUUAUUCAUUAGUGUAGAAAGGUUAAAAUAUGACAGUUAUUUUCAAUUUAUAACGGCAGUUAUAUAGUCGCAUUUGAUGUACACGUAAUCUUAAAUUCAAUACAUAAGAAGACGGUUAUUUAGUCGCAUUUGUAAAUGCGAUUUAUAAUUGUGGCUAUGGUAAAUAGCCGCAUUCUUACAUGCUUAUGAAUGAUUUUAAGAGGGAGGAGUAAUGCAUUUACGAAGACGAUUAUUUACCAUAGUCUCGUUUCUAAAUCGCAUUUACGAAUGCGACUAUGGUAAAUAGCCGCAUUUAUAAAUCUUUGCGCUGGAUUUAAGAAUGCGACUAUGGUAAAUAGCCAUUGUUGUAUAUGGUUGUUUUUUUUAGCACAAUAUGUUUAAUGUUUAUUUUCAUCUAAAUUAACAUGUUCAAUUAUAACUUAGCCAGACAAAUACAUAAAUUCAAAGAAUUAAUUUUUAUAUAUUGAUAAAAAUGUAUUACAAAUACUAAUAAUAGAUCUCUAUCUAUCUAAUUCCUACACUAUUCAUCAACUAACCCAGAGUUAUAAAAAUUUAGAAAAUAUGUUGACCAAGAAUGUCUCACAUGUUAUGGCUUUCGAAGACAUUGGUUGCUCAUCCGUGAAGAACUGCGUUACACAAUACGGACAUAAAUUAGUUUUAGGAUACAUAUAUGUUAAAGAAUUAUAAAAUAAUUUACCAUCAUGUUACCUCAUGCCAAUCACUUUUAAGGCUUAAUCUUACAAUAGUAACCAUUCAUUACAUAAUGUAAUAGCCACACUCAUAGCGUUCUGGUUGUUUAUUACACUAUAAUUCAAUACAAAGUAAAAGUUAAUAUUGAUAAACCAUGAAAAGGGAAAGACAAAUAUUACAAACCUUUAGUUUUAUCCCGUUCAAAUUUUGAAAAUUUGAAUUGAAUCAACCUUUUAAAAUGUUAUAUCAACGCCAUGAACUGAAUAAUACAAAAAAUCGCAUUAGUAGAUGCUUAAUUAGUAACAUACGGAGUUAAGUUUAUAGUGUACUUACCUAUCAAUGAUAUUCUUCAGACUUGUGGAUGACUUAUUGUGUAGGGAACAAAACCAUACAUCAGUCUUUUCAACCAUUGAUAAGACAAGUAACUGCCAAUGACCCCUAUAUCAUCCAUGAAAAGAGUUAAUAAAUAUUUAAAACAUGAAAUAAAAAUAAUUGACGACUUAUAAUUAAACUUACUCAUUAGUAUAAGGGCAUAAAUAAUUUUUUUCCCUCUUUUUCCAAGGUGUUAGUGAUGUAUGAUUGAGUUUCAUUUGUCUUUGUUCCAGUGGGAUUAGUAUAUCCGGGAUCUAAGAAUCCAUACACAUUUUCCUUCCCCUCAUGGAUAAAGACUUCAUUAAAAAAAACCUACAAGUUAUUAGUUAAAGCAUAAUCAAUAAUAAUUUAACAAAAAAUAAAUUGAAAUAUAGGUAAAGAUACUUAAAAAAAUGAAUUAUAUUUAUAGUGAGCUUCUGAUUCUUAGCUACAAAUUCUAACAAAUCGGACAUGUAUAUGUAUAGUGGCAUGUCAGUGUUUAUUUCAAAAAACGUAUCAUCCCACAGAACUUCCAAGGGGUCUUGACUAAUUUGUCCAGCAAUUAGAAGUUCAGAUUGCUAUGGUUGCUGAGUUUUAUGGAGUUAUACAUGCUAUGGAGGAAACUCAAAAGAUGGAACUUACUAAUGUUUGGCUUGAAUGUGAUUUUGCCUCGGUUUGUGUUGUGUUUACUGCUAGAACUAAUGUUCCAUGGACACUUCAUAAUCGCUGGAAUACUUGUCUUAAUUACUUUGGGAAAAUUAGGUUUAGGGUUACUCAUAUUUUCGUGAAGGGAAUGCGUGUGCUGAUAAGUUGGCUAAUUUAGGUUACUCAUAGAGAAUCAUUUCAUUGGUAUAAUAGGCUUCCAUCUAGUCUGUUCUUAGAAUUCUUUACGAAUAGGUAUAGUCUAUCUAUGUAUCGUUUUUGUUAACAUGUGGGUUUUGGUCUAGUCCCCCCAUAUUUUUUUUGUAUUUUCUUUCUUUUUCUUUUUUUAAUAAUACUUUUUUAUGUGAGGGCAAAUGAUUCUUGUAACUUGAGGUGUCAGCUUAACUGAGAUGUCAAGUUGCAUAAUGAUGUCUAACAUGAAAGCUUUUAUAUAUAAAAAAAAUAUGUUUACCACCGUAAAAAUAUCUUUAGAGACAACAGUUUUAAAACAAUCUUAAACGACAGUUUAAAAAUCGUAGUCCAUGUAGACAUUAUAAGAAUUUUUUUAAAUAAAAACCGGUUUUAGAGAGAAAAAAAUAAUUAGUCACUAUAUUAACUAAAUUAGAUAUUAUUUUAGAAACUAAAAAAAAUUAUUGCUAUCUGAAGUAGAUUCUAAAUUUAUAAACUAAUUUCUAAUUGAUAUCUAAUUAGCUACCAAGGUUUUAACUACCAACUACUUCAGUUUCUAAAAUUGGUAACUAAAACUUUGGUAGUUAAUUAGAUAUCGAUUAGUUAAUUAGAUUCUAAAAUUGGUAGCUAAAACCAAUUUUAAAUUUGUUCUUGUAAAAAUGAUUUAGACAACGAUUUUUAAAGAUCUUAGACGACGAUUUUAGAGUCAUAGUUAGUGCACAUGUUGUUUAUAGUUUUGAAUUAUAGAAGACGGUCACACAAUUGUAGUUUAUUAGACAAUGAUAGGAAAAUAUUAUGUACAAAAUUGUCUAUAGCGUAGAUGACCCUAAAAUAUUUUCUUCAGUUUUGUUCUUAUUUUUCUUUUUGUUAUUGUUGAUAUCCCAACAAUUGGUAUCAUCACUAGGGACAAGAAAAGAAAGUUAAGAAAAUAAAGAAAUGACCACCAAGUUUGAUAUUGAUAAAUUUUCGAGAGAGAACGACUUUGGGAUGUGAAAACUCAAGAUGGGGGACAAAGCUUGUUGUAAAUGAACAAAGGUUGUGAGGAGCUCAAAAGCUUCAACGGUAAAGCAUAACAACGACGCUGAGGAGAACACAAACAAUAAUUUCAAACUUGGGAGCACACUCGUUCAACAUUGAAAAUGAAGAAAAACCCAUAAAGAAAACCCCAAAAGUAUGAAAAACAACAUAAAAAUAAUAAUAAAGAAGACAUAUUACAAGAAAUGAGAACAACAACAAGAAAAAGUUGUAGAAAAAACAACAGGACCAUCAAAGAAGAAAGUGCGAAGACAAAAAGGCCUCGAGUAAAAAGUUAAAAACAUAUAGACAACAAUUAUGACCUAAUAAUCAUAGUUUAUAUGGUAGACACAUGUAUAGACAACGGUUUUCUAAAAACCAUAAUCUAUAAUAACAAUUAUAGGCGACGGUUCUCCUUAUUUGCAAAUUCAUGUUUUCUUUUCAAGUUUGGUUAAGUUGUCAUAAGUUUGACUAAAAUUGAAAGUUUGAUUAACAUUCAAUUUAGUUGAUGUCGAUUAUAAUUUUUCUAUUAAUAUUAAUAAGAUUUAUUUUUACGAUUUAAGUUGUUAAUUUUUUUAUUAUUGUAAAUUAUUAUUAUUUCUUGUUAAAUAUUAGUUAGAAUUUUCUUAAAUUGUUUCAUUUUAAGAAUGUGAAAUUGUUAAAUAUUAGUUAGAGUUUUCUUAAAUUGUUUCAUUUUAAGAAUGUGAAACAAAUAAGUUUUAUUAUAAUUAACAUAAAUGCUUUUUUUUCCUUUCAAUACUUCCUAGGAUGUCUUUUCUAAUGUUAAUUGGAAAAUUUUCAUUGUUUUUUUCCGAAUAUAAAUUGGAAAAACUCAUGAGUCAAUUGAUAAAAAAAAUAGACAAAAAAUCUCAGCUGUAAAAAUAAUUUUGAUCACUAAUAAUUAUAAUACAAACUAUAAACAAUCUCGGUUAACGGUAAUUGAAUUUUUUUAAACAUUAAAUCAAAAACUAUCAUGAACUUUGACAGAAAAAUAACAUAAAAAGUAAACUAAAAAAAUUAUCAAUAAUGACAUUUUUAAUCUUUAAAAAAUUAAAUAAUUUUUUAAAUUUAGUGUUAAUUGCAAACACUUUAUUUAAAAUUAAAAUUAAAUUUAAAUAUUCUUAUCCAAACUAAAUAUUUAAAAAAUAAAACAAUUCAAAUUCAACCUAUUUGAGUGUCGUAAAAAUCCUUAAGUUUUCUAUCCAAAGAUAAGGUUAAAAUAAUAAUAAUAAUAAUAAUAAAUUAUUUUUUCCAAAAUGAAAAGCUUUACUUUUUUCUGUUUGAUUAAUACAUUUCCCCUUAGGAGAAAUAGGAUUGAGCCAAAAAUGAUUGCCAAUCAUUGAUACCAUUUGUUUGGACAUGGUUUUGCCACUAUAAAUAGGCUGGUUCAGUUUCUCUUAACUCAAACAAGAAAACCAUAAGAAAAAGCAAUGGCCUUUCAAAGACUAGCUUCCAUCAUACUUCUCUUAUCCCUUUUCACCAUCUCUUACUCACACCGUGACAAUGGCGGAAUUGCUGUGUACUGGGGCCAAGACGCGCGAGAAGGUGAUUUGGUAACCGCAUGUAACAGUGGAAAGUACAAGAUUGUACUCCUUGCUUUCCUCAACAAGUUCGGUGCAGGGAGAACCCCAGAAUGGAACUUCGCCGGUCACUGCGACAAUGGUGCCUGGAAAAAGUGCACCGAACUAGAGCCCGAAAUAAAACAGUGCCAGGUAUAUAAUCUCAUCUAAUUUGCAGUUUUAUAAGAUUUUUAGGUUAAUAUUCAACCCUAAAUAUUUUUCUAAUUGUUUUGUGUAAUGGUUACAGGCGAGAGGCAUCAGAGUUCUCCUUUCAAUCGGAGGAGCCCCUGACUAUUCAAGCUACUUGCUGAGCUCGCCGGAGGACGCAAAGGAGGUGGCCAACUACCUCUACGAAAACUUCCUCAGUGGCCAAUAUGGUCCACUGGGAAGCGUCACGUUGGACGGAAUCGACUUCGACAUCGAAGUGACGGAGGAUUACUGGGACGACCUUGCCAGGGAACUCGACUUCUUCCGACGAACGACGGGGCGUUACUUUUACUUGUCCGCCGCCCCUCAGUGCCCAAUCCCAGUCUACUAUCUCGGCAAAGCUAUCGCCACCAAACUCUUCGACUACAUCUUCGUUCAGUUCUACAACAACCCUAGUUGCUCCUACGUCAGUGGCACCAACGCCCUCUUGAACUCCUGGGACAAGUGGGUCGACUUGGUCCCCUCCAACAACUCGCUCUUCGUGGGCCUGCCAGCGGCGCCCAGCGCCGGCAACGGUUACAUUCCGGCGGAGGUGAUGAACGGCCGGGUGCUUCCGCACGCGAAGAAAGCCUCGAAUUACGAGGGAGUGAUGCUGUGGGAUAGAUACCGCGAUGUUCAGAAUGGUUACAGUGAUAAGAUACAUUCGAAUGUGAUUAAGUCGAAGUUGCCGGCGUCUGUGGAGUCAGUUACCGACGCAAUUUACCAGUCCGUGUAUAAGGCGUUGCGCCGCGUCUUCGUUUAAGAGGUAGUUGAAAAGUACUACCUAGGCAUGUACUAUCUCUACUGAAUAAAUAACAUGUCAGCUGCAGCGUUUGCCUUUGCCAAAAUAAAAAUCUAUUUUCACAAUCCACAUUAAUAUUAUUUUACUCAACAAUUUAAUUAAAUAAUUUGAGUUAAUAUUUUAUUAAUCACUUGUGCAAAUGUAAGUUUCGUUCAUCUUUCUUAUUCGAAUGUAAAAUAACCACACUUGUUUAGCAUUUUUGUGUAGUUAAUAUAUGAAAUUGUUAAGGGAAGUAAGAGAAAAUGUGAAAUGUUAAAAAAAAAAUAUUUUUGAAAAUUAUAUACUCAAAUGCAUCAUUUUACAAUUUUUUAAACUUUCUACACCUUUUCACAUAAAUCCACAUUUUAAUAAAAAAUUAUUUUUCUUUCUAAUUUUACCAUUUAUAGUUUAAGGAAUUCAGUGUUGGAUGUGAAAAAAAAUUUUGGUGCUCAGUGGCGAAUUUUUCAUUUAAAGGCAAAUUCUUUCAGGACUUCCGGACCUUCUCCCUGUAUUUUUUUUUUUAUAUGGUACUUUUUUUUUUUUACUUUUUUUCAUUUUUUUAAGUCAAAAAAUUUAGAAAAGAUUAUGAAAAAAAUAUAAAACUAAACAAAAUUAUCGUUUAAAUAAUGGAACUAUUUUCUUAAACAUUAACUAAACAAGAAUAAAAAUGAUGUGAAUUGAAAGAAGGUAUGAAAUGCGAUAACGUAGGUGUUCUGACCAACUUAAGGUCGGUCAGAAUCUAAAUGAGCUCCUUGUGGUCUCUCUUCAAAAGCUUUUUGAAAACGAGAGGAGCUCCUCCUACGAUGACACUCGACUCUCAAAUCAGUAAGAGCAUAAAUAUAAUAAGUAUAAUAUGAAAUAGGAGUUGAGAGUACUCAUCAUGUUGUUUAUUAAAUGUUUAGAUGAUGUGUUCAUUUCUGUAGAGCAUAAUGAGAUAUUGGAGGAGAUUAUUUAAAAAAUUAGAUUAUACUUUACUAUUUGAGACCAUUUUAAACAAGAUAAAACCGAUUAGAGAAUUUGUCUCAUUCAAAUACCAUACUUUUCUUUUCUUUUUGUCUUUUUUUUCAAAAACGAUCAUGUUAGAAUUCUAUCUUCUCAAAGCUAUAUUGUAUAACCUCUACUUGGUUGCAGUGUCACCGAAAAAUCAACCGAUUCAUAUUUUUAUUUUUUCUGUUUUUGCUUUGAAAAAUAAAGGAAAGAAGAAAAAGGUUGAAAAUAAAAGAUAAAAAUUAAUGAAUCUAAAUGAAGUAUUUUGAGGAUUUUUUUUGAAAUAAAAGUGUUUUAAUUUAAAAAUUUAAUAAAAAUAAAAUUGAAUUAGGUAAUUAUAUUUAGAAAGUGUGUAGGAUAUAAUUAUUAAACAAGAACAAAUUUAGAUAAAUAAAUACGUAUAAUAGAUAUAUUUUAAAGAAAUUUAAAUUAGAAAAAUUUGUAAAUAAGAAAAAUUUUAUGGAAAAAAAAAGAAAGUAACGGAAAGUGUGUGAUAUAAUUAAAUUUAUUUAUGUGUAAAAAUAUAUAUUAAUUUUUAAAAAUAAGUCUAUGUAAUAUAUUAAUUUUGAGAAAUAAAUAUUUGGAUAAAAGAUUAGUUACUAGUACACAUAUUUAAGCAAAUUAAAAAAAUGUAAAUAAGAAAAAAUUGUGAUGAAGAAGAGGCACUAAAAAAAAUUAUUUUACGGGGAUUAUUUAUCCAGGAUUAUAUAAACUUCAACAAUUUAUUUGACUAGCAGAGGUUUUUUUUUAACCCCAUUAAAAUCUAAAGGUUUAUUACAUAACCUUGAGGAAUUAUGUUAGGUUUUGUGAAACUCCAUGAAAUAAAUUCAAUUAAUUAAUUUAAUAUAUAUUUUAGUAAAUUUUAUUUUUUUUCCUGCAGACUCGUAAUUUCUCUAGAAAAAACUCCUGAUUUUCUCAAUUUUCCUCUAAACACAUAAUUUAUCCUUUAUCUCUCACCUCACCGCAUCGCACUGUAUAGCACCGCAUAGCACCACCGCAGCACCACCGCUCACCACCGCAGCACCACCGUACUGUCAAACAUUUUCGGAAUAACUUUGGAAGCUUUUUCCACCAUUGGUCCACCGCCGAACCGAUUCCUUUGUUCAAAGUGUGUUUCGAUUACUUCGACUUAUUUAUUUCAUAUACUCUUGCUGAAUUUUGUCGUCUUCAGUGGUGAUUUUUGUUUUUUUUUCUUAAUUUUCUCAAUCUAUAAUCAAAUUUGGAUUCUCUUUAUUAAACGAGAUAGAACGAUUGGAGUGAGAGAGGUUGGUGAUCUUUGUACAAUAAAAAGCAUUUAUUGUGAAAUUUUACAUUCUAAUAGUGAAUGUAAAACAAGAUACCAGUUGAAUGAAUAAAAAAUUAAAGUUAAAGCAUAUGAUUGUAUAUGCAAGAACACAUUCAUCUCUGUAUAUGCUCUACAUUCUGGAAGGUUUUAUUAUUUAUUUCUUUUUAUGGAUGCAUUUUAAUCCCGUAAGGCAUUGUUUUGUCAACUCUCACAUGAAAGAACUGUUGAUUUUGGCUUAAUCCCAAGUCUCAUAUUGGUGGGUUCAUUGUUAGGGAAGGAGGUUUGAGGGUUAUAAAUUAAACUCUCCUUCUUCACUGUUAUAUAUCCCAAUUUGUAAUAUCUUUUCCCAUAAUAAUAAAAGUGAGCUAUUUUUGCUGUGCUCGAAGAUUAGGCUAAAUUGGCCGAACUCCGUUAACAAUCUUCUGGUGUGUUUUCCUCUUUAUCUCUUUUAUUAUUCUGCUCUGUUUAUUCAAUAUUAUUUGUCGGGUAACUCUGUUAGGGUUCUGUUUUAGAGGGGAAAUUACCCGUUUUUCCCAACAAGUGGUAUCAGAGCCGAAGGUUCGCCUUGGGUUGUUUGAAAUUAUUUGUAAUAUUGAAUAUUAUAUUUUGAGUUUGUAAUGACAAAUCAAGAAGAAGAAGCGAAGGAUGUAUCCAGAGUGUCGGGCUCCUCGUCAUCAUGGUCGAGGUUCCCGGUGUCCACUUUGAAAUUGGCGGUGGGAAUAUUUGAUGGCACUGGACAUUUUGGUAUGUGGCAAGGAGAGGUCUUGGACUCUCUUUUUCAGCAGGGUCUUGAUAUUGCUAUUGAAGGAGAGAAACCAGAAGAGGUAGAGGAGAAAGACUGGAGCAUCAUCAACCGGUUGGCAUGCGGAACUAUUCGGUCCUACUUGUCCAGAGAGCAGAAGUAUGCUGUAAAAAACGAGACUUCUGCACACAAACUGUGGAAGGCAUUGGAGGACAAGUUUUUGAAGAAGAGUGGUCAAAACAAGCUCCUAAUGAAGAGAAGGUUGUUCCGAUUUGACUACCAACAAGGUACUACUAUGAAUGCACACAUCACUAUGUUUAAUCAAUUAGUAGCAGACCUGUUGAAUUUAGAUGUGAAGUUUGAGGAUGAGGAUUUGGCUUUGAUGUUGUUAUCUUCUCUUCCUGGUGAAUUUGAACAUUUGGAGACUACGCUCCUUCACGGGAAGGAGAAUGUGUCGUUAGAUGUUGUUUGUUCUGCUUUAUAUAGUCAUGAAUUGAGAAAGCAGAAUAAGAUGAAAACCAAAUCAACGACAUAAGAAGAAGCAUUGGUGGCAAGAGGUCGUCAGCAAAGCCAAACAAAGAGGAGAAGAGGGAGGUCUAAGUCUAAAGGUCGAGCCGUUGCCAAAGAUGAGUGUGCUUUUUGUCAUGAGAAAGGACAUUGGAAGAAAGACCCAAAACUGCAGAAGAAAGGGAAGAUUCCGCAAGAUGCAAAUGUUGCAGAAUGCAAAAGUGAUGUGGAAUCAGAUAUCUCUUUAAUUGUCUCGCUUUCAGCGUCAUCGUAUCUAUCAUAUGUGUCCCAUUCAAGAAUGGUUCUUUGAAUUUCAAGAACUUGAUGGCGGGAUUGUUUACAUGGGUAAUGAUAAUCCAUGUAAGACAGCUGGGAUAGGUUCAAUCAAGUUGCGAAAUCAUGAUGGAUCCACCAGAAUUUUGCGGGAUGUACGGUACGUGCCAAAGUUGAAGAAGAAUCUCAUCUCAUUGGGGACUUUAGAAUCUAAAGGCCUAGUUGUGACGAUGCGAGAUGAAAUUUUUAAAGCAACUUCAGGAGCAUUGGUGAUGUUGAAAGGCGUGAGGAAGAACAAUCUAUAUUACUAUCAAGGUAGUACAGUGGUGGGGACAGUAGCGGUAGCAACUUCUAGCACUAAGAAGGAUGUCGAGGCAACGAAGUUGUGGCAUAUGAGGUUGGGACAUGCUGGAGAGAAAUCCUUGCAAAUUCUUACCAAGCAGGGACUGUUGAAAGGUACGAAGGCUUGCAAACUUGAAUUUUGUGAGCAUUGUGUUAUGGGAAAAUAACGAAGAGUGAAGUUUGGCACUGCAAUUCACAAUACCAAGGGUAUUUUGGAUUAUGUGCAUUCAGAUGUGUGGGGACCUGCCAAGACUCCGUUAAUCGGAGGUAGGCAUUAUUUUGUCACUUUUGUGGAUGAUUUUUCCAGGAAAGUUUGGGUGUUUACUAUGAAGAACAAAAAUGAUGUGCUUGAAAUUUCCUUAAGUGGAAAGCUCAAGUUGNNNNNNNNNNNNNNNNNNNNNNNNNNNNNNNNNNNNNNNNNNNNNNNNNNNNNNNNNNNNNNNNNNNNNNNNNNNNNNNNNNNNNNNNNNNNNNNNNNNNNNNNNNNNNNNNNNNNNNNNNNNNNNNNNNNNNNNNNNNNNNNNNNNNNNNNNNNNNNNNNNNNNNNNNNNNNNNNNNNNNNNNNNNNNNNNNNNNNNNNNNNNNNNNNNNNNNNNNNNNNNNNNNNNNNNNNNNNNNNNCUCAACAUCUCGUCAAUUGUUUGCCAUCAUCUGCUAUAGAUGGUAAAACCCCGUUAGAGGUAUGGUCUGGAAAACCUGCAACUGAUUAUGAUUCUUUGCAUGUUUUUGGUUCUAUUGCAUAUUAUCAUGUGAUUGAAUCAAAGUUGGAUCCACGGACAAAGAAGACUCUUUUCAUGGACUUUAGUCCUGGAGUGAAGGGAUACUGUUUGUGGUGUCUAGAGGCAAAGAAGACGAUUAUCAGCAGGGAUGUUACCUUUGAUGAAUCUUCCAUGUUAAAGAAGGUAAAUCCAGAAGGAGCUGAUAGUACUCCACAACAGGUGGAGUGUGCCCGGAAGCAGGUGGAGUUUGAGCCGACAGUGGUGAUCCCAACACGAAAUACCACAAGUGACUCUCCUAUGGCAGAAGAAGAGUCAGAUGAGGAAGAGGUUCCUACCCAAGAAUCUCAACAACAAUCAGCGCCAAUUGCAGUUAGAAGAUAGAGACGAGAUAUUCAAAAGCCUGUUCGUUUCAUGGAUAUGGUUGCCUAUGCACUUCCAGUUGUUGAUGACAUUCCAUCCACUUACCCAGAAGCCAUUUUGAGUUCACAGAGUGGUAAUUUGGCAGGUGCGAUGGAAGAGGAGAUGCAGUCUUUGAAGAAGAACAAGACGUGGAAGCUGGCACAAUUACCAAAAGGUAAGAAGGCAAUCGGGUGCAAAUGGAUAUUUGCAAAGAAAGAAGGAUUUCCUAAUAAAGAAGAUGUUUGCUACAAGGCAAGGUUGGNNNNNNNNNNNNNNNNNNNNNNNNNNNNNNNNNNNNNNNNNNNNNNNNNNNNNNNNNNNNNNNNNNNNNNNNNNNNNNNNNNNNNNNNNNNNNNNNNNNNNNNNNNNNNNNNNNNNNNNNNNNNNNNNNNNNNNNNNNNNNNNNNNNNNNNNNNNNNNNNNNNNNNNNNNNNNNNNNNNNNNNNNNNNNNNNNNNNNNNNNNNNNNNNNNNNNNNNNNNNNNNNNNNNNNNNNNNNNNNNNNNNNNNNNNNNNNNNNNNNNNNNNNNNNNNNNNNNNNNNNNNNNNNNNNNNNNNNNNNNNNNNNNNNNNNNNNNNNNNNNNNNNNNNNNNNNNNNNNNNNNNNNNNNNNNNNNNNNNNNNNNNNNNNNNNNNNNNNNNNNNNNNNNNNNNNNNNNNNNNNNNNNNNNNNNNNNNNNNNNNNNNNNNNNNNNNNNNNNNNNNNNNNNNNNNNNNNNNNNNNNNNNNNNNNNNNNNNNNNNNNNNNNNNNNNNNNNNNNNNNNNNNNNNNNNNNNNNNNNNNNNNNNNNNNNNNNNNNNNNNNNNNNNNNNNNNNNNNNNNNNNNGAAGGUACUACAACGUUUUGGUAUACACGAAUACAAAACCUGUAAGUAGCCCACUUGCUCCUCAUUUGAAAUUGAGUAGUCGUUUAUCUCCGACGACUGAUGAAGAACGAGAAUACAUGGCAAAAGUCCCAUAUGCAAAUGCAGUUGGAAGCUUGAUGUAUGCAAUGAUGUGUAAAAGACCAGAUAUUUCAUAGGCUGUGAGUGUUGUUAGCAGGUACAUGCAUGAUCCGAGCAAGGGUCAUUGGCAAGCUGUGAGAUGGAUUCUACGGUACCUCCAAAAUACCUUAGAUGUUGGAUUGACAUUUGAGCAAGAUGAAUCACUUGGUCAAUGCAUAGUUGGAUAUUGUGAAGUUGGUGCCUGGAGGCGCAAAUUUGAAGCACUGCAAAGUUUGUUUUUGUUAUGUUUUGAGAAGAUUUGUUUUAGGUGGGACUUGAAAUUAAGCCAAGGUGGAGAUUUGUUGAUUUUGGCUUAAUCCCAAGUCCCACAUCGGUGGGUUCAUUGUUAGGGAAGGAGGUUUGAGGGUUAUAAAUUAAACUCUCCUCCUUCACUGUUAUAUAUCCCAAUUUGUAAUAUCUUCUCUCAUAAUAAUAAAAGUGAGUUGUUUUUGUUGUGCUCAGAGAUUAGGCUAAAUUGGCCGAACUCCGUUAACAAUCUUCUGGUGUGUUUUUUCCUCUUUAUCUCUUUUAUUAUUUCGCUAUGUUUAUUCAAUACUAUUUGUCGGGUAGCUCUGUUAGGGUUCUGUUUUAGAGGGGAAAUUACCCGUUUUUCCCAACAAGAACUGCUAGGAUUUGGUCCAUGGACAGGAUGCAACCCUUAAGAUGACGUUGAUGUAAGUUAUUGCAUUCAAUAUUCUUUCUUGCUUCUGUUUUUUUAAAAUUUUGUUUUUUUGGGAUCUAUAUAUGUCACUAGCUUAUUUAAUUUUAUAAUUAUGUAUCGAUUGCUUGGGAUUCAUAUACCAGUGAUUUAAUUAAACUAAUUUUUUCUUUAUGUUGCAAUGCUCCCAUUUAUCUUGAGAAUUUAAAUGUAAUUGUGGAAAGUAUUUUUGAUUAAAAAAAUUAAUAAAUUUAAUCCACGUUAAUUUUGGAAAUUUGAAAUUUAAAAGAAACGGUGGAAAGUAAUAUUAUUGGAAGCAAUUUAGAAAUCGUUAGAAGUAAUUGGAUUUGAAAAUUGUCAGAAAUACAGUUUGAAAGUCGCUGGAAAUAUUAGGAGUUUGAAAACUGUCGAAAAUAUCAAGAGUUUGAAAACUGUCAUGACUCGGUCUCGUUAAUCGAGCAGACCGAGAUCUCCGCGGACGGUCAGGCCGACUGACACAUUUAAUCCAUUAACGUUCAACUCAAGGUAAGUGAAGCUAAACUACCAUUAAGAAUUAGGUAAUACAACCAUAAGUGUGAUCUAUUCCACUAAUCAUAAUAAAAUAAAAUUUAUUAUGUGAAGUGUUCUUAAAAUAAAAUUAAAUGAUCAUAAUAAAAUAAAAUUUUAUUAUGCGAAAUGUUCUUAAAAUAAAAUUAAAUGAUCAUAAUAAAAUAAAAUUUUAUUAUGUGAAAUGUUUUUGUUAAAAAUUAGUUUUAAGUGAUAUAAAAUUAAAAAUGAUAAUUUAAAAUUAGUAAAAUAAAAUAAUUAAUUUGAAUGGUAGUUGUUGGAGAUCCCACAUCGACUAGAGAUAAUAACAUUUCAUUAUAUAUAAGUGUAGUAAAAUAGGCUUUAAAACGAACAAAAAGGUUUCCCGAGGCGUGAGUAAUCACUGUCCGUAAGGACUUAUCCGCGGUGUAUUCCGCAAGUCCCCCAGGAUACAACAGGAACUUCCCGGUAAUUUCCGAGGAUCAGAACUAGCAAGUUUCUCUUCUAAAAGAGUAAUAUCAAAUAGAACCCAGAAUAUUAUAAUAUUAAAAUAAAGAGGAAAGAGAAAUUAAAAAGGGAAAAAUUGGGGAAAGGAAGAAGAUGAUGAAUCGGAGGAAGAAGAUGAAGUAGUGAGAGUGAGAGAUGCAUUUCUGAAGAGGGUGGAGCUCUCUUAUAUAGGGAGAGGAUCCAAGAAUCCGUUCCAACUUCCAAACCCACGUGUUUCCGUCCAACCUUGCAACUGCGGCGGCAACGUUCUAAAAUCCCGAAGGACCAGGCACAGCGUGCGCGGAAGCGGAGCAACGUUCUUCAACUUUCGAAGGGCAAGGUAGUGCUUUCCCGGUCAUGCGGCCAUGAUCCAGGGUGGAGAGGGCCACGAAUGCGAAGAUCUCGGUAAGUUCCAGUUUCUACUGCACUUCCGAGAUCUCCUCCAACGGAAUCAAAAAGCUAGGGUUUUCCACGCACAAACCAUUUCCGUUUCACACACUCUGUUUUUCGUUUUUGUUUUGCUAUAUUAGGUUCUGUUUUACAACAAUCCCCCACAUAUUGCAAAAGAUAAAACAUAGAGAUAGAGAAAGAAAAGAAUAUUCUGGGUUCAUCUAAGAUGUAAUGCAUCAGAUCUGGUAUAGCAAGCUAUAUGAACCAGUCUUAGAUUGAUGAACGUAACACAUAGUGUAGUUGGUAUAGCAAGCUAUAUGAACCAAGACACUUAGUAUGUGUUAGAGGUUUAUCAGUCACAAUACACCCCCACAUUACUUGCUGUUAUGCUGUGUUGCGCUAAUAGGCCAUGCGCGUGCCCGGUAUUCAUGAGUGCUCUAGAGAUCUUNNNNNNNNNNNNNNNNNNNNNNNNNNNNNNNNNNNNNNNNNNNNNNNNNNNNNNNNNNNNNNNNNNNNNNNNNNNNNNNNNNNNNNNNNNNNNNNNNNNNNNNNNNNNNNNNNNNNNNNNNNNNNNNNNNNNNNNNNNNNNNNNNNNNNNNNNNNNNNNNNNNNNNNNNNNNNNNNNNNNNNNNNNNNNNNNNNNNNNNNNNNNNNNNNNNNNNNNNNNNNNNNNNNNNNNNNNNNNNNNNNNNNNNNNNNNNNNNNNNNNNNNNNNNNNNNNNNNNNNNNNNNNNNNNNNNNNNNNNNNNNNNNNNNNNNNNNNNNNNNNNNNNNNNNNNNNNNNNNNNNNNNNNNNNNNNNNNNNNNNNNNNNNNNNNNNNNNNNNNNNNNNNNNNNNNNNNNNNNNNNNNNNNNNNNNNNNNNNNNNNNNNNNNNNNNNNNNNNNNNNNNNNNNNNNNNNNNNNNNNNNNNNNNNNNNNNNNNNNNNNNNNNNNNNNNNNNNNNNNNNNNNNNNNNNNNNNNNNNNNNNNNNNNNNNNNNNNNNNNNNNNNNNNNNNNNNNNNNNNNNNNNNNNNNNNNNNNNNNNNNNNNNNNNNNNNNNNNNNNNNNNNNNNNNNNNNNNNNNNNNNNNNNNNNNNNNNNNNNNNNNNNNNNNNNNNNNNNNNNNNNNNNNNNNNNNNNNNNNNNNNNNNNNNNNNNNNNNNNNNNNNNNNNNNNNNNNNNNNNNNNNNNNNNNNNNNNNNNNNNNNNNNNNNNNNNNNNNNNNNNNNNNNNNNNNNNNNNNNNNNNNNNNNNNNNNNNNNNNNNNNNNNNNNNNNNNNNNNNNNNNNNNNNNNNNNNNNNNNNNNNNNNNNNNNNNNNNNNNNNNNNNNNNNNNNNNNNNNNNNNNNNNNNNNNNNNNNNNNNNNNNNNNNNNNNNNNNNNNNNNNNNNNNNNNNNNNNNNNNNNNNNNNNNNNNNNNNNNNNNNNNNNNNNNNNNNNNNNNNNNNNNNNNNNNNNNNNNNNNNNNNNNNNNNNNNNNNNNNNNNNNNNNNNNNNNNNNNNNNNNNNNNNNNNNNNNNNNNNNNNNNNNNNNNNNNNNNNNNNNNNAACCAAACUUCUUUAGAAGUUUCUCAGUGUAUUUUUCUUGGGAUAGUAAUAUACUAUCUCCCUUCCUUAUGAUUUUAACUCCUAGAAUCACACUUGCUUCACCCAUGUCUUUCAUCUCAAACUUAGAUCCAAGAAAUAAUUUUGUUUUAAAAACUAUAUCAUUGCAUGUACCAAAAAUUAGCAUGUCAUCCACAUACAAACAUAUAAUGACAUAUUCACCAUUCUCAGAUCUAGAAUACACACAUUUAUCAGCAUCAUUGGUAGAAAAACCUUCACAAAGUAAAACAUUAUCAAGUUUUUCAUGCCAUUGUUUUGGUGCUUGUUUCAAACCAUACAAAGAUUUUAAAAGUUUGCAUACUUUUUCCUUUUGACCUAGGACUACACAACCUUCAGGUUGAGUCAUAUAAAUUUCCUCUUCUAAUUCACCAUUCAGAAAAGCUGUUUUAACAUCCAUUUGGUGAAUUACUAACUUAUGGAUAGAUGCUAAGGCUAGCAAUACACGAAUAGAGGAAAUCCUAGUAACAGGUGCAAAAGUAUCAAAGUAAUCUAUGUUAUGUUUUUGAGUAAACCCUUUAGCAACUAAUCUUGCCUUAUAUUUCUCUAUGGAUCCAUCAGGAUGAUACUUCUUCUUAAAGAUCCACUUACAACCAAUGGGUUUUGCUCCUUUAGGCAGAUCUACUAAGGUCCACGUAUUAUUUUUCUUAAUUGAUUCAAGCUCUGUUUUAAUGGCCUUAUCCCAAUGUUUAGCAUCAGGAGCACUAGUAGCUUCUACAAAACUUAUUGGAUCAUUCUCAACUAGAUAAGUAUAAAAGUCAUUUCCAAAAGAUGUUUCCUUUCUCUGUCUUUUACUUCUUCUAACAUCCUCACUCAAGGUAUCACUAACACUAUCUAUAGGUUGUUCAGAUGUACCACUACUCUUUAGCGGAAAGAUGUGUUCAAAGAACUCAGCGUUUUUUGUCUCUACUAUAGUGUUGCGUUCAAUUAUGUCACUAUUAAGAACUAGAAACCUAUAGGCAGCACUAUGUUCUGCAUAUCCUAAGAACAUACAAUCAGAUGUUUUAGAGCCUAUUUUCCUUUUCUUAGGAUCAGGUAACAUCACUUUAGCUAAACUCCCCCACACUCUUAGGUAUUUCAAAUUAGGUUGAUAACCUUUCCACAAUUCAUAGGGUGUUUUACCAGUUUUCCUAUGUGGUAUCCUAUUUUGUAAAAAACACGCAGUAAGCAGAGAUUCACCCCAUAAGUUAUCAGGAGCAUUAGAACUAAUAAGCAUGACAUUCAUCAUUUCUUUAAGAGUCAUAUUUUUCCUUUCAGCUACUCCAUUAGACUCAGGUGAAUAUGGUGGGGUUACUUCAUGAAUAAUACCUUCUUUUACACAAUAGUCAUUAAAUAAAACAUAUUCACCACCUCUAUCUGAUCUAAUUCUCUUAAUUUUCUUAUUAAGUUGAUUUUCUACUUCCGCUUUGUAAGUUAAAAACAUGUCAAAAGCUUCAUCCUUAUGUUUAAUUAAAUACACUUUGGUGUAUCUAGAAAAAUCAUCUAUAAAGGUUACAAAAUAAUUUUUACCACCUCUAGACAUGGUUUGUUUUAAAUCAGCAAGGUCGGUAUGAAUUAAACCAAGAAUUUCAGUUUGACGUUCUACAGAGUGACAUGUUUUCUUCGUUAUUUUGGAUUCUACGCAUACAUCACAUUUACUACUUUCUUUGUCAUGCAUGUUGAUUAAUCCUAGUCGUUGCAAUUUUAUAACAUACGAAGAAUUCACAUGUCCUAAUCUAGCAUGCCAUAUAUCAUACGAGUCAACAAUAUAAGCAGAAGAUGUAGAUUCAUUCAUAAUUUCAGAAAUGUUUAAUACAAAAAGGCCUUGAUCACAAUAUCCCUUUCCCACAAAAACAUUGUUUUUUGUCAUAACAAUCUUAUCAGAUUCAAAUGACACUUUAACCCCAACUUUGCUUAGUAAUGCCACAGAGACCAAAUUAACUCUAAUUGAUGGUACAUGUAGCACAUCAUUCAAAGCUAGAGUUUUACCAGAUGUGAGCUUCAGAAGAACUUUUCCUUUUCCUAGGACAAAAGUUGUCCUGGAGUCACCGAGAUAUACUUGUUCUUCUCCAUCCCCCACACUUGUGUAGGAGGUGAACACAUUUCUGUUUGCACAGAUGUGUUUGGUAGCCCCAGAGUCUACCACCCAUUUGCUCACAUUUGUCACAAGGUUUACUUGUGAAACGACUGCCACAAUAGUAUCUUCCCCUUCGGCUAGAUUUGCCUUAGGAGGAUAGUCGUUUUUAGNNNNNNNNNNNNNNNNNNNNNNNNNNNNNNNNNNNNNNNNNNNNNNNNNNNNNNNNNNNNNNNNNNNNNNNNNNNNNNNNNNNNNNNNNNNNNNNNNNNNUUCCACAGACAAAGCAAUUACCCUUUUUCUUGAAAGUGGGGUUAGUUCCACUGGGACGAGAGAAUUUGUUAUUAGGUUUCUUUUUGUGAUCAAAUUUUUUCUCGUACCUUUUUGGAGCUGGUUUGUCUUCUAUCACGUUUGCUUUGGCAGACAAAGCUUUGGCCUUUGCAGCAGCGCACUCCUUCCUGUUUGUGUCUUCAAUGAUGAUGUGGGUGAUCAAAUCUGAUAGAGACAUUUGUUUCUGUCUGUGCUUCAGUUGUUGUUUGUAAUCCGUCCAAGAUUGCGGAAGCUUUUCGAUCAAAAGUUCAGACACGAAUUCAUCUGGCAAUUUUAUGCUUUCAGUUUUGAUAUCUUCUAUCAGCUUGUGAUAUUCGUUUAUUUGGAUUUUGAUGUCUUUGCCUUCGAUCAUCUCCCAGCGGUAGUAUUUUGCAAUUACGAACCUUUGUCUGACGAUGUCUUCGGCAGUAUAUUUGAGGAUAAGAGAAUCCCAAAUAUCUUUCGCAUUCUUAUAAGAAGCAUAAACAUCGAACAGAUCGUUAGAUAACACACUGAGUAAAGUGUGACGACAUACCUUAUUCGCAUGGAUCCAGUCGUCAACUUGUUUCGCAGCCGUGGUUGAGUCGGGUUUGGCAGUUGNNNNNNNNNNNNNNNNNNNNNNNNNNNNNNNNNNNNNNNNNNNNNNNNNNNNNNNNNNNNNNNNNNNNNNNNNNNNNNNNNNNNNNNNNNNNNNNNNNNNNNNNNNNNNNNNNNNNNNNNNNNNNNNNNNNNNNNNNNNNNNNNNNNNNNNNNNNNNNNNNNNNNNNNNNNNNNNNNNNNNNNNNNNNNNNNNNNNNNNNNNNNNNNNNNNNNNNNNNNNNNNNNNNNNNNNNNNNNNNNNNNNNNNNNNNNNNNNNNNNNNNNNNNNNNNNNNNNNNNNNNNNNNNNNNNNNNNNNNNNNNNNNNNNNNNNNNNNNNNNNNNNNNNNNNNNNNNNNNNNNNNNNNNNNNNNNNNNNNNNNNNNNNNNNNNNNNNNNNNNNNNNNNNNNNNNNNNNNNNNNNNNNNNNNNNNNNNNNNNNNNNNNNNNNNNNNNNNNNNNNNNNNNNNNNNNNNNNNNNNNNNNNNNNNNNNNNNNNNNNNNNNNNNNNNNNNNNNNNNNNNNNNNNNNNUGAAGAGGGUGGAGCUCUCUUAUAUAGGGAGAGGAUCCAAGAAUCCUUUCCAACUUCCAAACCCACGUGUUUCCGUCCAACCUUGCAACUGCGGCGGCAACGUUCUAAAAUCCCGAAGGACCAGGCACAGCGUGCGCGGAAGCGGAGCAACGUUCUUCAACUUUCGAAGGGCAAGGUAGUGCUUUCCCGGUCAUGCGGCCACGAUCCAGGGUGGAGAGGGCCACGAGUGCGAAGAUCUCGGUAAGUUCCAGUUUCUACUGCACUUCCGAGAUCUCCUCCAACGGAAUCAAAAAGCUAGGGUUUUCCACGCACAAACCAUUUCCGUUUCACACACUCUAUUUUUCGUUUUUGUUUUGCUAUAUUAGGUUCUGUUUUACAACAAUAAGUGGGUGCAAACCUCACCUCAUGAGUCGGUUUUAUGGGGUUGAGUUAGGCUUAGAGUCCACUUCUCAUAGUUGAGCUUAUCCUAGCGAGUGUUUGUUGGCCUUAUCAGGUUACCCGCUAUCGGGCCGUUAUCGGACCACCCAUAACAUAUAUCUCUCUCCACGCACGAGUUGGUAGGCUCGUAAAUAGAAAAUAUGGUAUUUUAGAAACUUCUUGAAAAAUACUUUUUUUAUUGGUUAAAAAUUAUAUAAAACAGGAGAAGGGAAAAUUCUCUCCCCACAUGGUACCUUAUCCUUUAGCUCCAUAUUAAGUAUGAAAAAUCGACUUUAAUUCAAAAAUUUAAAAUAAUCAUAAAUUCUUUAACAGUCGAAACACUUCCAUUCUUAUUCAACUGAAGUGUUUGAAAUGAAACUUUUAUCAUUUAAGCGUGUGUGAGAGAGUUGGCGAAAAGAUUUGUCGUAAUAUAUGUUUCUCAUUGCGAAAAUAUUUUUUUUUUAGUUUGUACUCAUUCUUGCACCUCGCUAGUUUUUUUUUCUAGAUUUUGUAGCUUCUAAAAAAAUGAAAAAAAAUAAGCCAACAAAAACAUAACCGGCCACCAGUAUAAACACGACAAAAUUUAUCUCAACCACCAACUAAUAACCAAUUACUAUAAACAACCACCACCAUACUCAAAAGGUAUUAUUGAAAUUUUUUUUAAAACAAAUAUAAAGGUGUAAGGAGAAUUUGUCAUUUUUAAAUAGAAUGUAAGACCGUUAAAUUUUAUAAAUAAUAAUAUGACUAAAAUAUUUAAAUAGACUGUAAGACCCGUGAAAUUUUAUAAAUAAGAAUAUGACUAAAAUGUUGUAUUAAAUAUUGCAACUAUGAGAAAGAAAAGGAAAGAGAGAAUAAAAGUAAGAAAAUAAUAUUUUAUUUUUUUGAUUUAUUUGGAACGUGAUUUCAAUGUUAUGCAAAUAUUUAUUUUAUAAUUUUCUCUUUCAAUAAAAAUAGAUGAAAACAUAUUUUGAAACUUGAAUUUCGUAAAUGAGAUGAUGAGGAAAACUUCUAGAGCAGUUUAAAAGAAGAACGUGUUCACAUUACUUCGCCAUAUAUGUUCAAUCAAUUUCAUUCUUUUAUACAAAAUUCAACAUAUGAGUUUAAACAUGAGAAAAUAAUAAAACUUAGACUCAUUAAACCCAUAUAAUAAAAAUGAAUAAAGAGAGGAAUGGUUACCAACAGUUUAUUUAUUUGGCUUUCAGCUUGAAAAUCUGUAUUCUCACAACAAAUUGCCCUUUUUAUAUAUUUGUUUACAUCAUUUGACCGAGAAACGUAUGUUUAAAUAUACAUGUCAAAGUGCAUCAAAUUGUUCAGUCACACAAAUAAUUACAUAUUCUUUGUGAAAGUAAAGAGGAGUUUCCAUAGUAUUCCACUAUUGUGGCGUAUACGACAUGCAGCGACAUGACACCAGUGCAGAAAAGGGAUUUUACUCUGGUUCUAGGAGCAUUUUGUACUGGUCAUAUAAUCGGUGUAGAUGUGAGUGUUGUAAAAUGUCAAUUAUAUAUAACACUCACUGCUUAACCGGUGUUAUAUUUACCCAUAUUACAUCUGUUGGCUCUAAUAACCGGUGUAAUGGGAUCUCUGGAGUACAUUUUUAUUUAAUUGAGCCCCCAAUCAUAAAUAAAAAAAGAGCACAUGAUGUGUAGCAUUUAACGCAAUUAGAGAACAAAAAUCAGAACGAUACAAACCUUUGUAUAUGGUCCCUUCACGUCCAUACUUCUUGGUAGUUGGCUUUGGAACAUGCUGGGAAGGGGAAACUCAACAAUCGCUUUAUGUUGAGCACCUGAUUUUAGAUUCACCAUUGAUAAUUUAAAAAAAAACAGUUACACAGUGAGUUAAAGACGUGAAGUGUAAGAGAAAAAAAAUAGAAAAAAGUUAUCUCUCUCGUUAACAAAAACAUGUCCAUCGAAGAACUGAGCAAAAUCGAAAACAUCAUGAGGGGAAUUAAACUCUAUAUAGGCUCAGGAAUGCCUCUAACGCUUGUUGUUGCAAAUACGGUUAGGGUUUUGUUAGGAAAAAGUCGAGGAAGGAAGGAAUAGCGUUUGAAUAGAUUGAGAGGAACCCGGUAUUGUUGGGUCUGAAAGAGAACCAAUUGUAAUAUAUGAAAUUACAAAUUAAAACUACAAUUAAAAUUACAAAUUAAAAACUCACCUUGGAGCGUGAACUGAGGCGAUGUGGAUGCGGAACGAGUGCAAUGUGGUGCAACUAUGGAGGUACAUUGACAGAAGGAUUGGUGGCAACGAAGAGGAAGAACAAUGGUACUGAAGAGGAAGAGUGGUGGUCGCGAACGUAUUGAAGGACCAGUGACCGCGAAGAGGAAGGAAAUAUUUGAAGGGGUGGUGGCAACGGAGAGGAGAUAAACAAAGUUGGGGACAACGGUGGAGGAAGAAAAAUGGAGGCACACGAAGGUGGAAGAUCAAUGAAAACGAAGGUGGAAGUUGCCGUGGAAGACAAAGCAACAAAAUGAAGGCAAAGAGUAGAGUAGCGCAAAUGAGUAGUGAGGCGUGAGCAUGAAAAUAGGUUAAAAGAAAUUAUAUUACACCGGUGUAAUAUAUAUAUAUAUAUAUAUAUAUAUAUAUAUAUAUAUAUAUAUUUACUCAAAAAUUGUAUAUAACACCGGUUAUACAAGGCAACUGGUGUUAUAUGUUUGGUUUAAUAGUGCCAAAGUUCAAGAGGGGGGGGGGGGGUGAAUUGACCUUUUAAAACUUUUGCGCAGAUUCAUAUUUUAUCACAGUACACAAAAAAUAAAUCGAUUUAUUUAGCAAUGAACAAAUUUAUUUUUACACUGUUUAUGUAUUAAAAACGUUUAUAUCAACCAAGUACUUCUUGAAGUUAUGCAGAUUAAUUUGCAACCCACACACACUGAUUUUAACGAGAAAACUAUGAAAAGUAAAAUCAGUGACCUUCAACUUUUAAAGCAAGAGAUAAAAGUUCAAUUACAAGCUUGACAAUUAAUUGGGUAACCUUCCACAAUCAAACUGUUCCAGUAGCAUUCAACAGUUCAUAUAUCAUUUUAACAUAACGAACAAGCCCAAAAGGAACAUAUUUAUUUGUAAUUGAACAGAUUCAAUUUCUGACAGAUUAACAAAUAAAGCAAUAAACGAGUGCAGGGAUGAAGAGAAAUUGAACACACAACAAUUAUACUGGUUCACUCAAAUGAGCUACAUCCAGUCUCACCUAAUCCAAGGUGAAAUCCACUAAACAAACGUAUCAAACACACUUACACAGCCACUGUUCUUGAACCCUACAAGAAACUUGGCACACAAGCUGAAAAACACUAUUCCAUCACACACACUCUUCAAGAAACACUAUCAAGAAGAGUUUACAACCACACUUUACAAGAAAUUAAAAUAUGAAACGAAUACACCUGAUAGAGAAUGCAGAAAUCUGCCUUAGACCAGUAGAACAAAUUGCUCACACAGUGACAGCACCUCUAACCAAGCCUUAGAACCAACCAAGAACAAGCACACUUUGUGAUUUGGAAAAUCUUUCAAGAACACAUGCUAAUUCUCUGAAAAUCCUUAGUUCUCUGUUGUAAAACUUGUUUUCUCAAUUGUAUGAUCAAUUUUUAAACGCAUGAACAAGCUCUCCUUUUAUAGAAAAACAUCUUAUAAAAUAUUUUCAAAAAAUAGUUAAAGUUGUUAUAAAAAGAACAGAUUGAAAAUAAAAUGAACAGAUUUAUUUUCAAAGACAGUUAGAGAAUCAGUUAUGUGAAGGAGACUUAGUCAAACACCCUGGUGCAAGGAUAAAACGCAAAAAGCCUUUUAAGGUAAACAUGCCACCAGACUAAAAAGAAUCUAUUCAUUUACAGAUGAACAAAUUUAUUUUCAAAACGAUAACAAAAACUUCUUAACAAGUGAAACACAGUCGUUUUGAUGCAAUGAAGACUUAGUCAAAAAACAUUAUGCAUAAAACCUAAUUUUCAAAUGUACUUUAUCAAAGCAUCAGUUUAAGAAAAGAAUGAUAGUUGUCGUUUUGUUGUCAAAUUAAUAUGAUUCUAGCGUAGACUUGUCUAACACUAGAGAGAUGAUAGUAUAGUUGUGGUCAGAUGACCCCAAGUCGUCUCCCAACGAAUCUAAUAGUAAAAUCAGUUGAUCAGGGAUUAAAAUCUAUCUGCAAACAAUAAAAGUUAGCAAUAACAAUAAAGAUAAAAAGGGGGUUUGAGAUAGUUGUGCAGAAAAUAUAAAAGAGAUUGAAAUAACAAAUAAAAAGUGGUUGAUCCCCAAGUUCUUCCACCAUUGAAUUCUUCACAGGUUCUCUAAAGAUUAAUCUUUUCUCAAUCCUCCAAUAGAGCUAAACCAGAUUGAACAUGCGCCAAUCUUAUUCAACUGAAACUCACUAGUAAAACAUGUGUUUAUUGGUUUAAUCAAUACCCACUUUGUUCCAUGCGUAUACUCCAUGGGAAUGCUUACCUCCUCUCUCUUGAAUCAUGCGCCCGAUAAAUUAAUUAGAACAAUGCGAACUAACUAAGAAACCAAAGUUAAAGAUAAGGAAGACUCUCAAUCAUGCGUUCAAGUACAACCUUUCACAAAAACCAGUUUUCCAGGAGAUUAGACAAUAAAAACAACUGCUAUAGAGAAUUAAAAAUCGAAACUUUUAUUGAACAAAACCUCAGAACUCAAUGGAAAAUUACAAAGGAAUCAACCAAAAAGGUUUAGCCUUCCAUGCGGAGGCAAAACAAAAGAAUUACUAAGAAGAAAAUAAACUAAGAAAACCCUAUGAAGCUCCCUCUUUUCUCCUUGAUGCUUGUGUCCUUUUAUAGGGCUUUUCUGCUCCAAGGAUCUUGGUGAAAAUAUUGCAGUUUAGAUUUUGUAAACAGUUUCCACUUUCCAUAAUUCUUUUUAUUUUGCAGAAAAUUUGCUUCCAAUUAUGUUUCUAGAAUCUUGUAGCUUUUAUUUUCUAUUUCUUCUCCUCAUAAUUUGUUUUCUGUUUUGAUUCAAAGAAGCAACUUGGACUUUUGCAUGUUUGGCCCAUUCACAAAGGUAGAUGCUUAAGAUAAUUUACCAUAAAAGCACAAAAUUAACAAUAAUAAUAUAUAAGGCCCAAAUAAACCCAAUUAUAAGAAUAUUAAUUAAAAUGAUGGAUUUAUUUAUUAUUAUAGUCUAAUAAUCUAUGAUUAAGGCUAUUGUGUGUGAAUAAAUAUAUGUUCAUCAAAGAAUCUAUUCAUUUAGAAAAGAACAUAUUCAUUUUUUUUUAUGUAGUGAGGAUAUUUUUGCAAAACAUGUGAAAAACAGUUUCAGAAAACUUGUGCUUGCUCUUAUCACAUGGUAUGGGGUUAAAAGGUGAGUUACCUAGCAAAAAGCCUACUCUAAACUAUACCUAAGACAUUCUUAAAGCAAAAGUAAAUACAAAUGGAAUUUACACAAAUGACUUCAUCAAACACAUGUCUUGAAGGGGAAGCAACCAUCUUCAACAUUAUAUACCUUUUUUUAAAACUUAUAAAUCUUUUUUUCCUCUGGGGCACUACAUAUUACAUCAGUUGAGUUAUCCAAUCGGUGUAAUAUAUGUUGCUAACAACAACAAAAAGUUUUAAAAAAAUGUAACUAUUACAACAGUAUAUUACACCAAUUGGGCUAUCCAACGAGUGUAAUAUGUACCAAAUAUUUACAAAACUACCACCGUGUUUUUAUUUACACUAGUUCUCGUUUAACCAGCCUAAAAUGUCUUUUUUUGUACUAGUGAGGAAUUUGUUAGUCAUGAGGUCAACUCACUUAAUUUUGAGUUAUGGUAUUCUAAAAGGAAAAAAGUUGAAACAAAAAACAGACUAAAGAGCAACCCAAAGUAUUGUUCACCAAUGCCACUUGAUGUGAAACAGAAACGCACACACAUAGAAGAUCAUGAGUACAUGUAAGAGUACAUCCACAACGAUUUUUAUUAAAGCCCACAAAUUUAACUCUAACAAGCUAUUUGACAAUAAGGUUUAAAUCAUAUUUAGACACAAGACCUACCAAUUUGUAUAUGUUGUAACCUUAAACCGAUGUCCCACGAUAUGAAAGCUCUUUAGAAAUGAAGUUUUAAUUGCAUUAUGUUGUAAAAUAAUCAUUUUGUAGAUUGAAUCCCAACAAAAACAUAAGUCCCCUAUGGAGUUUUGAAGAAUUCUCUUUAGACUCUAAUGUGCAACCUUAACCCUGUUCCUUGUUGUGUUGCCUAAGUGCAUCAUCUUAUUCGUCCAUGCCUUCAUAAAUUUUUCUUUAUGUUGACAGCGUCGUUUCCUCGACCGGCGAUCAUAUUGCCCUUUGCAUAUUCGACGACCACCGACUACACAGUGGGGGUCGUCGUUCCUCAACCGGCGAUCAUAUUGACAGCGCCGCUUCACCGACCGGUGAUCAUCUUUGACUUUACAUACCUUCGACGACCACCGACUACGCAGCAUAGGGAUCGUCGUUCCCUCGACCGGCGAUCAUGUUGCCCUUUGCAUAUUCGACGACCACCGACUAUCAAUCGGCGAUCAUGUUGACAGCGCCGCUUCAUCGACCGGCGAUCAUGUUGACUUUGCAUACCUUCAACGACCACCGACUACGCAGACAUGGAGAUCAUCUUCUCAUGAACCGGCGAUCAUGUUUACCUUAUAUAACUUCGACGACCACCGACUCCAUGUCUGCGUAGUCGGUGGUCGCCGAAGGUAUGCAAAGUUCAACAUGAACGCCGGUUGAUGAAGUGACGUUCACCUUAGGUCUCCAUGAUCGCGAUCGAUGAAGCGGUGAUCUCCAUUUGUGUAGUCGGUGGUCGCCGAAGUAUUGUAGAGGUCAACAAGAUCGCUGGUCGAGGGAGCGGCGUUCUCCAUAUGUGGGUAGUCGCGUGGCGAGGUGAAAGUAUGUGGCUUGGGUCCUGGGAGGUUCGGUAUAGUUGAGAGUUGCUUUGAGGUAACAUGAUGGUUAUAUUUUUUGGGUAUGGUUUUCUCUCUUUAAGGUUGUUCUGCUGCAACCAUAAAGGAGAGCUUCUUUUGUGGAUGAUGUAGGAAGUCCACUAGUGACUACUGUAUAUGGGUUGGGAUACCUCUGAAGUAUCCCCUUAAUUCUAUUUAUUCAUUGCUGAUAAAAAAAAAAAAGUAAAAAAAUAUAGGUCAUGGAGAACAAACAACUUCAAAAACAUUCAGAUGAUCUUCAAAGGAGUCUACAAUAUCACAAUCCACAAUAGAUCCCCAAGCUUGCAUUACUUGACCUCGCGCGUCUCUUGGAUACACCAACAUUUUACAUUUUGCUUUGACAUUUUUAUUGAUGUGAAAUUGACACAGCAAAUUAUAAGCUUCAGGAAACAAAAUUUUUAUUUCAUUCAUUUUUUGAACAAGGUGCUUUGAUGUCUCUAAAUCCAAGAGGAAUGCUUGAAGAUCUUUGCUGCUGGUUUUUUGUGUGUGUUUAAUAGUCUUUGAUUUGUUAAUCCACUCUUUAUGAUGACCCAAGGUUAAUUGAAUCCUAAUCCCUUUGAAAAACAUGAGUUUUCUAAAGAGUGUGAAAUUUCAACCUAUUGGAAUGUCGAUUCAACCGGUUGUUUUACACUUAGUGGAUUUUGAAAAGGAUUUGAAAAGCUUGACUUUGUUUUGACUUUGUUGUCAAACCAAUUCAACCGGUUGUUUCGAGAAUUAAACUGGUUGUUUUUCUGAAAACCUUAACAAAAUUUUGUUAAGAGACUUUAAUUUGUUUUAAUUAUUCAAACUGCUUUUGGUUCUUGAAUUAAAUGCUUUGACCAUAUGAUUGAAGUGUAAAAGGGUUGUUUUACGCUCCUGGUCAUUAACUAAGAAAGAGAGAUCAAUUAAAAUAAGUUUUCAGGAUUUCAAAGAGCUUUUGGAUCAUCUCAAAGUGUGGAAUAUGAUCGUCUUGUAUUUCUGGAUUGUAAUCUUUGAUUUUAUCCAAAUGUAUUCUAUUCCCUUCUGUGUGAAUUGGUGUGAUGCAGUUUCAGAGGGUUGUUCUGAAAACUGUGUGGUGUGUUUUCUUGAAGGGUUCAAGAUAAUCACUUUGGUGUGUGUUGUGUAAUCUAGGUUUGAUUACAUAGUGAAUUCUCAGUGGUUAGCUGAGGACUGGAUGUAGCUCUUGGUUAAGAGUGAACUAGUAUAAACAUCUUGUGUGAAUCUCUCUAUCCUUACACUCAUUAAACUGUUUUAUAUUUGAUUUUCAAUUCUGCUGGUAUAAAUAAUCGGUUGUUUCGCAAAAACAAUUGGUUGAUUUUAUGGAAUCAAACUAAAAACAGUUUUCUCUUUUGUUGAACAGUUUUCUAAUUGAUUAAUUCUUCAUAGUCUUUCACUCUACCUUCAAUACUUGCGAAAAUCUUUCAAAAACAAUUCACCCCCUCUUGUUUAAGGCCUCUAAUUCUAACAUCAUUAAGAUAACAUCUCUAUCACAUACCACGACCCUAGGGUAUCCAUUAACUAUAAAAAAAACCCUUUAAGUAUGUCAAUGGCCCACACAAAGUUAUUUUCCUUUUCAGUUGCUAGUAAACAAAAUGCAAUAGAAAAUGUCAACCUCGUUUAUGUAAUUCCAACAAUCUCAAGUAACGACAUCCUGUACCUGUUAGUUUUGUAUGUAUACUAUCCAUUAAUAUGACAAUGUUAAAUGAAUUCACUAGUUUCACUGAAUCUAGGUGUGUCCAAAAUAUAUCUUGCACAACAUUUGACAACUCUUCAAACUUACACCAAUGCACAUACAUUUCUCACUCCAGUAACAUCAUCAAUUGUUGCAUUUUUAUCCUGUACCUCGUUGUGAUCUUUGAUGAACAUUCAUUGCAUUAUAAUCUUGCUUUAUCAUUGUCACAUUCUUCUCAUUUCUCUCUUUCAUGGUUAGUAAAAUAUUUCUUGGCUUUACUGAAGUCUUUGUCAUAUCCUCAACCAUAUCCUUUUCAUCAACACUUAACCUUCCAGCGUACAAAUGACCCAAGUCAUGAUUGUGAGAUCCACAAAUUAAUUUCACCAUCCACCCUUCACCACAAAUUAAUCUAUGUCUUUUUCAUAUUGUCUGUAUUUGCCUCCUCUCUCACAACCUAAUAAUACGUACAUCAUCCUUCCUUGUUGCCCAAUCCAUGUAUCUGACCUUAAUAUAACAAUAAAAAAUUCAUAACUAUAGGCAACACUUCUCACCCACUCCAAGAGCCCAUUUUGAUUAUUAAAUACCUACAAUAACAUAUGACAAAUUUAUAUAUCAUUCAUAAAAUACACUUCACACACUUGUGUAUCUCCCCGAUACCUGACCUGACAUAACCUUAUCUGGCAAAAACUUUCUCAAUUUCUUGCUAAGCCUGCAAUUGCUCACUAUAAAGGAGCUUUAAGUCUUGGUUUAUUUUUCUCUUUCAACACUUCUGCUAAGUUAAAAGCCUUUUGUUAUAGUGAUUGGAGCACCUAUAGUGAUUCAAGACUAUUAGUUACUGGUUUUAGUGUGUAACUUGAGAAUUCCCUCAUAUCCUGAAAAUCAAAGAAGCAAGGAACAAUAUCAAAGAGUUCUUGUGAAGCUGAAUAAAGGACAAUGACCACAAUUACAUGUGAAAUUCAAUGACUAACUACCUUGAUGGUUGGAUUACUCCUUAUCAACUUAAACCCGAUAGGUUGAGUUAGGCUUAAAAUUUACUUCCUAAUAUGAUAUUUUAUGAUUGAAGGAUUUUAUUAUAUGGGAUUAAGAGAUGUUAGAAAUAUGAAGAUACAUUUUAUUUUUAUUUAGGGUUUUAUUUAAUUUUUAAAAUAAUAUGACGAUCAUAUUUGUAUAGGAUCAACACCCAAAUAAAUAUUGGUAACUUAUAUAUUUUUAUUGAAUUAUUGUAUUUACAAAUUUUUUGAUACAGUUAUCAAAAUGAUAAUCUCACACUUCCACUAAAUUUCCUACCAACUCAACCUCAUGACCUGGUGCCACGCAAAGUCAAUGGAAGAAUAGACUUGUACGUUACAAAUAUCUCAAAUAUGAAUUUUAUUUAGUUUAUCACGUAUUUAAGGUGAUUUUAUUUAUGUACUUUUGUUUAAUAUGUUCAAUAAAAUAUAUUUUAAUUCAUUAAUUUAAGUUACUAAUAUUAUAAAUAAUAUUUUUUAAUUUAAAUAUAUUUUUAUUCUCAAAAUAUUUCUUAUCCUCACACUCCUCCAUCUCCAAACAUUAAUUAUAUAAAAAAUCAUAUUUUUUUAAUUAGACACAAAAUGAUCCUCCAAUUCCUCCACCUCUACCACCAAUUCAAACUCACAAGAACACAUAAAAAAAUUUCAAUUUCAAUGCAUAAAAGUUUGUAGCUAAUAACUCCAAUAUAAAUUGUGUACAAAAAAUCAAUGACUUUUUUUAAUGGGAUAAAAAGUGACAUGUUCCUUCACCUUCACCACCAACUCAAACUCAAGAAUGUGUAAAAAAACUUCGAUCUCGAAGUACAAAAAUAUAUUGCUAACAACUUAAUAUCAAUUAUUUAUGAAAAAUUACUAACUCUCUUUUGUAGAACUUAAAAUGAUCCUCACACUUUACCAUCUUUACCACCAACACAGAGUCAGAAUAUAUCUAACAAUUUCAUUCUCAAAGUACAAAAGUAUAUUACUAAUAACUUAUAUAUCAAUUAUAUUAAUUUAUAUAUAUAUAUAAAGAGGAUUCUUCUUCAUCAUCCUUUUUUUUUACACAAUUUUUUUCUGAUUCUACCCUUAUUUAAUAUGUUGGAAAUCUCACAUCGACUAGAGAUUAAAACAUUUUAUAGUAUAUAAGUGGGUGCAAACCUCAACCUACAAGCAGAUUUUAUGAGGUUGAGUUAGGCUUAAAGUUCAUUUUUUAAUAUGGUAUGAGAGUCAUUUUCAAGCAUAUCCUAGUGAGAGUUUGUUGGGCUUAUCAGGCCACCUGCUAUCACUUCUUAAUAUAUCUCAUUUUAUUAGUAAAAUAUAGUAUUUUGUCAUUUCAUAUUUUUUAAUUUUUUAAAUUAAUGUUCAGGAUCAUUUUUAUAUGCAAACUAACUCCUCACUCUUCCCUUAAUUCUUUAUUUUAAGGCAACAACCGAAAGAAAGAGAGAGCAUACCUCACCCUCAUUUGGUUUUCACACCAAAUCUCACAUAUCAAAUAAAAUAACCUCCAUUUCUAAUCACUCUCUCCACUCCAUUUUAAGAAAUUCUAUAUUAAUUGGGUAAAAUCAUCAUUCUUUUGUAUUUACCAUCAAGUGAAUCAUAACCUUAUGUGAACAUCAUCACACUCUCUAAUCCGAAAACCACCAAUGGAAGAAGAGAAAAGGGUUGAAGAAGAGAAGUUCACACAAGAGAAAAAGAAAAAAAAAAGUUGAUUAAUCAAUUCAUUAUUUUUCUUUUACAUAUUCUUUUUUUCUUUUCAAUUUCGACUCAUCCAAAAUGUGAACACACACUCUUCUCAUAAGACUCAAAAUUCUUUUAAUAAAACUCAAAGUGAUCCUCAAAUUCCUCCAUUUCCCCAAACAAUUCAAUUUCAGACAAAUGGGCCAAUCAAAGAAAGUUGCUCAUAACUACACUAAAAAUUAUAUAUCAAUUAAAACUUAUUUGUUUAUCUUAUUAAAAUAAUUUCUUAUCAAAUUAUAAUUAGUAGAAUGCUAAGCUUUACCAAUUAUGAUUUAUUUGUUUUUAAUUUGUUAGUUAUAAGAAUUCUAUUUAUAAAAUUCUAACACGUUGAUUGAUAUAUAUAUAUAUUUAAAAAAAAUUACUUUGACGUUAAAUGUAAGUGUUUGAACCGUAAAUGUCAACCUAAGAUGUUUUAAAAUUAAAUAACUCUUUUAGCCUACCGUAAUAUAAGUGUUUGAAUACUAAAUUCUAUAAUCAUGUUGACUUACAAAACACUUAUCUGGUAUAUUCUUUGAGUUGAGUUUCAACAUCCGAUUAUUUGUCAUUUCCAUGUGUGCGAGCACUUGAUCUUAUUUGUCCUUUAAGUGCAAUAUUCAGUCUUUCAUGAAAAUUAAACGUCCUUUCUUCAAUAAUUGUCUCAUAUUAAGAAUUUACCUUUCAAGUCAGGUACAUAAUAGACAUUCUCCAUAGUAUCUUUUUUUCAUCUUUUUGGAAAAAAACAUAUUUUUCCUCGACCUUUGAGUAGAACCUUCGUUGAGUCUCCAAAGGACACAUCAAUACAUAUUAUGAGUCUCCCUUCAUCUUUUGUCUCAUCUUCCUCGACUAAAUUCGUGUUUUCUUUCAUUUUCUUCUCGGUGUAGCAAUCUUUCCAUAGUAUCCAUAUUUUUUUUUUGUAAUUGUAGCAUUAGAUAUUUGAAUGAUUUAAACGACUAUCUCUUCCAGAACCACGACCUCGUCCACGCCAAUUUUGAUGGUUCAUUUAUCCACUCUCUUCAUUCUUAUUUUUCCUAAGAUAAAAGUUCCCUUGGAAUUAUCGAGAUAAACUUGUUCUUCUUCAUCCCCACACCCAUGUUGGAAGAAACACAUUUUUGUUUUCACGUAUGUGCCUGGUAGCCCUAGGGUCUACCACCUAUUUGCUCACAUUAGUCAUAAGAUUCACUUAUGAAACAACUGCAACAAUUAUAUCUUCCCAUUUUACUAUAUUUGCCUUGGGAAGAUCUUAAUUAUUGACCUCAUGUUUGCACUGAGGUGCAUAAUGACCUAGCCUUUGCAUAGACAAAGUGUUUCACCUUCUUCUUGAAGGUAAGGUUAGAUCCAUUAGAACGAGAAAAUUUAAAUUUACUUUUUUCUUGUGAUUGGGUUUUUUCUCAUACCUUUUUGAAGUUGGUUUAUCUUCUACCAUUUUUCUUUAACAUAUAAAAACUUAGCCCUUGUAGCAAUACAUUCCUUUCUAUUGGUGUCUUCAAUGAUGAUAUCAGUGAUAAGAUAUGGCAAUGACAUUUGUAUGUUCUUGUGCUUCAGUUGUUUUUUGUAGUUAGGAAAUUUUUUCAAUCAGAAUAUCUAAAAUGAAUUCCUCAACUUAGGCUAUGUUCUUGCUUUAAUCUUCAAGUUGUUUGUGGUAUUCGUUGAUUUAAACCUUAAUGUCAUUAUCUUUUAUCACUCCCAAUGGUAGUAGUUUCUGAUCAUGAAUCUUUGUCUAAUGACAUCUUUGGCAAAGUAUUUGAGAAUAAGAAAAUCACAAAUAUCUUUUGUUUUCUUGUAGGAGCAAUACAUCAAACAAAUCAUUAGAUAAUGUGCUAAGAAAAGUGUGAUGACAUACCUUAUUUGUAUAGGUCCAAUCUUCAAUUUGUUUUGUAGAAGAACUAGAGUUGAGUUUGAAAGUCGUAAGAGCGAAAACAACUGAAUACAUGUCUAACAAAGUUGACGUGUUCCUAGUAGCAUUGAAAGUUUUAACUUGUGAAAACUUCAAUUUUCAAAACAUCCGAUAACAAUUUUGAUAUGACUUGAGGCAACACAAUUUGGCUUCUCCGAUGUAUAUUUAGUGUCAAUGUCCAUGUCAUUAACCAUAAGUCCUUAAGAUUGUUGUAAAACAUGGUUGAGAGCACAAAUAAGCUAGGUUUCCUAAGGUGUGGAUGAUCAUUGUCCUUAAGGACUAAUCCACAAUGUGUUUCUUGAGUGACAUCAAGGAACUCAAAACUAGAAAGUAAGCUUGUAAGAGCCAAGAACUUAGGAUUGGAGAAAUGGGAGAAAAGUGUGUGAAUGUAUGCUUUGGAGAAGAGUAAGAGCACUUAUUUAUAGGAGGGAAAAAUGGCCAUAGACCCCAUAGUAAAUGGAAGUAGAUCUUUGAUCAAAGGCUGUUCUGGAAAAGGAGAGAAGAUAUGAACAGAGAUGGAGGAGGAUUUGGUCGAGGCAUAUUCCUGACUUGUGGAGGAACUCAUGAUAGGGAUGACAAUGCAAGCUGAUCCGUCCUAUUUUUGCUAGUCUAGCCUUUAGCCCACAAAAAAGUGGGUCGGAUUGGCUCGUCUCUCAUAAGGAUUGACUUGUGCCCUCAUAAGUUAUGCUCAAUCAUAACAUCCGAUGUAUUGUCUAUACAUAUAUAUAUAUAUAUUUAAAGUAUCCUUUGUCUAGACUUGUAUUCUUUCUCUAGACUUUUAAGUAAUGUGAAAUCAUUUAGGAAAUAGUUUGAUAUCAUUUAGGAAUUAAGAUUAAGAUUAUUGUAAAAAUUAUUGCAAAAUAAUAUAUAUAUAUUAUUAUUAUUUUGUUUUUCUUCUUCUUCAACCUGUACAACCACGUGCAUUAAAAGGUAAUGUACGCAAGACGACAUAAUUUCAAAAGUGGUCCUACUAAUUAUGAUUCACUGAGUGUACGUACUUCAAUUAUUGUCAUAGGUUUUCUUUCAUUAUUUAUGUGUAUAAAGAUUAAACAUCUAUGACAGUUUGAAAGAUAUUAUAUAGGUGGAUUUCAUCAUCACACCAACCUAAGUAGGACAAAAUAAAUUAAUCUUAGUUAAGCAAGUUAGUGAAAACAAAAUUACAAUCUUAAUUAAAGGUGAAACGUGAGAGAAAAAAUUUGCUUUGAAUAUACUUUAAAUUCUAAAAAUAUAUUUAAUAAAUAUUUUUUAAUUAAUAAAAAUUAAAACUUAAAUAUGUUUUAAUUAGAUUGGAUAUACGGUGAUAUUUUCGUUCUUACGAAAAACUUCGACAAAUGUAACAUUUCAAUUAGAUUGAUACCAUACUUUAUCAAUUAUAUGUUAAUCACAUAAAAUAUAAUAUAAAAUAAAAUUAGAUCAAACCCAUUAGAAAAAAAAAUUCAAGAAAAAAACAACCCUAAAUUGAAAACUAAGGUGGAAUAAGUAUUCGCUUUUUAACUUCUUUUUCAUCUUUAUCUUCCAACUUAAAGUUUUUUUACUAUAAUAUUUUUAACAUGAAUCGCGUGAUAUUGAAUAUAUUGUUUAAAAAUAUCAUGCUUUGUUAAUAGAAUAUAUCGUGUUUCACUAAAUUAAUGAAAUAUUUUGACCAACUUAAUAAAAUAAAAAAAAGUAAAUGUGAAAAGAAGUAGUUAUAGAAUUUAAGUCCCAUUAAUAAAAUAGUUUUAAUUUUUAGAUAGAUUUUUCACAAACCCUACACAUUCUAAUAAUAAUAAAAAAAUAGGCCUAAAUUUUAAAGGAAAAUAGUCAAACAAAUUUUUUAAAAAUAAAAAAAAAAUUUAAAAGGAAAAUAAAAUACAAGAUUUAGUCUUUUAUUUAUUAUAAAAAAGGUAAAACAAACAAUACAAAUUAAAAAAAAAAAAAAAACUCUCACGUUCCGUAUGUUGUCAGGGAACGACUGGCUAGAAAACCCCUCACACCAAAAACGUGUAAAAAUUACUACCAACUAUUAUUGGCCGUGAAUAAUAGAUAAUAACGAUGUGGAUUUUUAAUAAAAAAAAUAAUUAUUUUUAUUUAUCAUUUUUAAAUUUAAAACAAUAUUUUUUUAUAAUUAUACUUUUGAUUUAAGUAAUGUAAAGAUAAAAAUUUAAUAGGGAUAAUAACAAAGAAAAAAUACAUAAAUAUGAAAUUUGUAACAUCAAAAAAAUACAUCUAAUUAUUUCAAUACAUGUUCUACAUAUUUCUAUACAAGCUUAGAGUUUUUCAUAACAAUUUUACUGCAUGAUUAGAGCUUAUAGAAAUACAAAUAUUUACAAAAUAUAAGUUUGAAAAAAAAUCCUAAAGCUCUCCAUACCCUCCGACACCUGUAUAAUCAUCUGCUUGUAUAUGUAGAACAGUCAUCGCAUUUCACAACACAACAAUAAAAACAAGGAUAAUCUAAUGAAGAGAAAUUCCAUAACAUAUUUAAUUCAAUCAAAGUAAUUAUUAUUAAACAUUUCUUUAAAUGUUGUCAUACAAAAUUUCAAUAUCAAUUUCAUCAUCCAUAUAGACCACACAUGGAUCUAUUUUCAAUCACAAUCAUUGGAUUUUAUUUCAAUUUUACUUUGUCUUUCGAAAGACUCAUUAAGUAUGUCUCUACCAAAAAUUAACACCUGAUUCAAAUAUUACUAGCGAAUCAAGAGAAAGGAUCCGGGUAAUUUCAAAUAUUCAAUACCGAGUGUUUACCGCUGCGGAACCGGUGUGUAUGAACUUCUUCUCUUUAAUGGUGACGCAUAAAAGGGAUGCUGAGGAGAACACAAAUCACAAUUUUAAACUUAGGAAUCCACUCAUUCAAAAUUGAAAAUGGAGAAAAACCCAUAAAAAAACACAAAAAAGUAUGAAAAACAAAAUAAAAAAAUAAUAAAAAAGACACAUUAUAAGAAAUGAGAGUAAAAACAACAAUAGAAGAAGAAAAAAAGUCUAAAAAAUUAAAAAAAAACAAAUAUAAAUCAUAAACCCUAAAUUAAAAAAGUCUAGAAAAAACAUAUAGUGAACAAUUAUGACAUAAUAACCAUAUAUAAACUCUAAAUUCUAAAUUAAAAAAGUCUAGAAAAAACCAAUUAUGACAUAAUAUAGGGUAUGGUAGACACAGCAGACAUAACGAUUGCCUACAAAAUUAUCAACAAUACAUUUCCCCUUAGGAGAAAUAGGAUUGAGGUCAUCGACACCAUUUGUUUGGACAUGGUUUUGCCACUAUAAAUAGGCUGGUUCAGUUUCUCUUAACUCAAACAAGAAAACCAUAAGAAAAAGCAAUGGCUUCUCAAAGACUAGCUUCCAUCAUACUUCUCUUAUCCCUUUUCACCAUCUCUUCCUCACACCCUGACAAUGGCGGAAUUGCUGUGUACUGGGGCCAAGACGGUCGAGAAGGUGAUUUGGUAACCGCAUGUAACAGUGGAAAGUACAAGAUCGUGCUCCUUGCUUUCCUCAACAAGUUCGGUGCAGGGAGAACCCCAGCUUGGAACUUCGCCGGUCACUGCGACAACGGUGCCUGGAAAAAGUGCACCGAACUAGAGCCCGAAAUAAAACAGUGCCAGGUAUAUAAUCUCAUCUAAUUUGCAGUUUUAUAAGAUUGUUAGGUUAAUAUUCAACCCUAAAUAUUUUUCUAAUUGUUUUGUGUAAUGUUUACAGGCGAAAGGCAUCAGAGUUCUCCUUUCAAUCGGAGGAGCCCCUGACUAUUCAAGCUACUCGCUGAGCUCGCCGGAGGACGCAAAGGAGGUGGCCAACUACCUCUACGAAAACUUCCUCAGUGGCCAAUAUGGUCCACUGGGAAGCGUCGCGUUGGACGGAAUCGACUUCGACAUCGAAGUGACGGAGGAUCACUGGGACGACCUUGCCAGGGAACUCGACUUCUUCCGACGAACGACGGGGCGUUACUUUUACUUGUCCGCCGCCCCUCAGUGCCCAAUCCCAAUCUACUAUCUCGGCAAAGCCAUCGCCACCAAACUCUUCGACUACAUCUUCGUUCAGUUCUACAACAACCCUAGUUGCUCCUACGUCAGUGGCACCAACGCCCUCUUGAACUCCUGGGACAAGUGGGUCGACUUGGUCCCCUCCAACAACUCGCUCUUCGUGGGCCUGCCAGCAGCGUCCAGCGCCGGCAACGGUUUUAUUCCGGCGGAGGUCCUGAACGGCCAGGUGCUUCCGCACGCGAAGCAAGCCUCGAACUACGAGGGAGUGAUGCUGUGGGAUAGAUACCGCGAUGUUCAGAAUGGGUACAGUGAUAAGAUACAUUCGAAUGUGAUUAAGUCGAAGUUGCCGGCGUCUGUGGGGUCAGUUUCCGACGGAAUUUACCAGUCCGUGUAUAAGGCGUAGCGCCGCGUCUUCGUUUAAGAGGUUGCUGAAAAGUACUAUCUAGGCAUGUACUAUCUACUCAAUAAAUAAAUAAAUAAAUGACAUAUCAGCUACGUUUGCCUUUGCCAAAACAAAAAUCUAUUUUCAUAGUCCACAUUAAUAUUAUUUUAUUCAACAAUUUAAUUAAAUAAUUUAAUAAGUUAAUAUUUUAUUAGUAUAUGAAAUUGUUAAGUGGAACUAAGAGAAAAUGUGAAUUGUGAAAAAGAAGAAGUUAUUUUGAGAAUUAGAUACUUACAUGCAUCAAUUUACAACUUUUUAAACUUUCUACACCUUUUCACAUAAAUCCACAUUUUAAUAUUAAUAAAAGAAAAAUAUAGUUUGACAAUUUUUAGAGUUCUAUAUAACUCUCGAUGAAUUCAAAAAUAAAUAUAUAUAAUAAAAAAAUAAAUUUGAAAUUAAAAGUUGUAGUAUAAUUAUAUUUUCUUUCUAAUUUUACCAUUUAUAAUCUAAGUCAUUUAUAAUCUAAGCAAUUCAGUGUUGAUUGUGAAAAAAUCUUUAGUCCUUUUAGUGGCGAAUUUUUCAUUUAAAGGCAAAUUCUUCUUGGAUCUUCAUAACUUUUUUUCUAGACUUUCGUAUUAUUUUUUUUUUAAUUUCAACAAUAACAUUAUCAAUAUGAUAGAAAGUGUGGUGCAUUUUUUUUUAUGUCGGUGAUAGUGGUUGCUUGUGAAAGAUGGUGAUAGUUGGAUAGAUAAGUUUUGUAAUAUUUUUAUUGGUGGUGAUUGUGUUUUUGUUUGUUUUUUUAUUCAUAUUUUUUUAAGUCAUAAAAUUCAAAAAAAAUCUAACAAGAUGAAAAAAAAAAUACAAAAUAAAAAAAAUAUCUUUACACUAAAAACGUCAAUCCUCCUACAUUUACUCAAAUGAUAUGAAACUGCUUUUUAAAAAAACUGUGACUAAAAAAAAUAAAAGUGAUGUGGGUAGAAAAAGAAAAUAUGAAAUACGGUGAUGUAAUUGAAAUUAUUUAAAAAAACUGAAAUAUUUGAGACUAUUUUAAAAUUUAAAACAAAUUAAAUCGGAUUUUUCACAAUUGAUAUCAUGGGGAAUUACGGAGUUGGGAGAAUUUGUCUCAUUCUAAUACCAUAAUUUUCUUCUCUUUUUUGUUUCGUUUCGUUUUUUUUCGAAAAACGAUCAUGUUAGAAUUCUUUCUUCACAAAGCUAUAUUCUAACCUCUAAUUGGUUGUAGUGUCACCGAAAAAUCAACCAAUUCAUAUUUUUAUUUUUUCUGCUUUUGCUUUGAAAAACAAAGGAAAGAAGAAAAAAGUUGGAAAAAAAUAUAUAAAAAUUAAUGAAUCUAAAUGAAGUAUUUUGAGGAUUUUUUUAUAAAUAAAAUUGUUUUAAUUUAAAAAUUUAAUAAUAAUAAAAUUGAAUUAGGUAAGUAUAUUUAGAAAAUGUGUAGGAUAUAAUUAUUAUACAAGAAAAAAUUUAGAUAAAUAAAUACGUAUAAAUAGAUAUAUAUUUUAAAGAAAUUUAAAUUAGUAAAAUUUGUAAAAAAUAAAAUUUUUAUGGAAAAAAAGAAAGUAAGGGAAAGUGUGUGAUAUAAUUAAAUUUAUUUAUUUGUAAAAAUAUAUAUUAGUUUUAAAAAAUAAGUCUAUGUAAUAUAUUAAUUUUGAGAAAUAAGUAUUUGGAUAAAAGAUUUAUUACUAGUAUACAUAUUUUAAGCAAAUUAAAAAAAUUUAAUAAGAAAAAAUUAUGAUGAAGAAGAGGAAAUAAAAAAUUGUAAAAAAUUAAAGGAAUUUGAUAUAAUUCGAAUAUGAUAAAAAAUAUUGAUCAAUUGGAAAAUUUAUUUUUGAAAUAAAUGCUGAAAAGGAAAUGAAAAAAUGUAUAGAAAUAAAUUUUUGAAGUAGUAUCAUUGUAUUAUUUUUAUAAUUUAUGGUUAUAAUAUUGAUGUUUAUGAAUAUUAAUAAAUUUGACACAAGUAAUUUGAAAAUUGACUUGGACUAUUUAUUAUUUAGGAUUUAGUUUAUAUAUAUAUAUAUAUAUAUUAAUAAUUUUACGUAAUAAAAUUGGAAAGAAGUAAAAUACAAAUAGAUAAUAGAAUAAUUAAUAAGAAAACAGUUGAGUAUUUAAUUAAAUAGGAAUUGAAAUUUUUGUAAAGAAAAUACAUAUAAUUAGAUGAAGAAAAAUAUAUAUGAAAUUAAACAUAUAAACAUUUAUAUUUAGUUAAUUGUAGAUCUUUUGAUACUGUGGUGGUCGAUGUAAGUAAUGUCUUAUAAGUUACAAAUCAAUUUAUCAGGGUUGUCCUACAUAAAUCUUUGGUUUGGAUGAAGAGUUCAAUGUUGCUCCAUGAUUCUUCAAGUUGAACGCUUGGAUAUAAUAGUUGAGUUUUUUUUCCAAUGAUUGAUCCUUUGUGCAACAUUAGUGUCAUAUUUGAUUUCUAUUGAAUUAUGCAUAAUUUUUUGAUUAACCACUCUAAGUGGGGAGGUGAUAGUUGAUUUCGGUGACUUCUUUGCGGUCUUUGUAUUGUAGUACUUGGGUUAUGUUCUGUAGUUGAUGGAAAGACUAGUUAUGUUGGAUUGUCGUUGUUCUUGGAUUGUUACAUUUAUAGGUAACAUCGUAACAUUUAGACUUUUCAUUAUGGUGGCUCUUUGGAUAAAUCCUCCAAGGUAAAGUAUUCCUUGUACGAAAAAGAUUUGGAUAUCUUGUUUCUCACAAUAUUAUGUGAAAGUGUAUCGACAUGUAUUCUUGGUCUUUGUCCGAUCAUAAAGCCUCGAUGUAAAAAUAGGUUGUCUUCUCCACCAUCGCUUUGAAUUUUUGGAACACCUCAAAUGCUUUUGAUUUUUCCAUAAAAAAGUAAACUCAAGUCUUCCUUGUAUAGUUGUUAAUGAAAAUAAUAAAAUACCUCUUCUCACUAAAAGACUUCAAAGUGAUUAGGCCAUAUAUGUCGGUAUGAACCAACUCAAGAGAUCUCCUUGCAUGAUAUUUUGUCUUUUUGAAAAUCUGUCCUUACUUGCUCACCAAGUACACAACCUUCACAAAAUUUCUUGAUGUAGUCCAUAUUCGGUAACCCAUUGAACAUUUGCUUAUUUCCUAACUCUUUUAACCUGCCAUAAUGUAAGCGUUUGAACCAUAAAUUCCAUAACCAUGUUUUGUCCUCCAUGUUGAAUUUGAAGGUUCAUUUGGCUCCAGAAUGGGGGGUUGAAUAAAGCCCGCACUCAAUUUCUAAUAUAUAUGAAAUAAAAAAAAGUAACCAAACAAAGAGUAUAUAUAUAGAGAGAUACACAAAGAUGUAUACUUUCACCCACCAACAAGGGAGUAUAAAGAGAGAGAUACACAGAGAGCAACCCACUCAAGAGCCUUUCAAUAAUAAGUAUUUUUACACCUUUUUAGGUCACCAUUAUUAUAUACAUCUGCAAGUUACAAGUAUUUUAAAUCUCUUCAGGUUCUCCCAGUAUUCUCAAGCUCUGCAAGUUAACACAAUAUUCUCUACCUCUGCAUGUUCACCAAGUAUUCUCUACCUCUCUAGGUAACCAAGUAUUCUGACCUCUCCAGGUACAAAGUCCUACUCCCCUUGAGAUUAGGACCUCUCAAUACAAUGAGAAAAACUCUCGUUCAAAGAGAACACAUAAGGCUCAAAAAGUAUAUUUCACAAUGGUGAAUAAUUUACAAUGAUUACCCUCAAAACCCAAUCUCACAAAUUUUCUAUUCUCUAGUCGACUUUGUAAUCUUUUCUCAAUAUUUAAGUGUUUCGUAUGAUGCACGUAUGUACUUCGUUGUUGUGUUCUUUACCCUUGAUGUAUUUAUAUAGACUUUUUAAAUGUGUACAUUGCAGCUUUAGGGUUUCUCCAAUUCUUCAUAUAGCCAUUAGACGCUUGAUAUAGAAAUAUUUUCUCUGAUUCAUCUUCGCAUUUAAGGCUCUUCAAAAUCUUUCUUUAUCUUAUUCAAAUAUGAAUGUUGGCGUUUAAUUCUUCAUAACUUCAAUAUCUGCUAAAUCUGCCAUGUUGUUCUUCUUCAAUGCACUAGAUGUUGGAUAUGGAAACUUUUGUUCUUGUGCAAUCUGCACUUCUCUAAUCAUAUGAAACAUUUCAAAAUGUUACUUUAAUCAUAUAUGAUGUAAACAUUGAGGCUUGAAUUACUUUUGCCUUUGGAUAUUCUCUUUCUGGUUUGGUUCACCAUCGUCUGCAUGUUAGACACUCGAUAUGGAAAAGAUUGCUUCUCUAUGGUCUAUACGUCUUUAAGUUGUAUUUGAAUUUCAGAUGCUUUCUUUAUUUGUAUAAACUCUAUUUGUUAAGCUUUGAUUAUCUCUGGACUUGGAUAUUUCCAUUAUGCACGGUUCAUCUUCAUCUUCGUGGUAGACACUCAAUAUGGAAUGUUCUAAUAUAAGUCUUCAAUGCAUUUUGCCACAUGUUUGCACUUUGAAUAAUCUUUCUCUUAGAAUAUCUUCAUUCAUAUAUCCUUGAAAUUGCUUUGAUAUUCAUCUGUGUGAUUCUUUCUUAUCAGCUUCAUCUCUUUCCUAUUAGACGUUGAGAAAAGAAACUUCUACUUCCAGCUUUGUGUUCGUCUUUCAUUUCCUUUGAUAGAUUUUGGGAAUAAAAUAAGUAUCAAUGAACAAUAUAAUUUACAAUUUAAAUAAUUGGUAUCACUAAACAAUAUCUUAGAAUCUUUGUGGAUUAUAUCAACUUUAUAUACCAAAAUAUUUCACUUUUAUUUCUACAUUCAAGAACUUUCAAAGUUAAUAUUGAUUUUGAAUGUUGACGCAUAAUUACAUUUAACCUGGAUAUUAUCCCAUUAAUUAUAUUUUGAAAAAACUUUGAUAUAGAUAUAAUUCAACCUCUGGUUUUCAAAAUCUUUUACAAUCAUGUAUUAUUUAUUUAAAUUCUUUUUAACACAUUUAAUUCGUUAAUCUUUUUUGAAAAUAUAUUUUCUAUGAUUAAGAAAUACAAAAUAAGAUUCAAAAAUCAUAAAUUCAGUGUCAUAAAACAUUUUAAGAAUGUAAAAGAUCAAGCAUGGAAAUUCCCUAUUCUCGUGUUCUGUGUGACGCUUGGACGAUGCUUGUAUCGUUUGAUAUGUAUAGUUCCAACUUGCAUUUGAUGCUUAUGAACUUUUACAUUUGAUUAGUGUUGCCCAAAAGGGUUUUGUCUGAUGUGAGCUUUUAAAGUGUUCACCAAGACAUAGAUCGUCUAGUGUAAUAAUUCUUAGCUCCAUCGUCUCAUCCUUCAUUUCAUGUGUUCUCUUUAUGAGUUUCGUCUGAUACGUCUUUUAUUUAACGAGAAAUUCGUCUCAUUUGAUGUUUUUGCAUAUGAUUGACUUAUUUGCAUAUCAGUUCAUCUUUUCAAUGUUUUCUUUGAAUAUAUUAUUCAUUUCAAGAAUGAACAUGAAAAUUGGAUCUUCUGAUCAACGUAUAUAAUUAUUUUGUCUAACAACUUUUCUCUUAUUGUAUUGUCUAGUGAGUCUUGCUAAUUUUCUCUUUUUGUUUUUGUCUAUUCUUGUACUAUACAUGAGUGAGAUUUGUCAUAUCGUAACACUCUUUAUAGUGUUUGUUAUCAUCAAAACAUGUAGACACUCAUGUCAUGAGAUCGUUUAAUGUGUAUUGUUUUGUCUAUUGACUCAAAAAACUUGAAAACACCUCUCUUGUAUAUUCUUUAAGUUGAGUUUAAAUAUACUAAAAAUAUUAUUUUUUAAGUUAGGUACAUAAUAGACAUCCUUCAUAAUAUCUUCUUUUUCAUCCUUUUAGGAAAAACAUUUUUCCCAUCCUCAACCUUUGAAUAGAACCUUUAGUUGAGUUUCUGAACAUCAAUAUAUAUCCAUCUUCUAUAUCUUGUGUAUCAAUAAAGAGAUUUUUGUUCCCACGUAUAUGAUUGUUAUCACCAAUGUCCAGAUAUUAUACCAUGUCACCAUCCAGAGUGAUGCCUUCAUUCACUAUCAUGAGAGUCCCUUAAUAUUUUUACUAAUUUGUGUUUUCUUCCACUUUCUUCAUGGUGUAUCAAUCCUUUGUGUAGUGUAACAUUCGACAUUUGGAUGAUUUAAGUGACCACCUUUUCCAAGACUGCGACCUUGUCCAUGCUAGUUUUGUUGGUUUGUUUGUCAUCUCUCUUCAUUCUUUUUUUUCCUAAGACAAAAGUUUUUCGGGAAUCAUGUAGAUAAACUAGUUAUUCUCCAUCCCUCACACUUGUCUAAGAAAAUUUUUCUUUUGUUUGGACAGAUGUGUCUAGUAGGCCCAAAGUCUACCAUCCAUUUGCUCACACUAGUCACAAGGUUCACUUGUAAAACAACUACAACAAUUGUAUGUUCGUCUUUAGUUAUAUUUUCCUUAGAAGGAUUGUCGUUCUUAACCCUACGCCAACAUUGGGGUGCAUGAUGACCUAGCCUUUAACAGACAAAACACAUUCCAUUUUUCUUGAAGGUGGCGUUACAUGCAUUGGAAAAAAAAAGUUAUUUUUUUUCUCGUGAUUAGGUUUUUUCUCGUACCUUUUUGUAGUUGGCUUCUCUUCUACCAUAUUUGCCUUAACAGAUAAAGCCUUAGUCCUUGCAACAACCCAAUCCUUUUUGUUGGAGUCUUCAAUGAUGGUAUGAGUGAUAAGAUUUAGCAGUGACAUAAUUUAUUAUUUGUAAAAACUUCAAAUUUCAAAACAUCCAAAAAUGGUUUUGCAAAGAUGGUAUGUGUUGAGGCAACACAAUUUGGCUUCUUCGAUGUAGAGUCGAUGUCCAUGUCCAUGUCAUUAUCCAUAAGUCUUUAAGAUUGUUGUAAAAUAUGUAUGUGAACACGAAUAAAAUUGGUUUCUUAAGGCAUGAAUGAUCACUGUCCUUAAGGACUUAUAUGCGAUAUGUUACGCUAGUCCCAAAGAUACAACAAGAACUUUUACGGUGACACUGAAGAACUCAUAACUAACAAAUAAGUUCAAUAUAUUAUGCCCUUAUAUUAAUGAGUAAGUUUAAUUAUAUGUCGCCAAUUAUUACUAUUUCAUUUUCAUGUUUUAAAUAUUUACUAACUCUUUUUAUGGAUGAUAUAGGGGUCAUUGGCAGUUACUUGUCUUAUCAAUGGUUGAUAAGACUGUUGUGUGGUUUUCUUCCCUACACAAGAAGCCAUCCAUAAGUCUUAAGAAUAUCAUUGAUAGGUAAGUACACUAUAAACUUAACUCCAUAUGUUACUAAUUAAACAUCUACUAAUGCGGUUUUUUGUAUUAAUCAGUUCAUGGCGUGGAUAUAACAUCCUAAAAGGUCGAUCCAAUUCAAAUUUUCAAAAUCUGAACUGGAUAGAACUAAAGGUUUGUAUUUUUUUUCUUUCUCUCUUCAUUGUUUAUCAAUAUUAACUUUUACUUUUUUGAAUUAUAGUGUAACAACUAGGAAGUUAUAAGUAUGACUAUUACAUUAUGCAAUGGAUGAUUAUCGUUGUAAGACUAGACUUUAAAAGUGAUUGACAUGAGGUAACAUGAUGGUAAAUUAUUUUUUAUAAUUCUUUAACAUAUAUGUAUCUUAAAACUAAUUUAUGUCAACCAUAUUUUGAAAUGCAGUUCUUCACGGAUGAGUUACCAAUGUCUUCGAAAGCCAUAUCAUAUGUGAGACAUUCUUGGUCCACAUAUUUCCUAAAUUUUUAUAACUCUAGGUUAGCUGAUGCAUAAUGUAAGAAUUAGAUAGAUAGAUAAAGAUAUAUUAUUAGUGUUUGUAAUACAUUUUUAUCAAUAUAUAAAAAUUGAUUCUAUGAAUUUAUGUAAUUGUAUGGCUGGGUUAGAAUUGAACAGGUCAAUUUAGAUGGGUAUAAACAUUAAACAAAUUGUACUAAAAAAAACAAUCAUAUACAACGACGACUAUUUACCAUAGCUGCAUUCGUAAUUGCGAUUUAUAAAUGCGGCUAUGCUAAAUAGCCGCAUUCGUAAAUGCAUUACACCUCUUUCUUAAAAGAUCAUUCAUAAGCAUAUAAGAAUGCGACUAUUUACCAUAGUCACAUUUAUAAAUCUCAUUUACAAAUGCGACUAAAUAGUCAUCUUCUUAUGUGUUGGAUUUAAGACUACGUAUAGAUCAAAUAUGACUAUAUAGUCACCAUUAUAAAUUGAAAAUAGUCGUCGUCGUUCACGAGUGAAACUACGACUUAAACGGACUAGAAUUUUAACAUGAGUUCGUCUUGAUUUUUUCCUAUCCGUUUGUGUGACCAACUCAUACAUCCCUUCCCAACAUUGUGAUUCUUAACCCACGAUCCACACAGAAGAUCCAAAUUCCUAUUUUCACUAAACAGGGUUGUGUCCAAAGAAUUCUACUGCAAGAUCGGCAGAUCUGAAGCUAUCCAAAAAAAAUAGAACAUGUACUAUCUACGGAAUAAAUAACAUAUAUACUUUUAGUUUCGUCCUUUUUUUUCUUGUUAUUUCUUUCCUAUUAAAUAUCAAAUUAAAUUAAUCUUUUUAUCUUUUUAUCUUUUUAUUCUCUUCUUCCUCCACCAAACCUACAUAAGUGUUAUCUUCAUGGUUGAACCAACAUAUACAAUUAUCACCUACAUUAAAAAAAAGUAUACAUUUUUUUCAAUUCUUUAACCAAAUCUACGAUUAUAAAACGAUCACCUGCAUUGAACACGUGUUGAAGCAAGACGACAAUUAUAUAUUCCAAAACUGGUCCCAAUAAUUAUGAUUCACUGACUUUGAUUGUGAUAUGUUUUCAUUUAUUAUUUAUGUGUAUAAAGUAUAUGAAAUAUGAAACUCAUACACUCCUUUUAAAUGAUGUAUCGGUGUCAGAUACUCAUAUAGGACACCAACACUUGUAGUACACGUAUCCGUGAAAUGUCCAAUUUAAAAUGUAUUUGUUGAAUUUUUGAUAAUUCUAGUACGGUUUUAACACAAUAUUUAAAAAGAAAAAAUACAUUAAUUUUUUAAAAUCUUAAAUUUAUUGUAUAAAUUUUUAUUAUAAUUAUAAAAAUAAGAAACAAAUCAUUUUGAAUCAGUCAUGAAAAACAUAUUUCUGCUCCAAAAAAUAAUUUGGAACACACUUGUGCACAUAAAUCUUUAUUGUCAAUUUAUAUAAUUCAUAAUUAUAUAAUAUAUAGAUUCGUGUCCCGGUAUCCUAUUUUAGAGAUUAUACGUAUUUCCGUGUCUGUGUUUCAAUCAUCUAUGAAAGUUUGAAAAAUAUUAUAUAGGUGGAUAUCAUCACACCAACCUAAAAAAAAAAUCUUAGUUACACAAGUGUUAAUAUAUUUAAUUUUCUAUUUUAAAUUAUUGGACUUUGUUUGUUUGACCCNNNNNNNNNNNNNNNNNNNNNNNNNNNNNNNNNNNNNNNNNNNNNNNNNNNNNNNNNNNNNNNNNNNNNNNNNNNNNNNNNNNNNNNNNNNNNNNNNNNNAAACUAGUUGACCGAGUAGCUGAAAGUUCAAGAUCACAUCAGAAGACCGUGAAGUCGAAAAAUUUUAAAAAAAAGUUAAUUGUUUAUGGAACUUAUUAGAAUACUUACCAUUAAAAAAACCCUCACCAUAAAACUAAUGUUCUAUUUUAACUUUUUUUUAUUAUAUUUCAACUUAAAGUUUUUUAAUAUAAUAUUCUUAAUAUGAAUCGUUACAUUGAAUGUAUUGUUUACUUUUUUUAGUUUCAUGUUUUCUUCACAAUUUUAUUUUUAAAAGAUAUUUCAAUGAGUUAAAAGACAAAUAAAUAUAUAUAUAUAUAUUAUAAAUAGUUUCUUAUGACAUUUUUAAUAUCAAAAUGAUUAGUUUGCGCCGCUGUAAAAAGUGUUAAUCCAUCUCAAAUUUCAAUAUAGAAGGUGAUUCUUUUGGUUGAUUUUAUUCGAUGCUGAAUUAAUGGAUUAUUUUCACCAACUUAACAAAAUUGAAAAAAUUAAAUUAAAAAGAGGUAGUUUCAGAAUUUAAGUCACAUUAAUAAAAUAAUUUUAAUUUUUAGAAUGAUUUUUCAGAAAUCCUGCAUAUUCUAAUUAUAAAAAAAAAUCAAAUAGACCUAAAUUUAAAAGGAAAAGAGUCGGACAAAAAUUUUAAAAAUCAAAAUAUUUUUUUUAAAAGGAAAAUACAAAGCAUUAUGCUUUUAUUUAUUAUAUAAAAGUUAAAAAAAAUAAUACAAUUUUUUUUUGUCACAUUCCGUUUGUGAUAAGUAUGAGAACGAGUGGCUAGAAAAACCCUCACACACAAAACGUGUAAAAAUGUCUAUCAAAUGUCGACAAUGAUAAUAGAUAACAAUGAUAGCCAUAAAUUGGUUUUUAAUAAAAAAUGUUAGCUUUUUUUAUUCAUCAUUUUUAAAUUUAAAAAAUAUUUUUUUAUAAUUACACUCUUGAUUUAAGUAAUGUGAAGAUAAAAAUUUAAUAAUGAUAACAACAAAGAAAAAAUACAUAAAUAUGAAAUUUAUGUGUUUUUUUAAAUAUAUUAUUAUAUAAUUAUAAUUUUAGAUUAUUUUUUAAUAAUUAAUAUUUUAGUAAAUUGUUAAAUAUUUUAUUUAGUUUUUGAAAAAUUAUAUGAUUUUUUUAAAAGCUCUCAUGUUAGGCAUCAGUAUGUGACAUAUCAACUAUGUUAACACCUCAAGUAUCAACAAUAUCCGAUACCACAUGAAAAAAUAUUAUUAAAAAAAGGAAAAAAGAAAGAAUUAAGACAUUCAAAAAAUAAAUGUGGAAUAAUUCUUUUUGCUUUUCACAAAGAGUACACAUAGAACAUAUAUACAAAUCUCUGUGCUGAAUGUGUUGAUUCGUAGGAAGCCACCCAUGAAAACUUUCCAAAGUAACAAAGUUUUAUAAGAAUGAAUAUAUUGAGACCAAAUGAUCUUACCCCAACCACAGGGAAAACCAGUAUUUAAGAAAAUUUUCCUAGCAAAUUUGAGAGUGAAAUGACCAGAGUCUCUAGAAUCCAAUUAGGAGUAUCCUGUUCCUGCCUAAUCAUGAUUAAAAAAAAAUGAUUAAUCCAAUCACAAUCAUUCCAGAAAUCAAAAAUUGUAGUCAUCAAGGUCUAGAACCAUCAGGUACCCCUGCAAUGUUUGAUAAACAAGUAGAAGAACACCAUUUAUCAUUCCAAAAAUUAAUAACAAUACCUGUACCAAUAGUCCAAGAGGUAUGUUCAAGAAUAGUGACAUAAAACAGUUUAAUCUCAGGCCAAGUAUAAGAGGAUCCAUAAGUCAAUAUAAGUUGGUACUUUUAAGAACUCUAGCUUUCAGGAGAAGAGACCAAGGCUUAUUAGUAUAAGCAAAGUUCCAAGUAAGCUUGAGAAGGUAAGCAUUAUUUUCGUACUGGAGGUUAUAAAUCUUCAAUUCUUCAUUCUCAAGAGGAGAACAGAUCUUAACCCAAUUAACCUUAGUUAUGCCUUUCUUCAUAAUAUCACAAAUAAAAUUUAUGUUCCACUACUCAACUUGCUUAAGAAUAGAAGCAGGUCAUUUAUACACACUAAAACUAUAAACAAGGAAACCAGUAACCACAGUAUUAACUAAUUGGAUCUGACCCAUCAUGUUAAGAGAUUUCUCUUUCCAAGACGUAAGCUUCAAUUUUACUUUAUCAGCCAAAGGUUAAAGAAACCUGAUCUUGGGAGCACCAACAAAGAUAAACACCCUUAAAUAGUUAAAAGGUAAAAGGCCAUGACUGUAACAAAGAAAGACGUUGAAUUUUCGUAAUGAAUCUUUCAGAAUUAUCCAUAGUGAAAAAGCUAUGUUUAGAACUGUUAACAUAAUCACCAUAUUUUUGAACAAAAAUACUCAAAUUUUUAGGAGACUUACUAUCAGUCCUACAAAAAACAAAUAUAUCAUCAACAUAUAAAAUGUGAGAAGGAAUGAUAUUACCUUUAGGGCUAGCCAUAUGUAGAACCCACUUAUCAUUCACAAGCUUAGAAAUGUCUCUGCUCAAAACCUCAUUCGCAAGACAAAAAAGCAAGGGAGAUACACGAUCACCUUGUCUCACACCUCUACUACAAGGAAAAAAGCCCUCAUAACUUUCAUUUAUCCUAAUAGAAAGCAUAGUUGAUCGAAGAAUUGUACUAAUCCAACUGAAAAAUGAAGGAUGAAGUCCAAAACGUGUCAAAACCAACAAUAAGAAAUUCCAAAUCAGAGUGUCAAAUGUUUUAUAAAUAACAACUUUAUAAGCCACAUAACAUUCUCUAACCUUUUUUGAAAGUGUUAAUAGUCUUAGAAGAAAUACCAAUACAAUCAUGAAUUUGUAUGCCCUUUACAAACCCAUAUUGAUUAGGGGAAAUGAUUCUAGAAGACACCAUAGCAAGCCUAUCUGUUAGUAUUUUGGAAAUGAUCUUAAAUUUCAAAUUGGCAAUGACAAUGGAUCUGGAAUCUUUAAUAGAAUCAACACCUUGAAUUUUAGGAAUAAGGGAGACCACAUUACUAUUCAUCCCAAGAAGAAUCCAGUUUUGUUUAAAAAACUAUUGAACAACUUUGCAAACAUUUGUCCCAAUAAUCUUCCAGCAAGAAUGAUAGAAAACACCACCAAAACCAUCAGGACCAAGAGCAUUAUUACCAUUAAGGUUAAAAACAACAUUCUUGAUUUCCAAAUAAUCAGGGUAUUUAAUCAACAUAAUAUUCUCCUCAGAGGAAACCAUGAUAGGAAUAUAAGUACCAAUAAAAUCUUAUGUAUUACCAGUAGUGUGAGCAUUAAGAUUAUAGUCAACAUAGAGGUUUCUAUAAAAAUCCAAUAUAUGAUCAUUAAUAAGUUAGUAUCCUCAAUAACACCAUUAUUAGUAAUCUAUGACUCUCAUUAUAUAUAUAUAUAUAUAUAUAUAUAUAUUUUACCACAGUAUGGAAAAAAGCAAUAUUUCUAUCCCCAUCCUUAAACCAAAGCAUCCUGAUUUUCUCUUUCCAAAAUAAGUAUUGACAAUGAAGGACACGAUCAAACUCCUCUUUAUCAGUCUUUUCUUGACAAAUAAGCAUUUCAAGGAUGGGUGAAAAAGAAUAUUUAGUAUAAAAUUAUAUGAUUUUUUAUUCGAAAAAACAAUUUUACUUAAAUAAGUUGACCUAAUGAGUAUUAAUUAAAUUUAAUCUUUAUUUAUUUUUAAGAUUUUUUUUCUUAAUUUGAAAUAAUCUUAUAUUAAAUUUAUUUUUUACAAUUUUUUAUUGUAUGUUAUGCACUUUUUUUACAUAGUAUAUUUUUUUAUUUUAAUUUGUACUGUUAAAAGUUAUUUAAUUUAAAGUGCAUAAAAAAUUAAAUAUUUUAACUUAAUAAAUGUUAAAAAUAAUACAAUAACCAAUGAUGUUUAUAAGAUUGAAAAUAUCUAAUAAUAAUAGCUAAACUAAAAUUAAAGAUAAUAGAAAAAUAUAUUAAAAAUAAGAAAUUACGGUAAAAUAAAACAAAACUCACAUAGAAUAAUUUGUAUAUGUUAUAGGUUUGAAGUUCUUAAAAUAUACUAUUGUAAAUUUUUUUAUCAAACAUAUUUAUAUUGUCAAAUUAGUUUAUAAGUUAAUUAAAGAUUUAGUAUUCUUAUAUUAAGUAUUAAAAAUUAAUUUAGCCUUAAGAUUUUAAAAAGUUUGAUAUGAUCUUAAAUUUUUUUUAAAUAUUCAAUGUGAUUUCUUCUGUUAUAUUAUAUUUAUUAAAAUAAAUUACCUCAAUAAUUCUAUCAUCACAUAUUGAAUUAUAUGUGUUGUUAUCACAUUCGUUUAAAAAAAUUAAAACUACCACAUGAAUUGUUAAAAAAGUUGAGAUCACAUUGAACUUUAAAAAACUAAAACCAAAAUAAACUUUUUAAAAAAUAUUGGGACAACAUUAAAUUUUUAAAAUAUGAAAGAUGAAAUUAACUUUUCAUCGUUAAUAUAGGAAUUAAAAGGAUAAUUAAACUUUAAUUAAAUAAGUUAAAAACUAAAUUAGUAACUUUAUAAAAAUAUAUUGUAAAAUUAUAUAUCUGAAAAGUUUUAAAAAAUAAAAAAUAAACUUUAGAUUUGGAAAUCACUGAUAAGAAAAAAAAAAUGCUUCUUGAAUGAUUGAUUACAUUUAUGCUUUGCCGUGUGUUCGGAUUGGAAUAUCACGAACUUGUAAUUCUUCAGCAAUGUGAGCUGUGUUUUGGUGAUAUCUACAUAUUUUGUUUGGAUUGGCCCAGAAAGGAUGGUUUGUGGAAUAUGUAACAAUUCAAGGUUAGAUGCUUCUUGAAUAAUUCUAUAUUGCCUACCGUUGAUAUAGUUAUCGUACUUCCUCUUGAGUCACAUAUUGGACAUUAUCGAAAAGUGUGGGGCAAUAGAGGAAAAUGGACUUGUAACGUUCUUUAUUGGUCAUUUUUGCAUCUUCGUAUUUUCUUCGAUACCUAUAGGAUGACAAUGUGGGGCGGAUCAUACGGGUCGGUCUGCAGCUCGAUAUCGAAAAGCGUGGGUCAGACACACUAAUCUAACUCACUGACUUGUUUAGGUCCGUCUUGCAAAACCCGCAGUCCGCGCGAUAUAACAGCAGGGUGGAGCGGAUUGACCUGCUGGCCUACAUAAAUUAAAAAAAUAUUUUAUUGUUUUUUCAAAAAAAAGAAAAAUCAUAUCCCACUUACCCACUAUUGCAGUGUGACAUUUUUUUUUAUUUUUUUUAAAAUGAGUUUAAUGUAUUAAAGAAAUGAAAGUUUCAUUUUAAUCAUCUAAAUGAGUUAAUAUUAAGAGUGAUAAUGAAUUUAGUUUUAAGUAAAGUCUUAUAUUUAAAAAAAUUUAAUAAAAAUAAUAAUAUAAAGAAAAAAUUUCAAUAAGAUAGUUAAAAAAUUAGUCAUCUUCAUUAAAAUAUUUUGUAGCAAAACAUUGAUAAGAUACUCUUAUAUAUUUACAUACAUAUAUAGGAAAAAUAAAUGCAAAACAAAAUUUUAAUUAUUUUUAAUCAAGCCUUCUAACAACCCUCAUACUUGAAUUCAUAUUUUUAUCUUAACUAAAUGAAUUUAAAUAGGGAUAAAAUUUUAAUUUUUCAACAUUAGGAAUAAGUUUUUUAUAAUUAAUGAUAUUUUAAUUUUUGAAGAAAAAAAAAUUCUUUAUGCGGCCUGGCCUGCAGGUUAUCUCUAAUGUAGGGCGGGUCAGCCCACAUUGCCACCCCUAAAUACUUAUAUACCUAGUCAUUUGCUCGCGAAGCUCAUUCAUGUAUUUAUUGGGUCGACAAGUAGACUAUUCAAAAAUUAACUCACUUGUAGUCCAAUCAAUAUUGUGUGCAUGGAUAUUAUUGAAUGGAUAUAGAUAAUAUUGAGUGACGCUUUAGUGAAACAAUCCAUGUAUUUUUGAAGGAGUUCAUUCUUUCCUUGUGUGAUGUUAUUCAAGGUGACCAAAUUUUUAACCUAGGUUUGUUGACUACAAAUCAUGUUCAAAACCUUGCACAAAAUGUUUAAAAUAAGUCUUUUUAAUUUCUCGAUAAGGAAUAAUACCAUUGUAAAGAUGACUAUGUGAAGGUGGUCCAAAUAUUUUUGUAAUGCACAAUCAAGUUAUGUUAGGUCUUCAAUAGACUGAACAACCUCAUUCAUAGUCUCCUCACAACUAUCAUGUUAGGUCUUCUUCAAAUGUUCAAUAAGAUACUUUUUUUUCAAACGAAGUCGUGCUAAUGAGGCACAACUUACCCAAAUUUAUGCUAACUAGGCACGACUUAACCAAGAUCAUAAAAAACACUUCUUCCCAUUCUUAUAAUAAACAACUAAAAUUGCACCAUUUUGGUUAAAAAACCACCCAUCAUCAUCAUGAUCGUCGUUAUUAUUAUUAUUAUUAUUAUAUUUUGGAUGGAUUUGGUAAAGGCUUCAUGUCUUGAACCUAAACCAACAAUGAUAUCAAAGUAUAAACCAUUAACCAAGCUAUACAAACUUUAUUAAUGAGUAAGGAUGGAAAAUUCUAAUGAAGAAAACUAUUUUGAUAUUUUUUUCUCAAUUUAUUUUAUUGACACUUAAUUUUAUUUAAAAAAUAAAUAAAUAGAUUUUGUUAUUGUUCUUACCAGAGAUGAGUUGGAACUAUUUGAGGUGGAUGAUUGAGUUGUUGGGCGAGUUAGGUUCUCUAUUGAUUGGUUGCCUAGCUUUUUUUAUGAAGACUAAGGGGUGAUUCACUUGCAAAAGAUUUUAUGAUGCUCAAGUUAGUAAGAUCUUUUAUAUAUAUAUAUAUAUAUAUAUAUAUAUAUAUAUAUAUAAAUAUCUAAGUAAUUGGAUGGAAUUGAGUGAGUACUCCUUGGAGAAUAAAAUUAUAUUUAUUGGGUUUUGGUCCUAGAGAAAUAUCCAUUUAAGUAGUUACCAAAGAUUGGGUUGAUUAGUUUGUUAACAUAGAAAUCAAUUUUCAAGUAUAUGAGUUAAUCGAAUUUGCAGGUGGUUUGGCCCAACUGUCUGAAGUGGGUACUAUAUGUUGGACAUCUCGAGGAUCCCAAAUCAAAGUGUUUGAUGAAGUUGUGAAUUGAAGCCUUGUGUGAAGACUUGCUUCCUUAUGUGUCCAGGUAGCUUAGGAUUUGUUUUGGUUGUCUUGAUUUAUCUUUUACCUUGAGGAAUGAUGAAGGGUCCAAGAGCAAAAUCAUUUUCAAUUGGUUAAACUGUUUUUUAAUUUGUUAAAAAGUUUUUUCAAUUGAUUAAAAUUAUUUUCAACUGGUUAUAAUUUUGUUUUCUAGAAAGUUGCAGUUUUGUAAUUGAUUAAAACAUUUUUCAACUGAUUAUAUUUUUCUUUACUAGAAAGGUGCAAUUUUUCAAUCGGUUAUUUUGUAAAUCAAUUGAUUGAAAUGUUUUAAAUUUUUAUGUAAUGUGUUUUACCUUUGAAAACCAUAUUUUAAUGUGUAAUAUAUCAAGUAUUUUCAUUUUAAAUACAUUCCUUUUAAGAAAAAAAAAAUAGUUUUGAGGCAAACGUAGUGUUUUAAGUAAAAUCAACUGAUUGUUUUGAUUUUUAACCUGUUGAUUUUCUUGAUAGUAUCCAAUUAUAUUUUAAAACAAUUUUUUUUUAACUCCUAUAAAAUGGUGAGUUUGUAUUCUGAAAAAGGUUUUGAGAAUUGCUUAUAUACAAUACACUUUUACAAUUGGAGAGAAUCAAGAGUGAGUUUUUUUUGGAGAAAAUUAGUCUUUGUUAAUCUUUGAGUAUUUUUGGUGCCUAAUUUUCAUUAUUCACUUGAGGUCAAAGGUUAUUCAAAGUGUUGUUGUGAAUUGGGAGAUCCCUUUGAGUUUGUGGUUCAUAGUUAAGGUGAAUUCGUUCCUUUUCUUAACUAUGUUGUAAUUAUGAGUUUGUAAGUGGCAAGAUGGGUUUCUUGGCAGGCAUCAUAGUUGUGACAAGGUGUUGCAAUGCGUGGUUUGGUUCUUGUAGUAUUCAAAAAUUGUUUUUGAUCUUCUUUUGUAAAAAUAAAUUGUUGAUCUAGUGAAUUCCAUCUUGGUGUGAGAUGGGACUGGAUGUAGCUCUAUUUUGAGUGAACUAGUAUAAAUCUUGAUGUGCUUUAAGCUUUCCUUAUCACUGCAAUUUAGUUUUCUGCAUCAUUGUUCUUACUAGUGGAAAAAUUAAUCAGUUGUAUUUAAAAAUUAAUCCUUAACAUAAUUAAGGUUUCAAGCAAUUGUGUCUGAAUCUCUUUGUAUUGAUUUUGUGUUUGCAUUGUUUGAAUAGAAAAGCUUUUUGAAAACUAUGUUGGAUUGUACUGGAUUCUUAAUUGAUUCUUGAAAACUAAAAUAUUUUCUAUCUUUUACCAAAACCAGUAAUAAUCAGUUUUUUAAAGUUCAAUUUGUUGUGUUACUAAAAUUGAAAAAACAAUCAGUUGUUUUUAAAAAUAAUCUAUUGAAAUUAAUUCUGAAAUUUAUUUCUUAAAACAGAUUCAAAUCUUUUCUAAGUGAAAUUGAUUUUCACUUGUGUCUUGUGUGCCUAGAAUUUUUAAUUAAUUGUUUUUAAUAAUAAACAAAAAAAAUUUCUGAAUCAGUGUUUUUUUAGAAAAUUUCAAUCUAUUAUUUCAAAAAACAAUCAAUUGAUUUUCUGUCAAUAUUGAUUAAACUACUUUUUGCGAAAACCUACCUAAAUACAAUUCACUCCUUCUUGAAUUUAGUCCCCUAUUAAUUCAACAUUAUAUUCUCAAUAAAUUUCGAUAGUAACUGAAAAAUUCAUCUUAUUAUUAAAUGACAAUAAAAGUAGACAUUUUGUGAGGAUCACAUAUACAAGAUUUUAAGGCUGAUAAAAAAGGAUUUUAACAGUUUCUAAACAACAAUGUCUUUAUAACCUUCACUUACAAGAUGUAAGACUGUUAAGUUACUUUGCUUGUGAUCCAAGUGGAGGCACUAUCGUGAUGCCUCAACAUUGAGGCUUGUUGGGUGCUGGUUUUGUUUUGGUUGUGGGACUGUUUCUUCCUGCACCUCCAUACAUUCUUCUCUCACCUUCAUAAAUUUUCAAAUUUCCAAAAAUGCUCCUCUAUAAUAUUCUAAAUUAUGUAAUCCGAAAGUUAUUUUUUAAAUUUGUAGUUAGCUUCCAAAUUACAUAAUCCAGAAGCCUUUUUUCAUAUGCAUGAUUACUUUCCAAAAUACAUAAUCUGGAAGUCUUAUUUAGCUUCCGGAUUAUGUAAUCCAAAAGUCUUUUUUCAAAUGAGUUUUUGGAUUACAUAAUCCGGAAACUACUCUAUGGAGGUGAUACAAAGGAUAAAAAUGUAUUUUCAUGUUGUGUAUGGAAGUGACAGAAGAAGAUAUGGAGGUGCAGGAAGAAACAGUCUGGUUGUGACUGGCCUUAGUGAAGGCAUAGAUCUUCUAGAGUGGAGGGCUUUGGGCUAUCACUUUUUUUUAUGUCAAAAUCUGUUCAUCUUAUUUAGCAAAAGAGAAUAAAACUUAAUAUGAAUCUGGCUGGUGUGAGCCUUGUUGCUUGGAUCAUAAUUUUUUGUAUGAAAAUCUCUUACAAAAUAUAAGUUUUAUUUGUAACCAUUUCUAUUGCACAUUUUAGAAGUACUAUAAGUUGCUUUGUAUUUGGUUAAUGGAAAAUUUUCCCAUUGGCACAAGUUUGCUCACCUUAUCAAAGGGAUAAAUAUGAUGAUUGGUAGGCCAAAUUUGGAUCUCAAACUGUGUUUGGAUACUGUGAGAAGAUAGAAUCAAUAAGUUGUUUUGUCUUCUCUACUUGCAAACAUAUUUGUUACUAUUUGUUACUUUGAAAUUAAACCAAACAUAUAAAAAAACAGAAAGCAUAUCAUAAACUAAAUAAUGAAAUGUCUGAGAGAGUGAACAAAUGAGACUGUUAGACACUUUAAUUUAUAUAUCAGAGGGUAUAUUAUUUUCUAACAAUUGUUUACUAAAAUUAACAUAUCAUAUGAUUCUAAAUCAUUACCUAACUAUAUUCAAUGCUGCAUAAACUUUUUUUAUGCUUUAAUUUGCUAACCACAUGACUGUGUUGAACUUAGAACUUAGUAAUAUUAUAAAAUUCAUUAUAUUAUAAGAUACUUUGUGAAACAGAAAUCUGAAGAAAGAACUUACAAAACUUUAACAAGUUCAAACAUUUAACUAUUUUAUAGGGAUCACAGGCUGCAGCAAGUCUGGUGAGCCUGGUCUGCUUGAACCAUCACUUUUUUUUGACAAAAUCUUUGAAAUGGUAAACAGAUCAGAAGAAAAAGUGUUAAAUUGCUUUACAAAUUGUUGGAGAAUGCAUUUUCUAUGUGUUUUAUCAUCUCAUUAAUGAGUAGCUGCAGAGAAAAAAUUGAAUUACUCAGAUUUAGGUACUAUUAGAAAAAAAAAAUAACACUUUUUUUCAGAAGACUUUCUCAUGCCAACAAGUACAUGAAUUACCAUGACUAACUACUAGACUUUUCACAAAAUCCAUUUUUUCUCUAAAUUUUAAACACAGAAAUCAACAAAACUGUGGCAGUAGAAUAUUAAGUCAACAUCAUUUUAUGUGUUUGAGCUAUAAGCUGAUCAAACGCAAGUAGAAGCAGUAGUAGAACAAUGAUUGCUGAAGUUCACUCAAUAGCAGAUUUAAAAUAUAGCAAACAACAAAUAUUAAAAUACAAUAAACAAGAGUUAGAUCCUAAAAUUAAAAUGCAACAAAUUACAAAAUACUAACAAUAUUUUUAAAUUACUGCACACAAGACAAGCAAAUCUUUGCAUAAAAAUUAAUUUCUAGAGACAAGUAUUUUCAUACAGCAAAAAUACUACUGCAACUAGCAUUUUGUAAAGAAAAAAGAAAUUACUGUAUAUACACUGUUUAAAAAAAAUUUACAUAUAACAACAUUUUCAUGCAUUAUAAAAUUAUACAUUCACCAAUUCUAAAAUCAUUUUGUUCAAGCAUUCUUGAAAAUACGUCCCACAUUUCCUACAACUCUGACAAGAACAGGAUGGCAGAAUAUAAAAACAGAAUACUUAGACAGUACAAAGCAUACCUUUCUCGGCCUUUUGGCUAAGAUCAAGUGUAGUAUCUGUUCUUAUCAGUUUAAUAUCUGAUAUGUGAACCAUUGGUUCACACGAUAUUAAAUUUAUUUUUCAAGGGAGAAGGCCAACUGCAGUAGCUUGCUACUGAGGCUUUUGAAGCAUUGUCUUUGCUUUGCACUACAGCAAAAGACUAGUGCAUCCCACUAAGUUCAUUUCAAAUUUUUAUAAUCUUAAAAUCUUAUAUUUUUAUUUUUGAGAUUGAGUGUCUCUUAUUCUGUUUUUCUGUGUGGCUCUUAUUACAAAGAUCCUUCUUUUGACUCUUUUUUGUUUAUUUUGCUAAUUGUUUACUUUUAUUAUCUCUGUGACUACUGAAUGAUACUUAGUAAAAGCCUUUAAGGAAGUAAUUUGCAGAAAGAAUCAGAAUCUUGGUUUUAGGAGAAAUGCACCAUUCUAUGGAGUGUUGUAUUGCAUAUCUCUGCAGAAUGUUUGGCAUGGUGCAUGAAUAUUGAAAGUUCAGUGUGUAUUGAAAGUUCCGUAAUUCUUCAGUUGUAUCAGAACAAUUCAUCCUAUUAUGAAAUGAAAUGGCAAUAGAAAACAUUUUUUGAAUACUAGAAAGUUGCGGAGAAUGCUCACAUUCAAUAUUUUAACAGUUUCAAAUAUUUCAUCACUUUGUACCAGAUCUUAAAGCACAAAUUAGGAUAUUUUUUCUUCCCGAAAUUCAUCCAAAUAUUCUAUAUUUCAUACAAAUGAAAAAAAGGACAGAAAUCUUUUUAAAUUGAGGAGUAACUUUAUGCUAAUUAUAUCCCACAUCAGAAAGAAAAUGAAACAAAAAUGUCUUUAAAAUAUCACUAACAAGAUGUUAGAUUGCUGAUUUGAGUUACUCCAGCUUAUGACCCAAGUCCGUGGAGCAAUCAUGGUACUUACUACUGGCCUGGUUAUAGUCUAUUAGUGCAGUGGAUAGGUAAAUGGAAUUGCUUAAUUUUCAUUUUGUUAAAUGUUCUUGUUGCAAAUUAGUUUUGAGUGAUAUAAAAUUAGAAAUAAAAUAAUUAAUUUGAGUGGUAGAAAAUAGAAAUAUUAUAAAUAUGUUAUUUAAUAGACUUCAUGGAAAAUAUUUUCUUAUUGGUUAAAAAUUAUAGAAAGGGAGAAUCUUCAAAUAAGACUCGUGAAAUUUUAUAAAUAAUAAGAAAGGAUAGAGAGAGUUCGAAAGGCUGUUAUAGGGAAUAUAUUCAUAAUAUUUCUUGACAGAAAAGAUCACAAAAGAUUUAAGUGAAACGUAUGAAAAUUUAAAAGAUGGUAUAUGUACUCCCGAGUACCGAAUGGUAUUCUCGGGGCAUAUUGGUUAUUCGGCUCGAAUAUGAAUCAUGUUAAAAUAUAACUCGGCCUCCAGAUACAACGAGACAAAUCAACACAAAAGCAACUAAUCAUUCCCUAAAUAGGAUUUGGGGAACAUUUAUAAGAAAGCUAUAAAUAGAAGAAGAUCCCAAAGAAAAAUAGUAUGGGCACUUGAUAAUCCUCAAGUGCAUAAGAAAGCUAUAAAUAGAAGAAGAUCCCAAAGAAAAAUAGUGAUAAUUUUCUGGUUAUAAUACAUGUAACCUAGACAUAUUCACCGUUGACUUGAGCGUCAAAGUGUUUUUGCAGGUACCUACCACCAAAAUACCAAGACACCAAAGAGACGAAGAACUGAGGGACCGAAUAAUCGAAGAAACUAAAGACUGGAACCUUGAGAGAGGAAAUCUGACCUUGUUCAAUUGUGUAAAAUCAUUUUUGAUGUCCACCGUAGGAUCGAAAUAAAAAUCUAUUGAGAAACCAUAUGGUAGUACAAGAUGUAUGAUAGGAAGUGAAAGAUAGGUGAUAAAGGAGGAAGAUCACUCGAUAGAUCCGGUGGCAGCAAUGUUAGAAAUGAAGAGGAAGCUAGAAAUCCUGAGAGGAAGAAUGCCAAGGAGAUGGAUGCAUUAAGGGUUGAGGUUGUUGCGAUGAAGCGAAAAUUGAAAAUCGAAAGAACGCCUAUAGUUCACGAGGACAACCAAAAUUCAGAAGGUUCUAAUGCUCAAACGGUUAAAAGAAUGGAAGGAGAAAAUAGUUCAUAACACCAGGACAUGAAGCCAAAGACAUCAACCAAUACCUUCAAAAUGUCGUCACAAAGAUACCCUUUUACGAACACAAUUAUGGAGGUAUCACUCUUGAACACAUUGGAAAAGUCUAACACUGGACAAGUAUGACGGAACCACAAACCGGAUGAGCGUGUGGACGCCUAUGUAACACAAGUUAGUCUUUAUACGACUGAGGACGCGUUAUGUAGAGUGUUCCCGACAUCUCUCAAAGGGACCGCGCUGAACUGGUUCACCCAUUUACCCCCACAUUCCAUAACUGCUUUUGACACCUUGGUAUCUAAGUUUGCAGCCCAAUUUGCAACAAAUCGACCUCAUCAUCUAACGUUGAUAACACUUGUGAACAUUUGGCAAUAAAAUACUAAAUCGCUAUGAACGUUCAUGGAAUGGUUCAGAAAAAUGAUGUUGAGCAUCUUAUGAAUAUUAAUUGAUAAGAUGGCUAUAAUAUAACUCUUAAUUUAUGAAGAACAACUUAUUUCCAAAUUUGUGUUAAUUUCAGGGUAUAGGGAAGAAUGGAGAUGAAAGGGCAAAAGGAGAAAGAAAGCAAAAAAGGGAAAGCUAGAACGCUCCAGCACUCACCCAAGCGAGAUCACUCCAAUGACUUGUUAAAUAUGAGGCAUGAGGCACAACCUUAGAGGAUCAAUUGGGAGAAUAGAAGGUGUUAGAAGCCCCAGAGGAGGCUACUGUCAAAGAGAAACAUCCUAGAUCUUCUUUUCUUGCUUUCCCUGGCCAACAUGAAGGGUUAAUUUUACCCUUUGCGAUUGGGAGUAAUUUUUUCAAACUCUUAUGUAUUGAGGUGAUAUUUAAAUAAAAUAUUUUGUUCUUGAUUGAUGAUUGGUAUUAUCAUUUUAUUUGUAAUGCUUGUUUACCUUGAUCAAGAUCUUUAGAUUUGACUGGAAAGUACUUCUAAGUUUCUGACCUAAAAUGAUAAUGCUUAACAUAUUUGAAUACUAAGAAUAGAUUUGAAAUGUUAAUUGCUAUCAACAUUUAAUCGUAAUGCUAAGGAUUUUUUAUAAAUAUGCGAUGAAUCAAUAUUUAGGAGACUCUCUUAAUAACUUUAUAUGCGAGAAAUCGAUAUAAAUGACUUUUAUAUAGACAUCAACAUCAAUUAAAGGAUAAAAUAUUACUAUAUGUUAUUCAAAAAAAAAAAAAAAAGUAAGAAGGAUGAACCCCAAUAUCAAUUUUCCCAAUUGAACCAACAAACUAUUUAACUUGCUUUCUUUACAAUUCUUGCAAUCAUUAUAACAACCUCCCAACAAACUUUAUUAUUUUGUUUUCUAUUUAGUGAAUCUUAUACUUGAUAAUUCAAGUGUUCAUUGUAGAUUCAAUAUUUUUUCUUAGAGACAAAUUAUUACUUAUGACAUGGUACACUUGCCAUAAAAUAGUCAUCAGAAGCCGACCGACAACAUAGACAAGUUGCAACAAAGGACUGCUAAGUUCAUGCAACUUGAAGAGCUACUGAAAUUGCAAUAUAAUUUAUAAUAUAUAAUAUAUUUUUACAAUCAUUAAAAAAACAUAAGAGUCUCUUUCACACAAUACUUCUCACAUUAGAUUACCUUAACAUAUUGCCUUUCUCAAAUAAAAAUUAUGCUCUAAUAAAAUAAAUUUCAUACUUAAAAUAUCUCAAUUUUAUAUUAUACAAUAUAAUUAAGUAUUUUAAACCAAAUAUAUUUAAUGAGCAAAAUUAGUUUUCUAAAGUAAAAUACAAUAGAAAUAUUUCACACUAAAGAAAACAAUAUACAUCAGAUUUUUUUUAAAAAUGUAGUAUAGCAGAAUUUUUAUUUGUUUUAUAGAAUACAACAAUAAACAAGGUUAAAUACAGCAAACAUCAUUUUAAAUUACAACAAACAAUAAUUGCAAAAGUUCAGCAGGUUUAAAAUAUACCAAACAAAAAAUAUUUAAAUACAAUAGACAACAGAAUUAAAAUGCAACAAAUUACAAAAUACUAUAACAAUAUUUUUAAAUUACUGCACACAAGCAAAUUUUUUGUAUAAAACAUUAUUUUACAAACAAGUAUUUUCAUACAGCAAAAAUACUACUGCAAGUAGUAAUUUUGUACAGAAAAAUUAAAUUACUGUAUAGACACGUUCUAAAAAAAUUUACAAAUUACCAUUAAAUAAAUUUCUGCAAUAUAAAAUUUAAAUGAUACAUUCACCAAUUCUAAAAUAAUUUUGUUCAAAGCAUUCUUGAAACAUAAGUUCCACAUUUAUUAAAACUCUGACAAUAACUGGAGAAAAGAAUAUAAAAACAGAAUAUUCAAACAAUUCAAAGCAUACCUUUCUCGGCCUUUUGGCUAAGAUCAAGUGUAGUAUCUGUUCUUAUCAGUUUAAUAUCUGAUAUGUGAACCAUUGGUUCACACGAUAUUAAAUUUAUUUUUCAGGGGUGAGGGCCAACUGCAGUGGCUUGCUACUGAGGCUUUGAAGCAUUGUCUUUGCUUUGCACUACAGCAAAGACUGGUGCAUCCCAUCAGAUCAGUACAAAUUUUUAUAAUUUUAAAUUUUUAUUUCUGAGUGGCUUUUAAUUUUUCUCUGAGUGGCUCUUAUUUUAGUUACAAAGAUCCUUCUAUUGUUUUUCUAUCUUUGUAACGACUGAAUGAUACUAACUAAAAGCCUUUAAGGAUAAUAAUUUGCAUAAAGAAUCAGAGUCUUGAUUUUAGGAGAAAUGCACCAAUUCUAUGGAGUGUUGUAUUGCAUAUAUAUCUAUCUAGAAUGUUUGGCAUGGUGCAUGAAUAUUGAAAGUUCCAUGUAUUGCAUAUAUAUCUAUGCAGAAUGUUUUGCAUGGUGCAUGAAUAUUAAAAGUGUGUAUUGCAUAUAAGGAUGUCAAAGUGUCCUACAUGAAAAUAUCAUGAAAGUUCAGUUUCAAUUUCAAUAUCAUUGAGAUUUUAUAAAUGUAUCUGUCCCCAAUUCUUUAAUUGUAUUAGAAGAAUUCAUCUUAUAAGGAAAUGAAAUGGCAAUAGAAAAAAACUUUUUUUUUUGUGAAUAUUAGAAAGUUGCAGAGAGAAUGCUCACAUACAAUAUUUUAAAAGUUUCAAACAUUUAAUCACUUUGUACUAGAUCUUAAAGCACAAAUUAGGAUAUUUUGUCUUCCCCAAAUAUUCUAUAUUUCAUACAAAUGAAAGAAAGGACAUAAUUUUUUCAAAAUUUAAACUUUAUGCUAAUUAUAUCCCAUAUCAGAAAGAAAAUGAAACAAAAAUCUCUUUAAAACGUCACUGACAAGAUGUUAGAUUGCUGAGCUGAGUUACUCCAGCUUGUGACCCAAGUGGGAGCAUUAAUGCUUGGACAUCAACAUUGAGGCUUGCUGGGUUGUGCUGUAUUUGCAAUAUGUUGGCCUGCCCACUCCAGUUGGGAGAGAGUCUGGGGACUUUAGUGAAGGCAUAGGUCUCUAGGCUCUUAGAGUGGAGGACACAGCGUGAGGCUGGUGUCACAGAGCAGCGACAACCUCCCACUCCCAUCAGUGGAGGGAUCACAGGCUGCUGUAUCCACAGUACUUAAUGGCCUGGUGAGUCUAGUAUGCUUGGACAUCACCAUUUUUUGUUAAUAGUAUUUUAAUUGAUACAUAGAAAGACUUGGUUGUUUUAUGAUUUGUAUACAAGAGAAGUACAAAACUUAGUUCUUUUUGUUUGUAUACACAUCUUUUAUGUGCCAAGCUAGGUAGGACAAUGUUGAAGAAAUGAAAACUUCACCAAUCUUUUAAAGAACUUUUACUUUGAUCACCAAUCUUUUUAUCUCCAGUAUUCAGGGAAAUUUUAACUUUGGAUAUUCAAACCAAUACACAAAACUUUACCAAACUUAUUGUUUUUAGUCUCGAAAGCUUCCAGGCUCUAUGAAACCCGUCAAUUUCUCCUGGGACACAAUUUAGUGUUUCUAACCACUUAAAAAUGUUAUAAUUAAUAAGAUUAACGUAACUAAACUAAAAGUGUUCUUUGAAACAUUCAAGUAGAACCCAUUUACUUUAGUUACAUUUAUCCUUAUCACUAAGAAAUCUUUCAUUGGACCUAUCAAGUAUGAAUUACUAACUUACAUUUAAACUUUCUAUUAUUUCAAAGUGCAUCUUUAUACUUGGAGGCAUAUCAGCAAAAUAUUACCUUGAGAAUACUUUUAUUUUUCCCAAACUCUUAGGGAUUUCAGAUUCAAGAGAUGCAGCAUUUUGUCCUUUUCAUUCCUUACCAGUCACUCCAUUGUCUCGGUGUUCCAUGAAGGAUGAAACGGAGUUGAGGAGCUCCUUGCAUGAGCCUUUUGGAGAUUCUCUCAAACACAUCAGUGUUUCAGACCAACAUCAACAUAGUGAAUAUCGCUGAUGCUGUUCAGUAUGUCUUCCUUUGUUUUAGGAACAACGUAAAUAUCUUCAGAUCCUACAUCGAGUGAAUUCACAUUGGAACCAAGAUUUGAGAAUCCCAGUUCAGUAACUAUCUGGUUAAGCACAGUUCCACCUUUGCUAAAUCCAAGGAUGAAUGUCUUGGGCUGAGAGAAAGAACAGGAAGAGUGCAGCCAGACUUUGAAUCUACGUUCCUAAAAUUACUUCUUUUUUUUUCCUUCAUUACAAGAAAUUCAAAACAUGGAAAACAUCCAGUCCAAGUGGUAAGUACAAGUUGCAGACAUAAGCAGGGACUUUUUUAGUUUAACUAUUACAAUCACAGAAGUGAUAGCACAUUGGGGUUGUUAUGCCUUUUAUAUAGGAUCAUUAAUUUUGAGAAGUUAAGAGCAAGAACUUGAUUAGGAUAUGUAAUAGACUUGCUAAAGAUUUUUGUUCGGCCUCAAUGGUUAUUAAGGUUAGAUUUUAAAUCUUUAUGCAUAAAUCCCUGACUUCACAAAAUCCAACUAUAGUUCAGGUAAUAAACAAAAGAUGCCAAUCUACCAUAAAAAAAUGCUUACCAUUGAUUACUUUCAAUGAGUAGAAUCAAAUGAUUGACUGAUUUCUACUCAUGCAUACAUAAAAAGCAUUCAGUAAGUCCCUUGCUAAAAGAAACUCUAAUAACUUGCAUUCAUUAUAUUGCAUGAUUUUCUACUUCGGUAAGAAACAAUGUUAAGCUGCACUCUUAAGCUGCAACACAAUUAAAAGACUAAUACAUAGUAAGCAACUGACUCAGUUUUGGUUGAUCUGAAGUAAAACUCAAUUGUUAUCUAUAAGCAAUGUGGUUCUAGUUCAAGGAAUUACUUACACACAGCAUUUUGGUUUCCGGAGAAAGGCAGAGAGACGCACCAACCCUAUGGAAUGUCCUGCUAUUAGGAUGCACAGGGACUCUCAAAACUCCACUCCAGCGUUCCAUCUAUAAAUCUACAAAAUAUUUGGUGGUGUCAAGCACAGUGAAUAUUGGAAGUUGAGUUUAAAUAUAAGAUAUGAAACUUACGAUAAGACAAAAGAAAAAGUGGCAAAAGAUAAAACUUACGAUAUUGAACUUGCACUAAUGUGAAACUAGCAAAAAUAUUACUGCAACUAGCAUUUUGUACAGCAAAAUUAAAUUACGGUAUAUACACUGUUCUAAAAAAUUUACAUAAACAACAGUUAAAUACAUUCACGCAUUAUAAAAUUAUACAUUCACCAAUUCUAAAAUCAUUUUGUUCAAGCAUUCUUGAAGCAUAAGUCCCACAUUUCUUACAACUCUGACAAGAACAGGAGAGCAGAAUAUAAAAACCGAAUACUUAGACAGUACAAAUCAUACCUUUCUCGGCCUUUUGGCUAAGAUCAAGUGUAGUAUCUGUUCUUAUCAGUUUAAUAUCUGAUAUGUGAACCAUUGGUUCACACGAUAUUAAAUUUAUUUUUUAGGGGAAAGGGCCAACUGCAGUAGCUUGCUACUGAGGCUUUGAAGCAUUGUCUUUGCUUUGCACUACAGCAAAGACUGGUGCAUCCCACCAAGUUCAGUUCAAUUUUUUAUAAUCUUAAUUUUUUAUUUCUGAAUGACUAUUGUUUUGGUUACAAAGAUCCGUUUCUUUUGCGUUUAUUUUGCUAUGUAACAACUGAAUGAUACUUAGUGCAUUUCUGUUUAAUUUACCCAAAGACUCAAUUGCAUAAGUGUGUUUGGCACUAAUUCUAUGGAAUGUAAGGAAUUAAUUUGCACAAAGACUCAGUUGCAUAAAAAAGUGUUUGGCACUAAUUCUAUGGAAUGUCCAAUUGUUUGGAGUGCUGUUUGACAUCUUGCAGAAAAGUGUGUAUUGAAAGUUUGGCAUGGUGCAUGAAUAUUGAAAAUUCAGUGUGUAUUGAAAGUUCCGUAAUUCUUCAGUUGUAUCAGAAGAAUUCAUCCUAUUAUGAAAAGACAUUUUGUGAAUACUAGAAAGUUGCAGAGAAUGCUCACAUACAAUAUUUUAACAUCUUAAAGCACAAAUUAGGAUAUUUUGUCUUCCCCAAAUUCAUACAAAUAUUCUAUUCUAUAUUUAAUACAAAUGAAAAAAAAAAGACAAUUUUUUUAAAAUUUAAACUUUAUGCUAAAUAUAUUCCACAUCAGAAAGAAAAUGAAACAAAAGUGUCUUUAUAACUUCACUAACAAGACAUCAGAUCUCUGAGCUGAGUUACUCCAGCUUGUGACCCAAGUGGGAGCAUCAAUGUGAUGGAACAACACCGAGACUUGCUGGGUUGGGCUGUGUCUGCAAUAUGUUGGCCUGCCCAUUCCAAGUUGAGAGUUAAGUCUGGGGAUCUUAGUGAAGGCAUAGGUCUCUUUACUCUUAGAGUGGAGGGCACAGCGUGAGGCUGGUUUCACAGAGCAGCGAGGGAUCACAGGCUGCUGCACCCACAGAUCCUAAUGGCCUGGUGAGUCUAGUUUGCUUGGACCAUCACUUUUUUUAUUUAUUUCGUUGCCAAAAAAAAUUCUAAGCUACAAAUAUGAAGCUAAAACACAAAAAACAAACAAAUCAUCUAAACUUUCUAUUAUUUCCAAGUACAUCUGCAUACUUGGAGGCGUAUCAGCAAAAUAUUACCUUGAGAAUACUUUUUAUUUUUCCCGAACUCUUAGGGACUUCAGAUUCAAGAGAUGCAGCAUUUUGUCCUUUUCAUUCCUUAUCCAGUCACUCAACUGUCUCGGUGUUCCAUGAAGGAUGAAACAGAGUUGAGGAGCUCCUUGCAUGAGCACUUUUAUACUUUUCCAGUGUCAUUCAAUCACAAAUCUCCGUGUAUAGUAAGUUCUUGACUUUUUCCAUUACUAUCUUAAAAGUUAUUUGGUAAUUGAAUAAUAGUAUGAAACGACCUAAUACUGGCAAUGCAUCACCGUUAAACUCUUCUUAAAAUAAUUCUUAACAUAAGUAAGCUUUUUGUGCAUCAGAAUUUAUGAUCAGAGAAGAGUAUAACAAAAUUUCUGGUAACCUUAAUGUUGAUACGGAUUAUUCAUAAACAAUGAAACUACCAAAGACGAUGAAUUGAUAUAACAAACAAACAAAAAAUGCGAAUAUAAGGAACAGAAGCAAAUCAAAAUAUAGGCACAGUGCCAAAAAACAUAACCAAAAGCUGAAAGUUGUGAGAAGUAUUACUCUGAAAUUGAAGACAAAUUCGAAGCCGAAACAGUUGAAGAAAAUAAAGAAUGCUUCUCACUACGCUUUUCGUCUUCAUUAUCUGAUUCUCAUUGGUCGAGUUCAUCUCCCCCAAACUACAAGGACGUUAUCUUUGUAUAUACUAGUUCUUCUAUAAAGAACUCGAUGUCAUGUUUCCUUUGUCUCCCUUUGAAAACCGAAUGCUCACUGCAAUAAAUGUGGCUCUAAGUCUACUUCAUCCAAACAAUUGGAUCUUCUUAAAAUCCUUUCAAAUACUUUUUUUUGCAACCUUAGCAUUAGGCCUUCUAUAAAUACAUUCAUGUAUUUUUUCAAUUAAAUCAUGGUUUUGAAUUCGGUUGGAUUUCGUUGAAUGGAACUAAUCAUGCUGCUCUUUUCAAAAUUCAUACCUCGUCAUUCAAAAAUUUCAAAAAUAAUUUUUUUAAAUUGAAAUGUUCGCCUCAAAAUCCGCAGAAAUGUCUCUUCUUCUACCCAAACUUCACACCAAUUCCCCCCGUAGACAAAGGGUAAAUAAGUUUAAUGUUGAGAAGAGAAUAAACAUAGAAAUAAUGAAAAAUCUACCUUGACUCAUUAGUAGUAAAGGUCUCCUCAGCAUCCCAUUCACCUAUUUGUAGCACAGAUACGGAUACGGACACCGACACGACACGGAUACGGACACAGAGAUACGUAUAAUCUCUAAAAUGUAGGAUACGUGGACACGGAUCUAUAUAUUAUUUAAUUUUGAAUUAUAUAAAUUGAAAAUAAAUAUUUAUGUACAAAAGUAUGUUCCAGAUUCUUUUGGGAGCAGUAAGAUAUUUUUCACGACUAGUUUAAAAGAAUUUGUUAUUAUUUUUAUAAUCAUAAUAAAAAUUUAUAUAAUAAAUUUGAGUUUUUAGGAAGUUAUUGUAUUUAUACCUUUUAAAAUUAUGUUAGAACCGUGUUAUAAUUUUAAAAAAUUCAACAAAUAUUUUUUUGAAUUGAACACUUCACCGAUAAGUAUUCUACGAGUGUCGUACGUGUGUCGACACGGAUACGUGUGUCCGACACGGAUACGCCAUUUAAGAAGAAGUGUCUGAGCCUCAUAAAGGACCUACUAUCUUAUACUGUUAAUGGGUAAGACUUCGAGUUUUCUUUCAUAUGUUAAAUUCUGUUAUUCAUUUUUCUAAUCUUCGUUUUAUUGUUUAGAUAUCAUGGGCAAGGAUUUCAAUUACAAAAUGUUGCGCUCUAAGGUUGGAACACCUACCUUUUAGAGAAUACCUUAUUGAUCGAAUUCCAAAACCCUUCUAAAUGGAAGAUGUAACUUUAUUUAAUUUAGAGAAAGAUAUCGUCGAUGGACUAAUAGGCCACGACUAAUUGUACUUUAAAAAAUUAAUCAAAUAAGUAAUUUUGACUGUGUUCUAACUUGGUUUCUUUGUUAUCUUUGAAGCCCAAUAUUUUAGCUCGCCAAAUAUGUUUGAUUUGGUAACCGUGUUCUUUUAAUAAUUGUCAGAUAACUUUGAUUUGAAAUAUGCUUUGUUAAUUUUCAAAUGCGUUAAUCGAACUACUUUGAUUUUGAUAUGAUUUCUCAUUUUCAGACGUUUUUAACUGAAUUACUUUGAUAUGCUUAAUUAUCCUAUUUUUUAAUGUAAUCCAAAUUACUUUGAUUCAAUUUAGUUCAAUUUAGUUGUGUUCAUUUUCGAACACAUUAACUGAAUUAGUUUGAUAGUUGUGUUCCAUGAAAUUAUUUUCAUUCGAUUUAUUCAAGCUUUUAAAUUGAAUAAAUUUUUAAAUUUAUUUAGGAACGUGUCUCAUUAAAACUUUGCUCAACAAAACCUCCUUAAUGAUAAAAUUCGAGCUAAGGAAAAAUAGUGCAUCAUCUGUAUUACAAAUGUUCUUAUAGGGAAUGAGUUGGAACCAUCCAAUGUGGAUGACUGAAUUGUUGGACGAUCUGUUGCCAAGCUUUGUUUAAUGAAGAUCGAGAGGUGAUCCACUUGCAAAAAAUUCUUUGAUGCUAAAGUUAGUAAGAGUUUAUAAAUAUUAAAGUAUUUAAGUGAUUGGAUGAGAUUGAAUUAGUACUUCCCAAAUAAUAAAGUUAUAUUUAUAGGUUUUUGGACCGAAAGAAAUAUUCAAUAAAGUAGUUACCAAAGAUUGGUUGACGUUGCAAUAAAAAUCAAUUUUCAAAGUAUAUUCAAGUUAUUCGAAUUUGAAGAGAUUUGACCCAAAUAUCUCAAAUAGUUAUUAUAUUCUCAAUAUUUUCUCAUAUUGAGUAGUACCGAAUAUAAUUUUUAAUUUUAAAUAUUAAAUAAUAUUAAUAUUUAGUAAUAAAUAUUUAGUGUAAUUUAAAAAUAUUAUAAUAAAUAGACUUUUAAAAAGUUUACAAAAAAUGAAUAAACAGGGGCUGCAAAAUCAUUUUUAUUUUAAAAAAUUGCUAGCAAACCUAAUUCCAGGUUUUCGUUAGAUCUUCUAAAAUGAACUUUUCAGUUUUAUUAUUUUAUAACUAUAAAUAUAGUUAUACUGAAACUAAAAUCGUUACUAGUGCAACGAUAUCUAUACACACGUCAUGGGAGAGCGUCGGACGUUAAGGUAAUUUUGAAAUUAAUAUGAUCAGACUAUUGUUUAAGGUAAAACAAUAGUUUAUUGUUCAAAUUUUGGGUAUAAAGUACACUUAUUUAUAGGAAUGGAAUUUUAUAAGUUUGACAUAAAGUAUAUUUUUUGGGCAAAAUGUAAUCUAUUGUUCAAAUUUUGGAGUAUGUAUGAAAUGUUUGUGCCGGUUGUAUAAUAGUCUAGGAUAGAUACUAGAAGAUGAAUGAAGAAAACUAUUAUAUUUGAAAGUCAUCUACUUCCUUUUAUUUUGAUAACUUAUUAUAUAUAAUAACACACCACUCUGAUAUCUGUAGGAACAAAAUAAAUCCCACACAGAAGGUGCUACUUAUUCCAAGACAGAAUAUCUUUAUAUAUAUAUGGAUCUGUAAUGUUAACCUAAAAGAAACUAAACACUUCCUUUGAUAGCAUCACUGUAUUUAGUUUGACCAUCAUUGAAUCUGUCCCACAGCAUGACUCCACCAUACUUGGAAGAACUCUUGAUGGCAGGAAGAACCUGGGAGGUUAACACAUCAGAAGGAACAAAUCCACUUCCAGCAGCUGCUGUAGAAGCCGGCACUCCCAAAAACAGUUGCUUCGCCUGGCUUGUGCUCCACUGGUUCCAGGAACUGAUGAGGCUGUUCGUGUCGCCACUGGAAUACUGACAAGAAGGGUUGUUGUAGAAUUGCACCCACACAUAGUCAAAGAGUCCGGUUUUGAUGGCGGAAUCCAAGUGAGCAUCGGGAAUCGGACAUUGCGGUGCAGCGGCUAAGAGCACGGAGCUAAAUCCCUUCAGGACUCUCGCCAGCUCGUCCCAGUGUUCGCCGCUGCCGGCUUCGAUGUCGAAAUCGACACCGUCCAGGACGGCGUCGCCCAGCGGACGGGAGCUCGACUGCCCGCCGAGGAAGUUGUUCCAGAUGAAGUUGGCAACUUGUGUUGCGUCGUCGGCGGAGCUGAGGGAGUAGCUGCCGCUGGCGCCGCCUAGUGAGAGCAGCACUUUGAUGCCUUUGCUCUGGCACGCCUUGAUCUGGUCGCUGAACUGGGUGCAACCGUUGGUGGAGGGGUCGCAGUGGCCAGCGAGGUUCAGUUGCGGGGUCUGGCCGCCGCCGAACGUGGACAAGAAUGCUAUGUUGACGAAUUGGUAGUUGUCGGUGUUGCAUGCGUCGGCCAAGGUGCCCUCGUUGCCGUUUUGACCCCAGUAGACGGCGAUUCCUGCGGCGUUGGAGGGUUUGAAGAGGGAAAUGAGCAACAGAGGGAGCAACAGGGGUGAAAGUUGUUUGAGGGAAGCCAUGUUAAUUUCCAUGAGUGUGGUUGUGUGGGUAGUGUUGUUGGUUUGGUUGAAGAGUGUGGUGAGGUAGGUAUUUAUAGGCGGUGGAAUGCAUGUAUGAAGUAAAGUUUGGAUAGAAGAAAAAGUGUUCAUGGAUGAUUCUAUGGAAUACUUGUGUUUUUAAAGAUAAUAAGUUUAGUCAUAUUUUUCGUGGAGAAAAAUAUAAUAAUAAGUUAGUUAAUUUAAGAUUUAUUCAUAAAAGAUUUAUUCAUAGAUUUAAUAAUAAAUUAUUAUGAUGUCAAGUAUCAUAAAACUUUUUAUAAAAAAAAAAAGAAAUUUGGGAAGAAGACCGUGUCACGUAGUGAGAUAGUAGCGUGCCUUGUAGGGAAGAAAUUUGUUGCAUUCGUCUGCGGGAGGAAAAGUAAGAAGCAUGGAACUUUCAACAUUCUCUACAUUAAGUUCCAACUGCACUCCUUUUCACGAACUUCUUUUUUAAUGUACUAGGAAAUUUUUUUAACAAAUGAUCGAAAUUGGGUGUAUUUUUUGAAAGUUACAAAUUUGGAAUUAGUUGGGUGUAACAACCAUAAUUUCUAAACUCAUCAUCAAGAUAAAGUUGUGUCAAAGUGUUAAAAUAAUAAUACAAAAAUCGUAUUAACGUAUAAGAAAUCAUGUUAAUUUGGUAUGAUUUUCUUAAAAAAAUGUUUUACGUUGACACGAUUAGUCCUAAAUUCAUAAUUUUAAAAAAAUUAUUUUAUUUUGAUAAUUUUGUAAAACUUUUACCCUAAUACAGACAAUAAAAGACCAUGAAAAAACUCAUUAAUUAUAAGCUAAAUUUAGUGUAUAGCCACAGAGAAAAAAAUUUAGUUGACUUUAUCGUGUAAGUUAAAAUUAAUUUAUUUAUAAGUUAAUUUCUAAAAAUGAACUGUAUAAUUUAAAAAAAAAUAACUUACGGGGUAAAUUACAUUUAUGGAGAAUUGUUUUCACAUUCUUCCCUUCUAGCAAUUCUUGCGGAGAUAAUUUAUCCAAACGUACCUAUAAAUUAAUUUAUAAAAGUUCUUUCACAUGGUUUAUUUAAUGCUUUACUUUUUAAUGUAUGUGUAAGUUCUUUUUAAUGUAUGGUUUAUAAACUUUUUAGGCAAAGUUUGUCCCAACUUACACUUCAAAAUAAAGAUUUUAUGACCACCAUCUAUGUUUAUUAUAAGACAACCAAUAUAGAAGAAAAUGGGUUUAGUCUAGUUUUUUUAUACUUUUCUUUUUAUGAUAUUUUAUGUGAUGACACCUUGCCUAGUAUGAAUUUUAUAAAACAAAUUGUAAUUGUUUCAGGAUAACAUUUUACAGUAUUUUUAAUAUUUGUUAUUGUAGGAUGCAUAUGACGAUGGUUCAUGAUCUUUUACAUUGCAAUGGUAGCAUUUUGUCUCCUUGGUGUAUUUUUCUCCUCUCCUUGGUUGUCUUGCCUUCGUAUUUGUCACUGUAAUUCAAACACAAGAAAAUCAUGAAAUAAAAAUCAAUUUUAGAGACUAAAAUUAAUUAGUUGUUAUAGUGACUAAAUUAUAGACAAUUUUAGAAACUAAAAAAACUUUUAGUUUCUAUUAUUGUUAAAUGGUUUCUAAAUUAGUAUUUGGCUACCAAAGUUUUUGCUACCAAAUUUAGAAUUUAAAUAAUUGGUAGUUAAAACAUUGAUAGCUAAUUAGAUAUCAAUUUAAAAACUAUUUAACAAUAAUAAAAACUAAUUUAGAAAUAAAAUAAAAAAGUCUCUAAAAUGAUAUCAUUUAAUCAUUAUAGUAACUAAUUAUUUUUUAUUUCUAAAAUUAUUUUUUGCUUAUGAUUUUCUCCUAGUGUAAUGUUGUUUGUAUUGUGGUUUUCCAUUAUAGUUGCACCAUUAUCCAUUGUGUUCAUCAUUGGUUGCACUGCUGUCUUGUUGCACCAUCACUAACGCACCUUAAUGCUCUCAUUGGAUUAUCUUCGUAGGUUGUCUUAUUCUCUCUUUGAUAAUUUUUUAAGUUUAGUUUGCAUUGUGAAAAUAUAAUGUACUUUGUAUAGUUUUCAAAUACAUUUUGAUUGUAUUAAUUUUUUUUAAUACUUAUAUUGUUAAAUAAAAGAAAGAUAACUACCUUGAUAAGUCAUCUGGAUCAUUUAUAUAUGAUAAAAUGACUUUGGUAGAAGAUGAUCCUCAUAGGUCUUAAUGGUGUAUAUUAGUUCUAACGAUGUAGACUAGAUAGAUUCUAAAUGUUUAUUUCAAAUAACACCAAACCUUCAAUGGUUCUUGGAGAUUAUAGAACUUGAAGGUGUGUUAAUUCUCCUUGGUGAUAAUAAUGGGAGUUGGAAUCAUCAAGUUUUAUUUGCAUGAUGAAACUGAAAAGUUGUUUGAUCACUAGUGCAGAAAGACAAAACAAGGACUCCUUAUUAAGUGCAGUUUUACGAACAGACGCACUCGUAAAACACGCUGUGACAUUUUUUAAAUUAAGUUCGUUUACAAAUGCGACUAUUCGUAAAUCAAACGCUUUAAUUUAAGUUGUUGGGUCCAAAAUCCUUAAUAAUGCCUUUGCUAAAAAAUCUCCAACAAAAUCAUCGUUCCUAACACUACAAGAAAAUCAUGAAAUAGAAACCAUUUUUUAGAUACCAAAAUAAUUAGUUGCAAUAGUAACUAAAUUAUAGAUCAUUUUAGAAACUAAAACAAAAAUUUGGUUCUAAAUUAGUUUCUAUUAUUGUUAAAUAGUUUCUAAAUUGGUAUCUAAUUAGCAACCAAGGUUUUAGAUACCAAAUUUAGAAACUAAAUAAUUGGUAGUUAAAACCUUGGUUGUUAAUUAGAUACCAAUUUAGGAACUAUUUAACAAUAAUAAAAACUAAUUUAGAAACCAAUUUUUGUUUUAGUUUCUAAAAUGCUCUCUAAUUUAAUUAUUAUUGCAACUAAUUAUUUUGGUCUCUAAAAUUUAGUUUCUAUUUGAUGAUUUUAUUGUAGUGUAAAUCCCUAGUGAUGAAUAUAAUCAGUUAGAAUAUAAUUACCCAUCUAAAUAGUCCUUUUGUGUUGGGUUUUUUCUAUCAUAAAGUAUUUUUAAAAAAAAACAAAUAAAAACUCAUUUAUAUGCAUAUUUAAAAUUUCAUGUGACAUUUUUUAUAACUUCACUAACACACACAAGAAACAAAAUAAAUGAAAAAUAAUUGUUUUUUAUAGAAGAUUAUAAUCGAGUUUACUGAAAAAUCCCAUUAAAAAAUAUUCGAAAUAUAUUAAUCUUCAAGAAGUUAAUUAAUAUUUAACGUUAAAACAUGAUAAAAUAAAAAUAUGGUGCACAAAGAACCUACAAAAUAAAUACAAUUAUGUGUUUUAUUUUAAAUUCUUGUGUUCAAAAUUAACUUGUUCAAUUUUUAAAGAAAAGAAGACUUUGGUCGUUAAUUAUUUAGUUUUUAAAUUUAGAAAAAAAACUUUGAUUGCUAAUUAGAUAUUAAUUUAAAAAUUAUUUAAUAAUAGAAAUUAAUUUAAAAACUAAUUUUUUUUUAAUUUUUAAAAUGAUUUCUAAUUUAGUUACUAUUGCAAUUAAUUAUUUUGAUAUUUAAAAAUUGAUUUAUAUUUCAUAAUUUUCUUAUAGGUGAUGGUAUGGUUUAUAAACAAUCUAUAUAAAUUACAACUCUCUUGAAGGAAAAUAAUUUUAAGAGUCACUGUUUAAGGAGUAUUCGUAAAAAAAUUUAUGAAAAUCUUUAUUUUUUUAUAUUUUUCAAAAUCCGUAAAUUUUUUCUUUAUUUUUAAUUGAAUAGUAUUUUCUAAAUGCCAAUUAAUAAUUAAGAACAAAAUGUAAUCACAAUAUAAAUUAUUUAUUCAUUAUGUAAGAUAUAAUGUGUAUACGGUCAAAACUGUUUACCAAUCUAAUAUUAAUAUACUUUAUAUAUUUAUUAUAAAUUUUAAUUAUAUAAAAUAAACAUUAAUUGUAUACAUUACAAAUAUUAAACACUAGUUGUUUUUUUUUAAUCACCACAAGAAAACCAUCAAAUAGAAACCAGUUUUUGGAGACCAAAAUAAUUAGUUACAAUAGAAACUAAAAUAAAGACCAUUUUAGAAAUUAAAAAAAAAAUUGGUUUCUAAAUUAGUUUCUAUUAUUUCCUAUUAUUGUUAAAUAAUUUCAAAAUUGGUAUCUAAUUAGCAACUAAGGUUUUAACUACCAAUUAUUUAGUUUCUAAAUUUGGUAGCAAAAACCUUGGUUGCUAAUUAGAUACCAAUUUAGAAACUAUUUAACAAUAAUAGAAAAUAAUAUAAACUAAUCUAGAAACCAAAUUUUUUUUAGUUUAUAAAAUGGUUUCUAAUUUAAUUUAGUUACUAUUGCAACUAAUUAUUUUAGUUUCUACAAAUUCAUUUUUAUUUCAGGAUUCGUUAUAUAUAUAUAUAUAUAAUAGAGAUUGGGAUCAUUCCUUCUAGAUUAAUUGACUUCAGAUUGUUUGUAUUGUUUGUAUAAGAAAAUAAAUAAAUAACAUUAAAGAGGAAAUUUCAAAUGAUUAGUUAUUAUAAUCAUUAGAAAAAGAGAAAAUCGUAAAAUCAUUCAAAUCAAUAUGUUCCAAUAAUAACUUAUUAACCUUUAAAUCACAAUACAGUAGCCGAGCCAAGAAUAAUUAAAUUUUUGAGUGAAAUAUUUUUUAAUCUCGAAAAUUUAAUACUUUUUUGUUUUAAUUUAUAUUAAAAGGUUAUUCGUUUUGAGUCUUGAAUAUUGGAAAGAAAGAAAAAAAGCACAUUAUAUAUCUUUCUUAAAUAUAGUUGUUCCUACUAGGGAGAUGGGAUCUAAAGAACUAUUGAAGUCUUCUUCUCUUUCUUUCGGUCGGUCAGAUUGCUAGGUGAUGAACUGAGAUUCUUCUCGUCCUCCUGCUUCUCCUUCGGCACUCGGUCUCGGGUGAACACCGGAGGGGGUACCUGUGAAGGCACUUCGACGCUCAAGUAGGUGAACAAUAAUAAAUGACAUACCUUACUCUUUAGGAUGCGUGCUAUUUAUAUUAUUCUAAUGGGCCUGCAUUGUUGGGCCUGUUUUUCGGAGUGGACCCUGCUUAGGGUUGCAUUACCUAAUUCUUAAUGACGGGUUAGCUUCACUGACCUUGGUUUGAGCAUUAGCGGUAAUAUGGGUCGGCCGUCGGCCAAGUUCUCCUGGUAUCGGCCGUCUUGACCAAGUCUUCUAAGGUCUCAGCCAAGUAUACCGUCGGCCUCGUCGUCUCGGCCAAGUCUCUUAGGUCUCGGCCAGGCCUUUCAGGUCUCAGCCAGGUUCUCCCGGUCUCGGCCAGGUUCUCCUGAUCUCGGCCAGGUAGACCAGGUCUCGACCAGUCAAGUGGGUCUCGGUCAAGUAGACCGUCGGCCUCGUCGUCUCGGCCAAGUCUCUCAGGUCUCGGCCAGGCCUUUCAGGUCUCAGCCAGGUUCUCCCGGUCUCAGCCAGGUUCUCCUGAUCUCGGUCAGGUAGACCAGGUCUCGGUCAGUCAAGUGGGUCUCGGUCAGAGAGAUCGGGAGUUAGUCUCGCCCAUACCGGUACAAUAGUGAAUUAAAAUAAUCAAGUCUUUAUAAAAAAAAUUAAAAUAUAUUUGAAUCUUAACUUUUAUUUUAUUCAUUUUGCUUAGUUCCAAGAAGAUAAACUAUCUGUGACAUUUUAGUGAAUAUUGACAUUGUUGUGAGAGCCAUCAAUGUUGACAUAUGUAUCAUAAAUUUAGGCGUAAUAUGCGGUGAAUGGUGAAACCACACAAACUCUUAAGACUUGUUUUGUUGACUGUUGUUCAACUCUUCCUUCCAUAAUCAUCUCGUCAAACUCACUUAUCCCAUAAAUUCUUUCUGACCAUUUUCAUUAGGAACUGCAAAGUGCCUUAUUCUGGAGGGCUGGCAGCCUUUAGGUAGGACAAAUCAAUCUUUUAAUCUCAUCGAUAUAUAUUCUCUGACUUCUCUAAUUUGUUUAAUUCGUCAAGAUAGUAGGGUGAGAUGGACUAUGUUUUUUUUUUUAAUUAAAAUUGGUAUUGAUCAUUUUAUUUACAAUUUUUUUUAUAUAUAUGAUUCAUUGAAAUAUUAUUGAUAUUUACUUUAUUUUAUUAGACACUAAAUUUUUUUUAUUAGAAUAUUAAAGUUUGAUUUAAUUUUAUUGUUUUUCCUUGCAUUUUUAUUAUCUAAAAAGUGAUAUCAAUAGCUAUAACUAAAUAAAUAGAUACAAAAUAAAACAUUACAAAAAAAAUUGAAAAGUGACGGACCAACACGACAACCCGUCCACUCACCCUAUGGCGGGACAAGUUAUAAUUUUAGCAUGUAUAACCUUGACGAGUAAACCCUUCUCGUCAUGUUUUUGACGGGUCAGUGACAGGUCGGGUCAAAAUGGAUCAGACUGACCCGUUUUAUCACCCAUAAUUUUUAUAACAAAAAUAUACGAAAAUAGUUUAAUUUCAUUUUUUUAAAAGUUAAAGUUAGUUUAUUUAUAUGCUAAUUUAUAAAAUAUUAUAUAGUUUUUUUUUCUAUGAAUUUGUGCAUAAAUUAAUUUAGUUUAGAGAAGUUCUUUCAUUUUUUUUCUUUCUUAGAAGUCACUAAAAGAAACAUCAUCCAAACAAAUGCUAAGAUCAAUUGAUAUUUGAUUAAGACCAUAUACAUUGCAUGAGCCAUUUCAUUAUGUCUUAAUUUAAUUUUUGUAGAUUUCAAUGCGUUAGGUUAAUUUUAAUGAAUUAUUUGUAAUAUUUAGUUCAAUGCAAGAGUUUUAUAAGACUCAAAUUAACAUUAAUUCAAACUAUCAUUAAUGUUAUAUUUAGUUAUUGGCAUAAAUACAUAUUUUUAGUAUAGGAAAAUAAUUUUUUAUUCUUAUUUGAUCUAGAUUUUUUUUUAUCUUACGUUAAUUAGUUUACUUCAAUUAAGAAAAAAUCUCAUAAAAUUCAGGUAUUUUAUCUUAUGAUAGAGUGUAUGAUCCCUUCAAUAAAUAAAUAAAUAUGCUCUAAGAUUCUUAAAUAUCCUUUUUAGAAUAUUGAAUUUGGUUUUAUUGAUGUACUUAAUUUUGGUCCCUAUAAUGGGAGAACUUAAGGAAGAAUAUUAUACAUUUAGCAUUAAAAUUACUAAAGAUUAAUUUUGAUAAUUUAAAUUAAAUCUAAAAUUGAGAUUUUUUUUAAGUUUUUCUUAAUUUGAGAAAUUAAACUAAGAAUGAAAUAAUAUUAUUAUCUGUUUUGUUAAAACAUAGCUAACCAAUUAGAUAUAAUUUAGAUACUAAUAAUUUUUUAAUUUAUAAAAAUAAUAUUUAAUAUAUUUAAUAUAUUUAAUAUAAUUAAUAUAAUAAUUAAUUAUUUGUUUGUUUUAAAAUUAAUUUUUUUUUAUAAUUUUUUUACUAAUAAACUCUAUUCCAUGCACUCAAUAGUAUAUACACGAGUAUAUAUACACAAAUACUAAUGAGAUAAAAAAAAAUUAUCUUUACGAAUCAAAUUGUGGAAAUAAUGAGGAAUGAGCUCAACCUAAGUGAAGAACAAACUCAUAACUUAAAAGUCAAUACGUGAACAAGUGAAUAUAAUAAGUAAAAAAGUAAUUAUAAGUAUUUGAAAGAGUUUCCCUAUUGCAAAGGUGUUCUUAUAUAUACAUACUUUGUAGCGUUAACUUUAUAAGUCUAAGUCUUAUGAUGAAGUUGUAACCAAAUAUCACAUUGAAGAUAUAAUAAAAGAUAGAUAAGUUAUUAAUCUUUAUCUUUUCAUUGCUAACUGAUAUAUUGAUUUUGUUACAUUCAAGUUCUGCAUAUUUUUGUUAUUUUAAUUAAGUAUUUAAAUAAUUAAUAUAGUAUAAAUUAUGCGAGUGUUUCAUCUAACAAACAUAAUCAAAUUAUGAGUUUAGUGAUUAGACACAAACAAAAUAUAUUGGCAUAGAACUCUUCAUCUUAUGUUAACUUAUGUUAACAAGAAGAUCUUGAAAUUCGCAUCUACAUUAAAGAUUUUCUGGAAAGCACAUUAAAAUCAAUUUUUAUUCAAUUUGGAAAAAAUUCUCGAGCAAAGGCAUGUUUAGCCCAAUCAACUUUUGAAUAUUGUUUGAAGAAGAGAACCACAUUUAGAUGUUGAAAAAUUGUGAAUAAUAAAGUUAAAAAUUUAUUUGGACCAAUCCAGUGGUGUUUUUACUCGAUUUUUCUUACAAUCUUUCCAUAUGUUGAAUUAGAAAACUGUGAUAAAAAUUUCAGUGUCAAAUUUAAUAAAAAAAUUGCAUAAAUAUGGGAAAUCCUGCUGCCAUAACUACUCUAAUUUUUAUUUUGGUUCGUAAUCUAUUAUUAAACCAUUACUAGGCUUUCUUUUAGAGUGUUGACCUUUAUUGUGUGCUUUAAUUUUCUUGAUUGUCAAUUUUAUCACAAAUCCUUUGAGUUUUGUCACUAUUUAAUUUUCUGAGUUUAGCCUUUUCAAAUUGAGUUUUAUUGCUUUCUUCUUAUUGACUUAGAAGUGACUACAACUUGUGGAAGAGAAUUUGGUUUGAUGGAGGAACAAAUUCAAUAUUUAGUGGAUUCACACGCCCAAAGCUUAAGAAGAGGAGUUCACCUAAGGAGAAGCAACCAUGUGAAGUUGAAAGUGAGAGAGCUAAACAUAAAAUGAAAAAGGACUACAAACAUCGAGGAGCUUUAUAUUUGUCUUUUGUACUAAUUCUCUUGUAAAAUUCAUUUGUACUAUUAAAUAGUUUACUAGUAAUGUGUGUAGACGGUGAGUGUGUCUCAAAUGUCAAUAGGUGCCAAUGAGCCUCAUGUAGAGUUGUCUAGUUUUAUUUCAAAUUUUGCUUAGUCAAUGAAUGUGUCUAAAGGGGUUCAUAGGUGACAAUGAGUCUCACUUAGAAAAACAUAGAGUAGAUUAGCAUUUUGUUUUCAUUUCAAAUUUUUUUUCUCUUUAAAAAAUUUAUUUGGAGUUUUCAUUAGGGCAGACUAGUGAAAGCUAACCGAGGAAAACUCUGACUAGGAAAGACUUAGUUUUUAAGUGGUUCGAGUACCACCUCUCUUUCUUGAAAGUGAAUUUGGAAAACUUUUGACCUUUCAACCUACUUGUAAACUUCUAUUUUAAAAAAUAAAAUGAGUGAUUGUUUGAGUAGGUCUAUUGGACAAAUAGUCUUAGGGAAUAAAUAAUAGAUACAAACAAAGGAAUAUCUAAACUAAAAGAUAUGUUUGCUAAAUUUUUGAAAAUUCAAAAUAGAGAUAGGAGCAAACAUAGGGAAGGGUCAUGUAGGGUAAGAGAUUUUUAUAAGAAACCAUGUAGGGUAAGAGAUUUUUAUAAGAAACCAUGUAGGGUAAGAGAUUUUUAUAAGAAACCUUAUUCUCCAAAAGAAGGGGUACCAAUGGAUGUUUGCCAGGCUGCUUCUUCCUGCACCUCUAUACUACCUUCUUGUGCCACCUCCAUAAUUUUUUCAUAUUCCAAAAAUACUCUUCUCAAUAUUUCGGAUUACAUAAUCCGGAAGUCUCCAGAAGUAGCUUCCGGAUUCUGUAAUCCGGAAGCCUUUUUGUGGUUACAUAAUCCGGAAGCUAAUCUUAUGUAUAGAAAAGACUUCUGGAUUAUGUAAUCCAGAAUAUAUUCGGAUUACAUAAUCCAUAGGCUUAUUAUUUCAAAUCCAAGGGGGUGAAAAAAAAAGGAUAGAAUGGUAUUUUCACAUUUUAGGAAGAAAGAGUCUAUUGGCCAUAUCUUACUUGGAAUGCCAUAUCAAUUUGAUAAACAUAUGGGAAAGUUAAUUUAUUUAGCCCAAACCAAGUGUGACGGCAUUGCUACUAUAACAAUAAUAAUUAGUAAAUUUACUCAUGAAUCAUGACAAGGGGGAGACACAGUUGCAAAAUAAACUUCUUCAAUCUCUGAAAGUAAGAUUAGGACAGGAGCUCCUCUGUAAAAGGAGAAAGAAUAUGCAGAGGAAUACAUUGACACAGACUAUGCAAAUACACUUAAAGAUUUGUAUGUUCUUGGGUGGAAACUUGGUGACCUGGAGGAGUAAGAAACAAAGCAUAGCUGUGCAGCCAAGUGUUGUGGUGGGUGACAUUUCUGGCUAUAUACAUAGAUGAAGGUUCUUCAUAAUUUUAAAAUAUGCAGCUCCUAUGAAGCUUCUUUACAAUAAUAAGUCAAUCAUUAACACUGCCAAGAAUCCAAACUAGUUUGACAGGACAAAGCUCAUAGAUAUUAACUAUCACUUUACUAAGAAGUUGAUCAGUGGCUGUAUGGCAAGAACAUAUGCCAGUUAUGUUCUAAGAUCUUUUCAACGAGCUAGGAAUGAUAGAGAUCUAUUCUCCACACCACACUUGAGGGAGAGUGUAGAACACAUGAAUUUCUUUCCUUGUUAGAUUAUUUCAGUUUCAUUUAUAAAACAAUCCCUGAAAUUUAGUUUCAUUUUUUAACUAUAAUUAUCACAGUAACAGUAUAUCUGUACUCAUAAUCAACAUGGCAUAUGUUAAAGAAUUGAAACCAAAAAUGACAUGCUCAUCAAAAAGCAAAUUCCAGAAACCAUAUACAUCAUCAUAUCCAUUUAUUAGUAGCUAACGAAUAAACAAUUCAUCUAUCUAUGCCAAAAAGAUUACCUGAAGGGCAUCAAGGCAAAUGAUCAGGAAACUCAAUUGCAUUGAAUAUUCAAAUGAGGUAGAAAGAACACCAGACUUCUUUCAGCCUCAAUAUAGCCUGAAGGAAAGCCAACAAUUGAAAACAUGAAGCUAAACCACUGAAACAGUAACCUGAAAAUGGAACAUGAACAACCCAACAAGUGAUGUACUGUGGCUAAACAUGCAAUCUAUACAAAUCACUUAGUGACGUAUUGCACAUAUUGUUGUUGAUCAAUAUCCAAAAGCAAAGCAAAUGAUUAUUUGUCAAAGAAUGUUAAUAGAGGAUACAAUCAAAGGAACAUAAAUUAUAUAAGGUUACAACUUUUAUGAAAAUCAAAAUAUUUUCGUAUGUUAGGGUGGGUGUAAAGGUCGCUAGCUUUCAAAUUUUCAUUCCAACUCCAUUUAAAAGGAAAAGUUGCAACUUGUGAUUUCAUCAGCAACAGUCUGAAUCUAACAGACUAAAAGAACAGAAACAUGUAAUUUGUAUUUCUAACAGAAAAAAAUAAGAGAAUUAUAGAACGGUAAUAACCACCACAGAGCAAGGCAUUCACUGCGAAGAAAUUAUCUACCCAAGUCAAAGCUAAAAAAAGAGAACAUUGAGAAUUCUUUGAGUGAAGACUAAUUUCUCUUGUGUACGAAUAAAUGAUAAAUUCACUUAUUUAUAUACACGGCAGCAGACGGCAAUGAGAAACAGUAUUUUUACCACACAAAGACAAACAAUGCGGGAUCACUCCACUUUGAUGCCAACUUGAAAAUGAACAGUGAGAAAAAAGCUUAAGUGAUUGAUUUAUCCUUCAGCUCAUUCAUGUAUAUAUAUGUAAAAGUUCUUACAUCAGAUCAGAAGUUAAUCUCAAAACAAAGGCUAUGCCUAGUAACAGGUAGAUACAAUAAAAAAAAGCCUUUUAUCAGAGGGAUGUACAGACAAAUUGACCUAUUCUAACAAGAACCAUAUUGAUGCGAAUAUAUUGAUUGUGUUAGUUACAAGAACACUGGGAAAGCAAAAUUUAACUCCAACUCCAGUCAUUUACUUUCCAUCCUUUGUUUUCAAAGGCUGAAGAUCCUGUUAUUCUGUUCUGCAGAGAAGCAUAUACAGUUUUUCUAUGGAAAAAGCCCGGUUUACUCACGUCAAAGAUCAUCCUUGAACAAUGCCUUAGAAACUGAGCCAUAUGGUUUACUUCCAUCAGCCAGACCAUGGUCAUGAUCAGAACCCUGUGCCCUUGAGUUUGAAUGCUUAUUUACUGUCAUUGGGGUCUCACAUACAGUGCCAUAGUUUCCCCUUUCUCGUUCCUUCCUUUUUCGCACCCUUUGAAGCAGAUCUGUCUUGGAUUUCACACUCUUCUGCGUUGGCGCCCUCACUCUUCGUAAAACAGGCAUCGAACUUGUAAAAGAUGACAAUCUUAGAGCUCUCACUCUCUUCUCUUUAGCUUCAAUUAGUUUUCUAUCACAGUCAUAUACGAUCCUUGGUAAUCUUCCACUGACAUCCUUUUGCAACUGAAAGGGCACAUUUUCUGCUGAAGUAGGUUCAUUACUGACAUCAUUUUCAAAUACCACAUCUCUGUAUGCUUUUCUGUUCAAGGAUUUGUUGCUGUCUUCACUGUUGAGUAAACUAUUUGGUGUUUCAUCUUCAUCGGCAAACAGCAUCAGGUCCAUUUUGAAGUAUAUUUUCUGAACCACAUCUUCAAGAGUGAGUGCAUACCUGCAUUUUGGGGAUUUCACUUUCAUAAAUCAACAAUCUUUCAAUAUUUCAAUGCAAUGUGAAUUUAAUUUCUUUAGAGGAAAAAGGGAUAAAUGAAUAGAAACUCAUAACAGGGUUUCUUAUUUCAGGUUUGGAGUCUGAACAAAUAAAAGUGGGGAUGAGAGCAAAAAGAAUUUUGCAACAACUCACAAAAGGUUGUGUUAUAUCCAUACAGAAGUAAUGCUUUAGGGAAACCAUUUUCAAAUCCAUCACUUUUUUUGUUAAAUUUUCAACUUCAUCUCUGGUACUUAGCAUAUUGGCAAGCAAGCAUAAAAAUGUUAUAUGUAAGUACAAUUGCAGCAAAUGAAAAUAAAUUUUGUUAUUGUUCAUAUUCUAAAUAGAAGCUACUAACUCCACAAAAUUCCAUAAUUUGUGCAAAAGCACGUUAUUUUCGGAAGAUAUAUCAAUCUAAAACAUCUCAGUGACUUGUAUAAACUUGUACCUGUCUUUUAUUAACUUAGUCACAUAAUUUUCAAGAGUCCAAUCACCAAAGAAUCCCACUUCCAUGUGACACUGAAUGUUCUCUAAAAGCAGGCAUAUUUGUUUUACAAACUUCUGUUUGCAGGAAUCUUCAACUUCAUUUCCAACCUCUGAUUGUAAAAUCUCCAUGCGAAAUAAAAUCUGCAGUUCAUAUCUAAUGUUCACUAAGGAAAAAGCCAAAAUCAAGAAACACAUGUUGCUACAAUUACAGCUGAUUAGAAUAAUAAAAAAAAUUGCAUCACAUAAACUAUGAGAAACUUAAUUGAAGGAUACUCUCUAACUACAUGCUCUGCAAUAGGUGUGGUAGGUCCAGAAUCAAAUGUCUGAGACUGAGAUAAUGGAUUUUGGCUUUUAUGCUCAGCGGCUAUCUCCUUCGGCUCCCUUAAUAGAAGCUUUAUUAGCUCAGAUGCAAUCAUUCCACCACUAGUAUCAUGAUCUUUCAAAGGAGACUGACCCUGAGAAACAGUUUCUUUAUCAACCUUCUGACAUAGCCAGUGUAUACAAGAAUUUACUAGUCGCUCUGCCAAGGCCCCCAUGUCUACAACUUUUGAUUCAAUUCCCCGUUUGAUCCUAUCAGCAAGAUUACUGAAAAAUGUUUCAGAUGUUUCUGACCUAAAGUCUAACACAGCAUCCUCCUGUAUUUGCAAAGCCUCCGGCUCCGGAUUAAUUUCAGCUGAUGCAAAUGAGUACAGUGGUGGUUCAUCAUUUUGAGGCAAGUCAUUCAACUUACCGCUACCCAGUUCCGCUACUAUUGAAUUUGGCUUGAGCUUUUCUGACAAAGUUAUAUCAGAACAGCUAGAUUUCUUCAUCUGUUUCAUCCAGCAUUUCAAAAAUUUCAACUUUUUAGACUUGUUAGCUUCUAUGGCACAAUAAACAUCAAGCAAAUCAGUCUCUAACUGUUCUAACACUGACUUGCAGAAUGAGCUCCAUGUGAGGUCUCGAAGUGUAUUCAAAUUCAUCCUCUUCUUACUCCGAGGACACUCAACGGCCACAUCACUCUUCUUACCUCGAGAACUCAACAACUCCUCAUUAAAUUUGGACUCAGAUUUGCAAACAUCAUGAUCCACCAUCUUUACAUAUUGCUCAAUAUUUGCUUCACCAAAACCACUAGCCCCAUGUGGAUCCCCCAACACAGUCAAGAGACCAGCAAGCACAGUAAAAGGUCUCAGAAUACCAAUACAUGACUCACCCUUGCCAUUAGAAACAGCCACCAACGCCCAACAAUCUUCUUUAUACAGAAAACUCAGCAGCAUCUCCCAAAUGGGCACCUGUUUUCGCCGCCACUCACAACCAAACUCAGUGGCAACAAGCUCAAGAACCCUAUCAGCAAAAAAAUCAUUCAAACCCACCUUCUCUUUCUUCUUCAUUCCCCUGAAUUCCUCACGCACUAGAACCGAAUCAGACAACCGGUCCUCCGUCCAAACAAACCCAUCACACUUCCGCACAACCUUAACCUCCAAUUUCACACCUCCACCCAAACACAUCUUCCAAAAACCCUCCCUCCUUUCACCCCCUCCACCUAAAAAAUUCAAAUUUCCCUUCACAUCAACAAACUCAAGAUCACAACAAUCAUACUCAAUGGGACUCUCAUUCACAUCCAAGAUCGAAAGCCUCAACUGCCCACUAACACCAACACCCCCAGAACAACAACUCAACGAAACCCCAAUCAAGGGAUAAACCAGCCCAAACGGAACAAGCCCAGAACCAAGAAGAAGCGAAUCCAGCGAGCAAAAGCCCCAGCCGAGCCCCCGAACCGCAGUCCGAAGCAAAGAAGAAGCUUCUCUAGCCCCAUCCUCAUCGCUAGGGUUUGUCUCAAUAUUUUCUCCCCCAACGCUAAUCCAAGUACAGUGAAUUCCCCUGGAGGUGAAUGAGCGAGCAACAUUGGCAAAGAAGGAAGAAACAGUGUGACAGAAGGAAUUGGCAUCAUGGAAAAGAAGAGCAGGAUCGGCGUUGAGGAAAGAGGCGAGGGAAGUGAAUGAAGUGAAAGAGGGGGAGAAAAGGAAGAGCAAAUUGGGAGGGACGAUGUGGGGGGAAGGAUGGUCCCAGGAGUGGUCGUGGAGGAGUUGGGAGAGGGAGUGAGCGAGGUGGAGGGCGUUGGGGGCGGAGUGAGGGUGGAGAGCGGAGGUGGGGAGGGAGGAGAGGGCGUGGGAGAGCCGUGGGAGAGCGGAGGAAGGGAGGUCGAAGGAGAGAGAGGGGUUUGGUAGGAAAGGUUGAAGCUUUGAGAAGGAAAGAAGAGGGGAGAGAGAAGAGAAGAAGAAUUUGAAGGCAAAGAGGGAAGAAGAAAGAGGAGGAAAAGAGUGUAGGGUUUCCAGAAACGAAACUAACUGUUUUUUCCGGUAGGGAUCCUCCACACUCCAAACGUCGAUCAGAAGGAUGAUGCGGCGGCUGUCGGGGUAAGACCGCUUCAUUAGAUCUGGUGUCACUGGUUUCUCUUCUCUAACAUCAAUUCCAACUAUAAUAUAUACUUACUUUUUCUUCACUCUCUCAUGCCCAAACACACACAACACUGUGUACCUUAAAUAAAUACCAAAAAAUAUUCUUUUUUCAUUCAUAUUAUCUAAAACAAGACAUUAAUAAUUUAUUGUAAAUAGUUAUAACAAUGCAUGAAUAACAUGAUUCAAUACUUAUUAAUUAAAUAGUUAAAGAAAUCAAAUUUUAUCCAAAAAAAAAUAUGUGAUAAAAAAGUACCUUGUAAAAAUAAAGGGAAAAUAAAAGUUAGAGAAUCUGAUUCUGGGUUAUUGUUGUUGUUGUGAGAGAGCAGACAAAAUAGUAAAUUUAACAGGAUUUGUAUUUGGAGGGAAAUUUGGAUUUGGAGAAAAUUUUGGUGGCGGGAAAAAAGAUGAAGAAGGUCAACUUCUACCAUAAAUAAAUUGAGGAAAGAGGGACCAUGUUCUAGAAAACUACAAUUGUGUUGUGUUAGUGGAAGUACAACAGUUCAACAGAACAUUUAUGUGUCUGUAUUUUUAUCAUAUUAUUAGAUUUUAUUAUCUAGUAAUUUUUUGUUAUUUUAUAUAUUUUGUAUUACAUGAUUUUAUAUUAUUUAUUUGUUUUUAUGUUAUUUUGUUUAGAUUUGAAAUAUUAUUUAAAAGAUUUAAAUUUAGAAUUAAAAAAAUUGAAAUUCAAUUAAGACAAAAAAAAAUGGGAUUUAAGAUAGUAAAGAACUUGAAAGUUAUAAAAAAACAAUGAAAUGUAAAUAUUGAGACAAAAUUAAACCUUUAGUUUAAAAAAAUAAAACAUAAGAAAAUAAAUAAAGUGAUGAUUAUAUUGAAAAGUAAGAUUUUUACGCAUAAAAGGAAGUAAUAUCUAAUUAUACAAUAAGAAAAUAAUUAUAUUUAUAAAAUAGUAGCUUCAAAAUCAAUAAAAUAAUGACAUUUUGGUAAGAGCUGCUUAUAUUUAUUUUAUUCUCUGAAAUAAGGAACCAAAAGGUCCAACAUUAUCUUUUUUAUAAUGCAAAUAUAUAGUAAUGCAAUGCAAAAAUAUAAUGUUAUUAUUUUAUUUUUUUUAUAUCCAAUUAUUAGAUGCAUUCAUAUACAAAUUCGUGCAUAGUAACCUAAUGAAUAAGACAACAUAUUUUGACACAGUAUAAUAGUCAUGGUAAAGAAAGACUAUGUGAUUAAAGAAAUCAAAAAGCCUUAACUAAUGAGACCAAGAAAGAAAGUUUCAUCACAUAAUAAUAAUAAUAAUUAAAGAGAUGAUCCCGCACAAGUACAAGGUUGGGGAGAAAUAAAUGAUAAAUCAAUGGUUUAUUAUUAUUGUUGAAAAAAUAGGGCAUAAGAAUAAAAUCAUUUAAAAGUCAUCAAAUAUUCUAAAUGGUGUAGUUAUUGUCCAUAACAUUACAAAAUUUAUGUGUGACAUGUGAUAAUGUAAUUCAAGUGGUUAGCUGUGUCUUAUUCUAUGUAGGAAGGAAUGUCUUCAACUUUUUAUCUGUCAAGAAUAAUCAAUUUAACUACAAGUUAUAUAAAAAAAAUUAUUGGAUAAAGAGUAAAAACUAUUUUUUUUAAUAAAUUCUGUCAGAAACAUAGUCAACUUUGAAAAGACUAUUUGCUUUGUAUAACUAUGUACUUUAGACAGAUUCAAAUAAAGAUACAUUGUUCAAUAAAAGAUAAGUACAUUCAACUAUUAUGACACUACACAAAAUUAAAAGGAUCUCUGUGGGACAUGUGGUAUUGCAAUCUAAGUGCUUAGUGAUGUGUGUUAUUCUGUGUUGUAAGAAAUGUCUGUUAUUUUUGUCUGCCAAGAAUGACCAAUAUUUCAAGCACAAGUCACAUAAAAUUAUCCAUUGGAUAAAGAGCUAAAACCCUUUUUUUUCAACAAAUUCUCUGACACUAAGCGUAUCAACUUUGAAAAAACUAUUUGUUUUGUCUAACUGUGCACUUUACUAUUAUGACAUUGCACAAAAUUAAAAGGAUCUUUGUGGGACAUGUGGUAUUGCAAUCCAAGUGGUUAGUGAUCUGUCUUAUUUUGUGUUGUAAGAAAUGUCUGUUAUUUUUGUCUGCCAAAAAUGACCAAUAUUUCAAGCACAAGUCACAUAAAAUUAUCCAUUGGAUAAAGAGCUGAAACUUUUUUUUUCAACAAAUUCUUUGACACUAAGAGUGUCAACUUUAAAAAAACUAUUUAUUUUGUAUUACUGUGCACUUUAGACAAAUUCAAAUAGAGACACAUUGUUCAAGAAAAGAUAAAUACAUCCAACUAGUAUGAUAUUGCAUAAAAAAAGAAAAUAUAUUUAAUAUUACACGGAGUGCAUUUAAUGCGUCAUUCACAACCAAACUCAUCACAAGCAAAAAUAAUUAAAUUUGAUCAUUCAAAUUAAUAAACUCAGUCUUGAUAUCCCUGAUAAAAUCUUUUAUCGAAUAAUAUGAUAAUCAAUCUCAAUAUAUUUGGUUUUAUAAUGAAAUAUGAAUUUGAGCUAAUAUGAAAAAUAAUCUAAUUGUCACAUAUAAGUGUAAUUCCAGUGACCUUUUUAAAUUUCAAUUAUUUAAGUAAUUGUUUAAGUCAAGUAAUUAAGAUCAUAACUCUAUAUUAGGUUUUUUCACUAUCACAAAAUUUUGUUUUCUACUCUUCCAAGAGAUCAAAUUAUCACUAAUGGAGAUACAAUAUUUGAAAGUAGAUCUCCUAUCAGAAGGAGAUCCUGCCCAGUCAACAUAACAUCUAAAUAACAUACAAAUUUAACAUGAUUAUUGUGUUCAUAUAAUAAACAUUUUUCAGAACAAUCUUUAAUGUACUUAUACAGAUGAUCACAUUCUAAUCAUUUGUAAAUGGAGAAUUAAGAAAUUAACUCACUAAACUGAUUAUAAAGGAAAUUUCAAGAUUAAUAAUUUAAUAUAGUUCAAUUUCCAACUAAUCUUCGGUUCUCGGAAUCUGAGAAAAGCUCCUCCCUAAUUAGGUAAGAGUUUAAUACUAGGAUCAUUGAAUGUGUCAACUGACUUUUGAAUUCAUUAACUCAAUUUUCUCCAAAAUAUCCAAUGCAUACCUUUGAGAGAUAACAAUUUCUUUGUUAGAUUGUGUUACCUCAUUCUCCAAGAAGUAUGAGUUUGUAAGGUCUUUAGUAUAAAAAUAGUGACAAAUGUAUUGUUUUACUUAUAAAAUGUCAUGAUGAUCAUUGCUUAUAAGUACAAUAUACAUCAAUAAUAUAUAUAUAUACCAAAUUUCUGAAUGAUAAACUUCACUGCUAUUCAUACCAAAUUUUUAAACAAUAUUGCUAAAUUAUUUAAGGUUUUGUUAAAUUAUUUAAGGUUAAAUUAUUUAAGGUUAUAUAAAAAUUUAUGGAGACGAUAUAUCAAUACAGAAGAUUUCUUAUGAUUUCUACGUACAAACUUCAUUAAGAAAAAUAUUUUUGAGAUUCAAUUCAUAGAAAUUUGUCAUUGAAGGACAACAUGACUUUGAAUAAUAAGAGAUGAUUGAACAUAAAAAAUAAGGGACUAUACUCUUUAAAGAUGUCAUGUGUUUGACUGAGUCUUGUGCCUGGUCGACAUCAUCCUGAUAUUUUUUUUUUAUCAUGUAUCAUAGAAAAAAAAGGCUAUAAGAGUAAUAUAAAGAUAUAAUGGUAUGGUGUACAAGAUCUUUAAAGGGUUUUAAGUCAAUCAAACUAUAUGGAUAUUUAUAAAUUUCAUUUCAAAUUAUAAUAAAUUAAAUUUUAAAAAAUCUAUUAAUUCAUUUUAAUUAGUUAAAAAUCUGAUCGAUUUAAAAAAAAUCAAUUUAACCAAUCCAUUAACACAUUUUUAACGAAGAGACAUUCAAUUCAUCUACAAAAAUAAUUUUUUUAAAUUAUAAACAAUAUUCUUUUAAAAAAAAAAGUAGUCAAACAAAUUAAAACGUAUAUUUUGCAUGGUACUUAAUUAUCAUUUUUCAAAACAGAUGUAGUAAUAAAAGUCUAGAACAUUUAAAAGAUAUUUAUUUUAAGCUCAAAAUCAUGAUUUAUAUGCUUGGGUAUGAUAAUUUUCUCAUAAAUUAUGUAGAAAUUUGAGAGAAUUUCACAAAAUGGUUACAAAUGCCAAAAAAUAUGCAUUAAAAACCGAUCAUAUUAUGAUACAUCAAGAGAGUGCCUUAAAUAAAUUCUUCUCUACAGGACUGGUAGUUCGCUCCCAUAUAGCCCAUAUUUUCCAACAUUGCCAUUUUACAGCUCCUUCACACAUUGUUCUUCAAUUUCUCAAACUUCUCAACUAUUGCAUCCUGUUGUUUUUCUCUGUAUAAUUCAAUCAAUGACUGUAACGCACUACAUAUCAUUACUCUCUUUCUGUCUGCAAUGCUCUUAUCUUGAACAUCAUGCAUGCCCUCACCGGAUGAGCAUAAUCCCUUGAACCAAUCUUCAAGAAUCAAGGCUUUCUAUUACACAAAUGAAGCAGAAGGAAAAUUGAUUAGUCAAAUUUCUAUCAAAGAUUAUUAGAAAAGACAGGAUCAUAAUCUGCAAGAAAUUACAACAUUAAAAAUAAAAGGCAGGCAUCACCUUUAGUCCAGAACACAAACAUAUACAAGAUGAUUAUUAGGAUAUACUACUUCAAAAGUUCUUCGGUCUAGUUUUAUUUUUAAACUACACAACAUUUUACUUUUUCUCGUAUUUCAAGUAUAGGCUGCCCUAUCUCAUUUCCAUCACAAAUCUCCCAAACCAUUUAUUGGAAGAAGCUGUUUUGGCUGUAUAUUAUACUUUUCGGUUGUUAAUAAAAUCAAGAGACAGAAUUAUUUUCUUCAAACUGUUAUCAUUUAUUGCUCUUGGACAAUAGCUACUGAAAAAGUAAUUCCCUCUGCAUGUGCUUAACUAUAUUUUUUCAUUCACGAUAAAAUGCUUACCAUCACAAGAAAAUCUUUCAGCUGUUGAUCAUUUGAGUUUGAGGUAAAGCUUAGAACGUGUAACAUUGUCAAGGUAAGCUGCAUCCAGAACAUGGUUAGUUCAGUUAAGUAAUGACAGAAGCAGCAGAGCAAGAAAGCAAUGUCACAACUCCCUAAUUAAAUAACAGUUAAAAUAAUAAGAAUAACUCGUAAGUUCAUUCAAAUUUUAAACUUUAAAUAUAGUACUCUAGUUUUGAAAUCAAAGAUAUUAGUCUGAUCUGAUAUAGUAAUAUCUCAUCUCUUAUGAAAUUAUAAUAACUUGAUUACAGAACUAGGGUGUUCAAAAUGUUGAACAGAAAUAAAUUGUCAAAAAUCUAAAGUAAACUAAAAUAAUAAUUCACUCGAACUAAACUUAACAUAAAAAAUUAUUUGGACAACUUAAAUUGAACUAUACCCUAAAGUAAUAAUUACAAAGAGAUCUAUAAAAUCUUCCAACAACACACUUGCAAUAAUAAUAAAGUUCUACUGUAGCUUAUCGAAAUAUUUUCUCCCGAGUGAACAAUAUUAAUACGUAGAUCUAAAAGAGUGAACCGCAACUAAGACGACAAUGAGAGAAAAGAUUAAACUGCUUGAGAGAAAAGAUAUUUUAGAAUUGAUCCAAUAAAACAGUACAUAGGUAUCCAUAUAUAGAGAACUCAUACCCUAAAGUAAUAAUUACAAAGAGAUCUAUAAAAUCUUCCAACAACACACUUGCAAUAAUUAUAAAAUCAUAUUGUAGCUUAUCAAAAUAUUUUCUCCUGAGUGAACAAUAAUAAUACGUAUAUAAUCUAGAUAAUCGUAAUUAUAAUAGAUUUUUGCCUUAUUCAUAAUAGAUAACAUAAUAGUUUAGAGAUUGAGAGAUUUCUAGAAAAAAAGAGCAAUUCUAUUAAUUGAUAAUGAAAUAAAACAAGGUUUGUAAAUUUACACAGUUUCAUGCCUAUUUCACUUACCAAUCCAAAUGAUUAAUUCCAUGUGUGAUUGAUGAAUAAGAAGUAGUUACCUGCUUUUUUAAUGAAACCCGGUACUUGAAAUUUGAUGGCCCUGAAAUUUGGUCCUCAUCCAUAUUCUCCAGUAGAUGCUCAACAGAUUGAACAAUCUUUGAGAAUGAUUGGCCAUAAUCUGCAAAAACCAAAAACAAGUUAUAUUCAGAUGAAGCUAUGAACAGAAAAUUGUUUGAAUGAAGGAAAAGUUAUUUGUACAAAACAAUUUAUACCAAAAUAAGUAAUAAGGUAAAUGAAAAUAAAGGAAAAUACAAUGUGGCAAAGCAAAUUAGUUAACUUUUGGACUCAAAUGGUUAAAUGACCCAGUAGUUGAUUUGAUGAAUACUAAUAGACAGGUUCAAUUACUUCAAAAAGCUAAGGUUUCAGAUUUCAAAAGCAAUAACACUUGGCAGAUUCCAGUAGAAAUUCCUGGCAAUAAUAUCAUAUUACACAUCAUAUACUCAGUAUAGUACACCUUUGAGGUUGUAGGAGUAAAUGUUAGUCAUAUGAAGGAAAUCUUGUGUCUCAAGAAGAACAAAGGAACAUGUUAUAUAUAGAAUGUACAUUGCUCACAUAGAGAUUGGCAUAGUAAAAUGCAUUUAACACUCCUCCUCAAGCUAGUACAUAUAAAUCAUAUGCACCAAGUUUUAUAAAUAUAAUCAAUUCUAGGACCUAGUAAUGAUUUGGUGAAAGUGGCUUCCCCUAACUUGUAGAAGUUUAGCAUUGGGAUCCAUAUGUGUGUCAAGGGGUUUGGAAUUCAUUAGUCCAGUCUCCUCCAAAAUAUCCAAUACGUACUUCCUCUGAGAUAUUACAAUUCCAUUUUCUAGUUGUGCUACCUCAAUUCCCAAGAACUAUCACAGUUUGCAAAUUUUUUUUGUCUAAAAAUGAUGACAAAGGUGGUUUUAUCAGUAAAAUGCUAUGGUGAUAGCUACAUGUAAGAACAAUGUCAACAACAUACAUUACCAGGUAGAAAUACCCAACCUUGAAUGAUGAUAAAACACAAAAUGACCAAACUCACUAUGAGUCAUACCAAUUUGUUGGACUAUUGUACUUAAUAUACCAAGCCAUGCCUUAGGAGAUUGUUUAAUACCAUAUAAAAGAUCUAUGGAGAUGACAUAAACUACAAGAAAACCCCUUGAGCAACAAAACCAGGAGGUUGUUCCGUAUAAUUUCCUCCUGCAAAUCACCAUGUAGGAAGAGAAUUUUGACAUCCAACUAAUAGAGGGGCAACGUUCUAGAGUAGCCAUGGCUAAAAAUAAUUUGGAGGUCAUCUUGGCGGCCAGAGAGAAGAUGUCACCAUAAUCUAACCUGAAGAAGAUCUGAAUAUAAACUUUGGUGACUAUUCGAGCUUUGAGUCAACCGCUAGUGCUAUUAGAGACAACUUUGACUAUACAGAUCCAUCAACAACCAACAAAAGAUUUUUUGGGAGGAAAAAUAACAAAAUAUAAGUACAAUUGUCCUUAAAAGCACAUAGUUCACCAAGCUUGGCUUGUCUUCGACUAGGGUGGGCUGAGGCAUCGCUCGUCGUUCUAGGAAUUGACCAGUAGGGUGAGCUAAGGCAUCACCUAUUGUUUUAGGAAAUCACUGGGUGACAAGUGGGCUUUCUAGACAAGACACAUGCACUCAUGUUGAUACUAGUGGUGGCAACUCUGUUGAUGAUGCACAUGUCAGUGUUGUGAUUGCCAAAGCGAGGCACACAACGAAGAUGGUGGCUGUUAACAAGGCAACAAAAAUAGGGCUCAGGAGCUCUGAUAUCAGCUUGGAUUAUGUCAAGAAAUAAAGAAUUAUUUUAUUUAUAACAAUCAUACCAAUUACAUUCUCAUCAUUUCUAUUUGUAAUAAUCAAAUCCUUAAAAUAAGGAAAGAAAAAUAUGUUGAAAUGAAUAGGAUGAUUCUAAAGAUAAUUUUUCUAAAUUACUACGGAGAUAUUGAGAAUAUUUUUAUCCUAAUAAUUUGCUAUUUACAACAUAAGCUUUUUUCUGUUUUGUAAUGUUUAGUCUGUUUAUAGUUUUGAAACAGCUUUCUGUUGUCUGUGGUUUGACAGUUGUAUUUUGUUACGAAUUUUCUUUCUUUAUGUAGUGCUCCUCUUUCACGGGCUUUUGUAUUUUUUUAAUAAUGAAUUACAUUUCUUGUCAAUUUCAAUAGCAUCUACUCUAGCUUUACAAGCCUUUUCAGAUGCUGAUUGGGCAUCUGAAGUUGAUGAUGGAAAGAACACUUCAAGAGCAGGUAUAUUUUUGGUCCGAACCCAAAUCAUUAUAAGAAAAACAGUUACCUAGCACUGACACUGGCACAGCCAAUGCUGCUGCAGCUUGUAUCCUUAUUUUAAAAUUUGAUGAAUCACGUAGUAGCUGCAGAAGUGUACCAAACAGCACUGGAGACCUGAAAAAUGGAAGCAUAAGGCAUUGCUCAGUAGUUUACAUUUCAGUGUUCCAGAAGUAACAAGUUGCAAAAAGAUAUCUUCAAGAAUAGAGCCUGUGAAAAACAGGACUACCGAAAACAAGGCAACAAAUAUCAUUUAUCUAAUGAAACUGAAACACAUUGAACUACAGUACCUCUUUCUUAAUACGACACUAAAGGAUAAUACUAGAAAUGUAAUGCCUUGUAUAAUUCAGAAACAGCCAAUCUAGCCUUUAUUCCAAUUUAUGAAAGGGAAUGUUUCAUCCUCAUAUUAAAUGAAAGCAUAGCACAAAAUAUUCAAGUUAUUGGACAUGAAAAAUAUGAAUCCAACUGAAGACAGUUCCACAAACUUUAAGUCAUGAGUGAAAUACUCCUACAAAUAAAUUUGCCUAUUUAGACAAUUAUACCUUCAAUACUUUCCCACAAAAUGGAGGGUAUAUGUCAUAUGCACCAAGAUUGUUACAAAUAAGUGUACACAAGAUCCCUUGAGAGAUUUAUGAAGACAUGCCAGUUGGCCAACGAAGCUAACAAAGUCAGUGGUGAUUUCUCCUAACCAUAUUUUUCUCACAAAAUGACUCUAUCUAUAUGUAUUUAGAUCACUCAUUAGAACACUAUAGUAUGUGGUGAGAUACUAUUGGAUUUUAUUAUAUAUGAAUUCUUCAAAGAUAGGUUUAAUCUACAUUUUCAUAGGUUUACGCCUCGAGUGGGUUUUGGUAUAGUCCCCCGAAUAUUUUGUAUCUUCUACUUCCUCUCAUAUAACUAAAUAUUUUAAGUUGGUAGCAAAGCUCCCGUCAUGGGGACUCUAGUUUCGUAUCUUAUUCUUUAUCACCUUAGCUAUGUUUUUUUUAGGGUUGCUUGAAGUGCAUCCAUCUUCCUCUUUUUUUGUUUGUGUUGCCUGGAGUCCUCCCAAGCUGUGUUCUCACUGGAUUUUAGCAUGCAUUUUCAUCAUCACCAUUGCCUCAAAUCUAGUAUUCCACGAGAGGAAGAAAUAUAUUGAGAUAAGUUGUCCUUUUUUACGCAAUUUUUUAUUUAUUUGAGACAUACUACUUAGUUUGUUAACUCUAAUCAGCAUUGGUAUAUCUUCACCAAAUCUUUGAGGGACCCAAGAAUUGCUUAUACUAAUAACAAGCUCAGUACAUGUCAUUUAUAUGAAACAACUUGAGGGAGGCUGAUUCUCCCUGCACCAAAUCAAUUCAGAUCUGCACCUAACACAUGCACAUGAAAAGUCCCGUUCGCCCUUACUGAUUUAAAACACUACCUAGGGUUCAUUGAGGCACACCAGUGAGCACGGAGACGAUGGAGAGAAGGAGUUGUCGACGGAGAAGAAGUGUGCAUCUGAGAAGGUGAGUUUUUCAUGAAACUGGUGACUUUCCCGGAUGGUGUUGUGCGGAAGCUUAAAGAAGAAUUGAUUGCUUCCAGAUUUGGAUAUCCGUAACUGUUCCAAAUAUGGAAAUCCAGAAAGCAAUGGUGUUUAGGAUGCAUAAAUCCAGAAGUCAGUGUGUGUGUUUGUGUUUUUCAUUUGAUGCCAUUUUUUGAAAAUAAAGAUGACAAGGGAACUUUCGGGUUUAAAUUUUAUGUUGGGUGCACACUAGAAUUGAUAUGGUGCAGGGAGAAUUAGCCCUUGAGGGAGUGUUAGAAGUAUUUUUCUAUGAGUCUAGGCCCAUAUGUGUUUAAUAUUGUUGUGUGUGCAUAUAUAUAUGUAAAUAUAUAUAAUAUUCUUGUGUUGUGCUCAAGACACACAAGGAUUCCAUCAUUGACUCCAUAUCUUUAUCACUAAUGUUGCAUGGGACCACCAAUUAGGACUAUAGUAUUUUUUAUUUAAAUCUUAAUUUAUUAAAGUUUUAUUUUUCAUUUCCUUAGUGAAGCUCUCAUUUCAGAUAACUCUUUAAUUAAGAUAUUUUAGAUAAGAUCCCUUUAAUGGGAUCUCUUUGUUUUUAUUUUAUUAAUUAGGAUCGUUUAGGAAUUUCUUUAUUUUUAUUUAACCAAUUAGGAUAAUUGUUGGGGAUCUAUGUAGCCUCUUUAAACCAUGAGAAAUAAUUUCAGAAAAACUGUUGAAUUAGGAGGGGCCAGUUAUGGAGGACAAAAUGAGUCUUUCUAGUCAAGGUCUGAUACAAAUUAUUUCGUAUAAGCUACCAAUUGCAUGCAGUAACUAGGAGAAGAAUAAAUAUAUGUAAUGUAUUGUACAUGAUAAACAUAAGAAGCAUGUGCUUCAUUUUAACGUACCACUCCAUAUCUUGCAGCCUUAAUGUCUCGUUGAGGAACAGGUUGCCUAGAGCAUGACAAACAUUCCACUGGACCUAGUAAGAGAGAUUCCAUCUUCAAGAGGGAUAGAGUGCAUUGAUACCAAGAAACCAAAAUAUUCAGAUAAUAACGAGACAAUAUAAGAAUAUGGUACCUUAACGUUCCCCGUAGUUAUGGAAGCAAUAAAUGCAUGAACUAUUCUCUCUAGCCUAUUCAAAUCUUGUAAACAAUGCUGUUGACAAGCCAUUGCAUUUUUAGUAUUGAGAAAUGCUUCAUUCAUGUGGUUAUGAUGGUCCAUUCGUGUGUCUUGAAAUUUUGAUGUUGAACAUUUUAAGAUUCUCGAAAUAUACCCGAGAGCCCUAACAGCAUUAGAUUUAACCUGGUAAUUGAAAAAAGAAAAAAAUAAAUAAAAGAAUCCAGAAACACAUGUGCAAAUCAGAGGCAAAUAAUCAAUAUACAAUUUACCUAAAUCCUAUAGAAUGGUUUCCCCGUUAGAUAUUGAAGAUAACUUGGAUUACGGUAAUUAGGCAAUCUUUAAUUAUGUGAACUAGAAAUUCUAGGAUUUAUAGCAAUAGAGUAUAUUAUCCAUGGGUUGGAAACAUUUUGAAUUGCAAAAUUUGGAAAUCUAUUACUGAUUAUACAAUCCAAAAAUCUAUUCCGGAUUACGCAAUUCAAAAUUAAAGUGUGUUUUAGAUUACAAAUCUAUAACAUAUUCAAAAUUAUACAAUCUGAAAUAUGUUUCUGGAUUACGCAAUCCUAUGUUUCCAGAUUGCAUAUUCUGGAAAUACAUUUCAGAUAGUACAAUUCAAAAUACAUUUUUAGAUAAUAGAAUUCAAAAAUGCAUUCCAAAUUACGUCAUCCAAAUAUGCAUUUCGGGUUACAUAAUUCUAAUUGAAAAUCCGGAAUACAUCUCCGGAUUAAGCAAUUCAAAAUAUAUUUCUAGAAAUACAUUGUGAAUUGUACAAUCCAGAACAUGUUUCCAAAUUCAAAAAUACAAUCUGGAAUAUGUUUCUGGAUUACGCAAUCCUAUGUUUCCAGAUCGCAUAUUCUGGAAAUACAUUUCAGAUUGUAUAAUCCAAAAUACAUUUUUGGAUAAUAGAAUUCAAAUAUGCAUUCCAAAUAGAGGAACAUUUGUAUUUUAACAUUAGAGAUUGUGUAGUUUCAAUGAGAUGUCUAUUCUUCCUCUUGGCAAUGCCAUUUUGUUGUGGGUGUGUGAGGACAGGUGGCUUGAUGUAAAAUACACUAUUUAGCAUUGUCACUUCGGAAGACUUUAAUUAUGCUUAGAAAUUGGUUCUUAAUCCCAUUAAAAGGCAUAAAUAUGGACAAAAGUUCAGAUUUGUCUUAUUAAAUAAACCUAAGUACAACGUGAGAAUUUAUCACUAAAGGUUACAAAUCAUCUAAAACCAAACAAUGUGACAUGUCUAGGUCCCCAAAUAUCUGAAUGAAUGUAGAGAAACAGAGUCAUUAAAGAUAACAUCUUCGGAAAUGAACAUUUACCCGUAGGAGAGAGACAUUUGUACUCUGUUAGAUGGAGAAUAGCUAAAAAACACGCUCAUGAGAUCAAAAAUCAAAUUUGUGUUUGUUCUAAAUCCUAACACUAGAAAACAAGCUCAACCAAAUGGUCUUUAAGAAUUGAAAAUCAGGAGAAGCCUAAAAGAGAAUAGUAUAAAACUGCAUUAUCUUUCUAAUAUCAAGUUUGUUAAGAGGUUGUGAGAAGUCUAUAAAUAAAAUAGACAACAGUGGUGAAGGCAUCAUCCCACAUAAUUAGAGGAAGAGAAGCAUAGCUAUGUAAGACCAAGAUCAACAUGUUUGUGUUUCUUUUCAUCAACACCAUUUUGAUCAUGAGUAUGAGAACAAAUAAUCUUGUUUUGAAUUCCCAUAUGCAAGAAUCUUAAGGCAAGGAUAUGAACUCAUCAACCCAAUCAAUUUGAAAGCUUUUUAAAGGAAGUUUAAACUGAAGUUUAGUCAUAGACUUUGUAGAGUGAAAACAUUAAUAAAGAAAUCAGACUUUUUUUUGAGAAAGAAAAGAAAAAAAGACGUAAAAUAAAAGUUGAUAAAACAAUUAUAACCAACUUAAUACAACACUAACAAUGGUAAAUAGGCAAUUUUUGGGGAUUUAUAUAACUGUAGCAAUUAGGCAAUUAUUUUCUCCAUAACUAUUCAUAUAAUAAUACACUAUGUUGAGUACAUUGACACAAAUUCAAUCAUGUCUCUAGUUACUCCCUUCAAAAAUGACAUUUUUUCAAUAAAGAAAAUUCAAAUUUAAAGAAAUACAAAACAUAAAUAAAAAGAUACCUUGUCUCCAUCCUUGGUAAGAUGCAAAGCACAUUCACUCAACAAUACAAUCAGCUGGGGAUUGGAGAUUGAACCUACAUAAAAAGGUGGCAAAUAAGGAGAUUACAAAAAGAACAUUGAAAUUUUGUCUUGACACCAAAUGGUUGACCAUUCAAUCAAGGACAUCAAAUCAAGCUCACCCAUCUGCUGUCUAAACGGGGGGAUUCUUUCAGAGUGACAAAUAGCAUCACAUAUAUUUGCCAAUGCCCAUGAAGCUGUUAUCCUAACCUGCUUUACGGAAAAUAAUGAAUUACUAAUUAAUUACAAAAAGUAUGUAGGAAAGUGUAGACUCAGAAACUGAAGCCGAACUUACUGAGAUAAGUGCAUCUCGAGUGUUGAUCUCAACAGCAUGGAUAAACUUCUCAAGUACCUCUGCACUACAGAGAUUAUUGAACUUUUUAGAUUUUCUCUAGUGAAUCAGAUAUAUGUUUCAAAAAGAAAUCAUAAUAUUCACAGUACAAGUUUUAGUAUAACCUCUGACACACUUGUGGAAAACAUGAAAUGAUACCAAUGGCUCGACAAGCAGAAGAUCUCACUGAUGGCACAUUAUCACGUACAGCAGCAUGUACCUACAAAAUUUUAGCUGGUUAGUAAAUUCAUUUCAGCAGCAUGGUAAUCUAUUCGAUACAAUACUCCAAUCAGAUAGCAUUGAGAAUGAUUUCUAUAAAUACUUACUAAAGACGACAAUAUAAAGUCCUGUUUCUCCUUAGUGAAACACAUGAACACAGAAGAAGUCAUACCCGCAAAACAUGUAAUUGAUGCAGCUCUCACCUUUAAAGGAAAAGCAGAAACAGGUACACUGUUAGGAAAUUGGAAAAGAAAAUCAUAAAUAUUUGAAAAACACAAGCACAAAAUAGUAUAUAUGCAUAUUGAGACAAACUUCUACCACUUCCAGAGCCUAUGGCUCGUCAUAGAAAUACUCUGUCCACCCUAAGGCUCUAUAAAACUUUCCAUACUAAGCUGAAAAACUACCUUACAAAAGUAUUCUUAGUUAUUGUUUUUAAACCUCCUCCUAUAAUAAACCUGCAAUCCUGUCUUAUGUCAACAUGCUAUACUUGCUUUUGUCUAUCAAUACUUCCCUCCUCAGAAUUAACCUUGUCCUUUAGGUUAAAAUUAAGAAAUUGAUUUGAAUAGUAGAUAAAUUUUUUAACGUGGAUUCCUCAGAUGUUUUUCCCUUCCAUUGAACUAACACAUGUUAUACUGGUGCAGCAUCUUUAGUGAUUGUACGUCUUCCCUGAAUGUAAGCUAGGAUGAACACUUUUGUAGUUCCUUGCAAUUCUAGAGGUAGAGCAACAUCCACCAAAUGAUCCCCGAUGGCUUUCUUAUGUUGAGAUACGUGGAACAUGGGAUGAAUCCGAGCUUGCUGUGAUCAUUCUAAUUAGAAAGCCACUUCUCCGAAUUGCUUAAGAACAAAAUAUGGUCCACAGUAACGUGCUGAAAGUUUGGGAUGAAGCUUAUUAGACAUAGAACUUUGUCUGUGGCAAAAUUUAUCGACACACACAAUCACCCAGUUUGAUCUUGGAAGUGUGAAAAAAUAUAUAGUAAGAAGUUAAGGAAUUACUUUUCUUGUCAACACACACAAGCACCCAGUUUGAUCUUGGAAGUGUGAAAAAAUGUAUAGUAAUAAGCAAUAAUUAUGGAGUUACCUUUCUUGAUCUAAACGAGAAACAAUACAUUGUUACAUUGGUAUUUAAAGGAAAAACAAAAUCCUCAUAAAGAAAAUAAAUCUCCUGACAUAAAGGAAAUAAAUCUGUCUACAUAAAGAUUCUAAAGCUGGAGCAUAUCUACUAAAUAAACACCUAAUCCCUCAAUCCCUUAACUUUUGGGAUUUCUUACAAAAAAUCUAUAGUUAUUAUCCAAUCAAUCUAUAUAUAUUGUACAGUAAAUGUGCUAUAUUUACACCCAUAUUUCAACACCCCCCUAACAAGUUGAGGAAGAAGUGCACUCCAUUCCCAGCUUGAUUAUGAGAUUAUGGAAGUAUGAGGUAUUGAGUCCUUGUGUCAGCUCAUUCGCCACCUGUUGCUUGGAAGAAUGUAUGACAUGCAUACUAAACCUUCUUCUAAUUUUUCCUUAAUGAAGUGUCUAUCUAUUUUAGUAUGUUUUGUUUUGUCAAGUUGAAUGGGAUUAUGUGUAAUGUCUAUUGCUAACUUAUUAUCACAAUAGAGCCUCAUGGGUCCCUACAAAUUAAUCUUCAACUCACCUAAGGUCCUUUUUAGCCAUAAUUUUCACACUUUGUUUCUGACAAACAAAUGAGACGAGUUUUUUUAAAUGAAAAAGUUGAAAACAUGAUUAGAGGUCACAAAUUCCUUUACUUGGUAGCAAAUCCAAAGAUUCUAGCUUAUUGUCUGACAGACAGAAAUAGAGAAUUAUCCGAUAAUCUUCAUAAAACAUUUGCAUGGUGCUAAGUUGACACUUCUUUUGGUCUAUGUACAUAAGAUGAUUAUUGCAGAAAAUGAUGAAGGUGAAAAACAAAUGUGAAAGGAGGAGUUAGCAGCUCGACAAAACUUCGUCGAAAUAAAUGUUUGCUAUUUAAAGUGUUUUUGAUAGUCAACUUGAAGUUGCAUCUUACAUUCUUGAGAAAACACUACUCUUAAAAAAACUCACCCGACAAUGCAUUUGUCCAGCAUUAAGCUUCUUUUGUCACAUUUAUCAAACGUUUAGCAAAAACUUCUCAAAAGUUUUAAAUGCACAAUUCAACCCUUCCUUGUGUAUUUCACCUGUUUUUACAAUAUUAUAUGGAGGAUUUUUGGGUGUGUAAAAGACUACAAUGUAAUAUAAAAACAUUCAUAACUGGUUUAGAUUUAUAUCCCACCUGAUUUUUCUAAUAAAAAGUUGAGUUUCAAUGUAAGAUUGGUGGGCUUGUCCAAGAUAGGCAAUGCUAGAGACAUGAUAAAAACCAUUCAUGUGUCUUCACCUAACAACUUAACCUUUCGCUAUUUUGAACACCAUAAGCUAAUCAUGUUCUCCAUGAUAAGAAAUAUUUUGAAACAUGAUCUCAACAAUUAGCAUGUGAUGUGAAUGCAGCUCGUUUCCUUUUCUGACAUGAUGGACAUUAACCCAAAAGAAUUAGAGGUAGUUGUUGGCCUAAAGUAAGCUGGCCUUCUGAUGUUGUGGCAGAUCCAAAUAUGAAUGAGGGGUUGAGAGUUUCGCAGAGGAAAAGGAGAAAAAUGGUGAUUAUUGGGGGCAGUUGGUUAUCAUUAUCACUUGUGAAUCUUAUGGAAUGGAAGGCGUAUAUUUAGUAAAGUAGCAGAGGUGAAGCAGAGAAGACAAUUAAUUUUGUGUAUGGUAAAUAGAAAUUUAAAGGUCAGUCUGUCUCUAAGAGGUCUACUUUCGCUGAUUAACAAUACCAGUGGCUUGCUUCUCUCUCCUUUUAUUCUCCAUUUUUGUUUCUGUUAUGCAACAUCUGACUUUGUAUAGAUCAAGCCAAUUUGUGAAUGAAACUACUAAUACGUUCUCAUAAUAUUCAAUUUAGAGAGAAAGAAAGGUAAUUCAAAAAAUUAAAAGAUUCAAGAUAUCUGAACAAGAUCACUGAUUCAAGUUAGCAAACAAGACUCAAUUAUUUAGUAUAAAAAAAAAAAACAAAAACUAUUACAUAAGAAAUGAAAAUUCUCACCAUUGCUGAAGAGUGACACAAGGUAAGAGGCAUAUGCUUCUCAAUUGCCUCACACCAUUGCUGAAUUACUGAAUCACUAGCUUCAAAGUUUACAAUAACAUCAUCUUUUCCCUCCACAUCAUACGAUGGAGCAGAUGACACUUUCUUCAUCCUAAUGCAAUCAGAUGCAAAAGGAAUAUCCAUUAAUUUAUCAUCUGAAAGAUCUUCUGUUCCUUGAAAUCCAGAGACUGCCCGAAGACUCUCAUCUAGAACCUUAAAAUAUUAAAAUAAAUUCUCAUUAUUUCAAAUAGAUACAAGAAAUCAUGUCUCUAAAAUGAUAUCAAUUCAAGUCAAAAUAAUAUUUAAAAUAAGAAUGGCAAAAAUUUAGAUAAAGGCAACAGUUCCUCAGGUGCUUUUGCUGUUCUCCAAUCAGAAUUGGAUUUUCAAAUAAUUAUAUGAUAAAGGUCUGUAUUAUAGGUGACCAUAGGUUAUCAUGGCAAAACUUCAGUCCUAAUUGGAGAAUGGCACCAAAACACGCAAGGAAUUCCAUCUAAGUUUCGUCAAAAUAAAACUUAGAUGAAAAGUAUAUACAAGUAAUAGUACAAGAAACACGAGAUCAUGCCACAAGAAAAAUGUAAUGGUGUUAAUAGAAUAUCCUAAAUAAAAAAAUUAAAAAAAAGUAUAUAAAAGCUCACUGGAAGCAAGUUCAUGCUCACAACAUUAAGUGAGAAACAUAUCAAAUUGAGAGAAUUAGGAUUUGAGAGAACAAGAAACUUAUUUUAAUUUGAAAUGGAACAAACAACAUUGGAAAGAGAAGUUGAUUAAUGUUCAAAGAAUUGCAUCUAAGUGUUGACAAUUAAUAAAAAAGUCAAAAAAGAAAAUUUGACACUUUUCUAUGCAAAUGAAAAGAAUAUAAAAGUGCUAGUACGAGACACAAUUGACACCAUGUCACAAGAAAAAAUGUAAUGGUAUUAAUAAAAGCACUUCUAACUCAAAACAAAAGAACCAAAAAUAAAAUCACAUCAGAAGCAAGUUUAUGCCCUCAACAACAAAUGAGAAACACAUCAAAUAGGUUUUGGGUGAAAAAGACAAACUUAUUUUAAUUUCAAAUUGAACAAAAAUAGUUGGAAAGAAAUGUCCAAUGUUCAGGGGAUAGAUACCAUUAACACAAACUCAAUUAGAGUGGAAAGAAAUAGAUGAAAUAUAUUUCUGAGAUUUCUUACAAAUGUAAUUACAAUCUCUAUUUAUAGACUGUUUUACAACCUAAUUAAAGAAAGAAAUAAUAGGCAAUGAAAGCCAUAAAUAAUGAGUGUUUAAAGCUGUACAAAUCAAAUAAAAUCAAAUCACUAACAAAUCUGUCCUAAUAAAUAUAAAAUGGAAUCUGCACUUAAUUAUAACAUAAUUCUCCUGAUUAUGCAACACUCCCCCUCAAGUUGGUGAAUGUAUAUCUAUCAUUCCCAACUUGCAAGUAAGAUCUUCGAAUUGUUUUGUGGGAAGUCCCUUAGUAAACAUAUCUGCCAAUUGGAGUCUUGAAGGGAUGUACUCAGUGGCUAUAAGACCAUCAUCCAACUUCUCUUUAAUAAAGUGUCGGUCUAUCUCUACGUGCUUUGUUCGAUCAUGUUGAAUCGGAUUGUGUGCAAUACUGAUAGUGGACUUAUUAUCACAUGCCAAACCCAUAGGAGCUUCAUAUUUUAUUUUUAGGUCAUCAAGUAUGAUCUUCAUCCAUAAGAGUUCACACACCCCUUGAGCCAUGGCUCUAAAUUCUGCCUCUGCACUUGAUCUUGCAACUACAUUUUGCUUCUUGCUCCUCCAUGUCACCAGAUUUCCACCCAAGAACAUGCAGUAGCCUGUGGUGGAUUUCCUAUCAACAAUCGAUCCUGCAUAGUCAGCAUCAGUAUAUACUUUCAUGGAUAAGUUUUCCCCCUUUUUGAAUAGCAAUCCUUUUCCUGGAGAGGCUUUUAAGUACUGAAUAAUUUUAUCUACUGCCUGCAAGUGUCUUUCUCUUGGAUCAUGCAUAAAUUGACUAACCACACUAACUGCAUAGGCUAUAUCUGGCCUAGUGUGUGAAAGAUAAAUGAGUUUUCCCACAAGUCUUUGAUAUUGUGUCUUCUCCACUUUUGGGUUUUCCUCAUCAUUCCCAAUCCUAUGAUUUUGCUCUAUUGGCACUCCAGUGGGCUUACAACCCAACUUACCAAUCUCUUUGAGAAGAUCAAGGAUGUAUUUCCUUUGAGAAAUAAAGAUGCCCUGUCUCGAGUAAGCNNNNNNNNNNNNNNNNNNNNNNNNNNNNNNNNNNNNNNNNNNNNNNNNNNNNNNNNNNNNNNNNNNNNNNNNNNNNNNNNNNNNNNNNNNNNNNNNNNNNNNNNNNNNNNNNNNNNNNNNNNNNNNNNNNNNNNNNNNNNNNNNNNNNNNNNNNNNNNNNNNNNNNNNNNNNNNNNNNNNNNNNNNNNNNNNNNNNNNNNNNNNNNNNNNNNNNNNNNNNNNNNNNNNNNNNNNNNNNNNNNNNNNNNNNNNNNNNNNNNNNNNNNNNNNNNNNNNNNNNNNNNNNNNNNNNNNNNNNNNNNNNNNNNNNNNNNNNNNNNNNNNNNNNNNNNNNNNNNNNACUUCUUCCUCCAAGCUUCCAUGCAAGAAGGCAUUUUUAACAUCAAAUUGAUGCAUUUCCCAACCAAAGUGUGCUGCCAGGGAGAGAAUAAUCCUGACGGUAUUCAUUUUUGCCACUGGAGCAAAAGUCUCCUCAUAAUUGAUCUCAUAGGUUUGAGUGUACCCUUUUGCAACCAACCUUGCUUUAUAUCGAUCCAGUGUGCCAUCAGACUUAUACUUAACUGUGUAUAUCCACCUACAACCAACUGCUUUCUUAUCUUUUGGUCUCUCUACAAUCUCCCAAGUCUCAUUCAUUUCUAACGCGCUCAUUUCUUCAUUGAUGGCUCGAAUCCAGUUCUCAUCUUUUAAGGCUUCUUGUACCGAUGUAGGGAUUUUGAUAGAAUCAAUAGCUGAAAGAAAACUCUGGUGCUGCAUAGAAAGUUUUUCUGUAGACACAAAUUGGGAUAUAGGAUAUUUGGCACAAGAUCUUUCUUCUUUUCUCAAGGCAAUAGGUAAAUCAUUUAGGUUAGGUUCAAAAGCAGUAUUUAAGGUGUCCUCAAGAGUCUCACUGGUAUGAGUUCUUACCUCCGAUUCAGACAAUUGAAGUUGUUGUUCGACCAGGACGGGUUCUUGUUGCCUUCGCUGAUAUUGUUUNNNNNNNNNNNNNNNNNNNNNNNNNNNNNNNNNNNNNNNNNNNNNNNNNNNNNNNNNNNNNNNNNNNNNNNNNNNNNNNNNNNNNNNNNNNNNNNNNNNNNNNNNNNNNNNNNNNNNNNNNNNNNNNNNNNNNNNNNNNNNNNNNNNNNNNNNNNNNNNNNNNNNNNNNNNNNNNNNNNNNNNNNNNNNNNNNNNNNNNNNNNNNNNNNNNNNNNNNNNNNNNNNNNAUUUGUACCCCUUUUUGUUGGGGUCAUAACCGAUGAAGACACAUUUGAUGGCACGAGGAUCUAACUUACCCCGAUAAGGACUAUGAACAUGGACAAAAGCAGGACAACCAAAGACACGAUUUUGAAGACUAUUCAACAUGGGAAUAGAAGGAUAGAAUGUGGUCAUAACCUGGAUAGGAGUAACACCCUCUAGAACCCGAGAGGGUAAUCUAUUAAUCAAAUAAGUGGUAGUCAGGACAACUUCUCCCCAGUAAGAUCUAGGAACAGAUGUUUGGAAAAGUAAAGCUCGAGUAACCUCAAGGAGAUGACGAUUUUUCCUUUCAGCAACCCCAUUUUGUUGAGGAGUGUCCACACAGGUUAAUUCAUGAACAACUCCAUUUUCCUCAAGGAACUUGGAAAGGUUUUGGUUCACAUAUUCUCUUCCAUUAUCAGAACGCAAUCUCUUAAUUGGACUUGCAAAUUGUGUUUGAAUCAUUCUGUAAAACUUUACAAACAAGUGAAAAACUUCAGACUUAUCUUUCAUGAGAAAUAUCCAAGUAACCCGAGUACAAUCAUCAAUAAAUGAAACAAACCAUUUUGCACCCGAGAUAUUAGGAAUAGGUGAAGGUCCCCAUACAUCUGAAUGAAUAAGAUCAAAAGGUUUAGAACUUUUAUUACCAUUGGGAGGAAAAGUUGUCCGAUAGUGUUUAGCAAACUGACAAACAUCACAAUGAAAUAACUCAGCAGACACUUUUGUAAAUAAAACAGGAAAUAAGGACUUUAGGGUACUAAAUGGAGGAUGACCAAGACGUCUGUGUUGAAGCCAUAUCUGAGAGGAUGACCAAGAUUCACGACCUUGCUGAAGAUUAGAAGUGUGUGCCUGUAGUCUAGCACCCUUUUUACUUUCUUCAUGCUGUAAAUAAUAUAACCCGCCCUGCUCUUUAGCAAUUCCAAUAGUCUCCCCCGUGGCAAGAUCCUGAAAAACACAAUGGGAAGGGAAAAAUACCACUGCACAAUUUAAAUCUUGGGUAAUCUUUUGAAUAGACAAGAGGUUAUUGGAUAGUUUGGGAACAUGAAGCACAUUUUUUAAAGGAAAUGAAGGUUGAAGGUGAAUGUUACCACGACCAUUAAUUGGGGGUAGUGGAACCAUUAGCAACAGUAAUAUAUGGCUUACCGGAUAAAGUAGUGUAGGAUGAAAAAGAAGAGGAAUGAGGUGUCAUAUGAUCAGUAGCACCAGAGUCUAUAAUCCAGAUAUUUUCAGUACUAGAAGCAUUAAAGGAUAAAAAACUAGAACUCUUACCACUCAUAGUAAAGGAACAAUAGCUAGAUGGCUUACUAAAGGAGUCCAUGAGAGUUCAAAACCAACUGAGCGACGGCAGUGGUGGUCGGUGGUGGUGGUCGGCGGUGGUCAAUGGCGGUGGCAGUAACGGUCAAUGGUGCAAGGUGGUGGUGGUGGUCAAUGGAGAAAGGAUAAGAAAAAUAGAAAGUUGCAGCAAUGAAGGCUGUCCAAAAAAAAAAUUAAUUGCAGCAAUGAAGGCUGUCAAGGAAAAUGAUUACAGCAAUGAAGGCUAAAAAAAAAAAAAUUGCGGAAGCAAAGUCUCCUAGAUCAGGAGCUCUGAUACCAAGUGGAAAGAAAUAGAUGAAAUAUAUUUCUAAGAUUUCUUACAAAUGUGAUUACAGUCUCUAUUUAUAGACUGUUUUACAACCUAAUUAAAGAAAGAAAUAAUAGGCAAUGAAAGCCAGAAAUAAUGAGUGUUUAAAGCUGUACAAAUCAAAUCAAAUCACUAACAAAUCUGUCAUAAUAAAUAUAAAAUGGAAUCUGCACUUAAUUAUAACAUAAUUCUCCUGAUUAUGCAACAAUUAGCAUUCACAGUUUUUCCACCUUAGCUGCCUCAACUCAACUGUGAUACCGACUACGAAAAUAUUAGCUCAGCAUGUGAAAAUUGGCAUACCAUAGCCAAAUUAGAUGACAUUGGUUCCAAAAAUCAGCUGGACCUUACUAACUCGGUCCACAUCUAUUGACAGUGUUUAGGACAGGCAGGGAGUAGAUUGGGCAUCUUUUAUUUUCGCAUGUGCUACACCAAAAAGGUUAUUCCUUGGUCUACUAGGUGAAUUAUUUUUCAUCCAACACUUUAUCCCUUGUUUUGUGCUUCUCCAUAAGCACUUUUAUAAUCAAACAAUGAACAAUUUAAUGCUGGCUAGUCCAUUAGUUUCAGGUAAAUCAAACAGACCAAAUGAGCAAUAGAACUAAUAUAACAGACUAUAGAAAGAACAUAAGGUUUGUUUGUUUAACUUUCUCCAUAAGCCCUUCUACAAGAACAAAAUAAGAAGAAAAAAGUGAAAUAUGUUUCUCAAUGAACUAAGAAUAGAUGCAUUAGUGAAAAAUCUAAAUUUGGAUAAGUUAAACAAAAGAGCCUCUACAAGUUAGUUUAUGCAUAAGCUACUUGUAGCUUAUAAAAAUCUUCAUUCAUUUUUUCUUCUUAUUUUCUUUUCACAGAAGUCUCUAUGGAGAAACUUAUUCAAACAAAUCCAAAAUCUUUAUGGUAGAAAGGAGUGCAAAGACGCCAACUAACUUCAAUGCAUACAACACAUGCAUUUUCAAACUCGAAUUGACUUCUGAUUCUACACCAAUAAAUCUAACAGAAAGGGGAUUAAGAUCAGUUCAGGGAAAAGAAAAGUUGCUACCUUAAUAGCAGCGAUAGUAACUUUUUCAUUAAUAAAUGUAGUAGGGCUACCAACAUGUUCACUUGAUUGCCUGGAAGGAGCUUCAACGCAAGCAGUGCUAAUGAAGUGAUACACAAUAGCAGAAACUUGUUCCCAACAAGCAGUCACUAUGUUAGGAUAAUUGUGGAAUGCAGAUUUAAGUGCCUGUAGAAAGUUAAUCUGAAUACAUCAAUAAACUGGCAUAGAAGCACUCACCAACUUACUAUUUAAACAUCAAUAGAAAAAUACAUGUCCAUCAAUAACUACUACUUUUAAAUUUGAAAACAGCUUGAUGUUUAAAACAUCUAUGAAACUUUCGAUGACAAAAUAAGAAAGGCAAGAUACCAUUAAUCUUUCAGAAUCAAGCUCCAAGUUAACACCAAUACUACCCUUAAUCUUCAAUUUGCAGUAAGUCAUUAAAUUUCACUAAUCUUUGGCAGAAAAAAAAAAUAUACAAAGCUGUCAGUAACAAUAUUUUAAUACAAUCGCAAGACUUUAUGUUGGAACACAUGAUACUAUUUUAUUACCUUGAGUUUUUGUUUGUACAGUUGUUGUAGUAUGAGAUAUGUAUUUCCUCGUUUCAAUUUUGUACAAAUUUUUUCAAAUUUUUUUCAUUUUAUUAGUUUCAGUUAUUCCUAUAGUUAGAACCAGUGUAGUUAAAAAACGGAUGGCAGAUUUCUUACUGGCUGCUGUUUUAUCCGCAUUACCUGGUGAGUUUUGCAUGGCGGGCUAUGGCAAUAAUUUUCAUGUAGUAGUCAUUGCAGAAAUACUAGAAGAUGUGAAUUUACUACAAGUUUUAUUAGUCAAUUUAUGCAUGGCCCAAAUGUAGUGCACCUAUAGGCCACUCACCUUGUUGCAACCACUAGGAACAAGAAUUUUAUAUAAAAGAAACAUAAUUCAUGAGGCUUUACUCCGAUGCUAACUAAGCAAGGUCUACGACUACAAUAGAAGGUCCACUACAUGAUAUUGGACAAUUCUUGAAGAGUCAUCCCCACACCUAUCAAAAUUGAAGAAAAUGGUUCCUAACCUUGGCAAUCUUCAAGUCCUAGAGUGUGAGUCAUGUCAACAGAGGAAACAUGUUAGAUCUCCCUUUCCAAAAGGAUCCGAAACAAAAUAUAACGUUAUCUCUUCAAUAAUUCAUUUUGACAUUUGGGGUCCUCGUCGACUCACAUCUUUUAGAUUUUCGUAUUUUGUGAUUUUUAUUGACAAACAUUCUCAAUGAACUUGGGUUUAUUUAAGGAAAGAUUGAUCUAAAUUGUUUUUUUGCUCUUUCUUUAAUGAAAUCAAAAAUCAAUUUGGCAAGGUUAUCAAAGUUUUGAGGAAUGAUAAUGCUAAAGAAUAUUUUUCUUCCAACUUUCAUACUUUUUUUAAGUUCACAUCGUAUUUUACACAAGUCCACCAACCCUCACACACCUUAGAAAAAUGGUAUAAUAGAAGCAAAACCCAUGAUAUAAUGCAUAGUGUGUCUCAAUGAGCAAGCAGACCUGAUAUAAUGCAUAGUGUCUAUGUGCAAGGUUUCACAUAGAUCAUAAAAGAGUCUCAUUUGAAGCCUGCCAAGCGGAUUUUUCGGUACCUUAUUGGGUCUACUAAUCUGUGUUAUAACGGAAAAAAAAAGUUACAAAUUAGAAGGCUUCUACGACAGGAACUAUGCUGGAGAUCAUGUCGACAGAAAAAGCACAAACGGAGGCUGCCACUUUCUUGAACCUUGUCUAGUGUCGUGGUCAAGCAAGAGGCAAAACUCAAUCGCUUUUUGUACAAUAGAGGUUGAAUAUAUGCUUGGUACAAGUUUUUCUCAACAGCUAUAGGUGAAGUAUUAGAUGAAAGAUUACUCUAGCAUUGAACACAAUAUACUAAUAUAUUGUGACAACACUAGUGCAAUCAAUCUAUCGAAAAAUCCUAUACAACAUUCUAAGGCUAAGCACAUUGAGGUAAGAUAUCAUUUCAUUUGUGAUUAUGUUCAUAAAAAUGUUUUUAAACUAAAGUUUGUGAAAACAAAUCACUAAUGGUUCGAUAUAUUUACAAAGGCUUUACCUGAAGAACAUUUUAAUUCAUUUUAAAACAUAUUUAAGAAUGAUAGGUUUUAUAGACGUUCUUAAUCAGACAACAUGAUCGUUAGUUUAGUUUUAAUGUGUUUGUUAAAUUUGUGGUGAGACUAUCAGGUCCUGAUAGUCAUUACAGUCUUACAGACAAUUAUUGCAUCAUGACAGACAACAUCAAACACAUGAAGGUUGUUUUUGAACAUGCAUCACAAGGUUGCAUUUGAAACCUGAAGUGUCCUCCUCCAAUUCUCUCUCCUACAACAUGACUAAGUCCUAAGGAAAGCUAUAAAGUAGCAAGCAUCUUCAUAAUGGCUUCUGGCUUUGCAAACCAAGCCUCAUCUUCCCACUGCUUUAGUGAUAGAAGUAGAACAAGUUUUAAAGUGGCAAAAGUUAUCCUCUAUUGGACUAAGGUCAUUUUUCUCUUUUUUUUUAUGGCCCUUAAGGGAUAGAAAGAUAAAAUUUAAAACAUAUAGUGGGAGAAAAGUAUAAGAGAAGAGAAAGUUAAAAGACAUUAAGUUUAAAAGAGAAGGAGAUCUCUAGUUGAAGGGGAGCUUAGAUGAAGAAGAACUUUAAAAGAUGCUAAGUUAAGGAGAAGCUCAACAAAUGAUAUUUGUUUAACGUUUCUUUAGUUUCACUUUUUCCAUUGCUCUAUGCUUUGAUAUAUGAAAUAUACUAAGUUAUAAAAGCCUGGAUUCCUUUAUUUGAUGAUUCUUUAUGCACUAUAAUUUGUAAUCACAUUGAACAAGAUUAUAUCUCCUGAUAUAAUCAUCUAUAAUGAACAUUACGUGAUAAAGUUUCAACCCCAUCAAACUUGUGCUAAACUACUUUUUAUGUGUCUUGAGUGGGUUUUAAUUAAAAACGUUUGUGAAAACUUGAUCUAAUAAAAAUCUUUCGAAAAUGAUAUUGUUUAAAAUGUGUUACUUAACAAUAAAAAAAGGGGAGAUUGUCAGAGAAAAAAACAACAAACUGCGAGUUAUUUUAAUUAAGUGCUUACAACGGUGUUAAAACCUAAAUUUGUCUUAGCAUGACAAACAAAAUGUUUCAUUUGAUGACUAUGGACGCAAAUGUUUUGUUUGACGCCAAUAGAUGCAAAGCACCUUGCGUACAUAUCAUGUCUGAUAAGAUUAUGCUUAAGAUGGACGAUUAGAUGUGUUUCAAAAGCUUACAUAGUAGAACUCUUAAUCUACUAAUGUUUUUAGUAUAUUUGCAGAGAAUGCUUCUUCAUCUAACCACAAUGAAUAUCUCCAAGGAAUAACAACAUCAAAAGAUUUCUCGAGAAUUGUGUCAGAACUGCCACACGCCAACAACUUCACUUUCGUCAUUGUUGCAUAGUUUAUCCACUUUGUACAAUCUUGACUUUUACCCUAGUUGAAAUAAAUAUAAUGUAACCUAGACCUGAUAAGUUAUGUUCAGUAUCAAAACAUUCCUUCAAAUAGAAUUAUGCAAUGUUUCAUGGAGAACAUUUAAUGCAACCCUCAAGUCUACAAGGACAUACGCACACUGAGAAUGAAGGACUUCUCUUUGUCUCUCAACGACCAACUAAGAAUUUGCAAAGACUCUUACAUAAAUCUUUAUUUACAGAAGAUAUCUUGGAAGAGUAAAGUUGAAGAACUAAUGAUCUUAUGAACAACUAUAAAGUUGAAAUCUUAAGCUUAAUCUAGCUCGUUGAUAGAACAUUGUUGUGUUCUUUGGCUAUCUAGAAGUGAACUUAUCUUGCAUGCAUUGUAGGAUACAACACCUUUUUAAGUGAGCAACCCUACGAUUGUCUGAUCACAUUUUUUUGAAACCAAGUAUCUUAACUAGAAGUGACUACGGUCCAAACAAUACCCUGUCUUUGUUAGGAGUGGUUGGAAUCCAAGCAAUACUCAAUUUUGGCAAGGAGUGGCUGCGGGCGAAAUAAUACUCAGUCUUUGAGUGAUUGCUUUCCAAAAAAUAUUGGGUUGUAUGUAUAGUCAAGAGUGGUUUGAGAUUCAAAGAAUACUUGCUCUGUAUUUGCACUGAUAGUCUACGCAGUGAAACUUCAUCAAGAAUUAGACGUAGUUCUGGUUAACACAUGAUCAAGUAUAAAAAAUCAAGCUUGUUUAUAAUAAUAAAUCUAUCAUUAACAUUGUUCACAAUACAAGCAAGUUUGGCAAAACAAAGCACAAAGAUUGACUAUCACAUUACAAAGAAGUUGAUCAAUGACCUUAUAGCAACAACAUAUAUACAUUAUAGUUUCAAUCGACCAAGUAUAUCAACCAAGUGAUAGCUGAACAUUUCUAACAUCUUUCCAACGAGGCAAGAAUGAUAUAUAUAUAUAUAUAUAUAUAUAUAUAUUCCCCAAACUUGAGGGAGAGAGUAGAAACACAUGAAUUUCAUUCUUUGUUACAUUAUUUCAGUUCUAUUUAAAAAAAAAACCCUGGAAAUAUAGUUUCCUUUUUUUAACUAUAAUUGCCUUACUAAUAGUAUAAGUUGUAAAUUUUAAAAUUAGUUGCCUCACUAUACAUAUCAUUUAUACUUGGACUCAUUAUCAACAUGGAUUUUGGUUAAAUAAUUGAAACUAAAAAUGAAAGGCUCAUUACAAAUCACAUUCCACAAACCAUAUAUACCAUCCUCCCCAUUUAUAGAUGCAAAUGAAUAAACAAUUAACCAAACCAAAGAAAUUACCUGAAGGGCUUCAAGGCAAAUGGUUGGGCAACUCGAUUGCAUCGAAUAUUCAAAUAAGGUAUAAAGAACACCAGACUUCUUUUUAGUCUCAAUGUAGCCUGAAGGAAAGCAAACAAAUGCAAAGAUAAGGCUAAACCAAUUAAGCAGUAACCUGACAAUGGAAUAUGCACAGUCCAACCAGUAAUGUCUUGUGCCUAAACAUACAAUCUAACAAAUCAGUCGUGCCAAUCAGUUAGUGACCAGAAAAACAUAAAGCCUUAUAUUCUUGUCCUCAAAGCAUGUCCAUAGAGGACACAAUCAAAAGAACAUAAAUGUUAUUUGGUUACAACUUUUUUUUAUAAUCAAAAUAUUUUAAUAUGUUAGGGUGACAAGUCACUAGCUUUAAAUUUUCAUUCCAACUCCCUUUAGAAGGAAAAUUGUGAACUCAACACUAAUAUGAAUCUAGUGGAAACCCAAAGAACAUAUGCAUGCAAUUUAUAUUUCUAAUAAAAAAAAUCAUAGUUGUAUCAAAAUUAAAGAUUUCACUUGUCUAGUGAGAAAUUCGUCUAAAGCUUUAAUGAAAAAUGAUAUGUUGGAUUUCAACGUGAUUCAUUUUUUAGUAUUAAUACUCGUAGUGGUAAAGUUCGUCUUUACUCUUCCUGUUAGAUGAGAGUUUCAUUCACCAGGCUGGGUUAAAAUUAACACUGAUGGUGUGGCUAGAUGUUAUUCUGGUCUUGCUACUUGUGGAGGUAUUUUCCGUGGGAGUAUGAGGGAGUUUAUUGGUGGGUUUUCUACGUUUAUUGAUGUUCAAACUGCUUUGAUUGCUGAGUUAUAUGGAGUUAUAUAUGCUAUGGAGUAAACUCAAAAGAUAGGUCUUAGUAAGGUAUGGCUUGAAUGUGAUUCUUCCUUGGUUAGUGGUGCAUGAACUGUUAGGACUAACGUUUCGUGGAUGUUUCGUAAUCGGUGGAACACUUGUGUUAAUUACUGUGGGAAAAUAAUGUUUAGGGUUACUCAUAUUUUUCGUGAAGGGAAUGCGUGUGCGGAUAAGCUGACUAACUUAGGAUUCAUUCAUAGAGAUUCAUUUCAUUGGUAUAAUAGACUUCCAUCUAGUCUAUUCUUAGAGUUCUUUAUCAAUAGGUAUAGUUUAUCUAUAUAUCGUUUUUGUUAACAUAUGGGUUUUGGUUUAACCUCCCCAUAUUUUUUUUUGUAUUUUCUUUUUUCUUUUAAUAAUAUUUUUUAUGUGCAGAUGAUUGUUGUUACUUGGGGUGUUAGCCUAGCUGAAAUGUCAAGUUGCGUAGUAAUGCCUAAUAUGAAAGUUUUAUAUAAAAAAAAGAAUCAAGUGGUUCAGUGAGAAGAAAUUAUCUACCCAUGUCAAAGCAAAAACAAAUGAGUAAACGAUGAGAAUUAUUGAGCAAAGAUUAAUUUCUCUCAUGUAUUGUUGAGUGAUUAAUACAUGUAUCUAUACAUAAGAGGGUUGAUUCAAUCCUUAGAGUUUAGGGAUUAUUAUUAGGGAAACAAGGACAAUUAAUGAAAAUAAGGAAACAAGGAAACAAGGAAAAUUCAUGAAAAAAAAAAGAAAAAAAAGGAACAACAAAAAUAAGUAAAUGGAGACAUAUGAAAUAAUAUCUUUUAUAAUCCCAACCGUCCCCUUCAAAGUAAAAUAUAGACUCCCUCGAGUCCUUAUUAUAAGGCACAUUUUAGAAGAAAUUAUUGGUUUCUUUUACAAUCAUAUAGUGGAAGUUAGCUCACAUCCUUCACCGACACCAUCUCCAAUAUCGAAUCUAGUUUCCUCUUAAAAUGAUUAGCCUAUUGCUAUUCAAAAAGGUACAUGUUCAACCCAUUACCUUCUACCCACUACACAAACCUCUUUUAUCAUCGGUUUUCCAUCAUAGAGUAUGUUUGUUUGUCCUUGUUAUCUUCUAAUCCUAUUCCUAAGUCUCUAAGUGAAGUUUUAUCUCAUCCAUAGUGACAACAUGCAAUGAUUGAUAAGAUAUGUGACCUUCAAAGUAGUGGUACUUGGGAGUUGGUUGUCUUCUAGCUAGCAAAUCAAUGGUUGGGUUUCGUUGCUUCUAUAGUCUUAAAACAAAACCUCAUGGAAAUAUUAAUACUAUAAAGCUCGAUUGGUUGUCAAAGGCUACACAAAAAUUGUAGCAAAGAUUAUAUUGAUACUUUCUCACAUGUUAUCAAAAUGACAUCUAUUUGACUUCUCUUUUCCAUUGCAGCUAUUCACCACCAAGGUUACCGAUAUCGGAAAACAAAAUUUCGAAGAUCCAGAAAUCCUUUAUAAGAAUAUAUUGGAUACCAUAACGGGUUAUGGCAAAAACAUCGCGAACAAAAAAUAUAUAUUCAUAUCAAUAAUAUACAAAAAUACAAUAUAUAUAUUAAAGGAAAAGAAAGAAUAGGGUAAAUCCCUUGUGUAUAUUGAACACAUAGGGUUAUGUUUAUAUAGAAAAAGAAACAUAUGGGCUAAGCCCAUUACAUAAAUAUGAGAUAUCUAACAAUAUCUAUAAUAUCUCAUAAUAUCAAAUAAUAUCUAAAUAUAUCUAAUAAUAUCUGACACUCCCCCUCAAGUUGGUGCAUAUAGAUCAUAUAUACCCAGCUUGUUACAAAUAUAAUCAAUCCUAGGUCCUCGUAAGGGCUUAGUAAAAAUAUCUGCUAAUUGAUUAUUUGAAUUAACAAACUCAGUCUUGAUAUAUCCUGAUAUAAUCUUUUCUCGAAUGAAAUGACAAUCAAUCUCAAUAUGUUUUGUCCUUUCAUGAAAAACUGGAUUUGAGCUAAUAUGAAGAGCAGCCUGAUUAUCACAUAUCAGUGUCAUUUGAGUAACUUCUCCAAAUUGCAAUUCUUUAAGUACCUGUUUAAGCCAAAUAAGCUCACAAGUAGCUGGGUCAUAGCUCUAUAUUCUGCUUCUGCACUAGAUCUUGCCACAACACUUUGUUUCUUGCUCUUCCAAGAGAUCAAGUUAUCACCAAUGGAGACACAAUAACUAGAAGUUGACCUUCUAUCAGAUGGAGAUCCUGCCCAAUCAGCAUCUGAAUAACAAAUGACUUUAGUAUGGUUAUUAUGACCAUAUAACAAACCUUUUCCAGGAGAGCCUUUAAUGUACUUCACUAUACGAAUGACUGCAUUCCAAUGAUCUUCACAUGGAGAAUUAAGAAAUUGACUCACCACACUGACUGCAAAGGAAAUAUCAGGACGAGUAACAGUGAGAUAGUUCAAUCUUCCAACUAAUCUCCUGUACUUUUCAGGAUCUGAAAGAGGCUCCCCCUGAUUGGGUAGAAGCUUGACGUUAUAUCAGCGGUGUGUUUACCUGGCACGCGCAAAAGGGUAGAACAAGUGGAAGUAAAAUUGGGCACAAUAGGAGAUCCCAAAAUUUGAUCACGAACGUGAGAAUAAUNNNNNNNNNNNNNNNNNNNNNNNNNNNNNNNNNNNNNNNNNNNNNNNNNNNNNNNNNNNNNNNNNNNNNNNNNNNNNNNNNNNNNNNNNNNNNNNNNNNNNNNNNNNNNNNNNNNNNNNNNNNNNNNNNNNNNNNGUCAUUGUACCAUCAAGACGUUUGGGAGCAACAAUUGUGAGAAGAUUUUGACACACACCAUAAAGACGUUGAGUAUCAUUGGUGUAUAAUAAUUUUGCUUGUUCCUAAACUUCUGAACAUGUCUCAUAGGUACGAAAAAUUUGUUUUAAAGAUGAGUGAAUGGUCGAUUUGAUAACAAUGCAUAAUUGAGCAUCAAUUUUCGACUAACGAACAACCUCAUUUUCAGCAAGAGUAGGAUGAGUAAGAUGAUCAACAUAACCUUGACUCUUAAGUCAUAAUUUAAUAUCUGAUGCCCAAGUGUCAUAAUUGGUUCCAUCCAAUUUGUCAAUGGAAAGAUGAACAUUGACGUAAUUAGUAUAAAUAGAUGAAUCCGGNNNNNNNNNNNNNNNNNNNNNNNNNNNNNNNNNNNNNNNNNNNNNNNNNNNNNNNNNNNNNNNNNNNNNNNNNNNNNNNNNNNNNNNNNNNNNNNNNNNNCGGAAGAAGCCAUAGUGGCAGCGGAAGCGGAAGAAGCCAUAGAAGAUAAGGACAAAUCCAGUCACCGGUUAAUUGGCGGGAGCAACAAAGAUGAAGGCUCCGACAGCGAUUCCGGCAACGUCUCCGGCGAGAUUCCGGCGGCGGCUUCGGCGAGGGUCCGGCGAAGGUCCGGCGAGGGUCCGGCGAGACAGUGGGGUGGUGGCUGGAAAAUUCCAGUGAAUAGUGGGUUCACCAAUAAAAAUUGAACCCUAAACCCUAACCUUAUGCUCUAGAUACCAUAUUAAAGGAAAAGAAAGAAUAGGGUAAAUCCUUUGUGUAUAUUGAACACAUAGGGUUAUGUUUAUAUAGAAAAAGAAACAUAUGGGCUAAGCCCAUUACAUAAAUAUGAGAUAUCUAACAAUAUCUAUAAUAUCUCAUAAUAUCAAAUAAUAUCUAAUUAUAUCUAAUUAUAUCUAAUAAUAUCUGACAAUAUACAUAUAGAUAAUUUAAAAAAAAUUACAAAAAUAACGAAAGACAAUUAGUAACUAAUAAUAAUAUCACGGUUAAGAAAUUCAAAUAACAAUAAAAUCAAAUUAAAACCCUGCAAAUGUCAAGUUCAAAACUUAAAAUAACAACAAAACACAAUCAAGGAGUUGCAAGUUCAAUGUGAGUAGGGUGGAGUUGCAAUCCACAGUGAUAGUCGAAAUAGCGGCAAUGGCAAUGCCAGUGGAAACAACAACAAUGUCAGCAAAAGCAGCAACGGCAGCAGCAGGACUGGACUAUAAUGAAGGAGACUAGGUCAACAUUAUGUUGUAAUGUUUCGUUUGGAAAAGGUUGUAUGGCCCAACUCAUUUUUUUAAAAGAAAAAACACUUGGGCUUACUCCAAUUGGAAAAAUAAGAAAAUAGGAAAGAAGAUUAGUGUUUCAUUGUCAUGGACUGGGUUAGGUCACGCAGACUCGAGACUUCUCCUUCAAUUCGCUCAGGUGUCACUGCUAAUCAUUCGUUUCACAAUGGUGUUGCUACUACUUUGUUUCACACGAGCAUCGCUCUGACAAUCCUCAACUUCCGCCAGAUCAGUUCCGCGACGCUAUUCUUUGACAUCCAAAGCAACCACAAUGCUCCUCCAUGAAAAACUUACAUCACCACGUGGUUGCAAGCUAUAACUCCACCAUCGAUUUCCAUCAUAGUGCCGCCAUAGCAAAAUUGUUUAUAGCACUGUUCACCAUUGGACUCUUUUUCAGCUUCACAUCAAAAUGGAUUUCUACGUGGUGAUCUCGGUGAAGAAGUCUACAUGGAGCAACCUCUGCAAUUUGUUGAUCAGUAGUUGUCUAAUAUGGUGUGCCAUCUAUGAAGGUUCCUAUAUGGCCUCAAGCAAUCACCCUGUGCAUAGUUUGUGCGUUUGUAGUUUGGAAUGAUACAAAAUGAUGUCGAUCAUUCUAUAUUUUAUUUUCAUUCUCCCCAAGGAUAUAUUCAUCUCAUUGUAUAUGUAGACGACUUUGUUAACACAAGUAAUGAUGAGGAUAUUGAUAACUAAAACAAUACCUUAAAGUUCUAAAGAAUGAUCUUGUACAAUUAAGGAAUUUCCUUACUACAAAACUAGCACAAUCCAAGGAUGGUUGGCUCAUAUCUCAAAAAAUAUGCUAUCAACAUUCUCAAAAAUACAAGAAUGAUAAAUGAUAAGUAUGUCGACACACCAAUGUAUCUGAGUGUCAUAUUUUGAUCCUGAGAGAUACAGAAGAUUAGUUGGUAAACUAAAUUAGGUCACCAAGACUUGUCCUGAUUUUGUCAUUGCAAUGAGCAUAGUAAGUCAAUUUUUAAGCUUUCCAUGUCAAGACCAUUAGGAUGCAGUCAUAUCAUCGCAAUCCUAAAGUAUCUUAUGAAGCCUCCUAGAAAAGACCUCAUUUAUGAAUAUAUGGAAAAUGCUCAAAUUGUUGGAUAUUCUGACACUAACUGGACAUGGUCAUUAAGUGAUAAAUGCUCCACUUCAAGGUAUUUUGUUCUUGUUAUGGGCUGAAGUGGAUUGUAAUUUUGUAAGAUAGAUUUGUCAACUAUAGUGAAUAGUUGGUUGAGAUAUUCACUUAGUAUAAAAGAGGACUAGGGUUGAUUAUAUUUGCAGCAAGUUAGGCUGAUAUGACUUAUACACUCCAGCUUAAGAGGAGAGAGUGUUGUAGUUAUAUAAAGGAAUUGAUCCUUGAUAAUUAAGAAUAUAGAGAUUAUAUAUGUAUUAUUAGGAACAUUUUUAUUUAUUCAUAUAACAUAUCUUAGUUAUUACGGCAUAUCAAAUCUCCUCUUUUUAUUUUAUUGAUUCCUUUUUCUUAAUAUAAACAAAGCACUCAUGCAGUCUCAAAAACACAUAGUUUCAAUUCAAUGUUUCACUUAUUCCUAGAAUUUAACAUAUAUUAAUGAAUAGUGAGAAGAAAAUUUUAGAAGUCAUUAAUAAUGAAAAUUAUUUUGGUACAAUGGUAAUAUUUUUAAUUCAACUAGAGUAAUUGGCUCAUUGAUCUAUGUGAUUGAGGACCUGAGGGAGUAUAUCGUAUGUAUCCCACCUUGUGAAUUGUUUGUUGUCUAAAAUAUUUGUUGAUAUCGCACUAAUAAUCAACAUUUUUAACGAUGGCUGAGCAAGAAAAUUGAGAAAGAAAAAUUGGGUGGCUCUAAUACGAUCAUAGGAUGAGAAGAAUAAUUUCGUCAAAGUAUUAUAAACAAUUUAUAAAGUUGGGAUUAUAAAUAGGGUAACAACAAUGCCUACUUCCAAUAGCUAAGGUUGGCUACAUGGAUCACAAGAUGCCAUGUGGCUCAACAAGUAGGUAAACAAAGAAACUAAAUGAAAAUAAGUAAUCAAGAAAACUAAAUGAAAAUAAGGAAUCAUAUAAAUAUGAAAAUGAUUUCUCACCUAAUUCCUAAGUCAAAUCUAGACACAUGCCAUAAAAUACAAUUGUGACCAUGACUUAUUGCCCCACACAGGUUCCACUCCCUAAGAUUCUACCAACUCUAGCCUCUAAACCAUGCACUUGGCACAAAAUAAAAUAUUUUUUAUUAGACAAUGACAACAUCCUUUUUCGUGCCUUCCUAUGACUAAGUAGGAUUAAUCAUCCUUAAUCUUAAUUAAUUUUGCACACAAAACGAGAAUUUACUUGUGAAAGUAAAUGCAGCACUGUCCAGUCAGGAAUGCAGUUCAAGUUUUAACUUAACUAGUACGCCAAACAUGGACAAGAAGCAAUCCCAAGGAUAUUAGAUUAAUAAUUGUGAUGAUUGUUUUUGUUCUCACUAGUGAAGCAAUUAAGACAAGUACUUAUCAUACACAAGGAAAAGUGUUACAAGGUCAACUUACUAAGAAUCUUUUGGCCAGGGCCUAUUUAAAAGCCUAUUCAACUAAAAAAGAUAGCUUUAGUUCAUCAAGAAAAUAAUUAAGUAAAUACAACUAAUAUAAUAACAAUAAUUUUAUUAUUAUCAUUGUAUUACUUUUUUUCCUGAGAUUUUGGCAUUAAAUAUUUGUUAUUACUGUUUAAACCAUGAAUUAUGAAAAAAUUGAUGUUAAAAUUUUAGACUUUCAUUAAUUUUAAGUAAUAACUUAUAUGUGUGCUUUUAUUAUCAAUAAUAGCAGGAGUUACCUGAAGAAACCUCGUCACAGAGAAUAUUCCUUAUUUGAGCAGAAGAUGGUGAGGUAGACAACGCUAAUGUUAAGCAACCAAUAGAAGCUGCCUGCUAACAACAGUCAAUGUUAUACAUGCAUAUCAUUGCUACAGAAGGACAAACAAAACUUUGGACAAUUAAUUGGACAACUGACCAGCACACCACUUCGUUCACUUUUCAACCAAAAGCCUUCUUCAAUCCUUGUCCUAAUAGAUGUAACAACAAUAGGCAACAAAUUUGGUGGCAUUCUUGAAUAUCUGUCAAAAUAAUUCUUUCAUUAGACAUAAUUAUUUUACAUUCGGAAGCAAAGAAGAAAAUAAAAACUUAAUCUGCAAUUACAGAAUCAAGAAGCAUAAAUGGAGUUAGUGCAACUUAUGCAGUUAAAUAUUUAGCCUACAGUUAAAUUGAUAAAUAUCACUAUCUUGAAUUAAUUGUUUUAUUCUAACUAGCAGAAACACAAAUACAAUUUUAAAACGACUUUUUAGACCGAAUGGAAAUAAAGGCAAUGAAUUCAAUUGGAUUUGUGUUCUAUGAAAGAAAUGGGAAGGGUAAAUAGUAAAUGGGUCUCACUACUAUUUUUCCUCCAUAUUUCUCCCUUGUUUCUACUAAUCUCUUUCCUCAUCUCCAUUCAAACUGAAGAGAAAUGCAAUCCUUGCUUACUGAAAAUACAAAAUUCAGUGAACCUCUUAUAGAGCGCAUAAUCAAAGAUUAUUUGAUUAUUAAGUUGUAACAAACUGCAACUGUCAAACUACAAAUGAUAACAGAUAGCAGUUUAGAAACUACUAACUAAAAAGAAAUAAACUAUACAUUACACAAAAACAGAGAAACGCGUAUCUCUAACACCACCCCACAAGCUUAAGGUGUAUAUGAAACAAUACGCAACUCCACCCUGAGCUUGAUCUAAAAGUAAUUUUGUUAGUGAAAAUAAGAAAUACAUGAAGGACAUCUGAAAAAUAUCCCAAAUACAAGUUUCCAUAUGUCAGAAUUGUGUAACUUAUUUAGAAUAGGCUAACUUAUUAAAUAGUAUCCUAUCUAACCUAUAUGGUGUAAUUAAUCAUUACUUCUCUGUAUCUUUGAUGUGGAACUCCUCUAAAUGAGAGAAUGCGCUAAGAGAUGAAAUGCACUCAACCAUUUUUUCUAUACUUCUAUCUCAAGUUGGUGUCAAAGUGGAUCAAUCUCGCUUUGUCACUGCCAAAUGAGUUCACCGAUGUCCGCCACCAGCCACCAUCAUCAUUCUCUCCAAUGAGCACCUAGUUGAAUUUGUCUCAUUGAGCGAGGCAAAACCCUAUAGUCACCAUCAUCAUCCGCCAUCGAACAACAUGUAGACCCCAUAGAUUUCCAAUACCAUAUAUGAAGCACCUCUCGGAGCAACAAAGGAAACCACUAGUCACAGAGGUACAUUCCCCCACACAAGCUGCAACGCACGAAAUUUUUGUGCGACCAACCUAGAUGCUUACAGUCCAUGCACUGCCUUCAAAUAGCCAAAAUGAUGUCAUGUUGUCUCUAUUGCUCUAGUUGGCCUUCUCCUUGUUCCAACCUCCUUUUCCUCCUUUCCCACUAAUUGGAGUUUGGAUCCGAACACUUUGAAAGAUCCUCUUUUACUCAUUUGCUCUCCGUGUUUUAUUUGCAAUGACAUUUGGACAUGUCCUUCCCAUUUCUAGGUCACCCACAACUACUUCAGAAAAGCUUAAUGGCAAAACUUAUUUGCCUUCGUCGGCAUGUGUUGAAUUGUGGUAUCUUAUUAUUAUGGUGAUCAUCUGUCACAAAAGUCAUUUGUCUUUACUAAAUUCCUAUGUCACCCACAACUGUUGAAUCAUGUUUCAUAGUAUCUACUAGCUAAGUGGUGGUAGUAGAAAUAGAGAACAAAAUGGUUACAAACGUCCUCAAUGCACUUAUUCUAAAAGAAUGGGUCAUACUUAGGAAAACUACUUCUGUUUACAUGGCUUCCCAAAUAAGACAACAAAUGUCUCCAACUUGAGAGGGUAAAACCACGUUUUCUAGUGAAUACAAGGAAUAUGUGCAAUUAAAGCAUGGUUAUCGAAUCAAGAUUCGAAUCAUGAAUCGUUUUUCGAUUUUUUUGAGUCGUGAAUCGAAUUUUAUUGUGAAUUGAAAUACAUGAUAAAUAAAAUAUGAUAUUUGUUAGUAAGAACAAGUGACAUGGAAAUAAAAAGUAGAAAUACCCCUCUUCCUUUUCUUGCUUUGAGCUCCCUCUUCAAGAGUAAAAUUUCAUGUAUAUCCUUCCAUGAAACAAUGUUUGUUAGGCAAAGAAUGGCCUUAUAUACAUUUGCAAAUGUCUAGAAUCACCAACUCUCUGCCUUAAAACAUUUCAUUCAUGGUUUUUUGCUUUAUAACUCCUUCUUUCCCUUUCCUGGAAAAUGACUCCACUAUCUCUUUUUUAUCAAUAUCUUAGAUAUCCACUUCUUCAAAACAAUCUUAACGAUAUACUUCUUUAUUUAUUUUUCCUUAUCUUCUAAUAACUUCAAAAACAUGUCUUUGAUAUCGUAUGAACAAAUGUACAUGAAAUGACAUUUUCCUUUGUUAUAGCAAAAUGAUGUUUCAUUCUUGCAAUACCACCCCCAACAAAUAUGUGAACAAUACUUGCACUUGACUAUAACUCUAGGAGGGGGAACGCUCUCAAAUGAUUCCAUGCAAUAUCAGUUUCUUUCUUUUGUUUUCUCUGACUCAUUGCCUCUACCAACCAAUUCAAACAAUAGCUAGGUUUUUUUUUCCUAAAAAAACAAACAAAAUUGUUGAACAAUUAACUUUUAUAGGAAAAAAAAAAAGAAACAAAAAAUAGCCUUGUAUUUCUUUUACUGAUUCUAUUGUGUUUCUUCUCCACCUCCUUAUUCUUUUCAUCUUUCUUGCCCUUGUCAAUUUAUAGGCAAAUAGCCCCAUCAAACAUGUGUCACUCUUUAUUUUACUUUCUUUAUUUUUGGGAUUUUUCAUUUCCCAUGUGUGACGCUUCAUUAAGUGUAUGCAUGACGCUUCAUGAUGUAUACGUCGCCAUGAAUCAUGUGUAAGGGAACUGAAUCGUGAGUCACACAAUUCGAAUCCGAUUCAUGUCACGAUUCAAGCUAUAAAACUAUUCAUCUAUCGAUAUGUAUCGUGAAAUAAAUAUUUUACAUCGUGCAAUUGUUAUGAUUCUAACUACCAUGGAUUAAAGUCCAACAAUCCAACACAAGACUUUAACCAAUAUGGUUUGUCACAACUUGCAUCCCUUAAACAAAGGAAGGUCAAAGCCCAUGGAUAAGUGAUUCAAGUACUUUAGAUCACAUUUCUAGUAAAACUUCCUUAUUUUCUUCCAUUUCUACUCCUAGAGUUUCUCGUUCUAUUACGUUAGUCAAGUCUCCUUUUCUCCUUCCUUGACUCUAAAUUUUAUUCUUCUUUUCCCCACUUAUCCUUUUAACCUCCUUUCUCUAACUCAAUUAACUAUGUCAUUAUAUUGUUCAGUAACUUGGAUGUCAAUUCUUUUGUUAUAUAUAAGAGCAUGGUACAGGUCAAUUGAUUGGUGAAAGAGAAGAAGCUAGGGGACUAUUGUCUUGGAACCAAAUCUUUUGUUUUGUUUAAGUCCCCUCUCCUAAACUCUACAUGGUCACUUAAGUCAUCCACACUUAUCAAAAUUCAAAAAACAAUACCUAAUUUCCAAAAGCUUAUAGUCUUAGAGUGUCAAUCACGUAAACUAAGCAAACAAGUUAGAUCUUCCUUUCCAUGGAGACAUGUUACAAGAUGUAACUUUGCCUUUUGGUAUAAUUCAUUCUGACAAUUGGGGCCAAGCCAAGUCACCUCUUUUAGGUUUCAAUGUCAUUACAUUUAUUGUUGAUAUUCUCAUUAUACUUUGUUAAUUUAACAAAAGAUCGAUAUGAAUAAUUGUUUAUCUGUGGAUUUUCUUAAUGAAAUCAAUAAUCAAUUUAGCCAAGUUAUCGACAUUUUUUAGAGUGAUAAUGCCAAAGAAUACUUUUCUUUUAGCUUUUCUACUUUUUGAAGUUCAGAUGGAAUUUUACAUUAGUCCACAUGUUCUCAUAGACCUUAGCAAAAUGGUAUAGAAAAGAGAAAAGAUAGACACAUUGUUGAGACUACAUGUACCUUAUUCCUUGGUGCUAAUGUGUUAGUUCACCAUCGAGUUGAUGUUCUUAUAGCUUGCUUCCACAUAAAUAGGAUGUCCUCUUCCUCCCUCGACAAUAACAUCCAAAUUCCUAAUGAACCUUUGUUCCAUGUGUCUCUCCAAGUCUUUGAGUGUGUAUGUUUUGUUCAUGACAUGUCCCCUGCAUUAGAUAUGUUAUCUAUAAGAGCCCUAAAAUGUGUCAUCCUAGGUUAUCUCCUAAAAGGGUAUCACCCUUAUUCUCCAGAAACUAAAAUGUAAACUUUUUCGAGGAUAUUCUCUUUUUUCUGUUAUAGAUCCCACAUCGACAAGAAAUAAGGUCAAUUCAUAGUAUACAAGUGGAUACAAACCUUGCAAGCCGGUAUUGUAAGGUUGAGAUAGGCUUAAAGUCUACUUUUUAAGACUUGAAGUUAACUUCUUAAGAUGAUUACAGAGCCAUAUGAGUUUAUCCUAGCGAGAUUUUGUUAGGCCUAUCGUGUCACCCGCUAUCGGGCCUUUAUCAAAUCACCUAAAAGUAUAUAGCCCCACCCAUGACUUGGUUGGUCUCGGCAUGAAGGAGUGUUGGAGAUCCUAUAUUGGCUAGAGAUAAGGUCAAUUCAUAGUAUAUAAGUCAAUACAAACCUUAUCAUAGAAGUCGGUUUUGUAAAGUUGAGUUAACCUUAAUAUCCACUUCUUAAGACUUGCCUUUCACUUCAAGAUGCUAAUUUUGUGUAACAAGUCUCACUUGUUCCCUUUGUUGAACCAUUGUAUUUUCUCCCUCGUGAGUCUCCAAGUCAAAUCUCUUCUCAAAGGUCAACAACCAUCAACUCCCCUAAUCAAUUAACUCUAAACACACGGUUCUAAUUCCAUGUUCCCUUGUGAGUCCUCUUCUUCACGUCCUUCACUGCCAUCUACAUAUCCCAUUAGCUCCUGAUGAUGAAGAUCCUAGUUGGCCCAUUGCUCUUUGAAUAGGUACUCACUCUACCUUAAAUCCUCUUCAUAUUUCCAAUGUUCUAAGCUAUCAUCAUCUAUGUUCUUAUUUCUUUUCCUUCAUCUCAUAUAUGUCCUUUAUUAUUGUUCCAAAAAAUAUACAUGAAGCACUUGAUCAUCCUAAUUGGCAACAAGCCAUGAGUGUUCAAAUGCAGACUCUAGACCAAAAUCAAACAUGGGACUUGUUCCUCUUCCACCUGACAAUAUGAGAAUUGGUUGCAAACAGGUUUAUGCUAUUAAAGUCGGUCCAAAUGAUAUGAUUGACUGCAUUAAUGCUUUGUUUGGAUUAAAAUCAAGGUAGUAAAGGAACGAGAAGAGAAAGAGAAAAGUAAGGUUGGACUGAGGGAAGGUAGAAGAAAAUGAGUGGAAAAUGUGUGGUCAAACUAAUUGAUGUACCAUAGUAAACUUUUUAGUAUAUGUUUAAGAAGUAUAUUUUAAAAAAUAAUUUGAUGUCUAAAUUAACUUUAAAAAUACAAGUUAAAGUUUAAACAAAUUUUAAACUGAAGCAAAAAAUAUUAUAAAAUAAAUUAAUUUAAAAAAUAUUAAAAUUUUAUUUGUUAUUAUUUAAAUAUUUUAAUUUAAUUAUUUCUGAUAAAAGUAUAAAAUAUAACUACUGAUAAAAUACUAAAGUAACUUAUUUUAUCUGUUAUUUUAAUAUUUUCAUUUUAAUUAUUUACUUCUAUAAUAUAAGAAUAUAUUAAUAAAAUAUAUGUCACUAAUAUAAUUUUUAAAAAUGUUACUCAUUUAUAAUUUAAAACAUAAAUAAUGAUAAAAUAUUUACUAACAUAAUCAAUUAUUUGAGUUUAUUUAAUUGAUUAUGUUAAUAAAUAUUUUAUUAUUAUUUACACACAAUUGGUUCGACAAAGAGAAGGUUUAUUAUUAUUGUAUAUACUUUCUUCACAAAUAUUCUAAUUUUAUGGAAAAAAAAGUUUAUCACCAUUUCCUACUUCAUUUUUUGACACUUUCUUUGCUUAUUUGUCUCUAUAAAGAGUAAAUUGUCAAAUUCAAACACACUUUAAAACAAGACUAGUUGCCAAAGGGUACAUAGAUAUAUGGUCUCAACUAUGGUGACACAUUUCCACAGUUUCCCAAAAUUUACCACUUCUAGACUUUUCUCUGUCAUGGCCACUAUUCGCCAUUGGCCUCUCCAUCAAUUGGAUGUCAAGAAUGUAUUCCUUAAUGGAGAUCUAAAGAAUAAAACUUACAUGAAACGAACUCCUGGGUUUGUUGUCCAAGGAGAGUGUGGGUUAGUGUGUAAAUUGUGUUGAUCAUUUGGGCUAAAACAUAGUGAAGCAGAUCAUUUGAUUUUUUAUUGGCAUAUAUCUGGAGAUAAAUGUAUACAUAAUUGUGUAUAUUGAUGAUAUAAUUACCACAGUGAAUGACACCACUAAAAUUUCCUAUUUAAAGAAACAUUUAUGCAAUCACUUCCUAUCGGAAGAUCUUGGAUGACUUAAAUACUUUUGAAGUAUUGGCGUAGCUCAAUCAAAUGAAGGUACUUUAAAUCCAUAAAGAAAAUAUGUCUGAGACAUCCUACAAGAAAUAGGUAAGAUUGAUUGUAGACAUGUUGUGUGGAUAGUCUUGAAGAUUUUGAUUAAGUCCUGGAGAGGACCUCCAAUUCAAUUUAUAUGUUCCAAGCUUGGUACAUACAAUCUACAUAUGCUCAAGCUUGAGGGAGUGUCAAACUUCAGUAACUUUCUUAGAAUAAGUUAACUUAUGCAUAGUUUCCUACCUGAUCUGUAUUGUAGGAUUAAUCAUUGCUUUUUUAUAUCUUUGAUGGAAGAAACUCCUACAUAUGAAUGAAUGAGCUAAGAGAUACAAUCUUAAGCAUUUUUCCAUACUUCUAUCUCAAGUCCCCCUUUACAAUUAUCUAACAAGAUCUUUUACAUCUCCAAUCAUGAAAUCAUAAGAGAAACAAUAACCAAAACAGAAAGAAUAUUAUAAAAAUUUGUAAGAGUAGAAGAAAAGGAAAAAUGUAUCAUUACAAUUACAACUAAAUUGAACAAAUAGAAUAGUAUGAGAACCAAAGAAACAUACGGUGUAGAUGAUAUCAAAAGCUUGAUAAUCCUAAAUAACAAAGCCAACAAUUUUGUAUGAGCUUCAUGCUCUAUUAGGUAAAGAAGACCUACAUCAAUGGAAAAGAGACAAAAAGUGCAAAAUUAAGCAAAAUAUGAAAAUAAAUAAUGAAGAGCCGAGAAAAGAAUCAAAAGCACAUAUGUCUUUAGACCACAAUCUAUUCAAUAAGAUAUUGCAAAUGUUAUAGAUACCUCUAUGAAGUUCAAGUAAAACCGUGCCAAGGGAGCUUGAAAGUGCCAUAAAAGAUCCAAGUUUGUUAGAUUCCUUAUAUUCUGCUACUUGCAGGAAAAUGGAAGAGAGACCAUCCAUCAUGGUCACUAGCGUGGCUGCAGAUGCCAUACGUGCCUGAGUAACAUAAACAACCUUUUCUUAGACAGGAAAUCAAGAACUCAAUAAAACCACAACACACAACCAUGGGAGGUCAGGGGGAUAGUUGAGCAUUAUGUAAAGGAUUAAACUAAUUAGUUGCAUGCAUAUGAAAGGAGAUGCACAUGGAAGUUGAAAAAAGAACAAAAUUGCACACUCCACAAAGCAUGCCAAAAGAAAGUUUGUUAGAAUAGAGUUAAGUGAAUGCCAAAAAAAUGAGACAGCUACCAUAUGAUGGAUGGAGAAGUAAAUUCCAAUAUCAUACCAGAAUUUAGGAAAAAGAUUGAGGUUGAGUUCUCAUCUCAUAUCAAUAUUGGGAUGAAACCUUGACUAUGUUAGAAUAGGUUCAAAAUAGGCUGAGUAAGCUUUAUUCAAAAGCUCUUUUGGAUAGUACCUAUUUGUACUUAUAAUUACUUGUCUUCUACUUUUUCCUUUCACAUCAUUGUAUCACAAAUCUAUUGUAAAUAAAUGAGCACCUAAGGGAAACCUUUGCAAGCUCUCAAAAAUAUAUUGUUCUCACUUUCUUUAUUCUCUCAAGUUGGUAUUGGAGCGAGUCGAUCCCACUCUUCUUAUCCUUGUCUUAUCUGGGUAUGUUGUCCAACGACCACCUUAUCUAGAUUGUCUCCCCAAGCAACAACCAAACCCAUUGAUACCAUCAUUAGAAACGUCCACACCUUGCCUCUUGUUGCAACCCAGGUGCGUGAAACUCACGAGUUGCCUUACUGCCACCAGAACAACUCCAUGUCUCCAUCGUGGGGCUUGCCAAACUUUUGUACCCCUAUGUGCUCACUUUCCAAUCUUGGUUGAAGGGAAAAUAUAAAUAUAAAGUUGUUUCUCAAAUUUCCAUUUCUCCUUUAAACAUAAAAUUUGUUAUAAUUGAAUUGUACUGUAACCAUUGAUGUCAAUUUUUUUGUUAUACAAUAAAGUGGUACAGGUUGACUAAUUGACUAAGGAUAUGAAUCAAAAAGCCUAUACUACUUAAGAACUAGCUCAUUUGUGUCUUCUUUUUUCAUCUCCAUCUCCAAAACAUUUACAUAAACGCUUAGGUCAUCCUCACUUGUUAAAAUUAAAGAUGGUCCUUGAACUUAGAGCUCUUCAAGUUUAAAAUGUGAAUCAUAUCAACUAGGAAAACAUGUUCUUCAUUUUUUAGACAUUUUAAAUCUAUGUCUAACUUUGUUUUUCUAUCAUCCAUUUUUAUAUUUGGGGACCAAGUCAUGUCUCAUCUUUAGGUUUUAGAUAUUUUGUUACUUUCAUUUAUGAGUAUUCUAGAUGUACUUAGGUUUAUCUAAUGAAAGACCGUUAUAUAAAUAGUAGUGUUUUCAUUUCAUUUCUCAUCUCUGAAUUCACAGUCCCUAUCAGUUGGUAAGGAGCAAGGCGCCCUGUUUUUUGUUCUAAUUCCGAGUUCUAGUCAAAAUAAAUACAACUAACAAGCCAGAAUAACAUCAUAGGAUAUGUCUAAAACGUCUAAAAUAUUAUAUCAAAAUAUGUGACAAUUAAAAUUCAAAUAGAAAUAUAGAACAAGACAGCACAUAGGUAUCAAGAUCAUUGUCAUUACCUUUAAACAAGGAUCAAACAGCAAGCAUGUCAUUAAAGUUGCAUCAUGCAUCCUAUGAAAAUACAAAUUAAAAAAUUACACAGUUAGAAAAAAACAUCAAAUGGAGAGAGAUUAAAGUUUGAUUGAAUUCAUAAAAAAAGGAAUGGUUAGCUCAUACCUUGCUUGUAGUGCAUCACUAGUUGGCAAAAGCAAUGACCAUUGCAUGGAUAAAGAUUUAGAAUCAGCUUGACAAAGAUCCUUCCCAUCCCAACAUAUAAAAAAAUAAUAAGAAAAAGAACAAUCAAUCACAACAAAGUUAGCAAAGCUUAUAUGUCAUAGAUGAUGUUAUCCAGGAAGUUAAACAAUAAAGACAAAAAAUCAUAUAUUUAUCUCCUUUUGGGUUAUUAGAGCAAGAAAGGGUAGCAAAAACUCAGUUUGGAAAAGGUUUUUCUUCCCAAUGAAAAUGUCUGGAAAAUUAAGGAACUAGAAAUCGGUUCUCUUACCUUUGAAACCGUAAAAGAAACCAUUACCGGGUGCUCUCAAAAGUUAUUCUAAUUUUUUAUAUUAAAUAAUGGUAGUGUUAAAGUGUCCAUUUGUUAUUUGGCAUCCCACUUAUGUCGGCACCCCAAAAUAACAACAAUCAUUUGCAGCACCCCGAGUACCAUAAGCAAGUGGGAGGACUAGGCCAAAACCCACUAAGAAAACAAAUAAUGUGUAAGAUAAAAUCUAUGAUUCUAGUUGCUUUAAUUCUUUCAAUUUUUAAAGAUUGGUUUCUAAAAAGACAUUAGACGAAGUCACCAAAGGAGAUCUCAAAUAAAAUACUUGAAUUGUGUAAGAAAAAAGAAAUAAUAACUAUCAAGCCAUUAAUGUGUAAGAUAAAAUCUAUGAUUCUAGUUGCUUUAAUUCUUUCAAUUUUUAAACUGAUUGGUUUCUAAAAAGACAUUAGACGAAGUCCCCAAAGGAGAUCUCAAAUAAAAUACUUGAAUUGUGUAAGAAAAAAGAAACAAAAUUUGGUAGCAAGAUCCAAUGUUGGAGUACAACAGGGCAAUGACAAAAGGGCUAUGUGAACUACUAUGGCUGAAAAUCAUCUUGGAAGACUUAAGAAUAAAGCAGGAUGAACUAAUGAGACUUUACUGUGAUAACAAACAUGUUAUUAGCAUAGUCCAUAAUCCAGUGCAACAUGAUAGAACCAAACACAUUAAAAUUGAUCGGCAUUUUAUCAAAGAAAAAUUAGACAGUGGUCAAAUCUUCAGUCCAUUUUAGAUGUCUCCUCUCAAGACAACCUUGCAAACCUUCUAAUGAAGGGGCUGAAUAGCAACAAUUUUGACAGGAUUGUUUCCAAGGUAGGAAUGGAAAAUACAUAUUCAGCAGUCAUAUCUUAUUACUUCCAUAGCAACAACAAUGUGAUAAUGGGGAAGUUGAUGACCAAAUGGUAAAGUUAAUGGUUCUAAUUCCUUCAAAACUACAUCAUCACCAACUCGUUACUCACUUAUUCUAGACUUUUGACAAUUUAAAUUUCAAGCAAAUCUCAAAUAAGAAAUUAUGAGACAGUUUUGAAAAUUUACCUGUAUGCAAGUUAUGGCAGCUACUCUAACCCUAGAACUCUGCACUCUGCCACUAUCAUUAGCUGAUCCAUCUCCAUCACUAAACUCUGAAUCUGAAGACGUAACAUUAAUAGUAGAAGACUCGCUAUCUGACAUAUAUUGGGAAUGCCUAACACUACCGUGUUUUACAUUCAAGCAGUCCCUUUUGCGCAAGUGUGGUGGCCUAUAUGUACCAUGAUCUGAUUUUUUUAGUAGUUCCCUGCUUGCCUUGGGACUCAUACUAUUAAGCUCCUUCUCCUUGUGACCAACAAGUAAAGAAGUACCUAGUGUUCUACCAGAAAGGCCAUAAACUAAGAACAUUCGCAGAACAGCAACAAAAACUGACACCUAGAGGAAAAAUAAAACAAGUCACAGUGAUUAGGGUGUAACAUAUUUCUUUAUUCUUUUAUUAAAAUAAAAAUGUCUUAACUUACAUGAUCUAAAACUGCACAUUUUGGAUCAAUAAGGAUCAGAUGUAGACAGCACAGAAAAGAUUCAUAAAACCUACAGAAAAGAUGCAUGUGACUUGUAGCAAAAUAUACAAAUGAUGACAUAUGGCCAAAGUAUGAACCACGCAUGAGUUUCAUCAUUGACUUCUAAUAAGUUCCUACAACACACAGGUUACCUGGACAUAACACUAUCUUCCACAACAGGGGAUUUUAAUGCCAAGACAUCCAUUGUUUUCCUGAACACCUGUUUCAAAAGAGACUUUCAAACAAAUUUCUACAACUAAUAUAGUUUUACAAAAAAAAGAAAUGCAAAAUUAUCAUAUACCUCAAGAAUUGAUCUCCAAAUGUCAACAGGCAAGGAUGACCCAGCUCUUGAGAUUGCUUCACUGAGCAUCUCAAAAGCCACUGUCUGUAAUUCACUGGAACUUCUUUCAAUAGAAAAUCUCAUAUUAAUUCUAGUAGAUUUUUCUUUACAAAUUGAAUGAGGCAUCCAAAAUGACACACCAUGAGAGCAAAUGAUAACGUCAAGUAAAAAUUUAACCAGCAUAACAUCUUCAGAUUGCAACCAUCUUCGAUGAGAUAUAAUAAUAAAUCUGGAGAGUUAGCAGAUUUUGAAGUGUCAAUUAAAAGUAUCAUUUACUAAAGCAAAAAAGUUGAGAGUACUAACAGUAAAAGCAGCAAAAUAACGAAACAUGUUAAUAGUAUAAACACAAAUUUUGGAACAACAUUUAGCCAUUUAAAGCAAUAGAGAUCAACAUAUGUUAUUAAAAAAACACAAUUUUAUCAUUCAUAUUUAAAAACAUAAAAUGACAGAACGCGUUAAAAUACAUACACCAGAAACUUGGAAAACUGCAAACUACAGAAGCAUAUUCAUAGGAUUUAAAAUAUAUUAUGAAUUGAUACAUUAUCACUUUGAAAAAACCUUAAAGAAAAUAAAAUCCCACGCGAAGUUCUAGAGACUAGCACAAGGCACCUCCAAACCCUUGGGGUGUAGAGCUAAACCCCAUUCAAGGAUGGUACCCUGGCUACAAGGUGGUUCCAGUAGGGAAUUUGAACCAUAUACUAAAAAGCAAAGUCUGUGCACUCAAGAACUUAGGUUGUCAGCAUAGCCCAGGUUCACAACUAGCAAUUAAUAAAUAAUAAUAUCCUAUUAGGAUAAAUAAAAGAAAUAAAGCACAAUAACCACAAUCCACAGUUUAUGUAAACUAAAAUGUAGAAAACAAAACUUACUACUAUCAUUUUAAAUAAUAGAAUACAUAAUUCAACAUUGGUGAAGAGAAAAAGAAAAGUCACGUUUUAUCUUUAUCAAAUAUAAUAGAAAAGCAAAAAGGUAUCGGAUAAAAAUAAUAAAAUACAUAAUCUCAAGAUUUUCAAAUAGGUAGGUAAAAAUUAGAGAAGAGACGGUAUUAAUCAGAAAACAUGUUGUGUCUACUAUGCUUUUCAAGUAAAAGCAUUACUACAGCCUAACAAUUCCAAAAGUAGACGUAUGUAAAGUGCCUAGGCAAUAUUACAUCAUGCAUCAAUUCCUUUUCAGAGAACAAGCGAACCUGACAGCCUGUAAGCACUCAAUGGCAGGAAUUAUUGUAGUAGUACUGCAAAUUCCACUUAUAUCGCCAUUGGUAGCAACGUUUCUAAGAAAAAGAUUCAGCAUCUUCCCGAAACAAUUAAGCACACUACUAUAAGAGGAGAAAUUUAAAUCGAACGAGACACAUCGACAUAUAUCAUGAAUCUGCGAUAAGAGCACGAGCAACAAAAUCACAUAAAAAACGUCAACAGUGCCAAGGUUUAUACAAGGCCAAGGAAAACACAUACCAGGCGUGAUGUCUGUGCAUAAAUACGAGUACAAUCUUCUUCAUCUGAAGAAGUUGCAGCAACCAAUUCCAUCAUAAACAAAAUGUCCGACAAAACCUUGGAGAAAAAAAAUUAAACAACAAAGUCAGAAGAGAGCCAACAAUUUAAAGCAUGUUUUCAAAACCAAAAAAAGCACGCCUAUAAUGUGGAAAAACUAGAAAGCUAGAACUACUUUCCGUCAUGAGUUUCCAAACACGCUCUAAAUUCUCGCAAGCAUUUACGUAAAAGUGAAGACGCAGAAGAUACCUCGUGAGAGGGAAGUUCAACCGCGGCCGAAACCAAAGGUUUUGAGUGGGAGAGAAUGAGAUUGUCGAGCAAUUGCACAUUGGAAUUGCGAGAAGGAAUGGUUAGGGUUUCAUCCCUCAGUGUUAAAAACGCAGUUCUCCACGACCUAACCAACGACGUCGGUGCCGCUGCGCCAAAUCCCGUUCCCGCCAUGGAAGAAAUGGCGAUCAACGAAUAGCGUUUUCAAGUUUUUACUCAAUCAUCACUUCUGACUUAGGUGGAAAUCGAUUCAACGAACACCUGCGACUGUUGUGAAGAUUUAGACAGAAAUGGCAGUGGAAAGAGGAGCACACAGUAACACCAAAGUCUUGCCAGCUUCCGAUUAUUGGCCUCCGGUUUGAUCAAGAUUUGUAAAAAUAAUUUUUAUUUCUUUUAUAUAUAUCAAAAUAAUUAAAUACCUUCUUUUUAAGUUAUAUAAUUUUUUUCUGACUACUUUCACAAAACUAUAUUAUUUUUCUUUUUCUAAUUACUUACUAAUAAAAAUAAUAAAACUAUUAAAUUAUAAAAAAUAUGUAUGUUUUAGUAUAAUAAAGAUAUAUUUUUAGCGAAUAUUUCAAAUGUUCAAUUUUAAAAACAAAUCAUUUCUAAACUUAAUAAAUAAGGGCAGUUUCUUCUCGCACCCUACAUUUUCCUUCCUGCACCCCACAGUUUUAUAUAUUCCGAAACUGACCCUCACAAUUUUGGGAUCUGAGAGUGUGCUACGAAUUCAUCAAUCCGGAAGUGAAUCAUGUUGCAUUCUGGAUGAGGGUGUUCUGGAAGCAAAUUUUGUAUAAAUUAUUGAUUUCUGGAUUGUUGAAUCCGAAAGCCUAAUUUUUAUUACGAAUUGGGGAUUGGUUGAUCUGGAAUGAUUUGUUUCAAUUAUGGAUUUCUGAAUCCGAAAUGCAUAUUUUGAAUUACGGAUUGGCGGAUCCAGAAUGGUUUUUUCAAUUAUGGAUGUUUUGCAUUUUUUUAUUUUGGAUUAAUACUAUCAUUCAUGUACUUCUGGAAGCAUCAAUCUGGGAGAUUACUAGAUGCGUCAAUCCAAAAAUUUACCGGAAGCGUCAAUCUAAAAAUUUACUGGAUUUCAUAAUCCGAAAUAAAAAAAAUGUAUAGUUUAUAUGGGACAAUUUUGUCUUUGCGUAACCUUAGUUUAUAUGGGACAAUUUUGUCUUUGCGUAACCUUGUGGGGGUACAGAAAAAAAAAAUGUAGAGAUGCAGGAAGAAACUGCCAUAAAUAAGUAGCGAGCUUCAAAUUUAUUUCGGGUGCAGUUAAAACACUAGUACACUACAUACACGAAUUUCUCUUUCUUUUUCUAUUUUGAAAUUAUAGUACAAAAUGAAUGAGGACACUGAUAUAAAAGAUAAAUAUAUAUAUAUAUAGUGAAAUGAAAAAGUGGAAAAGAAAUAACAAACAAUAAUAUAUAUAUACUGUACCGGGACGGCCGACCGGUCUAUUGACCCGGUCAACCCAUGCGUCAAAACCAUACUUUAAGGCAUGAGGUCGACCACGUGUCAUGUGUGGCCGACCGACAUAAGGUGCUCAAGUCAAACCGUUGACCCAAUUAGCAAAGGUCAACCUACGGUUAGGGAACGACCUAAUCCAACCCUAAUCGCUAAACAACCCCCUAAUCCGGCCCAACAGCGAGGGCCCAUCAAGGUAAUAUAAAUAUCACGCAUUCCAAGGAAGAAGGUACGUCAUUAUCUACAGUAUUCUAACCAGCCAAAUACGAUACCCCACUGACUUGAGCGUUGGAGUGUCAUCUGCAGGUACCCCACCCACUCGAGGAAUCAUUCAGCGUGAAGGACCGAAAGAGAAAGUGAAGCACGACCGACCGGAUGACAUCCGAAGACAAUAGUUCUCCCAGUCCCUAACCUAGUUCGAGAACAUAUACAUAUUUUUAAAAUUAUAAAAAGAUAUAACAAAAAAUAUUAAAACAUUCCUUAUUUUAUUAGCUAUUUCUUCUUACAUUUCCAUAGUUUUUUCGUAUACCUCUAUGGGAUCUGAAAUGUCAAAAUUAUCUUUUACAAUUUUGUGAAAAAAAAUAAUUGAAUUGAGUGAUUGAAAAGUUUAAAUGAUACAAUUCGGAAAUUAAUAAAUUUGAGUGUUGUAUUAAUCCAGAAUUAUUUAUUUUUAAAGUUGUUUAUCAAUCUAUAUUGUACCAAUGAAAAUGUAUUUUUAUAUUGUAUAAUUCAAGUGUUUUAGAUUACAUAAGUUGUAUUAUUUUUUAUUUCUGAAUUGGUUAAUUUAGAAUUAGUUUUGUGAGUUCCAAUUUGUUUUACAUUGAAGUUUUGAUCCCGAACUUGUUUUAAUACAUUAGUGAAAUAAAGUUUUGAUCCCAAACUUAUUCUAUAAUCGAGAACUAGUGAAAAUCAUACCAAAUGAUUCCAAAUCUGAGAUAAAAAUAUCAAUUAUUUUAUUGUGUAUUUACUGGUAAAUUUAUCAAAAAGGUAGAAUUCCUGGGUAUUAGAGGUUUCUCUACAUGCUAUACAAUGGGAAUAGCUUCAAGUUUAUCUUUUAAUAAAUAAAAAAUAAUUUUUAUUUAAUAAAUUAAGUAAUUUAACGAGUUCUAUCUACACCAAAAUAACUAAAAUACUUCUUUACUAUUAUACAAUAUGAUUUUAGAGAAAAAAAUAAGAAAGAAGGAGAGAAAAAGAGAAUAAAGUAUUUUGAUAGAUUUCUUCACAUUAUAAAAUGUAAUAGUAAGAGAAUCAAAAAGUAAUUAAGGUCAAUUAAUAAUCAUAAUGAAAUGUAUAACAUCAUAAAAAACAUUUAAAACAUCAUAAAAAUCAUUCGUAACAACAAAAAAUCAUUCAUAAUGGCAUAAAAAUAUAACACUCUUCCUUGUAUGUCUAUUUAUUGAAAGAUGUGUCUUGUUAAAACUUUAAACCUUAUACCCACUAAAGAAGAAAGAGUACUCAAACCUGAGGAGGAGUAUAUCAACAUGAAAUAGACUCACACUUUAGGGGGAGACAUUAGGAAUCCAAGUGAGUUUAAGUUUCAUAUUGAGUAAAAAUAAGAAAGUUGAGCAACAUACAAGGAAGAAGACCUAUAAACUCAUUGUCUUAAGGUUUCAGAUAGAAGGCGAUGUCUUAAUCUCUUGUAUGGGUUGAAUCAUUAGUGUCGAAUAACCCUCGUGAAUUUCCCUUUUAAAGACCCAACAAUGGAGCAACAACUGAAGAAAAUGCUAGUGUUGUGUAUGUUGAACAAUGCAUAAGCCUUGAUUUUAGGUACCCAUGUGGAAAAGGCUAUAAGGUUAUCUUCUUUGAAAAUAAUUAUUAUUCCAAGUUGGUUUAGAAGAAUAAGUAUUGUGUUUGAAUCCUUUUAGUUGGAAAUGUUAGACUUGAAGAAUUGACUCAAACCUCAAGCAAAGUUGUUUAGAUGUUGAUGUUGUAAAUGUUUUUGAGUAUUUUAGCUUUCAUUGCAUGUUUUUAUAAGUCUUUUCACAAGGUUUUAAGUUCAACACACAACCUAUAUAAAAUUAGUUAAAAGAUAAUUGUUUUUGAAAAGUUAAAGACACGAGAAAAAUGUUUUGCGGCUAUGUUAAUGGAUUAAGAUUUUAAAUAAUCAAUUCUUUUUUUUAUUUGACUGACUAAAACCAACAACAAAAAUAUUUGUUUUCAAUUUUCUGAAAAAUUAACUGAUUCAAAUCUUGCAUAAUUUAUUAAUUUCAUUUUUUAAAUCUACAGCUGAAUAACAGAAGCAUUGUAACUAUUUUUUAAAUUUUAAUAAGCAUAAUCAAUUACUAACUUGAAAUCGAUCAAAUGCGCUUGAACUUGUUUUAAAUUAGUAUUUUCUGAACUAUAUAAUACAAUCUUGGUCUCACUCUUUUAUCAAUCUUGAUUUUCUAAUUAAUUGAAAUUACUUUUACAAAUUAGUACAUUUUUUAAAGAACUUGAAUAAAAGGUAAAUCUUUUUCAAAAAAUAUUUAAAAUCAAUUCACCUCCCUCUUUUUAGCUAAGCUUCAUUCUCUUUUCUAACAUGGCAAAGCGGUUUUCUAUUCUCAUAUAGUUGUAACUAAAAGCAAUGCUAUAUCACUUUCACUAAUGUAAAUAAAAUGUCAUGUAUUAACUUCAAAUAAAUGGAGAAAAGUAUAUUAUGUCUCUAACUUUGUAUAAAAUAUCAUAAAAAAUUGAUGACUUGUGAAAAGUGGUAUUUCUUUAUGAAACAAUGAUUUUCAAUUUGACAAACUUUAUCUAUAGUGCCUCUUUAAUUAUCUUAGACAUUGGGAUUUCUAGAUUUUCCUCUUGUGGAGUUAAGAAUUGAGAAGAAAUGUGUACUUAUAACUCCUUUAGUGGGUAAAAAUUUUCUAAUUAGAAGUAUAAAGGCUUUUCUAUAUUUCUCAUUAUGGUUCAAAUGUAAUGUUAUUUAGUGUUAUUGUUUGGUAUGCUUAUAACAUUGUGACUAUAUAUUUAUUUAGCUACUAAAAGUGCACCAUAAUAAAAGCCUUAGUGAUGUUGUAACUCCAAUUUCAUGGAAUCCCUUGGUUCAAGGGCAAGCAAUAGAAGGAAGCUAGAUCUUUAAUAAGGUGAGCGUAAUAGAUUAGUGAUAAAUAUAAUCACAAAGCUUGAAGCUUAGAUAUAAAGAAGAAUUAUAUGAAAAAUGGCAAGUCAUUACACCGAAGUUCAACAUGCUUCCAUUCUCUCACCAACCCCAAGUUGAUUUGCUAAACAAAGGACUUGGUGAUUUGUAGUUGGUUUAAUAAGAGAAAUUUUAUCUUAUUGUCUUGUUUAUUCAACUUGUUUGAGUAAACCCUGUCUUUUUUUCCUAAAGGCACUUUGCCACUUCUUUUUUCGUAGCUUAAAAAACAUCCCUUUCUAUCUAUUAUGUAUUUAGAUAUGGUAUUUCUUAUUUACGCAAAUAAAUCUAUCAAAUAAUGGGAAGGAUAGACUCUACCAAGUAAAGCAACUCCAACUUUUUAAUACUCCAGAUGUGUGUUAAAAAGAGAGUUUUCAUAAUAACAAACACUAACUGAGCUAGUAAGAUGUGUGUAUGUUAUGUUUUAUGAACCUUCUAAUAUUUGUUUUGUACAAGUUGUCAGUUAUCAAACUAUCCAAAGGUUACUAUCAAUGUUAGACGAUCUAUUAACUUUUACAUUUUAAGGUUAAACACAUUAUGUAACCAAAGUUGUAAUCAUAAAUUAUUUAUAAAGAUAAAAGGAAUCAUGUUUGGUAACAUUGAAAGUGCAUAGAUGUUGUAAAUGACUAAACGUGAAAUGUUUUAUACCAAAAAGUUAUAUUCUACAACAUUUAUACUAAAAAGUAAAAAUGGAAACAAAAGAAAUAAGUGAAUUGCAAUAUAAUUGAAUCAUGCCUUUAUUACUUGUUUUUGAAAUGUUUCUUUAAGAAUAGAAGAUAGACUUCAUUAAAGCUUUCCUUUUAAAUCUUUCAGUCAACAUACACACUGCAUGAUCCACGAAGUUUGAAAACAUGACUAAAUAAUAUCUUAUCAAAGUAAAUACUGAAGCAACGAUAAGUGAAAUCAAGGAAAAAUACAAGAACAAAGGGUUGAAUUGUGUUUUUGAAAAGUUUUAAGCACUUUUACAAUACUGUCUAAAAUAGAAUAUUGAAAUCAUAGUUUUAUAUGUUCAGUGAUCAAUUAAUGAUAUUUGCCUAUGAUGAAAUAUGUUAGAUGAAGAUUUUCAAUUUAACUUGUUUACUUAUGUUAUUUAAGUAAUUUCUUAAUAGUAAUUUUGUCUAAUCAAGCCUUAUAUACACAACUUUAGUACUUAACAGAUUUAUUAGUUUAAACGUUUUAUUGCAUGUGUUCUUCGACCAACUUUACUUCUUCAUUAGUGAAGAUAUAAAUUAUAGUAAAUAUGGAGAAAUAGAGAUAGAGAGAACAUACACAUAGUAUUUUAAUACUGGUUCGUCUGCCGCAAUAUACUACAUCUAAUUCCCAAUCAAUAAAUUGAGUUCCACUAAACAAACUAAUGUUGUGAAGAACAAUGUGAGUAUUCUUUGGGCUUGUAGCCACUUCUAACUAACCCCUUAAGUAUUAUUGAGACAAGUCACUCCCUUAUUAAUGAGUAUUCUUUCAGCUUGCAGCUACUUCUAACUGACCCUGUUCAAGUAUUUUUUUCACAAGUCACUUUUGACUCAACUAAGUAUUCUUUAACAAGUCAAUCCCAACUUAAUAAGUAUUCUUUUAGCUCCCAACUUGUUAAGUAUUCCUUUUACAAGACACUUAUGGCUUAACCAAGUAUUCUUUCACAAAACAUUAUUCGCUUAAUGAGUGUUUUUAAAAAACAGUCACUUUUGACUAAGAUAUAAAAGUUACAUAAGUGGUUAUCAAUCAAUCACUAACUUUUUCUCACUAGAGAUAUUGAUCCUUUAUUAGCAUGUAUAAGAUUGAUACCUUCUUCUUCUAACUUGUUGAAAUGAACACUAACAAUGUUUUUCUUAAAGUUGUUUGUUGGCUCAAAAAAUUUACCACUAUUUUUGUACAAUACUACAUUGUAUACUUUUUUCUUUUUAUCAAAAUAAAAUUUGGUGUGUUGUUGGAGAUUUCAAUGCAGUUAGAAAACCAUAAGAGAUGAAAUUUGUAAGUAGAUUGUGAUCAAAUAAAUCUGAGAUUGAAAAUUUUAACCUCUUUAUAGAAGAGAUGGAUUUAUUUGACAUUCAUAUGAUUGGGCGAAGGUAUACUUGGUAUAGACCCAACCGUUCAGCUAAAAGUAAAAUUGAUAGGUGCUUAGUUACCCAGGAAUGACUCCAAAUUUGGAAAGACAGUAAACAAUAUGCUUUGGAUAGAUCGGUUUCUAAUAAUUGUGCACUAAUUCUCACAAGAAAAUUUUUAGAUUGGGGGCCUAGACCUUUUAGAACCUUUUACAAGUCCAUUUUACUAAGUACACUUCCUUUUAUGCUAUGUAAACAUACUGUAGCCUAUUUUGCUAUUUGGACCUUAAAAGUGAGCCCAAAUUAUUUACAAGCAUGUUUUUGUCUUUUAAGAAGAACAUAGGAAAGAAUAGUUGAUGUUCUGGUCUAUGUCAAGUUCUUCUUCUAGUGAGGUCCGUCUGAUAUUUGGUGGGAUUAGGUUUUAUGUGAGGUGUGAGGUGUUAAGUGACGUGGAUUGAGAAAUUAGUUUAGUGAAAAAUUAAUUGAAGAUUAGGGUUUUUAAACUUUAAUUAAAAUUGGGGAUUAGGGUUUUUUAAUUGGAAUGGGGGAUUAGGGAUUUUUAAAUUGGAAUUGAGGAGUGCACUACACAAGAAAAUUCGCCUGCUUCGCCAGCCAAUUCGCGCGGGAGGGGUAGUGUGGCGGACAAAGGCGAGUUGCGCAACAGAGGUUGCACGGUAGCGUUCUUCGCGAGAGAGAACCAAAGGUGUUUUAUUCCAAGGUGUCUCCACAACCUGUGCUCAUAAACAAACUAAUGUUCUCAUCUCUUAGCUACACUUCACUGCUCCCGCUCACCCACCCCCGUCGUGGAACUUUAACACGACCGACAACUUUUUCCAACAACCAUCCGCCGACGGUGAAGAGUGUUGCUACUGUGAGGGCGAAGCCAAUUUCCUCACCUCUAGACAAGGCUAUUCUUUCUCCCCCAAUUGCAAUUGAGAAAACCAUAAAUCCCAAUUAAUUUUCACUAAACUAAUAUCUUUAAAUUAUAAGCUAAUUAGGUAGUGAUUCACUAAUCAUGAGAUUCUAUCAUUAUUAAAUUAAUUGCGCGUACAAUAUGGUACAAUAUCGUAUAAUCUUGCAUAUGAUAAUUGCAUAUAAUUUGAUAAUUAUUAUUUCCUUAAUAAAUUAUGUCUCGCAUUCUUGUGUGACGACGUUCUUCCACUUCUCCGCUGGUGGUGCUCAAAUGUCUCUCCUUGCAUUUCUGUGACGACGUUCUUCUCCGUUGGUGGUGCUCAAGGGUCUCUCCUUUCUUAAUAAUCAGUUCUCAAAAUUUAAGGUGAAUAACAUAUAUUUAAUAUUGUAUGGUAAAUAAUUUGUUUACUGCUUGUUAAUAUAGUCACUUCAAAUUUUAUUAUCUUAGAUGGAGAAUGCAGCAGAACAGCGAAACAUAAAUCUUGUAUAAGCAUUGAUCGAGCAGAAUCCACACGUUUUUGAAGAGAUGGAUUCAAUACCAUUUGUUGAAACUCAAUUGCAUAUUGCUGCACGUGCAGGGCAUAUUCAAUUUGUCAAUGAGAUCAUGCUAUUAAAGUCGUCCUUUUCUUGGAAAUUUAAUCCCCAAGGAUUAAGACCAGUCCACCUCGCUCUACAACAAGGCCACAUCAGAAUAGUCCUUGACCUUGUUAAGAUGGACAAAGAACUUGUUCGAGCUAAAAGGAGAGGAGGUCUCAUUCUUCUACAUUUGGCAAGUCAAUUGAGAGAUAUAACCCUUUUGGCUGUCUUUCUUGAAGCUUGCCCAGAUUCAGUGAAAGACUUUACGGUUAGAAGUGAGACUGCAUUGCAUUUAUACGAGAGGUUUGAGGUUUUCGAGUUCUUAUUUAGAUGGCUCAAGACAAAGAUAGAUAUUGAUAAGCUCCAAACCAUUCUGAACCAGAGAGACGUGGAGGGCAACACCAUUCUACACAUUGCAACAACAAGAAAUGACACAAAGGUAAAUUCUUGUCUCUAUGGAUUUAGUGUAGUAGCAUUUGUUGAAAACCGAAAAUGUUUUACAAGCAUUACAAGCUAAUUACGUCUAAUCAUGAAAUUCUAUAAUUAUUAAAUUAAUUGCAUAUAAUUGCGUACAAUAUUACAUACAAUAAUUGUCUAUAAUUUGAUAAUUAUUAUUUCCUUAAUAAUUUAUGUCUCGCUCUUGUGUAACACCUUCCACUUCUCCGUUGGUGGUGCUCAAGGUCUCUCCUUGUAUUUCUACCUCGCAUUCUUUUGUGACGACGUUCUUCCACUUCUCCGCCGGUGGUGUUCAAGGUGUCGCUGCUGGUGCUCAAGGUCCGCCGGUGGUGUUCAAGGUGUCGCUGCUGGUGCUCAAGGUCGAUGUUGCUGAGAGCAUCGCUUUUGUUGCUCCUGAUACUUUCCAAAUAAAUGAAUUCUUUAAUUUAUUGAUUAUUUCGUUUGUUUUAAUUUCUAAUUUUCCUUUUGCUAUUAAACUUUUAUAUGUUAUCUGUUUCUCUGUUUCUAAUUUGUCAAUAUGUAUGAUAAUGAAAGUGUCAAUAAGGAUAACGUAGGGAUGCACCAGUCAUGUGAUUCUAUCAUUAUUAAAUUAAUUGCAUAUAAUUGCGUACAAUAUCAUACAAUUUUGCAUACAAUAAUUGCAUACAAUAUCCCUAUGUUGUUAAUAUGUUCACUUCAAAUUUUAUUAUCUUAGAUGGAGUCAUCAAGUUUUUUUUUUUUCUAGUUUUGAAUAUGUAAAAAGUUUUUUUUUAUACGUGAAUAUGUUUGUUUUUUUUGUACCACUGUUAUUUUUAUUUUAAUAAUUUUUCUUUUAAGUUUUUUUUUAUUUGUUUACUUUAUUUUGAUUCUGUUUUGCUAUAUUUUAUUUUAUUCUUUACUUCUUUAUUUUUAUAUUUUUUACGUAGUUUUUUUUACUGUAAUUAUUUUUUUUUUUUUAUUCUUAUUUUUAUUUUUAUUUUAUUUUGAUUUGGAUUUUUUUUAUCAUAUUUUAUUUUUAUGUUUAACUUAAGUUGUUCAUUUAUAGUUUACGUAGUUUUUAUUUAUUUAUUAUUUAUUACUAUUAGUUUCUGUUUUAUUUUUGUUUCAUUUUUAUUUUAUUUUAUUUUAUUUUAUUUAUUUUUCUUAAUAGUUAUUUAUUUUAUUUUUACUUUUAUUAUUUUCUUUGAUAUCAUUCUUAGUUUUUAUUUUACGCAAGUUUUUUUCUAUCUAUAUAUUCCGUUUUAGUUUUCUUAGUUAGUUAGUUAUUUAAUUUUUUUUUAUUCUAGUCAUGUGAUUCUAUCAUUAUUAAAUUAAUUGCAUAUAAUUGCGUACAGUAUCGUACAAUUUUGCAUACAAUAAUUGCAUACAAUAUCCUUAUGUUGUUAAUAUGUUCACUUCAAAUUUUAUUAUAUUAGAUGGAGUAUGCAGCAGAACAGGGAGACGUAGAUCUUUUAUACACAUUGAUCAAGCAGAAUCCACACGUUUUUUAAGAGAUGGAUUCAACAUCAUUUGUUAAAACUCUGCAAAGCAUAUUCAAUUUGCUGAUGAGAUCAUGCUUGAUUCAGACCAGUCCACCUCGCUAUACAACAUGGUCACAGCAGAAUAAUCCUUCUCUUGAAUAAUCCUUCAUUUUCUUGGAAAUUUAAUCCCCAAUGAUUCAGACCAGUCCACCUCGCUAUAUAACAUGGUCACAGCAGAAUAAUCCUUGACCUUAUUAAGAUGGACAAAGAACUUGUUCGAGCUAAAAGGAAAGGAGGUCUCACUCUUUUGCAUUUGACAAGUCAAUUGGGAAAUAUAAACCUUUUGGCAAUCUUUCUUGAAGCUUGCCCAGAUUCAAUAAAAGACUUGACGGUUAAAAGUGAGACUGCAUUGCAUUUAUACAAGAAGCGUAGUGAAAAUUUCUCUCUCCAAAUUACAAACAUUACAAGCUAAUUAAGUGGGAAUCACUAAUCAUGAGAUUCUAUCAUUAUUAAAUUAAUUACAUAUAAUUGCGUACAAUAUUGUACAAUAUUGCAUACAAUAAUUGCGUAUAAUUUAAUAAUUAUUAUUUCCUUAUGUGACGAAGUAGGAAUCACUAAUCAUGACAUUUUUUCAUUAUUAAAUUAAUUACAUAUAAUUGUGUAUAAUAUCGUACAAUAUUGCAUACAAUAAUUACGUAUAAUUUGAUAAUUAUUAUUUCCUCCGCUCGUGGUGUUCAAGAGUCUCUCUUUCCAUUUCUGUGUGACAACGUUCUUUCACUCAACUACUCCUUAUCUGUGAUUGCCAUAUCUUCUGUUAAUAGCAACAACAUACUGGUUAUGGUCCUUUUAAUCAUCCUUCUUGCAUACAAUAAUUGCGUACAAUUUUUUGUUGGUCCUUAUACUUUUCCAAGUAAAUGAAUUCUUUAAUUUGUUUAUUAUUUCGUUUGUUUUAAUUUCUAAUUUUCCUUUUGCUAUUAAGCUUUUAUAUGUUAUAUGUUUAUCUUUCUCUGUUUAUACCAUAACCAUUUAAGAAACUAAUUUGUCAAUAUGUAUGAUAAUGAAAGUGUCAAUAUGGAUAAAGUAGAAUUUUGUUCUAGAUAUUAUUGUAGCCCUAUGUGGUUAUUAUGGUCACUUCAAAUUUUAUUAUCUUAGACGGAGUCUGCAGCAGAACAGGGAGACGUAGAUCUUCUAUACACAUUGAUCAAGCAGAAUCCACACGUUUUUGAAGAGAUGGAUUCAAUACCAUUUGUUGAAACUCCAUUGCAUGUUGUUACAUGUGCAAGGCAUAUUCAAUUUGCCAAUGAGAUCAUGAUAUUAAAGCCUUCCUUUCUUGGAAAUUUAAUCCCCAAGGAUUCAGACCAGUCCACCUCGCUCUACAACAUGGUCACAACAGAAUAGUCAUUUACUUUAUCAAGAUGGACAAAAAACUCGUUCGAGCUAAAAGGAGAGGAAGUCUCACUCUUUUGCAUUUGGCAAGUCAAUUGGGAGAUAUAAACCUUUUGGAUGUCUUUCUUGAAGCUUUCCCGGAUUCAAUAAAAGACUUGACUAUUAGAAGUGAGACUGCAUUGCAUUUAUACAGGAGGUUUGAGGUUUUAGGUUUUCGAGUUCUUAUUUAGAUGACUCAAGACUAUGAAGCAAAUAAUAAUUAUCAAAUUAUACGCAAUUAUUGUAUGCAAUAUUGUACGAUAUUGUACCCAAUUAUAUGGAAUUAAUUUAAUAAUGAUAGAAUCUCAAUUAUAUUGUACGUACAAUUUUCUUAUAAAGACAAAGACAGGUAUUGAUGAGCUCAAAACCAUUAUGAACCAGAAAGACGUGGAGGGCAACACCAUUCUACAUAUUACAGCAACAAGAAAUGACACGAAGGUAAAUUUCUGUCUCUCUAUGAAUUUAGUGUUGUAUCAUUUGUUGGAAACUGAAAAGGUUUUAUAAUUGGAUUGUAGUCAAACCAAUUCAAAAGUUGUUUGAGUAAUUUAUCUAACUUAUUGGAUGACAUUGCAUAUAAUAAACAAACUCGAAAUUAAAAAGAAAUUGUCGAGUGUUGAAGCAAGUCGUGUUAGGAAAUUUCAAAUCCUUCGUUACUUCAAUGCAUGAGUUGAUGAUUCGAAAAAUUGGUUCCCAUGUCAGCAUGUCGAAUGAGAUAAGAAACUUGUACAUGAUAUGGAUCACUCUUAUUGCAACAGCAACCUAUCAAGCAGUACUUAGUCCACCUGGUGGAUUGCAUAAGAUUGAUGCAGCGGAUACUAAUAACACUCUUUGCGACAUCAGAUUCAUACGAAGUCUUUGAAGGGAAAUCUGAAACAUCUCUUUUUUAAGUUUUCGGCCAUAAAUAUAUGUGCCUUUAUGACAUCCAUUAUCACAAUUAUGUAUUUGAUGCCUAAUAAUCUUGGACGGUUUCUACCAAAUACGACCAUACUUCUUCUAGUAAUCAGCUACUCCUUAUUUGUGAUUGCCAACAUAUUGGUCAGACCAGUCCACCUCGCUCUACAUGGCCACAGCAGAAUAAUAUCAGAUUCAAUUAAGGGUAAAAACGUUAUAUAUUAAGUGUAAAAAUGUUAUAUAUUAAGUGUAAAAACGUUAUAUGUUAAGUGUAAAAACGGAUGCACUCACAAUACAUUUUCUUUCUCUACUGGGCGUUCUCUCUGGUGCGUUCUUACUUUCUUCAUUUUUUUUCUUUCCCGUGUGUGUUCUUCGUGUUUUCUUUCUCUUUAUUGUACUUGUGGCUACUUGCUUUCUUACUUUUUCCUUGCAUUUCUAUAAGAAAAUUGUAUGUAAGAAGAUGGACCCAAAUUACAAGCUAAUUAGGUAGAGAUCCAUUAAUCAUUAUUAAAUUAAUUGUAUAUAAUUGCAUACAAUAUCGUACAAUAUUGCAUAUAAUUUGAUCAUUAUUAUUUUUUUAAUAAUUUCUGUCUCGCAUUUUGUGAUUUUAUAAAUUAAUUUUAAAUAUUUAUUAUUAUUUUAAUAUUUAUAUUAUUAGUAUUAAUAAUACUUUAUAUUAUUAUUAGUUACAGUUUAUUUGAAAUAAAAUUAAAAAAAAAAAUUAAUUAUCUUUUAUAUAUUGAGGGUAAAAACAUUAUAUAUCAAGGGUAAAAACGGAUGCACUCACAAUAUAUUAUUUUCUAUUGUAUGUAAAAAGAUGAAAAUAUAAAGAAGAUGUUUAUUCUCUCCAAAUUACAAAGCUAAUUAGGUAGGGAUCUACUAAUCAUUAUUAAAUUAAUUGCGUAUAAUAUCGUACAAUAUUGCAUACAAUAAUUGCAUAUAAUUUGAUCAUUAUUAUUUUCUUAUUAACUUAUGUCUCGCAUCCUUGUGUGACGACGUUCUUCCACUUCUCCGCUAGUGGUGCUCAAGGUCUCUCCUCGCAUUUUGUGAUUUUAUAAAUUAAUUUUAAAUAUUUAUUAUUAUUUUAAUAUUUAUAUUAUUAGUAUUAAUAAUACUUUAUAUUAUUAUUAGUUACAGUUUAUUUGAAAUAAAAUAAAAUAAAAAUUAAUUAUCUUUUAUAUAUUGAGGGUAAAAAAUUAUAUAUCAAGGGUAAAAACGGAUGCACUCACAAUACAUUAUUUCUAUUGUAGGUAAAAAGAUGAAAAGAGAAAGAAGAUGUUUUAUUCUCUCCAAAUUACAAGUUAAUUAGGUAGGGAUAUACUAAUCAUUAUUAAAUUAAUUGCAUAUAAUUGCGUAUAAUAUCAUACAAUAUUGCAUACAAUAAUUGCGUAUAAUUUGAUAAUUAUUAUUUCCUUAAUAAUUUCUGUCUCGCAUUCUUGUGUGACGACUUUCUUCUACCUAUCCGCUAGUGGGCUCAAGGGUCUCUCCUUGCAUUUCUGUUUCGCAUUAUGUGAUUUUAUAAAUUAAUUUUAAAUAUUUUUAUUAUUUUAAUAUUUAUAUUAUAAGUAUUAAUAAUACUUUAUAUUAUUAUUAUUUAUAAUUUAUUUGAAAUAAAAUUUUAAAAAAAUAAUUAUCUUUUAUAUAUUGAUGGUAAAAAUGUCAUAUAUUAAGGGUAAAAACGGAUGUACUCACAAUACAUUCUCUUCCUCUUUUGCGCGUUCUCUCCAGCGCGUUCUUUCCAGCACGUUCUUGCUUUCUUUAUUUUCUUCUUUUCCCGCGCGUGUUCUUGUGCUUUCUUUCUCAUUCUUGCACCUGUGGCUACUUGCUUUCUUACCUUUUUCCUCACCGUUCUCCUUGCAUUUUUAUAAGAAAAUUGUAUUUAAGAAGAUGGAAAGAAGAAAAAAGAUGUUUUUAUAAUGUCCAAAUUACAAGCUAAUUAGGUAGGGAUCCACUAAUCAUUAUUAAAUUAAUUGCAUAUAAUUGCGUAUAAUAUCGUACAAUAUUGCAUACAAUAAUUACGUAUAAUUUGAUAAUUAUUAAGAGUUGUAAUUUGAUUGUAUAAAAAUUUUAGAUUUUUAAAUACAAUAGAAAAUUUACAAUUUGAAUGGUGUGUUGUGAUAUGCAUACACAACAUUUACUCCAUUUGUUCAUGUCAUCUAAUGAUCGUGUCAUUCAUAUUGUCUUCUCAUUAAUUAGUGUUUAUUACUUACUUAACACCAUGUAACUUGAUUAAAUAAACUAAAAUUUGAUACUCUUUAUUAUCAUUAAAGUCAUCGAUUAUUAUGGUGAGACUCUUGGUAUUAUAUUGUUGUAACUAGGAAAACACCCUUAAUUAUAUAACCAGGUGUCACUAUUACUAGGAGAAAACUUUUAUAAAGAAAAUAACAACAAAAUAUAAUGAUAACUACAUAUGUACAUUAAUCAGAAUAAUGAAGAAACAAAAGCUUAAAAAAAAAAAAAACACUUCUAACUUAAUUCAUGAUGAAUUUACAUCCAGCGAGGUUUGUCCUUGACACUGUAAAACAAAAACCAUAUUAUUCACAACCACAUUUCAUAUCAUAUAUGUACAAGUGUUUAACUUUAGAUCACAAAAAUACUUAUAUCCACAUAUAUUAUAUUGCUGAUAAAAUUUGUAAUAAAUAUUUAAGGACAUCCAUUUAUCAACACCCACAAAUAUCCACUACCCAUCAAAUUAGAUAAAUGUUUGUAUAUUCAAAUAAUUAAAUUAAUAUUUUAAUUAAAAUUUUAUAUUAAUGAAAUAUUUUUCAUGAAUUUAUUUGCUCUUCAGAAUUAAGGUGGUCAAUGUAAAGUUGAAGAAGAGAAAAAUAUCAAUUAAAAUUUUGUAAUUCUGUUUUACUUCAUGUACUUUACUUUUCUUGUGUUUUAAGUAGACAAUUUAUUUAAAUUUGUUAUUGGAAUUAAAUAAGCUUUUCUUUUUGUUGAUUAAAACAAUUUUUUUUAACCAAAUACCCUUGGAAAUUUGUUGAUAUCUAGGGGGCACAAGUGAGAUUUUAGCAUACAAGACAGGUAGUUAAAACCCACUUGACAAUUGCUUCCUGCACCCAACGAACGUUUUAAAAUCCCAUCAUGUUUUUGUCUUCUUUAUUUUGAAAAAAUGGAGUAGGGUGCGGAAAAAACUUGGUUUUUCUCUUUGGUGGUGGUUUAAGCUUCAAAGGAGGUGGUUUUAGUGUGGUGGUGGAGGAUGGGCCAUUUGCAUUGUAAGGUCCGCCAAUUGACAUUGUUGUGAGGUAAGAAGAUAUUUAAGCUAUUUUUUCGCAUUUUGUUUGAGCUGGGAUGGUCACGGAUAUCAAUAUCCAGAAGCUUGGUUUUAAUCUUAUGGAUGUAAGUGUCCGGAAGCCAUUAUUAAAUGCGUAGUAGAGAAAUGCGUUACGGAUAUGGUUAUUCAGAAGUGGAGAUUUUGUAUUCUCGAUGUGCAUAUCCAAAAUUGACUUUUGAAUUCCGGAUGCACAUAUCCAGAAUAGUUAAGUGUGUUCUGGAUUUGGACAUCCAAAAGUAUAUUUUUUGACUUAUGGAUUUCUAAAUUCAGAAACUAAGUCUUUUUUUCAAUUUUAUUAAAGGUAUUUUGAUAUUUUCUCGAACCAUGAUUAAGUGCCGGUUCAAAUGUGUUGGUGCAAGGAGAAUCAGCCAACCCACUUCCAUCCAUACUUAUUGUCAUCCUAGUCGUACAAUUACUUCCUGCACCCCUCCCCAUUUUUAACCUACACCCCCACAAUUGCGUGAAAUGAUUGAAUUGUCCCAUCCGCUUCUCCCUCACUGCACUCCACCACAGCCGCCACUUCCACACCAUCACCGCUGCAGAAGAAGAGAAGGAGAAUGCUGGAAAAAAAUCUCAUUUUAAAAAGCUUCUUCCAGAAAAUUCAUAUAAAAACUUAUUUCAGAAUGUAUCUCAUGUCUUUGGCCCAAAAUUUUAUUUUGGAAAUCAUCAAAUUCUUGAAAACAUGUUCUGGAAUGUAUUUCAUGAAUUCCAGAAAGUGUGUUCUAGAAGAAUAUUUCGGAAUCUGGAAGUCACUUUAAAUAAGAAUAAAAAAGUAAUUUUAAAAAUUAUGGAAGUGCAGGUUCAAAUUGCGGGGUGCAGGAAGCAAUUGUCUAAUCCUAGUCUGGAGUUCUUUCUAGCUUGGUUGGUUUAACAAGAUGCAUUAGUUGUUAUAAACUCCCUAAGAUAAAAACAAAAACUUAGUCCCAAAAGCAAGUACAUUUAUUUAAUACAUUUAGUCCCUAAAAUAUACAUGCUAUCAUCAUAAUAUUUAAUAUUGAAUUAGUCCCUUUGAAAUGACCUAUUAAACAAAAAAUUAUAAGAAAAAAAAUCUUUCUUAUUAUCUUGUGUGUAUGUACAUCACUAAAUGUAUAACAAAUAUAUAAAAAUGUACGGAGACUUUCUUUCUCUAAAUUACAAGCUAAUUAGAUAUGAUUCACUAAUCAUAAAUUCUAUAAUUAUUAAAUUAAUUAUAUAAUUGUGUAUAAUAUCGCAUAAUAUCACACAAUAUCAUACAAUAAUUACAUAUAAUAAUUGUCUAUAAUUUUAUAAUUAUUAUUCUCUUAAUAAAAAUCGUGUAGCAAAUAGUCAUCUCAAGUUCGAGAUACAUAUUUUUGUUAUUUGUUUUUAAAAUAAUCCAUAUCUGGAAAAAAAAAUCCCACAAAUUGCACCUUUUUUUUGAUAAAUUUACCGAAUUUGUUUUGAGUAGAAAGACAUGUGAUAUGUAAGGUAAUAGGUUAUAGUAUCGGUAUUCACUUUUAACCCACCUAUCUAUUAUGAGACUUCGUGUCCACACCACUAGGUUUCCCUAUUUUUUCUAUUAACAUACUUUCCAUUACUCAUCCAUAAUGGUAAAGAGAAGAAAAAAAGAGAAAUUAAAAAAGGUAUUAGAGGUUUCUGUACAUGCUAUACAAUGGGAAUAGCUUCAAUUUUAUCUUUUAAUAAAUAAAAAUUAAUUUUUAUUUAAUAAAUUAAGUAAUUUAACCAGUUCUGUCUACACCAAAAUAACUAAAAUACUUCUUUACUUUUAUUCCAUGUGAUUUUAGAGAAGAAAUAAGAAAGAAGGAGACAAAAAGAGAAUAAAGUAUUUUGAUAGAUUUCUUCACAUUAUAAAAUGUAAUAGUAAGAGAAUUAAAAAUUACUAAAGGUCAAUUAAUAAUCAUAAUGAAAUUUAUAUCAUCAUAAAAAUCAUUCAUAACAUCACAAAAAUCAUUCAUAAUGGCAUAAAAAUAUAACACUCUUCCUUGUAUGUCUAUUUAUUGAAAGAUGUGUCUCGUUAAAACUUUAAACCUUAUGACUAACAACCACUAAAGAAAAAAGAGUACUCGACUUGAGGGGAGUAUACCAAUAUGAAAUAGACUCACACUUUAAGGGAAGACUUUAGGAAUCCAAGUGUGAAUUUAAGUUCCAUAUUGAGUAAACAUGAGAAAGUUGAGCACCAUACAAGGAAAAAGACCUAUAAACUCAUUGUCUUAAGGUUUUGGAUAGAAGGCAGUGUCUUAAUCUCUUGUAUGGGUUGAAUCAUUAGUGUCGAAUAAUGUUGGAGAUCCCACAUCGACUAGAGAUUAGAGCCUUUCAUUGUAUAUAAGUGGGUGCAAACCUCAACCCUAUGAGCCGGUUUUAUGGGGUUGAGUUAGGCUUAAAGUCCACUUCGUAAUAUGGUAUCAGAGCCAUUUCGAGCCUAUCCUAGCGAGUAUUUGUUGGGCCUAUCGUGCCACCCGCUAUCGGGCCGCUAUCGGACCACCCAUAAUAUAUAGUCCCACGCACGAGUUGGUAGUCUCGGCGUGAGGGGGGUGUGUUGGAGAUCCCACAUCGACUAGAGAUUAGAGUCUUUCAUUGUAUAUAAGUGGGUGCAAACCUCAACCCUAUGAGCCGGUUUUAUGGGGUUGAGUUAGAAGGCGAUGUCUUAAUCUCUUGUAUGGGUUGAAUCAUUAGUGUCGAAUAACCCUCGUGAAUUUCCCUUUUAAAGACCCAACAAUGGAGCAACAACUGAAGAAAAUGUUAGUGUUGUGUAUGUUGAACAAUGCAUAAGCCUUGAUUUUAGGUAUCCGUAUGGAAAAGGCUAUGAGGUUAUCCUCUUUGAAAAUAAUUGUUAUUCCAAGUUGGUUUAGAAGAAUAAGUAUUGUGUUUGAAUCCUUUUAGUUGGGCAUGUUAAGAGAAGUUAUUUAGAUGUUGAUGUUGUAAAUGUUUUGAGUAUUUUAGCUUUCAUGGCAUGUUUUAUAAGUCUUUUCAAAAGUUUUUAAGUUCAACGCACAACCUAUAUAAAAGUUAUUAAAAGAUAAUUGUUUUGAAAAGUUAAAGACACGAGAAAAAUGUUUUGUGGCUAUGUUAAUGGAUUAAGUUUUUAAAUAAUCGAUUAUUUGUUUAUUUGACUGAAUAAAACAUGCAACAAAAUUAUUUGUUUUCAAUUUUCUGAAAAAUUAACUGAUUCAAAUCUUGCAUAAUUUAUUAACUUCAUUUUUUAAAUCUACAAAGCUGAAAUAAUUGAUUAAGCAGGAAGCAUUGUAACUAUUUUUUCAGAUUUUAAUGAGAAUAAAUUGUUCUUGGUCUCGAAUCCGGAGUGAUGUGAGACUAUAUUGGCGGUACUAGAACAAGUCUCCAGUCGAGGUCUAAGGGGAGUGGAUUCCCCCAAAUUGAAGGGCUUGUGACACAUUUUCGGUCUCACAGACGGCGUCACUGUUCCAAAAAGAGUCAUUCAUGAUGAAGAAAUCCCAAAUUUGCUCGGAAAGGGCUUGUAACUAACCAGAACCAAAGAAGAGAGGUUUUAGAUUCGCUUAGGCUUGGCUUAGAGCGAACCCUAAGCCUAAGAAAUCUUCAUGCUUAAGAAAAGAUUUUGAUGGGCUUGGCAUGGAGCAAAUCCCUACAAAAUUAAAAACUUGUAUGUUUUUUGACAAGAGUAAUUAUCUUUUUAUCAAAUUUGAGAGUUUAGUUUUAUCUGUUGUUACUCAAGAGUCCCACCCAAUAAAAUAAAUUUGCAAAUGAUGAACCUACAAUGAAGAACAUGAUUCAUAUGAAUAAGAAAAUUUUGUCGGCAUCAUUAUUAUCACUACAACAAAUAUCACUUUAAGCAACAACAUAAAAUCGUGACUUAAACUUUAGAUAAUAAUUUUUCAAUCGUGGAGUAUUAUGUCGUGACGUAGGUCAAAGACAACGAUUUUUGUCUUAUGACCGCACUUGUUUUCAAAACCAUGUUUAAAAUAACAAAUUUUUGUCAAUGUUUAAACAACACUUUUUAUUUAAUAAUAAAAUAUACUCAAUAAAAGUUGUUUAGAAAAAAUAAUGAAAUAAAUUUAUAUAAUAAUAAAAUUAAUAAUAAAACAAAUAUAAAAAUAAUACUAAAAUUAAAAUUAAAUUAAUUUAUAAUAAUAAAAACAAUUUAUUUGUUUUAGAAAUAUAUAUUUAAUAUAUUUUUGAAAAUUUAUUAUAACAAUUAGAUCAUUCACAAAUUUUAUAAAUUUUCUCCUUAUUUUUUUAUUUAUUUUUUACUGUCUUUUUCUUAAUCCAACUAAUUUCAUGCACUUUUCAUUCUCUCUUUCCUUUUUUCUUUUUUACUUUUCUUUCCUUCUUUUAUAAAAGGUAGAAAAAACAUUAACAAAUGAGGUAAGACUCUUCGUUUAGACUUUUCACCCUUACAAACUUUAUUAAACCUAACAUAGUCAAUUAUUGAAUGAUAAUAAAUUCGGUUGCAUGUAUUAUACUCGUUCUAAAUUUUAAACAUAUUAUUGAUUUUGUGAUAUUUUUUUUCUUUGUAGAUUUUUAUAAUCUAUACCAUAUAAAAAUUUCUGUAUAUGUUUUUUACGAACGUAUAUUUUAUACAAUUUUACCCUUAUGUACGCCAUUUUAAUAACUAUUCCUUUCAUAAAAACUGUUAUUUUUUAUUUUAGUAAAUGUCACUUUAGUAUAUAAGAAAUAUUUAAAUGUACUAUACGUAUUUCCACCACCACCAAUAAUAAAUAUAAUAAAUAAAAAAAUAAAAAAAAUAUAAUUUUAAUUUCCAUUUUUUAACUCUGUUCGAUCAAAUUAUCUAUAUUUCAAAUUUAUUUUUCAUUUCUUUCUUUCCCUUCAAUCAACCUACUAUCCUAUUUAUCUUUAAAAAUAUAUUAUUAAUUAACUCUAAUUUCAUAUAUUAAUUAUCAAAAUACAUAAUUUUUUUUAAAAUUAUUAAAUUUUUUUUUAAAUUGUCAAAAUAUAUAAAAUUUAUAAAAAGAUCAUCGAAAUGAUAAAUAUUGAUAGAACUUAACCAUCUCAUUAAUCUUUUAAAAUUUUAAUUAUUUUAAUAAUUUAAGUAUGAAAUUCUUAUUUUUUUCUUUCUUUCUAGUUUCUCUAUUUAUUUCAUUUUUACAAAAUAAAUAAAUAGUUGAGAUUAUUUCCUUUCUCAUUAACUAUUAACUGAAAAAGCAAAAAAGUGGCUUAAAUCUGUCACAACUUAAAUAGUUGAAAUGAUAUUGAAUAGAAAUUCUUAAACAAUUUUUUUCUCACUCUCUCCCUUCAUAAAAUCAAAUCUGAAUUUAGAGUGACUAUGAUUUAAUAUUGAAUUCUCUUGUAUAUUGUUUGAGAAGAUAAUGAAUUGAAAUAUAUGCAUGUAAUUUUGAACAACUAAAAAAAUUUAGAAAUGCACUUGUGGGUGUGAGUGUGUAUAUACUACUUGUUUAUUUCUUUUGAUAGAGUGAUUAUUUUUUUUUAUCAAAAUUGAGAGUUUAGUUUUAUCUAUUGUUACUCAAGAGUCCCUAUCCAAUAAAAUAAAUUUAUAAACGAUGAACCUACAACAAAUAUUACUUUAGACAACAACAUAAAAUCGUUGCCUAAGUUUUAGACAACAAUUUUUUAAUUGUAAAGUAUUCUAUCGUAGGACAUAGGUCAAAGACAACGAUUUUUGCUCUAUUGUCUUAAGAUUGAUAAAGUGGAUAACACAUUUUUUCUCAAUGUUUAGAAAACACUUUUUUUUUCAAUGUUUAGACAACACUUUUAUAUAAUAAUAAAAUAUACUAAAUAAAAAUUGUUUAAGAAAAAUAAUAAAAUAAAUUUAUAUAAUAAAAUUAAUGAUAAAAUAAAUAUAAAAAUAAUACUAAAAUUAAAAUUAAUUUAUAAUAAUAAAAAUAAUUUAGUUAUUUUGACAAUAUAUAUUUUAUAUAUUUUUCAUAAAUUUUCUUUUUAUAUUUUAUAUUUUCCUUUUCUUAAUCCAGAUAACUUCAUGAGACACUUUUCAUUCUCUCUUUUCUUUUAUUAGUUUUCUUUCCUUCUUUUACAAAAGGUUGAAAAAUCAUUAACAAAUGAGGUAAGAUUCCUCGGUUAGACUUUCCACCCUUUAAAGCUUUAUUAAACCUAACUUAGUCAAUUAUUCCAUGAUAAUAAAUUCGGUUGCAUGUAUUAUACUCGUUCUAAAUUUUAAAGACAUGGUUGAUUUUAUGAUAUUUUUCUUUCUUUCUAGAUUUUUAGAAUCUAUACAUAUAAAAAUUGCUGUAUAUGUUUUUUACGAGCGUAUAUUUUAUACUAUUUUACCCUUAUGUACGCCAUUUUAAUAAUCAUUCCUUUCAUAAAAAUUGUUGUUAUUUUUUAUUUUAGCAAAUGUCAGUAUAUGAGAAAAAUUUAAAUGAACUACACGAAUUUCCACCACAACCAAUAAUAAUAAAUAAAUAAUCAAACAAACAUAUAAUUUUAACUUCCAUUUCCUAAUUCUCUUCAAUCAAAUUAUCUAUAUUUAAAUUUUUCUUUUCAUUUCUUUCUUUCCCUUCAAACAACCUACUAUCACAGACAUUUACACUGAUUAGAUAUGAACACGGACACGAAGAUACAUAUAAUCUCUAAAAUAUAGAACACGGAGAUAUGAGAAUACGAAUUUAUAUAUUAUAUAAUUAUGAAUCAUAUAAAUUGACAAUAAAUAUUUAUGUGCAUUAAGUAUGUUUCAGUUUUUAUUGGGGUAAAAAAAUGUUUUUCGUGGCUAGUUCAAAAGGAUUUAUUCCUUAUUUUCAUAAUCAUAACAAAAAUUUAUACAAUAAAUUUAAGUUUUUAGAAAAUGAAUGUAUUUCUUUUUUAAAAUUAUGUUAGACCCAUGUUAGAAUUGUAAGAAAUGCAACAAAUAUUUUUUGAAUUGAACACUUAACCAAUACGCGUCCUAUGAGUUCCUAUGAGUGUCAUACGAGUUUCGGUAUCUAUGUUUGAUACGUGUUUAAUACAGACAUACCAUUUAAGAAAAAUGUUUGUGCUUCAUAGCUAGUAUCCUAUUUAUCUUUAAGAAUCUUUUAUUAAUUAACUAUAAUUUCAUGUAUUAAUUAUCAAAAUACAUACAAUUUUAAAAAAUUAUUAAAAUAUAUAAAAUUUUUAAAAAACUGUCGAAAUAUAUAAAAAUUUUAAAAAAAUUGGAAAUGAUAAAAUUGAUACAACUUAACCAUUCCAUUAAUCUUUUAAAAAUUGAAUUAUUUUAAAAGUUAAAGUAUGAAAUUCUUAUUUCUCACCUUUUUUUUUCUCUCUCUCUAAUUUCUCUAUUUAUUUAAUUUUUACAAAAUAGAACAUGAACUUACUUAGAAUAUCUAAAUAUGCAUUGGAGUAAGUGUAGUGAAAAGUAAAAAAUUGGAAAAAAGUUUGGGUAGCCGCCACUCCGACAGACAAGCAGGAACAAAGCAUCAAAAUUUAUGUCACAACCGAAUGCGUGUGUUGACUGCGGAUUAACUCAUCUCACCAAAUCGAAAACCAUUAUUGUUCCUUCUAACUUUUCUUUACCUUCUUAUUUGUUCUCCUUCAAGUGAUAUUGGUAAAAAAUAUCUCAAUUUUCAAGGCCUCUCUCUUCAAACAAACAGAUACAAACAACCACAAGACAUACAAAUCCUACUAACCACUCCUUUUGUUUUCCUAAAGUGUUAUCAUUACACAGUGGUCGGUUCUGUCUCAAACCCAGCGAGUUUUCAAGCUUUGAGACAGCAACAUGCGGUUAAUCCAUGUUCUUGUCUUAGGGUUUGUGGCUCUUCAUGUUUUUGAAUCCAAUGCUCAACUCAUACCACAAGAUGAAGGUACGCUUCCACGCUUUUGUUCUCAACCUUGUUGGUUUUCUUAAUUCGUUGCUUUGGUUGCUUGUAGUGCAGUUAUUUCAACAACAGAACAACUCUUCUGAAACUUUUUCAUAACAAGGCUUUGAUUAACCACCCUUCUAACCGUUCUCACUUUUGCAUUAGAUGAAAACACAAACAAGUUAUGAAAAACACUACUUUUUUUAGGAGAAGUUGAGGUUCUGAUAAUAAGAAUUGAGUGUUCUGCAUCGUUCUCCUCUUUAUGCUUAGGAUUCAACACAAGGGUGUGCUUGUGCUGCUGUUUCUUUCUCUAACUUCCUUCUUUAGAGAACUUUUUAAAGCACUGUUUUUUUCUUCUUUUCCUAUCUGGGUACUUUUGAUGAUUUUCCUUGGAUCUUUCUCAGAGGUUUUAUAUCUUAUAUUAUCAAAUUCAAUUCAAUUUUGUCUACUGGGACUUUGGAUUGCCUUUUAGGAAUGGUGGAUUCUUCAUUGUUUCAAUUUUUUUUAUGUAAUCAUAUCAAGUUUAGGUUUUUCUUGAUUGUUUUGGUGACACUCUUUGGUUGACACAUCCCAUGUGAGAUGACACCCUUUUGAAAAUGAAAUGACAAUGACAGGGUUGGAGGACCCCUCCUUGUGUUAAUGGUCAUGGAUUUAUUUUUUGAGUACUGUCUCUUCCACAUAUAAAAAGUUUGGUUGUCAGAAAUCAUUUUCGUUAUUUUUUUUUUAUAUUUUGGAUAAGACCAUUGUUUAUGAUACAGUCAAUAAUCUCAAUGGUUAAACACAAUAAAUUAUGUUCAGAAGAUAUUUUCUAAUUAUAUAUGGACCCUUCAAAACAAUGAUUUUAGCCAAACAGUGACAUUUUGGAAAACCAUUUUGCAUUGAAAUGUGUUCGUCAUAGAUUUGAAGAUAUAUAUAUAACUGGUUUGGCCAUUGGGUCAGCACCACUUUUUGAUUUUUAAAAGCUAACAUUGCUGGUAGAAAAUGUUAAUUAGAAUUUAUUGAAUAUAAUUAACAGCUAGCAAGUGGAGAUAGUUAAACAUCAUUAAUGGCGAAAGCAGAGGAAAUUAUUUAGCUGUGCUGUCACUUGCUACAUGUGCAGCCCAUACCUUCUUCUUGUACUGAUAAUUUGUUUCUGCUACUUUUUUUUACAUCUUACACAUCAUUAGAAAUUGGUUAAAUAAAUAACUUGUUACUGUUCAACACAUUUUUAAUUUUUAUGAAAAAUUAAGAUUCAUAUCACACUUUGAACCAUUUCUGAAACAGAUCAGUAACACUAAAUCAGAAAAAAAAAACCAUCUAAAACAGAGGAAGUGUCUGUGUAUAAGAGUGGAUAUAGUUCAUUUUAAAAAAAGUUAGUUAUUUAAAAAGUGCAUUUAAAAAAAAACUCAAAUUAGUAAUUUUUUAUUAGUUAAGUAAUUAUAAAUAAUAUUUUUCUGCACAUAUAAUUUAUAUAUUAAAGAGUUUAAUAAUUGUUUCGUGUUAGUGUAAUAAUUAUAGAAUUGACUUUCAUAUAAAUAACCAAAAUUAUUUAAAAUUUAUUCAAUGUAAUUUAUUAUUUCUUGGAAAUUUAAGUAUGAGUUAAAAAGUAAAUUGGGUAUAAAUGUUCAAGAGAAAUAAUAUAUAAAAGAUUACAAAUUUAUAGUUUUAAAAUUUUGUGUUAAAAGUGGUAUUACUAUUUAUAUAUUUUUAAAAAAUUGAAGAUUUUCUUUUUUUAAAAACUACUAUAAAUACCAGAUAAAAAAAGUCAGAACUAUAUAAAGUAAUAUUUUAAUUUAACUUUAGAAAUUUAGAUUUUUGCAUGUAGAUUUGUGUAACAGUACCUUUCUAAGAUUGAUUUGUUUUGACAUGUGACACUAUUAUUGAUUGGACAAUCUUAGCUACUUUUUGACCAUGUUGUUUCUUUAAUGUUAUGGAUAUGGUGGGUAUAAGAUUCCAUUCUUUGUAUACAUUUCAAGAUAAAAAAAACAAAUCCAUGCAUAGUGAUGAUUCUGUUUUUGACAAGGGAAAGAGCCAUGCAGAGUCUUUGAAUGAAAAUUAAAUUUUGUAUUCUAUUUCCCACCAUCUCUGACUUGACUUGAUUCAGAAUUGAAGAAUAAAAAAUGAAAAUGAAGUUUCUUAAUUGCUGUAUUUGGUGAAAUAAUUUUAUAUUUGAGUCAGAUUUUAACACAGUUAUAAAGAUGCAAUUGUUCCAAAUCAUAAAAACAUUCAAAAGUUUAAGAAAUCAAAAGAUCUGUCUAGUUUUUUGACUUCUGUAUAUAGUUUGAAACAUAAUUACUCAAUAUCUAGAAUUUACCAAAAAUGAUUAGAUUCAGAAUAUAUUAAAGAUUUUAUUAAAAACUAUGUUCAGAUUAAUGUUUUGUAUAUUAUUAUUAUUAUAUAUAGUUGAACCAAUUAUGGGGUUGGUAAACAAUUUUAAUAGUUGACAAUGGAGCUUUGAAAAAAUUCGUACAAUUACAAGUACAUAGUUGAAAAAAAAAGUAUAAUCUAAAUUAAAUCGUUUACCUUUUGUCAGACUGAUUAACUUCAUAUUUAUAUUAAUCUAGGAUAGACCUUUUUUAAAAUAUCAUAAUGUGAAAAAAUUGUAGAUAAUAUUAUUUUAUUAAUAUAUAUAUAUAUAUAAUUUAUACAUCAAGUUUUUUUUAUCUAAAAUUUAAAAUUAAUUUCAUUAACAUGGUUUAAAUUUUAAAAAUAUAUAUUAUUUUUAAUAUUUUGAUUUAUUUAUUAUUUUAUUUUUUGAAACACAUCAAAAUGCCUUAUUAGUUAAUCUAAGUGAUUUUUUACUUUCUAUAUUUCCAUGGUAUUGAGAAAUGUAAAAAAAUGAUCUCUUUAUGCGAUUUGAUCAUAAAAAAUGAUUCGAAAAGCUUUUAAAUUGGGUUUAAAAGAAAUAGAUAAAAUCUAUCACCAAAAGGGGUGAGAUCAAAAUAAAACUACUGAUUUCUAAUUCUAUGUUGUGUGUGUAAUGGUUAUGCAAUUUGUGAGGGUGAGGAAAAAAUUGUGGUUUGUGUUUUGAAUGGUUUAACUGAUUCUUAGAAUGUGUAAAAAAAGUAAUUGUUAGAGAAAAUGGUUGUGUUGUGGCUAAUGCAAUUGCUUUGUGUUUGUGUUGCAGUGAAAGUACUGCAAGCAAUAUCUGAUAAACUAGAGAACUUGAAUUGGACAGUUACCGAGCAUUCCUGCGCAGAAGAUGGAGGGUUCGGUGACAGGAUUAAUAUAAGGAAUGACACCGUGAGGAAUGUCUCAUGCGAUUGCAACUUCCAAAAUAACACAGUUUGCCAUGUUGAUAGCAUGUAUGUCUUUUUCUGGCUACUAAUAGUGAAUCACAGUCUCACAUUAACACGUAGAAAUGAGCAAAAUUGAACAAAAUAUAAAAAGAAGACCUACAAAUCUGAAAAAUUCAACAAUUGUUAACACUUUAUUUGAAAAAUCAUUAUUGGAGAUCUCACCUCUACUAGAGAUUAGAACAUUUCAUUGUAUAUAAGUGGGUGCAAACUUCAUUUUAUGAACUGGUUUUAUGGACUUGAAUUAGGUUUAUCCUAGCGAAUGUUUGUUGCUUUUAUUAAGACAUCUGCUAUCAGACCGUUAUCGAACCAUCCAUAAUAUGUUAUCCCAAAUGACUUUAAAGUUGAACAUUCAAGUUGAGUGUCUUGUUGAUAGUGAAACAUGUUUUUUAUAAAUACUAGUUAGUUGUUUUUUAUCCUUUGAAUUUUAACUAAUAUUAUUUGAUCUUUAACGUUUUAUAUUUUUUUCAACUAAUCACAAUUAUAUAUAUAUAUAUAUAUAUAUAUAUAUAUAUAUAAAAUGUGGGUAGUAGUUUUAUCAAAACUAUCUCUUAACUUGACCUUUUAGAUUUCUCUUUAGGUUUAAAUAAGUUACAUUCCCUUUAGUAAGAAAUAAGACUAAUUAACCGUAGAAGUUCAAAUAGUUUCUGGCUUAUUAUUUCCUAAUAUUUACAUUUUUUAUGAUUUUAUUUAUAUUAACUAAAUUCAUUGAAUGUUAUAUAUUUAAUUAAUUAUUUGUUUUUAUUUAUGGGAUACUAAUACCAUUGUUUGGCUGUGCUAGCUUUCUGAAGGCUCAAAAUAUAGCUGGAGUUUUUCCCAGUGAAUUUGGAAAUCUCACUCAUCUGAAAGUGCUGUAAGUUUAGAAAUAUUCUGAGUUUUCUCAGGGAUAACAUGAUAAAAAUGGAAUUACUUUUUAAACUUUCUUUUCCUAACUCAUGUGACUGUACAGUUAUGUCAUUAUUUUAACAUGCAAAUGCAUUUUUUGAUGAAUUGUUAUGUUUGUUUAUGCGAAUGCCAAUAAUUAUUGUUAGAACUUCUAUGCCUUGUGCAGUGAUCUAACACGCAACUAUAUCAACGGCUCGCUUCCAAAAAGUUUUCCACCCAAUGCUACACUCACCAAUUUGUUAGUCUUCCAUGCCCUUGCUUUUGUGUUAAUUGUUUUUCAUGAUUCAGUCUAAAAAGUGUUUUAUAUCUAACAAUUUCUUAACUCAAACUUUUUUUGAGUUUAUUUCAUUAUUUUAUCUGCUUUCUUGAUGAAAUGACCAAUGUCCAAUUGUUACUGUGGCCCAGGUUACUUCUGGGAAACCGUCUAAGUGGUCCAAUUCCCUCAGAAAUUGGUGAUAUUGCUAAUUUGGAGGAACUGUAAGUGCUGGAGAAUUUUGAUUUUCAACAUUCAAAAGUGGUUGAUAUUGGAGGUUGAAUAAUGAUGAUAAUGGUGUUCAUGUUUAUAGGGUCUUAGAUUGUAACCAACUUGAAGGACCACUUCCUUCUAGUCUUGGAAAUUUGAGCAACUUGAAGAGACUGUAAGAAGACUCUUUCAUUCUAGCCAUUUUCCUUUGAUAUAUAUAUGAUCAAUUUUAAUCAUUCAUUUUUCUGUGUACCAAGUGUUUGUUUUUAUGUUGCUCAAGGUUUUUGUAAUUAUUUCAUACAAAUUUUGCAGGCUUCUUUCUGCAAAUAAUUUUACAGGGACCAUACCAGAAACAUUUGGAAAACUUGAAAAUCUGACUGAUUUGUGAGUGACAAACUGAUAGAAUUGUUCCUUUUGGUUUCUUAUUUUUAUAUCUCUGUUAAAUCUUAAAAUUCUUCUCUGCAUUUUCUGCAGUAGGAUAGAUGGAAGCAGUUUAUCUGGACCAAUACCCAGUUUCAUUGGAAACUGGACCAAACUUAACAGACUGUGAGUACACAUUUAGAACAAUUCCUUACUAUUUUCUUGUUAGGUAGUAGGAAAACAAAUUUGAUAUUCCAUAUCAUGCUUAGUGUAAGAUUUAAAUGUUGCUCCAUUAGUAAAACAAAAAAUAAAAUUAAGACUUAAUAUAGUAACUUGCAAUGAAAAUUGCCUAAAUGAACUAUGUUUUUGUUAGGGAUUUGCAGGGAACAAAUAUGGAAGGCCCAAUUCCUUCCACUAUAUCUCAGUUGAAACUUUUGACUAAUUUGUGAGUACUUGCUUCUUUCUAGAAUAUUCCUGAAUUGGAGUAUUUUAUCUCUGUACAUUGUGCAAUGAUUGUGGAACAUUACAUUUCCUUUUCAUUGAUGAACAUUUCUGUACCAGGAGAAUAACAGAUUUGAAAGGAUCAGCAACUAUGAAUUUUCCUGAUCUGGAGGAGUUGAAAAACAUGGAGCGACUGUGAGUUCAAACAUUUUCAAGUACUUAUGAGCAAUUACUUCCUGGACCAGAUGAAAUUUGAACUAACUGAAUUUUACUCGUGAAUGAUAAAAAUACCCUUAAAUAAAAGUUUUCUGGAUUUCAGAAUUUUUUUCUGAAAUAUGUUUUCAGAUUUUAUUUUUUGGAAUAUUUUUCUAAAAUAUAUUUUUUGCAUUUUGAAAUUACUUUUUUAUAGAAUGAGAUUUUGAUGUUUUAAUUUUAUUUUUGGAACACAAAAAUUUAUUCCGAAUUUACUUUUCAAGUAUUUUCUUAAUUCCAGAUUUUUAAUUUAAAAAAGAAGAACAAUUUUAAAUUUUUUAAAAUGUAUUGAGUGCAGUUCACAAUUUAUAAGUUGCACAAAGAAAUUGCUCUACUUAUUUAAGUUUAAGAAGUAUAAGAUUGAUUUGGGCUUUCAACGAAGGUGUGCAUUUCUGUGACACAGGGAAUUAAGAAAUUGCUUAAUCAAGGGUGACAUUCCAGAUUACAUCGCUCAAAUGUCAUACUUAGACACUUUGUAAGUUCCAUCAAUAGUCACCUCAAGUUUAUUUUUGCCACCAUAGUCAGUAGUUAAAGCUUGUGUUUGGAUAACUAAUUUUAUAAUUUUCAAGAAAUUUUAAAUAUUUUUGAACUUGAAUUCAUUUUAUUUUAAAUUUUUAUUUUUUUAAGAUUUUGUUUAAGAAAUUUAAAUUUAUUGAAGUUUAAUUUUUCUUAUUUAGAUAAAAUAUUUCAUUUAUCACUAAAUAUAUAAAUUAUUUUAAUAUGAAAUGAUUUAAAAUUAUCAGCUAAUGCUUUUCCUUCGGUAUUACUUUUGCCUUAAUUUGCUAAGAAAAUUUUAGUUAUGUUAAUAAGCAUUUAUUAAGAUUAACAUCAAGUGACUAUAUCUUUAGAUGAAGUUGACCACAAUCAUUUUUGUGGAAAAAAUUACUGUAUUUUUUUGAAGUAAAGUGUGGAAUUUCUGGGAUCCCAUCAACCUUGAAUAAUAUUAAUAUUUACUAAUAUCAAUUGAAGAUUAUUGACAAAAAAAAUUUCCUAAUAAUAACAACUAGGAAAUAACUAUGAUUGAUUUCAACCUAAAUUUUUUUUUUCUGAUGAGUUGAAAAAACUAUGUGGAACUAGUAAAACUCCACCAAUGUUCCUAUCACUAGAAGAGAAUGUGAAGAGAAAAGAGGAAUUUGAGAGAGGAGUAUGAAAAAUUUCAUAUUAUUACUUUUUUAGGUAAAAUUUGAUAUUAUAUUACUUUAAGAAAUAAUAGUAUUCAUAAAUUCCUAAAGUUCAGUUUCUUUUAAAAUAGAACAGUAUCUUUUGUGCAUUUCAAAUUGCCUUCUAAAAAUUCUCCUUCCAAACGCGGUAUUAAUGUUUUCUCCCCAUGUCAUUUCCACAACUUCAAAUCUUUGAAGAGACAACUCCGUUUUGUGCUGUUAAUCUCUUGUUUAUUUCUGGCCUCAAAAUUUGUUUCAAAGGGUUACUUUCAUUAGAAAUUGUUUAUGCAUUAUUUACAUGCAAAGAUUGUUAAAUGCUUCCCAACUUUUUUUUGUGAACUAAUUCUCUCGGCUGUCUGUCACUCUUUUUUAUAUCCCAUCUUUGGAUAGUUGUGAUAAUGCCAUUCAAGAUUGUUUUUAACACCAUUGAACUAAUUCAUCACUUUGAGGGGAAAAAAUAUUGUCUAUCCUCUAUUUAGGGUGAUCUGGAGCAAAUUUUUUUUGCAUAACCAUGGUGUGAUGUGUACAAUAAUAAUAAUUUGGUAGUAACCCUUUUGGUAGGAAUAAUUUCUGGAGCAUUGUUAUCCUGUGUGUAUGUGUUUUCACAUGGGACUGAAUUUUUUUUUCUUAGGAUUUGAUGUCAUGUGAUUCAUUGCUGCAUCAUUAUAACUAUCUUAUUUUACUUGCAGGGACCUAAGCUUCAACAUGUUAACUGGUCCAGUCCCAGAUUUUAUACCAAAUUUAGGGAAGCUAGAUUACUUGUAAGUGAAGAUUCGAUUUCCUUACCAGAAGAUUAGAAAAAAAGUAUCAUAUAUCUUAUACUCAGCUAGUACUUUGAUAUCUGCAAACUUUGUUGCUUUUUAUUUAUUGAUCUAAUUCAGGUUUCUGACAAAUAAUUCGCUGAGCGGAGAAAUUCAGGACUGGAUACUGAGCUUUAAACAUAACAUGUUAGCAUAUUUUCUUUAUCUUGGUUUCUUGAAUUGCAUAAUUUAAAAGCUUUACUGAAUUACACCCUGUACUAUAUCAGUGAUACAAUGAUACAAAAAUUACCAUAUGUCCACUUUCAGAGAUUUAUCUUACAACAAUUUUACUAAGUCUUCUGCAUCUAGCUGCCAGCUCUCUGAUGUGUAAGGUUCUCUUUGUCUAGCAAUAUAUAAGUAUUUCUUUUAGUUAUGUCAAUACUAACCUUUUACUAUUACUUACCAGGAACUUGGCUUCAAGUCAUUCUUCUUCUUCAGUGGCAACUACGGCUUCGUAAGUUUUUUGUUUUUGUAUUUUCUACUCUGUUUAUCACCAUUCUAUCAUACCUGUUAAAACUAACUAUAUUCAUUUUGUAGAACUUUUUGUUUGAAGAGGAACCUUCCUUGUGCAGGACAACCCCAGUGUGAGUGUUGUUUGAAGAAUAACCUUCCUUAAUGCUUGGCUUGGCUUACUAUUGUUACUUUUCGAAUUUGGCCCCAUUUUUUGUUGUGAAUUGCAAUAUUAAUUCAUGUUUAAACUUAUUAUUCAAUAUUUAAUAGAAAUAUAACUUAGCAGUACAAUAGAGUGCAGCAUUAACAUUUUUGUUAAUAUUCAAUGUCAAAAUGUUGUAUCAACCAAAAUUGCACAAUUAAAAUAGUGUCCGAUCAAAUUGGCCAAAAAAUGGGGGGACUAAAUUCAAGAAAUGACGAUAAUAAGGGAACCAGAAGUGCGAACUAAGCUAGAGCGUUUCCAUACACCACCAUAAUUCUGUGAAUAAAGCUGUUUGAUGUUUCUGUUUGGAGUACUUCUGAGAUUUCCCUACGUCUUUGCAGAUAAGUCAUUGUUCAUAAACUGUGGAGGAGGUGAGGGGGAGUUUGAAGGCAAUAACUAUGUAGGUGACCUCCAUCUAAAUGGCAUUUCAAACUUUGAUCUUAGAAGUGAAGAACAAUGGGCAUAUAGCAGCACAGGAGUAUUUAUGGGAAAUUAUAGUGCAAAUUAUGUAGCAGAAAAUGUAUUUUCUUUGAACAUUAGUGGUCCAGAAUAUUACCAGAACGCUCGCCUUUCCCCUAUGUCGCUUAACUACUAUGGCCUUUGUAUGCCAAACGGCAACUAUAAAGUGAAGCUCCAUUUUGCCGAGAUAAUGUAUUCUGAUGAUCAAACUUAUAGAAGUCUAGGAAGGCGCAUAUUUGAUGUUUCAGUUCAAGUGAGUGCUGAAGCCAAAUAUUUUGUUACUUUGUUUUUGUCUUUUCUUACAUCUUUUGUCAUAUAUCCUAUCUGGUAUUUGAAUAAAAUAGAAGUUCUGAACUGAAGGUAGAAAUUUUCAAUAAUGCUUCUUCACAGGGUUUUAGAUAUCUGCAAGACUUUAACAUUGUGGAAGAGGCUGGUGGAGUUGGAAAGGGCAUCACUAAGGAAUUUGAUGUUGAUGUUCAUGAUGGUACCUUGGAAAUCCACUUAUACUGGGCAGGGAAAGGAACUACUUCCAUUCCUGAUAGAGGUGUAUAUGGACCUCUUAUAUCUGCUAUUGAGAUGAUACCAAGUAAGUUUUUUUUUCUUAAUUAUUAAUUAUUCUUUCAAGUAUCAUGCUAUGUCCUGUUCUGUAAGCAUUUCUACUUGUUGUAGACUUUGAGAAUCCUUCAAAAGGGCUGUCUGCUGGAGUCAUUGCUGGAAUUGUUGCUGCAUCAUGUGGGUUUGUCAUAUUGAUACUGGUUGUCCUUUGGAAGAUGGGUCUUCUUUGUAGGAAAGAUACAACUGAUAGAGGUAUGACAGCCAAAAUAUAAGUUCCAAGUUGCUGCUCUUGUAAAUUGCCUUUUGUUAAUAAAAUAAUAUUUACAGUCUAUAAUAUAAUGUAUAUUAAUUUAAUACAUUAAAUUUACAGUGAACUUCCAAAGAAAUUUUAAAGAAAUGUGGAUACGGGUUCAUUAUUGUUGCAUUCUAUUUUUCUCUUUCCGUGCGUCUCUUUUCAUUUUUCAAUUCCUUGUUGCAGAACUUCUAGAUAUGAAAACGGGCUAUUACAGCUUAAGACAAAUUAAAGGAGCUACUAAUAACUUUGACCCUGCAAAUAAGAUAGGUGAAGGAGGAUUUGGGCCUGUAUACAAGGUAACUAACAUAAUCAUCUGAUAUAAUCAGUGUAUGAUUUCAAAACAUUUGGCCAUGCCACUUAUACCACAACACUAUUGUACACGAAACAUAAUUCUGAUGGCAUGGUUUGAUCACAGGGUGUGCUGUCAGAUGGUGAUGUGAUUGCAGUUAAGCAGCUCUCCUCCAAAUCAAAGCAGGGGAACCGAGAAUUUGUCAAUGAAAUUGGAAUGAUAUCUGCUUUGCAGCAUCCAAAUCUGGUGAAGCUAUAUGGUUGUUGCAUUGAAGGAAACCAGUUGCUACUGAUAUAUGAAUACAUGGAGAACAACAGUCUUGCUCGUGCACUUUUUGGUAAAUUCUUUAUAUGGCAACGUAUACCUUGAGUUUGUGUGUGUGUAUGUUUCUACUUCAAAAUUAAUGUACUAAUGAAUACAAUCUUCUUUCCUUCCCUUCACAAUUCCUGUAGGUGAAGAAGAGCAGAAGCUGCACUUAGACUGGCCUACAAGAAUGAAGAUCUGUGUGGGGAUAGCAAGGGGACUGGCUUAUCUUCACGAGGAAUCAAGGUUGAAAAUAGUGCACAGGGACAUUAAGGCAACCAAUGUCUUACUUGACAGGGAUCUGAAUGCCAAGAUCUCUGACUUUGGUUUAGCUAAGCUUGAUGAAGAAGAAAAUACUCAUAUCAGUACACGUAUAGCUGGAACAAUGUUAGUAGUACUUCGCCACAUCCAUUAGCUUGAAUCAUGAUUAAGAUCAUAAUUGGAUUAUAUUUUAUUAGUAGCAUAAUCAAUCAAGAGUCCAAGACUUGGUUCAUAAUUAGUUCAUAUUUCAUUAUAAUUUUAUUAACAUAAACAAUUAAUAAUCCUAGGGAAACUUAUGUUUCAUUGUUUUGUGAAAUCACUGACUAUUGGUUACUACGUGUCUUAACAGUGGUUACAUGGCCCCGGAAUAUGCUAUGAGGGGUUACUUGACUGAUAAAGCAGAUGUAUAUAGCUUUGGAGUUGUAGCUUUAGAGAUUGUUAGUGGAAAAAGCAACACAAAAUACAGGCCAAAGGAAGAGUUUGUAUAUCUUCUAGAUUGGGUAAGUUGAAGCCAGAAAGAAGCAAUGUGAGACCAUUUGGAUUCAAUAUUAUCUGUAAUAAAUUACUCUUUGCUCUUUUCUUUUUUCCUUGACAAUUGAUCUUAUGUUUGGCUAAUUUGUAUUUGCUACAUAGGCUUAUGUUCUCCAAGAGCAAGGAAACCUUCUGGAAUUGGUGGAUCCAAGUCUUGGUUCAAAGUACUCUCAAGAGGAAGCCAUGAGAAUGCUGAGCUUGGCACUCUUGUGCACCAAUCCAUCUCCUUGACAUUCUUAGGAAUCAUCUUGAGUUGGAUAUGAGCUAGACACUUUAAGAUAGAAUUGGAUCAAGGUUCUAUAAUCAAGAACUCACCAAGACUAGUACUAAAACCCAAACUCAUAUGGAAGUUCCAUGUAUUGUCAAAUUUGACCGAAAAAAUGGAGNNNNNNNNNNNNNNNNNNNNNNNNNNNNNNNNNNNNNNNNNNNNNNNNNNNNNNNNNNNNNNNNNNNNNNNNNNNNNNNNNNNNNNNNNNNNNNNNNNNNUGACCAAGGAUUCUCUCUUUAAAAAGAUCUGCAACAGAUAGAAAUUAAAUUGAUUUCUUCACAGUGUUGUCAGACUCAAAACAAUCGGUUGUUUCGAAGAAACAAUCGGUUGUUUUUCUGCAGCAGUUAAAAUUGAUUUUGAAUUUUAACCAUGAGCAGAAAGAGUUCAAAGACUUAAGAUUUCUACCCAUUUAUAUGUUAUAAAAGAAAAUAUUUUUAUAAAUAAAAUAUUUUUAUCUCUGUUCGAUUCAAUGACAAUAUCAUUAAUUUUGCCCCCGUAACUACAUUCUAUAAGUAUGAGACAUAUAAGUGCUAACUUUCUUAUAAUAGUUCCAUUCAGCUUUUAUUUUUCAAUAUCUUAUAUAUUAUAAUUUUUAGUUUUUUAAACUGUUUCAAUCUUCUUUUAUUUUUCAAUAUCUAGAAUAAAUGAAGAAAAAAUUACUUCACUUUUUCUUAUAAUUUUUAAACUAUAACAUUUAAUAAUAAUUUUAACUUUUAUGUUUUAAAAAAUGCGAACUUAGGACUACGAUAUCACCGUUGUUUUCACUAACCAGAGUUCUAUUUGGGGAUCAAUAGUAAAUGUAUAUUAAAAGAAAUGCAAAAUGUUUAUAGUUAUAUUAAUAAUUUAUUAAAAUAAUAGAAUUUUUUUAUACAAACUAAGUACUUUUAAAUGAUGAAAAUAUUCCUAAGAAAUUUUAAAUAAAUCCUAGCAGUGUCUUCCUCCCUCUUCUUUGUAGUUUUUCUUGACACUAUUCCGGUGAAUAUUACAUACAUAGACUUUUGUGGACCAUGGAUGCUUUUCAGUGGUUAGUGAGAGGGUUUAGAGUUAGUGUUCGUCCAAGAAGAAAGGUAAGAUUUAGUUUUUUUACUUAUGAAAUCCCUAAUAUGGAAUUUUUGCAGAAGUGGUAAAUUUGAAAAGCAUUGGGGGAGUGCAUGCAUGGAAAUGGAAUUUCAUAUCAUGUUUAUGGAAUAGGAUUUUUAGAACUGCUUUCUGGAAUGGACUUUCUAGAAUAGGCUUCCAGAUUGGGAAUUCUUGAAUCUUAUUAUGAAAAGGCAUUAUGGAAAUUCUAUUAUAGAAACAUGGUUUUGUUUGCCUUUUCAGUGUUUUUCUUGAAUGAGUGCUGCUUUUGUGUAAUAAAGUGUUAUGUAUUAGUUGGAAUAAUAAGUUGAAAUGAUAUGUGCAUAUAAAAUGGUGAGAAUUAGAGAAGAAGGUAUACAACCUCUACAACCUCUACAACCAACAACAUCAGUUAAAAAAAAAGAGGCAGUGAUGAAGAUGAAUGAACCUGAAGAAGUCCAACUCCAUGUGGAGGAUAAAGCCCAACUCAAUAUGGAUGAUGAAGCAUAUCUUGGAGGGUUAGUGGAUAUGUCAUUGUUGGGAGAUUACGAGGACCAUAUGACGAGGUAACUAUGGAAUGAUGUGGUAAGUAAAUAUGUUAAAAUAUGAUAUAUGCACGUAACUUGUUGUUUUGUAAAUUGAAAUUUUGUUGUUAUCUUGGUUGGUUAUUAUAGGAUCAUGGUGAGUUGAAAUUGAUUUCUUAUGAGAGAAAAAUAAAUAAGAUGGGUGCUUCUCAUGGACGCAUACAAGCUGCAAUGAAUUUGUUGGGCUAAAUUGGUCUUGUUGGUGCAGGUUAUGACACGAUAAACAAAUGAUUGUUGUAUCCUAUAUAGAGAAAUGACAUGUAGGUAUAAAUACCUUUCAUCUUCUUAUAGGAGAGUUGACCAUUAUAUUGAAUGAUAUGUCAAAUUUGUUGCAUCUCCCGAUUAUCGGGCAAUUCCACACCUACUUGAGUUUACGAUUUUGUUGGUAGGGUCAUUCCGUGUUGUUGUGGAGCAACAAUUGUUGAGACGAGGCAUUGUCGGGGUGAUCACAUUCAUCUAAGUUGGUUGAAGGAGGUUUAUGAGGACACAUGCAACAACAAAUAGUGGAUAGUGGCUGCUAGAGCAUAUUUCUUCCACAUUAUUGGUUGCACCAUCUUUGUGGAUAAGAGUGUUACAUUAGUUAUUGUGUCUUACAUGAGAUUCUUCGUAGAUUUGAGACACACUGGGGAUACUCAUGGACAACAUGGAAUUUGAUUAGUGUAGACUUUCUUGAAAUUUAUAUUUUGAAUGGUCACGAAAUUACUUUUUUAAAUCAUAAAUUCUCGCGUAAUUAUAAUAAAAAUAAAUGUUUACAUAUUCAAUUAUCAAUUGAAAUACAAGUUGUCAACUACAAAUGUCGUCUAAUGAACAUAAUUUGCAUAAAAACUUUCAUCUAACUAGUAUAAUAUGAUGACUAAGCUUGUUGGAUUGACAACUCUGCUGAAGUAUCAGAAUUUAAAAUGUCUGAAAAGCUUAAUUGUGUUAUAUGAAAUGCACUAACCGCAAUGGUAUGCUACCUACACCAAAGGAAGUCAAUUCAUAAGCAUAAGUAAGGCCAUGAGUAGAUCUAAGGGUGCAUCCACAAUGAAUUAUCUAAGUCAACAUAUUCAAGUCGAUCAAUCUCUUCUGCAAUAUGUUGUAAAGCAUAUUUCUACACAAAGUUAAGACAUGACCCACCACAUACAAAUUCUUUUCAUGUGAAAAUUUAAUUGCAUUAUGUUGCAAGAUGAUCAUCUUGUUCAUGAAAUCCCAACAAUAACGUAAGUCUCCCAUUGACGUAUGAAACAUCCUUUUUACAUUCCAAUGUGUAGACUCAACCCUAUAAAGAAUAUUAUGUUAGUAAAUCGAAUAUGCAACCUAAACCCUACAAAGGAAAACAAAUAUUAUCACAAGUAAAACAUAUGCGUAGCUAUUACUUGUGGUGUUACCUAAAUGUAUGACCUUAUUUGUCCAUCUCUUAACAAAUUUUUCUUUGUGUGGAUUUAACCAAGUGCUAAUCACAUAUUCAAUAAAUAUAGACCAUGGUGAACGAACAACUUGAAGUGUUUGCACGCGAUGUUCAUAGGCUUGUACAUUAUCACAAUCGACAACAACUCCCAAGAUUCCAUCACUUGAUCCCAUUACUCUUCUAAAACUAUCCAAAUGAAAAAUUCAAGAAACAAUAUAUUUAAUGUUGGUAUAUCCUCAUAUGCUUUUUAUAAAAUGUUUGAAAAAAACAUAUUUACAAUUGGAGGAGUACUAGACAAAUAAAUGUAAUAAAUCUCAAACGAAACACUAAGAAUCUCUCAAUGAAAAUUUGUUUAAAGUUGGACAGUAUAAUGCUUAAAACAAUUUUUUUUCAAAAUUUAAUAAUAUUUAUCGGGGGUCGGACAGCCUUAGACCCAAUACCAACCAGUAUUAAACAAUUCUAAUUAUACAUCCAAUUAAAAAAUUAAUCAAUUCUAAUUGUAGAAUUACAACUAAUAAUUUAAGUAAUAAUUUAAAUAUAAAUCUAACUAAUAACUAACCAAUCAAUUCUAACUUCACGAUUAUAACAAAAAUAUUAUUAAAAAAAUUAUAAUUAUACAUCCAAUUCAAAAACUUAUCAAUUAUAUAGCUUUACAAUUUUAACUAAUAAUCUAAAUAAUUAAUUAAUUCCAACUUUAUAACUAAUAAUAUAACUAAUCAAUUCUAAAUAAUCAAACAUAUAUUAAAUUCAUGAAAUAUAAUAAUUAAAAAAAUAAAACUAAAUAUAAAAUAAAAAACAUCUGGUGAAGGUGCGUGUGUUGCGGCAUAGGUGGGUGGAGAUGAGACACAGAUGGUUGGAUCGUGUAGAGGAGCAAAACAAACCCAACACGCACAACAGUGGUGACUGUAGAGGGGUGUGUUGGCUUUGGUAGCAUGGUGGUGGCUCUGCGAACUCAAAGAGUGAUUGAUGUGAUGACAAUGAAAGGACCUGUGGUGGCACUGGAAGCAAAGAAGCAAGGAGUUGCGAUGUAAGGAGAGAACGUGAGAGAAUGAAAGAAAAUACAGAUCACAAAAACAAUAUAAGUGAGCGCAUAUGUGUAAAAAAGACUAUAAACGACGAUUUUUAAGUCAAAAUCAUCGUCUACUUGAAAUUUUUAAUUUAGAAGAAAAUUUUUUAGACGAUGAUUUUUGAACAAAUCGUUGUUGUCUUUCAAAUUUUUUAUAUAGAAAACAAUUUUCGUGUUAACAAUUGCCUAUAUGUUGGAUUUAUUUUAAUUUUUUUUACCAUAUUUAUUAAGAUGACAAAGAGCAUAAAAUGGUUUUAAUAAGGCUUAUUUUUACAUUAUCGAGGGUUAAAACCUCUAUUAAGUAAUUUACACAAGGUUGCAAUUUUUCAUGCUAAAUCAUCCUUGGGGAACGUGUUUCCCAGGAUUUUUUUAAACCUCAGGAAAAGCCUUUUAAAAUCUCUGUUGAAUAUUAUGGGUUUAAGAACCUCUAUAAAAUAUCAUGGGUUUCAAAACCUCCAUUAAAUACCAGGUUAAAAACCUCUAUAAAGUACCAUGGGUUUAAAAACCUCAGUAAAAUACCAUGAGUUUUAAAAUUUUCGUAAAAUGACUUUCUGCUUGAAAUGGCUCUCCGACACAGGCUCAAUGAGCGCCAACAUUAGUCCUAGCAAGGAAUCACAAUUCAGCCACAUUUAUGUCUAUUAUAUUUAAGGAGAAGAAACACUAAAUAAGACACUAUCUUUUUCUUACUCCAAUAUUGCUUCUUCCAUCACCUUACUGCGUCAACUUGGGUCAUAAGCCACCGUUACCUAGCUCGGGAACAACUAGUGUUUAUCACUGCUUUAUAUAUUCUAAAUAAUUACAUUAUCUAUCAGAUGUGGGCUUCAAAGUCAUGUUUGUUCUUGGCUAAAGAUUGCAAGAAAAUAUUGCAAGGAGAAAUUAACUUUAUCAUUUCUCACUUUUACAGUGAACUAAUUAUUAGAUGCAUUUUAAAAUAAAGGCCAUAAUUUAAAAUAUUUCAAAAUUAUGAGAAUUAAAUAUUAACAAUUAUAACUAAAACUAAAAUUGCACAUAAAAUAUACGUACAUCAAAAUGUAAAACAAAAUAAAUCAGAUUUUUUGAAGUAUGAGCUCAUAAAAAAAACUAGAAAUUAUAUAAAUCAACUACUAUCAAUCAUAAAAAAUAUGUAAAUAUCGUUGAAAUACUUAUUAUCUAAGGUUAUUUUGCUGAGUUUUUAAAAUAAAUUUUUUAAACUUCAAAAAACUUAUUUGUAAUGCAAAGUUACACUUUGAAAAUUUUAGAGAAUUUAGUUAUAAAAUAUAUUAAAACUAUGUAGUUUUUAAUUAUUUAUUUAUAAAUAGAUUUGAUGAUAUUUAUUUAUUAAAGUUUGAAAAUUCUAGAAUGUUUUAUUGAGGUUCUAUAAUAAAUCUUUGGAAUUUAACGAAGGUUAAAAAAAACUAUGUUAUUUUGCUGAUGUUUUAGAAAAAAUCUUUGGAAUUUAGCAAAUGUUAAAAAAAUCUCCGUUAUUUUGAUGAAGUUUUAGAAUAAACCUUUGGAUUUUAGCUAAAGUUAAAAAAACAUCCAUUAUUUUGCUGAGAUUUUAAAAUAAAUUUUUGAAAUUUAACUAAGGUUAAAAAAACCUACGUUAUUUUGUUAAGGUUUUAAAAUAAACCUUUGAAAUUUAACGAAGGUUAAAAUAAUCUCCAUUAUUUUGCUAAGGUUUUUGAAUAACCUUUGAAAUUUAACGAAUGUUAAAAAAUUCUCGUUAAUUAAAUCAAUUCUUAGGGUUAUAUCAAUAUCUGCUAAAUAACUUCCGUUAAAAUCCAUUUUUCGUAUAAAUGAAAGUCAAAAUAUUAAUUGAAAUUAUUAUUAUUAUUGAAAAAAGUAUUUUGUGUCUCAAACCCUAAAAAAAAUUAGUUACAUAAAAAAUAAUGAAUGAUUACAUGACACUUAAUUUUAAUAUUUGAAUAAUUUUUUCUAUUCUUUUAAUUUUAAAAUAUAAUUAAGAAUAAAAUAGAAAUGUAAAAUAUGUACAGGAGAAAAGAAAAAUAUUUUUAUAUAUUAUUAUAGAUAUCCAAGUAGAUUAAUAUACAUAUUCUUAUAAUUAGUUUGAAAAUAACUUAUUAUUUGAAGUAACAAGAUACAUCAUUAUGUAUAUUUGUCAAUAUAAAUGUAUUACAAUUGUUAUUGUUAUUCAAAAGUAUGUUUCAUAAACUAUUUUUUUGCUAAUAAUUCAAUAUUUAAUAUAUAUAUAUAUAUAUAUAUAAAUAUACGUUGGAUUUAAAUUUUAUAACAAUUUUUUUAGUUUAAAAAUUAUGAAAAUAAUUAAAUACAUUAUAUUUAUUGAAAGCAAUAUAAUUAAUAGAGUUUUCAAUAGAGUUAUGUUAUUUAUUAAAUAUAUUUAAUGUCAAGAUAAAAUUAGUUAUAUUUAUUUAUUAAUUGUAGUAUUUAAUAAAUAUAUCAGUUAAUACUAUAUAUAAUUAUAUCAUUAAUAUAAUAAUAUAUAUAUAUUUAAUAUUUUAAAAUAUCUUAGGAUAAAACUGUAAUGAAGUUUCAAACUUUGAAACAGACAAUAUAUUGAAUUGAAUAUAGUGAUUGACUCUAAUGUUAUCUUAACAUACUUAAUACUUAAGGUUGGAAUAUCGAUGCCUAUUGUGGAAAUGAAAAAAUGUUCAAAAUAUGAAUCCUAGUUCCCCUUAGCCUCAAUUAGAUAGAAUGGAAAAGUGGUGAACCCUUGUUCCUCUUAGACAUUGACUAUGAGCUUUGUUUCGGUACAUUUAAUAGUCUCAUAUGGCUUAAGAGUGAAAACCAAAAACAAUUUAAAUACAACUUUUUAAGACACUUUUUAAGGGAAAAACCAUGAGAGAUUUGUUCCGAUACACCCAAUAGUCUAACAUUGCUUAGGAGUCUAGGCCAAGAACAACUUAAAUACAUCUUUCUCCUUUAACCCUUUAAAAUUCCCUUUAAGGACAAAAUUAUGAUGAAUCUCCAAGCUCCAAAGCGAACAAUACCUUUGAUGAGUGAUUGACCCUAAAGAUAUUAUCUAAAUGGACUUGGGGUUAGAACAUUUCAAAGACGAACCCUCAUUCCCCUUAGAUAUCGAUUGAGGGCCAAUGACAACUUAAAUACACAUUUCUCCCUUAACCUUCUAAGGACAAAAUUGUUAUAGAGUUUGAAGUUUCAAAGCGAAUAAUAUCUCGGAUGUAGUAAUUGACCCUAAUGAUGUUAUCUUAAAGGACUUGAGGUCAAAAAAUUGGUGUUGUCGAUGAGGAUUGAAAAGUUGUUCCAAAGAUCAACCCUCGUUCUCCUUAGAUCUCGACUAGAGAACUUGUUCCGUACGCUCGAUAGUUUCAUAUCGCUUAAAAAUCAAGGUUAAAGACAAUUUAAAUACACAUUCUCACUUAACCCAUCGAGAAGUCUUUUAAGAACAAAAUCGUGAUCACGAUGUGAUCUCCAUGAAUUUAAGAUCAGAACAAUAUAAUUAAUUAAAGUAUUUAAUAAAUAUAUUAAUUUUUUAAUUUUUCUACACAGUAUUUCAAAUAACUACUUUCAAUGAUAUAUUUAUUAGAUAAAUAGUUAUAUUAAAUAUUUUAUUCAGCAUUUAUAGUAAAGAUAAAAAUAUAAUUUAUUAAAUAUUUUUAAUUAUUACAUCAAAUAUUUAAUAUAAAUAUUUUAGUUAAAAAAAUAUAGCAUUUACAUAGUCAAUUGUAAAAACGUAUUGAUGUAAUUUAAUUUUAAUUAAAUUUAAAGAAUUUUACCUGCCUGUGAGAGCAUGAUAAAGUGAUCCAUUGUUGUUCUCUAUAUAAAAGUAAUUAUAAUGGUCACUCUUAAAUAAUUUAGUUAGCUUAUUAAUUUUAUGUUAUUUUCAAUUUCUCUCAUAAAUAUAUACAUAACUUAUCAUUUCUCGCAAAAUAAAAUAAAUAUACUAAAUAAAAUAAGUAUCUAACUCCAUAAACUGGAAAAUAAUUAAGAUUGAAAAAGCUUAUAAAAUUUAACUUUUAACUUUUAACUUAGUUUUACAGUUUUAAAUAAGCUUCUUAUAAUACUCAACUAGUAUAGUUAUACCAAAUAAAGUUAAAAUCUAUUGCACCUGUGGUUUAAGACAAAAUUAAAUUUUCAUAAAAUUCUCUUAAAAAUAUCUAAAAUUUCCUUAUGCACUUGACAAAAAAGUCAAUAUAUGUAGAUAAAAUAAGUACAUUAAGAUUUGUUUACAUUUUUAAACCUAACUAUGUUUCCAAAGUUUUACUUUCAUGCAUCUUAAUGUUUAUGUUUCUUCCACACAUUUAUUCAGGACCUAAAAUAUUACUACUCUUCUUUCUUAAUUAUCAUCUUUUCCCUGUUCCUCUUCAGCUUUCUCAUCUUUCCCAUCUUUCUCAGCUUUCUCAUCUUUCUCAUCUUUCUCAGCUUUCUCAUCUUUCUCAUCUUUCUCUUCUUCAGCAGCAUCUUCUCCUUCUUCUUCUACAAUGGCUUUGGUAACUUCCUUAAGGAUAAGCUCCAAAAGUCUCUCAUACAUUUGAAUCACAGUUUCCAGCAUGUCAAUGGCCUUUUUCUUGUCAUGAAACACAACAUCCUUCACCUCCUCAAGCUCUGUGAUUUUGUUUAGGGUUCUAAGCAUGUGCUCCUCACAUAACCCAGAAGAAAUGAAGGAACCACUACCUUUCCCAACUGCAAAAUUAUUAUUACUCCCCUUUCCAUCUCCAAACCCACCACCAUUUCCCUUGAUCACAAUCAUGUCACUAACGGUUAUCAGUUCAUCUCCAAACACCAUUAUGACUUCUCCUUUCUCAACAUCCCACAUCCACACACUCCCAUCUUCUGCAGCAGACACCAAACCCCUCUCUCCAUUCACCAAACCCAAUGCCACAACUGACCCACCAUGAACCCUAGCCCAGUUCCUCACCUCACAAGCCUCACCCACCACUUUCAUACUCCCAUUAUAAACAUACCCAUCUGCUCCACCAGCGUAAAACGCUGUCUCAGUGGAAUCCAAGGCAACCCCAGAAAUGCAGCAUGGGAAUGCCACAGUCCGCAUAAGGAUCCCGCGGUCCCCCAGAUUCCAAAACUUGCAUGUGCAGUCUGAUGAGCAAGAAACCAAAGUCUUCAUCACAGACUUCAAAUCAGUCACGGAAUCAGAAUGUGCCUUCCAUUUGUUCAUGACCAAGUCUUCCUCAUCCUCCUCCUCCUCCUCGGAACCCCCACCAACGAUCUUAAAGCUAGGGACAAUAACAAUAGUCCCAUCUUCACUACCUGAAAUAACAAGGUUUUUUUUUUUUUUAAUUCUAUCAGAAAAAUUGUACAAUAAAAAGUGACAGAAAGAGUAAAUAAAUAUGAACUACUUCACUACCUGAAAUAAGGAGUGACCCAUCAUCGGUGAGAUGAAGACUAGAAACUGGACUGGAGUGUACAGCAAUUGAUCUGAUGACAUCCCCGGAAGAACUUGAAAGAGAUACAACACUCCCUGAGAUGCCACCACCAAGGAGAAACGCUCCAUCGGAGGUAGCAAUGAGAGGGGCAACGGGUUCAGGCACAGGGAAGUUACGGAACACACCAGAACCGUGCCAGUUGUAGAUGUUGAUGGAGCCUGCACCCGUGUCUGGGGACACGUGUGAGGCAGCCAGCAGUCUCCGGCCCACUAUGGCGAGGCCACGAGACGGCGAUCGGCUGCUGGAGAACUGCGUGACGGCGGUGGGGCUAACGGUGUCGUACACCAUGAUGGGCCCGUCGGGGGAGCUAGUGAGGAUGAGUUCAUUGGAGGAGGAGGAGGAAGAAGAAGAAGACAUUUUCUGUUUGAGAAGGGAAAUGAGGAAACAAGAAGAAGGGUGUGUGAAUACAACUACUUGUGGUUUGGUUUUAUAGUGUUUUUUUAGGUAUUUUUGUCUUUUCAUGUAAAAUGUUCUAAAUGUAUUAUCAAUUUAAAAUAUCAUUCUAUAAAAAAAAUUACAUUUUGUAUGUUUUAUUAAUAUAUUUUACUUUAAUUCUUCCUUAAUGAAAUCUUUUAUUUAUGUUUCUUAUUUGAGUAAAAAAUAAUAAUUUAUGUCUAUCAUAGGUGUGACACAACAAAUUUACUUUCGAAUUCAAUAGAUUAUAUCUUGAUAAUCAACUCACCAAUAUUAACAAAGUUAUAAAUAUUAAUAAAGAUUCUAACACAACAAAUCAAAUUAUUAUCAAAAUGUAUAUUAAAUGUAUAUUCAAAAGAAAAAUUGUUUAUGUACGUGCGUUGGACAAAUGUCUUGGCUAAAAAGCUACUAACUCAAACAAACUUGAAUAGAAACACUUAAUUACAUAAAAUGCAUAAUAAUGUGGGUUAUAUGUUGCUUUUUCUUUUUUGUUAAGACACUUUAAUAAACAAAAGUUGAUAUGAUAAAUUAGAUUUUGCUCACUACUACAAGAGAUUAACUUACUUAGAUUAAAACAAAUUUGAGGAUACUUUUUAGUUGGUUUUGAACAUAAAUAAUGUUAUUUCCCAUUAAAAGGAAACUUAAAAUUUAAAAUUGCUUGAAAGCAUUUAGAACAAAUGUUAUAAGCGUUAGCAUUGUCAACCUUUUUUUUACUUUUAUAUAUAGAGUCGUUGUAAAUCUUUUUUGAGUUGUUAGUGAAAUUUACAACUGUUUCAUCUUCUUCAGCUAUUAUCUAAGCAUGUUCAAGUGCAUAGACACAUCAAAAGUUCUUUAUGUAGGUCCAUGUGACCUCUUUACGCAACUUUUCUAAUACACGAUAUGACUUAUCAUGUAUAGACAGGUAGCUUAUUUUCUCUUCAACAAAAAACAUGAAGCCUAAUAUAAUUGAAUGACUUCGCAACACUCAUUUGUUUUUUCAUAAAAGUUGUUUGCGUAUGCCCUUCAAAAGACUUGACGUAGGCAUAUUAUUGCGAGAUCCUCUUAAGAGAAAUGAAGAGAUGAACAUUCCUUGCACACAAAGAAUAAAUAUUCACUACACAAUUUUUUACUUUAGGCAAUACUGAACUAGGCCACACGUAUAUAAUUGUGGUCUAAACAUAGAAAAUGUAACAAUUUUGCAAGUGUGGUUAAAAAACUAACAAAGACCAUGUUUAUAAAAUCGUUGAUUUUUAUACUACAUUUGUUUAAGUGCUGUCUUUAAAAUGUGUGGACUAAACAAUAAAAUCAUGACCUAAAAGUGGCCACAAGCAAAUAAAUGUGGUCUAAAGGUGUCAGAUACAACACUUGUAAUAAAACUAUGUUUUUACGAUCAUGGAUAUUUAGGCCUAAAAUAAAAAAAGAAUAAAUCACAUCAAGGUGUGUCGCCUAAAAUAAAAAAAGUGACAUUUAAUUGUGAGUAUUUCAAGUCAUAUUUAAUUAAAGUUACAUUUCAUAUAGGCAACGAUUAUUAAAAUAUGGCUACAUUAUUUUGUUUUUAAAAUUGUGGAUAUUUUAAACCACAUUUAAUUAAUCCAUUGAUAAAAUUUAAGAAAAUAAAAAUUAUGCUUUGGAAUCCAAAUAUACAAUAACUUUUAAUUUAUUUUUUCAUUCUCCAACACGUUUACAAAUCUAAAUCACAAGUUUUUACUAGUUUAUAAAGUAAAAUCAAAAUUAUUAUUAUUAUUAUUAAUAAUAAAAAUAACAUUAAUAAUAAUAACAAUAAUAAAAAUAAUGAUAAUAUAAAUAUAGGAUGAAAUAAAAAGUCACAAUUAUUUAUAUGCAAUUGUCACAAUUAAAUAAUUAUGACCUAAAUGUAAAUACAACACUUAAAAAAAGUUAGAAAGUGUGACCUAUUCAGGGCAACAUACUAUAUGGUUGGAAAAUCGUGGUAAAACUCAUGUUUAAAGUUUAUGUUACGAUUUUUAUGUUUUAGGUAAAAAAAAUUUGUUAUUGUCUAAAGUGAUAUUUGUUGUAGUGAUUUUUAAUUAUUUGAUAUGUUUAUAUUAACUAUAACAUGUGUAAGAUUUAUCAUCGGUUAGACGUGUAUAUUUAUUGUUUGUCCGAACAAAAAUAUAUGGAACAAAGAGUACUAAUACUACAAGUAAAUAAAUUAGUUGCUAUAGUGACUAAAUUAGAUAUCAUUUAGAAAUUAAAAAAACUUUUGAUUUCUAAAUUAGUUUCUAAUAUUGUUAAAUGGUUUCUAAACUGAUAUCUAAUUAGCUAACAAAGUUUUUGCUACCAAAUUUAGAAUUUAAAUAAUUGGUAGUUAAAAGCUUGGUAGCUAAUUAGAUACCAAUUUAUAAAUUAUUUAACAAUAAUAAAAACUAAUUUAGAAACAAAAUGUUUUUUUAGUUUCUAAAAUGGUCUCUAAUUUAGUCACUAUAGAAACUAAUUAUUUUUUGUCUCUAAAAUUAAUUUCUAUUUCAUGAUUUUCUUAUAAUGUAAGUAAGACUUUGUAUAGACGAAACACACAAUAAAAAAAUAUUUACACACUUGCAUGUGAUAGGUAUUUAUAUAGAAAAAUAUGUUUAAUACUUUUUUAUUAUUUAAACACAAAAUAAAAACUAAAUUAAAUCAUACGUUGACUUUGAUCUAACUAUAUAUAUAUAUAUAUAUAUAUAUAUAUAUAUUUNNNNNNNNNNNNNNNNNNNNNNNNNNNNNNNNNNNNNNNNNNNNNNNNNNNNNNNNNNNNNNNNNNNNNNNNNNNNNNNNNNNNNNNNNNNNNNNNNNNNAAUAAUAUAUUUAAUGUUAACUAAAAAUCAGUUAUAUUUAUUUAUAAUAGUAUUUAAUAAAUAUAUCAGUUAAUACUAUAUAUAUUUAUAACAUUAAUUAUGUUACAUUUAAUAAUAAUAAUAUAUUUAUCAAAUGUUCAUUAUUUUUAUCAUGUUCAAUUCUUUAUUAUGAAAAAGGAGUUACAUAGUAUAUUUUCAUAUAAAAGAUGAUAUCAUCAUAAUUUAAUCCUUUAAAAUGUCUUUCAAGGAUAAAAUCAUGUCUAAGUGCAAGAAAAUCAUGAAAUAGAUACCAAUUUUUAGAGAAAAAAAAAAUUAGUUGUUAUAUUGACUAAAUUAGAGACUGUUUUAGAGACUAACAAAAUUUUGGUUUCUAAAUUAGUUUCUAUUAUUGUUAAAUGGUUUCUAAAUUGAUGUCUAAUUAGAAACCAAGGUUUUUGCUACCAAAUUUAGAAUCUAAAUAAUUGAUAGCAAAAACUUUGGUUGCUAAUUAGACACCAAUUUAGAAACCAUUUACCAAUAAUAGAAACUAAUUUAGAAACCAAAAUUAUUUUAGUCUCUAAAAUGGUCUUUAAUUUAGUCACUAUAACAACUAAUUAUUUUUUGUAUCUAAAAAUUGGUUUCUAUUACAUGAUUUUUGUGUAGUGUAUAAGCCAAAGACAACUUAAAUAAGUCUUCCUCUUUAACCCUUUAAAAAUGUUUUUAAGGAUAAAAUCAUGAUGGAUCACCAAACUCCAAAACAAACAAUACUUUAGAAGAGGGAUUGACCUUAAAAAUCAGUUAUAUUUAUUUAUUAUAGUAUUUAAUAAAUAUAUCAGUUAAUACUAUAUAUAAUUAUAACAUUAGUUAUGUUACAUUUAAUAAAAAUAAUAUAUUUAUCAAAUAUUCAUUAAUUUAUAACAUGUUUAAUUCUUUAUUAUGAAAAAAGAGUUACAUAGCAUAUUCCAUAUAAAAAUGAUAUUAUCAAAAUUUAAUCUUUUAAAAUGCCUUUUAAGGAUAAAAUCAUGUUUAGGCCAAUGACAACUUAAAUAUGUCUUCCUCUUUAACCCUUUAAAACUUCUUAAGGAUAAAAUCAUUAUGGAUCUCUAAACUCCAAAACAAACAAUACUUUGGAAGAGUGAUUAACCUUAAAUAUCUUAUCUCAAUGGACUUGAGGUCGAACCAUUUAAAAAACGAACUCUCAUUCCCGUUAGACCUCGAUUGAGAACCAAUGACAACCUAAAUACACCUUCCUCCCUUAACCUUCUACGGAGGCUUUUAAGAACAAAUGCAAUUAUUGAUCAUAAUGAUGUUAUCUUAAUGGACUUCAGGUCAGAACAUUGGUGUUGUCUUUUGGGAUUGAAAAGUUUGUUCCAAAGAUGAACCAUCGUUCCCCUUCGGCCUUGAUUGGGGGGGGGGACGAGGGGCUUGUUUUGGUACGCUCAAUAGUUUCACAUUGCUUAGAAAUCAAAGCCAAAGGCAAUUUAAAUACACCUUCUCCCUUGUAUGUUGGAGUUCCGAGUUUCAAAGUAAAUAAAAAUCAUGAUGGAGUUCCGAGUUUCAAAGUAAAAAAAUACCUCGUAUGUUGUAAUUCACCAUCACGACGUGAUCUCAACGAAACAAUAUAGUUUAUUAAAUCUUAAUUUUUUAUGUACCAAAUUAUGUGCAUUCAACAAAUCUCUUUGCUAAAAACCUAAUAACUCAAGCAAACUUGAAUAGAAAAGUUGCAUGCAAAAGUGGUCAAUGGUCUUAUUCACAAGGCCUAUAAGUAGAAGCACUUAAUUACAUAAAAUGCAUAAUGUAACAUGUUGCUUUGUUUUUUUUUUCGGUUAAAACCCUUUGUUAAACAAAUGUUUUGAUACGAUAGGUUAUAAAGUCUUGCUAAAAAACAAAAGAUUAACCUCCUAAGAUGAAAAUAAAUAUAUAGAGUUAACAUUGUCAACCACUUUUACAUAUAUAGAGUUAGGAAGAAACGAUGCAUUGCAAAUCCUUUUAGAGUUGUUAGUGAGAUUUAUAACCCUUUCAUCUUCUUCAGUUAUCAUUUAAUCACAUUCAAGAACGUAGACACAUUAAAUGCUCUUCAUGUAGCAUUAAGUGCAUGUGACCUCUUUACGCAACUUAUCUGGUACAUGACACGACUUAUCACACUUAGGCAGGUUGUUUCUUUCCUCUUCAACAAAAAAACAUAUGAAUGACUCCACAACAUUGAUAUUAUGCUUUUUCAUAAAAUUUGUUUGUGUGGAUCAACUUUAAGUAUGCCCUUCAAAAGAUCUUGAUGUAGACAUAUUAUUGUGAUAUCCACUUAAGAGAAACGAAGAGAUGAACAUUCCCUACAUACAACGAAUAAAUACUCACUACACCAUUUUUUACUUUAGGUAUCACUGAACUAGGUCACACGUAUAUAAUCGUUGCCUAAACAUAAAAAAAUGUAAUGAUUUUGCAAGUGUGGUUUAAGGACUAUCAAAGACCAUGUGUUAUGAAAAUGUUUAUUAUUUAUACCAUAUUUGUUUAAGUGUUGUUUUUAGAAUGUGUGGGUUAAACAACAAAACCAUGACCUAAAAGUAAUCACAGGUAUAUAAAUGUGGCCUAAAAGUGAAAAAUACAACACUUAUAAUAAAAUCAUAUUUUUUGAAUCAUGGAUGUUUAAUGCGCAGUUUGUGAUAACCGUCUUUAAAAAAUAAUAAAUCACAUAAAAAUGUAUGGCCUAAAAUAAAGAAAAGUGACAUUUAAUUAUGAGUAUUUUAAACUAUAUUUCAUUAAAGUUAUAUAAUUUUAUAUAGACAUCGAUUUUGAAAACAUGGUUAGUUUAACUCACGUUUUUUAAAUAAUGAAUAUUUUAAAUCACAUUGAACUAAUCCACUGAUAGAAUUUUAAAAAAUAUAUUUUGCUUUCGAAUUCCAAAUAUACUAUAAGUUUUGAUUUGCUUUUCAUUUUCCAACACAUUUUCAAAUCUAAAUCACAAGUUUCCACUAGUUUAUAAAUCGAAAUCUAAAUUAUUAAUAUUAUUACUAUAUUAUUAUUAUCAUUAGUAUUAUCUAUAUUGAUAUUCUUAUCAUCAUUAAUAUUAUUAAUAUUACCAUUAAUAUUGUUAUUGUUAUUAAUAAUAAUAUUAAUAUUAAUUACAAAAAUAAUAAUAAUAUACAUAAUAAUUAUCAUAAUCAUAAUAAUUAUAAUAAUCAUUAUAAAUAUAAUAAUAAUUAUAAUAUAAUCACAUAAUUUGUUUGGUGUUUGGUGUAAUGAUUAUAAGUUUUAUGUCCUAAGAUUUUAUUUUGAUUUUUUUUAACAUAUUGUUAAUAACAAUAAUAAAAAUAAUUAUAAUAUAAAUAUAGUAUGAAAGAAUAAGCACAAUUAUCUAAAGGUAAUUAUCACAAUUAAAUAACUGUGGACUAAAUAUAAAUAUAACACUUAAAAAAAAAUUCCUAAAGAAAAGUUAAAUGUUAACAAUGUGACCUAUUUAGGUCAAUAUAUCCAUGGCUGGAAAAUCGAGACUAAACUAUUGCUUAAAAUUUAAACCACGAUCUUUAUGUUUUAUGUCACAGUUUUAUAUUGUUAGCUAAAAUUAGUGAUUAAUAAGAUCUUUAUGUUUUAUGUCACAGUUUUAUAUUGUUAGCUAAAAUUAGUGAUUGAUAAGUCUUUGUUGUGUAUUAUAAAAUAUUUAAAGUUUAUCUGUUAGACGAAGUAUAUUUAUUGUUUUUUCAAAAAUAAUUUAUCAAAUAAAGAGUACUAAGUAAGACGAGAUGAGACGAAACACAUAAUUAAAAAAUAUUUAUACACUUGCGUGUGACAAGACUUGAUUGCGUGUGACAAGACUUGAUACUUAUAAAAAAAAUAUUUUAUACUUUAUUAUUUAAAAACAAAACAAAAUUAAAAGAUAUACGGACUUUGAUCAAACAAAAUAUAUAAAAUAUAUUUGAAGUAAAAUUUUAUAAAAAUUCUUACUUUUUAUUUUGAAAAUUAUGAACACAAUUAAAUAUACUAUAUUUAUUAAAUAUAAUAUAAUUAAUAGUUUUUAAUAAAGUUAUAUUAUUUAAUAAAAAUAUUUAAUGCUAAGUAAAAAAUAGUUAUAUAUUUUUAUUUUUUAUAAAAGCUUUCAUGUUAGACAUCAUUAUGCAACUUGAGAUCUCAGUUAGGCUAACAUUUCAAAUAACAAUAAUCAUCUGCCCUCACAUGAAAAAGAAAAAUUAUUCAAAAAAUACAAAAAAUACAAAAAAAUAUGAAUGGACUAGACCAAAACCCAUAUGUUAAAAAAAACGAUAUAUUGGUAGACUAUACAUAUUCAUAAAGAAUUCUAAGAACAAAUUAGAUGAAAACCUAUUAUACCAAUGAAAUGAUUUUCUAUGAAAAAAAAUCUAAAUUAGCCAACAUAUCAGUACACACAUUCCCUUCAUGAAAAAUAUGAGUAACCAUAAACCUGAUUUUCUCACAAUAAUUAAGACAAGUAUAACAUCAAUUACGAAACAUCCACGAAACACUAGUCCUAGCAGUAAACGCAACAUAAACCAAUGCAGAAUCACAUUCAAGCCAUACAUUAGUAAGCCUCAUCUUUUGAGUUUUCUCGAUAGCAUGUAUAACUCCAUAAAUCUUAGCAAGCAUAAUAGUCUGAACUUCAAGAAACGCAGAGAAAACACCAAUAAACUUCCCCAUACUCCCAUAGAAAAUACCUCCACAAGUAGCAAGACCAUGAAAUCCCCUAACAGCCCCAUCAGUGUUAAUUUUAACCUAACAUGGUGAAGGAAACUCCCAUCGAAUAGGUGGAGGACGAAGAACUUUACCAGUACAAAUAUUAAUACAAAAAAACUUAAUCACGUUGAAAUCCAACAUCUUAUUCUUCAUUAAAGCUUUAGACGAAUUUCCCACUAGACAAGUUAAAUCUUUAAUUACUGAAAUAGCAUAAUUCCUCAUGCGCCAUAUCAUCCAAAUAGAAAAAUUUAUCACAACAAACUUAAUCAAUUUAACCAAAGGACUACCAUCACUCUUAAUAAAAGAAAGAAGAUCAUACUUAUUAGAGCAAUGAGAAGUAAGAAAAAUCUUCCGAACCCAACUCCAAAUAUGCAAAGAAUUAGAACAUUCAAAAAAAUAAAUGUUGAAUAGAUUCCUCGUGCUUUUUGAUGACUUUUUACGGCAAGUGCACCGCGUUUGUCAGAAGUAAUAAUUGUCCCUAAGGACGGAUAUCGAUCCCACAAAGAACAGUGAAUUAUCGAGUACAAUAUUCGCUAAAUAUAACAACAGAACAAUAAAAAAGAGUUUGAAGUGAUUAUGUUGGCACUGAUCAAUAAGAAAACAAACAAAGAAUUAGUUGCUUCAAUUGGAAAAAUUGGGAUUAAGUUUCAUCUCUCUCACUCUCAUGUAUUUUGAUUAGCAUGUUAAUAUUAAGUUCUUUAAUUGAAAUUGAUGCCCGUAUAAAAAUCAUUUAUAUCGAUUCCUCGCAUAUAAAAUCCUUAAGAAUGUUCCCUAACUAUCGAUCCCUCGCAUACUUAUAAGAACAACUUAGAACGAAGCUCAGACGUUUAAUAGCAAUUAACAUUUCAAGUCUAUUCCUAGCACUCAAAUAUGUUAAGUAUUGUUGUUUAGGUCCGAACCCUAAAAAUACCUCCCGGGCAGAUUUAAGAUUCUCAAUUUGUCACGGAGAAUUAAAAGUAAAAACAACAUACCAAUAAUCAAUCAAGAACUGAAUAUUAAUAUUUAAAAUAUCACCUCAAUACAUAAGAGGUUGAGCAGAUUANNNNNNNNNNNNNNNNNNNNNNNNNNNNNNNNNNNNNNNNNNNNNNNNNNNNNNNNNNNNNNNNNNNNNNNNNNNNNNNNNNNNNNNNNNNNNNNNNNNNNNNNNNNNNNNNNNNNNNNNNNNNNNNNNNNNNNNNNNNNNNNNNNNNNNNNNNNNNNNNNNNNNNNNNNNNNNNNNNNNNNNNNNNNNNNNNNNNNNNNNNNNNNNNNNNNNNNNNNNNNNNNNNNNNNNNNNNNNNNNNNNNNNNNNNNNNNNNNNNNNNNNNNNNNNNNNNNNNNNNNNNNNNNNNNNNNNNNNNNNNNNNNNNNNNNNNNNNNNNNNNNNNNNNNNNNNNNNNNNNNNNNNNNNNNNNNNNNNNNNNNNNNNNNNNNNNNNNNNNNNNNNNNNNNNNNNNNNNNNNNNNNNNNNNNNNNNNNNNNNNNNNNNNNNNNNNNNNNNNNNNNNNNNNNNNNNNNNNNNNNNNNNNNNNNNNNNNNNNNNNNNNNNNNNNNNNNNNNNNNNNNNNNNNNNNNNNNNNNNNNNNNNNNNNNNNNNNNNNNNNNNNNNNNNNNNNNNNNNNNNNNNNNNNNNNNNNNNNNNNNNNNCUUAAAUCAUUCAUCUUUAAUCCAAAUCUCCAAUCUUCCUUAGAAAUCUGCAAUUAACACCAAAUUUGGGAAUAAAAUACUCUUAUUCAAAUAAAGAUCAUAAAAAUGUAAAAAGGUAUAAAUUCAUAAAUUAGGGAUUAUUUUAUAUGUAAAUUAGCAAUAAAUCCUCAUAAGUGCCUAUAUUUUAAUAUGAAAUAUUACUGAAAUUAGACACUUAUCACUUUUCACAAAGUGUACACAUAAAACAUAUAUGCAAACCUUUAUUCUGAAUAUGUUGAUCUGUAGGAAGCCACCCAUGAAAAGUUUUUCAGAGUACUAAAGUUUUGGAAGAUGAAAUAUAUGAAGACCAAAUGAAUUUACCCCAACCACAGGGAACCCCUGGUUCCAAGAAAAAAGUCAUAGCCGAGUUAAGAGUGAAACGACUAGAUUAAUCUAGAAUCUAAUUAGGAAUAUCAUGUUUCUCCCUAACCAUGAUAUGAUUAAAAACAAAAGAGGUAUCUGCUGUAAAGACAAGGAAAUAUUCCAAUCACAACCAGUCCAAAAAUGAAAGACUGUAUCCAGAAUGAACUUGAUGACUUUUUACGGCAAGUGCACUGCUUUGUCAGAAGUAAUAAUGUGUCCCUAAGGACGGAUAUCGACCCCACAAGGAACAAUUGAAUAUUAAAGUUAAAGAUUCGCUAAAUAUAAAAACAGAAUAAUAAAAGUUGGUUUGAGAAUUAUUAUGAUGGCAAGAAUUAACAAGAAAACAAUUCAAAGAGUUGUUGCUUCAAUUGGAAAAAUAGGGAUUGGGUUUCAUCUUUCUCACUCUUGUAUUUAGAUUAGCCUGAUAAUAUUAUGUCCUUUGAUUGAUAUUGAUGCCCAUAUAAAAAUUAUUUAUAUCAAUUUCUCGUAUAUAAAAUUCUUAAGAUGCUUCCUAAAUAUCAAUUCCUCGCAUAUUUAUAAAAACAACUUAGUUAUAAGAUCGGACGUUGAUAGCAAUUAACAUUUCAAGUCUAUUCUUAGUAUUCAAAUAUACAAAGUAUUAUUGAUUAGGUUAGAACCCUACAAAUACUUUCCAGUCAGAUUUAAGAUUCUAGAUUAAGAAUUAGAAGAAAAACAAUAAUACCAAUAAUUAAUCAAGAACAUAAUAUUAUGUUGAGAGAUCAUCUUAAUACAUAAGAGUUUGAACAAAUUACUCCUAAUCCCAAAGGGUAGAAUUAGCCACACAUCUUCUAAUACCUUUUAUUCUCCCAAUUGGGUUACAAGUCACUCAAUGGUGUUUUUUUGUCAAUCUUGCACACUAGGGUGGAGCCUCAAGCCCCUUAUUUAACCUAAUUUGCUAGGGUUAGGUGACUUCUUGCGUCGCGCUAAUGGGCUUGUUGAUUAAAACAUAAAAUGGCCCAAUGGUUCGAGUGUUUUCUCGCUCAAGAGAGAUAUAACUCGUUGAGUGAGAAAGGUGUCGAUUUUUAAACACUGCCACUAGAGCAUUCUCACUCAAGCGAGAAGAGACUCGCUUAAGCGAGUUGCUCUGUUGCUGAGUUGAGCUUUUUGUACUUUUGUGUGUUCAUGUGCCUUCCAACUUUCUCCUUGUAACUUAUACAAUUCUGUUUUAGCACAAUCAUCUCCAUUCUUCCCAAGAAACAUGAAAUUAACACAAAAUUUGGGAAUAAAAUGUUCUUAUUCAAAUAAAGAUCAUAAAAUAUGUAAAAGGUAUAAAUUCAUAAAUUAUGGAUUAUUUUAUAUGUAAUUUAGAAAUUAAUACUCAUAAAUGCCUAUAUUUUAAUAAGAAAUAUUACUAAAAUUAGGCACUUAUUAGUAAACACCAUGAGAUAACCUUGCAAUAUUUGCUAAAGAUGUAGUAGAACACCAUUUAUCAUUCUAGAAAUUAAUAAAAGUACAUGUACCAACAGUCCAAGAAGUAUAAUAAAGUAUAAUAGAAUAAAUCUGCUUAAUUCCAAGGCAAAGAGAUGAGGAUUUAUAAACCAUUCUAAACUCGUAUUUUGAUUUAAGAACCCUGGUUUUUAAGAGAAAAGAUCAAGGUUUGUUACUAUAAGCAAAAUUCCAAGUAAGCUUAAGAAGAUACACAUUAUUUUCAUGAUGAAGGUUAAUAAUCUUCAAACCUCCAUUCUCAAAAGGAGAACAAAUCGUAGCCCAAUUAACAAUAGUUAUUCCUUUUUUUUUUUUUUCAGAAUAUCACCAAUCCAAAUAAAAUUUUGACGCUACUGCUCAACUUGCUUAAGAAGUGAAACAAGCCAUUUAUACAUUUUAAAGCUAUAAGCUAUAAAUCCAGUAAUCACCAUAUUGACCAACUAAAUAUGGCCCAUCAUGCUAAGAGAUUUAUCUUUCCAAGAUGUUAGCUUCAAUUUGACUUUAUCAGCCAAAGGUUGAAGAAAUCGACACUUUGGAGCACCAACAAAGAUAGACACUCCUAAGUAAGUGAAAGGGAGUGAGAUAAUCUUGCGGACUAGCCAUAUGUAGAAUCUUUUUACCAUUCACAAGCUUCGAGAUACCUCUACUAAGAACUUCCUCUGUAAGACAAAAAAGUAAAGGAGACAAAUGAUCACCUUGUCUGACACCUCUACUAUAAGGAAAAAAACCCCACCAAACUGUAAUUUAUUCUGAUAGAAAGCAUAAUUGAAUGGAGAAUUGUAAUAAUUGAACCGACAAACGAUGGGUGAAAACCAAAGCGUGUCAAAAGUAAUAAUAAGAACUUCCAACUCAGAGUGUCAAAGGCUUUAUGAAUAUCAACUUUGUAAGCCACAUUACCUCCUCUAACUUUUUUAGAAAGCAUGUUAAUAGCUUCAGAAGCAAUACCAAUACAAGCCUGAAUUUGUCUACCCUGCACAAACCCAUAUUGAUUAGGAGAAAUGAUUAUAGCAGCCACAAGUGCAAGGAUAUCUGCCACUAUCUUGGAAAUAAUCUUAAAUUUGAAAUUAACAACAACAAUUGGCCUGUAAUCUUUAAUGGAUUCAGUACCCUGAAUCUUAGGAAUAAGAGAUACCACAUUACUGUUCAUUCUAGGGAGAACCCAAUUUGGUUUAAAAAACUGUUGAACAACAUUGCAAACAUCUGUCCCAAUAAUUUCCCAUCAAGAAUGAUAGAAAACACCACUAAAACCUUAAAAAAAAUGGUUUCUAAAUUAGUUUCUAUUAUUGUUAAAUAGUUUCUAAAUUGGUAUCUAAUUACCAACCAAGGUUUUAACUACCAAUUAUUUGGUUUCUAAAUUUGGUAGCAAAAACAUUGGUUUCUAAUUAAAUAUCAAUUUAGAAACCAUUUAACAAUAAUAGAAAUUAAUUUAGAAACCAAAAAUUUUGGAGUCUCUAAAAUGGUCUCUAAUUUAAUCACUAUAACAACUAAUUAUUUUUUGUCACUAAAAAUUAGUUUCUAUUUCAUGAUUUUCUUGUAGUGUUAUAAUUAAAGAUUAAUUUAGAAUCUAAAGUAAUUAGUAGUUAUUUUUUUUCCUUUAACCAAACUUAUGUUACAAGAGAGAUAACUCCUAAUUAAAUUCUAAACAUAGGAAGUUGAUAUCUAUAUGGAAAAAAUCUAAACUAUUACAAGAUGGUUGAAAUCAAAUACCAUAAAAAAUCCAUUCUAUUAUUAAUCACCAGAGUAGUGAACUUACUAUGAUCUCAGUGUAUAAUGAAUUUCGAUCCCCCGAGAAAGCAGAGAAACUCCUUAUAUAUCCCUCUCUACUACCUUUAAAGAUGUCAACACAAGCAAGUAAACCUGGAGAACCUAUAGUAGCUCUAUCGGUAUUGACUUUAAUCCGGCCAACAUCAGAAAAUUGUCAAAUCCCUUGAAAUGGGACAAAAACCUUGGAAGGUCUCAUGCUGAUAAAAUAAACUUUAACAGAAAAAAUUUAGAAAUAUCAUUAUGCAUAUUUUAUGUUUUUAAGCAUUAACUGACAUAUGGACACAUUCCUUAACAAUACCAAAGUCUAAGGUGAUGUAUUUUUGAAAUAUAGGAUAAUUCCUCAUUCUCUAAAUUAUCAAUAAAGUGAAGGUGAUAGUUGAAAGCCUAAUAAGCUUAACCAAGUGACUACUUGGAGAUUAAGGAAAGAAAUAAUUUGUGCAAAAAUAAUGUUAGACAAGUACUAGAAGGAAUUAUGAACCCAAGUCCAAAAAUAUUAGGCAAAAAGACAAUCAAAGAAUAAAUGACAAACAUGUUUCCCAUUCUUCCUGCAUAAAGAACACAUAGAACAUAAAAUAACAUCCAUUUUUUGGACAUCUUUAUCAAUAGGAAGUCUAUUAUGCAAAACUUUCCAAAUAACUAAAGAUCUGAAAGGGGAAUGAAGUGAGACCAAACUAACUUUCCCCAUUCUAAAGGAGAAGAAGAAAAGAAAAACUUCUUGACAACUUCAUGAGAAAGCAUACUGAUGAGCAUAAUUUCAUUCACACUUUAAAGUUUUAAUAAUAUAUUCUUGGAAUGUAAUCAUGAAUAAAUCCACUAUUUUAAUUGAGAUUAAUCUAAUUGAGUUUACUUUGGCUUUAACUUUAUUUUUUUAAUCUUAUGUUUUAAUUGUAGUAGAUUGUUUGAUAGAAGUGUCUAACAAGACGAUCUGAUAGAAGCGCCUACCACUAUGAGUGGGUCGAAUAACGUGAAAGUGUAAGUUGUUGUUUGAAUUAAAACAAGAAAUGAAAUAUGAGUUAAAUAAUUAGAGAAUUAAAUCUGCAAUAUCUUAGAAAAAGAAUUAGAAACAAAUCUUUUGCAGAGAUAUUCUCUCGAAAUUCUGAAAUUAAAAAUCCCCUGUUAAAUUCACAAAAAACUGAGUAAAUAUUCUUCAAAGAUAUUGUUCAAGUAAAUCUUCUUCAGAUAUUUCUCACAACGACACUAUGUUUAAUUAUAAUGAAUGCACAAAUCUAAAUCGAUUUUGGAAAGAAUAUCUAGAAGAGAAGCGAGAAAGAGAUCCGGAACUUAUCAGAAAAGAAGAUAUUUGCUUGAUAAUUUUUUAAAAAAGAAAGGAAACAUUUAAUAAUUGUAAACAAUAUCCUGAGGUAAACUUUGUGCAAAGAAAAAAAAAAUUAUAAAAGAGACUUUUGGAGAAUAAACACGGGGUGGCGUUUUUUAGCAUCACGUUUCAAAGGCGCACAACACACAUUAAACCUACUUUUAUUUAUUUUUCUUAUUUUUUGCAUCCACAUGGAAGGCUAAAUUUUUUUAGGUUGAUUCCCUUGUGAUUUCUCAUUGAAUUUUAAGGUUUUUUUCAAUAAAGUUUUGUUUUUCAAUUUUCUGUAGCAGGUUAUGAUUUAUUUUUUAUCUUUUCGAAAUUGAGUUUCUAUCAAAGGAAUUGUUUUUGAACGCUUGUUGAGAAUUAAAAUAUUUUCUUUAAUUAGAUUUCUUGGUUAGUUUGCUUAGUUUUAAGCAAUAUCUUGUUUGCUUAUUUCAAGAAGUAGAAUUAGAUAGAUUUGGAGUCCAAAAAUGAAAAGAUUUAAAUCUAUGCAUAAAAUCUAUUCGUCCUUAUUUUUAAUGUAUCUUUAAAAUCCAUCUUUUCCUAAACAGGUUUAUUCAAAUAAACCUUAGAAAUAUAUUUUCUAAUGAAUUGUGAAUAUCUCCCAAUCUUCUUGGAACAAAAUCAAUUUUGAAUAAAUUGAAAAUCUCAAGUACCCGAUUUUCGCAUCACGCGUUGUCUAUAAUGAAACAAUUUUUUGAUUAAAAUUUGAUUUGCUUUUACUAACCCAUAUUGCAAAUACAUUUAAAUUAGUUUCUUAAAUAGGUUUGAAGAAAAAACAAAUUGGAAAUCCAAGCUUUAUACUUUGAGCGUAUAGCACGAAAAGAUAAAGAUACUGUAAUAUCCAAGUUUAACCAACUCAAGUGCCCAAGUGCAAAUAUAAGGAGAUUGAAGGUGGAGAACAAAAGGCAUGACAAACAACAAAAAGAGAUAUUAUGAUCUUGUUGAAUACACUAUUGAGUGUUGCAGUGAGUUUCUACUCUAGUCUUUAGAGCAUUAUGUCUUUUGAGUUGCGUGUGAAAUCAGUGUAAUUCUUCACUCUGUGAAGUUAUACCCAUGUCAACUUUCUUUGUAUCUCUAAGAGUGUUCUUUAUUUCUUUUGAGAUUUUUUAAUCUUAGGCGAAGUUAAGUUGUAAUCUAAAGAGGUUUGAAUAGUUGUUGUAACUCGAAGAAGUGAGAAUAUUCGUUGUAACCUGGAGAGGUGAAAAUACUCGUGUAACUAGUUGGUUAGUUGAAGCUCUUAAGAAGUUACUUAAGGGGAUUAGAUGUAGUCUGAGUUUAGGUGAACUAGGAUAAAUUAUUGUGUGCUAACCUCUCGUUACACUUGUUAUUGCUCAUACUUUGUUAUUUAUUCUAUUAUUCUCGUUAGAGGGUUUGCCUAAACAAUUAUGCUAGACAAUUUGAUUUUUUAUUACUAGACGGUCUAAGAGAUAGUCUUUAUUUAUUCGUUGAAAAAAGAAUCUAAGGGUCCAUUCAGUCUCUCCUUUUUGGAGCCAACUUCACCUAUAUGUCUAUCAAACCCUCUAGUCUAUGUUAUUCGCAUCAUACUCUUUCUACACUUUUGUCUUUAUUACACUUGAUGUUGUUUAGGUGCUUUCUUCAGUUGAGUCUUGGCAGAUGAGUGGUUAGACUGUCUACUCCAUGUAACCACUAGACUGUCUAUUCUAAGAAAUAUUAUACCGUCUACGGUGAUUAAGAAUAUAAAAUUAAUAGUAAAAGAAAUUAAGAUCAAAAUAAAUCCAGUUGGAUAAAUUCUAUUUAAAACAAUGAAUUUAUACAUAAUUUUAUAUCAAUACAACUAUGAUUAAAGGUUCUAAAUUUGAAUAAAGUUAUGAUCAUCAUUGGGUUGAUUCAAGUUUCUUUCCUCUUGGUGUGAUCCAAGAGUUGGACAUAUCGUCCUUAAUUGUAUUCAAGAGUUGAUUUCCUGUGUUUUUUUUUGUCCUAUAUAUGUUUUGCAUAUGUUGAGUGCUUGUAGUAAACAUGCAAGGAUAAUGAAUUUUGGCUAUUCUAAGGGUGAAUAGCUAAGACUAGAUGUAGGAUAUGUUGUGAUUUGAACCAAUAUAAAUCUUAUGUAAUAUAUCUUAUCCGUUCUUUAUCACUUUCAUAUUGUUACUACUUUAUAAGUUUUGGUGUGUGAAAUUUUUAUCAAUCUUAAUUCCACAAUCAAUUGCAUUCAAUUUUCUCAUAAGAUGAGUGUUUCAAAAGAGUUUAAGAAAGGGUUAAUCUUUUCAAAAAGUUUUCAGAACCAAUUCACCCUCCUCUUGGUUUAGCUUAGCCUCACAUUUUUUCCAACAAAAAGUUGGUUGGAUGGAGCAACUUUAGGAGCUUUUGUAAGAAACAACUAGUGAAACAUUCCCUAUAAGAAAUCUAAUCAGCAUAAAAUAAACAUUUAUAAGUAUUUAACAUUUACCAUUAAAUGCUUCAUACUUAUCAUUUAUGCAAGCAAAAUCUAAUCAAUUAAUGAUGUAUAAGCACUUAAGUCAAUUAAAGCAAAAGCUUACCAAACAAAGUGUACUUAUCCUUUGUCUAAGCAAAAGCUUAUCAGAUGAAGCAUAUAAGUAAAACAUGUGUGUCUAUUUGAUUAGAUGAAGUGCUUGUGUCUAUCGAGACCUGAUGCUUAUAAAAUAAUGUUUUAUACUUUGUUAUUAAGCAUAUAACCACAACUAAACAUAAGGUUGGUUCAACUUUGAUCUAACACUUUAGGUUUUCCUCUCUCCUUACUUGAAUUUUAGGUAGAAGAACUAUAAUGUAUAUUAAAAUGCUCAAAACAGUAUGAGUCAUGCUUUUGUAGACCUUGCAAACCUAUUAGUUUUGAGUUUUUUUUGUAAUCCUUCGGUUUUGAAUUUUUCUACUAGUGCACACAACAAUGUCAUAUAUAGAUAUGCAAUUUUACACAACUUCAUUUUAAUUGUAACUUUACCAACAAUGUCAACCUCCUUAAAAGGAUUCAACAUGACAUUAGUUUUGUGCAUUAAGUGGUAUAUUAUACCUGCUAUAUCACAUAUAUGGUAGACCAUGUGUACAUAUAAAUGUAAUCACAAUGUUGAGUACCAACACAAACACACAUGACCUACUCAUACUCUUCAUCAAUAUGCAUGAAUGCAUAUUUUAAGGCAAACCUUUGUGUUCUUUUUUUUUAUAAAGUUUAUGUUAAAUAUAUGUUUCGCAACGUGUAAACUUUUCUUAAAAAAUGAUGCUUUAAUUUCAUUACGCUAUAAAGUUAUGAUGCUUUUCAUUGCAUCCUAAAUCCAAAAUACAAAUUUAACCUUUCGAUUACUCGAUUCAAAACUUAAUAAAGAGUAUUAUAAAUUCCACAAUCUCAAACACAAAUUUGAACUCAAUUUUAUAUUUUACUUUAAUAAUUCAGCUGACUAUUUUUUAAAUUUUGAAUUACACAAUAAAAAAUUUGUAUUUUAGAUCGUCUAAUAUGAAAUACUAUUCUUAAGAUCUAAAUUGUAAAAUAAAAAACAAAAUCAAUUUAGAUAUUCAUUUACAAAUUGUUGAAUCUCACUAGCUUGUUGCUCAAUCCAAAAAACUGUAAAAUUAUAAUAUGAAAAAAAAUAAUCAAAGAGAGCAUCAGAUCUUCGAAACCACGAAAAAAAAAACUAUCAAUAUUUAGUAAAUGAGUUACCCACCUUAAAACUCUACAGCACCUUGAUUUUUAACUAUUAACUUUCUAAAAUGUAAAGUACUAUUAGUGGAGUUUUAUUAGAUGCAUGGAAGACUUAAACUCACUUUUAAAAAAUUACUUAGAUAUUAAAAACACAUAAUACAUAUAGUAAAGGGUUAAAAAUGUAAUAAUUAAAUAAAUUUAUAAUAUUAAAUACCGCAAAAAUUAAUCUUAAUAUUAAAAAAUAGUUUUAUAUGCGUAAUUAUUUUUCUCAUUAUCUUCAAUUUAUUUAUUUUAUAAUAUAUGUCAUUUAAUUUUAAUAAAUAUUAAAAUAUAAUUAAAAAUAUAAAAUAGAUAAAAUGUAAAGAAGAAGAAAAUUAAAAUAUUUUUUAUAUUCUUUUUUUUAUUGUUCGGUUCAUCCUCUCCUUAACACUAAAACAUAAAAUUUCUUAUUUUUAUUCAUUUUUCACUUUUUCUUAAUCAUUUCUGAAGAAAGAAACGAAGGAAAACAAAAACUCAUUGUUUCUACUCGUGUAUUACUUGUUGUGUUUCAUUUAUGAAGAGAAAAGAUAAGCCUCUCUUACCUCACUAAUAUUGAAAAACUAUUUUAAUAGUAUAUUAUUUAUUUAUUUACAUAUGCAAAGAAAGAAUGUUUGAAAUAUAAAAAUUUGAAUAAUUAUAAUUUUGUCUUGUUUUUUAUUCUAAUUAAUAAGAUCUUAACUAUGAUGUGUUUUUUUCAUAACCAAUUUUUAAAUGUGACUUCUUUAUUUUAUUAUAUCUCAAAAAAAUUUAAUUCUGAUAUUAAAUUAUUAAUGAAUUUAAGAAUUUUAAAAAAGAAUAAAAUAUGUAUGAUUUUUUAGAAUUAUAGUUAUAUUAGUGGGAAUGAUAAUAUAUAUAAAUUUUGAAUAUAAUAUUUUGAUUUAAUUAUUGGUCAACCAAUAAUUAUAUAAAUAUUUUUCCUAUUUACUGUUGUUAAUACGAGGAUAUGCAUUAUUUGCUUGGUUUGACUAAGUUUUUAUAUUUUUUUAAUCUGACACCAAACUAAAUCCUCUUCAUGAUUGACUUAUUUGAAAGUAAAGUGAUAUUUAUUUUUCACGCAUUUCCAUUAUCAGUUAAUCACUUAUUAAGAUCAUAUUUUGGCUGUUUCUUCACGUGCUUGUGCACCUCCAUACUUAUAAACAUACCAAAUAAUACUCUUUAUUCAAUUAUUUUUUUUCAUUUCGGAUCUGGACAAAUUAUACUUAUAGAUUCCAACUUCUACCAUUCAAAAUAAGUUUUUUUUCUUUUAAAUUUAUAUUAUAGAUUAUAAAAUCUAAAAGGUAUUUUUAUAGAAUCUAUAAAAUAUUUUUUGGAUCUAGAAAUACUUUAUGAAUUCUAUAAUCAAUACGUAUUUUUUUUAUUAAAAAAGAAUUAGAAAUACUUUCUGAAUUAAUUCAGGAAAUAUAAAUAGAAAAAUAUAUUUUCUAAUUGUAACAUCCGAAUAUAUAUUUUCAAAAAUAAAAUGGUCUUUUUUGUUAGGAGUGACAAUGUGAGUUGACCCACCCCACAUAGGCUCGUCCCGCAUUUAGCCUGCAAAAUGAGAGUCAGGUUGACCCAUUUCGUACCAGAAGUGCUCAUCCGCAUAAGGAAAAUAUUUUUUUUAAAUUAAAAUUUAAUUAUAAAAAAAAUAUUUCUGCUACUGAAAAAUUAAAAUUCCAUCUUUGUUUUAAUUCGUUCAAUUAAGAUAAAAAAAAAUAUAAAGGCAUUCAACUAUACGGAUUGUUAGAAGACUUGAUUAAAAAUAAUUAAUGUUUUGUUUUUGCAUAUAUUCUUUUUCUGUAUGUAUAUAAUUGUACGAGAAUAUCUUAUCAAAAUUUUGCUACAAAAUAUUUUAAUGAAAUCUCUUCUUUAUAUUAUUUUUUUAUUAACAAUUUUUAAAUGUAAAAUUUUACUUAAAACUAAAUGCACUCUUAUUUUUAAUAUUAACUUCUUUAAAUGAUUGAAAUAAAACAUAUUUUUUUUUACAUUAAAUUUAAUUUUUUAAAAUAAAAUAAAAUAAAAAUCACAUUCCAAUAAUAAUGUGUGAGUAGGUAUGAUUUUUUUUUUUAAAAAAUAAAAUAUUUUUUAUUUAUUUAUGCGAGCCAGCAGACUAACGCGUCCUGCCCCGUUGUUGACCCAUACGGAUUGCGGGUUAUGCAGGACCGACCUAAGUGGGUUAGUGAGUUAGAUUAGUGAGUUCAUCCCGCACUUUUUAGUAGCGGCCCGACCCGCAUAACCCAUAGGCCAGCCCGCAUGAUCCACCCCGCAUUUUCAUCAUACUUUUCACCUACUUUUCGUAUAACCUAUUGAGUGUGGGUUAUGGAGGUGAAGGAAGAUACAGCCAUAUUUUUUUAUAAAUUACAGCUUUAGUUUUACUUUGCAUGACCUCUCUACCAGAGUAGAUGCACAUAGCUUCUACUUCCCAUUCCCAAAGAUCUAAGUAAGUUUUGCAUCAUCACUUGAUGAGUAGCACAGAAUUCGCGUGAGAAGCCUUUAUUAAUCAUUGAACGGUGAGCCACCUUUGAAUUCAACCGGUAACAAUAUUAACUACAACCAGAGGUGUUUAUUGGGGUCCAAAUUUCAACAAUUCCACUAGCGGUGGAUCUCAUAUGAAACUUGCCAACAUCACUAUGAAUGCUUCAUCCUUUUAUCAUCAUUCUACAUUAAUUACUAAACAUAUUCUACUAAAAAACAAACUAGGCUCCUCCUCAGUUCACUUGGUCAUACUCAAAGUAGAAAAGGAAAAAGAAAACUCAUGGAAGCUUUGUGGGAUUUGGAAGACAAAUUGAAGAUUUCAACACUAGGUGCUGUUCUUCUACUUGGAUGUGCAACCUUUGCUCUUGUGUGCCUUUGCAUUGUUAUCACACUUAGAAGGAAGGCCUUUAACAAUAAGAUUGUACACCAAGAGGGUGCUUUGGAUGAAGAGAAUGAAAAGGAUACCACAACAACUACUAAUACUAAUGCUAAUACUAUUAUUGCUGCUACUGCUUCACCUACAGAAUGGUCAGAGCCAAGUUGUGUAGGGUGGAUUUCAGUGAAGAGGGUCCUGAUGGGGUCAAUGCUGUGGAGCAAGGCAAGCAAAUUGGAGGAGAACAUGGCAUGGCAGAGAGAGAGGGGAUCCCCACUACUUGGCUUACAAAGGCAGGGUCUUGAAAGUGGGUGGCAAAGCAAUAACUCAGAAUCUCCAGUGUGGCAAAGACCAAUACUAAGAGGGGGGAAGUGUGAGUUGCCAAGUUUUAGUGGCCUCAUUCUCUAUGAUGAAAAAGGAAGACUUCUUCGUGAUUCAGAGAAUGAAACGCACCACUUCAUGGAAACUUCACAACAGGUAAUUCUUCAUCACCUUCAUACUCAUCAUAUAGGAUAAUCAAAUUCUUACUUGUAGAUAGGAUGAUUCUUUCCACUCUCAGUUUUAAGACUAACAUGAUGAAUUUGGACAAUAAUGAUUUGGUACCUAUAAAGCAAAAUGAGUGAUUGCAUGAUACUUAUGUCCAUUUCUUUAAUAAACCCCAAGAUAUCCCAAGAAGUUUUGGUCUUAUUGCAGUGCUGAUGCUUAAUCUCACCUAUAAUUCUGUGUCCCUCAUGGAUAUGUUCAAUGAGAAUCAAACUCAAAUCCUCUCCUACACCCUCAACAUGUGUUGCCAAAAUUGAGUUGUCUAUGUUCAUUUUAAAUGAAUGCAUGAAUGCACACACAAAAAAGUUUGAAUUUUCUUCCCCAAUAACUUCUUGUUACUCAAUAGGAUGCAACAGUAUUUGCUUCAAGAUACUGAAUCACAGGAAUGUCAUUGUUUCAGUUUCAGACAACAUUUUGGCUGCAUUUGUUUAUUUCUAACUUUUAUGCUGUUUGAUGCAGGAAGUAGGAACUGUUACAGUGAGGACUACUCUAAGAGAUUUACUUUAGUACUCGCUUACUGGGUUUUUCUAUCUUGUAAGUUGUAUCAGACAGACAAUGCAGCUUCACAGUAAUGACAUGGUGUGAUCAGUUCAAAUACGUAAUUAUCAUUUCAUAAAAUUGCAGUUUUUUCCUAGAAUUCAAUGAUGCAUCUUCCAUUUCAAUAUCAUUUCAUAAAUGACACAUGAGGAAGCUGCAGUAAAAAAAGCAAAGAAUAGAAAGAACGCAAAGGAAGUUUAUGGCUAUCUGAAAAUUGUGGAAACUACACAAAAUGGUAUCUAGUUUAGCUGACAAGUUAUCAAGUAGGAGAUCAUUUACAACUUUUUGUUAACUUCAUACUUGGUUUACUGUGAAAUCCUCUUUUUAUGAAGAUGUCAAAUUUUAACAAUAUCCUUUUAUGUUUCUUCCUUCAAUCUCCUAAUGGCCCUAAUCUUACUUCUUAAAAAUUUAACUACAUUGUUCAUGCUGACAUUCAAUUUUGCUAUAAUUGUACAUUAACAUUUGUUGAAGAUCUCACGUCGACUAGAGAUAAGAACAUUUCAUAGUAUAUAAAUGACUGCAAAACUCAUCUUAUAAGCCUAAUAGCAUUACAUUAAGAUAAAGUUCUAGAAUAAUCUUCAUGCAACAAGGUUGCUUAUUAGACCACCAACUGAAGCCCGACAAAUACAUAAUGGGGAAAAUUAGCUAAAUGGGAUAUCAUGGGUAGGUUAAUUGAGGUUAGAUAAACCCCACUUUAGAAGUAAUGACAGCACUUCAAAAAACUUCAUCAGAGUCUUAAAUCUGAAAUUAAAUAUGGAUAAAAUAAGAUUAUGAUCCAUGAUGACCUUCAGAAAAUUGAUGUAUUUUAAAAGAUAAGAGAAUUUUCAGUUUAUAGGUUCCUAACAGAAGAGAUUGAAUACCUGAAGUAAGAAGGUUUUAGAGUUUUCAUUGGUACUAUUUUCCCUUUUAAGGUGUAUCAAGGUUGUACUGAACAUCAUUCAAAGAUUGCAAAGAUUUCAUCCUCUCAGUUCAGGAAAAGCAUUCAUUCUCACAUAGCAACAAUAGCAAGUUGACAAAAAAGACACAGGCAGAAAUGAAAUUAAAAUAUAGUGGAAAGUUUCAAUUCAAACAUCUCCAUGAAUUGCAUGGAAAAACUUCACACUCAAAACCACAAAAUUCACUCAUUCAACUCAUGGAAAUCAUUUCAAACACAGAAUGCCUGCUACUAAUUUCAGAGAACCAUUUCACUGCUGCCAAGACCAUAAAUCUUAAUCACCUAUGAUGCAUUUGCCUAUGCCUCCACUUUGCCAACACUCACCAGCAUGGAUCAUUCAUACGAGACUAUCAAGGGUUGUCUGCAGUUUUCAGUGGAUAAAGUCUUGUAAUAGAAAUAUAGUAUCAAUUGCACAAUUCCUAAAACAGUUCCUAUCCCAUUUGGUACCUACAGAAUCAAACACAGACAGGUUUAUUUCACAUAAAAUCCAACCAAAAAAAGAGAUUUGAAACUAAAAUGAGUAUCUCAAAAGGAAACGAGCUGAAAGGAAACUCACAGAAAUGAAGGCAUCAUGGCUGAGAAAUCCGUAAAGAAAGAAGGAGAUGCUCAUCAGGAAGGUGGAAAGUGAAAGAUAAAAAGGCAUAAACUCUACACUUUUUGUCCGAAUGACCAAUUUCUGAGAAGUUAGAUAGACAAAAUAAGAAAACAAAAUUCACCAAGCUAACAGAUGCAGAAACUGAUAAAUGGAUUGGUGUCUAGGAAAUGACAAGCAUACAAUUAUGAACAAUGGAGAGGCAAACAUUGAAAUGAGAGAAGCACAACUCAAGAAUCCCACAAACAUCCGGCGCAUUGCACUGUCAUCAAUUUGCAAGCUCCCAGCCAGUAUGAUCACAAAUAUGCCCAAAACUGCUAAGAGUAAUCCAAGCAUUCUCACCUAUCAAAUCACAAUUUAUAGUACACAACAGCUUAAAAAUAAACCAUUUCUCUUUUGUAUUUAUCAUUCAUAACAUUCCAAUAGUUUAUCAAAAGAUUAACCUUUCUAGCUUUCUCAGCAUAUAUCAAGAAGAGGAUUAUGUACACAAGCUGAAAGGCUGCCCCAAUUGUAUUAACAGUUGUCACCAACAGAUUAUGAGGUGAUAUAAGAGGUGUGCCAUACCACAAGCAGAUCAAGCAGUUCAAGAGAGAAUAAACAUAUGGCAACCCUGAGAACAUUUCUGUUGACCCAUUUCUGAUAAUUCUCCUAAAUGUAGGUCUACAGUUCAGAACAGAACAAGAGUUGUUAUUAUCAAUGAAAAGAUUCACAAACAACAAUUUCUUCUCAGCUCAAUUAUCGUCAAAAAGUGUCCACUUUAAGAAACUUACAUGGGGGAUAAAAACAACCCAAAAGCAAAGAUGUUCCCUGCAACUCAAAAAGUGUAUAAUCAAGACAGAGAUAGGUCUAAAUUUUAUCUCAUCGAAAAAGUAAAGUUUUUUCUUUUGGUUUUAAAUCUAUGUAACCAGAAUAAAUCACCCCAGAAGCUGAAGGAGGGAAAAUACCAGCAACUCCAGCUGCAUCUUUGCCAAUCUCACAGAUGGAAUAACCACCAAACAGAAACAUCACUGUUCAAUCGACAAAACAAACUUCAACAGAAACAAAUAACAAACUAAACCCUCAGUUUAGUACAUAUAUGUACAAGAACAUAAGAAAUUGAUAUGAAAUUUAAGAUAUGCUUGUUCUCUCUUUUUUGUCUGGUCAAGAUCGCCCACGUUUGCAAAAACACUUCUCUUUAUCUCCAAACAUCUAAUGAUAAGGGUUGGUCACUGUCAAUAAUAUGUUUUCUAAAGACACAGUGGCAUGCUUAAUGCCAUAGCUGGCACUUGACAGAACCACUCCCAUAGAACACGUUUUUGUGCCGUAAAUUGAACCUUAAUUGCUUUUGCUGAUGUGGAUUUAAAUGUUUCUACAUUUUUUAUACAAUGGAGUGCAAAACAACACAAAGAAAACUACUAAACAUAUCAAAGUGUGUUUCCACAAUUGUUCUCUCAUACGUUGUCUGAGAAUAUUUCUAAGAGGGUAUAUUCUUACAAGAAAUUCUCGUAUAUCUUGUUCUACUUUUGAAUAUAUCUUACAUGUCAUAUAAUCUAUAAGAAAUUUUCAAAAGUUUUACUGGAAAAGUCUUAUACUAAGAUAUACCUUACAUUGGAGAUAUUCUAGAAGUUAAAUAAGAUAUAAAGGAGGAAAACGUGCUCUCUGAUUGUUCAUUAAUAAAUUAAUAUUUUAUAUUUAUAAUAAGAUAAAAUCUGAUCUUAUACAUUUACAUACUCUAAGUUAAAUAAGAGAUAGAGGAGAAAAGAGUGCUGUGUGAUUGUUAUAGAUCAAUAUUUUAUAUUUAUAAUAAGAUUAUUUGAAGACUAGAAUAAGAAACAUAAUUAAAAUAAUAGAUAGUUUUUAAGAAAUUAAUUAAUAGAACUAAGUCUUAAAUAUGAUAACUUUUAUGUUUGAGUCUUUUAACUUUUUUUCUGGAUUAAGGAAUAGAAAGUGGGCAGUGAAAAAGGAAAGAAAGAAAGAGAAAAAAAGGAAAAAAAGUGAAAAGUAAAGUUGUUUUGAUAGAGAAAUAGAAAGUGGAAAGAGUUGAGAAAUAUGAGAAAAUUGUUUAAAUUAUUUAAUUAAUGUGAUAAAAUAAAAAAGAUGGUAAUUUAGUAAAUUAAACAAUUAUCAAAGUAUCUUUCUAUUAAAAAAAUAAAUAUAAAUGAACAUUUAAAUACUUGUUACAUUUCUCGGCUAAAAAAAAUAUCAUGUUACAAGUUAAGUGCCCAUUUAAAAAAUGGAGGAAAAUUAUUUGAUACCCCAUGGACUUCUUAGAUAUUCAUGGAUACUUUCUUUUAUUAAGUACUUUUAAAGUUUUAAAUAAGAUUAUUUAAAAGUAAAAAUUUUAAAUAUAAAUUUAAGUAAAUUUUUAAAUAUAAAUUAAAGUAAAAUAAAUUUUAAAUUAAUUGAAAUAAAAUUUCAUAAAAAAAUGUGAGUGUAAUGAAAUAAGCAUUGAAUUUGAAAUAACUAAGAAUAACAUUAAACCAAAUGGGAGUAUUUACAUUAAUUCUCAUAGUAAGACAAUUAUUAAUCUAUAUUAUAAAAAUUAUGAGACAUAAACAAAGUAAAUUAUGAGACAUAAACCAAGGUAUAAUUUAAUGCUACAAUAUAAGAAAAACACAAAAACUUGAUUACACUAUUAGUCCAAGUUAAGAAAAAGAAGAUGCAAAACCACACCUCAACUUUAGACUUUUAUAAACAAUCAUAUUUACUUAAGGGUGUUAGAGUUCUUUAAAUCUUUAAUUAAAAUCAUCAAUUAUUUUGUGAAUCUUGUCAAAAUAUUAACAAAUAUUUAGGUUUAAAGUGUUUAAACCUUGUUAGAAUGUUUGAAUAUCACCCAGAUUGGAUUACGAAUAUCACUAUCAUCGUCAAGUUAAGGUUGUGGUCUCCUAGCCAUAACACUUAAUUUUCUAUAACAACCAAUCACAUAAUCUUAUCCUAAUAUUUAUGUUGUUAAUUAAUGACACAUUUUGUACACUAAAAACAUUUUUUAUAUGUUUUAUUUUUAGUUUUUAACUCAUUUUCUUUUAGUAGUCAUAAAUUGGAUUUAAUGUACAUAUUUAUUUUAAUUUUGUAUUUUCAUCUAAUUGACCUUUAUUUACUAUUUUGGCCAUAACUUUUUCUUUUUUUCCUACAUAUUAUUUUCGGUUGAUUCCAAUUGCAUUUGAUUCUACAUUUUCUGGAGUUCAAAAUGGGAUAUAUAUGGUUUGUUGGAUUUGGAGUUGUAUGUUAUUUUCUACAAUUUUAAAAGUUAAGGUAGAUUUGCUUAAUUUUUAUAAAGAAAAUUAUGAAUUUGUUAUUCCUUGCUUUUAAUUGGACUUUUGUAAUUGGGCUUGUAAACCUAAAUAGAGCUAACAUUUAGGCCCAUAUUUGGUUCAAAUUUUAGACAAUAUAUAAGGCAGUUUCUUCCUGCAGCCCUACGUUUUUCUUCCUGCACCCCAAAAUGUUAUGCAAAGAUCAAAUUGUCCUUAUUAUUUUUUUAAACCCCUAAAAUGCACUUGAACUGCAUUUAUUUUUUUUGCAUUCUGGAUUAUGGAAUCUGGAAAAUUUUUGGAUUGACACUUCCGGUAAAAUUUCGGAUCCACCAAUCCGUAAUUCAAAAUAUGCAUUUCACAUUAAAAAAAAGAAUUUUGGAUCCACCAAUCCAUAAUAGAAUUAGGCUUUCGGAUUCAACAAUCUGGAAAUCAAUAAUUUAUGCAAAAUUUGCUUUCAGAACACCCCCUCAUAAAAAAAAAAAACGAUUCAGUUCGGAUUGAUGAAUCCAUAACACACUCCCAGAUCUCAAUUUCCGGUAACCACGGUGCCCUUUUUCAAAUAAAAGGUCAAGGCCAGUUUCAGGAUUUAGAAAAUUGUGGGGGUGCAAGAAGAAAAAUGUAGGGGUGCAGGAAAAAGAAGCCUUAAUUGUUAUGGAAAAGUCUAACACCCAUGAUUUGGUUAAGUGCUGAAAAUAACUAAGUGUAAAUCAUGGUUAUGCUUUGUUUGUAAAACGAUAGUUUUAGUUUAACAAACAAAUCUGAUGAGGACAAUUCAUUGUAUAAAAGUGGGUGCAAACCUCAAGUCCACUUCGUAAUAUGGUAUUAGAGCCAUUUUCGAAACCUAUCCCAAUGAGUGUUACAUUUAAUAUGCUCAGUUAGUUAGGAGAAAAUACAAUUUUAAUAUUAGUUUAAGAAAAAAAAUUAAAGUUCAAACUAAAUAAAAACCUAAUACAAACUUUUAGAAAGAAACAAUUAAAAAAGCAUACGUUUAAUUAUUAGUUUUUGUCCUCCCUAAUUAAAAAAGAAAGUUUAGUCUAAUUUUUUUUGUGUGAAAAUUAGUUCCUUAAUUCUAAAUUUGAAGAAUUAAAAUGACAUUUCAAAGUCAUUUUUACUCUGUCUAUAGAAAAUUAAAAUCAUAUUUUUAAAUUUUAAAUUAAAAAAUAUUUUUAACAUAAGGUAAUUCACUCCGAAUAUUAUUAUUAACUAGAACAAUCGUAAUCAUAAUCAAGCCAAAAAUAUUUUCACCUAGUGUAAAAUUCUUUGCACAAAAAGGAAAAAAAAGUGAAGAAGUGUUGAAUUCAUACCGCAAUAACUUAUCUCUACGAGUCCCAUAUCGCUCAACCUUAUCCAAGCACAUACUGAAGGAAGCCAUUUAGGCAAAGAGAUAGAGCGAUAAAGCAAAAGAAUGGCGCUGCUGUGUGGUUCCACUUCUGUGCCUCCGUUUCUUUCCCACAAGAAUGUUGUUGCAGCCUCAACAAAAUCUUCCUUUGUGGGCUUCCAAUUGCCACUUCCAAAGCUUACAUUAUCUUCUUCAGUUCGAACCCUUUUACCCUCAAAUUCCCGUAUCCGUUGUCAACAGGACUCUGCUACUGCUGCCCCUGUAACGGAAGACCCGCGCUUCGCCUGCGUUGAGCCCGAGCCACGAUUCAAAGGCCCGGUACAGUACAACCCUUGUUCUUCCUUUUGUCAAACGGUUUCUGCUAUGAAUGUGUUGUCUUCCAAUUUGAAAUUGAAGUGUUCAGAUUUGUGAUUGAAGUCACUGGUCUACAUGACUACCUGAAAUUUAUGCAUUUUGUUUUCUUCUCUAAUUAGCUUAUCUUGGGAAUGUGCAGGUGAUUUCUUUUUUUUCCUAUUUGUUGCGAAUGUUCGAUUUGUUUGAACGAGCUAUGAAGGAAAAAACUUUACUUCUUCGCAAACUUUUGGACAAGUUAAGAGAAUUUGUAUUAAUUAGUUUAUAUAAACGUAAUUUUAAUUUCAUUUUUUUGGGAGAAUUUUUUUGUAGAAAAGCUCAUCCAAACAUACCUUUAAUAAUCACUAAAUUUAACUAAAUUCUUAUGUAUUUUUCUCCUUUGCUUUAGUGCUUAGAUUUAACUAAAUUGUAAUUCAUUUUAUCUAAGUCACUAAAUUUAAUUACUCAUCGUCAUUUUGGGUCCUUUGGUCCCUGAAGCAGAUUUUAGUAUUAUCACUUAGUCACCUAAAAUGAGUGGUGUAUGUUGGGGAGAAUUUUUGAAUUUGGUUAAUAGUAAGGAUUAAUGUGUCGGUCAAUUACAAUAUUAGGAACUAAAUUGACCGGUUAUUAUUUUUUAAUUUUUUUUAAGUGUUUUUUAAUCUUUACUUAAGUUUUUCCAUUAAAGUUAGUUUGAAGGUGUAUUCUAGUGUUUGUUAUGAAUUUUAAAGGAAUAAUGAUGUUAAAUUUAAGUGUCUGAAUGCAAUUUCUGUAUGUGUUGUUUUCUUUUAAAAAAAUUUAACUUCAUUGAUUUUUUUUUGCUGGGUGAAUUUGAAUUCCCAUACCAAAAAACAAAUUGCAGGACAUUUGGAACAAGAGCUGGUAUCCAAAAGCUGUAGAUCAUGUGAAUACAGAGAAAACAUGGUAUGUUGUUGAUGCUACAGAUAAAGUUCUUGGAAGAUUAGCUUCUACGAUUGCUAUUCACAUCCGAGGGAAAAACUUAGCAACCUACACACCCAGUGUGGACAUGGGUGCAUUUGUAAUUGUGGUAUGUAGUUCUGCAUAGGUUAAUUGUUAUGUAGUUAUGAUUAGUAUUUCUUCAUUCUCCCUGUCUGUUUGCGAGGGGCAAUAGAGGUACUAUUCCAAUUGUAUAAACUGUUUGUUAAUUUGUUAGAACAACUGGGUAUUUAUAUAAAAAAUAGGAGGGAAAUAAUAGAGGGGGAAGUUGUAAAUUUGGAAUAGGAAUCUGGGGAGGGAGUAAACAUAGUAUCUUGAAUACUUGGGAUUUCAGAAAGAGAGAGAGAGAGACACCCUUUGCGGUUUCUGGAAUUGACUGAUAGUUGAGAGGAGUUUAUUGCAUUUUAAUCUUUCUUUUAAAUGGUAGGUCUUAUAAUUUAAAUUUGAACCUAACUUAAUUACACAAAACUAACUUGUAGGGUAAGAUUACUUCCUACUUAUAUACUACUAUCAUACUAUGGCACAAAGCUGAUGUGAUGAGACUUGGGUUUUUUUGCAAUAGUAGGUAACAAUGAAAAUGGAUUACAUGCAACAUUGAUAUCAUGUUUCAUUAGUUGCCAUUAACAUUUUUAACUCUAUUUCUGUAAUAAUCUCCUAUUUCAAUUAAAUUUUAUAUUUUUUGUAUAUUGGUUCUCAAUUUAAUCUGGGAUCGAUGUAUUGUUUUUGCGUCAUAUUUGGAAAAGUCUUGAUUAAGCCGCGGUAAUUCGUUUUAUGUCUGAAUACAUGAUUUUUGCAUCAUUUAAGUGGCUGCAAAAGCAUUAUUCUUUUAUUUAAUCAGUUAGUCGUCAUUAUGUAAAUCUGAUGAUAGGAUUCUUCUGCAUUUAACUUUCCCAGUUUCCCCAUAUUGUAAACAUUUUCUAUGCAAUAUUUUCUGUUGAAGUUUGAUUUCAAUUAUAUAAGGUUGAGGACAACUUAUGGUCCAAGAACAGUUAUCAAAUUUCCUUUGAUAGACAAUUUUUCUAGAAAAAAAAAUGAUAAGAUAUAUUAAGGAAACACGAUCCUUUCUGAAAAUAUUCUAUACUAAUGAUAAUAUUACUGCUUAGUUUCUCACUUUUCACACGAUUGUCUGUGUUAAGCAGCCUGAACCUUAUGGAGAAGGUUUAAGUUAUAAGAAUGUAUUGUAUUAUAUUUUCUUCUAUUCCUAUUGAUGAGUGAAGCAUAUGUGUUAAUUACAUAUAAAGCUAUGUGAUGCCAUACCAAGUCUGAAUCUGUUUAUUAUUUAACUUGGGGCUCUAAAGGUAAAUGCAGAAAAGAUUGCUGUAUCUGGGAAAAAGAGGACCCAAAAGCUUUAUAGAAGACACUCUGGAAGGCCUGGUGGUAUGACGGUGGAGACAUUUGCUCAGCUGCAAAACAGAAUUCCUGAAAGAAUUAUUGAACAUGCUGUUCGUGGCAUGCUUCCAAAAGGGAGGGUAAGUUCAAGUAUAGUUGAAUAUUUUUCCAAGACAUGCACAUAUCCGAAGUAGACAUGUUAAACUGAGUUGUUAUAGCAUGGUAGUUUUAGAGAUGGUGACGCAAUUCUAAAUUAUAUGAUUAAUUUUCAUGACAUGUCACAUAUGUAAGAUUCAUCCCCAUAAUUGAUGGAAGAAUUUAACGGUGAAGAAUGAAGUAAAAUCCCUUUAAAGUUUGGAUUGAAAGGAAUGGUUGGAUAUUUUGAAGGACAGACUAUACCCAUGAUCAUGCUUUGGAACAUGAUUGUCUUUUUGCACUGUUCAAUGCAAGAGUCCUUUUUCUGGUGUUUCUGUAUUUCAGGAUUGGACAACUCUUGUAUUGUAUGCUAUAUGCUCUUCGAUUUAUUUAUUUAUUUCUGUGAAAAUAAUGCUUAGCUCUUUGUUGAAUCCACAAUAAUCAAGGGUUGCUUGUUUUAUUUAGCUUGGCAGGAGACUAUUCACCCACCUGAAGGUUUACAAGGGCCCUGAUCAUCCACAUGCAGCACAGAAGCCCGUUGACUUGCCAAUAAGGGAUAAGAGAAUACAAAUCCAGAAAUAGGUCAUAGGUGCCGCAGAGAAAAUGGAAUGAAAUAUGCCAUUUGUAACUCUAUCCAUUUCACAGAACAUCGAGUUUCCUGCUUUGCCUGCCACCUUACUGAUGUCUUCCAUUAAUGUUUAUAUUGUCUGUAGAGGUAACUGAUUAUUGUGUUAUUUGUGUUUGUUCAAGGUCCUUUGAUGAAUCUUCAUAACAUUUUUGUUGUAGAUUUGAAUCUUAGUCAUGUCAUUUUUUAAUAUGCUUGAGUUUAAUGUCAUUUUUUUUUAUUUGAAGGAAACAUCCAUGCCUUUUCCUUUUUUCUCUUUAAUUAUUUAGACCACCAAUUAAAUAUAUUGAAUCUAAAAUCCACAUUCAUUUUAAUAAAAUUAAUUUAAUUUAAAUUUUUUCAAUCCAAUUUUAAAUUGAAUUAAAUCCAAAUUAUAUCAGAGUUUCUCAAUUAGAUUAAGGUUAGAUCAAUUUUUCUAAACUCAACAUGAGGUGAGUUUGGUUUGAUCCAACCCAGUUUGUUCUUUAAUCGAUUAAAAUUUUAGGUUAUCGGUUAAAUUUAUUAAUCAUGUGAAUGCAGAUGUAGAUAAUCCAUUAUUAUUCAUGAUAAUCGAUUAAAACAGAGUCCCAAAAACAAAACAUUCAGAAAUAAUCGAUUAAACUAUGAUGAAAUUGAUUAAUAUACAAAAUACAGCAACAAAAUACACUUAGAAUAAUCGAUUAAAGAGAUUGCACUGGAAACAUUUUCAAGCGAAACUUUUAACACAUCCAAGUAGUUUAUCAAUUUAUCUACAAUACUUAAACAUUCAAGAGUAUGUCCAAUGAAUCAAACAACAAUUUUACAUAUUAAAGAACAUCUUCUUCACCUGGAUAUUUGGCAGGAGCUUCCUGAUUUCAAUCUUCCCUGCAAAAAAAGUAAAUCAAAUUCUAACUAGGUCACCAAGACAAAUUUGAAUCCUUUAGAGUUAGUUUCAAAUUAUCUACCUUUGGGAGUCUAGGUAUACUUUCCCUAAGUUACUUUAACUUUUUUGAAAUAACAUUAAUUCACUAUAUGACCUCUUGUUCCAAAGGUUGCAAAUCCACAACAACUGAAUGAGUUUAGACCGAUCUCUUUGGUGGGCUGUGUAUAAAAUUAUCUCUAAAAUUCUUUCUUCAAGGUUAAAAAGGGUUCUAAACAAAGUUAUUGACCCCAGGCAGUCUGCUUUCUUGGAAGGAAGAGGUUUGUUGGAUAGCAUGCUAGUGGCUAAUGAGACAUUGGAGGAGGUAAAAAGGAAAAAAAAAGAAUGUGUGGUGUUUAAGUGGAUUAUGAAAAGGCAUACGACUCAGUAAGCUGGGAGUUUAUUUACUGCAUGAUGGGAAGAUUGAGGUUUUGUGGUAAGUGGAUUGAUUGGAUAAAAAACUGUUUAGAAUCAUCUUCUAUAUCUGUUUUAGUAAACGGAAGUCCAACAACUGAGUUUAAACCUACGAAGGGCCUCAGACAAGGGGAUCCUCUAGCACCUUUCCUUUUCCUAAUUGCGGCUGAAGGACUUGCAGGGGUAGUCAGACAGGCAGAAGAAAAGAAUUUAGUAGAAAGUAUUGAAGUCGGGGAAAAGCAAGUAAAGGUGAGCAUGCUGCAAUAUGCAGAUGACACUCUAUUCUUCUGUAAAGCCUCAAUCCAAAGUGUUAUGACUCUAAAGGCUAUUCUGAAAUGUUUUGAACUUGCUUAUGGUCUUAAGGUGAACUAUUCCAAGAGUAAGGUUGGUGGAGUGGGUGUGGUAUGGUCUUAAGGUGAACUAUUCCAAGAGUAAGGUUGGUGGAGUGGGUGUGGAUAUGAAUCAGACGUCGAUUUUCGCCUCUAUACUUAAUUGUGAUAUUAUGAAGGUACAUUUUAGUUACUUGGGGGUGUUGGUAGGUGGGAAUCAUAAGAGGUGUGCCUUUUGGGAUGGUGUGAUCACUAAGAUACGGAAUAGACUAAGCGCGUGGAAAGGGAAAACCCUCUCUUUGGCAGGCAGAUUAUGUCUUAUCAAAUCGGUGCUUACGUCUUUACCGCUCUUCUAUGUCUCUAUAUUUUGUAUGCCGGCAACUGUGAUGAAGGAAGUGAAAAGGAUACAAAAAAACUUUUUGUGGGAUUGGGGUUCAGAGAAUAGGAAAAUUGCUUGGGUGGCGUGGGAUAAGAUUUGCCAAUCGAAAGAUAAAGGCGGAUUAGGGGUCAUUGACAUAGAAAAGUUUAACUUGACUCUGCUAGGGAAAUGGAUUUGGAGACUUAAGUCUGAAGAGGGUAGUUUAUGGAAGGAUAUUAUAACGUCAAAGUAUGGUGGGUGGAGGGGAUUAAGAUCUCAAGAUCAGUCUUGUAAAGAGUCGAUGUGGUGGAGGGACCUUAGGAAGGUAUGACAUUUAGAGGGGUGGGGAAAUGAUUUUGAAGACAGAGGUCGGUGGGAAGUAGGAGAUGGGAAAGAAAUCAGAUUAUGGGAGGAUAAAUGGUUGGAAAACAUCCCUCUACUACACAAAUUCCCGAGGCUAUUUUCAAUUUCCUUAGAUAUUGGUUGUACUCUCUCACAACUUGGGGGUUGGAAUAAUAAUAUUUGGUCGUGGAAGCUGCGGUGGAGAAGGAAUCUUUUUGUGUGGGAAUCCAGUCUGGUUGAUCUCCUAAUGCAGUUGUUGGAUAACAAAAGGUUAACAAGAGAGGGUGGAGCUAAAUCUGAUAGAUGGCUCUGGAGGGACGUGGAUUAUACGGAUUUCUCUGUGAAGGCAGCCUAUAAGUGUCUCAUGGGGGAGGAGCCCGUAGUGGGGGAGGACUUGUUUGCGAUUUUUUGGACUCUAAAAACCUUACCUUCGGCACAAUUUAUGGCUUGGAGGGUGUUACGUAAUGCUAUUCCUACUAAGGACAAUCUUUCGAGACGUGGCAUUCCUCUGACGAGUGAUCGGUGCCCCCUGUGUGGUGUGGAAGAAGAGUCGGUAAGACACUUAUUUUUUGAAUGUAAGAUAUCUUGGAGAAUUUGGGGUUUGUGUCUCACUUGGUUGGGGCUCCCUUUGGUGCUUCAUUGUGACGCACAAAAGCAUUUUAGGAUGUUCAAACCUUUUGGUCUGAACCACGCAGUUACCAGGUGUUGGGGGGGUAUUUGGGUAGGUAUUGGAGUGAGAAUGGGCGGGUGGAUCUUGUGGAGGUUUUUACCGUGGUACAAAGGAAGACUUGGUCUUGGGUCACAGUAAAAGAAAAAUCUGUUGUUUUCUCUUACUCGGACUGGUGUCUGGAACCUCUUUGUUGUAUGAGGUAUUUGAAAGUCUGAUUCUUUGCGGUUUUAACUAACGUUUUUUCAGUCUUGGUAGUCGUGAUGAGGUUUGUGCAGGUUUCAUCGGUAACUCCUAUCUGGCAAGGUUGGACUGAGGCUUGGAAGGUAUUGCAUGGAUGUGCAGGUGUCUUGGUCAUUCCUUUUUUACAGGGUCGGAUUGAUGACUUUGUUCUGUGCUGCAGUAAAGAAAGUGUUUCUGUUGUAUGCUUUUUGGUUUGGUGCUGGAUUUUUUACGGUGUUUGAAUGUGGCAAAAGCUUUUUGGCCUAUGUUUCUUUCUUAUAAGGAUCGGUCUGUCAUUGUUAGCAAUUGAGUUUUUGGUACAACUUAGUCGGUUCAUAGUUAUGACUUAGGUGUUGAAUGGUGUGUAUUGUAUUGGUUUGUUGUGUUUGUCUCUUGGGUAAGGCCCUCCAGCUUGAUGGCAAAGACCUUGUUUAGUUGUUGGAUGUAUGUUCUUGUUUGAGGGUGUGACCUCUCUGGUGGGGUGAUAUAACUGUAUUUGUUGGGUUUAUUUACCUUUGUAUGGGAUUUUAGCUUGAUAGGUAGUACAAUGUUUGUUGGAUCCUUAGUUGGUAGGGUUCUAGGAAACCUGUUUUGGAGUUUUGUAUAAGGGUUGAGACACCCCUGAAGUGUCUCUUUUUAUUUUAUUUAUUCUUUGCUGAUAAAAAAAAACUAUAUGACCUCUUUUUAUGUAAUAGAAACAAGUUACUUGAUAUGUGUUUGGGUGUUUUUUUAAAGUUUUUGAAAUUUUUUUCUUGGUUGGAAUAAAACCAAGUCUAGAUUUGUCACCUAUAUGUCUUUGAGAAUCAAGCAUGUCAUUUAGGUUGAAUUUUCAAAUUGUUAAUCUUGCAACUUCAUAUUCAUAAUUUUUUUCUUUCAAAUGAGUUUCUCACACAAGAGGAUUUAUAAAUCAUUUUCAAACCUUCUAAAUUAAUUCUAAUGUUUAUAUUCUUCUUUUCUAAUUGUUUGACUCUAUUUUUCAGCUAUCUUCUCACCCUUCAUUUUAUUGUUUAAAAGGGAUAGCCUUUCGGCUUCUCUUCAUGCAUUUCAUUGAAAAUAUCAAAGAAAUGAAUCUCUAUUUAUAUUUUCAGAAAAAUUAAAAUCACACUAUUUGAAUAUGAAAUCUUAUCAACAAACAAACAUGAGUUUGUUUCUUCUCCCACAUUCAUAACAAAUUAUACCAUUGGAUUGAUCAUGCUUCUUAGUUUGCCUUUAUUACUGAUCUUGUUCUUGUUGACUUCUUCAUUACAUGGAGGUUCUUAGUGUUGCUAUCAAGGUUUUGACACCAUCAUUCUCUAUCAAGGUAAAUUGGAAAGAUGCUUGCAUACACUACUUCUUCUAUUAAGGUAAAUUGGAAAGAUGCUUGCAUACACUAGUUCUUUUAUUUUGUCCUUCAUGAAUGUUCGUUCUUCCAUCAUAUGCCCAUAAUUGAUAUGAUAAUAAAAUUGUUUAUUCUAGUAAGCAUUAAGAGUUUCUUCCAAGAUUCUUGCUCUAUUAGAAUUCAAGGGGGUGUGUUGGGUGACUCGUGGUUAGUGAUGUUCUUGAGGUUUCUCAUGCAUCGUCUUGUGUUUAUCUUUGGUGGAUUUCUUCUUCUCAAAUGCGUUGACCCUCAUUGAAUUACGAAAAUCCUUCAACUUUUCUAAUUGCAUAAAUAUCUUCAUUUUAUGUUUUAAUUCAUUAAGACUUGAUGCUAGCUUCAUUCACAAACUAUCAAAGAAUAAUUCUAGUUUUAAUAUCAUGAAUACAUGAUGGAGUGUAACCGUUAGGUUUAAGUCUUUGAUGUUUAGAAGUUUACCAAACCUUUCCAUGAAGGUGCUUAAAGAUUAUCACUUCUCUUAAAAAAUGUUCACCAAAUUAAUGGAAAUGAGGUAAUACGGUUAACUUGUGGCAAAUUGCAUUAUGAACUUAGCAAUGAAUAUGUUGAAGCAAUCAAUUGAGUUAAAGGGAAUUUUCGUGAACCAACUUAGGUUCAUCUAAUGUAAUAAAAAACUCUAAAAAGGGGUUGAAUAGAGCUUCAUACUUUCUUUCAUAUAAAUUGAUAGAUUGUCUGAUGAUAGAGAUAACAAGAAGGACACAAGAUUUUAUCAUUCACUCCAACUCUUGGACUACAUCCAAUUGUCCUUUAAGAAAGGUUCAAUUAUAAUAAACAAAAAAUUAAAAUCGAGUACACAUGUACCUUAAGGGUACAUCUGAUGUGGACCUCAUUUACAAGGGUGACAUAGUGUGAACUCUUGCUUAAUAUUCAACUUGUUAGUCAUCGAGAUGCAAGAUGUUCUAUAUUGACCAUACUUUCACAAUUGGAAGCUUGUUAGUGAAUUGGAAAUAAAUUCUACAACCAAUAGUAAUAUUGUUCACUGAAGUUGAAUGCAUGGUUCUUGAAGAGGCAAUAAAGGAGAGAAUCAAAAUCAAGAGUCUCAUUACUAAUAUGAGGUUUGCACAAAAGAAGGCUAUUAUCUUUUGUGAUAGUCUUACUGAAAUUUACUUGAAUAAGGAUUAAGUUCAUUGUGAACGAAUCAAGCAUAUUGACAUCAAAUAUAAUUUUUUUUUUUGCAUAACAUAAUGAGUUUUGAAGUGCAAAAGAUUAGUACAAAGAAGAAUCUAAUUAAUAUACUCACCAAGUUUGUUCCUAAAAUACAAGUUCACAUAGUGUUUGGAUUUGUUGACGGUUGAUUGUUGGUAACAAUUAUUUGAUAACAUUGAUAUGGAAGAAGACUCAAGUUAAUAUGAAGAUUUAUUGAUUUAUGCAUUGUCUCUUCUUCGUCUCUUGAAGUCAUCUAAUAACAACGUCUCACUUUGGACAUCUAAAAUGGACAUAGUAUCUGAAGAAGGUCAUGUAUAUUUUGUAUCACAAACAUAUGCUCAUAGUCAUUUUUUGGUAAUAUUUAUUGUUUAAUUUGUUAAGAUUUUUGUUAUUAUGUAAUUAGUUAUAAUUGUAGUUAAACUAUGUAUACUUAACUCUAUUUAAUUUAGAAUUGGAGUGUUGGUGAUACGUACUAGUAUAAUUCAUAUUAAUCUUCUCCAUAAUUCAUUCUUCUUUUUACUUAAGCAUAUGCUAAUGUAAUUAAUGUACUUUUUUUUAUGUGUUCUUUGUGAAUAAAUUUAUAGAAAAUAUCAUUAUUCUAUUUUCAUCAUAUUUUUUUUUUUAUAUUUCAUAUGUGUUCUAUAUAAUUUGCAUCAGUGUUUAAAAUUAUUUUGGGUUUUUCAUGAGCUUCUUAAUCUUUGGAAUUCAAUAAAUUUUGUAUUUAAAUUAUUUUAAAAUCAUUGUAAACUAAAUUCAAGAAAGAAACAUAUGUUUAGGGGAAAUUAAUCUUACACCUUUUACUAUCAAAAUAAACAUACAUCUCCCUUAAGUGUAAAUAAAAUGACACCCAAACUCAUUUUAGUUUUUGAAUAUAUAUUUACCUCCCUAUAUUUUUUUAAAAAUACACAUUUCUUUAUGUUUUUAAUAAAGUCACAUUCAUCUCCUUAAUUUGAUUUAAAAGUAACAUAUUUACUCAAAAUAAAACAAACAAAAAUUAUAAAAAUUAGAAAUUAUUUUUUAAAUUAUAAAAGUUAAACAUUUUUUUAUAAAAUAAAAUUGAACAAUUUAUUUUUAUUUUUCAGAGGUGAGAAACAUGUUACAGGAUCAAAAAAAUAACAUCACAAUCUAAUUCUAAAAUAAACAUUCAAUUUUUUUUUUGUUAUUACUAAAAGUUUUUAUGGUGUUAAUAAAGUAAAAAUUAUAGUUUUUAUUUUAUUGAUAUUUAUACAUGUAUAUGAUUACUUAUAUGAUUAAUCCUUAUAAGUAUAAAUUCGACAUCUUAAAAAUACCAUUUUUUACCUUAAGAGUCAUACUAUUUCCAAAAAAAUUCAAUUUUUUAUUCAUUCCAUAUUCAAAUAUUAUUUUACUAUAAUUUAUCCUCUCAAAGUCCACUCCAUAUAAAAUCAAUAUACAAUGUAAAAUAAAUUAUCAUUAAAACUUAAUUAUAUUUUGAGUUUUAAAAUUUAAGAUAAACUUGAUUUUUAAUUUCACAAAUUCCAGAAAACGUAUUUUAACCAAUUUAGAAGAAUAUACAAUUUUAGUCUUAAAAUACUAAAUUUGAUGGACUAAAAUAUUUUUAAUUCCUCUAAAUAUAUAAGGUUUUUUUUUAAAUUGAAGAACUAGCAUAUUUCUCUCUCUUUUUCUUUUUUUUUUUAAUUUAAGGGAUUCACAAAAUUCAUGCUAACUAAAGUAAUAUGGGAAGAAGUAAAACUACUUUACACUUUUAAAAAAAUGUCAUACUUCUAAUUUUUUUAUAAAAUUGUCCUAAAUUACUUUACAAAUAGUUAGCGCAUUAUUUCAUAUUUUUAUCUCGAUUUUUUAAUCGAUUGUAUGUAUUAUUUAAAACUUAUUCUUUCAAACAUUUAAUUUAAACGAUAUAUUUAGGAUUAAAAAUAUAAUUAAUAUUUUUUCUCAUAUUAAAAUUAUUUAUAAUUUCUAAAUAUACCUUUCUAUACUUGUUGUUUAUUAAAAGAAAAUUUAUCUACAAUAUGGUAGAUAUUGUUGGUAAUAUGCUUCAAUUCAAUUUGAAGAUUCAGUUAGGUAAUUUGUAUUUUAUUAAGGGAAUUGUAUAUUAUUAAGGUGAGACUCUAAAUAUGAUUGGAGAACAAUACAAAUCAUACUAUUUGUAAGUUUUCUCCUAUUUAUUACUAUGAUAUUUCCUAUAAAAUUAAGAAGGAAAAGACUUAACAUAUUAACACAUUAUAAAAAAAAUCAUUAAAUAGUAAUAAAUUUUGAGAUAAAAAAUACUUAGUCACUAUAUUAACUAAAUUAGAUAUUAAUUUAAAAAUUAAAAAAUUAUUCAUAUCUAAAGUGUUUCUAUUAUUAAUAAAAAUUUAUAAAAUAAUUUAUAAAUUGGUAUCUAAAUUAGUUAUAUUAGUUGUAGCUAAUAAUAUUUUAGAUUAGUCUCUAAAAGAAGAAUAGAGACUAAUUUAGAAUAUAAAGUAAUAAAUAAUUAAUUGUUAGAUACCAAUUUAGAAACAAUUUUAUAAACUUUUAUUAAUAAUAGAAACUACCUUAAAUACCAAUAUUUUUUAGUCUAUACAAUAAUCUUUAAUUUAAUAAAAUAAUAACUAAUUAUUUUAGUCAUUAAAAUUUUUUAUUUCAUGAUUUUUUUAUGUAACAUUUCACUUUGGUAAUAUGCACUUUAUUCAAUAUGUAUUGCAUAAUGGGUAAAAUUUCAAAUGUGAUUAAAUAACAACACCUACAUUACCUAUGCUAGGUUAUAUAUAAGUUUUCUCCUAAAAUUAUCUCUCUCUAAAUAUAUAUACAAAUGCAUGAAAAAUGAAUAAAAACAAAGCUAAAAAUAUGGUGCAACUACAAGGUCACAAUCAAUAACAUUAAGCUUUAAAAGAAAGCAUAAAUAAGACUAAACUUUUUCUUCUAAAACAACAUAUAUAUAAAGAAAAGUGAAAGUAGUAUCCAAGUUCAUGGUAGUCCUAUUUGCUAAGAAAAGAUGAUGGAGUAGAGAGAAAAAUGAUGAAAAUGUUAAAGUCCAAGCAAAACAGCAUAAAGGAUUUGAUUCCAAGCAUCAGGAGCACCAGCUAGACACCAGUGACUACAAUCCUCAUAAGAGGUGCCUUUGCCUGUGUAUAUAGAAGGAUGUCCAUCUAUCCUCAGUUGAGUAAGGAAUGUAAUGUCAAGCAAAUAUACAGGAUAUGACAUAUUGCUCAAAAUGUUCUUCACAAUUUCUACACCAGGAUAAGGUGGUUGUGGUCCUUGUUCUGGCUGAGUUUCUUUGAGACACCUCUUUCCCCUUCACAAUUCAUCACAAACAUGAAUCUUUCAAUACAACUUUCCUAAAAAUCUUAAUAUUUCAUAAAACAUUGGAUGGUUAUUGUUGAAAACUUGUCUUCAUUGUAGCUUCUUUUGACAAAUGGUGUUCAUAAAUGUUUAGCUGACCCUUGUUUGUUAAUUUUACUUUAUUUUUAUUUCUAUAAAGGCUUGUGAAAAUGAAACUGAGAAGACAUGAAUUUACUAAACCCUCACAGUAAGGAGAGGGUUUCAAGAAAGAAAAUAGAAUUGUACCUCAGAUUCAUGAACACAAAUGCUAAUGACACACAUGCUGAAGUUGACAUGUGAACUUGUUCCAAUAAUUCAUUAACAAGAAUCAAAAGUUAUUUCAAAUUAAAGAUAAAAUUUGCUAAUUUACAUGUAUCUGAAACAUCUUUUUAUCUAAAGCUCUUAAUGUGAAAUUUAUCUUGAAUGGAAUGAACAAUUAAACUUACUCAGAAUGGGAUGCAGCAAUUCCUUGAAACAAAAUUUUUGUCUUUGAGGGAUCAAUGUUAGCAUCAAUCCAUUUAGACCAAGUUGUUAACCCAAUCUUGUAAGCUUCCAUGUGAUCCAUGUUCUUUAUUAUUUCAUUGCCUAGUUGAAAUUUAACCCUGUUUAAACAUAACAUGAAUACACUAUUAGCCAUUUAACAUCUCUUUAAUAACAUCCUGCAUCCGAAAUAUGCAAAAAGAUAUAGUUCAAAAACUUCAUUACCUUUCAGACUCUUGUGAGUGAGUCCACCAAUGGUAGGUAUUGAAAAUCAUUACAUCUCCUUUCCACAUGUACCCAGAUUUGAUGGAGUCCAGUUUCACAAUUCUACCCUUUUCUUUGUCAUGAGCCACAUCCACUAGGAACCCAUUUUUCAACCACAUGAUUGAAGCAUCAAAUUCCUAUGAUCCAAAACAAUUAGACAGUUAUUACUGGUAAUCUGAUGAAUCAAACAGUUACCCAGGCUUAAAAUUUCCCUUCAACCAAAAUGAAAAUGAAGAAAACUACCGGAAUUGAGAACACAGAGAGAUGCUUUGUGGGUGUUGAUAAGGCAUAACUUAAUUUUGGGACAGCAAUGUGAAGCAAACAAGUUAGUGAUUGCCACAUGUUGUUGCUUAAGGAGUCCCCAACAAACAUUAUCUUCUUCCCUCUGUAUUUCUCCAAGAACUUCACCCCAUCAAACCUGUUAACCAACACAACAACACUUGUGAACAAUAACUAAAUCUUAUUCAUCUGCUGAAGUUAAUAUAUGGAUAUCCAUUUGACUCGAUUAAAGAACAUUAUCUCAAAGAGAUUCUAUUUAUUCAUCAGCUGAAGUUAAUAUAUGGAUACCCAUUUGACUCAAUAACAUUAUCUCAGAGAUUGUAUUUAUUCAUCAGCUGAAAUUAAUAUAUGGAUACCCAUUUCACACAAUUAAAGAACAUUAUCUCAUAGAGAUUGUAUUUACCACUAGUGAAGGAGCAAAGAAAUUGAAAAUAAAUCACAAUGGCUUCCAAUUGAAAGCAUUAUAAGAAGCCUGAGUGAUUAAGUGUGUUUCAAAACAUGUUGAAGAUGGAAGAAAUACGUCUCAGAUACACACAUAUAUAUAAUGAUUAACUUCUGAAAAGUAUAUCUAAAACCAGAAAAAUUACAUGGGAAGCUUGGAAAGAAAACAUGCUACAAAUGCAAUAGAAAUGAAAUCUAAAAGUGAAAACUUUACCUUGGAAGAUCACACCCAGAGGGUUUCCAUCUAUACUUGAGGUAAUCCUGAUCAGGUCUACCAUUUCUGAGGCAAUUAAAUCCAUGACCUAUGAAGGGACAAUCUCUUGAGGCAUCAUAGAGAGGGUAGUGUGAUUGAUCAAGAACCCAAUCUCCGAGAGAAAAAUCACAACCAUUGCCUUGCACAAGGUAUAGUGGAGAUGCCACUGACAAUAGAACAGCAAAAGCCAGAGCACACAACCGAAAAUAGAAUGCCAUUUGAAAUUGUCCUACGCAUUUUCACACCAUCUUUGUAUGCCAUUUGUAAUACCUCUAAAGAGAGAAGCUUCCAUUGAGGAGAACAAUGAGAUUGAAAAUAAUAUAUAUAUAUAUAUAUAUAUAUACAUAUAUAUAUAUAUGUAUAUAUAUCUAUAUAUAUAUAUAUAUAUGUAUAUAUGUAUAUAUGUAUAUAUGUAUAUAUAUAUGUAUAUAUAUCUAUAUAUAUAUAUGUAUAUGCAUGGCAAAAGCUUAUCAAGGUUUUAUAAAGUUUUGUUUUAGUCAUCAUUGCAAAUAAAAUUACCCACAGAAGCAUUGGACUUAACUUUGUUAUCUCAGAUUUUUUUUUGCUGAAUGAAAAUAUUAAAUGAUAAACCAUCAAUUUUAUCUUUGAAGUAUUAUUUUCUCUUAUAACUAGUUUUAAAAUUGAUAAAAUAAUAUAUGAGUAAUUAUGAAAUAUCGUAAUCAUGUUACAUAAACUUUUGACGUAAAAAAUUAGUCAGAUUAAUCUCCCAAUAUUAAGAAAACUUAUCGAUCUAAAAAUUAAAUUGAUAAAUAUUUAAUAUUUUAGAAACUACUUAUAAAACUCUAUUAAUUUGAAAACUAUUUAAUAAAAAGAUGAUAAUUUAAUAAUUUAUUGAAUAACGUGAAAUACGAACAAAACUACAUCUAUGCAAAGUAACAUUCACAGUUCAGUGUAGUUAAACUUCUACCUACAGAUUGUUAAUGUGGAUAAAACCUUUUUAAUAUUAUGAAUUUAUUGAUCACAAUCAUUAAUUAAGUGUUUUAAUUAACCCUACCAAAAACUAGUUAAAAAAAGAACCAUUUAAAAAAACAAUUACAAGUCACACUUUUGUAUCGAGGUGGAAAGUAGGGAAAAUUAGACGAAAAGAAAUAAAAAAGUUAAAAAUAAAAAAAUGAAAAACAUGCACAAAUAUAAAAAAAUUAUGAGUUAUAUAUAAACUACUAUAGUUAAAGAUAUAAUUAUGUUUAUAUUACACGAUUAAAGAUAUAAUUAUAUCGUUAGUAUUUUAUCAAUAAUAUAUAUUUUUAUAAUAAAAUAAAUAAUUAAAAUAAUAGUAUUAAAAUAAACUAAAGUAAAAUCUAUUAAUAAAUAAGUAUACUUCAUCUUCUAAUUUUUUUAGUUUAAACAAUUUUAUUUUUUUAUUCUUUCAUUCUUUACCAUAUUAUAAAUUUUAAUAGUAAAUUAAAAGAAGUGUUUGAUAAUUUUGAGAAUCUCUAGAAAACACAUUAUGUUUUUAUAUUAAUUAGUCAAAGAUCUCUCUAUUUGUCUACCUUCAUUUUUUCAACUUUCUUGUAUUUGUAUCCUGUAUCUCUUCGUCCUCUCAUUCUCAUUUUAUCUUUCAUUUUGUCUUUGAUUUCUCUGUUUUAUUAUUGAGUCAAUUCAUGUUGGUAGUGACAUAUUGUUUUUGCUUAGAAGAGUUUAGGAAUUGAAGGUUUUGCAUUAGAGUUAUGGAUUGAGGAGACAUAAUUUGUGAAUAAUUUGAUUGUUUUACUUAUUUCAAUUUCAAAAUAAAUGAUUUAUACCAGUUUUUCAUAAAUGUUUUAAAGAAAAAUAAAUAAUAAAAAUAAUUUAAAUUUCUCUAUAAAUUAAAAUUAAUUUAAUUACAAAUUAAAAAUUAGAAAUAAAAGAAUUGGAAAAACGGAAGAAGAGAAUUCAUACAAAUCCUCGAUGUGUGGUGAACCCGGCUUCAAAUCUCAAUCAUUGGCUCAACUUUUGUUCCUAAUGAGUUACUUAUUAAAGGGAUUGUCUCAGAGUCCCUUAAUGAAACAAUCCACAAACAUCUCUUUAUUUCGUUAGUGAAUGCAUACCGCAAUAUCGCAAAAGUGAUUAAGGUAGUCUUUUAAGGGUUUGUUCUCUUAUUGUUUAAUAUAAAAAUAUUGAUGAUCCUUGGUGGUUUCACCAUGCUAGAAGUGAACUAUUCUACAAACAUUUGAGAGAAUGUUAGAAAGGAGGUGAUUGCCUUGUCUAGAAUUCCACUAAACCACUAUAGAGCAAAUCCUGAGAAAGUUUCGAUGAAUAUCUUACGUCGAAUUGCAUCUGAUCAUUUCGAGAUCAACAUCUAGGCUUAGAAAGCCUUGAUUCUCCAAGUCACCUGAUCCAAAAAAAAUGAGUGAUUUUCAGGACCAUGUAAUGUCGCAACUGGUUCAUCCAUGAUAUAUUGGAAGAAAGGUUGAGUGUCUGUUUAGGCAAAAGUUGGAUUUGAUUCUGUCUACCCUUGACGAGUCACUUGUCUAUGCAUUAUCUGUUGCAGCCCCUUGUUCAUCUUCCACGACUCUUUGUGUGCUUUCAGGGCCUUUUCCAUCCAACGUUAAGAAUCUUUAACUUUUUUAUGUAAUCUUCUCCUGCAUUUUUCAUUCUCUCAUUGCAAAUCUCGAGCGAUGUCCAAGAUUUGUUGAAGGUUUGAUAUCUCACCGUCUUCUUUUGGCUAUAUCACAUGUUGUUGGUUCCUAAUGAUUUGUGUAGAGGUAGGAUUAGUUUUAUCUACCCCAUGGUGGACGUUAAUAUUCUAGUUUAAAGUUUUAAGUGACUUCAAGCUAGAAUGUUCAAGCGUCCCAGCUAGGUCAUAAUUGCCUUAUAUUUAUAAAGGGUUUCCAGUAGGGUAAAUCCUUUGUACUGGAAAAUAAACCCUUGAAGAGAAAGAUUUUGAGUACAAGAAAACAAAUUCCGAAGGUGAAUAAUUUAGUGUACUAGAAAGCUAAUUUUAUUAAGUCGUGAAUCUUGGUAACUAAAUAUCUUUUCCAAAUUCGACGCAAAUAUAUUUUUAGGUUGGUCUUUGGGUGAUUUAAAAGUUAAGAUUGGCUUGACCACUUAUUCAAACUUAGAACACAUGAUAAAGAAACAAAUUCACUUACGAAAAUCAGACUAUGACCCUCAAUCACUUAUUGAUGAUCUACUUUAUUAUAACGGUACACAAACCAUUCUUCUUCCACUUCUAAUUCCUCUCAUCUUUUGCUUUUUUUUUCAUUCAUUUGGUCCUAAUUUAUAGUUCUUGUUCUUUUAUAUCUUUAAUUUUUUAUUAGAAUCAUUAACUCAGUUUAUUAUCAAACUAUUUCAUAAUAGCAACAAAUGAGGAGAUUCAACUCUUUUCUCUAUUAUAUGUUCAUAUGUUUACAUACUUCCUAAACUUGUAAGUAUCUUAUCAUAUUGUUAAUUAUUUCUAAUGGGUCAAAAUUAGUCUUUUAAGAUGAAUCACAUUGUUAAGUGCUUCCCUCUUCCCUCAUAUGCAUGGUUUUCAUGAUAGAUAUAUUGAUAUAAUAAAUAGUUUUGAUAUAUUGUGAGUAGUUAAAGGAAUGUCUGUUAUUUUGGCUUAAUAUGAUUAUGUUUUACAUUUAGUAUAUAUAAAAUCUCAACUAAAUUUGUCACUAUAUUCAUUUAAAAAAUGAAAAAAUAUAUAUUCAUAUUUCACCUUAACAUAAUCUAUCUGACAAUCAAUAUUUAAGUUUUUGUUACAAAACUGUGUAUAAGAAUUAGAAACAAGUUGAUUUUUUUUUAUCUAGCAUUUAAAAGUGAGAUAGAGACUUCAUUGACUGAAGAAGAUGUUUGUCUAUUAGAAGAAUUUUCUCCAUCUUUUGAGGCCCUUCUAAUUAAGAAACCAGGCUCCUUAGGUUCAGGUAAAGAAUUCUCGCUGGUCAACAUAACAACAACUGAUGUCAUGUUUGGCCUAUCAUUUGGAUGUUGCUGUAGACAUAAAAGACCGAUUUGAAUGCAUCGUACAACUUGCAACACAUUAUAUGAGUUUUCCAAACAAGCAUCAAUCAAUUGCUCUGGAGUACCUUCUUUCCACAAAUUCCAGGCCUACAAUAAGUUAAUAUAUUUGUUAAAUGAGAUUAAAUAAUACGAGAUUCAUUUUGUAUUUUGCGAUACUUACAUGGUCAAUAAGGUUAUGAUUGUUGUCUUGGAAGGUAAAUACUCUAUUUUUCUUUCCACUAAGAAUUUCUAGUAAUAACACUCCAAAGCUAAACACAUCCGAUUUUGUUGAGAACAACCCAUCAAUAGCAUACUCUGGAGCCAUGUAACCACUAAAAGGACCCACAAAAAAUUAGUUUCAUAUCCAAUAAUGAACCAUUUAGCAUAAUAUUAAGAUACUUACUGAGUUCCAACUAUGAUGCUUGUACUUCCUUCGACUUGAUCACUUCCACAUAUUCUUGCAAGACCAAAAUCAGAUAUUUUUGGAUUCAUAUCAUUGUCUAGUAGAAUAUUACUUGCUUUGAGAUCUCUGUGUAUGAUCCUUAAUCUAGAAUCUUGAUGAAGAUAAAGAAGUCCUCGAGCAAUUGCAUUCAAAAUGUUAAAGCGCAUUUGCCACUCUAAAUUCUUACUUUUAUAUGAAUCUGGCAAGAUUUAUCAAGAGGUUGAUUAGUCUUUUCUUUCCAAAAUGACCAUUAAAACAAAAUCAAUCUCUUAUUUUACUAAAAUAAAAACAUUGUAGAAACCUUACCAAAAAUAAUUAAAUCAAGACUUUUGUUGGGCAUGUAUUCAUAAAGCAACAUCUUCUCCUCUUGUUCAAUGCAAUAACCAAUAACCUUAACAAGAUUCCGAUGUUGAAGUUUGGCACACAAUAUUACCUCAUUUCUAAAUUCUUUCAAUCCUUGUCCUGAACUUCGUGAAAGUCUUUUGAUUGCAAUUUCUUGACCAUCUACUAAUGUACCCUAAAUUUUAUAGUUUCAAAUUUGAAAAUGAUGAGAUUCAUGAGUUUUGUUUAACUAUAUUAAUAAUAGAAAGCUUCUGAAACUACCUUGUACACAGGUCCAAAACCACCUUCACCUAGUUUAUUCUCAAUUGAGAAGUUAUUAGUGGCUCUAAUCACUGUAGUAAGAUCAAAGGAAGGAAGCUCCAAAUCUUCUUGUUUUCCAUCAUUUUCAUCCUCUGUCGCCAUUUUUGUUUUUGUUUUUCCUUUGAUUCAUUAAACAAGAUCAAAAUCUCAUGUAAAAACAAAAUCAAAACUUUGAUUCAAAGUUAUAAUCACAAGAUGACCUCAUUUAAAUCCAUGCACUCAACAUUUAUGCUUCAACUCAUGGUUUUUAAAUGCAACAAGUCUCAAAAUUCUUAAAAUUUGCAACUAGUUUAAUUUUUAAACUACUUUUUAGUUUAAGGUAAAUUUAAGUUUUAAAAACUAAGUUCCUUUUCUAGUUUUAGUUUCUAAAUAAAUUAGUUUAAGAAUUUAUUUCAUGUUAAAAUUAAUUUAAAGGUAUAGUUUCUAAUGUUAAUUAGUACUUGUAGUAGGUAGUAACAAUGACAUUGGUAAGUGGUUGUGAUGGUAUUGGGGUGAUUUGAUGACGAAUGAAUGUAGUGAUGAUAAGUGAUAACUAUGCAAUGAUACCAUCAAAAUAGUUAUCAUAAUGAUAAUAGUGAAGAGAAAGAAAAAAUGAUUAUUUUUUUUAAAAUUAAAAGCUGAAUUUACAAAAAAAUAUUAAGUUUUGGAUUAAUAUAAAAAAAAUAGUAAAGAGACUAUUUAGCUCUAUUGUUUUUGUUUUGAAAAGAAAAUUGAAUUUCAAAACCAAAAACUAAAAACUUACCACCAUUCCAUACCCAAUUAUUUACUUAAACAUUUUAUGUUGUGUGAGGGGCUCAAAUUUACAAUAUCUAUUACAUUCUAAUUAAUCAAGUUCAUUGUAUAUCAAGAGAAAUACACCAAAAGUCUUCAAAUAAGCAAGUUUACUUAGCAUUUAUAUGUAGGACAAUUAGUAUAGUUUCAAUACCCAUUCAACAUUCCUUUUAUAAGUCAUUGAAAAUCUGAACAAAAAACAAAAAGAUAAUAAACAAAGGUAUAUAUAUAUAUAUAUAUAUAUAUAUAUAUAUAUAUAUAUGUGUGUGUGUGUGUGUGNNNNNNNNNNNNNNNNNNNNNNNNNNNNNNNNNNNNNNNNNNNNNNNNNNNNNNNNNNNNNNNNNNNNNNNNNNNNNNNNNNNNNNNNNNNNNNNNNNNNAUCAUCAUUAGACUGGAAUUGAAAUAUCAGCGAGGUCCGGGUCACUAUUUGUAUCAAUUAAACAAAUUGUUGGAAUUUCCAAAGUGAUACAUUCUCGAAGAGCCGUAUAUUCUUCUUGUUGAUCGAUGAUUAUUACAAUAUCAGGUAACCCCUUCAUAUAUUUAAUGCCGCCAAGAUAUGUUUCCAAUUGAGCUAAAUGUCUCUUCAAUAUAGCUGUUUAUAAUCUUUGUAUAAUAAAAGUGUUUUUGGGAAAAAAAUUUACCUUUAUAUUUUCGUUUGACUAUGUAAAUACAUAAUGUUAAUAGCAUCACUAACACGAACGAUGUUGUGACGGAAGCCACCACGAUUAUCUUUUUCCUUUGCCUAUGUUUACCAUCUGCAUAUAUAGACAGGUUGAUAAAGAAACUAAGCAUCAAAGAUUCAAUCAGUUAACUGAUUAUGUGAUUAUGAAAGAAACUGAUUAUAUUAAGAAUUGAAUUUACCCUAAUUCAUUAUCACAAAAUUGACUUGAAAGAACUAGGAUUGUCGUAGUUAUAUAUUGUGAAGAAAACUCAUUUCUAAUUAAUGUAGAAUCUUCAACACAUUUCUUUCAUACAAAAUAUAAAUAUUUUGUUUAUGAGACUAUAUAUUUAUAAGUAAUCUAUGAUCAAAUCAUACUCUAAUACCAUAUUAUAAAGUAAGUUUAAUUUUAACUCUUUAUUAUAAAAUUAAUUUAUAAAAUAAGAAUUGUGGUAGGUAAUUACUCCAAAGUAUCCUUAACUUUAGUAUGAUAUAAAUGUGCAGUCUCAAACCAAUUAUGUGAUAAUAUAUAAAGACCCACAAGUUUAAUAUGAAAUGAAACUAAACCUUGAAAUAUUACUUUUUUAAACAAUAAAAAAUUAAUUAAUUAAUUAAAGAGAACACUUGAAUAGUUCAACCCUUAAUAAAAAAAAUCUAUUACCCAACCAUCUAGCUUACAAAUUCAAAACCAUAAGCAAAACAAACUUCACCAGCACAAAUACCUACCUGCAGAAUUAUGCAUUAAAUUCUGCAUAAUUAUGCAUUUAAGAACUGCAUAAAAACUAUAAACCUUGAAAUAUAAUAUCUUGGAAAAAAGUUCUUACCAUAAAAGGUUCAUUAAAGAAAUUAAGAUGAUAUAGGGUAUAUAUACCUGUAUCUGAAGUGGCAAUUCGAACAUACAAAUCUUGCCCACUUUCUAUAACUCUCAAAUCAUAGAGAUCUCCAACCCAAAUAGAGCAGCCACUACCUCCUCCUCUGGUGUCCAAACUCGAAUAAGCACUGCAAGAACAGUUUUUCAAACACUUAGCCCUACACUCCUCAAGUCUCAUACUUUCAUUCACCCAAGAAUGUGUGGUGUUUGGCAAUUUCAUCCCACCAAAUCUACGAAAACCAUCUUUGUUCUUCACCCCACAUUUCCACUCUCCACUUCGCACACACCCUUGUCUCCAAUCCAUUGCAUUCCACUGCUGUGACGACUUCGGCACGAACCCAUCUAAGCACUGGCAAAUCGGUGAGCCAGCAAUGGCACAAUUCCCAUUGGGUCCACAGGUGUUGUACACAUCACAACUGUCUCGUGGCAAGGACUGGUAAAUGGUCCAAGCUUUGGCUUCGGGAAUCCACGUAACACGAUGGCGAAGAUAAAGGGUUUGGUUCAUCACGAUUAUGGUGAUGACUGAAGCGUUUCUCAGGGUGUAUCUGUAAUACACUUCAUCUUUCUUAUUCACAAAAACAUAAUCAUAAAGAGGGUUAUUCCUGGGACCAUAUACUCCACUGAACAUGUUCCCAGUGUAAGGUCCAGUUCUGAAGUACUCAGUUUCACCCUUCCACAUCACGAUAUCAGGGUUGCUUCCUAACUCCACUCCCCAAGAAAAGUCCCCUGAAGAUGGAUCAUCCCAUGUUUUCCAUGCAGUGAGACGCCGAUUAAGACCACUUUCUAAGUCCCACCCUAGCUUCAUCCCUGUUCAUAUCAAUCACAACAAUGCAUAAACUGAAUCACUGUAAAGUUUCAUUUCAAAUAGCUUAACAAAUGGAACUAAACUAGAACUAUUGUAAACUCUUUCAACUUAACUAUCUCCACGAAUCAUUUUAAAAUAUAUUUUUCAUUUCCUAUUAUCAUAUAAAAAAAUUACUUAUCUAUAUUCGUAUGCUUUAUUUUCUUUUAAAUAACCCUUAAAUUUUUUUUUUCACUUAAAGUUCUAAUAUUUUAUCUGUUAUUUUAUUAACUUUUGAACAUCUGAUUUGUUCUCAUUUUAGGCAAUUGCUUCCUUGCACCCAAUGAUUUUUACCUACACACUCAAUCAACUUUUGAAUUUUUAAAAUUGUUCUUCAUCGUGGAAUUAAAAAUUUAGAAUUAAAAGAUAUAUUUUUAAAAAGGAAAUAUGGAAUAUAUUUUUGUGUUCUGGAAAUGAAAUUCCAGAAUAGAAUUAGAAAACCAAAAUCAAAUUAUGAAAAAACAAUUUUAAAAUAAAAAAUACAUUUCGAAAAAAAAAAAUUCAGCAACAAAUUCUGGAAAUAGGAUUUCGAAAACGUAGUCCAAAAAAAAAUUAAAAACGUAUUCCAUAAAAGAGAUUAAGAAUCCAAACAAAUAUUUCAAAAAUCCAAAUCUAAAAUGUUUUUCAGAAUAGUAAAUCCAGCAGAAUGUAUUUUGAUUCACACCUCUUAUUUAUUAAGUGCAAGUUCAAAAACAUAACAUUGGGUGCAGAAAGUUAGUCUAAAUUUAAAUAUGUUAAAUAAGAUUUCAAUUUCAAACUAAACAUAUAAAAAAUAAGUAGAUAUAUAUUAAAAAUGUAUAGUAAAUUUAAAGUUAAUAUAUAAUAUAUUAUUACAACAAUUAAAUUUUAAAUUAAUGUGAUAAAAAUAUGGACACAUUAAAGUUUGGGUUUAUGCUACUAAUUAAAUUGUAAUUAAUUUAUUUAAACAGAUAUAUUAAGAAGAAGAAAAAGAGUUUUUUGAAAAGUAAAAAAGAAAUUCAGUUGAAUUCUGUAACUCGUUAUUUCAGUUCACCCUCUACCUGGUAGCAGUGUGUCACAGGGAAAGUCAAAGCUUUGCCAUAGAAAAACAGAAUCUUCAUUUGCAUCUCUUAUUACAAGGUUUCCAGAGUCCAAGAGCUGCACAACUGGAUUCGAAACCUUCUUCGUUGCAUUUGCAGACCAGACAAGAGUGUCGUUCUGGGUGACAAGUACGAGGUUUCCGUCUUGCGUUACGACCAUCUUGUUUGUGGUCGAGUUGUCGCGUGUGAUUGGAUUGUCGCGGUUCGCAACCCAAACCACUGUUUUGACAGGGAUGUUUCUGUACCAGAUUCCGACGUAGCGGUUGUUGGAACUCCCCGGAGAGAAGAAACCCAUCUCGAAGGUUCCCUCCUCGGAAACCAAGGUGGUGCCGUCGUCGGAAAGUGGGUGGAGGUCGGUGAUGGUGAGAGCUGCAUUGGAGAUUUGAGAAAAGAGAAACAAAAGCUUGCAAAUAAGAACAAUGGCCAUUUCUCUGUACACUGCGAAAUUGUUAAGAAUAGAAUAGAACGAUUAUGCUACAAUACCUCUUCCUUGGCGUUGACUUUGCUUCUUUGUCGGUUAUGCCACGUGGCAAGCCGCGCCGCCAUGUGUGACCUGUUGUUACGCUUAAACUCACGUAUAAGAUUUUGUUUUCAGUCUUCCGUUGAAUUUGGAGUGAUGACAGCUAAGCAAAUUUUGAAUAUUAUUAUAAAUGUUUAACGUGAUUACGUCCACUUGUUUUUUUAGUCCUUAAAAAAAUUAAUAUAUUUAAUAUAAAAUUCCAAAUGGCAUGAUAAUUUGUAAGAUGAGUGUAAGUUUGACCAUCAUAUAUCUCCGGUUUGAAAAUUUGUGUUUUUCAUAUUUUUAUAUUUAAUAGUUAUAUAUUUUUUUGUCUCAUUUUAUUAUUAUUGGAUAAUGUAUUCAUGCUUGUAUCUAUUUGUUUUAGAUAUUGAAUAAAUAAUUUUAUAUAAAAAUAAAGAUAUCAGAAAACAUGAUAUUAUCAUGUGAGAAGAUCGUACACAUUCUUUUCUUCUAUAUGUAUCAAUAAAGAAAUAAUAGUUAUAUAAAUAAGAAAAUAGAUAAUAAAAAAUAUUUAAAUUAAAUUAAAUUAAUCAAAUGUGUGCAUCCUGUAAACAAUAUAAACAAUUUUGAUUCAAUGAAAUUGAGGUUGUUGUUUCUUAAAAUGAAAUACACAAUUUGAAUGAACUUAAGAAAUGAAAAAAAUGUAUAUAAUAUUAUAAUAAGAAAAUAAAACUAGUUUAAGAGUAUGAGAGAACUUUCUAAAAGAAAUAUUUUUUUAAUCUUUAAAAAAAAGUAAAAAUUAGUAUGUGUCAUUUUGUAUUUUUAAAUUAUUUUUGUAAAUUUUAAUAUUGAUAAGAAGUAUUUUCUCUUAGCAUUCUUUGAUCAAUAAUAUUGAAGUGAAUAAAAAUGAUGGAUACUUUUUUAAAAUAAAUUUCUGCAAAAAAAAAAAGUUAUGUACACAAACUAAAACAAUAUUUAAGAACUUAAUUAUAAUUCGUACUUUAAUAAUAUUUUUUUAAAUAAUUAAAGUAGAAAAUAACAUCAUUACGUGAUUAUUGAUUGGGUAAUUUCUACCAUUUUUUUAAAAUUAUUUUUGCUUUCAUAGUCAGAGAAGUUCAGCUAAACAAAAUUUCUAAAUUCUAAAAGUCUUGAAAAGUCAAGCAUUUUCAUUUUUAUAAUAAAUAAAAAAGACAACAAAGUUUUCGAAAAAAAUUGAUUUCAGUUUUCUCUUGAUUUCUUUUUCUUUCUUGCUUCCUCCGAACUUUCUUUCAUUGUGUUUAGCUUCGUCACUUUCUUUGUUUUUUUUUUUCUUAAUUUCUUUUUCCUGGUCUUACUUACUCUAGAGACUUAUUAGUUAAAUUAAUAUAAAUGAAAUUUCUAUGUUCCUUAGCAAUAAAAUAUAAUAUUUUGCAAGAACCCUAGUUUCCUCAAGUGACCCUUGCAUCUUCCAGUUGUGAUAUUUUUUUUCAACCAUUUCUUCAGCAGUUUCUUGAUCUUGAUUAUUUCUGGCACAAAGUUCAUCUGCAUGGUUUUUUUUUUUUUAAGCAACCAAGUUCUUUGUAUAUGGUAUUCCCUUUUUAGGUUUUCCAUUAAGAUGUUGUGAUCUUCAAUCUGCAGUUAAAAUAACCUGCAAAAGCGAUAGCCCCUCAUGCACACUAACAUGCCAAUAAUCAGCAAUCCUAUUAGUAUAAUGUUAUUCUUCUAACAUGUUUUCAGCAUAUUGAGAAGUGUGAUGGAAUCUACUCUUAAGUGCAAAACACAUUCUUUUUUUGGUCAAAUUAACAUAUAUUGUAACGUGAAAGAAGUUAGAGAAAGAUACUGCUUAACCUUAUUUAGAAAUUAAAGUCAAUGAUAUUUAAUGUGUAAUAAUGACUUUCUCUUAUUGUAGAAAUAGAGUAAGCUAUGAAAAAGUAUUACAACAUGCCUAAAAAAAAAAGAAAAAUUCCAAAAAAUUAUAAGAUUUUAUUAUGAAAUUCCACUGCUGUGAGUUUUUUUUAUUAUAAAAAUAUUUUUAUAUUAGAUAUCAUUAUGUAAGUUGAUAUUUUAUCUAAACUGACACAUUAAGUAACAACUAUAAUCUGAUUUUUACAUGAUAAGAAAUAUUGAGAUAAAAAAUACUAAUAUAUGAACUCAUGUAUAAUUCAGGAUUCACUCGGUUUCACCCGAGAUAAGCUCACAAUAUUUAUAUUUAUUUAUAGUAUUUGACUAUAUUUAUAUUUAUUUAGACAAAUUUUGGAGUUGUUUUAAUACUUUUAUUUUUCAUUUCUUUCUAUUAGCUUUCAAGAGGAGGAUAAGGGUAAAGUAAAAAUUAUGUUUAUCAUUGUAUAAUUUUUUUGGGAAUUUGGUUAUGCACUUUAUGUUUAGAGAUAUUCAAAUCUUGAAAUAUAUAAAAGAAAUAUUAAUUGUAUAUUCAUUUUUUUAUGUAAUAUAUAUUAUUAAUAAUAUAAAUUAUUUGAUAUUGUUAGAACCAUUUUAAUUAAUAAAUAUAAAUAUAGUAAAAUAUUUAAAUUAUAAAAUUAUAUUGCUUAUUAAAAUAUAAUAGUUUUCAAAAUUUUAAAAUAUAAAAUUAUUAUAUAUGACAUGCUAUUAAAAUAGAAAUAUAAAUUCAUAAAUAGAGUUAUCAGAUUCUUAUAAUAAUUUCACAUUAGAACUUAUGACACGAAAGUGAAAGAUAUUUGUUAUCAUUUUGCUUUUUUUUUUCUACGUUUAUUGUUUCUAAUGAAAAUGAUAAAUAUAGUUUGAAUACAAAUAUAUGGCCUCCUUGUUUGUUGAACAAUUCUCAGCAGUAAUAAAUGGCACAUUUUCAAGAUUGCAAUGGAUCGUAAAAAUAAUACAGGGAUGGUCAGAGGACAAUGAUUUUCCUUAUUAAAAUUACUAAAUGAAACUACUUACAUCUCUAUCAUAAGUCAAGUCAAGUACUAUUGUUUACUAUUCUUAGAACCAUAAUGCAUGUUAACUCAUUUUAUACUAUAAUAGUUUAUCAAAUUUCUUAAUUAUGAUAUAACUAAUUUUGUAAAUACAUAUAUCAUUUAGCAAUGUUUUUCUACUAAAUUUAAAAAUUAAAUAAUUGGUAGUUAAAAACAUUGGUUACUAAUUAGAUACCAAUUUAGAAACUAUUUAAUAAUAAUAGAAACUAAUUUAGAAACCAAUUUUUUUUUAGUUUCUAAAAUGAUCUCUAAUUUAGUUACUAUUGCAACUAAUUAUUUUGAUCUCUAAAAAUUGGUUUCUAGUUUAUAAUUUUCUUGUAGUGUUAUGAAUACUAACUAAGGGUACAAAUAUCUUGUGUUUUCUUAUAUGAGUAAAUAACUUUCUAAAAAAGUUUAUAGUCUUAUUAUAUAUCUCACCUGUUAAGACUUUGUAAUUAGUCUUAUGGUUAAUUCUUGGCAGAUAAUAUGUUAAGAUUGUUAGUCUUACCAUUUUCGAAUACUUAGAUGAAAUAAAUUUACUUUGUUCAUAUGAUUAUUCUUUACAUGCAUUCCAUGCAAGUUUUGUCUCUUCAACAUAGAUUGUUUGUCAUUGAUAUGAAUAUGUCAGGCAAAAGUUAUUAUUUUUUUCAUAUCCAUCUUGUCUCUUUUCAAAAUGUCAGACAAUACUUUUUAUUGUAAAAUUUGUUGUACUAAAGAGUCGUCUCACGAAGUCUUAGAGUUAUUUAUGUUGAUUUAUUUAUUUUUAGACAAAAUUAGAUGAAAGACUCCAUAUUAACCUAUUUCUAACUUCAUCAUACAAAGAUUCAGUUUAUAAUAUCAAUUUAUAUUAAAGGAUACAGAUAUCAGAGUUACAGAAGGAUCCUAAUAUUAAUUGGGAGUCUUUUCUAAUUAUCAGUUGUUUCUCUUUAUAGAGAAGAAUAAUUGGGUGUCUUUUCUAAUUAUCAGUUAUUUCUCUUUAUAGAAGGGAAUAACCCUUUAUUUUAUUUUUGUGUGUUAUGAUUCUAGUAUUUAAUAUUGAUUAUUUCCUUCUUUAGUUAAACCCUAGAAUGAGUGUACUACUUGUAUAUUCAGUUUACUCUUUUGUUUAUCUCUAUUCCCUUUUGUUCAUCUCUGUUCUAUUUUGUAAUAUGGUAUCAAAGCCAUUUCGAGUCUAUCCUAACGAGUGUUUGUGUUGGGCCUAUCGUGCCACCUGCUAUCGGGCCGCUAUCGGACCACCCAUAAUAUAUAGUCCCACGCACGAGUUGGUAGUCUCGGCGUGAGGGGGGUGUGUUGGAGAUCCCACAUCAACUAGAGAUUAGAGCCUUUCAUUGUAUAUAAGUGGGUGCAAACCUCAACCUCAUGAGCCGGUUUUAUGGGGUUGAGUUAGGCUUAAAGUCCACUUCGUAACAUGGUAUCAGAGCUCUGCUUGCUACAUUUAUUCAUGGGUGAAGUUGAUGAUCCCUCACAAGAUCUUAGUUCACCUUACCAUGUUAGUUCAUCAGAUAAUCCUUCCUUUCUUAUUGUCCCUAUUAUUCUUGAGGGACCAAAUUAUCAUCAUUGGUCUCAUUCGUUUCAAAUGAGCUUAAUUUCAAAGAACAAAAUAGGUUUCAUUGAUGGAACUAUAGAAGCUCCCAAUCGUACCAAAUCAUUAUUUCCAACAUGGCAGAGAGCCAAUAUCUUGGUUGUUUCGUGGAUUCUCAAGGUUGUUUCUCAAUCCAUCGCGCAGAGCAUCAUCUGUAUGGACAAUGCCUUUAACAUAUGGAAUGAUUUAAAGGAAAGGUUCUCAAAAGGAGACAUGAUUCGUAUUUCUGAUAUCCAGGAGAUGAUUUCUUCUUUUAAACAAGGUGAGUUGACUUUUACAAACUAUUUCACUCAGUUAAAAAUUCUUUGGGAUGAACUUGAUCUUUUCCGCCCGCUAUCCGCUUCUUCAUGUGCCUCUAAAUGCAAAUACUCUUGUGAAUGUUUCUAAAUAUAAAAACACAAGACCAAAUUAUCAAAUUUCUAAGGGGGCUAAAUGAUAAUUAUUCGACUGUGAGAACUCAAAUUCUAUUGAUGGACCAUUUGCCAUCCUUGAAUAAAGUUUGUUCUCUUGUUACACAACAAGAGAGGCAAAUAUUUGGUGAUCAAUCCAAGGCAAUGAUUGCUACUAGCAAAGGAGGUUAUAAAAACAAUGCUACAACCUAUGGUAGAGGUGCUGGAUACGGAAGAGGAAGCAAUGGAAGNNNNNNNNNNNNNNNNNNNNNNNNNNNNNNNNNNNNNNNNNNNNNNNNNNNNNNNNNNNNNNNNNNNNNNNNNNNNNNNNNNNNNNNNNNNNNNNNNNNNNNNNNNNNNNNNNNNNNNNNNNNNNNNNNNNNNNNNNNUCAUAAUACAAAUUUCAAUAAUAAUGAGCAGAAUCAUGAAGGUUCAAAGUUAGAAGUGGAGUCUUAACAAAUUGGUUUUACUUCUGAGCAGUAUCAAACAUUUUUAGCUCUUUUACAACAGACCAAAUCCAGUGGCAAUGCUUCUAAUCAAGUCUCUAUUAUUCCCUCCAAUCCCUCCAAUCAAACAGGUAACAAUUUUAUUUCUUCUUUUAGUUCUUGGAUUAUUGAUAGUGGUGCUACUAAUCACAUUUGUUCAUCCUUAACUUAUUUCACUUCAUAUCAUCAAAUUGAUCCUAUUUAUGUCAAAUUACCAAAUGGAAAUCAAGUCAUUGUCAAUUAUUCUGGAAGUGUUUUUCUCAAUCAAAAUCAUGUCAUAGACAAUGUUUUGUACAUUCCUUGCUUCAAUUUUAAUCUUCUUUCCGUAGCAAAAUUGAUUGAUAAACUAUCUUGUGUUCUUACCUUUGACUCUAAUGGUUGUCACAUUCAGGACAAAAUAACAAUGAAGAUGAUUGGAAUUGAUAAGACGCAAGAUAGACUUUAUACUCAGGAUCCCAUCUUACCAGAAAUUUCAAAUUAAACCCCUCGAAUGUACACACACCAUCAAUACUGUUAAUGUCGGUGCUAGUGAUCUAGAAACCCUUUGGCAUUUUCGAUUAGGCCAUAUUUCAAAUAAAUGUAUUGAUGUUAUCAAGAAUAAAUUUCCUUUUGUUAAAUAUAACAAAUCUUUUGUUUGUGAUGUUUGUCAUUUUGCAAAGCAAAAAAGACUUUCUUUUCCUAUCAGUACAUCUAAAUCAAAAAAAUGUUUUGAUUUAAUUAAUGUAGAUGUUUGGGGACCAUACUCAAUACCAUCAAUUCAUGGUCAUAAAUAUUUCUUGANNNNNNNNNNNNNNNNNNNNNNNNNNNNNNNNNNNNNNNNNNNNNNNNNNNNNNNNNNNNNNNNNNNNNNNNNNNNNNNNNNNNNNNNNNNNNNNNNNNNNNNNNNNNNNNNNNNNNNNNNNNNNNNNNNNNNNNNNNNNNNNNNNNNNNNNNNNNNNNNNNNNNNNNNNNNNNNNNNNNNNNNNNNNNNNNNNNNNNNNNNNNNNNNNNNNNNNNNNNNNNNNNNNNNNNNNNNNNNNNNNNNNNNNNNNNNNNNNNNNNNNNNNNNNNNNNNNNNNNNNNNNNNNNNNNNNNNNNNNNNNNNNNNNNNNNNNNNNNNNNNNNNNNNNNNNNNNNNNNNNNNNNNNNNNNNNNNNNNNNNNNNNNNNNNNNNNNNNNNNNNNNNNNNNNNNNNNNNNNNNNNNNNNNNNNNNNNNNNNNNNNNNNNNNNNNNNNNNNNNNNUAUGCUAGCACCUUGUCAACAAAUAGAAGAAAAUUUGAUCCAAGAGCAUCAAAAUGUGUUUUUAUUGGUUUUCAACGGGGGACAAAAGGAUAUAUUUUGUUGAAUAUUCAAUCAAGAGAAAUUUUUGUGUCUAGGGAUGUUGUCUUUUAUGAACAUGUUUUUCCAUACCAAAGGGUUCAAGAUACUAGCAAUGAAACUAACAAUCCCGACGUUAAUGAUCAAAUUUUGUUUGCUAAAGAUCAAUUUGUCUUAAGUCAGCCAUCACAAGCCAUUCUUGCACCUUGUGAUAAUACACCUUGUGAUAAUGUUGAAAAUAGCAGUGAUAAUAAUUGAGUCACAAAUUGAGGUUUCAGAAGAAGAUUGUUCCCAUAUAGACCAAAACCUCAAUGAAAAUCAUGAUAUAGAACAAAGUUCUGAAUCAGAUCCAUAUAUCCGAAUGAGCACAAGAAUAAAAAAUCNNNNNNNNNNNNNNNNNNNNNNNNNNNNNNNNNNNNNNNNNNNNNNNNNNNNNNNNNNNNNNNNNNNNNNNNNNNNNNNNNNNNNNNNNNNNNNNNNNNNAUUCUGUUUUGUCUUAUAGCAAUUUAUCACCUUCUUACAAAUCUUUAGUUAUGUCUCUUUCUUCACAUGUUGAGCCAAACACUUAUUCUGAAGUUGUGAAACAUGACUGUUGGAGAAAAGCUAUACAAUGUGAGAUAUCUGCUUUAGAGUCAAAUCAAACUUGGGAGACUGUUCUUCUGUCUCAGAACAAAGCUGUCAUAGGUUGCAAAUGGUUAUUCAAAAUAAAAUAUAAGGUUGAUGGAACAAUUGAAAGGUAUAAAGCAAGGUUAGUGGCAAAGGGAUAUACACAAACAGAAGACAUUGACUACCUCGAUACUUUCUCUCCAGUAGCAAAGAUGACCACCAUAAGGUUGCUUCUUUCUUUAGCUUCUAUUUAUAAUUGGGAAUUGAAACAAUUAGACAUAAACAAUGCCUUUUUACAUGGAGUUUUGAAAGAAGAUGUAUACAUGGUUGCUCCUCCUGGAUUGACUUCUAUUCCACCAGGAAAAGUUUGUAAACUAAAAAAGGCUUUAUAUGGCCUUAAACAAGCUAGCAGAGAAUGGUUUGCCAAACUGUCAUCAUUUUUGCUUUCUAUGGGAUAUACUCAAUCUAUGAAUGAUCAUUCCUUGUUCAUUAAUUCUUCUAAAGGAUCUUUUACAGCAUUAUUGGUAUAUGUGGAUGAUAUUAUAUUGGCAGGAAAUGAUAAAGAAGAAAUUGUUCGAAUCAAACAAGCCUUGAAUCAGACAUUCAAGAUUAAAGAUCUUGGGAAUUUAAGAUACUUUCUUGGUCUAGAAGUAGAAAGAAGUAAGACAUGAAUAAUGGUAAAUCAAAGGAAAUAUGCAUUGGAAUUAUUAACCGAUGCAGGUCUUUUAGCCUACAAACCUGGCCCCACUCCUAUUGAUAAUCAUGAGAAAUUCUCUUCUACUGGAAGUCUUCCUUUCACGGAUAUUCAAGCCUACAGAAGAUUGAUUGGAAGGCUUAUGUAUCUCACUAAUACCCGACCUGACAUAACAUUUUCUGUGCAACAACUUUCUCAGUUUCUUGCUAAGCCUACAAUUGUUCACUAUAAUGCAGCGAUUAGAAUUCUCAGAUGUAUCAAAAGGGCUUCAAGUCUUGGUCUAUUUUUCUCUUCCACUACUUCUGUUCAUCUCAAAGCCUUUUGUGAUAGUGAUUGGGGCACCUGCAGUGAUUUAAGACAAUCAGUGACUGGUUUUAGUGUGUAUCUUGGGAAUUCUCUCAUAUCUUGGAAAUCAAAGAAGCAAGGAACAAUAUCAAAGAGUUCUUGUGAAGCUGAAUAUAGGGCAAUGGCCACGGUUACAUGUGAAAUUCAAUGGCUAACUUAUCUUCUUCAAGAUUUCAAAGUUCCUUUUGAGCAACCAUCUCUUUUAUACUGUGACAAUGACUCAACAAGAUACAUUGCAACAAAUCCAGUAUUUCAAGAGCGUACAAAACAUAUAGAAAUAUAUUGUCACGUGGUCAGAGAAAAAUUAAAGAAGGGUCUCAUUCAUUUGCUAGGUUUCAUAAAUAUUUGUUCUCCAGCUUGUGGCGGGGUAUUAAAGGAUACGAAUACCAGAGGUACAGAAGGAUCCUAAUAUUAAUUGGGAGUCUUUUCUAAUUAUCAGUUGUUUCUCUUUAUAGAAGGGAAUAACCUUUAUUUUAUUUUUGUGUUAUGAUUCUAGUAUUUAAUAUUGAUUAUUUCCUUCUUUAGUUAAACCCUAGAAUGAGUGUACUACUUGUAUAUAUUCAGACCAUUUAUUUUGAUUUGAAUAACAAGAAAGAAGAGAUAUUCAUUCUCAUAUCCUUUGUCUUCAGUUUACUCUUUUGUUUAUCUCUAUUCCCUUUUGUUCAUCUCUGUUCUAUUUUGUAAUAAUUUAAGAAUUAAUAGACAUUAUCAUUUACGAAGAUUAAGCACUUGAUAGUUGUUGAGCUUGAGCACUUAUGUGGUGUUGAAGGCUUGGCUUAAGAACCUUGUAAGGAAUAAAUAUAAAAUUUUAUUAGAACAACGAGUGAAGAGUCAAAUAUUUUUCAGUAACCUUUUUUUGUUUUGUUUAAUUUCGUCUUAGUAAAAUUUGAUCUCAAAUUCAAACAAUUCUUUUUCUCUUUAUCCAACUAAUGACUUUCGGACUAAAUAAGUUAUAGGUUCUCAAUAUAUUAUUUUGAGUACCUAUAAUAAAUUAUUUUUAUAAAUUGAUUAUUUAAUAAAUUAUAAACUUUAGUUUAAGUCUAUGAAAAAAUAUUUAUUUAUUUUUAUUUUAUUAAUGCAUACAAUUGUUAACACUCUAAAUGACGAGACCUAUAUUUAAAAUGUAUAUCAUUUUUAACACUCUAAAUAGGUGACAUAUAUUUUAAAUUAACUAACGUAUGAAUAGUAAAAUUGACGAAACUAAUGGAAGGGACUUAAGCAAAAUGUUUAAUUCAUGAAGUACUCAAUUUGAAAAACAAAAUUAGGUACUCAAAGUAAAAAUCAAUCAUAUAUUAGAGAUCUAAAACUUAUUUAAGCCUUAAUAAGAACAUAGUUUGAAAAUUUCAACAACUUAAUUUAUAAAUAAUGAUAAUUUAUUUAUAAGCAAUGAUAAUUUAUUAUAUUUGGUUUUACCAUAAUGUGGAGUAUUGAUGGAUGAGGUCUUUCUUGUGCCCAAUUUAUACUCCAAAGAGAUAGAUAAUAUUCAAACACUAAAUGGGGUCCACUAGAAGACUUUCUAACGCUUAAUUUAUAAAAAUAUAAGUGAAAUUGAUAAUGUAAAGAAUGAGUGUGAUAUGAGACAUCACUCUCUUUGGUGGUGGCAUACUUAUAUAAAUGUUUAGUCUCCAAAUAAUAAGGUAAAAUAUCAAUUUGAUAAACAAAAAAAUUAAUAAUUUGAUAGUUUCGUUGGGGAUACAUGGUUGUUAUAUUACAACAUAAGAAAACGAACUAUCUCAUAUCUUUAAUAAAUCAUUUGAUUACAAAAUUUGGUUGCUUAAAAAAUAAUGCAUAGAAAAUAAAAUCAGAAAAAUAUCAAGAAUUAAAUAUAAAAGAGAAAGAAAUACACGUUUGUUUUUGUAUUGGUUCAUUCUAUUUAAGAGAUACAUCCAAUUCCUCAGGCAUACUAGCCAAACUCACUAAAAAUUAAAAUUUUACAAACACAACCAAUAUAGUGAAAGUAAACAACUUAAAAAAUAAUAUUUUGAACCCUAUAAAAUUAAUUUAUACACCUAGUAAUACCUAUUACUAUACUAAAUUUGAAAACCCUAUCCAAAUAUAGUCUAAGAACUAAAAAAGAAUACAGAAAUGAAAACAAUAUGACCUAGAAUAAUAUAAGCAUAGUGGAAAAGAAAUAAUUCAGGUGAAGAAAUAUGUUUCUCUUUAAACUUGGUAUUGAUCUCAAAUAUACACAGUGAAAGCUUCAUGAACAAUUUUUACAGCUUGGACUCUAUCUCAAUUGUAGAAAAGAUUUUAGAAACUUAUGUUUUUAUCUCAGGUAAAAAAUGAUUUCGAAAUGACAAGUUUUUAAUCUGUUUUGUUUGAGUUUUAAUUUGUUCAUUUCACUAAUCGAUCGAUUAACUCAAAAUUUUAACAUAUUAAAAUAGAAGUAUCCAAAGCUUUUAUAGAGCUUAAGAACUUUUAAUUUACUUAAAAACUCAUUUUAACAAAUUAAAACAGAGAACUCAUAAAUUCUUAAGGUUCUAAAUUAUAUUAAUCAAUUAAAUCAAUUAUCUAAUUGAUUAAAUAAAUUUAGUAAUGGAUUAAAAUGCUUUUUUUUCGGUCAUUUCAAACUCAAACAUAAACAUUUUAACAAAUUAAAAACAUCUUUUAAUUAAUUAAAAUAUAUCCUAUCAAUAAGACAAAUUCUAAUUCUAUUCAGAAAGCUUUCUAACUACAAUUAUAAGAUCAAAUCAGGAAAGAGAAACUUAUCUUAGGUCCUAAUCAACACAACACAUCCUAAACACAAGUCUUCAUGAUCAUGUCCAAUCUUCAAUUUCUUCAAAAGAGGCGUUGGAUUCAUCAAAUACACCACAACUUUAACAAUGAUAACAUGUUUUAAUAUAUUUAUAGAGAUAAAUAAUUCUUUGGUUGAUAACUUAUUUAUCAAGAUUUAUGUAUAUUGGUAGUGGGUAUGUACACAAGUCUCCCAAGCUUCAAAUGCGAUUUUUUUUUUAUUGUGCAAGAGGACGAUUUUAGUGGUUCCUCAAAUUUGAGGACGAAUGAGAUUUAUGGUUCUUUAUAUUGUACAAUUGAAUGUUUAAUACUUUUCUUUGAGAAGUCGAGUUUUCUAAAAUUUUACUUUAAGGUUUAUUUUUUGAUGUUGUGAAAACUGUUGAAGAUGGAUGAAGCCUCUUCUCUACCUAGUGUUAAGUGUGUGUUUGAUGUAAAAAAAUAGCUAGUUUGAUGUAAUGUUUGUAAUAGGUUUAGAUGAUCUUGUAUGUAGGCUUGUAUUGUGUAAGGUUGCCUUUUGCUACAUGAUCUAUCCUAGAUGCCUAACCAAGCCUAGAUCAAGCACAUGAUGUGGUUAAAUGGUUUUUGAAAAGCUUUUUAAAGUGCUCUUAAAAGUUUUAAAUCAGUACACAAAUAAAUCUGUUUUAUGGAGAAAGAAUCGGUUUAUUUCUUCUCUGUUAAAAGGCUUUUCUAAAAUUCUGAUAAAACCCCACAGGUAAAGCUUAGUUAGUUAUUUCAGUUAAAGCUGAGCUGACUUACUUGCUAUCAUUUAAUCUGUUUCACUGUGAAAGAACAGGUUUAUUCUUUGGUCAGCUGAAAGGUUUUUCACAUGUUAGUUAGGGCACCAAAGGUACAACUCAGACAGUUAUUUCAGUUAGCUGAGUUGGUGGUUUUCACAAAAUAAAUCUGUUAAGUUCAAAAAUGAAUCUGUUGUUUUCAUAACUNNNNNNNNNNNNNNNNNNNNNNNNNNNNNNNNNNNNNNNNNNNNNNNNNNNNNNNNNNNNNNNNNNNNNNNNNNNNNNNNNNNNNNNNNNNNNNNNNNNNCUUUUCAACUGUUUUUUGAAAAGAAGUUAGAAACUGUUUUCUAUAUAAAGAAAAGUCUCUCUCACAUGAAAAAGCGCUGAGCAAUUACGUUUUUAACAGAGAUCAAACAAUUUCCAUGUGAGAAGAAGGAUUGAAAGAUUUUUGAAAGGUUUUUCCAAAGAGAUUUUCAAGUGUGCUUGUUCUAGGAAACCUUUGAUCUUGGUGAAGGUGCUGGUGCAGUUCUGCAGCAAAUUGAACUACUGGUUUUGAGUUCUUGCAUCUUCUUUUCAGGUGUAAUCUUUCCUUUAUUCUGUUUUGUAAAGGUGUAAAUGUUAGUCACUCCUUGAUAGGGUUUCUUGGAGUGCAAGGUGUGCUGAAAUAGGGUUUUUCAGCAUUGUUGGUGUUGUUCUUGUAGUGUUCAAGAACUGCUGAGUUUGUAAGUAAUUGGUACUGUUUUUAGUGGAUUCCACCUUGGGGUAAGGUGAGACUGGACGUAGCUCUGUAUGAGUGAACCAGUAUAAAAACUUGUGUGCCUUUCUUCUCAUCCCUACACUCAUUUCUGGUUUUUCUUAAUUCUGUCAAGAACUAAAUCUGUUCUUUUGAAAUUGAAUAUGUUAAUUAUGGGUUUAAGUAAAAACUGUUCUUCCUGAUUUGUUAAAGCUUUCUAAUCACAAACAAGGCAGUUGUAUAUGAUGGUUUAAGUGAUCUGUGAACAAACAGUCUAUUCAUUAAAAUCUGAGAAAGAACCAUUCUCCUUAGAACCUUGUGUUGAGUAAAUUUGUUUGAUUUCUAAGCAUAACUGUAUCUUUCAUCCUCAUAAUAUUCAGCUGAUCUGACUCUGUUGUAAUUCUCUGUUAAUCACAAUUUUACAUUGAACAAAUUCAAAUUGUGCUAGAUUGCUCUGAAGAAUCAAUCUGUUUCAUGUAAAAACAAUCUGUUCUUUUUACCUCUGGUAUACUGAAAAUUGUGUGUUCCUGCGAAAAUUUUAUAAGCUCAAUUCACCCCUCCCCUCUUGAACUUAGACACUAAUAGACCCAACAAAAACAAGUAAAAUACAUAAGAAAUGAUGGUUGAUUUGUGUAUUAAAAAUUUUCACAAAAUAUUUAGCAAGAAGAAUGUUUGAUGUGAUAAAAAGAAGAGGAGUUAAGACUAAUGACAAAGAGUUAAAAAAUUGGAAAUUUUGACUCCAAAGUUGACAAAGGUAUAUUUUGGGGUACUCCAAAAAAUCAAAGGCUUAAAAAAUACUUUGAAUAGACUAAUAGGAGACUAUCUAAUAUAGAACAUGACUUUGCAAAUCAACUCAUAAAAGCGCCAAAUGAAACAAGGCCAUCAAAUAUAGCAAGAUCAUCACAUAGUCAAAAGAUUAAAUGCAAAGGAAACAACAAAUAAAGGACCAUAUACUUCAGAUCACACAGUUCAAACAUAAUUAGCAACCCUAUGAUCAUUUCUCUUGUAAUCAAGUGUUUUAACCAGGAAUGAUUGUUGUUUCAAAGAAUACUCAAUGUAUUAGCUAGAAGUGGUUGUUGUUUCAAUAAAUACGGUCUUACCUAACUAGAAAUGUUGUAACCCUAGAACAAUAUUCAUCCAAUAUAAUUGGUCUUUCACUCAAUUAUUUACAAGUCAAUAAAAUAUUAAACUACAGAGACUAUAAACAAGUCACAUAAAUUAAGUAACAUCCAAAUAAGUUCCUAAUCUAAAGAUAUGACUCAGAAAUCAAAAUUGAUGUUAACAUGACACAAAUAAUUAAGUGUUGGAAAAAAUCUUCAAACUCUUCACUUAAGUAGUGAUGAUAAAAUUGAAUUAUUUUCCAAAUCAAUAAUUUACAAGGUAACACCAAAUAAAAUUAUUCAUGAGUUAAAAGACUAUAACUCCGUUCACAAACACAAUAUAAGAAGAUCUACCUUAACUAAAAAUAAAAAAAUAAUUUCAAUAAUAUUUUGUGUUUCCUUUUAUUUUUUUUAUUUCGUUUCGAUUAUGUUUAUUGAUCCUGCCUGUUGACCGGAGCGCUGGAGAGUGCCUCGUCAAAGGAUCGACGUGCGCACCGCUUAUCACCUUCGUUCCUCCUCUGGAUCUACUUCAAGAACCUGCAAAGAAACGACACGGCGCCGCUGCGGCCGAUCGCACUCCGACGCUCAAGUCAGUGACGGUAUCACCAAAUACUAAGAACUAGAACCGUGCAAAAACUCUCUCUCACAACAGCUCUGUCACUCGCAAGCGUAAAGUGUAUGAACUGAACGUGCGUACCUCAGAAAGUUCGUUUAAGAGCUCUUAUAUACCUGGUGAUUUUCUCUCUCCUGGCAGUUACAGACUUGGACACGUGGCUCGUAUCCAACUGUACACGUGCCAUCAUCCGGAGGCUUACUGACUUGGCGCUGCUUCUACUCUCAUUUUGGCUAAGUUACCUAUGCAUGGUACUGCCCAGUGCAUAGCUAACUUAGGAGUGCGAUCUCUACUGAAACUGGCGAGUUAGGGCCUUCAUACACCUUCCCUGUGGUCUCGUCGGCCGCCUUCAUAAUCUGCUUCUCCUUCAUCUUCGGCGAUGUGCUUGUUCUGGCGAUCUCCGAUUGCUUGGUCGCCUGAGUCUGCAUCUGGCGACUCCAUCCUCAACCUGGCGAUCGCCUAUUCUGGUAAACUGGAAGUCGGAACACGCCAACUUAACAAUCGGCGACUACACGUGCCUCCCGACUUCCUUCCUAACUGCCAACCUGGCGCCUUGUCAACACGCCUACACUGUAGCAGGGUGCCACGUCAUCAUACCCGACCACCAGGGCGGUACAUUUAUAUUCUUUGAACUUCAUUUAUUUUUCUUCCUUCUACCUUUAACUUUCAAACAAAUGAAAUGAAUUAAUCUUAUGUAAAAAGUUAAAUCUCCCUACAUUUCAUUGUUAAAUAUUAUUUCAUAUAUUUUUAAAUUAAUUAUUUUAUAUUAUUACUUCAAUAAAUAUAUAAUAAAAUUUUAUACAUUAAAUAACUCUUUUGUGUUAAUUAAUGCUUAUUAAUUAUAAAUAUUAUAUAUAUAUAUAUAUUUAGAAUAAAUUUUUCAGCUAUAUUAUUUAUUUUACCCCUAUAAUAAUAUACAGAUUUUAUUAACAAAUUAUUUUAAUUAUUUAAUAAAUAAUUAAAUUAUAAUUAACAAUAUUUGAAAUCAUUACUUUAAAUUUUUAAGAAAUCUAUACUUUCUAAUGUAUUUUUUACAAGUUGUAAAUUCAAAUUCAUACAUUAUAUUAUUAAUUACAUUAUAAAUUCAAAUUCACAUUCCAUAUUAUUAAUUACACAUUAGUUUUAUUUUUAAUUUAUACUAACAAUCCUUAAUACAAAAUAAUAUUAAUCAAUUUUAAAUUAAUAUUCAUUUAUUCAUUUUUAAAAUAUAUAUUUCAUUUUUAGCAUUUCAAAUUACUUAUAUUAGCUCUCGUUACUUCCGUUAAUAUAUUAUUAUUCUUAUUAAUAUGUUUUCGCAUACUCUUUUAAACUACUCUCAACAAUGAAUUUAAAUAUUUAAUACUUUUAUUAUGCUUUAUUUCAAAAUCACUAUCUUAAUAUAAUAUAUAUUUUUUUUAAUUUUCUUUUAUUUCUAUUAACUAAUUCCUCUAAUUAUAUUGUUUUUGUUUAACCAUUUUUUUAAAAUUUAAUUCAUUAUUUAAAAAACAAAAUUUAAAUAUAAUUCUUUUUAAAUACCACCGGUUUUGUGACAUGAGAUUUGCAAGCUUUAAAAUCUGGAUGGGUUUAUAAUUAGCAUUGAGUUAAUUUGGAAAAUAAUUUUUUUUUCCAUUUUUGUGGUAGAUUUUCAUUUUCUGCAAUGAUUGUUAUUCAUGAUAAAAACAUGAUUAGUUGUUCUAGUUUUAAUAACUAAUUAAGAAUACCGAACACAACUACUGUGAACCAACCGGUUCGGUCCCAAUCCAGCAACGUCGGUGUCCCAGCCACGUGGCAUUCGUCUUCACGCCCUUCAAAAAUAUCCCGCAUUUUGUUCUGCUCUCCACCUUCUUCUUACUUGGCCCUCGUGUUCCCUUCUCUCUCACACACCCAAGCUUUAAACUUUCUCUUCUCUCUCCCACUUCUUCCAACUGGGUCACUGUAACUCACUCUAACUCGCUCCAACUCGGUUCAGAAUCGCCAUGAAGAUUCAGUGCAACGUCUGCGAGGCUGCGGAGGCCAAGGUCCUGUGUUGCGCUGACGAGGCCGCACUGUGCUUGGAAUGCGAUGAAAAGGUUCACGCCGCCAACAAGCUCGCCACCAAGCACCAAAGAGUUCCCCUCUCUCUCUCUGCUUCCCACGUGCCAAAGUGUGACAUAUGCCAGGUAUGUAUCUCCUAUUAUUGCUUCUUAACUUUCCUUUCAUGAAAAGGGGAUUUAAUUCUAAUUCAACCCUUUUAAAAUUUAUGGACUUUAAUACUUAUUGCAAAGUGAGUUUAUCAUUUGUGUGUUAUAAUUUGGCUUUAUGUAAGUAAAAUCUUCAACAUUUUAGCUGUUUUUCUACCAUUUCUUUAGUUGUUUUCAAUAAUUAAUGUUUGGAAUCAGUGAACUUAACUGUGCUGGAUUUGUGGAAAAACAACUCAGAAGCCUCUUGUUAGUAGUAUUUGGGUCAUACAUGUUUUGUUCCAUCAAGGUAUUUCAAAAUGUCGGUUUUGUACUGACAGAAAUUAUCAUGUUUGUAGUUCAUAUGUUUACUAAGUCGGUUUUAGUUACACUUAAAAUUUACUCUAACAUUCUUUCAGAUCUUAUCUUUUGGGUUAUAUGCCAAUUGCUAUCAAGUGUUAGGUUCUUUGAAGGUACACAUUGAGAUUUGGCACCAAUGAACGAUAGACAAAAUCAUAUAAAAAGACUAGUACACCACCUUUAACUCAAAAUUUUAAGGAAAUAAUUUGAGUCUUUCUACUACUUAUAUAUUGUUUGUCUAAUUCAUUUUUAAUUUAAGACUUUUAAUUUACUUCGAAUUCCUAACUUUCAAGUUGCUAUUAAACUAUCUACAAAAAUUUAAUUUCAUAUCCAGGUUCCACUAAGUGGGUGCCUAAAAUAUCUAAUUUCAUUCUGGGGCAAUAUUCUCCAUAUCCAGGUUCCACUAAGUGGGUACCUAAAAAUAUCUAAUCUCAUUAUGGAGCAAGGAACCUCUCUAACACACUUUUCCUAAUACCCCUUCUUGUUGAUCAAAAUUUAUUGGAAACUACACAAUCAUGAAGGGGGUUCGUUAAAUAUGAAGUGAGACCUAUAAAAUUUUUGUGAUUGUCAAUAAACUGCAGUCAAUUAUGAAUAACGUUGUUAAAUAUUGGGUUGUUAAGUAGCAUACCUCUUCUGGAUAAAUGCAGGGACUAACAGUGUAUUGAAUUAUUUUAGGAACUAAAAGUAACAGUUCCAAAAUAAUUUUUUUACAAGGUUACUUACUAGUUACCAUUGCUGACUUGUAAGUUGUAACCAUUUGUGCUGCUAACUAAAUGGAUGUUCUUUCUUGUUAAAACAAGGAUUAAACUUUGAUUCAACUGCUUCAGGGGACUUCACUUUCAAUUUAUGAGCUUUUAUGCGUUUAGUGACCUUGAUGUUGUUCAGCUCUAAAUGCAGUUAUUAACUUUCCCUUCUUUGAUUGAGUUGAUUAAGCUACUAUUUUACAGUUAUAGUGUAUUAGUAAACAUUUGUAGAUAGAUAUGAUAAACUCUUCAUGGAAGAUCUAGUCUCAAAAAUGAAUUUCUCGUUGGAGCUUUGAAAUUUUUUUUCCUUACCAGGUUCAUUUAUCUUUGAUUUUAAAUUGGCAUUUUGAGGAUUUUUUGUUAACAAAGUUCCUUCUGUUGUUAUAGAAAUGGUUUAAUUGUGUUUUCUUUCUGGAUUUAAAUUACAAUAUCAUCCUUUUCUAGAAAUUCGCUUUGUUUUUUUGUAUUUUGCUGAAUUUUGUCAAACCAAAUUAUUUGUUCUUUGAAUCUGUGGUUCACUAUUUGGCAUUGUUACCAAGAGAGAAUUUUCUUGAUUUGUUAGAUGUUCCGGUUCAGUUACAUAUGAGUCUUUCAUUAUUUUGGAUUGCUUGUGAUGCUAAUGUGUGCUAUUCACCGUACAGGAAAUGGUUGGUUAUUUCUUCUGUUUAGAGGAUCGGGCUUUGCUAUGUAGGAAUUGUGAUGUAUCUGUUCACACUGCUAAUGCCUGUGUCUCUGGUCAUCAAAGGUUUUUGCUUACUGGUGUGAGAGUAGGCCUUGAAGCUACUGAGUGUGGUGCUUCCUCGUCCUCUGUCAAGUCACAAUCUGGGGAGAAAACAUCUGAUGCUAAAUCUUCAUCCAUCUCCAGAAAUGUCUCCUCCCUGCCUCAGCCAUCAAAUUUCAAUGAAGUGCUACCCUCCCAAAUGGGAGCAUUUGAGGACUUUCCACCAAACAAGGUGUCUUAUGGUGGUGGUUAUACUGCUGGAAACGUCUCACAAUGGCCCAUGGAAGAAUUUCUCGGGUUAAACGAAUUCAGUCAGUAUUAUAACUAUAUGGAUGGAUCAUCUAAGGUAUGCUUUAAGUUGCAAUGAAGUCUAUUCGUCUUGUGUAGUUUUGUGGAGAUCCUACAUCUACUAGAGAUGAGAUCAAUUUAUAGUAUAUAAAUGAGUACAAACUCACCUUAUUAAGUUGGUUUUGUAUCAGAUCUUAUCCUAGCGAAGUUUAUACAAAUGGUGCAAAUCUCAACUAUGUUAGUGCCCCAAUCCAUGCUGUAAAACCAAUGUACAAAAUUUGACCUAUGAGAAAUUCAAAAUCCUGUACUAGUGUUCUAGAUAGAGGAAUUUAGGUGCUCAGUGUUCACAUGAUGCCUAGUUGGAUUUCUGUAAGAUCUUCAUGAAAAUCUGCUAAACUCAGUACUGUAAGCUGUAAAAUUUAAUGUAAAUCAUACAGAACUAUGCAAUGACUAUCUUUUAUGGAAAUUCAUGAGUAGUAAGGAGUAUUCCUGUUGAUUUUGACUACCACAAAACGUCUGAUAUUAUCAGUAAGAGAAUGUGAGAUAGUUGAUAUAGUUUAAAAGACAUGCACUUGUCAAAGGCAGAUGUAUUCCAAUGUUUUAUUUAUCAAACAUCUCUUCUUGUGCUUGUAAUCUUAAUCAGUUGUCUGCUCUUUUUCCAUGUAUUACUAGCUAGGGAUUAUGCAUUGUUUCUACACCUAUAUUUUACCCAAACUAGUAUCCAAGUUGAUGUAUUUUGACUUUGUUUUGAGAUUGUAAAUGAAGUGGCAUUCAUACUUGUCAACAAUCUUGAUGUUGGCUUGAUAUGGUUAUCCAUUAUCUAUUAUUCUUGAUCUCAUCUCGUCCCAAUGAAUCUCUGCAGGCUGACAGUGGUAAACCUGGGGAUUCUGAUUCUUCAGUUUUGAGGUCUAUUGAAGAGGAAAUGGAUGAUGACUCCUUCUUGGGGCGUGUCCCAGAUUCAUCCUGGACAGUUCCUCAGAUCUCUUCCCCUCCUACGGCUUCCGGAUUACACUGUCCGGAAAUCCGUCGGUAUACAUCUGACAAUGCUAUGUUUGUUCCUGACAUAUCCUUUUCUGACGUCCGGCGGCAGCCUCACCAUGUUCUUCAUAACUCUAUUCAUUCAAAACGGAGGAGGAACCUAUAAUUUGAUCACUUUCACUAGCUUGGUAUGUUAAAAAGAUUUUUAUCUGUUAGAGAUGGAGUGAGGUUUUGAAGUUGUAUCCUUCUUUAGAGCAUUUGAAAUUCAUUUUGCUACAACAUGUUUCUUGUAUUCAUAGCAGUCCUCAAUUUCUUUUUGGGAGUGAAUCACUGAACUCUUCAUCUGUUGUUGGAAAUUUGACAAAGAAAGUAGCUGUAACACCAUUUUUAAAGGCUUUUCUCAUUGUUUGUUCAUCAUAGAUAUCCAUUCAACAUAUGCUGGUUCUUGUAAGGGUGUUCUUUGAAGUAUGUUUGGAUAAAUUUCUUCUAGAUAAAUGUUUAGAAGAGAAAAAUACCAAAGGAAAUGAAAUGAUUCUUAAAAUUGAAAUUAGUUUAUGCAUAAAGUUAAAUUAGUAUAAAUAUAAGUCAAAAGAUAAAAAAGUUAUAUAUGUUGUGUAUGUAACUAAAAAAUUUAUAAGAUAUGUAUUUGAUAAUAAAAUUGUUGAACUAAUUUAUAAAUGGUUAUAUAUAUUAUUGGUUAUUAACUAAAUUCAAGAUAUUACUAAUAAGAAUUUAAACCAAAUGUUCUAUCUGUAUAUGUUUAUUUAAUAAUGAAUUGUCAUGUAAUAAAAUUGUUAUUUCUUUUGUAAAAACUGUAAAAAAAAACAUAUCUUUAGAUUAAUACUGUGUCGAAUUUAAAAUAUUUUUAGAAGUUCCCUUUUUUAUAAAAAUGAAUUUUUUUAAAAACAAUAUGAGUUUAAUUAAACUUUUCCAGAGGAAUAAAAAUUACACCAAACAAAAUACACUUAUUAAGAUAUAUUUAGUUAACUUAGUUAAAAGUUAAAAAACUAAAAUAUAAUUAAAAGUUGGUAAUUACAACUAUUAAGUUACCUUACUAAAUUAGGACACAAAUCAUCUCUCAUUUUUCUUUCUCACAUGUUUCACCAAUAAAAUUUGGCAAUUAAUUAAAAAGUAUUCUUUUAAUCUUUUUCAUACUCUUUUUAAGGGGAAGUUUCAUAAUUAAUUACUUUUAUGGAGAAAGUGUGUCGCCUAUUAUACUAUGGUUAAUAAUGUCAUGAUUAAAAUAUACAAUAAAUUAGAAGUCUUUAAAAUAAUAAAAAAUAAAACAAAUCUAUAAUCACUCUAUAUAAAUGUCUAAAAGUGUAGUAAAAUAAAUAUUUUAAAUAAUAUAAUAAUUAAAAUAAUUAUGUAAUAUAAAAGUAUCCCAAUAAUAAUAUCAAUAUACUUAACUUUUUUUAAUUAUGAAUAUACCUUAUUUAUUAAAAAAAAAUUAAAAGAAAAUAGACUUAUCUUAUGUGAAAAAAAUAUUGAAAAUAGUGAAGUAUGUUUAUAUAAAUCGAUGAAUAAAAAAAAUAAUGUAUAUGAAAAAAGUAAAAAACACUUAAUAAACAUUGUAAUGAAAAAAUUGAAUUAAAUAUAAGAAGUUAGAAAUUAGUGUUCAAAAUAAUAUAAUACUCCAAGCAACGUUUCAAAAAAAUGUCACAAGUUACUUGAAAUUUUUUGUUUACCAAAUAGUACUAAUAAUGUAUAUUUAAUUUUUUUUCAAUUAGUAGAAAAAAAUAGAAACGAUGAAACUAGCCUUUGUAGUUUUCUUCAAAUAUUUUAAUUUGCAACUUUUUAUAUCUUUUAAACCUUACAAUAAUGCAUGGAAAUGAGUAUUUUUUACAAGAAAUCUAAUAAACUAUAAACUUGAUUACAUAUAUUUAUAACUAUUUACUUUUAGUUUUGAAAGGAUUUUUUUUAAUUUCAUAUUUGUGUUUUAUAUUAAAUUUCAAGGUGUCAAACUGUUGUCAUGUGUUGUGUUGGUCGAUAAGUGUUGUUUUGUUAUUAAUUUCUCUUUGUCUCCAUUUUUCAAAUAUUUUUUAUUUUUAUUUUUGAAGAAACAUUAUAAAUAGCUGGUUUUUUAGGUUAUAUUCUAUUUUGAAAUACCUAGCAAAUUAUUAUAAUAUGUUUGGACAGGUUUUACAUCUGUUUUCCUAACAAAAGACAAAGUGUCAGCAUCAUAUGGAGGACCAAUCUAGAAUGAGACAUGAAGACAAAAUUUUGAUGAUUAUGGGAAAGUUUGUGCAAACCAAAUACGUGAAAUUGUCGAAACAUGUCUCUACAACAUCACUUCCUCAUUAAAAAAAACAUCUAAGCAGAACNNNNNNNNNNNNNNNNNNNNNNNNNNNNNNNNNNNNNNNNNNNNNNNNNNNNNNNNNNNNNNNNNNNNNNNNNNNNNNNNNNNNNNNNNNNNNNNNNNNNCGUCACUAUAUAUAUAUAUAUAUAUAUAUAUAUAUAUAUAUAUAACCAAUCCUAAUGAAUAUUUAAAACUAAUUUUUAUGUUUAAACAAUAUCUAAAUCAAGGUUAAGAAUGACAUAACUUAACUUCAAAGAGAAGGUUAUUCAAAGGGAAGACUAGCACAAUUAAAAGAUUAAUUAAUAAUAUAAAUAGAUAACUAUUUUAAGGUAUUUAUUAGUGAUAUUAUUGUUCAUUUAUUAUUAUGUAUUGGUUGUGAUAUUUGUAUAUUGAUCUGAGUGUUAAGAGUGUUUUUAUAGGUAUAUCGCCUUUCUAAGAUUGAGAUGAAGAUUUGUCAAUGACUUCCAUGCACCCUAAUGUUAUGUCAAUAGAUGGUGUAGUCUUUGCUUCAUAGUGAAUGUACCAGAUGAUCCAAAGUGAAGAACGAACGUGAUAGAAUAUGUCAAAAGUGUUAAGACGUUGUUCAAGGAAGUGAUAGAAGUAGUCAAUAGAAGCAAGUGUUAGAUGAUGUCAAACACUAAAAACUCACACUUCAACAGAGAAGAUUUGACAAAUAACAUUACCAGAAGAAUAAAUUGGACAAAGUCCUAUACACCGUCCAACAUUCAAUACAUCAGAUGAUGGUUGAAAUGCACCGCAUCAGAGGAUGAUGCACUUUGAACGUAACAGAAGGUCAUGCUUCUGAAAUGUGUUGGGCGAUCAAAUAAUAGGAAAAUUUCCAAACUUUUACAUUGUAUAAUUAUUCCUGAAUGUUUUCUAAUUUUUUUUUAUAUGAUUAGUUUAUAUAAAUCAAAUAUUUAAUCAAAAUGAGUUUAUUAAUUUGAUAUAGAAAGUUUUUUAAAUAAAUAGUUUUAAUUGGAAAGUGAAAAACAGAACACGCAUAUUUACUACAUUAAAAGUUUUUGAAAAACAUUUUAAGGAAUUAAAAAUGUGUGCUCUAUUUUUCAACUUAAGAUAUUCAGUCUACAUGUGUCCAUGUUUCUUUUGUUCAUAGCGAACAAUAUCUUGCAAACCUUCAUCCUUCCUUUCUGUGUCGUCUUGUGUCUAUUUGGAAUUUGGGAGAGACCCAUGACUAUGCAUAUGCACAGAAGAAACCCGUGUGGAAAAUGAUACUCAGAUUCAGCUCGCCUCCCUCCUCAUAUAAAGACCGAUGCGAAUGGUAACGACACAUGACAAGAUAAGGACGACCGAAAAGCUCAACUCUUUAAUCACUCUACAACCUAGAAAAGCCUUUAAGCCAGAACCCAUUUCUAUUGUUAGGAAACCUCUUGUUUCCUUGUUUUCUUUGCUUCAGAAUCUGCUUAAAAUUUUGAAACAUGAGUGAUAUUUCCUCAUCGAUUGAGUUUUCAUACUCAACCUCGGACACAUCCACUUUGUCUUCUAGAUCAUUGAGACCUUUAGUCUCCUUUCUUCUAAUAGGUGUUGACUUAACUUUAUCUUGAAGACCUUCGUCAGAUGAAGUUGAUGCUUCCUUUAGUUUCGACCUUGUAAGUGAACUUCAUGCACUCUUAGAAUUCUGAAAAGCUAAUCCCAUAUGAGCUUUUUUUUAAGUGUUGAGCCUUUGUUAUGGUCAUUGUUGCUAAACCCUUUGGAACGCAACCACUCUUGCUAAACCACUUUGUUUAUACAAAGGUUGUGAUCUAAACGAUUACAAGUUUCGCUCACUAAAAUAAAUUUAACAUCCUAAGAAAAAUUCAAGAUUGAGCACACUCUUCUAGAUAUGAACACAUCAUUGUUCUUUCUCACAAAUUGAAAGCUUAAGAAUUUCUAAAGAUAAAGAGAGCUUGUUUAUAGAUAUUUUUGCUGUUGUCAAUCUUUCUUCUUUAAAGAGAACUUUUUUACAAAGAGUUGAGAAGAAAAGAGUUGUUGCAAAUAUUUUUUUGAGCCAUUGUGAGACAAAUAAAAGUUCUUCUUCUUCAACUAUCAUAUGUCCAUGUUUUAAACUUUUAGCCACAUUAAAUGUUCUUCAUGUAGCAUUAACUGCAUGUUGUGAGACAAAUACAACUAUUGUAUGUUCACGUUUUAAACUUUUAGACACAUUAAAUGUUCUUCAUGUAACCUUUAAUUCAUGUGGCCUCUUUACUCAACCUCUAUAAUACAUGGCAUUAUAGGCCUAGCCAGGGUAGCUUUUUUCCUCUUCAUCAAAAAGCUUGGGUCUAACAUAGUUGGCUGACUCCUAACAUUCAGCCUGUUCAGAAUUAUUUUUUUGGCAUAAAAUAGCUUUAAACACACCCUAUAAGAUAUCUUAAUGUAGACAUUUUAUUAUGAGCUUUUGAGAAAAAACGAAGAGACAAAUAUUCCCUGCAAAUAGAAAACAAACAUUUAUAUGUGUAUUAUGAAAUGCUUAAGGUUUAUCAUCUCUCAAAUGAAAUACAUAACAAAUAAUGUUUGCAUCUAACAAAAUACUUAUAUAUCUUUAAAAAAAAUCACUUGCAUUUAAAUCCUUAUGUUCAUUAAAUUAUGUUUUAUAUUUUAUUAUUUAAAUACAAGAUCAAAACCAAAUUAAAAGGACAAUUGAACUACGAUCGAUCUAACAAAUAAGAAUGUAUCACAAAUGUUACAUCACAUGACAUAGAAAUACUAGAUGAUAUUUCAUGUGAUGAGAUAAUAUUUAUGUAAUUUUAUAAUUUAAAAAAAGUUGAAAUUUAAUUUGUAAUUUUUUUAAGAUUUUUAUAUUAGUAAAAGUAACAACUUGACGAGUGAACAAAUAAGGAAAAAGAAAAUGGUAAAAACACAUUAUUUAAGGAAAAAUAACUAAGAAUAUAAUUAGAGAAAGGUAUAAUUAUUUUUUUUCCCUACAUUUAAAACCAAUAUUUAAUUUAAUAUAAUGGUUUUUAAAAAAAAUCAAUUUAGUUCCAAGAUUUUUUUAAAAAAAUCAAUUUGGUCUCUUCCACUAAAUUCUCAUCAACGACUAUUAACGGUUAAUGACGUGACACACUAAUAUUAAUUUAGGGUUUAGGUCACAAAUGGGGAGUUAAGGCUAUAGUCUUAUAUCUCAUUAAUUUUUCACAUUCUUCACCAUUAAUUCACAUACAUUACUUACUCCCCCUUCUAAAAGGUCUCCUCUUCUCCCUUCCCUUUAUUUACUCUGUUCUCCCUCUUAUUGUCCGAAAUGAAUGCUCUCUCAUCCCUUUUCCGCUUUCCCCUCUCUCCAUUUCUUCACACCCUCCCUCCCUCCACCGUCAAUGCUUUACUACCCCAACAAUCUAACACUUCCCCAAUAUGAUUACGCCACCCAACAAGUACACACACCACACCAAACUACUCAUACAUGAUGGAGAGUCAGAAGGAAGGUCUAGUGACUGAGCUGGGGAAGUUGCAGCAGAUGGAGAAGAAGCUGGACCAGGGUGCAGGUACUGGUGCUACUGCGGGCAGUGAUGGUGGGGCGGUUGUGGGAGUCUGCAAAAGAAAUUGCACUGCAGAAGAACCCAUGCUGUGAGUAACGAGAACAAAAACAUAAAAACUGAAGCUAGCUGCUGCAUGGUGCCAUUGGUGCUUCUUCAAGGUGAAACCCCAUGUGCUAGAACAACCUCUCGUUAUCAUAACAUUAGGAUUUUAAAUAUCUUUUCAUCAUCAAAACAGUAUAACAUAUAGGUUAAAUUAUUCAUGCAAACUCUUGUUAUUUUUUCUAUUUCUAUAUAUUUUUUUAAAAAAAUUAUAAACUUUAAAUGGUAGAAACUAAAACAAUGUGUAUAAGAAUGGAAAAAUACAAAAAAAAAGUCAAUAACAAAAUAUUUUUAUACAUUUCUCUUUUAAUAACAUUUUUUUAUUUUAAAAAAAGUAAACCACUAAAUGAUUGUAUUAAUUGUAUUAAUUUUGAUAUGCAGUUAAGCAUAUAUAUUAUUCCUUCAAAUAAAUAGAGUUCUCCAUGAGAGAAAAAUAUUAAAAAAACAUUUUUUUUAUAAAUUAAGUUUAGUUUAUAUAAGUUAAAAGCAAAAAUUUAAAUAAAUUAUGAAAAAAAAUCUAUAAAUUAAUUUUAAUUUAUAAAAGAGUUAUGUUUUUCUUUUUAACUCUCUUCUCCAAAAAUUCUACCCACAGCAGUGCCAGUACCUACACCCACCGCACCAGCAACUCCACCACCAUCAUUUUCAGGGAUGAGAGAGAUAUUCCUUUGGGACAUUAGGAGGGAGAAGGAGGGAGAAGAGAAUAAAUAAAGGGAAGGGAGAGGGAGACGUUUUAGAAGAGUGAGUGAGAAAUAUAUAUGAAUUAAUCAUGAAGAAGAAGAAGUUGGGUGAAAAAGAAGUUGGACAAAGAAGGUGAAAAAGAAGUUGGACAAAGAAGGUGAAAAAUUAAUGGAGACUGUAGCAUCAUCGCACAUUGUGAAAACUUAACAAAAAUAAUUAAAUUGAACCUUUUUAAAAAACCUCAAAUUCAAUUUUUUAAAAAUCAUUAUAUUAAAUUAAAUAUUGACAGCAAAUGUAGGGAAAAAAAUAAUUAUACCUUAGAAAAAAUGUUCUUAUUUACAAAAAUUAGUUUCUUUAGUUGUAUUUCUUGGACCUCUACAAAAUGUUCAAUUUCAAAUUGUAAUGAAGUUACCAAUUUAAAAUUUCGAACACUGUCAUAUAACUAAAAGUGACAACUUGAACGAGAAUAAAGAAAAAGUGUAAAAACACAUUAUUUGAAGAAGGAUAACCAGAGUAUAACAAGAGAGAAUAUUCUUAUUCACAAAAUUAGUUUCUUUAAUCAGGGUUAAGCCUCUUUUGUGCAGAAAAAGUAGUAUAAGAAAAAAUUAACAGAAAAUCAGAACCUUAAUGUAGCAAAACCUCGAAACAGAGCUUCAUAAAUAUAGAACAGAAUACAGUAAUACAAUAAAGCCGGAUAUCAUUAGGUGAUAAUUAAAUCAAAAGACAGAUUUGACAAUACGAGCCAUUGUUCUUGAAAUGCAGGAAGAAGGUCCCAAUUAGAAGGUAACCUACUAGUCAUGACAAUACAUAGCCAGCAUUUUUUAUGCCAAAACAGUCGUAUUAAGAUAUAACAAAACACAAAUAUUAUCAAGGACAAAACUUAAGGUUAAUACUUUACAUGUUAUUGUUGUUCUCCAGUCAAAAUUGACGUUUUACUUCACUAAUCUAAGCAGGAAAAGUCAGCACUAAAUGUUGGUGGUGCUGGUUAUAGAAAUGAAACUCAAACUUAGAAUAGAGAAUCACACCAAAAAUAUCUAGGGUAGAGUACACCUACGUCUUGCCUUUAUUAUAUAGGAGUUCACUGUUCUAUUUUUAUACUAUCUUUGUUAUAACAAGGGUAUCUCUCCAUAACAUAUAUCAAGAGACAUGGCAUGGCAUAUUUUGUUUUGUAAUUACAGCAUCAAUCAAGCUAUCACCGGCAUGAAUCAAAUAAAACAGAUAAAUGAUUAUAUGUUAAUACAAUUACUCACAGAACUAUGGCACCCAAAUAAUAUCAGAUCCAUCUACAGUCCUACUGCAAACACUACUUCUACAGCAAUACAAAAUACGUUUAAAACUGAGCUUCAAAGGGAGAGAAGAAAAGAAAACCUUCAAUGAGAAACCAUCCCUUCAAUCGGAUCUUCUGUCAAGCCUCCUCAACCAAACUCACUAGCAAAGUGUCGCUUCACACUCAUUGAUGAGCAAAUUGCCAAUACACAGUAUACUUUCAGCCUUCCAGACACUGCUUAGGAUUUUGAAGACUCGGCCAAAAUCUUGAGUUCUUGAUUUCUUAUCAGGGGGCUGAAAUUUAAAUAACAAAAUUUUCUUCAUACCCUUUGACCACUUCUGACAUCUAACCUAUUUUUGUUAUUUUAAACAUUUUAUCCACAGCUUACACUCUAGGAUGCACCGGUGCUGAAAAAAUGUUGUGUGCAGCUUGAGUGUUCCCUAAGUACUUCUAUUUUUGCCCAGUUUGAUGCCCAAUAAGUAACUAUACCUUGACACUGAAUCCAAAGUUACUCGGAUAUACAGGCUGAAUAGAAUUAAUUUAGCAUCAUUCAACAUGAAACAGUACACAUUUAACUUAAAAUAUUAGAUCUUCAAAGUAUCUUCCCUCAACUCCUUGCCUGUGUGCUUGAAACCUGAAGCAAUGGUGUGACCCCAAAUAUGGUCGAUCAGGUUUGCAACAUUACAGAAGCCAAAUAAGUCUAAAGUAACUUCCCCCAGACAUUCAAUCCAAAGUUACUUGCCGAUUUGAUUAAGAAUCUUUCAAAGUGAGACAACACACAUUUGGAUUAAAAUAGUAUAUCCUGAAAUUAUCCAUAUACAACCCAUAGAACAAAUCUUCAGGGACAAAACAUUGAGUCUACAGAUCAGAAACUCAAUAUAAUCAGCUGUCGAAGAGUGUUUGGAAUUUCACUCGCUUUUUAACACUACGCAUUCGAUCAUACCCAAUACCAAUCUUGCUAUGCAUUAACUUAAUCGCUAAAUCUGCAUUACCAGCCUUCCUCAAGGCAUUGAUCAGCACAGUCCGAACCUUUCCUGGUAUUUCCCUGCCCCUAUCCACAAUCCCAUCAGCCAAUUUGCAGGCCUCCUUAACACGGCCAGCCUUGCACAGCACACCAAUCAUGUCCUCAUACGCUCUCUCCAGAACAAUCCCCAUUGGGGCAAGCUCAUCCAACACCCUGCAAGCUCUUGCAACCUUGCCUGAAAGACACAGCCCAAAUGAAAGAGCCCUGAAACAUGCAGCAUUCGGCGUGACACCUUUGUCGAUCAUCUCCUCCCACAGCUUCAAAGCUUCCUCGUUCCUCCUCUCCUUGAAGAGCUCACUAAUAAGUAUAGUAAACGUAUAAACCGUGUGCUCACACCCCUCUUGCUCCAUCCGCCUAAACAACAUCAGAGCCUCAUCAACCCUCCCACUCUUGCACAAACCAUCCAUGAGAGCAUUGUAACAAUACGAAUCCGGCGGACACCCCUCUUCCGCCAUCUCCUCAAACAGCCUCUCCGCCUCAUCCACCCUCCCAACCUUCCCAAGCCCAUCAAUCAAACUCGAAUAAAACACAGCAUUCACAGCCACACCAUUACCCUUACAAAACCUAUAAUAAUCCAUGGCCUCCUCCACUUUCCCACUCUUGCACAAACCACCCACAACAGCCCCAUAAGUAACCUCAUCAGGCUCAACUCCAUCCACCUUCAUCCUCUCCAAAAACGAGAGCGCCACAUCCAUGUUCCCGCUCUUGGCAUAACCAUCAAUUAUGGCAGUAUACACAGCCUUGUGAGCUACACAGCCUUUCUUAACCAUACUCUCAAACACAGAACAACCCUCCACAACCUUUCCCUGCUUACACAACCCACAUAUUGUUAAACUAUACGCGUGAGAAGGGAUUUUCGUUACCAACACUUCAUCCUCCUCCAUCUCAUGGUACAGACUCACACACGAAUCCAUGUCACCCUCAUUGUAACACGCCUGCAUCAGGGUCAUGUACGUGACCUCAUCGGGUGGCACGUUUCCAGCCUCCAUUUCGCGGAGCGUGGCCAAAGCGUUCCGCGUUCGCCCGACCUUGCAGUAGCCUUUGAGGAGCGUGUUGUAACUGACGAUGUCGGGUUUGGGCGAGGCGCUUUCCUGCAUUGAUUUGAAUACGCGCUCCGUGGAGUCGACGAGGGAGGCGUUGACGAGGGCGUUGAGGAGGAAGUUGAGGGUGUGGAGGGAGGGGAGGAGGUUGUUGGCCGUCAUGGCGCGGAACAGCCAGAGGAGGUCGUGGAGGAGGCCGGCGGCGGCGAGGGUUUUGGCGAGGGAGUGGGCGGCGGGGAGGGUCAUGGGGAGGUUGGCGCGGCGGAGGGCGUCGAGGGCGGGAGGGAGGGAGGAGGGGGGAAGGAGGUGGAGGAGGGAGACGUGGCAGUCGAGGGAGUGGGAGUAGUUGGGCUGUGCGGCGGCCCAGGAGAAGAAGCGCGUGGCGGUGAGGUGGUCGGAGAGGGAGCGGAGGGUGUGGGAGAUGAAGGAGGGGGAGAGUGUGAUGAGGUAUUGGCGGCAGAAGAAGUCGAGGUUGGACUCCAUGGAAGGGGACCCGUCGAGGAGGGAGAGGAUUUGAGGGACCCACGGAGAGGUUUGAGGGGAGGAAACGACUUCGGAGAGGUUGCAGAAGGGUUCCACCACCUCGCGCGGCGGAGGGAGGGGUGCGCUGAACGAGCGUCGUGCAUUGUGGCAGCGCAAAGGGUAAACUCGUUUGAUCAGGGCAAGGUGGGCUCUUCUCAUCACUCUACUCUCUUGUCGGAUUUCCCGCAGAAGAAAAAGCUGCGUUUUUAUUCUCCUCUUAAGUGUUUGUUAAUUUGGUUCUUUACUCGUAAGAUGGACUUGAAUUUUUUAUUUUUUUUUCAAUUUGAUAAAAAAGUAAAAUAUAAAUUUGUUUGUGUUUAAAAAUAAUUAAAAAAUAAAUAUAAUUUAUUUAUGUCCUUUUAGUUGUUUGUAGUUAAAUAUUUGAGUUAAAAAAAUACAAAUUAUAUAAAAUUGUCACAAAUGAAAAAAAAAAUUGUUUCAAUUAAAAAAAAAUAUAUUUAUAAUUGUAAAAUAUGUAGGUGAAAAUGCAAUCAAUUUUAAUAAGUUAAAGCAUAAUUGAUUUGUAAACUACAUACAAAAGGAUACAAAAGGAGUAGUUGAUAUUAAAACAAUGUCUUUUGAAAAAAAUAGCUAUCAUAUAGUCAAAUAUUUAUCAUUAAAAAGAGUUUCGAAAAUAAUGAAGUUCAUGUUGAAGCUAGUCAAUUCUUUUAUGGAUCCUGUAAUUUUUGAAUGUCAUUUCAAAUUUGUGGUAUUAUUUCAUAAUGAUGAGGGAUUGGGGACUGAGGUGCAAUGCCUUAAUAUGGUCGUUGAUAUUGUUGGGUCUUGCUCAUCUUGGUCAUCCUCAUGAUUUCUACCAUGUUGUUAGACACCAUUUACUUUAUAGAUAUUCAACUUGUUUCAAGGAUUUUUUUUCGAGAUAAAAAUAGUGUGACCAUCCUAGCUUGACAGUUACAUCAAUCGAUAUGUCUACGUCACACAGUCAUGAUCUGUGUGAUAAGAAUGUCGUAAGGAAGAGGCAUGGUGUUGUCUUGACAUUUCAUCGUGUGUUGUAUGAUAUAAUAGAUCAAUUAAUUAAUAUAUUAGUUUUUUGGCUCAUAACAUAAAAGUAUUUUCAUGCAACAAUUGAAAAAAAUUGCUUCCCUAAAGACUCAAGAUGUGCACAAAGGUGUAAUGAAGUAGUAUGUCAUUCAUGUUCAAACUACCUACAUUCCUCGCAUUUUGACCAUGCAUGUCUGGUCUAAUCGUAGUUGCCAAUGUCAUAUCACGAUCAUAGUUAAGGUCAUUAGGGAUGUUUGAAGAACUAAAUUUCUGACCCUUGAUAUUUCUAAUGAGCCAAAGUAUCCAAUCUGAAGGUGUUAUUACAAUCAUCUUAUAGCUAACCUUAAUAAAAAGGUUACCAUCAUAUACGAUAUUUAGAUUUGAAUCAAACACUCUAAUAAGAUCUUCAAAAUAUGGAGCUUUUAGCAUUAGAAAAUGUUUUAAACCUUAGAAUUGCAAAUGAUGUUGAAACUCAAACUCUAACGACGCAAAUAAGGGAAAAUUCAUGAUAUUAGUUGUGAGAGCUUCUCUGGCAUAAAACCUCUUCAUGUACUCUAUCAUCUGCUCACCUUGACUAAAAUAAUGUGUCUGAUUUAGUAUGUCCUCAAUACCUUGGAGUUGUAGAGCAGGAACCGCAACAUCAGUUGUUGGGGCUUUUCCUUUAUUAUCUCUGCGACUUUGUUGUCUUUUACUUGAUGAAGAAGUCAUGCCUACAAAACUUACUACAUAUGAUGGAAGGAGCCCAUUAACAUUCAAAUAAUAUUAUAUGACAACAAUUUAAGCAAAGAUAUCAUAUAAAAUAAAUAAUGAGAUAGUUGCACAAUAUAUAUUUAAACACUUAAUAGGGUAUUUCAAUUAAAGCAAGUGCUAUAGUGGAGUCAUAUAUUGUAAUGAUUACACUUCUUUCAAUUUGAAUUCUAUUUCUACAAUUUGGUUCCAAUUGAAUUUAGAUUUCACUAGUUAGUUUGUAAGAGAUAAAUCAUUCAGGGGAUUGGUAAAAACAUAAUUAAGUAAAUUACACUUGGAAGGUUUUUAGUGGAAUAGAGUAACAGAAUAUUAUUAAGUUUAUCCCUUACAUUAAAUUUUUAUUGCCAUGAACAGUAAUUAAGAAUCUCUUUGUUCUUAUCUGAGUAAGUAACCUAGUAAGAAAGAUCCUAAUUUAUAGUUUUGUCACUCUAUUUAAUAUUUCUUUGAUUCGUCUUAUGAUAUUUAAUUAUUAUUAAAUGAUUAGUUAAGAUUCUAGCUAGUCUUAUCAUGUUCUAAUACUUAAAUGAAACAACUUGGUUUACACUAUUAUUUUGAAGAAUGUGUUAGACGAAACUAUUCGCUAUAAAAUUUGUUGAACCAAAAACAUCAAAUGGAGUUCUAAGGUUUGUUAUCUUUGAUAGCCUUUUGAUGUUUUGGGCUGAUUGGGCUUGAGUUUAUUUGGUUAAGUUUAGUUCAACCCAAUAGUUAUUUUCUUUCCACACAUCAUGUAUCCUUAUAAGGCUAUUAUGCUAGGUUUACAAUAAUCAAUAAUACACAAAUUAUUUUAUCUUUCUACGUGUCCCUCUUUCACACUCAAAGCAUAUAUCUCUGCCACAUCUUCUUCUUCCUUGAGCCUCUGGACUGUUCAUGGAGAAAAUCAAUAUGGUAUCAGAGCGGGUCUAACCCGCUCUGCUCCGCUACCAUCGGUUCUCUUCUUCCCCUCCAUUCCUUUAAUUUUCCUAUUCCGUUUCUUGUUUUUCUUUGCCCCUUUCCAUGGCUGCGACCCAACAAAAUGAUCAACAAAACCCUAUCAGUGCCUACUAACUUCAUCUAGGAGAAAACCCAGGUGUGGUUCUUGUUGCGCCACAGCUUGACGAAUCCAAUUAUCACUCUUGGAGUCGGUCUAUGAAACGAGCUUUGCUUUCAAAGAACAAGUACAAGUUCGUCAAUGGUGAUAUCUCGGAACCAACCCGUGAUGAUGAAAAUUACGAAGCCUGGGAAAGAUGCAACGUCAUGGUGGUUUCAUGGAUCACACGUACACUGACUACUCAAAUAGCGCAAAGCAUCGUGUAUAUUGAUAAUGCAAAGGAGUUGUGGGAAGAUCUUAAAGAACGAUUCUCAAAAGAUAAGAGAUAUUAGACGAGUAAAACAUUAUAAAACAAGGUAUUAUAUUAAAUUUCAUAUAUAUUAUAUUGAAUACUUAUACGCAUAAAUUAUUAUCUAGUAUAAAAUUAUAUUGAAUGUCAAACAAUAAUUAUAGAAGUUACGUUGAGUCCACUACAAUUAUAUUAUUUUUCUUGUACAAUCUCUCUUUUUCCCUUAUAAGAAAUUAGUUUUAUAUAUUAUUUUCACAUAUUUAUUAUAUUAAAGUAUAUAUUUAUUUUUUUAUGAAAUAUUAAUUAAAAAAUAAAAAUAAUAUAAUUUACAAAAAUAUAUGUAAUUUUGCAAAAAAGAUUACAAAAUUAUAUAACCGUUAUUUUUAAAAACAGAAGUUAUUUAGUUAUCUAAAAAUAAAUAAAAUUUAAUCAACUAUUUAAUUAUUAAAUAAAUAAAUUAUUUUUUUAUUAAAAAAAUUGUUUAAUUAAAAGAUGAUAUAAAAAAAAUUUAAUAAAUGAUGUAUCCUCUUUAAAUAAGGGUAUAAACUUCAUAUUACAAACAAUUAAAAUACCUGUCCUAUAAAUUUUUAAGAUAACUAUGAUAAAAUAUUUAAUAUAUAUAUAUAUAUAUAUAUAUAUCACUUUUUUAACUAAAUAAAAUAUACAAACUUUUUUACAAGGAUAUUUAAAUUAAAUUUAUUUUAUAACCCUUUUAUAUAUCUAUAACAUUAACAAUAUAUAAAAAUGAUAUAUAGUAUACAAUUUCUUAAAUUUUAUCCUUUAAAUAAAUAUUUUUUAAAUUUAAAUAAUUAUUUAUAAUAAAAAACCACUUAUAUAAAUAAAAAUAUCUACAUUAAAUUAAAAAAAUAUUUCUUUUAUAAUUAUUUUUUAUAAUUUAGUAAUAUAUUUUUAUUUCAAUAAUUAUAAUAAUUUUUUAUCAAAAGAUUUUUUUUUAUGUAUUUUCCGUAGUAUAUAAUAUAUAUACACUCACAUUCUCAACUUUGCCCGUUACUCUUCUUUUCUUUCUCUUUUAUGGGUUUUUCAAAGCAUAGAUACUGUGUUGCGCUUCAGUGUUCCCAUUUCAAGUUUUCGCGCCAAAAUUCGUCUUCGAUUCAUCUCUGAAAUUCAAAGCUUCUCUCGUUCCGUCUUCAAUUUAUCGACCAAUCCUGUUAGGUACUGCGCUCUUGAACCUCUGCAAUUGCUCUUGCUAUUACAUGUUCUUCCUUGACGGAAAAGAAGGUUCUGGAGAACUUCUAUAUUUAUAGCUUGAGUUUGCAAAAUUUUGAAAAACAAAAAGAUAUGUUGAACUUUUAGGCGUUUGAUAAAGUCACGGAUUUGGUUCUGCUGGCUGUUUCAGUCACGGUUAUCUAUUUAAAGGAAUUUAGUUGAAGUUAUUUCGUUGUUUGCAUUUGAAAUUCUGAUUCUGGGAGUUAGCGUGUAACUGAAAUUUCUUUUAUUCUACCAAUUAUGAAUGAAAAUAUGAUGCAUAGUCAAUUGAGUUGUUGAUGCGAUUAUUUUGCUUAUUCUACCUCUAUAUCUAGGUCAUUUAAUCCUUUUCUGCUCCCCAUUUAUCUCACAGUAGUUGAUGAAAUAUUUGUUGAUGAUGCAAAGGUGUAUAUUCAUUGGAUUUUUCGGUGUUGUUAUCUCUUUUUCCUCAUUUUUGAUGGUGGAACAUAAGCAUUAUGAAGUCCUUUUGUCAUUACUCUUCAUUCAAGUUUUCGUCUUCCUUUGUGAAACUGCAAUUAUAUAGAGAGUUCAUAAAACUUUAUUGGAAGUUGAAAGUGCUGAUUAGAAGAUAGUCAUUUGUUGCUUUUUGAUUUAUUCAUAAAAAAAGUGACGAAUAAGUUAAUGAGAAAGCGAGAGCAGCUGUUAGCAUUCUGUGUGUGAAUGGGUUUAGUGUGUGAGAACAGAGGAGGGGUUAAUAUUUAGUCAGUUAGGAGCUAGGACUGUGAAUUAGAAUUAGUAAGUUUAUACAACUGAAUAGUACUUCUAGGUUUUCAAGUAUGCUUAUGAAAUUCUAUACACAAUCCUUUGUUUGUAAGAUCUUUGUUAGACAAGGAUCUGGUAAUGAACUGAAAUCAUCGUUGGAAAUUUUCUGCCUUGUAUGAUUUCAAGUAUUUAAUUUUUAUGAUUAAGUAGUUUGUUAUCUGCUUAAUGUAUAAUGUAUCAAUAUUUAUGUGUGCAAGUGUUCUCACAUUUUAACUUAGAGUUGCCCUAUUAUUUAAUGGUACAUUUUCCUAUUGACCUACUAAAAGUCCAACUCUUUCUGUGUUCAACUUGUUAUUUUUAAUUAAGAAACUUAUUGCUUCUUUAGUUGUAGGACUUUUGCAAUGAUAUCAUAGUUAUUAUGUUUUGGUAGAUUACGCUUGCCGUUGAGCACAUAUGCUAGCUCCUUUUCCUUUGUCUGGCUUUAAGUAAAGCCUAGUUUUAUUAUUAUUAAUCCAUGAAGAAACCUGAUGUACUGUUUUGUCUUGCAGUCUUUUUUAAUUCGACCCUUAGACAUGUAUGGUUAAUAUCCAACGGCUGAAAUGAGAUGCAAUGCAUGCUGGCGAGAACUAGAAGGGCGAGCCAUUUCCACAACUUGUGGUCACCUAUUAUGUAUCCACAUGCAAACAGUUUUGACCUCGUGUUCCUCCUUUUUAGUAAAAUAUGAUCAACUUAGUUCAUAUCAAAUUAGGUUGAAUUUCUGCAUGUUUAUCAUUGAAAUGGUUAUUAGUUUUUAUUUAUGUGGUUUCCUUAACACUGUUAAAAGGCACAGAUGAUGCCAAUAAGAUAUUAAGCAAUGACGGAGCAUGUCCUAUUUGUGAUCAAGUCCUUUCUAAGAGGUAUGGAUAUGAUUGGUAUCUGAUUAUAACGGUCAAUUAAUGGAACGAAUCAUCCCUCAGCAAUAUAUACUUUAAGCUUCAUGGAAAUAAUGUUUUAUUAUAGGAGUUAUGCUGAUUAUUUAAUUUUAUUCUACAUUAUAUGCUGUCAAUUUUAAGUUUCAUGGAAAUAAUGCUGAUGUAAGCGGUCAUUUGGUAGCAGUAAUAUCCCCUCAAUAAUUAGUACGUAUAAUUGUGCGGAAAUUUGAUGCUUUGUCUUCAUUUUUAGAUUUUGAGUUGUCAAUUUUAAGCUCAUGGAUGACGUGUUGUUGUCUAAGUUAUAUGUUUCUCCUCUUGUCAGUCUCAUGAAACCUGUGGAUGUCAAUCCCAAUGAUGAAUGGGUCAAUGUAAGUAACUAUUCUCAUGUGCAAUACUUACUACAUAUUACAUAAACCUAAGAUACUCUGUAAUUUGCUGAAUUUCACAAUCUUAUAUCUUCCUUUUCUUUAUUCUCACUAGCUUUGUUGUCAAUUAUUGUGAUUUUUAUGCUGCAGAUGGCCAUGGCAGGAGUAUCUCCACAGAUAUGUAUCCUUUAUGUCUAUUGUGUAGAGGUAGAACUGCGUAAAAAUAUAAAACUAAGGUUAUAUGUUAUAUCCCCUGGACUAUCUAGCAGUCUGAUUAUCGUAAAUGAAGUGCAUAUUCUGAAAUUCAAGAAAUUAAGAGGGUACCUUGACCUUGCGUGUUUACCUGAGCCAAUUUAGUAAUGAAGAGUGCAUAUAGAAGUGUGAUGUUCUACAUUGGGCAAAAAGAACUGGAAAUGCAGUUUAAGAUGAACAAGAUUGUUGCUCAAUGCCGCCAGAAAUGUGAGAUGAUGCAAGAGAAGUUUACAGAAAAACUAGAGCAGGUGCAUACUGCUUACCAAAAGAUGGCCAAGAAGUGUCAGAUUAUGCAACAGGAAAUUGAGAGCUUAACCAAGGACAAUCAAGAACUUCAGGAAAAAUUUGCUGAAAAAUCCAGGUCAGUGUAAAUUACAUUUCCUCUUCUACAAAAUUAUAUGUCGUUAUUAAUUCGCUAAAUCAAUUUCAAUUUCAAUUUCAGGCAGAAGAGAAAAUUGGAUGAAAUGUAUGACCAGCUGAGGAAUGAGUUUGACUCAGUGAAGCGAUCUGCCAUACAGCCUGCAAACAACUUUUAUUCCAGAAAUGACCACGAUUUGUUCUCUAACCCGCCGAACAUAAUUGAUGACAGAGAUAUUGGCAGAAAAGGUAACCCUUUACUUUCAAUAGUCAGAGGAUACUUCUUUUCAGUGUCAAUAGAAAUUGGAAAGCUUUUUAUGUUAUGUUAAAGUUUCAAAUAACUAUAAAACCGAAUAAAGUAUGAUUUAUUUAGUGUUUGUUUGAUUAAACUUGUCUAUCAAUACAAGGAGCUGAAAAAGAAAUUAAACAGUUUCUCCAUGAACUAAGUCAAAUAGAAAAUUAUUUUAAAAAAUUAAUAUAAGAAACUUCUACAAAACUAACUUAGAUAAGUUAAUUUUAAUUUAUGAAGAAAUUUAUUUUGUCUUUCCUUUUUAUUUUCUUGUAAUUGAAAACAUACCCUUAAAUAAUGUAAUGAAAGCAAUGAAGAAAAUGACAUCUAAUUACUACUACAACCUCUCCCACCACAGUCAUAACCCCAUCAUUGCAACUACCACCAUUAACAUCAUUAUUGUUGUAACUCACAUCUCCACGACGGUAAUGGAGCAACAAAGAAAAUGAUGGUGAUGAUCAUGGACUGUGUUUGACCUUGUUUUUGCUUAGAUGUUUCCAAAAGUAGAAUAACUUAUUUGCUGCAGGUGGGCCGGUAUUCACUCCUGCCACUCCAGGACCAAGAGAUGAUGUCUGGCCAGCAAGACAGAAUAGCAAUAACUCCGGUCCCUUUGAUCUCUCUGUUGUCUCACCGGCAAAACAAACGGCCAUCGCCGGGGACGCUGGUAACAGAAGGGCUGGUGCUCAUUCUGUUUUUGGACCUGGUGCUACUAAUAAUCCAUCCAUGACUUUGAGGAACAUGAUACUGUCUCCAAUAAAGAGGCCUCAACUCUCACGUAACCGCCCUCAAUUAUUCACGUGAGGAUUAAACUCAACUCUCCUAGUUUAGUUCUGCUGCACAUUCUUAAUCUUGUUAUAUUUUGGUGUUUCAGAUUGUAGGCACAAAGGAGGCGUAAACCUUCUGUAAUACCAGUUAAGCUUUUUCCUUCGGUUCUGGCNNNNNNNNNNNNNNNNNNNNNNNNNNNNNNNNNNNNNNNNNNNNNNNNNNNNNNNNNNNNNNNNNNNNNNNNNNNNNNNNNNNNNNNNNNNNNNNNNNNNNNNNNNNNNNNNNNNNNNNNNNNNNNNNNNNNNNNNNNNNNNNNNNNNNNNNNNNNNNNNNNNNNNNNNNNNNNNNNNNNNNNNNNNNNNNNNNNNNNNNNNNNNNNNNNNNNNNNNNNNNNNNNNNNNNNNNNNNNNNNNNNNNNNNNNNNNNNNNNNNNNNNNNNNNNNNNNNNNNNNNNNNNNNNNNNNNNNNNNNNNNNNNNNNNNNNNNNNNNNNNNNNNNNNNNNNNNNNNNNNNNNNNNNNNNNNNNNNNNNNNNNNNNNNNNNNNNNNNNNNNNNNNNNNNNNNNNNNNNNNNNNNNNNNNNNNNNNNNNNNNNNNNNNNNNNNNNNNNNNNNNNNNNNNNNNNNNNNNNNNNNNNNNNNNNNNNNNNNNNNNNNNNNNNNNNNNNNNNNNNNNNNNNNNNNNNNNNNNNNNNNNNNNNNNNNNNNNNNNNNNNNNNNNNNNNNNNNNNNNNNNNNNNNNNNNNNNNNNNNNNNNNNNNNNNNNNNNNNNNNNNNNNNNNNNNNNNNNNNNNNNNNNNNNNNNNNNNNNNNNNNNNNNNNNNNNNNNNNNNNNNNNNNNNNNNNNNNNNNNNNNNNNNNNNNNNNNNNNNNNNNNNNNNNNNNNNNNNNNNNNNNNNNNNNNNUAAUUGGAUGAAGAGAAAUAAGUGAAAAUAAAAAUUAUUUAGUUAAAAAAUUAAAAAUAAAAAUGAUUUUAUUAAGAUAAAUAAAAUAAAAGUUAAUUUUUAAAUUAUUUAAUUUUAAAAAAUGAAUUAUUAUCUUUUAAUAAAAAUUGUAUUAUUUAAUUAUAUUAUUAGUGUAUUAUUAUUUUUUAUUGUUCAUUUUUUGUUAAAAUAAUAUUGUUUUAAUUUUUAUUUAUUAUUAUUAUUAUAGAUAGGAGCAUGUAACACAAACCUAACAAAAUAGCACAAUUGAGAGAGAAAUUUUGAAGCAUAAUCAAUUAAAUUGCAUAAUUAAUUAUUAUAUUAGAAACGUAAUUUCUGCCUUUGUUUUUUCUUAAAAAACAGAGGGGAAAAAAGUGGAACUUAUUUUUUUAUAUUUUUCUAUCUCAUUUUCAUCUCUACCAAACUAUUUUAUUCUUCUUUUUCUCUCCCUCCUUCCUUUCCAUUUUAUUAAACAGAUUGUGAUCAACAAAUCCAGAACGUAGGAAAACAAACGGGUCUUCAACAUGCUGUUUUAAAGUGCACUAGAUGGUUACUAAAUUCUAUGGUUAGUGUACUAGCAUGAAAAUCAAUCUUGGUUUUCAAGUUGUUUUCAAGAAAGGUCUGAUGAAGAUGAUGGUGGCUGAUAUAUUGUGUGAAUGACCUCUUUCCAUGUCCGAAUGUAAAAAUCCGUAGAAAAAAUUAGGUCAUAAACUUGCACUAGAAUAUCGUCUAUAAGUUCCGAAGAAUGGAUUGUGCUUCUAUUGGCCAACUAGAUUUCAACACCUAUAGUUUUCAAUGGGGCAAGAGACAAGGAAGGAAACAAAGGCAUAAGAUUAAUAGACACUCCUAAAUCAUGCAUAACAUUGUCAAAUGUGUUAUUAUCUAUGAUGCAAGGAAUAAUGAAUGUGUUUGGGUCUUUGCAUUUUUCAAUAAUUUCAACCCUAGGUUUCGUAAUAACUUUAGAGACAUUCAUGUCCAUGUUAACCUUUUCAUUACCUUUUAAACCUAUCUUUUUUUUAUAAAAGCUUUGAUGUUACCUUUUAAACGUAUCUGUGUUUACAUAGAUCCCUUAAAAAUUUGGCAUACUUUGGGAUCUAUUUAAUAAUGUCUAGUAGAGGAAUGUUCCUCUACCUUGAAGGUCUCCAAAAUCUCUUUAUACACCUCUUCCAAUUUCUUAUUCUUCUAUACAAAACCUCUAUGGAAAAGGAAGAUGGAUAAAUUGUUGUUCCAAAUUGGUAGACGAUUAUUUUCUGCCAGUAUGAUCUCUACUGUCAAAUCUAGAAUUCACUCUUUCAGUGAUGAGGACAUUGGAAUCAUAUAAUUCAGGAAAUGAAAGAUAAAUUGAACUGCUUUGAGGGGCAGGCGUAACUCUUCUUUGUUCGGGUUCCUAUGCUUAAACUUGCUAGACUAUCUAACAUUAUAUGAGUCUCAGUAUGUUGUAGUUUUUGCAUACUCUUACCUGAUCUCAACAUAAUUGCACUGACAUUUUUUGGGUUGAUAAUUGUCUGGAAAGGCAACUUGUUGAACCAUUGAGAUUGUAUCUCGUUUACCCUAGUGGCCAAUUGACCAAUUUGAUUUUCCAAGUUUUGAAUGGUGAUAUUUGUUCUCUGUUGGAAAUUCAUGUUGUGCUUAACCAUCUGUUUCAUCUUGUCUUCGAGAGACAAUCCAUUCUUGGCUGGUAUAGCAACUAGUGGUGACAAUUGUUGCUCUGUAGGCAUAAAUGUGGGGGUUUGUGAGGUGGCCUAGUAACAUGUUGAUAUGACAUAUUAGCUUGUUGCUAUUGUGCAUGUCGUUCCCCUAACUCAUACUAGGAUGAUUUCUCUAACUUGGGUUCUAUUUGUUGGAGGAGAGAUCAGGGUUGUAGUGUUAAAAGGAAAAAUCAAUAAAUGAUCCAUUGAUGAGAUAGAGAAAAGCGAAAAAGGAUGUGAGAGACAUUCCACGUGUGCAAUGUGUGCCCCAAAUCAUCAAGUUAACGCCGUUGGUGAAAACUUAACGGAAGGGACCAAAUUGAACCUUUUAAAAAAAUUUUGGAACCAAAUUGAUUUUUUUUUUAAAAGCCACUAUAUUGAAUUGAAUAUUGACUCCAAGAGUAGAGACCAAAAAGUAAUUAAAUCUUUUAUAAUUUACCUUAUAAUUAUUAAUAUUAAAUUUUUUGAAGUAUAUUUGUUCUGAAAUAUCACAUGAGCAAGAGAAAAAUGUUCUUAAUUCACAUUAUUGAUAAGGAGCACUAGAGUUUGCCUUCUUAAAGGGACAAAGUUUGAUGGGCUAAAUCUUCUUAUGGUAUUUGUCACAAAGCAAAAUAUUUACGUAAGGAGAGCAAUUUAAAAUAUAUAUUACAUAAAUGGAUAAAUAUUUUUUUAUUAAGAAAAUAGGUAAGUCGUGAUAAUGUGAGACGACUUUGUAAGAAUAUUAUGUGGCACCUCACGAUUAUUUAUCUUAUUAAUUGAUCAAUUAUCAUAAUUAUCCUAUUAUAUUAUUGGUAAUUACUUUAUGGACGUAAUUACUCUUACCAUAAAUAAUUAGGGUUUCCCCUUGGGUGUAUUAUAAAUAGAGAUUACCAGACAACUAAAGAGACACUCUCAUAUUCUAACAUCACACGGCCGAAACUCAUUCUCUAAAGAGAUUUUCGAGCCUCUCAUCUCUUUAUCUCUCUACUCACAUAAUUCCAUUCUAAGCGAUACACCCUAAAGGGGAACCCGAUCAAGAUCAUGUCUUCGUCCUUCAGUCAUACGAUCACGGGUCUACCAGUUAUUAUUUAAUCAUUAUUCUCGUUUCAUUAUAUGAUUGAGGAAUCCUAAUCCAACAUGUGGUAUCAGAGCGUUUAUGUUGCUUAAUCGAUUCUUCUUUCGUUUUNNNNNNNNNNNNNNNNNNNNNNNNNNNNNNNNNNNNNNNNNNNNNNNNNNNNNNNNNNNNNNNNNNNNNNNNNNNNNNNNNNNNNNNNNNNNNNNNNNNNACCUUGAUAUCAUAAAAUAAAUUUUAAUUUUUUUGAGAUCCAUAAAAAAUUUAAUAUGAAUGUUAUGUGUUCUUCAUAAUUUUCGUGAGUAUUCCCUUAUUUGGAAUGAAAUUAAUUUUGAUUCUAUGUUCAUCAUCAUUAUUUGUUGUUCAUAUAAUUUUCUUGAGUAUUACCUUAAUUAGGAAUGUAUUUGAUUUAAUUGUGUUUUCCUAAAAAAAUAAAAAUAAAAAUUGAUAUCUUAGUCUCCAAGUUUUUACUUAUUUAGGAUAGUAUAUUCUUGUCUUAUUAAUUUUCGGGUAUUAUUAUUAUUAUUACUAUUUUCGAAAAUAGCAGUCGUGUCAAACUUGGAAACAUAUCAAUCUAAUUAAAAUUUUGAAGACCAAAUCUAAAAUCAAAUCCCUAAUAUUCCGCUACUCACCUUAUUGGGUUUACGAGUAACAUAUUUACGCGGUAAAUCUCAUGAUACCGUAAUUAUGUUUAAAAAAAAAAAAUACUUAUUUUGUUAAACUCUUAAAAAAAAAAAUAUUAAGUUUGACAAAAUUAAAAUUAAAAUUUUUGCUUAAACUUAAUAACAUGAGUCUCCCUUCUGUCCAACGAUGAUGUGUUAUAUCUUGUUAUUUGAGUCUAAUUAAGUACCUUCACUUACUUGUGAGUACACUUAAUUAUUAAAUAUUCACAUGACAUUUGUCUAAAAACACAAUUAUUUCUAUUAUGUCCAACGAUGUUUGAUGCACUUGUGUUUUGCAACCUUAAUAUGUGCAUACGCUUAAAUGUUCUCUUCUGUCCAAAGAUGAUGUGUCACAUUCUUAUUGCACAUACCUUACUUAUAAUUGUUCAUUAUGCUUAAAUAAUUGGUAAUUAACCAAAGUGAAAGCUGAUUGUUUAAGUAGAACUUAAUUUAGUCUAUUAUUUUGAUGUUAUAAUAGAUUUUAUCACAACUUCAUUAUCAUAAAGGUUCUUACUUAUGCCUGCUUUAGAUCUAAGUUUGCCUAUGUCACUCUAACUUUUUCCUUAGCCUAAGUAUCUUAAUUCGUCGUCUAACCAGCCCCUAAUAUGGGAAUUGAGACCUUGACUGGUGAAAAUCAGUGAAGGUUUCCUAGUCCACUUCAUUAUGACUUCUCUUCCUUAUGUGUUUGAAGCCUUCAAAGUCAACUAUAAUACUCAAAAGGACAAAUGGUCCAUGGGUGAGUUGAUUACUAUGACUGUUCAAGAAGAAGAGCGCCUGAAGUUGGAGAAACCAGAUGUUGCUUACCUCGUGGCUGCUGAAUCGAAGAAGCGGAAGGGCAAAUUCCAUUAAAAGGAAUCUAAUAAGGUCCCUAAAAGUGAUGCAAGUGCACCCUCCAGCUCUAACAAAUCCACUAGCAAGUCCUACUGCAAGUUCUGUCGCAAGGUAGGACAUAAGCAGUCUGAGUGCUCAAGCUUUAAGGAGUGGCUGGCUAAGAAAGGUAAUCAUCUAAAUAUGAUAAUUGAGUCCUUUAAUUUAAAUGUUCCAACUAAUACUUGGUGGUUUGAAUCUGGUUCUAUGGUUCAUGUGACCAAUUCAAUCCAGGGAUUCCUUACAAUCCGGAAGUUGGAAAGAAACCAAAGAACACUUAAGAUGGGGAAUGGACAAGAACUAUUUGUCGAAGCUGUGGGAACCUUAGAAUUACUUAUGAAAACUGGAAAAUGUAUUAAACUUUAUGANNNNNNNNNNNNNNNNNNNNNNNNNNNNNNNNNNNNNNNNNNNNNNNNNNNNNNNNNNNNNNNNNNNNNNNNNNNNNNNNNNNNNNNNNNNNNNNNNNNNAUUACUCGGAAUCUUGUAUCAGGACCAAAGUUAGACAUUGAUGGUUUUUAUGUUUCCCAUGGUCAUGGCAAACUUACUAUUUCUUUAAAUUCUCAAUUGUUUGGUACUGGUUUUCUGGAUAACGGUCUUUAUAAGUUAGAACUAGAUGAUAGCUUCUCCAAAUCUUUUUUAUCAUAUAAUAUUAAUGAGAACUUAAAAAAGACCAAGAGAAAACGAGACUUAGAAACUUCAUCCAUGUUGUGGCAUCAAAGUUUAGACCACAUUUCACGAGAUCAUUUAUCUCGACUUGUGAAGGAUGAAGUCUUACCAUCUCUCGAUUUCACUGAUUUUGGAACAUGUGUCAAAUGCCUCAAAGGCAAAAUGACAUCCACGACUAAGAAAGGUGCCACUAUGAGUUCAAAAUUAUUAGAACUUAUUCAUACUGACAUUAGUGGCCCUUACAACAUCGUUGGAAUAACAGGACAUAAUUCAUUUAUCACUUUUAUAGAUGAUUAUUCUCGUUACAUGUACUUGUAUCUCAUUAAGGAAAAAUAUGAAUCACUUACAACUUUUAAAGAUUAUAAAACUGAAGUUGAAAACUAACUUGAUCUUCACCUUGCUAAAGUCGUUUCAAAUAAAGAAGAUUUAAUUAAACAAAGAAGAACUUGUUAUGUGUUUCCACAACUUUAGUGUUAUAUGUGAUUUCGCUUUGAGGUCGUUCUAGGUUGGAAUGACUUUGAUUGAGUAAUUUUCUAAUUUUCUAUCUCACGCCAUCAACAAAAGUUUGUGCAACAACACCUUGUACCCGAAGUUGUGCAUCUCAAGCAUAGCCUAUUAACCCGACUUGGUCGACAAAGCUUCCAGCAAUAAAAAUUUGAUUUUUUUAUCGACUAAGAAUAAAUGUAAUAAAAUAGAAUACUUAAUAGGUACUCCAAUCCUUAUAUAAAAACAAUCCAUAUAAGAGUACAUACUACCUAAACACCAACAACUAGUACUGAAAUAAUCCACCUCAUUAUCUCUUUGACUGGUUGUAACACCAGCUUGGACACCAUCUAGAUUGCUCCUAGUGCUACACCAAAGAAUAAAAAAAAAAAUACAAGAGGACGUAUGUGGCAAAAAUAUGUUACACUAGAUUGUAAUAAUCUAGUUUAUAUAAUGAAACAAUUAUUUGUUUGAUAUUUUAUUUUCUUUAUAUAAUAAAGCAAUUAUUUGUUUAAUAUUUUAUUUUCCUAUCAAGAGGUGCAAAUAUUUUUAUAUAAUCCAAUUAUAGUAUGAUAAAAUUAGUAAUUAUUUUAAAAUAUAAUCCGUAUUGUUUUUAAUUUAUUAAUAAUGCAACAAAAAAACUGUAGUAAAAAGUACGAAAAUCUAACAUCACAAAUGUUAGUAGUUUUAAAAUAUGUUUUAUUCACUUGUAAAAAUUAUUUUAUUCAAUUAUACUUUUUAGAUUUAGUUCUUCUUUAAUAAUUUAAUCCUUGUAUAUAAUAAAAUUAGUAUAGGUUUAGUCUUUCAAAACAACUAUUUUUAAAAACUAAAAAAAUAAAUUUUAUCUUUCAUGAAUGUAUACCUCUGUUUAGUCCUCAAUGGCUUUUAACUCCUUUAAUAUAUGCAAAUAUACAAAGAGGUAAACUUAUUUUUAAAAAUUGUUUAGAUGAAAUAGGACUUUCAAAAGAACUAGAGUAGUUGAAAUUAUUAUUACCUUUUUUAGUUUUUUUAAUAAUACUUUUUUCAUGUGAUGAUAAAUGAUUGUUGUUAUUUGAAGUAUCAACAUAGUUGAGAUGUCAAGUUUUUUAUAACCAAAAUUAUUAUUACUAAUUUAAAAUAUCCUUCCAUUUCUUCCAUGUUGGUUCCCCUUCCACUUUCAUUUUACCAUCAUGACCCGUUUAGUAACAAUAAUAAAAAUUAAUAAAAAUCAAACCUUUUCCUUUCAUAAACUUAUUCAUUUUUAGUUAAACAUUUAUAUAUGAUGUAAGUUUGAAAAUUUUCAGUUAAAGAUUUAUAUAUUGUGUAAGUUUGAAAAAAUUCAGUUAAACAUUUAUAUAUGAUGUAAUUUUGAAAAUUAAAGAGCAAAAACUAGAAAAUUAAAGAUUAUUAUGAGACAAAUAGGAGAGAGAGUUUCAAUAGAUGGAUCAUUAAUAAAUAGGAAAAUACAUGCUUGCUUGAUAUGAUGGAAGUGCCCCGAAACGAGAUUAAGAAAUGAAGAUAAAUUAGGAAGAUGAAAUAAGAAGAUUAAGAAAUGAAAAUAAGAAAAGUGAUUUUUAAAAUUAUGUGUGCUUACAUGAUAUAAUUCCAAAAAGAACUAAUAGAGGAAGGCGCCAUAAAUAAACCUAAGGAUGAUCGCCAUAAGAAUUGGUGGAUUCUUGAUAAGAUCGCAAGAUGAAGGAAAAAAACCCUAGCAGAGAAAUAUUCUCUCUUAAAAAAUCCCAAAAUAUUCACCCCUCAUUUUGAUUUCCAAAAGUGUAUAAAUACAAAUUUAGUUAUAGGUCUUGGGUUCAAAUCCUAACUCCAAGCAAAAUAAUAAUAUUAUUUUAUUUUAAUACUCCAAGUAUGUUGUGUAUGCAAUCAGCUUAGUCUUUUUAAAAUAAGGAUCAUUCAACAAUUGGACCUCUAAAAGAUUAGUCGUCUUUAGCUUGAAUGUUUGCAUCAUUACAACUUAUUAAAAGUGAUAUGCGCUUUCUCUCUAAAAUUGUUAAAAGUCGCCUCCGAAAAUAAAUGUGUAAAAAAGUGAAGUGAGAAAUCAAUGGAAUUUGUUGUAAAAUCACUUAAACUUACAAGAGGUCUCAUAAUAAAUUUCAAUAUUAAAAUUAAAUAUUUUAGUGUUUACAAGAAUAUCUUAAUCGUAGAAUUAUUAGCAACACUAUUUUUUUCAGAAAUCACUUGAAAAUUUAAACCCUUAAACAAAAUUAUAUUAUAAAAAACUAAAAGUACAAAUUAGAAUUUAACUUUAAAAUAUAACUGAGCAAAAUCACUUGAAAUAGUCUUUAUUGAUAAAUGUUUUAUUAAUAGAAAUUAGGAUAAGAAAUUAGGUCUUUCUUCUAAACUAUUCCAAGGAGAGCAUUGAUCUUUCUCUCCAGCAAAAAUCAAACAUGGUCCAUCUUCUUUGACUACCCAACUGCAUAAGGAACAUCUAGCGGCAUCCCUGUUUGCUUUGUAAAUAUCAAACCUAUGCACGACAGAAUCCCAUUGAAAAGAACAAUGGUACAAUGUUGUUUCAAAGAAGUUAAUUUUGAAACUCCAUGAAAAAGUACCUUGAGGAUGAAGAUGUUGCACACCAAGAUCAUUGUCAGCAGAUUCGCAGUGAAGGAACAGAUCUCGAUUUUCCUGUAAUUCAUUUCUUACAAUCACAGUUGGUUGUGGUAAUUUUGGUAUAGAAAAAGCAUGACUUGUUAAAGAUUGAACAAGCAACCAAAGUAAGAAAAAACUUUUAACAAUCACAUACAUAGUUCCUUUUCCAAUUAUCAUACUCUAAGUUUAGUUAGAAUGUUAUGAUUAUUAUUAUAUUUAUAGGUAUAAUCAUCAAUAUCAAUAUAAUUAAUAAUAUAGAAAUUAUUAAUAUUCAUAUUUUUAAUAUCAUUUUUAUUAUUAUUCAAAUCGAUGAUACUAUUAGUUAUUACAAAAAUAUUAUUAAAUAUUAUUAGCAUUAUUAAAUAAUAUUGAAUAUUACUAAUAUUAUUAAAUUAAUUAAAUAUUAUUAAUAUUAUAAAAAGUAUUAUUCAAUAUAAUUAAUAUUAUAAAAAAUAUUAUUAAAUAUUAUUAAUAUUAUUAAAUAUUAUUAAUAUUAUUCAAUAUUAAUAAUAUUUUUAAAUACUAUUAAAUAUUUUUAAAUACUAUUAAAUAUUAUUAAUACUAUUAAAUAUUUUUAAAUACUAUUAAGUAUUAUUAAUACUAUUAAAUAUUUUUAAAUACUAUUAAGUAUUAUUAAUACUAUUAAAUAUUUUUAAAUACUAUUAAGUAUUAUUAAUACUAUAAGUAUUAUUAAUACUAUUAAAUAUUAUUAAGUAUUAUUAAUACUAUUAAAUAUUAUUAAGUAUUAUUAAUAUUAUUAAAAAUUAUUAAUUUUAUUAAGACUAUUAAAUAUUAUUAAAUACUAGUGAAAACACUUAUAUAUAUAUAUUAACAUUUUUAUUUUUAUCAUUAUGAUAUGUAUAUUUAUAUUUAUUAAAAUAACUAUAAAUUUAUAUGUAUUCAAAUUUUAAAAAGCUCUAAAAAAAAAGAAAAAUACUCAUUUAAAAUAUUUAAUUUUAAAUAUUUGCUUGUAAGUUGAAAGUUCUUAGCCAUGGGAAAUUCUUUUAAUAUUUUCUAAGUACACACCUUUAAGGAAUAUUUAGUUGGAGAAUUCUUUUACACUAAAUAAUUGGAAAAGUUUAUAAUAUCUCUUUAUAACUCUUGAAUUUUAUUAACAUUUUUUAAUAUAACGGUCAUAUGCUAGAACCAUUAAAUUAAGGAAAAAAUAAUGGUGAAUUUUUUUGAAAAUUAAAAUAGCUGUGAGAUGUAGUUAAACUUAAUGAAUUCAAUUAUAUUUUUAAAAAACUAUCUAAAUUCAUUAUUUUUAAAUUCCACUAGUAACAACCAUAAUUACAUUGUUUUUAAAAAUUUUGUUUAUCUCAUUAGUUAUUGUCAAAAUUAUGUAGUAUGAAAAAACUUUGAAGAAAUUUCAUAUAUAAAAGAUAAAUUUACAAUUUUUUUUUGUAUGUUUGUUACUUGUAAUAAAAUCAUUAUGAUUGAAUUUUAAAUAAUAAUAAAAAUUUUAAAUAACGAUAACAUUUUUCUAAAGAAAUUUAUUUUAAUAGUUUAAAUUUAUUUAAAACUACAAACUUAAAAAAGAAAAUAAUUAAAUAUAAUUUGAGUUUUUUAUUCUUUUAUAAAUUUUUAAUAUUUUAUCAAUUUUGUGAAUCAAAUGGAGAAUUGAAACCAUGCAUUAAACCGAUCAAGUAUGACAUGUAGCAAACAUGUCAUACGAGAGGGGUGGUCCUUAAGGAGUGAAGGAAUGAGUUCUCAGAGUGACAUAAGUUGGUCAUACUUAUUUUUUUUAUCAGUAAUAAAAAAUAAAUAAAUAUGAACCUUCUCCACUUUGAUUGAAUCUAAGGAUGAUCGCCAUAAGAAUUGGUGGAUUCUUGAUAAGAUCACAAGAUGAAGGAAACAACCCUAGCAGAGAAAUAUUCUCUCUUAAAAAAUUCCAAAAUAUUCACCCCUCAUUUUGAUUUCCAAAAGUGUAUAAAUACAAAUUUAGUUAUAGGUCUUGGGUUCAAAUCCUAACUCCAAGCAAAAUAAUAAUAUUAUGUUGUGUAUGUAAUCAGCUUAGUCUUUUUAAAAUAUGGGUCAUUCAAAAAUUGGACCUCCAAAAGAUUAGUCGUCUUUGGCUUGAAUGUCUGCAUCAUUACAACUAAUUAAAAGUGAUAUGCGCUUUCUCUCUAAAAUUGUUAAAAGUCGCCUCUGAAAAUAAAUGUGUAAAAAAGUGAAGUGGGAAAUCAAUGAAAUUUGUUGUAAGAUCACCUAAACUUACCAAAGGUCUCAUAAUAAAAUUCAAUUAAAAUUAAAUAUUUUUGUUUUUACAAGAAUAUCUUAAUCGUAGAAUUAUUAGCAACACUAUUCUUUUCAGAAAUCACUAGAAAAUUUAAACCCUUAAACAAAAUUAUACUAUAAGAAAAUUAAAAGUACAAAUUAGAAUUUAACUUUAAAAUAUAACCAAGCAAAAUCACUUGAAAUAGUCUUUAUUGAUAAAUGUUUUGUUAAUAGAAAUUAGGAUAAGAAAUUAGUUCUUUCUUCUAAAUUUUUCCAACCAUAGCAUUCAUCUUUAUCAAAAACCAAACAUGGUCCAUCUUCUCUGACUUCCCAACUGCAUAAGUAACAUUUAUUGGCAUCCCUGCUUGCUUUGUAAAUAUCAAACCUAUGCACAACAGAUUCCCAUUGAAAGGAACAAUGGUACAACGUUGUUCUAAAGAAGUUAAUUUGGAAACUCCACGAAAAAGUACCAUGAGGAUGAAGAUGUUGCAGACCAAGAUCUUCGUCAGCAGAUUUGCAGUGAAGGAACAGAUCUCGACCUCCUUGUAAUUCAUUUCUGACAAUCACAGUUGUUUGUGGUUUUGGUACAGAAAUAGCAUGGCUUGUUGAAGGUUGCACAAGUAGCCAAAGUAAGAAAAAACUUUUAACAGUCACAGACAUUGCUCCUUUUCCAAUUAUCAUGUUGUAAGGGAUGAACACACCACAAAUGAUAUUUUUCCAGUUACAUAUACUUAAAUGUUACCUUACAUAAAUUUUAGUAACAUUUUUUUUAUAUAAAUGUUGCUAUAAAUAAAAUAAACACACUAUUGUUACAUUUUGUAAAUAAAUGUUACGAUAAAUAAAUGCUACGAUAAAUAAAUUUAACGUAAUAUAUGGUGUCAUACUUUUAAAAUGUCACUAAAAGAUAACUCUUUUAAUUAAAUAAAAUAAAAAUAAUAAUUAAAUGAGUUUGUAUUUCUCAGAAUUAGUAUUUCACUAAAAAAAUUAAUAAAUAUGGAUUAAUUUAAAAGAAAAAUAAUAAUAAUAAUUUUAUUAAAUUACAUGAUCAAAUUCAUGGAUUUUAUGCAGAAAAACAUCUUUGAGAGAAAAGAUGGAGAGUUUUCGUUUUUUCAAGAAGAGAUUUUUGAUUAUUCUAUAAGUUAAAAUACAGCUAACUUCAUGAAUGGGUUGUCCAAACAACACAAUUGACAUAUAAUUUUCAACUUUCAAAAAAUAAACUAACACUAUUAGAAGAAUAUAUACUUUACUAAUUUUUUAAAAAAAUCCUUAUAAAAUAUUUAUAAAUUUUGCUAUCAAUAAUAAUUUACAAGAAAUUAUUACCAAAUUUACUUUUAUUUAUUUAAGUUUGUAUAUUAAAAGAAUUUAGGAAGUUACAGAAUUUUUAAAGUUUUUCAUAUAGAGUUUCUUAGAAAAAAAAAUUAAAAGAUAAUUUUUUAAUAUUCUAGAGUGAAUUGAUAAAAUUUUAAGAAAAUUCUCCUUCCUUUUCCUCUUGUAUACUCUCAGUAGUAUCGUUCUUUUCACUCUCAGGUUGGUUCCUCUUCCUCAUUUAGUCUUUAGUUUAUCUUGCUAUGUCUUUGAGUCUCAUUGUAUUCUCAUUGUUAUAGAUACGUGAUUGAUCACUCUCACUAUCUCGUUCUCGCACUCAAACUCAGUUAAGCUUUUCUCGAUCUCUCAUAACUCUCUAUUUCGAUCUUACGACUCGCAUUAUUAUCAGUGACGAUGCUUAAACACAUGUACUUGAAUUUGAACUUUCAGUAUUACAAGCUUAAAGUUGUUCUUAGAAUUAGGUAGGAUUUUUUGUUUUUUUUAUUUGAUUUUCUUUUUCAUUUUCGCUUCAAAUUUAAUUAUUUGAUUUUGGAUCACUUUAUUCUAAAAUGUUUAUAUGAAAAUUACUUUGAGAAUGAGAAUUAUCCCUGCUUAUCAUUCUAUUUAUUAUUCUUAAUGAAAUGUAAAUCUCUGGAAUUAGUUGUGAUUGCAAUUAAGAUUUUGUUGAAACAACUUAUUGAAAUCAAAAUCAGUUUUAGUUCUUAUCAUGUAGAUUUUCUCAUUGAAGUUUUUUUUGUCCCUCACAGGUUUACUAAUUUGUGUUUCUGAUUUCUCGUUUAUCAUGCAUACUUACUUUAUUACUUUAUGGUGCUUUGAUUUGAAAUAAGGUUUUUGAUUUGGAGAUUUGAUGCAUACUUACAUCUUUAUCAACUUUUUUAUAGAGUUUUUUCAAAUUAAACUCUAAUUUUAAAAGCCAUAUAUAUGAGUAUGUGUGUAAAUCAUAGUUAAUCUCUCUGGUUGAUGAAAUUUAUAAGUAAUUCAUCAGGUCUAAAUUUUAACUUUAAGCUCAAAUAAAAAAAUUCCCAAAAAAACUCAAACUCAAAUUCACCCAAAAGCCAUUCAAAUAGGUCAACUCUUUUUUUUUUUAUUUACAUAUUCACCCUUAAUCAUGCCAUACAAAGAAGAAGGCAUUGUUAGAAAGUAAGUAACAUAAAUUAUGCAACGUAAAUUUUUAAAACAUAGAAACCCCCCUCCAUGGUGUCUUUUCCUUUUUCUUUCUUCUCUCUCUAUCUCUCUAACUUUCUUCAUUCUCUCUUUAAUUUUCUCUCUCAUACCUCAUAUAUUUCAAAAUCUGAUCAGGUCAUGUUGUACCUCAGGAGUCAAAGAACAUUUAUACCCGAUCAGAUUUUCAAAUAGAGUAAGUUCAUUUUUACCCUAAAGAUUCCUUAUUCUAUGUUUUUCUCUAUGAUUUAGUAAUCAAUCUUGAUGGGGACAAUUGAGAAAAGUGUUCAUCUCAACUUGUUUUCAACUUGUUUUACCAUAUUUUCAAAUUUGGUAAUAUUUCAGGUAAGGGAAUAAAUGAAAUUUCAGGUAAGGGAAACUAACGUUAAUUUUUAAUAGCACCAUAGGCUAGAAGAUUUGAAUUUGGAGGAGACGUGGUCCCAAGUUUCAAUUUCUCUUGCAAGGAUAUUAUUUGAUAAAAUUGUUUGAUUUUAUGUUGUGAGGAACAUGUAUAAAUAUUAGAUUUUGAUAGUUUGGAAGUUAAAUACUUUUUUUGAUGUAGGAAAGUGUUCUUGCCGGCGAACUAAGGUCGGGUCUUGGUUGUGGACUCCAGGUUGAAUCACCUUUACUUGUUGUUGCUUCAAGAUGCUAGUACUCUGCAACGAGAGGGGCUCCACUUGUUGACAAGACUCUGACGAUCAAGUCAUUCAGAGCAUACAACUAUGAAUAUCUAAGUGUAGGGUUACUAGAAAAAAAAGUCCUUUUACUCAGGGUCUCAAGCCCUUUUAUAGUUUUCAUAGACUUUUUGAUAUGAUUCCAAUAGCACAAUAUGAAUGAUUCUUGACAUUCUUAGGAAUCAUCUUGAGUUGGAUAUGAGCUAGACACUUUAAGAUAGAAUUGGAUCAAGGUUCUAUAAUCAAGAACUCACCAAGACUAGUACUAAAACCCAAACUCAUAUGGAAGUUCCAUGUAUUGUCAAAUUGAACCGAACAAAUGGAGUGAAAAAGCAAAGGCACCGAAUAAAAUGUGUAAAAACUAAAUUGCACCAAACAAAUAGCUAGAAAAGGAAGAAUAACCAAAGAUGAAUAGCAGAAUUUAAAAUGAACCGAAGCAAACCAAAAGAACUAGAAUUGCCGAACUGAAAAAUGCAAGAACAACAAGAUAAGACAUGAACAUAAAAGAGAAGGAAGGAAGGAGAAGAGAAAGCUCAUGAAGAUGGAGGAAUGGUUGAAUGAUCACGCCACUUAGAGGAUGGUGACUCCAAGAUGAGUGUGCAAGCCGCCACUUGAGGUAACCAUGGGACUCUCAAGAUAAGACUAGUGAGGAAGGCACAAAGCUCUCCAAUGCUCUCUCAAAAAUUGAGUAUAGUUUCUCUAAUCAAAAUUCAAAUCUGAACUGUACAAGCUAAGCACCUUUAUUUAUAGCCUAGAGGUGUUGAAAAAUAGGUGGGAAAUUUCAAAUAAACUCAUUUGAAAUUCCCACAAAAAACAAGUCACAUGGGAGGUGUGACCUUUUUCUACUAUGACACCUCCCAAAAACUACACCUACACCACUCUCCUAAGUCACAUGGGCAAUGUGACUUUAUUUUGCAUUUUCACACUCCUUUAUUUAAUAACCACACCUCCUAAAAACUAUACAAGAGUAUUUCAAAGCUUGGCCUUGCCCCUCAUGGGAUGGACUUGGGCUCUUUGGGCUUUGGCCUUCUUGGGCUUGGGCUUGGGCUUUGGGCUUGGGCCUCAUCUUUAUUUUAUGUCUUCUUUUAAUUUUGAGAAGACUAGAAGGAAGAACUUCAAAUAUGAGGGUGGAUGUCCUCUUCCUCCAUUAAUAAAAGCCUCCUUUAUUUGAUUCUCAUCACUUUUCUUCAACAAUUUCAUCAAGCAAGAAUAUUUUGUUAACAUAUGCCUUUCUUUUGCGGGUACAUUCAACAUUUUCUCCAACAGUUUUUAUUCAUCAUUAUCUCUAAUGAUUUUUAUUUACAUCAAAAUAUAUAUACGUUUAACCAAUUUUGUUGUUCUCUAUGUCACUUUGUUUGAAUUAUCUUUUUAGUAUGAAUUUUCAAUUAUUUGGGUCGACCUCAUGACACAUGGCCUAUUAUUCAUCCCAGGCCAAGCUAGGUACUUCCCAAGUGGGCCUGUCUGACCGAGCUAUCACACUUAAGUGCUUGGAUCGAGGACUUGAGCACGUCUGACCAGUACACAGCCCCUAGGCUCAAGACGAGGUUGACGAGGCGAAUAGGCUCUCUUGUAUCGAUGACUGACAUGACGUUUCUCACAAGGGGUAGUUGGGACGCGAUUACCAAAGCGACUCCUGAAAAUACAUCUCACCCUACUAAACACGAAGCGUACACGUGGCACGUAAAUCGACGGUGGAGAAAUCCUAUCAUUUCGCCUUCCUCAUUUUCAAAUAAAUCAUUUCUUUUCUCUUCAAACCCAUCACUUUUGCUUUUGAUCUUUCUUUAUGCUUAACCAAAAGCCUUUCUUCCUUCCUCGCGCCACCUCUCACUGUCAUUUCCCAUCAGAGAAUCAAGUAUGGUUUAUCCACUUAACUUUGUUGGGUGAUUAUCACUUUUCUUAGUGGAUUUUAACUUGUGAAAUGUAUCUUAGUCUACGUUGAUUCAAUUUAUUAUGCAUGUGUUUUGCCCUGAACUGUGUUCGUAUUGUAUCUUUGUUUAUGUGUUAGUUGCUUUUGAAGAUAGAUUAUAACUCUGCAUAUCCCUGGGCUAAAAUGGAAUUGCUUAAAGAAACUUCUAUUUUCACGCCCCGUUUGAGAGUUAGGGAGUUAAGGGAAUCAGGGGGUCUGAGUAAAAAAGAUGAAAACUUAGUAAAGGUCAUCCCUUGUAGGGAGGGUGAGCCUAUAUGUAAUGAUGAGUCAUCAGACCCCGACGGGCCGUUUUGUGUUUUCUAUGCCACAUUUUUCACCAAAGUGUUACUUCGUCUUCCCCUAUCAAUUUUUGAAAGAGAGUUGUUAACCGAGCUGAGCGUGGCUCCUAUCCAGUUGCAUCUGAACAACUGGGCGUUCAUCCGAGGCUUUAUAAUUUUGUGUUCCCAUCUUGACAUUUCGCCAACUGUGGAGGUUUUGCUUUAUUUCUUCGAACUAAAACACUUUGGUCGCCAUUUAUGGGUUUGCUUGAACGGUGCUCUUGGGAGAGGUCUAUUCACCCUUUUUUCAGUCCUUUUAUAAAAACUUGAAGGUCGACUCAUCAAAGUUCGUGCUUUGGCGGGGGACCCGUCCCUAUUGGAUGGCUUCCAUUUGUAUUGGUCACCCAAUCCUCGAUUCCAAAGUGCUCGGCGUCUGGAAGACCUAUUCCCAAGGGAACAAGGUAUUUGUGAGUUUCUGGAAAAUCUCAAGGUCAUCUUUGACACUCGAACGCUAAUGAACAAAGAAUAUCUCCCUGGUGCCCUCAAGGACAAUAUUGGCAUAUCUCAUUUCUUAUCUUCAAAAGGAAAGCUUAACUCGUGAAUCUGAAUAAUUGUUUUAUUUUUGCAGAUAACAUGUUAUCUAACAUCAGCAAAGUCGAGUUGGCCGAGCGGGCCAAGAAGAUGAGGGUAGCUGCGAACGUGACCAAGGAUUCUUCAUUAGAAAAAAGGAAAAUUUAUGCUGGCUUUAUUCAAGUCCAAUCCGAGCAAGAUGAGCACACCGCCUCGGGCAUUGUCUUUAAGAGGAGAAGACUAGAAGAAGCUUCCCCUACUACUCACACUCGGAUGGUCUGACCAUUCAAGAGUGCGAAGUCGUGGAGUGCUCGAAGGAAAAAGCCUAUAGGAUCCCCACUUCAAUAUUUUUGCACAUGGUGAGUCCUGCUUCUUGCUAGAUCAGGAUAGGACGAGGCUAAUGGCUCAUGACGAAUAUCGUCUCCGCCUAGACGCUAAGAAGUUGCUCGAUUAGGCCUUUUCCCUGGUAUGCCUAGCCGAUGUUAAAGCAAAGGACCAAAGAAAAGCUGAAGACAAGAGACUUCAACAAGCUGCCGAAUUCCAACAAGAAAUUAAACGCCUCCAUGCUGAGGUGGACCGCUUGGGUUUGGAGUUGGCCAACAAGACCCAACAAUGAACCUCUCAGAACUGGAUCUAAGAAAGACCAUAACUGAUGGAAGGCUAGUGGGGGAUUCUUAAUUUUAACCUUUAUGGGUUGUAUUUACUGCUUAUCUUUGAUUGUCGAACUUAUUGAACACUUAAAUUCUUCACCGAUGUUUACUUAACAUUUUUAGACAAUUCUAAACGUGUUGUUUAUCUUGGAAUUAAAGGUUUUACCUAUAGUGCAUAAAGUAUGCCCCAAAUGCUUUGUCAUACAAAUUGAUUUCACAUUUUAGCUUGAUUAACGUGGUACGAUGUGGUUAGCUCACAUGAGACUAUAAUGUUUGAACAUGCGUAAAAAUGUUGUGUCAACUGAGCUAACCUCACACACUGAUAAUGAUAGCAUUUUAUUCAUAACUGGCAAUGAUGACAAUGAAGACUCGGUUAGAGGAUAUAGUAACUAAUUAUUUUUUGUCUCAUUUCUAUUUAAUGAUUUUAUAGUAGUGUAAAAUAUCCUUAAUAAUAGGACAAAAUAUUCAUAAUUUAACAUAUUUAAUAGUAUAAAAUAUAUAAAACAAAUUCUAAAUAAGUAUAGUAAAGGUCAAGAAUUGUAAUUACAAACUUAUACUAUAAAACAAAAUUAAAGAACUAAGAAGUCUAAAGCUUAUCCUCACCUUUCAUCUACCUUAAUAUGUUGUAAAAUUAAUAGAAAAUGUUUUUCAUGUUGAUAUAAUGUAUUCAAUUUCUUUAAAGUCAAAUGGUUGUAUUGCAAAGAAAAUUAUUUCAUAAGAAUUAAUUUCUUUAUCAAUGAAUUAAUUAAACAUAAUUAUUUAGUCUCGACAUCUUUCAAAUCACUCACAAAAUGUUAAUUACAUUCAUAACUUCUAAUUUGUCUAUUACACUAAACCUAAUUAAUACAUUUUAAUUGACAUACACAAAAUCAAGCAAACAACAUGUACUCCAUGAAAUUAAUUAGCUUGAGUUGCACCCACAUCAAUAUUAUCUCACACUUAUCUAUCCUUCAUGAUGGCCUAUUAGAUAGGCAUAAAUAAAAAAAAAACAUUGAUUAGGAUGAAACUAUAUAAGCCUAACUAAUGUAAUAUAUAUAUAUAUAUAUAUAUAUAUAUAUAUUUUUUUAUUGAUUGUUAGCCCUUAUUUUUAUAUAAAAGAAAUCAAAACACGCAUUUUAAAUUAUAAGUUUUAAUAUAGUUGUUAUUAAAAACUAUCAUAAUUAUCUUUAUAAUACAAUACCUUUAGAUCGGUCACAACUUGUAUUAAAAAACUAGCAUUUAUUACAACUUCCACUUUAUAAAUAGACUAUAUUUUUUCCCGUGUUUUUCAUUCCUUCAUAUCAGUUCUUUUUUCGUGAAUUCUAAAAAAUGAAAAGCUUUAUUUCCAGAAAACAAAUUUUGACUUUGAAAUCUUCGUGUGAUUUCUGAACAUUUGAAACCCUUGUUACUCUCUUUAUUCUCUCUUUGAACCCUCAUUUUUCUCUUUGAACCUUCAACGCAACUAGGAACCCUCACCGUUAGCCCUCAAUCACUCCUUCGUUCAUACAUGACAUUGAUAGGUAAACUUCACUUUAUUUUUUGUGUGUAAAUGUCUAAUGUAGGAUACAUUGAUUUCUAUUUUAGUUACUCGAAUGUUGUUAUUUAGUUCUGUCUUUCUACUGUUUGGUUUUUGUUUAGUUUGAGGCUUGUAUUGUGGACAUUAGGACAUUAGGGAAAAAAAGUUGAGAUGCUAUGAAUGUUGCGUGUGCCUUUUCUAUUUCAUAGUUAAAAAAAUUGGGUAUUUAGACAACAAUGUGUCCUGGUCCCAAUUGGUUUUGAAAAUUAUUAUAAGUUCUUGCUUGUCCUAUAAUUUAGUUUCGAGUCUUUGUUGUGAUGUUAUGUUUUUUUUUAAGAUGUAAGUUCCUUUAAUUGGCUGGAAUUUUUUAAUGUGAUAAUUGCGAUGACAUUUAUUGAUGGAUUAUUCUAAAAUAGUGUGGUCGUUUUCCUUUUGGAUUUUUUACAUAUUUUAUGCUUCAAAUUGAUGUAUCAGUUUGCCAAUUUUUGGUUGUUUUAAGUUAUAACUACUUCAUGUGCUUGUUCAUGAAAAUGUUAACAAACUUAUAAGAAGUGAUGUUAUACUUGUAGGUUGCUGAGACUACGUGGAUUUGUACCCUGUUAAGACUAUUUCUACUAUUAGCAUAAUUUUUCAAAGGUAAUUUCAUUUUAUAUCUCAUUAAUUUAGUUCAAUAAAUUAUUUUUGUUUGAGACUAUUGAUGUGUUCAUCAUGUAUGAUAUGUUGGACAUUUAUUGCCUUGGUGAAUCUUGAAUUUGGUUGAUAGCUUUCUUGUAAACUGAUUGACUCCUACAACUGUUUAAGGUAUAUUUGAAAAAAGGUUUAGAAAAAGUGGGUGAUCUAAGUUAGAGACAACAAGGGACUUGGUUUGAUUUAUUGUAACUAAUUGCCUAGAUGGAAGGUAGUGUUGAUUGGGGUUUAGGUAAAAUAUCUAAAAUGUGAACUACUUUUAAGUUUGUUAAUUAACAUUUAUGAAUAAUUAGAGUACAUAUUGUGCUAGUUUGAUUAGUUGGUAGCAACUUUCUAUUUCUUAUUACAACAGUUUACAUUUAUUCAAUAUUUGUGGAAUAGAAGCUUCAUUAGGUCAGGCUCUUAUCCCAUUAUAACAUCCAACAAAUAUCUAUAACUUAAUAUGGUAGUUAAACUUAUCAUAAAUCUAAUCUUAGACAAUCCUCAAUUGUCCAAUGAUCUACCUAACCUUACAAUUUUCUCAUAUAGUAUUAAAAGAAGAAAUAGUCUCACAAUGUUCACAGUCCAAUCCUACACUUGAAAUGUUUAAUGUAAUAGAUUAAACUUAUUAAACUUAGGAAUCCCCACCUUAUGAACUCACUUUUGGGUUUGACUCAGGUUGAACUCAAAUAUUGAAUAUUAUAUUAGAGCUUGCUUUAAAUCUAAUGUUAGAUAACAAAACCUACCACUAGGAAUAAAGAAUUUGAAUCACGAUACACAUCUAAAUGUUCUUUGACUUUUGAUGGUAAACUUUUCUAUCUAAUAUCUGCAUACAUCUAUUGUAAAUUACUUUUUCAGUAUAGUCUGUUAUUAGCUCUAAAAUUAUUUGUGUAGAUCACCUGAAACUGUUUAUUAACUAUGUUUUAUUUAACUUUUUCAAGGAUAGUAACACAUUUCCUUGUAUUUAUAUGAUGCCCUUCCUAAAUAAGUAUUUUUUUUCUUUUUAUGUUUGUUUUGUAGUCAUGCUAAUAAAUAAAUCGUGGAUUUCUAAACAAAACACCAUUAAAUAUCCAAAUGGAUUGAAUGUAUUUUUGGAAUUUGCAUUCGAACAUGCUAAUGGUCAUGUCAUUAAGUGUCCAUGUUCAAAGUGUGAUUUUAAAAAGUGGCAAACAAAGGAUGUAGUUCACGAACAUUUAACAUGUAAAUCUUUCCUUAAAAACUACAAAACUUGAUAUUAGCAUGAUGAGGGACCAAGUGUAAUUGAGUCUACGACCAUUACAAGUGUGCAUGUGAUUGAAGAUUUUAUAGAAUCUCAAAAUCUAAUGAAAGACAUGUUAAACGAUGCAGGUUUAUGGGGACAUGGUGUCAAUGAUUUUGAUGAGGGUAAAGAAAUGAUGGUCUGCAAAUAAUAUGGUGCGUAAUAAAGGAAAUACAAAUUUUGAUGCGUUGUUGAUGGACAAUAAUGAAAAAGUUGUAUCAUAUAAAUUGCAUGUGUAGAAUGAGUGACAAAGCACUCUAAUUAUAGACCUACUAAAUGACGCAUUUAAACAUGCUAAGUUUCCUAACUUGCUUUAUGAGGCCAAAAAUGUUAUUAACAAACUUGGUCUUAAUUAUGCCAAAAUACCAGCUUGUCCAAAAAAUCGAAUACUAUAUUGGGAUGAAGAGAAUGGGGGCUUAGAAGAAUGUAAAUGGUUCAAGACGUCUAAGUGAAAAGAUAAAGAUAAGAAAAAAUAUGCAAAAAUCUUGGUUACUUUCCAUUUAAGAUUGCAAAGAUUUUUUUAUGUAUUCUAAGACAAUUGAUUUUAUGACAUGCCAUGCAUUAAAGGGUAAGGAAGAUGGAUUGGUGACGCAUCCUAGAGAUUCUGAGGCUUGGAAAACAUUUGAUCUAUUGCAUCCAAAAUCUGCAGAUGGUCAUCAAAAUGUACGACUAAGCUUAGCUACUUAUGGUUUCAAUCCUUUUGAAAUCAUGAGUACAAGUUAUAGUAUAUGACUAGUGGUCCUUAUCCUAUACAACCGUUCUCCUUCGGAGUGUAUGAAGUAAAAAUACUUUAUCAUGUCCAUAAUAAUUCAUGGAAAACAAAGCAAAGCAUCCUCUUGCUCAAACAAAAUCAAGGUUGCCAAAAUAGAUUUUGAACCAAAAACUAAUUAUAAAUAUUUGUGAGGUUGAACCCAAACAACCCCAGAAUGCUACACGACACAAUUCUACAAUACCGCUUUGGAAGAUCUUGCAUGCACUUUAAAUUUGACAUGGUGGAUUUUAAAUCAUGAUUGACUAAACCAAUACAAUAAUCAAACUCCAAACACACCAAUUAAUCCUAAAAUUGAUAUUAUAAUAAGCUGACUUAACUAAACUGAUAAAAUCAUCAAACUCCUAAUACACUAAUUGUUCCUAAAAAUUAUAUUAUUAGCUCACUGAAAGUCAAAACAUUGAAAUUAUUGUCUCUAAGCGUUUAUUCUUGGACAUAUCACUCCUACCCAUUCUUAACCAGUCUCCUUUACUUGAUGAAAACUUUUUGUCCCACAUCCUAUUUUUGCAAUGUAGAUGAAAACGUUUCAGAAAAUUAUCAGAGUCACGAUUAAUGCUCGAUUAAAUGCAGGAAUGAGAUGCUCCCUCACACCGUACUACCCUCUGUCUUUCAUCAGCAUCCAAAAAAUCCUCUUGCUCAAACAAAAUCAAGGUUGCCAAAAUAGAUUUUGAACCAACUAAUUAUAAAUAUUUCAUUCAUUUCUUAACUUUUUGGGGAUCAUGGACAAGCAAUAUGUAAAUGUCAUUUUCCAAGCCAAUUGUGAUGUUAAAAUAGACUUACUGAGUUCAUUUCUAAGAUGUAAGUUAUAAGGUAAGCUACAAAAUCAAAAUCCUCGUGACGAGAUUCCUAUUUGAAAGAAAUUCUUUAUAAGAUGGAAGAACAGAGAAAUCUUAACCUUAAUCUUAGAAAAAAAACCAUAGAGUGCUCUAUGUGCCUCCUCUCCCUCAUGCCACAAACGGUUCCUUGCCGCCGCAAGGAAGUGCAGGAAAGUUUAGUAACUUCACUAUGAAACUUGCCUAUAUCUUUCUCAUUGUCUUCAUCAUCCUCUUCUUCUUCGUCGUCAGAUUGGUAUUUUUCUACAUUCAAAGGCGCUUCUCCUCGACGAACUUCGAGGCCGGUGACAUCCACGGGCAAGCGGUGUCGAAUCCCGUGGCUUCGAGAUCUCUGACGGUGGUGGCCGAGACGGCUGGGGAGUGCACUAUAUGUCUGGAGGGGGUGGGAGAGGGAGAGGAGGUGAAGAUGACUACCCACUGCAAGCACACAUUCCACGCGAACUGCUUCGACAGUUGGCUGGAGAACCAUGUGACGUGCCCGGUGUACCGGUAUUCUGAGAUGAGUGGAGAGGAGGAGCUUGUGACGAUGGGAGGAGGAGAAGAAGAAGAUGCAGAAGUUUCUGGAACAAACUUGGAGUAGGAAGUGUUGAGUCUCUUAGAGGGCAUAUUUAUAUGUUAGGGGUGAGAAAAGUUUAUUUUAAGGUUAUUAGAAUAAUGUGGGCAAGAGUAUAAUACUAUUGUGUGUAAUAUUUAUAAAAUAAUAAUUUAUUGUGAGAUACGAUUGACUAUGCCUUUAAUAUUUUAUUAUAAUAAAAACAAAUGAUUAAAAUUAUAAAUAAAAUUUAAUUUCUACUAAUUUACACUUUCUUUUGAUUCAAUCUAUUAGACACUGAAUUAUAAUAGUAUAAUAAUAUUUUAAUAAAGAAUCAAAUUGUAAAAUUAAAAAAUACACUAAAGGUGUGCAUUUCGGAACCUAACCAACCCAACCCGAAACACAGAACUACUUGAACCCGUUAUUUGACCCACCCACCCGUUUCCUCUUCUCCUUCACCAACACCCACCCAAUUGGGUAUACCUAUCAGAAUCCGAUCCAAGUCCAAACACGCAAUCACCGGGUUCUCUCUCCGUCUCCCUUCGUUCCUAACCCUAUCGUUUUCUGCCGGACCCUCCGAUCGGACUCUAAAAUCACAACCAUCACCACCACCCUCUCUCUCUGUAUAACGAACACUCUCUCUCUUCAAUUCCUUUUCCUUUAAUUGGAACUCUUAAUUGCGUUAUAUGACGGUUCAAUUUAUCUGAAUUGCAAAAAUAUUUUGUCAAAUUUUGCUUUUAUUUAGAGCUUCUUGUAUACAGGCUACAAAAUUGUAGCAGUCUAUGGUUUUAAAUUGCAGGCAUACCCAAUUUUGCCUUCUCUUUUCUUCAAUUUACUGUGACUUUGAUGCUUAUUUAAGGGUUAAGUUAGUUUGAGUCAAUAUAUGUCUAGAUUCUGAUCUAAACUCAUUGUUCUUGCUAUAUUUUGCUGAGGAGUAUGCUAAGAUUCAAUUUUUUUUAACUCGAGUAGGGUUUUAAAUUGCAGUUGUAAUUGUGAUCAUCAUAGUUAAAUUGAGGACUCUUGUAGAGCAAUUGCAGCUGAUAGGGUCUAUAAUAUCGGCAAUCAAGAGGAUUGAUUUUGAGCUGCAUCAUGUGAGGCAGGUUGCAAUUUAAAACCUUGGAGUAAUGGAAGAUAUCUGGUUCAGGAAUAUAGGUUGUUGUUGUGAUAUUUCCGGUCUGAAUUUAACAAGAUUUGAGUGAGUUUAUUAGAAGAUAAGCUUUAGCCCUCUACAUCUUUGUGUAAUUCAUGAAAGAGUGAGGGUUGAGUCUUUGCUGGCGCAAUAGUGAAGUUGCAGCCUUAUAGCAUGGAGGUCACAAGUUCAAACCUAGAAAAGUUUGCUUGCUGGGUAAGAUUGUGUGCAUAUUUACCUUCCCCAAAACCCACUUGGUGGACGAGCCUUGUGCAUUCGCCUCCCUUUAUUUAGAGGAGGGUGGAACCGGCAUCAACUUUUGAUUUAAUUCUUCACAGCCAUCCAUAAAUGCUUUGCUACUUAACAAAUUUGGAAGUUUUGACUUUUUUGUACUAUAACAUUUUGGGUGAUGACUUAUCACUUAGUUUUGUGUGAUGUGCAGAGUUUUGGUAAUCUGAAGCCUAUGUGAUGGAAAAAUCAAAUGAUUCAGGUACUAAGAAACCAAAAAGGCUGACAUCCGUUGUUUGGAAUCACUUUGAAAGGGUUAGAAAGGCUGACAUCUGCUAUGCUGUCUGUGUGCAUUGUAACAAGAGACUUAGUGGAUCGAGUAACAGCGGAACUACUCAUCUGAGAAAUCACUUGAUGCGGUGUCUGAAAAGAUCAAAUUUUGACGUGUCUCAAUUACUUGCUGCGAAGAGAAGGAAGAAAGAUAAUACCAUCAGUCUAGCAAACAUUAGUUUUGAUGAAGGUCAGAGGAAAGAAGAAUAUGUAAAGCCAACAAUCAUCAAGUUUGAACAGGAGCACAAGAAAGACGAUAUCAUUAAUUUCGGAAGUAGUAAAUUUGAUCAGGAAAGGAGUCAACAUGAUCUUGCACGCAUGAUCAUAUUACACGGAUACCCAUUGAGCUUGGUUGAACAAGUAGGAUUUAAGGUCUUUGUGAAAAACCUCCAGCCUCUCUUUGAGUUCAUGCCAAACGGUGCUGUAGAGGUUUCUUGUAUAGAUAUCUAUAGGAGGGAGAAAGAGAAAGUUUAUGAUAUGAUAAACAGAUUACAGGGAAGGAUUAAUCUGUCUAUUGAAAUGUGGUCUUCAACAGAAAAUUAUUCGUAUUUGUGCCUAUCUGCUCAUUAUAUUGAUGAGGAAUGGACAUUACAGAAGAAAAUCUUGAACUUUGUCACACUUGAUUCUUUGCACACUGAAGACUUACUUCCAGAAGUGAUUAUCAAAUGUCUCAAUGAAUGGGAUAUUGACGGCAAGCUUUUUGCCUUGACACUUGAUGAUUGUUCCAUCAGUGAGGACAUCACCCUUAGAAUCAAGGAGCGAGUUUCUGAGAAAAGGCCUUUCUUAAGUACUCGUCAGUUACUUGACAUACGCUCUGCAGCACAUCUCAUAAAUUCCAUUGCUCAAGAUGCCAUGGAGGCAUUACAGGAGGUGAUCCAAAAGAUUCGAGAGAGCAUUAGAUAUGUUAGAAGUUCACAAGUAGUGCAAGCAAAAUUUAAUGAAAUUGCUCAGCAUGCUACAAUUAACACUCAAAAGGUGUUAUUUCUUGAUUUUCCAGUUCAGUGGAAGUCUACUUAUCUCAUGCUUGAAACUGCGGUAGAAUACAGGAGUGCUUUUUCUCUUUUCCAAGAUCACGAUCCCUCCUAUUCAUCUACUCUAAGUGAUGAGGAGUGGGAAUGGGCCACUUCUGUUACUGGAUACUUAAAACUUUUAGUUGAAAUUACCAACGUAUUUUCGGGAAACAAAUUUCCUACUGCUAAUGUAUAUUUCCCUGAGAUCUGUGAUGCCCAUAUUCAGUUAAUUGAUUGGUGUAGAAGUUCAGAUAGUUUUCUUAGUCCAAUGGCUAUGAAGAUGAAAGCCAAAUUUGACAAGUACUGGGGCAAGUGCAGUUUGGCUUUAGCUCUAGCUGCUGUUCUAGAUCCUCGGUUUAAAAUGAAGUUGGUUGAGUACUACUACUCCCUAAUUUAUGGAAGCACUGCACUGGAGCGUAUCAAGGAAGUUUCUGAUGGUAUCAAAGAACUUUUUAAUGCGUAUUCUAUCUGUUCAACUAUGAUUGAUCAAGGCUCAGCCUUGCCUGGCAGCAGUUUGCCUAGUACUAGUUGUAGUUCCAGAGACAGGCUAAAAGGCUUCGACAGAUUCCUUCAUGAGACAUCACAGAGUCAGUCCAUGACAUCAGACUUGGACAAGUAUUUAGAGGAACCAAUCUUUCCACGUAAUUCCGAUUUUAACAUAUUGAACUGGUGGAAAGUCCACAUGCCAAGGUACCCAAUUUUGUCUAUGAUGGCACGCGAUGUUCUUGGGACUCCAAUGUCAACUUUGGCACCGGAAUUGGCAUUUACCACUGGGGGCAGAGUGCUAGAUUCUUCUCGUAGUUCACUAAACCCGGAUACAAGAGAGGCUUUGAUAUGUACCCAAGAUUGGCUCCGAAAUGAAUCUGGAGGUAUGUACUUAUGCUGUACCUUUUUCUACCCAUACAAUAAUGUUGAUUCAUUUCUGAUUCUGAUGCCUUAUUUUUUCUGACUCUUGUCAGAUCUAAAUCCAUCUCCAAUCCAUUCUGCUCUACCUCUUCUCAUCGAAUAACGUUAAUUGUACCAUGGUAUGCCUCUGUAAAACUUGUGUCAUGAGUUCCUAAUCUCUCCAGAAUCCAUUGUUGAACAUUUUAUUUUUGGUCUGUGCUUGUGUUCCAAGGUUGAUGGGUCGGUUACCAGUUCAUGAAUAAUCUUUUACAAUUUUGUUUUAUAAUGUCAGGUCUUAUGGAAGAAGCAUCUUAGAAUUCUCAAGUUUGCCUUGUUCCCCGCAUCAUUUGUUGCUGGGAAGUGAUUUAUCUUUGUGCAAAUAUUCUGGGAAGAUGCACUGUAUAUUCUUAGAGAAACAAUGUAGAUUCUUUUUUAUACUUAUAGAUAUCUCUUCUUUGUUAGAUGUUUUUAUUGGACUAGCAUUCGGCUGAAUCUGAUUUUGUAUAGAGGGUUGCUUGCCCUUGAUAUCAAAAUCGCUCCUUGCCUGAAAGUUUUCUUUCGCUUCGCUUCACUGCUCAUUCAAUAAAGUUGCGCUAAAUGAAUGAUCUUAACGAAUAAAGAUCACUUCAGAGUGGUAUGUAAUCCAUUGUUGUUGUCAUUUUUAUCUAUAUAUUGUGUCAUAUAUGUAAUCCGGAAGAUACUUCUAGAAUUAGAUACUUCUACAAUGCACAAUUCGAAAACUUUUUUUUGUUAUGAAAAAUGCCUUUUUAGAUUUACAAUUCAUAAAGUUUUUUCAUGUAAAAAAUAACUUUUAAAUUUAUUUGGAUUGUAUGAUCAAAAUCAAAAUUGAUUUUCAAAUUGUGCAACUGAGAAGCUUUUCUUUUUUCGUGCAAAAAUAUUUUUGGAUAGUGCAUUUCAAAAAUAAGAAAUGAUUGCACAAUCUUAAAAAAUAGCUUCUGAAUUAUGCAAUUCAGAAUAUUUUUUUAUGCCAAAAUAAAAAAUGAUUGUACAGUUAAAAUAGCUUUUGAAUUAAUCAAUUUAAAAUAAUUUUUAUGUCAAAUUAUUAUGUUUAGAUUGUAAAAUUAUUUAUAUACUCUCAUAGGAUAGCUUCUUCCUGCACCUCCAUGGCUUCUUCCACCACCCCAUAAUGUGUAGUAAAAAUAUUAAAAUAUUAAUUUAACCUACUUUACUCUCACUUUCUCUUUCUCACCAUUUUUGAUUUCACUCCUCAGCAGCGGUAGCCCCAUCGCCGUUCCCACCCCGUCCCACCUUUUUCACCUUUCUCCUUCCCCAAAGUCUUUCUCUACGUUUUCCUUCAUACUUUCAUUUCAUCUCUGUUAAAGUUCUCAUUCUCCAUCAUUCACAGUGCACGGUGUCCCGUCCUCCGGGCGUUUUUCAAAGUCAAAGAUCAAUGUAUGGUGGGAUCCCUCAAGGAAUCCAAGAAAGAAAGUCAACGAAUUGACCACUUGAGGCGUUGCCAAGGUAAAACGUCGCCUAGUGUAAGCCUCGCCUAGGUGAGGCGUCGCCAAGAUGAGACGUUAUCUGGUGUAGGCAUCAUAUAUUAUUAAUAUUCAUAUAUUUAAUAUCAUUUUUACUAUUAUUCAAAGUAAUGAUAAUAUUAAUUCUUACAAAAAUAUUAUUAACAUUAUUAAAUAAUAUUGAAUAUUAUUAAUAUUAUUAAAUUAAUUAAAUAUUAUUAAUGUUAUAAAAAUUAUUAUUCAAUAUUAUUAAUAUUAUAAAAAAAUAUUAUUCAAUAUUAUUAAUAUUAUAAAAAUUAUUAUUAAAUAUUAUUAAUAUUAUUAAAUAUUAUUAAUAUUAUUAAAUAUUAUUAAUAUUUUUAAAUACUAUUAAAUAUUAUUAAUACUAUUAAAUAUUUUUAAAUACUAUUAAAUAUUAUUAAUACUAUUAAACAUUUUUAAAAAUUAUUAAUACUAUUAUAUAUUAUAAAGUAUUAUUAAUAUUAUUAAAAAUUAUUAAUUUUAUUAAGACUAUUAAAUAUUAUUAAAGAUGAUUAAAUACUAUUAAUAUUAUUAAAUAAUUAUUAAAAAUUAUUACUAUUAUUAAAUAUUAUUAAUAUUAUUAAAUGUUAUUUAAUAUUAAUAAAUAUUAAUAAUAUUACUAAAUAUUAUUAAUAUUAUUAAUAUUAUUAAAUCAUUAUUAAUAUUAUAACAAAUAUUAUUAAUACUGUUAAAUAUUAUUAAUAUUUAUUAUAAUAUUAAUACUAGCAAAAACACUUACUUGUAUAUGUGUAUUAUGAUUCUCAAUGACUUUUAACUCCUUUAAUAUAUGCAAAUAUACAAACAGGUAAACUUACUUUGAAAAAUUGUUUAGAUGAAAUAGGACUUUCAACAGAACUAGAGUAGUUGAAAUUAUUAUUAUUAUUUUUAUUUUUUUUAAUAAUACUUUUUGCAUGUAAUGAUAAAGCCUAACAUGAAAGUGUUUUAUAAACAAAAUUAUUAUUACUAAUUUAAAAUAUCCUUCCAUUUCUUCCAUGUUGAUUCCACUCCCAAUUUCAUUUUACCAUCACCCAUGUAGUAAAGAUAAUAAAAAUUAAUAAAAUCAAACUCUUUCCUUGCAUAAACUUAUUCAUAUUUAGUUAAACAUUUAUAUAUGUUGUAAGUUUGUAAAUUUUCAGUUAAACAUUUAUGUAUUGUGUAAGUUUCGAAAAUUUCAGUUAAACAUUUAUAUAUGAUGUAAGUUUGAAAAUUAAAGAACAAAAACUAGAAAAUUAAAGAUUAUUAUGAGACAAAUAGGAAAGAGAGUUUCAUAAGAUGGAUCAUUAAUAAAUAGAAUAAUACAUGCUUGAUACCAAGUUUGAAAGAUGAAAUAGGAUGAUGGAAGUGCCUUUGAAACGAGAUUAAAAAAUGAAGAUAAAUUAGGAAGAUGAAAUAAGAAGAUUAAGAAAUGAAAAUAAGAAAAGUGAUUUCUAAAAUUAUAUGUGUGCUUACAUGAUAUAAUUCCAAAAAGAACUAAUAGAGGAAGGCGCCACAAACAAAGUUUGAUAAACCUAAGGAUGAUCUUCAUAAGAAUUGAUGGAUUCUUGAUAAGAUCGCAAGAUGAAGGAAAAAACCCUAGCAGAGAAAUAUUCUCUCUUAAAAAAUCCCAAAAUAUUCACCCCUCAUUUUGAUUUCCAAAAGUGUAUAAAUACAAAUUUAGUUAUAUGUCUUGGGUUCAAAUCCUAAUUCCAAGCAAAAUAAUAAUAUUAUUUUAUUUUAAUACUCCAAGUAUGUUGUGUAUGUAAUGAGCCUAGUCGUUUUAAAAUAUGGGCCAUUCAACAAUUGGACCUCCAAAAGAUUAGUCGUCUUUGGCUUGGAUGUCUGCAUCAUUACAACUAAUUAAAAGUGAUAUGCGUUUUCUCUCUAAAUUGUUAAAAGUCGUCUCCGAAAAUAAAUGUAUAAAAAAGUGAAGUGGGAAAUCAAUGGAAUUUGUUGUAAAAUCACUUAAACUUACAAGAGGUCUCAUAAUAAAUUUCAAUUAAAGGUCUCAUAAUAAAUUUCAAUUAAAAUUAAAUAUUUUAGUGUUUACAAGAAUAUCUUAAUCGUAGAAUUAUUAUCAAAACACUAUUCUUUUCAUAAAUCACUUGAAAAUUUAAACCCUUAAACAAAAUUAUACUAUAAGAAAACUAAAAGUAAAAAUUAUAAUUUAACUUUAAAAUAUAACCACGCAAAAUCACUUGAAAUAUUCUUUAUUGAUAAAUGUUUUAGUAAUAGAAAUUAGGAUAAGAAUUUAGGUCUUUCUUCUAAACUUUUCCAACCAUAGCAUUCAUCUUUAUCAAAAACCAAACAUGGUCCAUCUUCUCUGACUUCCCAACUGCAUAAGUAACAUUUAUUGGCAUCCCUGCUUGCUUUGUAAAUAUCAAACCUAUGCACAACAGAUUCCCAUUGAAAGGAACAAUGGUACAACGUUGUUCUAAAGAAGUUAAUUUGGAAACUCCACGAAAAAGUACCAUGAGGAUGAAGAUGUUGUAGACCAAGAUCUUCGUCAGCAGAUUGCAGUGAAGGAACAGAUCUCAACCUCCUUGUAAUUCAUUUCUGACAAUCACAGUUGUUUGUAGUUUUGGUACAGAAAUAGCAUGGCUUGUUGAAGGUUGCACAAGCAGCCAAAGUAAGAAAAAACUUUUAACAGACACAGACAUUGCUCCUUCUCCAAUUAUCAUGGUCUAAGUUUAGUUAGAAUGUUAUGAUUAUUAGUAUAUUUAUAGGUAUAAUCAUCAAUAUCAAUAUAAUUAAUAAUAUAGAAAUUAUUAAUAUUCAUAUAUUUAAUAUCAUUUUUAUUAUUAUUCAAAUUAAUGAUACUAUUAAUUAUUACAAAAAUAUUAUUAAACAUUAUUAAAUAAUAAUGAAUAUUAUUAAUAUUAUUAAAUUAAUUAAAUAUUAUUAAUAUUAUAAAAUUAUUAUUCAAUAUUACUAAUAUUAUAAAAAAUGUUAUUAAAUAUUAUUAAAUAUUAUUAAUAUUUUUAAAUACUAUUAAAUAUUAUUAAUACUAUUAAAUAUUUUUAAAUACUAUUAAAUAUUAUUAAUACUAUUAAAUAUUUUUAAAUACUAUUAAAUAUUAUUAAUACUAUUAAAUAUUUUUAAAUACUAUUAAAUAUUAUAAAGUAUUAUUAAAUUAUUAAAAAUUAUUAAUUUUAUUUAGACUAUUAAAUAUUAUUAAAGAUGAUACUAUUAAUAUUAUUAAAUAAUUAUUAAUAUUAUUAAAUAUUAUUAAUAUUAAUAAAUAUUAUUAAUAUUAAUAAAUAUUAUUAAUAUUAAUAAAUAUUAUUAAUAUUACUAAAUGUUAUUAAUAUUAUUAAAUCAUUAUUAAAUAUUAUUAAUAUUAUAACGAAUAUUAUUAAUACGGUUAAAUAUUAUUAAUAUUUAUUAUAAUAUUAAUACUAGAAAAAACACUUACUUGUAUAUGUGUAUUCACAUUUUUUUUAUUUUUAUCAUUAUCAUAUGUAUAUUUAUAUUUAUUAAAAUAACUAUAAAUUUAUAUGUAUUCAAAUUUUAAAACCUUAAUUUAUCUAUAUAUAUGCUCAAAAAAAUAAAAAAAAACACUCAUUUAAAAUAUUUAAUUUUAAAUAUUUGCUUGUUUGUUGAAAGUUCUUGCCAUGGAAAAUUCUUUUAAUAUUUUUUAAGUACACACCUUCAAAGGAAUGUUUAGUUGGAGAAUUCUUUUACACUAAAUAAUUGGAAAAAAAUUCUUUAUAACUCUUGAAUUUUAUUAACAUUUUUUAAUAUAACCGUAACCAAUAAAUUAAGGAAAACAUAAUGGUGAAAUUUGUUGAAAAUUAAAAUAGGAGUGAGAUGUAGUUAAACUUAAUGAAUUCAAUUAUUUUUUUUAAAAACUAUCUAAAUUCAUUAUUUUUAAAUUCCACUAGUAACAACCAUAAUUACAUUUUUUUAAAAAAAAUUGUUUAUCUCAUUAGUUAUUGUCAAAAUUAUGUAGUACAAAAAAACUUUUAAGAAAUUUCUUAUGUAAAAGAUAAAUUUACAAUUUUUUUUUAUGUUUGUUACUUGUAAUAAAAUCAUUAUAAUUGAAUUUUAAAUAAUAAUAAAAUUUUUAAAUAACGAUAAUAUUUUUCUAAAGAAAUUUAUUUUAAUAGUUUAAAUUUAUUUAAAACUACAAACUUAGAAAAGAAAAUAAUUAAAUAUAAUUUGAGUUUUUUUUCUUUUAUAAUUUUUAAAUAUUUUAUCAAUUUUGUGAACCAAAUGGAGAAUUGAAACCAUGCAUUAAACUAGAUCAAGUAUGACUUGUAGCAAACAUGUCACACAAGAUGGGUGGUCCUUAAGGAGUAGUAUAGAUGCAUCAGUUAACACACAACUCACUUCUUGAUUAUAAUCAGUGACAUUGGGUUGAGAGAAAAAACUAUAUUGGACCAAGAUUUGCAUCAAACGGAAAAUAAAGCAAGUCUUUGGAAGUGAUGGCAUUCCUGUGAGCUCUUCUUUAUUUUUGAUGAUAAUGGUUGCGGAAGCUUAGUGGAGGAGAGUGGAACAAGGCCUUCCUGUGGAUGAGACCACACAAAUGGAAUUAAAUGUGACAACUAGAAAGAGUUCAAAAGAAAUUAGACAAGAAAAUAAAAAGGGUACUCAAAGAAAGAAUGGCACACAAAUAGGAACCUAUGGAAUAGCACUAGAUUUUGAUUUAAAAACCAAAACACAACACCACUGAAACAAAUUGUUGUGGUCCAGAAUGCGUGAUUUUCACAGAUUUAUGCUGAGCUGGCCUUUUAAUAUUUGCUUCUGAAAAUUGAUAUUCAAACAAAUCAAGAUCUUAACAAAUUUUUGGCGUUGGUUUCACUCCAAACGCAUGCACCAAUUAAUUUUAAUAUUUUUUGUAAAAUCAGUGCUCAGAACCGCCAGAUGUAGCGUCACGAUUGCACACUUUUUUUGUAAUAUUUAUCUUUUUUUUUCUAUUUCUUUUUUUCAACUGAUUCUUUUUUUGUUAUUUUGCUAACACCUCAAUCUAGUGAAAUCCAGAGGCUCAGAAUUUUCUUAUGUGGUAUUUAAUUUUCAUAAGCAAAAUCAGCCAAAACAGAAUGGUGGAAAACAGAGGAUUUUGUAAAUCUGGACCAACAAAAACACAAUGGAAUUUGUGUGGAUCUAGCUCACAAAUAUGAACUCAAACUAAAAAUUAAAAAGCACCAAAGGAUCAAAACACAACAGAUUUCAGAUCAAGCAUUCAAGCAAAAACAAGAAACAAAUAAACCAAGAAAAGUACUACUAGGAUUUGUUGACAAAUAUGGAAACACAUGACUUAGACAAAACUUAUGGAUUCAUAAAAUGAAAAGACUCAAGAACAUCAUAUGACCCGAAUGAAAUUUCAAGCAAGACUCAAAUACCUAAAAAUAAAAACAGCAACACAAAGAUAUCAAGAAUCCUACACAAAAUUGAAAAUAGAUGUUCAAGCAUAAAUUUGAACAAACCCACCGAUUGAAAGGAAUAAACAAGCAUUCAAACCAUAUUAAAAUCAUAAAAACAACAAGACAACUUGGAAUAAAGAUGAACAACUAGAAAAUAAGAAGAACUCAAAAAGAAAAUUGCAAAGAGAUACUCAUCCUUGAAGAACCAUAGCUCUGAUACCAAAUGAUGGCAUUCCUAUGAGCUCUUCUUUGUUUUUGAUGAUGAUGGUUGCGGAAGCUUAGUGGAAGAGAGUGGAACAAGGCCUUCCUAGGAAGUAUGGGUGCUUGAAGGUGCAUGAGGAGUAGUGAGGGUUGGAGUGGUUCGGCCAUCUCCAUUUGGGGGUGAAGUUUGAAGACUAAAAACCUAAUUCUAGAGAGAAUUUGGCAAGGGAGUAAUUUGAAUGGCACUUGGGCAGCAUUACUUUACUCAAAAUAGUCUUGAAAAUACAAGGUGUAGGCUCCUCCUUUUAUAGGCUAAGGAAGACCAUAAUGCAACCCUAAUGCUAAUCAAAAUGAAAUGCAAAUUACAUCACAUGGAGCACAUGGCCGGUCCUAGUGGAGAAUCCUUCUAGAACGUGACCAUAUCUUUGCCAAAUCUAGGUCAAGUCUCAUGGAAUCAAGUUUAUGCUAUUUACACUACACUUAAUACUAAGCUACCCUUAAUGGGCUUUCAUGUAGCAUAUAGAAGUUGCUUUCUCUCCCAUCCGUGGCUUGGCCCAAGGCUCCCAUCCGUAGCUUGGUCAUGGACCUAGUAGUAGGUCCUAGACGCUCUCCCCUACCUUCUAGAUGCUCCCCCUCUAGACGCUCUCCAUCUUGUGCUAGACGCUCUCCACCUUGUGCUAGACGUUCUAGAUUUGGCUUUUGCCUUUCAUGGGGUGUUGAGCUUGGCCCUCUUCCAUCAUCCCCCCCCCCCCUUUGGAAAGGAUUUGUCCUCAAAUCCAUGUCGUCCUCGUCUUCAUUGGUACCUACAAAUGGAAAUAGAUCAAUUACAUUAAAAGUAUCAUGUACUCCAUAUUAAAGAGGUAGGUCCAAUUUGUAUGCAUUGCUGUUGACUCUCUUGAGGACUUGAAAGGGUGCAUCACCUCGGGGACUUAGUUUGGACUUCCUUUGAGUUGGAAAUCGGUCUUUUCGAAGGUGAAGCCAAACUAAGUCUCCUUCCUCAAAAAUUAUUUCUUUCUUCCCUUUAUUGUUGUAUUUUGUAUACUUUUCAUUUUGUUGUUGUAUUUGGAUUUUAACCUUCUCAUGCAUUUUCUUCACAAAAUCGGCUUUGAUUACUCCUUCCUUGUGCACAAAUUAUUGUGGAUUAGGAAGAGGUAAUAAAUCCAUAGGUGUGAGAGGAUUAAAUCCAUAUAUGACUUCAAAAGGAGAAGCAUUAGUAGUCUUGUGGACUACUCUAUUGUAAGCAAACUCAAUGUGGGGAAGGUACUCAUUCCAAGAUUUGUGGUUUCCUUUCAUGAUAGCAUAGUUCCAAGAGAUCUAUUGACUACUUCGGUUUGGCCAUCUGUUUGAGGAUGACAAGAAGUUGAAAAUUGUAGUCCGUUUCCAAGUUUUCCCCAGAGAGUUUUCCAAAAGUGGCUUAUGAACUUGGGAUCUCUAUCGGAUACUAUACUUCUAAGUAUACCAUGGAGUCUCACCACUUCUCUGAAGAAGAAUCUAGAAAUAUUUUGAGCAUCAUCUACCUUGUGGCAAGGAAUAAAGUGGGACAUUUUGCUAAAACGGUCCACUACCACAAAGAUAGAGUCAUGGCCUCUUGCAGUCCUAGGGAGUCCUAAAAUGAAGUUCAUGCUAAUGUCUUCCCAAUGAGCAUUUCCAAUCGGCAAGGGGGUGUAGAGUUCAUGAGGCAUUGUUCUAGACUUUGCUUUUAAACAUGAUAUACAUCUAGAUCAAUGUCUGUGGAUAUCCUUUCUCAUGUGUGGCCAAUAAAAUUUUUCUUUCAAAAGGUCUAGAGUCUUAUCAACUCCAAAAUGGCCCAUGAGUCCCCCUUCAUGUGAUUCCUUGACAAGGAGCUUCCUAUGUGUGCCUUGGGGAAUGCAAAGUUUUCCUUCUUUAAAAAGAUAUCCCUCAGCCACAUAGUAACCUCCUUGUGCCCUAUGCUGACAUUGGGCAUAGAUGGAUGAAAAUUCUUGAUCCUCUUGAUAUAGCUCUCUUAUGUGAUCAAAUCCAAGAAUUUGGUCACCUAAUUUUGAAAAGAGUACAUGCCACCUUGAAAGAGCAUCGGCCACUAUGUUGGUGCUUCCUUUCUUGUAUUUGAUUACAUAAGGAAAUUGUUCAAGAAACUCCAUCCAUUUAGCAUGUCUCUUUUUGAGCUUGUGUUGGCCCUUUAAAUACUUUAAAGACUCGUGAUCACUAUGGAUUACAAAUUCUUUGGACACAAGGUAGUGUUCCCAAGUCUUUAGGGCUUGCACAAGAGCAUAAAGCUCUUUGUCAUAGGUGGGAUAGUUGAGGGUGGCACCAUGGAGUUUUUCACUAAAAUAUGCAAUGGGGUGUCCACCUUGCAACAAUACCGCACCUAUGCCUACUCCCGAUGCAUCACAUUCUAUCUCAAAAGUUUUGGAAAAAUUUGGAAGAGAUAGAAUUGAUGCAUUGGUGAGUUGAGCUUUUAGCCUUUGGAAGGCUUGCUCAUGCUUCUCAUNNNNNNNNNNNNNNNNNNNNNNNNNNNNNNNNNNNNNNNNNNNNNNNNNNNNNNNNNNNNNNNNNNNNNNNNNNNNNNNNNNNNNNNNNNNNNNNNNNNNNNNNNNNNNNNNNNNNNNNNNNNNNNNNNNNNNNNNNNNNNNNNNNNNNNNNNNNNNNNNNNNNNNNNNNNNNNNNNNNNNNNNNNNNNNNNNNNNNNNNNNNNNNNNNNNNNNNNNNNNNNNNNNNNNNNNNNNNNNNNNNNNNNNNNNNNNNNNNNNNNNNNNNNNNNNNNNNNNNNNNNNNNNNNNNNGGUGACUUAGAUGGUCUUUUAGGGUUUUACUAUACACUAGGAUAUCAUCAAAAUAAACUACUACAUAUUUACCUAUGCAAUCUCUCAAGGUGUGAUUCAUAAGCCUUAUGAAUGUACUUGGGGCAUUAGUGAGCCCAAAGGGCAUCACCAACCACUCAUAUAAUCCAAAUUUGGUCUUAAAAGCGGUUUUCCACUCAUCUCCCUCUUUGAUUCGAAUUUGGUGAUAUCCACUUUUAAGGUCAAUUUUGGAGAAUAUGGUUGAACCAUGUAAUUCAUCAAGCCUUGGGAUUGGAUGCCUAUACUUGAUGGUGAUGUUGUUGAUUGCUCGACAAUCACAACACAUGAGUCAUUUUCCAUCCUUUUUGGGCACCAACAAGACAGGUACAGCACAAGGACUUAGGCUCUCUUGAACCCAACCCUUCUCCAACAAGUCUUGAACUUGUGAUUCUAUCUCCUUGGUUUCCUCGGGAUUUGUUCUAUAAGCGGGCCUAUUUGGUAGGCUUGCCCCCGGAAUGAAGUCAAUUUGAUGUGCUAUACCUCUAAUGGGAGGGAGUCCAAUAGGCUCCUCAUUAGAGAAUAUAUCUUCAAAUUCACUUAAAAGAUUUUCUAUUGGAGGAGGUAGAUUCAUAAGUUCACUACUUGUGACAGUGCAUGUAAGUGCUCCUUUACAAAAGAUAAGGCUUGGUGUUCAACAAGAAGCAAAUUUUCUAAACCGUUUUCAAAAGGUUUUUCUUGUUGAGCAACCUUGUGGGAAGGAACACUCUUCUCCCACGCCUUUCUAUUCCUAAGGAUUUUCUCUUUUUCUAGCACUCUUUUUUUUUUCCUCAUCCUUCUUAUGCUUCAUUUGUAUUUGGUCUUUCACCACUUGAGAAUGUGGUAAAGGACUAAGUACAAAUUUCUUAUGUUUGUGGGUGAAGGAAAUCUCGUUAGUGAGACCAUCAUGCAAGGUUUUCUUGUCAAAUUGCCAUGGUCUCCCUAAUAAGAUGUGACAAGCUUCCAUAGGCACUACAUCACAUAAAACCUUGUCUUUGUAGUUCCCUAUGGAAAACUUGAUUUCCACUUGCUUAUCUACACUUAGUUCCCCAUUUUCAUUGAUCCAUUGAAGUUUGUAAGGUUUUGGAUGAGGAACCACUUGUAUUAAGCUUUUCCACCAUUUUAGCACUACAACAAUUACAACUAGAUCCACUAUCCACAAUGAGGGAACAUAUAUUUUCUAAGACAUUACAUCUUGUAUGAAAGAUGUUCUCCCUUUGUGUUUCCAUGGAUGUGCUAGUUUGAUUGUUGAGGGUUCUCCUAAUCAUUAACAAUUCUCCCUCUAAUGGAGCUACCCUCUCAUCCUCUCCCCCUUCAUCUCUCUCAGUUGGCGCAUCCUCACCACUAGUGUAUUCGUCUACACCUUUUAAGAACAAAGUCCUUUGGUUUGGGCAUUGUGCUUGCACAUGCCCUCUUCCAAAGCACUUGGUGUCCCCAGCUCGGAUGGGUGGGGUGGAGGCAUCUUUUGCUAAGGGCUUGGUAGUUUCCUUUGGUUUUUCUCUAGAUGUGCUACCCUCCCUUCUGUAGUCUUUCUUGGGAUAAAAACUAAAGUAUGAACCCACCCUUUGACUUGAAGUUUUGCGCAAAUUUUGUUGUUCAACUUUAAUGCAAAGUUGAACCAAGUCAUUCAAGUCUUAGUAGGGAAGGAGUUCAACCCUAUCUCUUAUCUCAAGAGAGAGGCCACUAAGAAAUCUUGCUAUGGUGGUGUCCUCCUCUUCUCUAAUAGAUGCUCUCAUCAUGUAGAGCUCCAUUUUCUGCCUAUACUCCUCUACACUCAUAUUUUUUUGUUGGAGUCUUUAGAGCUUGUCCAUUAACUCCCUAUGAUAGUAUGAGGGUAUGUGUCGACGUCUUAGGGCUCCCCUAAGGUCAUUCCAAUACUCAAUGGGAGGUUCCCUAUGAAGACGUCUUUCUCUUUCGAGAGAGGUCCACCAAUACAUGGCAUUCCCUUGGAAACUAAGGGUGGCUAAGGAUACCUUGCGUUCUUCACUCACCCUAUGGCAAGCAAAGAGUUGCUCUACUUUCAUUUUCCAAUCUAGAUAUGUUUCUACGUUUUCCUUACCAUGGAAAUGAGGUAGGUCUACCCUAACCUCCCUUGGGCCCUCUUGCUCCUUUUGCCUAUUUCUUCUAGGGGUGGUUGGUAGUAGUCAUUGAUUCUAAGGCUUCCCUCCCCUAGAGACUCAUUACUUUUGGAAUGGGAUGCAUGAGUAUGUGAUUUUUUUUAUUUUUGUGACUUCUCUUCCUUGGCUUUAGUCAACUCAUUGAGUUUAGUCUCAUUCUCCAAUUGUCUAUAUGAAAUUAAUUGCACAGCUUGUGAAACUUCUUUCAAAAGAGUUUUUAAAGAUUUUACUUCACUUGCAAUAGACUUUGCAGAAUGAGAAGAAGAAGACAUGACUAGAGCUUUGUGUAUAGAAGUGUUUUACUUUGAGAAAAAUUAGGGAAGUUAAAGAAGGUAGUUUUUCAGGUAAGAGAGGUGAGUCACAAUGGACUACUUAAAUACCAAGUCUUGCCUUAGCCAAAAACUAUCCCUCCAAAUCUUCACACAAAUCUUUCUCUUGGUAAACCACUUAACCACAAUGAGGUUGAGAAAUCAAAUUUUUAAUGCAAGAAACAAUGCAAACUAUCUAAUCAAGCAAGCAAAAUUAGCAAAGCUUAAACAAAACAAGAACAAAUAAUAAGCGUAGCUAACUAAAGCAAAUGAUGUAAUUAAAGCAAUUAACAAAUGCUAAGCUAGAUAGUUUUAAGCUAGUCGGCCCUAGGUGAGGCUUCUUGGACACUUGGAGCCCUUGAAGACACACUCACCGUCUAAUUGCAUAAUUAACAAGUAAUUAACAAGAGUUAAGUUGCAAAGAAAUUAGAUGGAACUCCCUUUGUUGAUUUUCUAUUUGCACUUCCUUUGUUGUCUCUUCUUUGUUGGGUCUUCCAAUGUAUGUGGUGUAUUUAGUAUGUGUUUGUUUCUGCCCCUUGCCUUUGUCCCUCUUGGAAUUAGGUAAUUAAUUCUUCAAUCCAGCACCUAUUAAGCAAACUAGACUCCUCUCAAGUCAAUUCCCACUCAAACAAGUACCAAUUGAUAAUUAAUCCACCACCAAGCUUAGAGGUCAAAGNNNNNNNNNNNNNNNNNNNNNNNNNNNNNNNNNNNNNNNNNNNNNNNNNNNNNNNNNNNNNNNNNNNNNNNNNNNNNNNNNNNNNNNNNNNNNNNNNNNNAAAACAGUACCACACAAAUGGAAUUAAAUGUGACAACUAGAAAGAGUUCAAAAGAAAUUAGACAAGCAAAUAAAAAGGGUACUCAAAGAAAGAAUGGCACACAAAUAGGAACCUAUGGAAUAGCAUUAGAUUUUGAUUUAAAAACCAAAAAACAACACCACUGAAACAAAUUGUUGUGGUCCAGAAUGCGUGAUUUUCACAGAUUUAUGCUGAGCUGGCCUUUUAAUAUUUGCUUCUGAAAAUUGAUAUUCAAACAAAUCAAGAUCUUAACAAAUUUUUGGCGUUGGUUUCACUCCAAACGCAUGCACCAAUUAAUUUUAAUAUUUUUUGUAAAAUCAAUGCUCAGAACCGCCAGAUGUAGCGUCAGGAUUGUGCACUUUUUUUUGUAAUAUUUAUCUUUUUUUUUCUAUUUCUUUUUUUCAAUUGAUUCUUUUUUUGUUCUUUUGCUAACACCUCAAUCUAGUGAAAUCCAGAGGCUCAGAAUUUUCUUUUGUGGUAUUUAAUUUUCAUAAGCAAAAUCAGCCAAAAUAGAAUGGUGGAAAACAGAGGAUUCUGAAAAUCUGGAAACAAAAACAGAAAGAUAGACCAACAAAAACACAAUGGAAUUUGUGUGGAUCUAGCUCACAAAUAUGAACUCAAACUAAAAAUUAAAAAGCACCAAAGGAUCAAAACACAACAGAUUUCAGAUCAAGCAUUCAAGCAAAAACAAGAAACAAAUAAACCAAGAAAAGUACUACUAGGAUUUGUUGACAAAUAUGGAAACACAUGACAUAGACAAAACUUAUGGAUUCAUAAAAUGAAAAGACUCAAGAACAUCAUAUGACCCGAAUGAAAUUUCAAGCAAGACUCAAAUACCUAAAAAUAAAAAUAGCAACACAAAGAUAUCAAGAAUCCUACACAAAAUUGAAAAUAGAUGUUCAAGCACAAAUUUGAACAAACCCACCGAUUGAAAGGAAUAAACAAGCAUUCAAAUCAUAUUAAAAUCAUAAAAACAGCAAGACAACUUGGAAUAAAGAUGAACAACUAGGAAAUAAGAAGAAUUCAAAAAGAAAAUUGCAAAGAGAUACUCAUCCUUGAAGAACCAUAACUCUGAUACCAAAUGAUGGCAUUCCUAUGAGCUCUUCUUUGUUUUUGAUGAUGAUGGUUGCGGAAGCUUAGUGGAAGAGAGUGGAACAAGGCCUUCCUAGGAAGUAUGGGUGCUUGAAGGUGCAUGAGGAGUAGUGGGGGUUGGAGUGGUUCGGCCAUCUCCAUUUGGGGGUGAAGUUUGAAGACUAAAAACCUAAUUCUAGAGAGAAUUUGGCAAGGGAGUAAUUUGAAUGGCACUUGGGCAGCAUUACUUUACUCAAAAUAGUCUUGAAAAUACAAGGUGUAGGCUCCUCCUUUUAUAGGCUAAGGAAGACCAUAAUGCAACCCUAAUGCUAAUCAAAAUGAAAUGCAAAUUACAUCACAUGGAGCACAUGGCCGGUCCUAGUGGAGAAUCCUUCUAGAACGUGACCAUAUCUUUGCCAAAUCUAGGUCAAGUCUCAUGGAAUCAAGUUUAUGCUAUUUACACUACACUUAAUACUAAGCUACCCUUAAUGGGCUUUCAUGUAGCAUAUAGAAGUUGCUUUCUCUCCCAUCCGUGGCUUGGCCCAAGGCUCCCAUAGCUUGGUCAUGGACCUAGUAGUAGGUCCUAGACGCUCUCCCCUACCUUUUAGACGCUCCCCCUCUAGACGCUCUCCAUCUUGUGCUAGACGCUCUCCACCUUAUGCUAGACGUUCUAGAUUUGGCUCUUGUCUUUCAUGGGGUGUUGAGCUUGGCCCUCUUCCAUCAGGAAGGAUGAAUUGGGAGUGAAGGAAUGAGUUGUGAGAGUGACAUAAGUUGGUCAUACUUAUUUUUUUUUAUCGGCAAUAAAAAAUAAAUAAAUAUGAACCUUCUCCACUAAAUCCGUAAAGAAUUACCAAAGACUAUCACUCAUACAUCUAAAAAGUCACUCAUACACCUAAAAAGUACAUCAUGAAUCAUCCCAUGUAAGUCAAAGGGUCAAGGCACCAAUCAAAAUCAGAGAAGGAGAAAUGUUAAAGAAAUAAUAAUUAUCAAAUUAUAACGCAAUUAUUGUAUGCAAUUAUUUUACGUUAUUGUAUAAUAUUGUACGUAAUUUUUAUGCAAUUAAUUUAAUAAUGAUUGAAUCCUUACGUAAUUAACUUGUAAUCUGCACCACACGCUCAAUUGCGAUCAUCUCAUCUACUGGCACGAUUAAAUUCAAUGACAAUAUCAUUUUCAAAGAUUUUCUUUGCAUUCAUUCUUGUAAUUUAAAUCUCAUGUCCGUUAGUAAGAUAACCAGUUCACUAAAUUGUUAUGUCGUUCUUUUUCUACAUGAUUGCGUUUUACAGGACUUGGCUAUGGGGAGGAUGGAGACUGUAUAAGUUUAGAAUUGCUGAAUGUAUAAGUUUAUAUAAUGCAUGAGUUUAUUUAACUGUUAUAUAUAUUCUUUAAUUUAAUUUUGCUGUACAAAAUGCUAAUUGCAAUAAUAUUUUUGCUAGUUUCACAUUAGUGCAAGUUCAAUAAUCAACUACUAGUUAAACUGUUUUGAGAGGGAUGCAACAAGUUGUUGCAGCAGUGCAAAGAAACAACUAUGCUAAGAACUCCAGUAGUGAAUUAGUUCACAUGUCCCUUCAGAUGUUUUAAGAAUGCAAAAUAAUUUUAGAAUUAAAUCAACAAUUGCAAUGAUGUAUUAUUAUUCAAAUUUGACAUUGUAAGUGAGUUCAAAUGCAUUAUAUUCUUCUUCCAUAGUUUGUUUGAAUUUAUUAUUUGCACUAUGUUGUUUCUUUUCAUACUCUCUAAAAUUUGAUUUUGAAUGCCUCAAAAUUGGUAGUAGAGAGCCUUUUUAAACAAAUAAGUAACAGAAACAUGGAAAGCUUAAAGCUGUGAAGAAUGUUCUAAAACAAAUAAUUCAUGAUAGUUAUUUUGUAGCAAUUUCCUAGUAUUCACAAAAUGUCUCCUUCUAUUGUCAUUUCAUAAUAAGAUGAAUUGUAAUUGCAAUAGUAUACCAAAUCUGUGUAUAUAUCUAGCCUCUUUAAGACAUAGGCAAGGUUUGAAGUUGUAAGAAAACUUCCUGACAGGUCUUACACUCUCAUAAAAAUUUGAAGUUUUUUUUAUUCAAUAAUCGAUCAUCAUCUUGAUAAGUUAAGUGAAAGAUUUCAUUUCUUAAUCAUCAUGAUAAAUACAAUUAAAGUACAUGUGUUCUACUUGAAUUUUCCAAAUAAUGCUUACAUGUUAGUUACACUUAUCUUGAUAAUUAUGACAUGUCUUAGUGAACUAGAAGCAUUAACUUGUCUAUCUGUAUGGAGAAAUUGACGGGUUUCAUAAAGCAUUGAAGCUAUCGAGAUUAAUAGUAAUUAAAUGAUGGAAGUUCAAAUCAAGAUUAUAAUUUUUGAACUUUGAUUGAGAUAAAUUAAAGUUAAUUUGAAGAUUUCUGCAGAAUAAUAGUUUGUUGAAGGAACAAAUAAUUUAAUAUGACAUUAUUGUGAAGACAUGUUUUGCUAAAAUUGUAUGAGCUAAUAUGCCUGUUUGAUUGUAGUAUAGUCACUCAUUUGUUUUGGAUGUUGCUUUUAUAUAUAUAGACAAUAUUAUGUUAGAUUGUCUAGUAUAGUCUUAUGUAGUCACUCUUUUGCUAAAGCAUCUAGUAUUUGUGUAGAUGAUCUUCGUUAGACCUUCUAGUCUAUUUUUUGUUUAGAAUAUCUAAACAUCAAGUCGUUUAUUCUUACUAGAUCGUUUAGUUGAUAAACAGUCUAGACCUCUUGUUUUAUACCAGAUCGUCUAACAUAUUAGCAUAUUGUUUAGACCAUCUUGAUGGUUAGUUAGGCAUGCUAUGUUAGUUUAUUUUCUUUUGGUUUUUGCUUAUGUUUUGGUUGUAUGUAUACACCAUUGCCUUGCAUGCCUUUGUCUUUACGAGAAUAAUACAUGUGCUCUGUUAUUUUGUGUUUCUUCCCAUUUUCCCUCUUUUUUCUCUAAGUUUUCUUGCUGUCAUGGAGAAUUCCAUGAACCUGUAAAAUCCUCUUGAGAGAUCAUCUUGCAUACCAUGUUAUUAGAUUCAAACAUUUAAUUUAGUCUUAUUAGGAAAAUGGAGGUUGGAAAAAAAGAAAAGUGGAUUUGGAAAGAUGUUUUGGAAUCAAAGUAAGAUUCUAUUCAUAUCUAUAAAUAUCAUAAGUGUACAAAAACCCUUAUGACAUUUUCUUCUUCACAUGUAGUAUGCAUUGAACGUAAGGCUGGGCAUGGAUUGGAUUUUCCAAAAUCAUAUCUAGAUCCAAUCCAAAUCCCAAUAAAUGGAUUGGAUUUAAAAUCCAUAUACACUUUAACUAGAUCAAAUAUAUUUGGAUUUCUUUUAAAUCCAUUUAAAGUGGAUUGAAUCUAGAUUAAAUCCACUUUGUUAAUUAUAUUAAAUCCACUUUGUCAAUUACAUUAAAUCCAUUUUGAUAUGGACAGAGACUAACUUGGCUCGAACUGGACUUAAGCCAAAUCAACAUGGACGCAGACCAACUCGACUCUACAUCGGCCCCAACCUAGACGGCUCGACAUCGGCCUAGACCUGGAUGACUCGACAUUGGCCUGGACCCGGACGACUCGACAUCGGUCCGGGCCCGAACACCUCGACAUCGGCUCGGGCCCGAACAACUCAACAUCGGCCCCAACCCGGACGACUCGACAUCGACCCGGACCUGAACGAAUAUACAUCGGUUUUGGCCCGAACAACUCGACAUCGGUAUGGGCCCGAACAACUAGACAUCAGCCUGGGACCGAACGACUCGACAUCAGCCUGGCCCGAACUACUCGACAUCGAUCCGGGCCCACUCGACUCGACAUCAGCUCGGGCCCGCUCGACUCAACAUUAGUCCGGGCCCAGACAACUCGACAUUGGUCCGGGCCUUGACGACUCGACAUCAGUUUGUGCCUGGACGACUCGACAUCAGCUCGUGCCCGGACAACUCAACAUCGGCCCCGACCCAGAUGACUCGACAACGGCCCCAACCCGAACGACUAUACAUCGGCUCGGGCCCGAACGACUCGACAUCAGCCUGGACCCGAACGAAUUGACAUUAGCCUGGACCCGAACGAAUUGACAUUGGCCCGGGCCAGAACGACUCGACAUCGGCCCAAGCCCGAACGACUCGACAUCGGCCCAAGCCCGCUCGACACGACAUCAGCCCGGGUCCACUCGGCUCGACAUUGGUCCGGAUCCACUCAGCUCGACAUCGGUCCGGACCCGCUUGGCUCGACAUCGGUCCGAACCCGCUCGACUUGACAUCGAUCCGGGCCCGCUCGGCUCGACAUCGGUCCGGACCCGCUCGGCUCGACAUCUCUGUAAUGCUAAUGGGUUACAUCUAUGUAGAUGAUUAGGGACCAUCAAAUUCUUUAAUAUUCUUCCUUUUCUGCCACACGUUAAAGGAACAUGUAGCUCCUUUCUUUUCUGUCUUACAAAGGAGGUUUUGAACAAAGACAUUUUUAAGCUUGUGAAUUAUAAGAGGAUUAUGCAUAUGACCAGUCCUAAAUGUUAUAUCACUCUUUCUCACAUUUUAUAUGUUGAUGAUAUAUUUGUUUUCUAGAGGAUAGAUGAUAAGUCUCUUAAAUAUUUGAGUAUUUUUCUUCAAAAACAUUGUGAUUUUUCUAAUAAGUAUGUUAACAAUUCUAAAAGUAAAUUUUUUACAAUUCAACGUCAUCUUUCUUAUAGUGAUGGCCUUUUAUCUUUUAACUAUUUAGGGUGACUAGUGUUCUGGAGAAUGCAUUCUCACAUUUUAACUUAGAGUUGCCCUAUUAUUUAAUGGUACAUUUCCCUAUUGACCUACUCAAAGUCCAACUCUUUAUGUGUUGAACUUGUUAUUUUUAAUUAAGAAACUUAUUGCUUCUUUAGUUGUAGGACGUUUGCAAUGAUAUCAUAGUUAUUAUGUUUUGGUAGAUUACGCUUGCCGUUGAGCACAUAUGCUAGCUCCUUUUCCUUUGUCUGGCUUUAAGUAAAGCCUAGUUUUAUUAUUAUUAAUCCAUGAAGAAACCUGAUGUACUGUUUUGUCUUGCAGUCUUUUUUAAUUCGACCCUUAGACAUGUAUGGUUAAUAUCCAACGGCUGAAAUGAGAUGCAAUGCAUGCUGGCGAGAAGUAGAAGGGCGAGCCAUUUCCACAACUUGUGGUCACCUAUUAUGUAUCCACAUGCAAACAGUUUUAAACUCGUGUUCCUCCUUUUUAGUAAAAUAUGAUCAACUUAGUUCAUAUCAAAUUAGGUUGAAUUUCUGCAUGUUUAUCAUUGAAAUGGUUAUUAGUUUUUAUUUAUGUGGUUUCCUUAACACUGUUAAAAGGCACAGAUGAUGCCAAUAAGAUAUUAAGCAAUGAUGGAGCAUGUCCUAUUUGUGAUCAAGUCCUUUUUAAGAGGUAUGGAUAUGAUAGGUAUCUGUUUAAUUAUAAAUGUGAUUUCGUUCCUUACCUAAAAUAAUACUGAUUAUAACGGUCAAUUAGUGGAACGAAUCAUCCCUCAGCAAUAUAUAGUUUAAGCUUCAUGGAAAUAAUGAUUUGUUAUAGGAGUUAUGCUGAUUAUUUAAUUUUGUUCUACAUUAUAUGCUGUCAAUCAAUUUUCAUGGAAAUAAUGCUGAUGUAAUGAAGAGUUUACAGAUGCACAAGAUUGUUGCUCAAUGCCGCCAGAAAUGUGAGAUGAUGCAAGAGAAGUUUACAGAAAAACUAGAGCAGGUGAAUACUGCUUACCAAAAGAUGGCCAAGAAGUGUCUGAUUAUGCAACAGGAAAUUGAGAGCUUAACCAAGAAUUAAGGGUGGGCAAAAAAUCCAAAUUACAAAAUCCAAUCCAUAAUGAUCUAAAUUCAUAUUAGUUUUAAUCCAUUUAAAUGAAUUUAUCUUAUAUUCAAAUCCAUAUUUUCAAGACGUAGGUGUCCUCUACCCUAGAUAUUUUUGGCGUGAUUCUCUAUUCUAAGUUUGAGUUUCAUUUCUAUUGCCAUUUCAUUUCAUUAUAUAAGAUGAAUUCUUCUAAUACAAUUAAAGAAUUAGGGACAGAUAUAAUAAUAUUAAGAAUAUUUAAUAAUAUUAAGAAUAUUUAAUAAUAUUAGAAAUAUUUAAUAAUAUUAAGAAUGUAGAAAUAUAUCAAACCGACGAAGAAGAAGAUGAUGAUAAAGACAAAGAGAAAGAUAUAGUCAAGUGUCGGACUGAAGCUAGUGGGCUUUCCAGCAGUUCUUUACUGCAGCGACAAACCGUCCGGUGGAUGAGGGAGAGGAGGAACAAUGAACAUUCUUUGGUUCAUGGUUUCUUUUCUAAGAUUAAGGUUAAGAUUGCUAUGUUGUUCCCUCUUAUAGAAUUUCUUUCACAUAGAAAUCUUUAAUAAUAUUUAAUAAUAUUAACAAUGUAUAAUAAUAUUAAUAAUAUAUAAUAAUAUUAAUAACAUUAAUAUAAUAUAAAAAAUUAUAAAAUCAUAAUUCACAAUAUUAAUCAUAUUUAAUAAUAUAUAAUAAUAUAUAAUAAUAUUAAUAAUGUAUAAUAAUAUUAAUAAUACAUAAUAAUAUUAAUAAUGUUUAAUAAUAUUAAUAAUACAUAAUAAUAUUAAUAAUGUUUAAUAAUAUUAAUAAUACAUAAUAAUAUUAAUAAUGUUUAAUAAUAUUAAUAAUACAUAAUAAUAUUAAUAAUGUUUAAUAAUAUUAAUAAUACAUAAUAAUAUUAAUAAUGUUUAAUAACAUUAAUAAUACAUAAUAAUAUUAAUAAUGUUUAAUAACAUUAAUAAUACAUAAUAAUAUUAAUAAUGUUUAAUAAUAUUAAUAAUACAUAAUAAUAUUAAUAAUACAUAAUAAUAUUAAUAAUGUUUAAUAAUAUUAAUAAUACAUAAUAAUAUUAAUAAUGUUUAAUAAUAUUAAUAAUACAUAAUAAUAUUAAUAAUGUUUAAUAAUAUUAAUAAUACAUACAUAAUAAUAUAAUAUAGUUAAUAAUAUUAAUAAUACAUAAUAAUAAUAUAUAAUAUAGUUAAUAAAUUAAUAAUACAUAAUAAUAUUAAUAAUGUUUAAUAAUAUUAAUAAUACAUAAUAAUAUUAAUAAUGUUUAAUAAUAUUAAUAAUACAUAAUAAUAUUAAUAAUACAUAAUAAUAUUAAUAAUAUUUAAUCUUAUUAAUAAUACAUAAUAAUAUUAAUAAUAUUUAAUCUUAUUAAUAAUACAUAAUAAUAUUAAUAAUAUUAAUAAUAUUAAUAAUAUUAAUAAUAUUAAUAAUAUUUAAUAAUAUUUAAUAAUAUUUAAUAAUAUUUGAUGCACCACUACAUUGCAAUUAUGUGCAAUUACAUGCUCUCCAUUUGAUGCACCAUACUAGAUAAGGAAUAUAUAUCUUCAUUGACAGUAAUAGUUUCCAUAAUAAAUAAAUAAUUAUUUUAUAAGUAUUUAAUAAUAUUUUAUAAUAUUAAUAAUAUUUAAUAAUAUUAAUAAUAAAAAAAUUUAAUAAUACUAAGAAUAUAUAAGAAUAUUUAAUAAUAUUAAUAAUAUUGAGAAUAUUAAUAAUAUUGAGAAUAUUUAAUAAUAUUGAGAAUAUUUAAUAAUAUUGAGAAUAUUUAAUAAUAUUGAGAAUAUUUAAUAAUAUUGAGAAUAUUUAAUAAUAUUAAGAAUAUUUAAUAAUAUUAAGAAUGUAGAAAUAUACCAAACCGACGAAGAAGAAGAUGAUGAAGACAAUGAGAAAGAUAUAUGCAAGUGUCGGACUGAAGCUACUCGGCUUUCCUGUAGUUCUUUGCUACGGCGUGAAACUAUUCGGGACAUGCGAGAGAGAAAGAAUAGUGAACAUUCUUCGGUGCAUGGUUUCUUUUCUAAGAUUAAUGUUAAGAUUGCUAUGUUGUUCCAUCUUAUAGAAUUUCUUGCACAUAGGAAUCCUUAGUAAUAUUUAAUAAUAUUAAUAAAAUAUAAUAAUAUUAAUAAUGUAUAAUAAUAUUAAUAAAAUAUAAUAAUAUUAAUAAUAUUUAAUAAUAUUAAUAAUAUUUAAUAAUAUUAAAUAAUAUUAAUAAUAUUUAAUAAUAUUUAAUAAUAUUAAUAAUAUUAAUAAUAUUUAAUAAUAUUAAUAAUAUUUAAUAAUAUUAAUAAUAUUUAAUAAUAUUAAUAAUAUUAAUAAUAUUUAAUAAUAUUUAAUAAUAUUNNNNNNNNNNNNNNNNNNNNNNNNNNNNNNNNNNNNNNNNNNNNNNNNNNNNNNNNNNNNNNNNNNNNNNNNNNNNNNNNNNNNNNNNNNNNNNNNNNNNNNNNNNNNNNNNNNNNNNNNNNNNNNNNNNNNNNNNNNNNNNNNNNNNNNNNNNNNNNNNNNNNNNNNNNNNNNNNNNNNNNNNNNNNNNNNNNNNNNNNNNNNNNNNNNNNNNNNNNNNNNNNNNNNNNNNNNNNNNNNNNNNNNNNNNNNNNNNNNNNNNNNNNNNNNNNNNNNNNNNNNNNNNNNNNNNNNNNNNNNNNNNNNNNNNNNNNNNNNNNNNNNNNNNNNNNNNNNNNNNNNNNNNNNNNNNNNNNNNNNNNNNNNNNNNNNNNNNNNNNNNNNNNNNNNNNNNNNNNNNNNNNNNNNNNNNNNNNNNNNNNNNNNNNNNNNNNNNNNNNNNNNNNNNNNNNNNNNNNNNNNNNNNNNNNNNNNNNNNNNNNNNNNNNNNNNNNNNNNNNNNNNNNNNNNNNNNNNNNNNNNNNNNNNNNNNNNNNNNNNNNNNNNNNNNNNNNNNNNNNNNNNNNNNNNNNNNNNNNNNNNNNNNNNNNNNNNNNNNNNNNNNNNNNNNNNNNNNNNNNNNNNNNNNNNNNNNNNNNNNNNNNNNNNNNNNNNNNNNNNNNNNNNNNNNNNNNNNNNNNNNNNNNNNNNNNNNNNNNNNNNNNNNNNNNNNNNNNNNNNNNNNNNNNNNNNNNNNNNNNNNNNNNNNNNNNNNNNNNNNNNNNNNNNNNNNNNNNNNNNNNNNNNNNNNNNNNNNNNNNNNNNNNNNNNNNNNNNNNNNNNNNNNNNNNNNNNNNNNNNNNNNNNNNNNNNNNNNNNNNNNNNNNNNNNNNNNNNNNNNNNNNNNNNNNNNNNNNNNNNNNNNNNNNNNNNNNNNNNNNNNNNNNNNNNNNNNNNNNNNNNNNNNNNNNNNNNNNNNNNNNNNNNNNNNNNNNNNNNNNNNNNNNNNNNNNNNNNNNNNNNNNNNNNNNNNNNNNNNNNNNNNNNNNNNNNNNNNNNNNNNNNNNNNNNNNNNNNNNNNNNNNNNNNNNNNNNNNNNNNNNNNNNNNNNNNNNNNNNNNNNNNNNNNNNNNNNNNNNNNNNNNNNNNNNNNNNNNNNNNNNNNNNNNNNNNNNNNNNNNNNNNNNNNNNNNNNNNNNNNNNNNNNNNNNNNNNNNNNNNNNNNNNNNNNNNNNNNNNNNNNNNNNNNNNNNNNNNNNNNNNNNNNNNNNNNNNNNNNNNNNNNNNNNNNNNNNNNNNNNNNNNNNNNNNNNNNNNNNNNNNNNNNNNNNNNNNNNNNNNNNNNNNNNNNNNNNNNNNNNNNNNNNNNNNNNNNNNNNNNNNNNNNNNNNNNNNNNNNNNNNNNNNNNNNNNNNNNNNNNNNNNNNNNNNNNNNNNNNNNNNNNNNNNNNNNNNNNNNNNNNNNNNNNNNNNNNNNNNNNNNNNNNNNNNNNNNNNNNNNNNNNNNNNNNNNNNNNNNNNNNNNNNNNNNNNNNNNNNNNNNNNNNNNNNNNNNNNNNNNNNNNNNNNNNNNNNNNNNNNNNNNNNNNNNNNNNNNNNNNNNNNNNNNNNNNNNNNNNNNNNNNNNNNNNNNNNNNNNNNNNNNNNNNNNNNNNNNNNNNNNNNNNNNNNNNNNNNNNNNNNNNNNNNNNNNNNNNNNNNNNNNNNNNNNNNNNNNNNNNNNNNNNNNNNNNNNNNNNNNNNNNNNNNNNNNNNNNNNNNNNNNNNNNNNNNNNNNNNNNNNNNNNNNNNNNNNNNNNNNNNNNNNNNNNNNNNNNNNNNNNNNNNNNNNNNNNNNNNNNNNNNNNNNNNNNNNNNNNNNNNNNNNNNNNNNNNNNNNNNNNNNNNNNNNNNNNNNNNNNNNNNNNNNNNNNNNNNNNNNNNNNNNNNNNNNNNNNNNNNNNNNNNNNNNNNNNNNNNNNNNNNNNNNNNNNNNNNNNNNNNNNNNNNNNNNNNNNNNNNNNNNNNNNNNNNNNNNNNNNNNNNNNNNNNNNNNNNNNNNNNNNNNNNNNNNNNNNNNNNNNNNNNNNNNNNNNNNNNNNNNNNNNNNNNNNNNNNNNNNNNNNNNNNNNNNNNNNNNNNNNNNNNNNNNNNNNNNNNNNNNNNNNNNNNNNNNNNNNNNNNNNNNNNNNNNNNNNNNNNNNNNNNNNNNNNNNNNNNNNNNNNNNNNNNNNNNNNNNNNNNNNNNNNNNNNNNNNNNNNNNNNNNNNNNNNNNNNNNNNNNNNNNNNNNNNNNNNNNNNNNNNNNNNNNNNNNNNNNNNNNNNNNNNNNNNNNNNNNNNNNNNNNNNNNNNNNNNNNNNNNNNNNNNNNNNNNNNNNNNNNNNNNNNNNNNNNNNNNNNNNNNNNNNNNNNNNNNNNNNNNNNNNNNNNNNNNNNNNNNNNNNNNNNNNNNNNNNNNNNNNNNNNNNNNNNNNNNNNNNNNNNNNNNNNNNNNNNNNNNNNNNNNNNNNNNNNNNNNNNNNNNNNNNNNNNNNNNNNNNNNNNNNNNNNNNNNNNNNNNNNNNNNNNNNNNNNNNNNNNNNNNNNNNNNNNNNNNNNNNNNNNNNNNNNNNNNNNNNNNNNNNNNNNNNNNNNNNNNNNNNNNNNNNNNNNNNNNNNNNNNNNNNNNNNNNNNNNNNNNNNNNNNNNNNNNNNNNNNNNNNNNNNNNNNNNNNNNNNNNNNNNNNNNNNNNNNNNNNNNNNNNNNNNNNNNNNNNNNNNNNNNNNNNNNNNNNNNNNNNNNNNNNNNNNNNNNNNNNNNNNNNNNNNNNNNNNNNNNNNNNNNNNNNNNNNNNNNNNNNNNNNNNNNNNNNNNNNNNNNNNNNNNNNNNNNNNNNNNNNNNNNNNNNNNNNNNNNNNNNNNNNNNNNNNNNNNNNNNNNNNNNNNNNNNNNNNNNNNNNNNNNNNNNNNNNNNNNNNNNNNNNNNNNNNNNNNNNNNNNNNNNNNNNNNNNNNNNNNNNNNNNNNNNNNNNNNNNNNNNNNNNNNNNNNNNNNNNNNNNNNNNNNNNNNNNNNNNNNNNNNNNNNNNNNNNNNNNNNNNNNNNNNNNNNNNNNNNNNNNNNNNNNNNNNNNNNNNNNNNNNNNNNNNNNNNNNNNNNNNNNNNNNNNNNNNNNNNNNNNNNNNNNNNNNNNNNNNNNNNNNNNNNNNNNNNNNNNNNNNNNNNNNNNNNNNNNNNNNNNNNNNNNNNNNNNNNNNNNNNNNNNNNNNNNNNNNNNNNNNNNNNNNNNNNNNNNNNNNNNNNNNNNNNNNNNNNNNNNNNNNNNNNNNNNNNNNNNNNNNNNNNNNNNNNNNNNNNNNNNNNNNNNNNNNNNNNNNNNNNNNNNNNNNNNNNNNNNNNNNNNNNNNNNNNNNNNNNNNNNNNNNNNNNNNNNNNNNNNNNNNNNNNNNNNNNNNNNNNNNNNNNNNNNNNNNNNNNNNNNNNNNNNNNNNNNNNNNNNNNNNNNNNNNNNNNNNNNNNNNNNNNNNNNNNNNNNNNNNNNNNNNNNNNNNNNNNNNNNNNNNNNNNNNNNNNNNNNNNNNNNNNNNNNNNNNNNNNNNNNNNNNNNNNNNNNNNNNNNNNNNNNNNNNNNNNNNNNNNNNNNNNNNNNNNNNNNNNNNNNNNNNNNNNNNNNNNNNNNNNNNNNNNNNNNNNNNNNNNNNNNNNNNNNNNNNNNNNNNNNNNNNNNNNNNNNNNNNNNNNNNNNNNNNNNNNNNNNNNNNNNNNNNNNNNNNNNNNNNNNNNNNNNNNNNNNNNNNNNNNNNNNNNNNNNNNNNNNNNNNNNNNNNNNNNNNNNNNNNNNNNNNNNNNNNNNNNNNNNNNNNNNNNNNNNNNNNNNNNNNNNNNNNNNNNNNNNNNNNNNNNNNNNNNNNNNNNNNNNNNNNNNNNNNNNNNNNNNNNNNNNNNNNNNNNNNNNNNNNNNNNNNNNNNNNNNNNNNNNNNNNNNNNNNNNNNNNNNNNNNNNNNNNNNNNNNNNNNNNNNNNNNNNNNNNNNNNNNNNNNNNNNNNNNNNNNNNNNNNNNNNNNNNNNNNNNNNNNNNNNNNNNNNNNNNNNNNNNNNNNNNNNNNNNNNNNNNNNNNNNNNNNNNNNNNNNNNNNNNNNNNNNNNNNNNNNNNNNNNNNNNNNNNNNNNNNNNNNNNNNNNNNNNNNNNNNNNNNNNNNNNNNNNNNNNNNNNNNNNNNNNNNNNNNNNNNNNNNNNNNNNNNNNNNNNNNNNNNNNNNNNNNNNNNNNNNNNNNNNNNNNNNNNNNNNNNNNNNNNNNNNNNNNNNNNNNNNNNNNNNNNNNNNNNNNNNNNNNNNNNNNNNNNNNNNNNNNNNNNNNNNNNNNNNNNNNNNNNNNNNNNNNNNNNNNNNNNNNNNNNNNNNNNNNNNNNNNNNNNNNNNNNNNNNNNNNNNNNNNNNNNNNNNNNNNNNNNNNNNNNNNNNNNNNNNNNNNNNNNNNNNNNNNNNNNNNNNNNNNNNNNNNNNNNNNNNNNNNNNNNNNNNNNNNNNNNNNNNNNNNNNNNNNNNNNNNNNNNNNNNNNNNNNNNNNNNNNNNNNNNNNNNNNNNNNNNNNNNNNNNNNNNNNNNNNNNNNNNNNNNNNNNNNNNNNNNNNNNNNNNNNNNNNNNNNNNNNNNNNNNNNNNNNNNNNNNNNNNNNNNNNNNNNNNNNNNNNNNNNNNNNNNNNNNNNNNNNNNNNNNNNNNNNNNNNNNNNNNNNNNNNNNNNNNNNNNNNNNNNNNNNNNNNNNNNNNNNNNNNNNNNNNNNNNNNNNNNNNNNNNNNNNNNNNNNNNNNNNNNNNNNNNNNNNNNNNNNNNNNNNNNNNNNNNNNNNNNNNNNNNNNNNNNNNNNNNNNNNNNNNNNNNNNNNNNNNNNNNNNNNNNNNNNNNNNNNNNNNNNNNNNNNNNNNNNNNNNNNNNNNNNNNNNNNNNNNNNNNNNNNNNNNNNNNNNNNNNNNNNNNNNNNNNNNNNNNNNNNNNNNNNNNNNNNNNNNNNNNNNNNNNNNNNNNNNNNNNNNNNNNNNNNNNNNNNNNNNNNNNNNNNNNNNNNNNNNNNNNNNNNNNNNNNNNNNNNNNNNNNNNNNNNNNNNNNNNNNNNNNNNNNNNNNNNNNNNNNNNNNNNNNNNNNNNNNNNNNNNNNNNNNNNNNNNNNNNNNNNNNNNNNNNNNNNNNNNNNNNNNNNNNNNNNNNNNNNNNNNNNNNNNNNNNNNNNNNNNNNNNNNNNNNNNNNNNNNNNNNNNNNNNNNNNNNNNNNNNNNNNNNNNNNNNNNNNNNNNNNNNNNNNNNNNNNNNNNNNNNNNNNNNNNNNNNNNNNNNNNNNNNNNNNNNNNNNNNNNNNNNNNNNNNNNNNNNNNNNNNNNNNNNNNNNNNNNNNNNNNNNNNNNNNNNNNNNNNNNNNNNNNNNNNNNNNNNNNNNNNNNNNNNNNNNNNNNNNNNNNNNNNNNNNNNNNNNNNNNNNNNNNNNNNNNNNNNNNNNNNNNNNNNNNNNNNNNNNNNNNNNNNNNNNNNNNNNNNNNNNNNNNNNNNNNNNNNNNNNNNNNNNNNNNNNNNNNNNNNNNNNNNNNNNNNNNNNNNNNNNNNNNNNNNNNNNNNNNNNNNNNNNNNNNNNNNNNNNNNNNNNNNNNNNNNNNNNNNNNNNNNNNNNNNNNNNNNNNNNNNNNNNNNNNNNNNNNNNNNNNNNNNNNNNNNNNNNNNNNNNNNNNNNNNNNNNNNNNNNNNNNNNNNNNNNNNNNNNNNNNNNNNNNNNNNNNNNNNNNNNNNNNNNNNNNNNNNNNNNNNNNNNNNNNNNNNNNNNNNNNNNNNNNNNNNNNNNNNNNNNNNNNNNNNNNNNNNNNNNNNNNNNNNNNNNNNNNNNNNNNNNNNNNNNNNNNNNNNNNNNNNNNNNNNNNNNNNNNNNNNNNNNNNNNNNNNNNNNNNNNNNNNNNNNNNNNNNNNNNNNNNNNNNNNNNNNNNNNNNNNNNNNNNNNNNNNNNNNNNNNNNNNNNNNNNNNNNNNNNNNNNNNNNNNNNNNNNNNNNNNNNNNNNNNNNNNNNNNNNNNNNNNNNNNNNNNNNNNNNNNNNNNNNNNNNNNNNNNNNNNNNNNNNNNNNNNNNNNNNNNNNNNNNNNNNNNNNNNNNNNNNNNNNNNNNNNNNNNNNNNNNNNNNNNNNNNNNNNNNNNNNNNNNNNNNNNNNNNNNNNNNNNNNNNNNNNNNNNNNNNNNNNNNNNNNNNNNNNNNNNNNNNNNNNNNNNNNNNNNNNNNNNNNNNNNNNNNNNNNNNNNNNNNNNNNNNNNNNNNNNNNNNNNNNNNNNNNNNNNNNNNNNNNNNNNNNNNNNNNNNNNNNNNNNNNNNNNNNNNNNNNNNNNNNNNNNNNNNNNNNNNNNNNNNNNNNNNNNNNNNNNNNNNNNNNNNNNNNNNNNNNNNNNNNNNNNNNNNNNNNNNNNNNNNNNNNNNNNNNNNNNNNNNNNNNNNNNNNNNNNNNNNNNNNNNNNNNNNNNNNNNNNNNNNNNNNNNNNNNNNNNNNNNNNNNNNNNNNNNNNNNNNNNNNNNNNNNNNNNNNNNNNNNNNNNNNNNNNNNNNNNNNNNNNNNNNNNNNNNNNNNNNNNNNNNNNNNNNNNNNNNNNNNNNNNNNNNNNNNNNNNNNNNNNNNNNNNNNNNNNNNNNNNNNNNNNNNNNNNNNNNNNNNNNNNNNNNNNNNNNNNNNNNNNNNNNNNNNNNNNNNNNNNNNNNNNNNNNNNNNNNNNNNNNNNNNNNNNNNNNNNNNNNNNNNNNNNNNNNNNNNNNNNNNNNNNNNNNNNNNNNNNNNNNNNNNNNNNNNNNNNNNNNNNNNNNNNNNNNNNNNNNNNNNNNNNNNNNNNNNNNNNNNNNNNNNNNNNNNNNNNNNNNNNNNNNNNNNNNNNNNNNNNNNNNNNNNNNNNNNNNNNNNNNNNNNNNNNNNNNNNNNNNNNNNNNNNNNNNNNNNNNNNNNNNNNNNNNNNNNNNNNNNNNNNNNNNNNNNNNNNNNNNNNNNNNNNNNNNNNNNNNNNNNNNNNNNNNNNNNNNNNNNNNNNNNNNNNNNNNNNNNNNNNNNNNNNNNNNNNNNNNNNNNNNNNNNNNNNNNNNNNNNNNNNNNNNNNNNNNNNNNNNNNNNNNNNNNNNNNNNNNNNNNNNNNNNNNNNNNNNNNNNNNNNNNNNNNNNNNNNNNNNNNNNNNNNNNNNNNNNNNNNNNNNNNNNNNNNNNNNNNNNNNNNNNNNNNNNNNNNNNNNNNNNNNNNNNNNNNNNNNNNNNNNNNNNNNNNNNNNNNNNNNNNNNNNNNNNNNNNNNNNNNNNNNNNNNNNNNNNNNNNNNNNNNNNNNNNNNNNNNNNNNNNNNNNNNNNNNNNNNNNNNNNNNNNNNNNNNNNNNNNNNNNNNNNNNNNNNNNNNNNNNNNNNNNNNNNNNNNNNNNNNNNNNNNNNNNNNNNNNNNNNNNNNNNNNNNNNNNNNNNNNNNNNNNNNNNNNNNNNNNNNNNNNNNNNNNNNNNNNNNNNNNNNNNNNNNNNNNNNNNNNNNNNNNNNNNNNNNNNNNNNNNNNNNNNNNNNNNNNNNNNNNNNNNNNNNNNNNNNNNNNNNNNNNNNNNNNNNNNNNNNNNNNNNNNNNNNNNNNNNNNNNNNNNNNNNNNNNNNNNNNNNNNNNNNNNNNNNNNNNNNNNNNNNNNNNNNNNNNNNNNNNNNNNNNNNNNNNNNNNNNNNNNNNNNNNNNNNNNNNNNNNNNNNNNNNNNNNNNNNNNNNNNNNNNNNNNNNNNNNNNNNNNNNNNNNNNNNNNNNNNNNNNNNNNNNNNNNNNNNNNNNNNNNNNNNNNNNNNNNNNNNNNNNNNNNNNNNNNNNNNNNNNNNNNNNNNNNNNNNNNNNNNNNNNNNNNNNNNNNNNNNNNNNNNNNNNNNNNNNNNNNNNNNNNNNNNNNNNNNNNNNNNNNNNNNNNNNNNNNNNNNNNNNNNNNNNNNNNNNNNNNNNNNNNNNNNNNNNNNNNNNNNNNNNNNNNNNNNNNNNNNNNNNNNNNNNNNNNNNNNNNNNNNNNNNNNNNNNNNNNNNNNNNNNNNNNNNNNNNNNNNNNNNNNNNNNNNNNNNNNNNNNNNNNNNNNNNNNNNNNNNNNNNNNNNNNNNNNNNNNNNNNNNNNNNNNNNNNNNNNNNNNNNNNNNNNNNNNNNNNNNNNNNNNNNNNNNNNNNNNNNNNNNNNNNNNNNNNNNNNNNNNNNNNNNNNNNNNNNNNNNNNNNNNNNNNNNNNNNNNNNNNNNNNNNNNNNNNNNNNNNNNNNNNNNNNNNNNNNNNNNNNNNNNNNNNNNNNNNNNNNNNNNNNNNNNNNNNNNNNNNNNNNNNNNNNNNNNNNNNNNNNNNNNNNNNNNNNNNNNNNNNNNNNNNNNNNNNNNNNNNNNNNNNNNNNNNNNNNNNNNNNNNNNNNNNNNNNNNNNNNNNNNNNNNNNNNNNNNNNNNNNNNNNNNNNNNNNNNNNNNNNNNNNNNNNNNNNNNNNNNNNNNNNNNNNNNNNNNNNNNNNNNNNNNNNNNNNNNNNNNNNNNNNNNNNNNNNNNNNNNNNNNNNNNNNNNNNNNNNNNNNNNNNNNNNNNNNNNNNNNNNNNNNNNNNNNNNNNNNNNNNNNNNNNNNNNNNNNNNNNNNNNNNNNNNNNNNNNNNNNNNNNNNNNNNNNNNNNNNNNNNNNNNNNNNNNNNNNNNNNNNNNNNNNNNNNNNNNNNNNNNNNNNNNNNNNNNNNNNNNNNNNNNNNNNNNNNNNNNNNNNNNNNNNNNNNNNNNNNNNNNNNNNNNNNNNNNNNNNNNNNNNNNNNNNNNNNNNNNNNNNNNNNNNNNNNNNNNNNNNNNNNNNNNNNNNNNNNNNNNNNNNNNNNNNNNNNNNNNNNNNNNNNNNNNNNNNNNNNNNNNNNNNNNNNNNNNNNNNNNNNNNNNNNNNNNNNNNNNNNNNNNNNNNNNNNNNNNNNNNNNNNNNNNNNNNNNNNNNNNNNNNNNNNNNNNNNNNNNNNNNNNNNNNNNNNNNNNNNNNNNNNNNNNNNNNNNNNNNNNNNNNNNNNNNNNNNNNNNNNNNNNNNNNNNNNNNNNNNNNNNNNNNNNNNNNNNNNNNNNNNNNNNNNNNNNNNNNNNNNNNNNNNNNNNNNNNNNNNNNNNNNNNNNNNNNNNNNNNNNNNNNNNNNNNNNNNNNNNNNNNNNNNNNNNNNNNNNNNNNNNNNNNNNNNNNNNNNNNNNNNNNNNNNNNNNNNNNNNNNNNNNNNNNNNNNNNNNNNNNNNNNNNNNNNNNNNNNNNNNNNNNNNNNNNNNNNNNNNNNNNNNNNNNNNNNNNNNNNNNNNNNNNNNNNNNNNNNNNNNNNNNNNNNNNNNNNNNNNNNNNNNNNNNNNNNNNNNNNNNNNNNNNNNNNNNNNNNNNNNNNNNNNNNNNNNNNNNNNNNNNNNNNNNNNNNNNNNNNNNNNNNNNNNNNNNNNNNNNNNNNNNNNNNNNNNNNNNNNNNNNNNNNNNNNNNNNNNNNNNNNNNNNNNNNNNNNNNNNNNNNNNNNNNNNNNNNNNNNNNNNNNNNNNNNNNNNNNNNNNNNNNNNNNNNNNNNNNNNNNNNNNNNNNNNNNNNNNNNNNNNNNNNNNNNNNNNNNNNNNNNNNNNNNNNNNNNNNNNNNNNNNNNNNNNNNNNNNNNNNNNNNNNNNNNNNNNNNNNNNNNNNNNNNNNNNNNNNNNNNNNNNNNNNNNNNNNNNNNNNNNNNNNNNNNNNNNNNNNNNNNNNNNNNNNNNNNNNNNNNNNNNNNNNNNNNNNNNNNNNNNNNNNNNNNNNNNNNNNNNNNNNNNNNNNNNNNNNNNNNNNNNNNNNNNNNNNNNNNNNNNNNNNNNNNNNNNNNNNNNNNNNNNNNNNNNNNNNNNNNNNNNNNNNNNNNNNNNNNNNNNNNNNNNNNNNNNNNNNNNNNNNNNNNNNNNNNNNNNNNNNNNNNNNNNNNNNNNNNNNNNNNNNNNNNNNNNNNNNNNNNNNNNNNNNNNNNNNNNNNNNNNNNNNNNNNNNNNNNNNNNNNNNNNNNNNNNNNNNNNNNNNNNNNNNNNNNNNNNNNNNNNNNNNNNNNNNGUGAAGACUGGAUGUAGCUCAGGUUGAGUGAACCAGUAUAAUUGCUUGUGUUCAUUCUCUCUCUCUCUGCAAUUUCGUUUCUGCAUAACUGAUAAAACAGCAAAGAGAUAAAUCUGUUCAAUUGAAAAUAAAUCUGUUCUUUCUGGGCACUGUGUAUACUGUUCUUGAUUUCUGAAAAAGGUGUUUGAAUCUGAUAAGAACAUAUAAAAACUGCUAAAAGCCACUGGAACAGAUUGACUGUGAUAGGCUGUUCAAGAAACUGUAAAUGCUAUUAAUUGAACCUUAAACAAAUUGCUUAAAGUUGAAGCUUGCUGUGUUGUGAUUCAUUGUUCUUAAUUUCUGGAAAAUUUCUUGACAUCAAGAAGAACACUCAUAGUUUGUUAAAAGUCACAGGAACAGCUUGUUUGCAAAGGUCACUCAAUUAAUUAGCAUGCUAUCAAUUGAACCUUAAUCACUUGCUUGAAAUUGAGGCUUGCUGAUUUGUGUACCACUGUUUUACAAAUCUGAUAAUUGUGUGUGUGCUGCUGGAAAUUCUCACUGCAUAAUCUUGUGAUUAAUCUUGCUGAAUUAAAAGCGUUUCAAACAAAAACAGUGCUGAAAUAAAUCUGUUCAUUUUCACAUAAAUCGAUUUAUUUUCUGUAAAACUGUGUUAAACACUGUUUCUGCGAAGAAGUUUUAAAAGGUCAAUUCACCCCCCCUCUUGAACUUUGGCACUAUUAAACCCAACAAGAAGGUCAUGUGCUCCUCGUUCUUAAUAUUCUUUUGUCUCUUCGGUUUUCGUAUCUGAUAGGUUUCGAUUGUUGAUCUCCAGUCAAAGUGAGUGUACCUAUAAAAAGGUCAUUUGAUGCUCAAGUUAGUACACAAUAUUUGGUAGUUAAAAGUAAUAAAUGUUAUUAAAUGUGUAUCUUGACUUAACAUUGGUUAAUCUAUUUAUAUUUUUUAUUGUUGAUCUCCAAUCAAAGUGAGUGUACCUAUAAAAAGAUCAUUUGACGCUCAAGUUAGUACACAAUAUUUGGUAGUUAAAAGUAAUAAAUGUUAUUAAAUGUGUAUCCUGACUUAACAUUGGUUAAUCUAUUUAUAUAGAUGUGUUGACCCUCAAGUUUGUAGGCCUAGAUUAGCACAAAUAUCCUAGUUAAUCCUUGUAUUAGUUUGACAUCAAGUACAAGUUCUCUGCGAAACCAACUAUUAAUUUACUUUUAAAAGAAAUUUUAACUUGUUUCCCUUGACAUUGUUGACAAACCUCUCACGAGAUUAUGUUUCAAUAGGUUAGAGAUUAAUCUUAAGCUAGCGUAACCACACUUCUCGUGCCACAAGCAAUUAUCUUCUUUUUCAGACAUGAGACUCUUUGAUCUAAUAACUCAUCCAUAUCUAUUUUAUAAAGAUUUUGUCAUCUAUUGGUUGCAAACAUUUUGGUUUCAUUAUUAUGAUAGAUUGUGCAAUGGUCAUUGUAAAAAACAACAUUGUUCCCAUUGUCGCACAAUUGAUUUAUGCUUAGUAGGUUGUAUUUAAGACCAUCUACUAAUAAAACAUUGUUAAUAUACAUGGAAGGUUUCAAAGUUACCUGCCCACCACCAAUUACUUGGUCGUGCUGAUUUUCAUCAAAAAUUACUUUUCCUCCUUUCUUCAUUUUCAGGUCUCAGAAUAUAGACCUUCCUCCUUUCUUAUAUGAAACCCAUAUGCAAGAGGUAUUAUUUCUCCUUUAGGUAACCACACAGAUCUAUGUCCUUUAUUGUUAGGCUUUCCUAGUUUAUUCUUAGAAUGACUGUGAGACGAAGUACGGUACUUUACAGAGGUUUUAAAAUGUAUGGUACUUUACAAAGAUUUUGAAACUCAUGGUAUUUUAUGGAGGCUCUGAAAUUUUCAUUUUAUGAAGGCUCUGAAACCCAUUGUAUUUUAUGGAACCUUUAAAAUUCAUGGUAUUUUACGAAUGCUAUGAAACCCAUGGUAUUUUAUGGUGGCUCUGAAAAUCAUUGUGUUUUAUAGAGGCUCUGAAACCUCCAUUAAAUACUUGAGGAUGCAAAACCGUUGCUAAUGUUAGCUUUUCUUGAGGUUAGAAAAAAUCUCAAGGAACACGUUCCCAACGAAUGGUUUGCCUGGGGAAACAAUAACCACGAUUAAAACUAUAUAGAUUGAUUUAAUAACAUCGAUUUUAAAAGGUAGACUCUAUGUAAUGUCGACACUAAUUUUUAAAUUGGCUUUUACUUGAAGUAAUUUAGUGUCACCCAGUCCAAUACUAAUGCCUUUUGAUGUUAAAAUUUAUUUAACUUAGUGUUGGGCUAUCCAACGCUAAAUGAAAUUUAUUUAAAUUUAUUUUUAAUAUUAAUUUAAUUGGUAUUAUUGUAACUAAUGCUAAUGACAAUAAUUUAAACAAAAUCUUGUACAAAUAUUUCAUCUUCAAAAAAUAAAACAAAAAAAAAUGUAGAUAAAGGAGAUAAGUGCAGAUGAAGGAGAUGGGUGUGAAUGAAGAACAUGGAUGUGAAUGAAGAAGAUGGGUGUGGAUAAAGGAGAUGAGUGUGAGUGAAGGAGAUAGUUAUGGGAUGAUUUGCAUAGAAAAGUAAUUGAAAAUAUUGUGAGUGAAGAGAUUUGUUAUCUUUAAAUAUGGAUCUUUGGAUUAAAAAUAAUUUGCGAUUCCUAUUCGUUGUUAUGGAGAUACACAAAUUCAUAGCAUAUAAAUUAGCAUUUGUUUAACCGAUACUAACUUAUAUUAUAAGAGUGUCAACCUACUUGAUACUAACUUAGAUAAAUUAUAAAAUAAAUAAAAUUAGUAUCAGCCUAGUCGACACUAACUUAAAUAAAUAUAAAUACAAAAAUUAAAGAAGAUUAACAUCAAUUAGAUUAACAAGAUUAACAUCAAUUAGAUUGAUAUCAACAAUUGAUAUCAACCUUAUUUAUUUUUAAUAUUUAUUUUUGUUAACAUUAGCUAAGCAACACUAAUAUAAUUAUAACACAACUAUUUUUACUUUUAAAAAAGUUAAAAAAUUAUAACACAAAUAUUUUUACUUUUAAAAAAGUUAAAAAUAAUUAGUGUUGACUUAAAGUCGAAUAAAUUAGCUCUACUAAUGUCUAAUGAGUAGACUCAAUAUUAAUCUGACAUAAACACAAUUUUUUUUAUUUAUUAAAAGGUUAAGAUCAACUUAGUAUUGACUAAAUUGACUCUCUUUUUGUAUAUAGCGUCAACUUAACCAACAUAUACAGUUUACAUAAUAUAAAAUUUAAAAGUAAUUUUACUAAUUUUAACUUUUAAAAAAUAAUUAAUAUUUUACUUUGAAUUAAAGUCAACUUAACAAACUCCAAUAAAAAUGCAUUUUGAUCAAAACUAUUAUUUGGAAGCUAAUUUAAUGUUUUAGUGUUAUAAUUGUUUAACAUGUAAAUUUCAAUUAAUAUUUUCUUACAAAAUUUUAGUUGUGUUUCAUGCUAGUAUUAGGUGACACAAAAUGAAAGUCGGAAUAUGAAAUCAACUAGAAUGUACAAUAUGAACCCAAAGAUAAACAUGAAAUAUAGUGAACCAAAAUUUAAUAGAAUACUUGAAAUGUAUAUUAAAAUAUUUUCAAAUACUUUCUAAUUUUAUACAAGAUUUAAACAUCAAUACUUAGACUUUAACCUAGAUUUAUUUUCUCUAUAUUUUUCAAAAAAUGCUCUAAAUUAGUGAUUGCAUAUAUCUCUGAUUUUUUAAAACUUUCUAGUUAAACAUGGUUCAUAUGAAAACUUUCUAAUAUUGUUUCUACCUUAAUCAUUAAGGCUUAUUAGUACUAGAAGCACUUUGCAAUCAUCAUGCAUAAUAUAUUUUUCAGGAUGCUUUGUUUUUCGUUCAAAAAUACGAAAACUUUCAUAAGAUUAAUCAAUCAAAUAUUUUACUUGAAAAAAUUAAUUUUUGUAAAUUAAUAUCAUCAAGUAAGGUUCGAAAACAUUAAAGCAAUGUUACAAAAAUAUUCUAAGACCAUAGCAAUCAAGUAUAGACACUCUCUUAUACAUUAGGUAGUCUAACGUGUAGAUGACGAAGUGACCGUCUAAUAUGUAUAAGUUCCAGUGACCGUCUAAGACGUUUAUUAGCAUUGUAUCGUUUGACUUUUUUAUGUUUUUGGAGUCGUUUGGCAUGUUUAGCCUUAAAAGACGGUCUAAAAAAAUGUUUAGCACAUCCUUGUACUGUGAGAUCAUCUAGUACGUUUGUGUACAAUUAGACUGUCUAAUGGGUAAAUGCUUUAUAUUUUUGUUGCUUAAUUUUACUAGUGAACCAAGUUUUAUCCAACCCUUGCAACCAUGGCAACCUGUUUGAUCAUCUAACCAUGUUAAAAUUUAAUAGAGUUUAGAAGUUUCUUACCAGGAAUCUUGGACUCCUGUUCUGUGAAUACCUUUCAGAUAAUUCUAAAAAUUAAAUGCUUUAAUAAUUAUUUAUAUUUACAACCAUCAAUUAUUAUACUCGACUAUAACCAGAAUUAACUUUUGUUAAAGUAAAUUUACUAGAACAAAAAAUAUAAUUAAUUUUCUUUAGGUAAUAGAAGAACAAAAUCAACUUUUAUAUAAUAAAUUAAAAAAAAGUAUGAAAAAAGAAAAAAAAAGUUAAUAAAUUUGAGAGUAACUCAGUUUUUUUUCUCAAACAUAAAAUAAACUUCUAGAAAAAUAAUCAUAACCUUCAUUUAGAUAUAUAAAAUAAAAAAUGAAAACAGUUUUCUUUUUGUAAAUUUAAACAAAUAUUCUCAAAACAAAAACAGCCGAAAUCCAAAAUUUCAAGUCAUCCCUGACAUGCUCUAAGUAGGAAGUAGCAGCAAGGCAAGUUGGCUCCUUGGGAGAUACAUGCAGCCAAAACCAGUCCAAGUCAUUAUUAUUACACCAGUAACACCUUCAGCCUCAUAAAUUUGAAUAAAAGGUUUGUUAUCUAGAAAUUCUGCUAUGCAUGGAUUUCUUACUGAUCAACGAAGAACAAAAUAUAAAAGUUAGCCUGGUUAGAAAUCAAUUUACAGUAACUUCUAAUACUUCAGUUUUCAUCUCAGUUAAGCGACUCAGGGAAACUAAAACACACGUCACCAAUUGAAAAAACGAAAAGAUCUAACAAAAUACUUCUUACCAAAGUAUUUCAACUGUUUUUACCUUUAAAAAUAGCAAAGGAUUGUACCAAAAUACAAAAGCAAGGAAAAAAUUUGAGACUGUUUCAUAAGAGAGACUGUAUUAAAAGUCCAAAAAUAGACCUAAAUCUCUUCUCUAAGCCUCCCUACGCACAAAAUACAGCUUGCCCAUCACAUGAAGGACAGCAACAAAUGCUAUAAAGCCAAUGCUCAUUACAAGAACCACAUUUGGGGAGAUCUUGAGUCCAGGGGCAUCAUCAGUGUAAAAUUGGAGCAUAGUUCCAGCUGCUCCUCCAGAGGCCCCACCACCGGUUGUUCUCCUUCUCCUCAUGUUUGCAGUAGCUGCUGCACUUCCUCUUGGGGGAGCUGUUCCACCUAAAGCCAUUUUCUGAGACACAUUUUCAUACAUACAUUAGGAAUCUUGAAUAUAAAAAAAACAAAAUACAAAACCUCAGAAAUCAAGUACUACAACUAAAUCUUCUCACGCUAACUCAGUUUCCCCUCCAGAACAAGUAGAAACUCAAGAUAAAGGAAAAUCUCAAGAACUCACAACUCUCAAAUGAAUGAAAAAGCAAUGUAUCUCUAAUUCAAAUUCAAGAUUUGACAUGUAUACAUUUAAUUUUAACAACAAACUCUUCAAACUCAUUCAUUUAUGCUUCACUAAAGUAAUUCACAGAAUAAAAGCUUGCAUCAAAUCAAAGGUCAAUAUAGAUUACUGAGAUGAAACGGUAAUUCUGAUAGAAGAACAACACUAAAAGCAUCUAUGAAAAUGCAUCCAAAACUGCAUCUGCCUUUUCCCUUUAAGAAACUGCAUCCAAAACUACAUCACCCAACAGUACUAAUGAAGUUAGAAUUCCAGAUCUGCAAAACUCUAAUCUUCUCUACAUCACAAACCUACCCAGAUCCCAAAAACAAAAACGAUCAAAUUUCCCGAUCGAUGUACUCUGUUAAACAAUCAUAAAACCUAAAACCUGAAAAUCGAUGUACCCCUUGGUUACAAAAAAGGAAAAACGAAAUUGGAUCCACAACAUCACAGUUAACACUGAUUACAACAGCAAGCGGGAUCGUUCACGAUACGAAUACUAGAAUCAUCGCAAUUUAACAUAUGGAACAUUUCAAAACGUGGAAAUAUACUACAUUCACAUUUAAAAAAUUAAACGAUACACAAAAGAAAUCAUCGAAGCAUAACAGAGGGAGAUACAGAAAAUCAAUUUCAAAACCCUAACAUUUAAAAGGAAAAAGCCUCAGAUCUAUUAUCAGCAAUAAUACAUGGGAAUAAAGGAACCUUGAUAUGAAUUUCCGGUGAGUGAUGUUGGUGGCUGCUGCAGAUUUGAGAGAAGAAGUCGCCGGAGAUAUAGAAUACGGUCACCGAGUCGUUUCACGUUUACCACUGUUUGACUUUACAAUAAUAUGUAUAUAUAUAUAUAUAUAAGUAUAGAAGCUGAAAUUUGACUUUGCCACGUGAAAACAACCAAUCACAUUAUGCAAUGUCACCAUGUGUUGCUGAUUGUUGAUACUGUGUUUUUUUUCUGCACUCCAGUAUUUUUCUUCUUGCACCCCUACAUUCUACAUUCAUGUGUAAUUACAAAAGUAUUUUUGGAAAUUUUUAAAAACCCUAAAGUAGAAGUAGCAUGGUGACUCUUUCUUUCAGCCUUCUCAGCAUGUGCACAUAGCAAACACAAAGCAAGGAAUCGUGGUGCAUUGGGUGUUCCUAGUGGUUUCUCUUUAUGGAGUUGGUUUGUUUUUCGAGGUUUGGUGGUGGUUAAGUGGUUUUUGCGAUGACUCUAUUCAAAGAGGAAGGUAAGUAAUAUUUUUUGUUUACAGAUUGGGUGUCUCAUAUUUUUUUGGCGGAUUUGGGAUUUCGCAAUACAAUUUUUAGGGUACCGAAAGAGGCAUUCUGUAAUAUGCCAUUAGAUUGAUUAUUUUGAAAAUUAACCGGACUGAUGUGUUUGGAAUAAAAUCGGAUUUGCAAUUUUAGUAUGCGAUUUUGUGUAGUAUCACUUGUUGAAAUAUCUAAAAAGCUUAAUCGUGUUCAUAUCAAAUGCACUAACAGCAAUGGUAUGCUCCUUACACCAAAUGAAGCCAAUUCGUAAGCACAAGCAAGCCCGUGAGUAGAUCUAAGGGUGCACCGACAACGAGAUCUAUCUAAACCAACAUAUUCAACUCGACCACUCUCUUAUGCAAUAUACGACAAAGCAUAUUUUGAUACAAAGUCAAACAAUUUCUUAUAUCUUAUUACAUUAAAGACAUGACCCACCACAUGAAAACUCUUUUCUGAUGAAGAUUUAAUUGCAUUAUAUUGGAAGAUGAUCCUCUUGUUCAUGGAAUCCCAACAAAAGCAUAAGUCUCUCAUUGACAUCCAAGACAUUCUCUUGAGACUCCAAUGUGCAUACUUAAAACCUUAUUACUUGUCGUGUUGUCUAAGUGCAUGACCUUAUCUGUCAAAGCUUAACAAACUUUUCUUUGUGUGGAUUUAACCUGGUACACAUCACAUAUUCAGUAAACAUAGGUCAUGGUGAACAAACAACAUGAAAUGCCUUAACACGAUGCUCAUAGGCCUCUACAUUAUCACAAUCGACAAUAGCUCCCCAAGGCUUCAUCACAUUAUCUCAUGUCUCUCUUGGAUGAACAAUCAUUUUACGUUUUGCUUUGACAUUUUUAGUAAUGUGGAAACGACAUAACAAAUUAGCAACUUCGGGAAAGACAACAUCUAUUGCAUUCAUUAGAGUAAUAUCUCUAUCACUGACCACGACCUUUGACUAUGAAUCAACUCUCAAAAACAAACCUCAAGGACCCAUACAAAGUUAUGAUAUAGUUUUGAUGCAAGUAACAUAAAUGCAGCACUGAAGAUCAACCCUGGUGAGGUAACACCAACAACUUCAAGCAAGGGCAUCAUGUACCUAUUAGUUUUGCACGUAUUGUCUAUCAUCAACACAAUGUUAAAGACAUUUAGCUUCACUAAAGCAGAGUGUGUCCAAGAUAAAUAUUGCACGACAUUCAUCCCUUCCUCAAACCUAGACCAAUGGACAUACAUAUCUCACUCAAGUAACAACAUCAACUAUUGCAUUUCAGUUCUGUCACCUCGAUCUGAUUUUCUAUACACAUAUCGUGCAUUGUAAACUUACUUUAAGGUGGUUACAUCUUUCUUGUUAUGCUUUUUCAUUAUCAACAAAAUAUUUUUAGACUUCACUACAUUCUCUAUCAUAUCCAUAAGCAUUAACUUCUCACCGGAUGUGAACCUACCAGCAUAUGGAUGACCAACCAACGUAUUUGCCAAGUUAUGAUUAUGAGACUUACAAAGUAAUUUCAACAUUCAUCCUUCACCACCUUUUAUUGGGGUUUUUUGACCAUGAUGGGGUUAUUUUUUUUUGUUUUUACCAAAAUGGGGUCCGUUUAAAAAAAUUACAAAUUUAGGCAAGUCGUGCCUAAUUCGGUACGACUUCAUAUGCAGAAGUCGUCCCAAUUAGGUACGACUUCUGCCAUGUCAUACUAAAGUCGUGUCAACUUGGCACGACUUCUGUCCCGUCAUACUGAAUUCGUGCCAACUUGGCACGACUUCUGUCCCGUCAUACAGAAGUCGUGCCAAGUUGGCACGACUUCUGCCACGUCAUAAUUGUUCGCACAGACAAGCGUAAUAAUAAAAUUCAAUUCAAGUUUGAUUAUUAAUUUCCUCAUUUUCUUUAUCUAUGUAUUCAUUCAUUCAUAACACUCUUAGAACAUUCAUUUUCUUUAUCUAUCUAUUUAUUCAUUCAAUUCAAACAUGAUCCAUACACAAUUAUCCAAUUUUUUUGUUCCUUAAAACUAACACUCUUAGAAAAUUAUGUAUCAAAUUAAUUUUUAACAUUACAUAACUUAAUACCCAAUAUAUAAACAAUAAAAUUAAAAAAAAAUAAAAAUUAUGACGUGGCAGAAGUCGUGUCAAGUUGGCACGACUUCAGUAUGACAGGGCAGAAGUCGUGCCAAGUUGGCACGACUUUAGUAUGACAUGGCAGAAGUCGUGCCUAAUUGGGACGACUUCUACAUAUGAAGUCGUGCCGAAUUGGCACGACUUGCCUAAAUUUGUAAUUUUUUUUAAACGGACCCCAUUUUGGUAAAAACCAAAAAAAAUAACCCCAUCAUGGUCAAAAAACCUUUUAUUGGAUGCCCUCAUAAUCUAAAUGGGCACUCACAUUUCCCACUUACACUCUCAGUAACCUGUAAUUCCUUCUUACAUCGCUUGUAUUUACCUCCUCUCUCACAACCUAAUAAUAUAAAUGUCUCCCUUCCUCGUUGGCCAUUUGAAGUAUCCAACCUCAAUAUAACAAUAACAAAGCAAAAAUGAAACAUAACUUUUCUAACCCAUGUCAACCGAGUAGGAAGUAUCUACAGAAGUUAUCACAAGUUCAUAUUUAAUUUACCAAAUAACAAACAACCUAAACAUACUUUACAAGCUUCAACUUUACCUCAUUUGUAGUAAACACAUUUGUACAUUCAUAUGACUUUCAUAUAUUGUUUAAUGCUUUGUUGGAUAUUGACUUCUCAAUAUCAUCAUCAUUUAGACCCUCCCACACAUCAACCUCAUCAUAUAAUCCUUGUUUGAAUUCUUAAGUAUUGUCCAUAGUUCUACAAAUUAACAUCUUACCAUCAAAUUUCAACAAAUUUUUAAAAACCAUAAGAAACACAUGGAAAGUUAAAAAAUCCAUUAUGGAUCCACCAAUCCAUAUGUCAAAAAAUGCAUUCUGGAUCCACCAAUCCAUAAGUCAAAAAAUGUAUUAUGGAACUAUCAAUCCAUAAGUCAAAAAAUGUAUUCUAAAAUGACCAUUCCGUAAUGAUUUUUUUUUCAAAUUUGUGAAUUCGUUAUACAUAAAUGCAUAUGGAACACCCCCUCAUCUAGAAUACAAAAACUUUACUUAUGGAAUACCUAAUUUGUAUUUCAUUUUUUCACUUGCGGAUGGUUGGUCCAUAAUACAGUCACAGAACCCGAUUUCCAAGAACCUCUAAAUCCCAUAACAACCCAAUCCCAAAAACAAAACUUAAAUCACCCUCUACCAACACCAACAAUCAACCCCCAAAAACAAUGGUAGCCAUGGACAGUGCCUUUUGAAAAAAAAAUAACAAGGUUAAUUUUGGUAUUUUAAAAAAUGUAGGGGUGCAGGAAGAAACACCCUUAUUGAUAUAUUCUCCUAAGAAAAUUUGGUUUUGAGCCAUUUAACUCGGUCCGGUAAAGUUGGGAUUUGGGCCCAUUAGUACUGGUUAAGCAAUGCGGGCAAUUUAUUCCUACACUUCCAUAAUUUCUUCUUGUACCUUUAUAAUUGAUUUGUUUCCAAAAAUAUCUUUCUCCAAACAUUAUUAGGUUAAGGGAUGUUGUUGGAGUUGAAUAAGGUUAGUGGUGCAGUGGUGUUGGAUAGGUGUAGUGGUGGCUUGUGGUUUAUGGUUUAGGGUAUUUACUAUUUUCGUUGAGAGUUGCAAUAGUGGAUUUAGGGUUUAGGGUAUUUACUAUUUUCGUUGGGAGUUGCAAUAGUGGAUUGUGGUUGUUUGUAGUGGUUAGUGGUUGUUUUUGGUGCCUUGUGGUGGUUGGUGGUGGUUUUUUCUUGUAGUGGAUGUGGUGGUGAGGUAGCUUAUUUUAUUUAAGGUAAUGUGGUGGAUUAUUUUUUUGAAUUAAAAAUUCUAUAAUUCAUAAACAGUUUUGAAUUUUACAAUUUGGAAUAUAAGUUUGUAUUUCGAAUCGUAGAAUUUAGAAUACAAAAUUAUAUUAUGAAUUAUAUAAUUCGAAAGCUUUUUCUUUUACAACACAAUGCCUUCUGAAUUGUAUAAUUAAGAAUACAAUUUUGUAUUUCAAAUUCUACAAUUUGAAAUCCAAUUUGUGACUCCAUAAAAUACCUUUUGAAUUGUAGAAUUUGGAAUAGAAAAUUAUAUUUUGAACUCUACAAUUUGGAAUAUAACAUUGUAGACAGUCCAAUUGCAAUGAUUAUUUUUUAAUUUUUGAUAAAAUUAUAAUAAAUCUAUAUUUCUUAUUUAUUAUUGGAUGUAUAGGAGUGAAACAUUAAUUAUGAAUAAUAAAUAGGAACUUUGGAACAAAAUAUCAUAUGAAGUGGAUAAGAUGUCUGAAAUGGACCACUAGUUAAUGAAUUAUGUUGUCAAUGGAGACAAGGCAAUUGCUUCCUGCACCCGAUCAAUUGUGACUAGCACCCGAUACACUUUUAAAAAUCCUAAAAUGCCCUUGUCUUCUUCAUUUACGAAUAAAAAUAUUCGGAACUGCUCGUUGCUUACGGAUAAAAAUAUCCGGAACUGAUCGUUACUUACGGAUAAAAAUAUCUGGAAGCCACAGUUGUGCCUACGGAUAAAAAUAUCCGGAAGCCAGCCACAGUUAUGCCUACAGAUAAAAAUAUCCGGACCCAACUAUAUUCCGGAUAAAAAUAUCCGUAAGUCAAAACAAACUUACGGAUAAAAUUAUCCGGACCCCAAACUCCCUUACGGAUAAAAAUAUCCGCACCUCUCAAAAGUCACUUGCGGAUAAAAAUAUCCGCAACUCUCACUCACUUAUAGAUAAAAAUAUCCGGAAGCAUGACGUACCUUCGAAUCUGGUGCUCUGCCUGCGAUAAUGGAGGUCACGGUGGGUGCAGAAGAAUGGAGAAGAACGUCGCUCACGGUGGUUGGACAAUAAGCUUGCUCACGGUGGCUGCACAACACGGUGGCUUACGGUGGCUCGGUGGCUGCGGCAGGCACAAUGAAAUGGAAGAACAGAAGAAUAGGGUUGGUGCAGGUCAUUGGGUGCAUAUCACAAUUAUAGUUUUCAAGAUUUCAUUAAGGAUAUAUUCGUCUUUUACUAUUAAAUGAUUGGGUGCCAGUUAGAAUGUGUUGGGUGCAGGGAGAAUGUGCCUGGAGACAAAAUGGCUAAAGGAGAAUGUUAGGCCUUUUAAAACAAAUGAGGUGAAAAAAAUUAAACUCAUGAAGAGUUAUACCCCUAACCAUGAAAUCAAAUAUUUAAUUCAAAUAUUUUCUAAAUCUUGGUUAAUUAAUGUCUUUAAUUAGAUAAAAAAUUAUUCUUAACAUUUUAAAUUACUUCACUAUAAUUAAUAAUUAAAAUUUAUGUUGUAAGUGUUGAUGAUGUAAGUUUUGUAUAUUUUUAUUUUCAAAUAAUACAAAAUAUUUUAAACUAUUAUUUCAUUUUAAAUUUAAAUUUAAGAAAAACAAUCUAAUAGGUUUGUCUUGCCUUAUUUUGGCUCGUUUUACGAAAGCGGGUGGAUAAACUAAAUAUGAUAAUUUGUUUUGCCAAAUUAGUGGUAGCACACUAUCUCUUUUGUUUUUCUUCUUAGACUCGAAUAAAUUAAAAAAAAAAUCUAAAACAUCAUUUAUUAGUUUUUUAAUCCCUAAUUUGAGCAGUCUGUAAAAACAAAUUUUUUAUUGCAAAUCUAAUCAUUAUAAAAGAAAAAAUAACGACUAAUAAUUUGCUAUUUAUUAUAAGUAAAUAAAGAAACAUGAAAAAAUAUAAAGUUAACCCUGAAAUAAAAUAUAAAUUUCUACUUAUAAAUAUUAAUAGCAAUAAAAUAAUAAAUAAAAAUAUUUAACUAUAUUCAACGGACAAAAACAAUAUUACACAACAAUUAAAAUUAAAAAAAUAAUAUCAGUUGUGAGAUGAGAUGAUCCGAACUUUGAUUCGUCCAAACUACGACUAACUUUUAGGGAUAAUUCUCACACUUUUAUUUUAGGCUUUGUUUGGAUUAGAGAGUGGAAAUGAGGGAGUGAAUUUAAGAUGAUUUGAAGGAAAAGUGUGAAGAAAGUAAUGUUGUUUGGAUUAAGGUAAAUAGAGUAGAAAGUUUAGAGAAAGUUUAUGAAAGUUUGUGAGUGAUGUGAUAGAUGUGAUUGAAAUUAUAUUUUUUAAUUGAUAAAAUUAUAAAUUUACAAAUUUACUUUUAUAUUUAAAAAUUAUUAAAAAAUUAAUUGGAUUGAUUUAUUUAUAAAUUAAAUAACUUUAUUAUUUUUAUCUUUAUUUUUUUAUAAUUAAUAUAAUUAUUAUAUAAUUUUUUUAUUUAAAAAUAUAUUUAUUAUUAUUAUUAUUAUUUAUAUUUAUUCUUAUAAAUAAUUAAUUAUGUUAUUUUAUAAUAAAUAUUUUUUUACAGUUUUAAUUAUAUUUUAUAUUUGAAUUAUAAUCUUAUUUUAAAUAAAAAUAAUAAUAAUUUUAGUUUAAAAUAAAAAAACUAACCUAAAUUAUAAAGCAACUUGCAAUUCUCUCAUACCACGUCGAAGAAAGUUUUAAACAGAAAAUUCCCUUCGUUUUUUGUGUGUUUAUAUUAUUUAAUACCUCAUUUUUUUUUUCUAUUCACAAACAGUAAAUUUUCUCUUUUCUGCUUCUAGAAAUAAACGGAGUCUUAAAGCAUAUUUUUGUUCUUUUAUAAAUAAGUAUUUUAUAAGUGUCACACAUAAGAUAUGAGUGUCUGAGUUUCAUAGUUCUUAUUACUUUUUUAAACUAUUUUUAUUAUAAUAUUUUAUUUGAAAAAACUAAUUAAAUAAAAUCAAAUAUUCUAUUUACUUUUUAAUCAACUUUUUCAUGCUUCUCGAGACACAACUAUAAUUCACUUGUAAUGAAUGACUAGGUCAACGUUAAACAUAUAGAAAACAAAAUCUAGAAUUAUCCGAACUCACACAAAGAAUUUGUGUGUACAAGGACAGCGCCACCUAGGAUACCAAUAUUCAACUCUGAAUUCAGAGUCAUAAAACGGCACCGUACACGCGGCCCAAAAUAAAUACGGUUCCAUCAUAUAACAAAAAAUAUAAAAAUAAAUGAAUAUGGUUCCAUUAUUUUAUUAUAUGAUUGUAAAUAAAUAUAAAUCAUAACAUUCAACAUUCACCAAAUUAACGCAGCCAAAAAGUUGUAAUUUUUUAAACAUUGCAAAUAAUCACGUUUGCAAAUUGCAAUGCCAAGUCAUUCCCUAUUGGAUUAGUUAAUUCAUGAGAAUGCUUAACUUUAAAUAAGUAUUUUUGAAGUACUUUUUUAAAUAAUUACUUAUACACACAAUAGAUAGAAUUUAGCUAUUUAAACAAAAUACUAAUUUUAAAAUAAACAACCUUUGACAUUUAAAUAUACACAAAACCAUUAUUAUUAUUAUUUUCAUUAAUAUAAAGUUAUCACAUGUGCCAAAAAAGGUCUAUGUACAAGCAAAGACAUUCACAUGUAUAAUUAGUAAAAAAAAUACCUACCUUAGACUUAAUAUAUUUAUAGUCUCUUAAUAAAUUUGUACUUAAAAUUAAUAAAUCUAGAUUAAGUUCUCCAAUUAUUUUCCAUAUUAUUAGUUUUAAAUAUAAUAUCAAAUACUAAUUAUAACUACAUUAACAAAUACUUAAACUUUUAUUGUGAUUGCCUUUCUCAUUAAGAUUGAAAUAAAAAAAAUGUAUUUCUCCCACCAAAAAAUUAUUAAAUAAAAAAAAUUUUGCAAAAAAUAAUAAUUAAUUAUUAUAAUAAUUAAAUUAGAUAAUAUUUUAUAAACUAAAUAAAUUAUCGAUAUUUAAAAUAAUUUUUAUAAAAAUUUAUAAACUAUUUUUUACGUUAAUAUCAAAUUAUUAUCAAAGUUUUAGCUAUUAAUUACUUUAAAUUUUAAAAUUGGAUAGUUUAAAUGUUGAUAGUUAAUUAUAUAUAAAUAAGUUAAUUAGAUAUCAAUUUAAAAAUUAAUUUAUAAUUUUUUAUUAAUAAAAAAAACUAUUUCAAUAUUUAUAAUUUUUUAAUUUAUAAAAUAAUAUCUAAUUUAGUCAAAAUAAUAAUUUAUUACUUUUUUAUUCUAAAAUUAUUUUUAUUUAAUAAUUUUCUAGUAAUAUUUUAUAAACAUUAAAAAAAAUAUUUAUAAUUUAAUGAAAAAACACACAAACAUGAAUACAUAAUGCAUAUGGCAAUGAUAAAUUCUAAAGAUAUUUUUAGGGUAAAAACAAAAAAAAUGGUACAGUACCAUUAUUUGCAAGUUGGGUGAAAAGAAUGUGGCCAACUAAAUUUUAAUUAUUGGUAUUAUAACAUGGUGUUAUGUUGACAAUUGAUGCUUCACGAGGCCAUUUGGUGUGCCAUGACAGAACCUGACGUAAGCUUUUGACAUAGCUCAAGCUGAAAAUUGAGGUCAGAGACGCCAUUUUUGUCUCUCUUUUUUCACAAAAGUCUUAUAAAUAUAAAGUAGGGUUCCAAUUUUUCAACCCAACACUGCCGUUUCUCACCAAAUACCAUCGUUCUUAUCAUUCUGUGAGGUCGAUUCCUCAAGUUUCAAACUACUACAAAACAUUUUUUUAAAGAUCGUUCUUCUGGGAUAAUCAGUUGUUCAUAUAUCAGGAUGUCACAAGGGUUUGCUUUUGCACUUGUUGCUGUGUUCUUCUGUCACUUCAGCUGCUUUCUUAGCUCUGCACAAGCUCAAUCUGCAAACGCCACCACUGACCCUUCUGAAGGUAAGUGUUUUUCUUUUUCCCUUUCUGGAACAAGUUUCUUUCUUCUGCAGAACUUCAUGCAAACAAUCAAUGGGUUUGGGUUUCUUGUUGGGAAAUUUGAAAAAGAAAAACUUUUUACUUUGAUUCAACCAUGCUAUAUGAUGUCAAAGGUUAUCUUAAAAAUCCCAUCGACUACACUAGAAUGAAAACCUUACUCUCGAUAAACCGAUUUUAUAGAAUUGAUUUAGACUUAAAAUACUUUUUUAAUAGGUUAAUCAAUUUAAAUUCUUCUUUUUAAUAGCUUAAUCAAUUGAUAAAUUUAGUGUAAACAUAACCAUGCCAUUGAUAUAUAUUUCUCUUCAUAUUUUCUUAUUUUUCUGUUGUUUAGCUCCAAUUCACUAAAAAAAUAGAGAAGACAUAGUUUUUCCUCUUUGACCUUUGAUGAAACAGUAAAACUCAUUUCACUAAUUUCUGAAUCUGAAUAUGUUAGAAACUAGUCUUAAACAAAGUUAAGUCCUUAUCAAAGAAAACCUUUAAAAAAGGGUGAAAAGAGCAUUUAGUGAAUAAUUUGUUUGGGUAAAUUUUUGUUUGUUUUGUUUAAUGAAUAAUCUGACAGAGAAAAAUGAAAUUAUUGGUACAGUACUACAGACCAGAAUGUUUGGCAUAUUCUGCAACACUCUGAUAUGUGAUAUUGGUAUUUAAUAUUUAGAUUAUGAUAUUUUUAAAUGUUAUCCACAAUAAAUAUUAAUAUUUAUAAUAAAAGAAUUUAAAGAAAAAGAAAAUAAUUCUUAAAUAAAAAUAAAAAUAAAAUAUAAAAUGUUUUAAAAUUUAAAAAAAUAUAAAUUUUUAUAAAUAAUUAAAAUAUUAAUAUUUAUUGGUGCAACUUACAAAUUGUAAGGUGGGGGCAUGAGAAUGGAAUAAACAAUUUUGUUAAUAUUUAUAUGUUUUUUAUUAUAUUAACUUUUUAAUUUGUAGUUGUACCUACCAAAAACCAGAUAUUAUUCUCAAUAAAAUAUAUGUUUGACUUUUUGACUCUUCAUUUUAUAGUUCAUACAUUCUUAUAUGUAACAAUCCUUCCACUUAAUACAAUAAAGUUAUUAAAUAAAAAUAAAAUUAAUAAAAAUCACUAAAUUAACUAAAUUAUAUAUAUUUUAAAUAUUAAAAAAUUAUUAUUAUAUAAAAUCAUUUCUGUUCUUAAUAAACUAAAUUAAUAACUAAAACUUGAUAAUUAAUUAAAUAUCAAUUAUUAUUUAUUAAUUAUAUUUAAUUUGGUUAAUAUAUUAGUUUAUAUUUAGUGAUUUUGGUGUAGUAUAUUUUAAUAGCUUUCUUUUUUUAUUUUUCAUAUUUUUUAUUAAGUUCGUAUUAUUAUUAUUAUUACUAUUAUUAUUUAAAUUUUGACUUAAUAUACUAAAUUCUCAUAAUAUAUCUUAUUAAAAUUGUUUCUAAAACUUCAUCCUUAAUUUUAAAGAUACCAUUUCAUUUAAUUAUUUAUACGUGAUAAAAAAAAUCUCAUUUCACUAAAAUAUUAAUAAUAAAUUAAUUCUAUGGUUAAACUGAGUGCAUUUCCCUGAAAAAGUGAAGUUCUGAAUGCAGCAAGAACUAUAAAUUCAAUCUUCAGCAAAUGGGGUAAAUCCGCAGACACAAGUAUAUGGAAUAUAAGCGGUGAAUUGUGCAGUGGAAGAGCCAUUGAUAGUACCUCCACCCCUGAAUCUUACAACCCAUUUAUCAGAUGUGAUUGUUCCUUUGACGACGGAACUACUUGCCGCAUCACAGCACUGUAUCUCUCUCCCUCUCUCAACUUUACUUUUUCAGUUUUUCAGAUAAAAUUUCUGUGUUGAUGUGUUGUACAUUGAAUUUGGAAGCUUACUAUUGCUCUAAGCAAUAUAAUUUUUACUUUUUUUGGGCUUUUAUGCUUUGAAUGGUACAGGAGGGUCUCUGCACUGAAUGUGGUUGGUGAAAUUCCAGAAGAGCUAUGGACUCUCACCUAUCUCAACAAUUUGUAUGUUUUCUUCCUCAUGAACUUCGUUAGAAUAAGUUCUGCACAUGCUUUAUUUUUAUUACCAGAGGAAGCUCAGACACUCAUUCAUGUGGGUUCACAUUUUGUUCCGUAAUAAAUGUUACUGCAUUAAUAUUCGAUAAAAAAAACAGUUAUGAUGAGAGUAAAAUUGUAAAAAAAGGUUUGUAUAAAAAACAAUGAUCAAAAUUCGUAUAUUGAUAUAGAUUACUCUAAACUUAAUUUUUGGGCACUAUCAAUGAAUCUGCCAACCAAUUAAAAAAAAAUUAUUUAUGAUUUUUAGGGUAGUUAUUAUAAACAGUUAACAAUCUAUCAUACAUGUUAAAAGUUAUGAUUGAGUGAGAAUGUAAAAUUAUUUUGAUGCACUUUUAGCUUUUGAUUUGUUAUUCUCAAGCAAGAAUUACAUGCUUUUUUGCUGUACUAAGUUCCAUCAAUUGCAAGCAGAAAUCUUGCGCAAAAUUACUUGACGGGUUCUCUACCUGCAGCUAUUGGAAAUCUAACUCGUAUGCAAUACUUGUAAGACAAUUCGACCCAAUUUCAGUUCAUAAUAUUCUAUGAAUUUAAUGUUGUGACACAUAAGUUCUAACAGAUAAGUUUGCUCUUUGUUAGGAGCUUUGGAAUCAAUAAUUUAUCAGGGGAGCUUCCAAAGGAAUUGGGAAAUCUUACAGAGUUAUUAUCACUGUAUGUUGUUUGCUUUGAACUUUUCUUCCUAUGGUUAUGAAAUUGCCAAUGGGUUGAUUUUUCAGGAUCAAUUAGUCACCAAAAAUAUUUGGUGUCGGUUAUGAGUCUUAAAUUUGAUAGAAAAUGAAGUGGUAUUUAAGCGAUGGGGUUAUCCCACAUAAUGAAUUAGUAUUUUUGGUUAAGUUGCCUCUUUGUGCCUAAGUCAUAGUAUUGUCUCUUGCAGUACGAGUGCAUGUUUGGUUUCGUUUUGGAUCAAUUCAAAUGCAGAUCCAUAAUACACAUCUAAGUUGAAACUAUUUUGAAUAACUUUCACAUCUGAAACAAGAAUCCGAGGCUCCAAAGGGAAAACCAAACACACAAUGAGUCUUGGGUGCUAGUUAAAAGUUUAAUUAAUGGUGUGAAAGUGAGAUGGACCCAAAUGUAAGAUGGAGGCCAAUGCCUAUUCCGGCCUUUAAAUUAGAAUGACAUAUACACAUAGACAAAAGAUAUUCUGGUCUUGUGAUUGAUCUUAUGAUAUGACAACUGGAUUUUGUUUCCUGUAGUAAUGAGUAUGAAGUGUCUAAUAGAUAAGGGGUGAUUAUGAGACAAUAAAUGAUAAAUUUAAUUAACCGAAAACAUAUAUUGUACAAAAAUUGAGUCAUGAAUUGAUAGAAAUCCACAUGGAAAAUUUUGGUUUGAGAAUAUUUUUUUCUUUAGACACACAAUAUUAGUUAUGAUGAGUACCUAAAUGGAUAAAAGGAAAUUUAAUGUUUUUCAUAAGAAUUUGCUCGCACAAAGCAUAAACCAAUAUUGUUCUGUUGUGGAUACAUGAUGGUGUGCAUGACAAAUUUCUCGUGAUGGCACUAGUGAGAUUUAUUAUUUGUUAAAUUUGUAGGAGUUUUUCGUCAAAUAAGUUCUCAGGAUCUCUCCCAUCUGAACUUGGGAAACUCACAAAGUUAACCCAGCUGUAAGUAUUUCUGCAGUCUUAGGUUCUAUUUGUAUUAUAUUUUUUAAUCAAGUUUGAGUCAUAUAAGGUUGCUAUUUUACAUAUUUUUACACACAUAUCUAUUGACUUUACUCCUUUAUUGUUUCCUAUGGUAUACUAAAAUAUUACACCUAGCAAAAUGUUUUCUUCUAUUAGAAGUUUAGUGGCAAAAGUGAAAUUUCUGCAUGUUAUAUAUAUGCAGCCAGUUUAAAUUUUGGAAUGGUUGGGCACAUGCCCCCAAUGCAUUCAUCCUUGCAUUUUGCAUCUCAAAUACUUUUAGUCCAACAUUAGUAAAUUCUUUCUAUUUCUAAUGGUAGUGAAUCCUAUCUCCACGUUGAAGUGAUACCCCCCUAUGUAAUUUUCUAUAUCUUUGUGUAGAAUAUAGUCAUGGAGAUGGAUGCAUAUAUUACUACUCUUUCAAAUAUGGUUUGUGUCUACAAACAGCAACAAUAUCCUAGGGGAACUACGAUACAGUAUUUUGGUUACUAAACACAUGUUACAAGCAAUUAUUUAUUAUUGUUCAUAGUCAUCAAUUAGACUUGUCAUAACUUCAUAAGCAUACAUUGUAGUAAAUAAUGAGUUGGUCGGUUCUCAAUAAUGCAAGUAUGUGGUCAUUUUUCAAAAUUACACUUUGUUACGCAGUUUCAUACCUUUGUUGUGAGCACAAAGAGAAUAUUAAUUUCACAAUAUUUCCUUGCAGUUACAUUGAUAGUUCAGGAAUUAGUGGUCCAAUUCCGUCCUCAUUUGCGGACCUAAGGAGUUUGGAACGAGUGUAAGAUACUCCCACUUAGAUGUGCCUAAAGAAAGAAAACCUUGUACAACAAUAAAGAUUUUUCUUUUCAUUUCAGAUGGGCUUCAGACACGGAACUCAGGGGCAAUAUACCAGACUUCAUAGGGAAUUGGACUAGACUUCAAGUCUUGUAAGACAACAUUACCAGUCAACUCUGUUUUCCUCCUUAAUUGAAUUACCUUGGUGGAAUGGAACACUUUUUGAUAAAAUAAAUUAUAUUGGGUGUGGAAUUAAAAUUUUCUUUUUAUGGCUACUUUCGUUUUCUGUUCCAGAAGUGUGUACUAACAGUUUUUGUGAAUUAUUGUCUGUCUUGAUGUUCUGUUACCAGGAAAUUUUAAUUUUCAUGGUUACUUUCGUAUUCUAUUCCAAAAGUGUGUCCUCCUGACAGUUUUGGUGAAUUAUUGUAUGUUUUGAUAGGAGGUUUCAAGGCAAUUCUUUUAAUGGCUCAAUACCCUCAUCAUUUUCCAACUUGACUUCUUUAACAGAAUUGUGAGUACCAACUUGUUUCUUGUAUGGGUAUUAUUGAUUGAUGAAACCUAAUAAUUAUGUAUGAUAUAAAUGUAGGAGAAUAAGUGGUUUAUCUGAUGGGAACUCCUCACUGGAAUUUGUACGGAAUUUGAAAUCUUUGAAUAUCUUGUAAGCCCCAACUUUGCUAAUCUUCGUAACUCACUCUGCUUUGCCGACUUAAUUUUUUUACUUAUUUGUUACAAUUGUUGCAGAGAAUUGAGGAAUAACAAUAUUUCUGGUUCGAUUCCCUCCUCCAUUGGAGAGUUGCACAAUUUGACCCAGCUGUGAGUAUUACCUGUUUGUGUCAAACUAUAUUCAAAUGAAAUUAUGUAAAAGGUGUUGACUAGAAAGAACCAAAUUAGUUAAUUCUUUGUGGCUAUUCCACAUAUAUCCAAUCUGAUUACUGACUGGUGGUUAUACGAGGGAUAUCUUAAAAUAAGUAUUACUCAACAUGUUCAUUACUUACUUGUGUUCAUUUAAUUUUUUGUCUUAGUAAUUUUCAUUGUUGUAUGGUAGAAAGAUACCAGUUUCCUACUAAUUUAUCUUAGGGAUAACAUAAUUGGACAUUUUCUUUCCUUUAUUUGAAAAGAGAAAACAAGUAUCUUGUCUUAUAGUUCUAUCCUUUCCCAAAUCAAGGAAAUUAUAUAUUUAUGCUGGUUUUUACAGGGAUUUAAGCUUCAAUAACAUCGAGGGACAAAUUCCGGGAUCAAUUUUCAAUUUGAGUUCGCUCUCUACCUUGUAAUAUUGCAUUUCUUAGAAAUUGCAUAUUCAUUUGUUGAUACGCUUUGUACAUGGUUUAAAGGACGUUUUGGUUUUUUCAUCAAAUUGCAGGUUUCUUGGAAAUAAUAAGCUAAAUGGCACCCUUCCAACGCAGAAAAGUUCAUCAUUUCAAUUUAUGUGAGUAAGAUUGACUUAUUUGAAUUAUGGAGGAUGAAAUUCAUUACUUUAGGAUUCAAAAUACUAGGGCCAAAUCCAAGGUGCCCCUAAACUAUUGGUUGCAUGUGCUUUGAACCUCAUAACUAUCGGUUGCAUGUGCUUUGAACCUCAUAACUAUCGGUUGCAUGUGCUUUGAACCUUAUAACGAUUCCUUAAACUCACCAAACUCCAGUUAUUGACCAAUAAGGUCUUUUUUUGCACAUGCAAUCCAGGAUAAUUUGGUGAAUUCAAGAAGUUUAGUUGGUGAUUUUUAAAUCAUCUUGCAUUGUCGGCAUAUGACUCAUAGUUGGAUGGGCUUCCCAGUGUCCUGCCCAAAUUUUUUAGCUAUACACUUAGUUGCUAUUUUAAAUUUUCUAAAAUUGCACCAUCUGAAUAUAAAAGAGAUUGAUUGGAACUUUGUCCUACUAGUUUAAAGACUAAAAUGAACAGAAAAAAUGUAUUAUCAUAAUGAGAGGAAAGAGCGUAUGCUUUCCCAUGUUGUUACUUGUCAAUUUUCUAUUUGUAUUUAUUUUAAGUAUGUGUCCACAUGUCGUAGUUGUUUUAAUACAACUUGGAUGCUUUAAAAUUGGUGUUAUAUGUGUUGUUGUUAGAUAAGUAUCUGUAUUCCUUGGACAUCAUAUGAAACUAUAAGUAUACAUCGUGUAAUUUUAUUUAUUUUUUAAAUCGUUUGCUGAUAUGUGUGGGUAAUCAUAUGUAUUGGCUAAAUGGUAGUAUCUAUCAAGUCUAUAACGACUAAAUACUAAUGCUGAAAAAGAAAAGCCAAUAACAUCUAUGUUGAAGUUUAUUUGACUUUCUUCACUUUUCUUGCUCGUGGAAUUGUUCAACAUAUAAUUUUUUUAAUGAUGUUUGCAGUGGCUUUAUUUGUUUAUAUGAUGUUUUCUUGAGAUGAUUUACAAUUUACAUAAUUUUUUGUUAGUGUUUUACUUUAUCUUAUCAUACUUCAUUCGUAAUUUUUCCUAUGGGUGUCAUAUCUGACACCUCUGUCCACACUUGUAUGUAUUUGUUUUACAUUAAUUUCUACAGGUUCAAUCAAUAUUUAGUGUACUUGUAACACACAUAGUUUGUCAACUCAUAUGAAUGUUAGAGUUGGCCUAUUUUGGCUACACCCUUUUCAAUUGAAACCAUCAUUCCUCAAGUAUUAUCCUUGAUUUGGUUUGACUUAACAUGCUUGCAGAGACUUGUCAUACAAUGAUCUAUCAGGUAGCCUCCCCUCUUGGGUAAACGAUGCAAAUUUACAACUGUAAGUAGUGUGAUUCUUUUUCUCUCCCUUACAUAUCAAUUUGUUCGCAAGCUCCCAAUAAAAUGAGUCUAAGUUAGAAAGAUAGAGAAGGAGUAGUUUUGGAUUGGAUGACAUAAUGGUCUACUAGGCUACUAAAGAGGAGAGGAGACUUAGUUAAGUAAUUAAGAAUUGUUAGAAAACAGACCAAGGAAGUUGAACAUAUCAUUCUUGUUUCAUUUUAUUUAUUGUAUCACAUAUGAACAUGGGUCCAAAGAUAGAGGGAUUUUUCAAUAAACUAUCAUUCUCUUCCUACAAUAUGAUCCACUUCUAUUUCAAUUUCAACAAUAUUGUUAGACUUUGGGAUUAUACGUAUCCAAUAUUGUGAGAAGUGGAUCAUAUUGUAGUAUUAUGAGAUGUUACACAUAUCCAACAUUCCAAUCCUUUUAUACGUCAUAUUUCCUAUGAUUUUGUUUGAUAUUAUCUAGAUCAAUUUUGAUUUUAUUUGAUAAUUUAACAUGCAACAAGUUUCUAGUGAUUGAAGGAGCAUGCAACAAGUUGUUAAGUUUAAUAGUGAUGUUUGAAUUAGUAGGUGAUAGAAAUGAAGAGGAACCAACAUAAAAAAUACAUAAACUUUAUUGUUCCCUAUGAAGAUUUGAUUCAGACCAUCAAAAUGGCUAAGUUGAUUGAUAUUUUGUGGCUCACCGGUCACAUGGAAACCAACACCUAAAUCUGGAAUCCAAGAGGUGUUGCCAUUGCUUUGAGAGCUCAAGUUUUUUAACGUUGCACUUGGUUGAGUCGUUUCCUAGAAUUAACUUCCCACGCAUCAUGUGUAGUAUUAAAAAUAAAGGAAAAGAAAAAAAUAGGAUAAAUUCCCUUGUGUAUAUUGAACAUAUAAGGUUAUGUUUUUAUAGAGAAAAACAUACAAAAAAAAUAUGGGCUAAGCCCAUUACAUAAAUAGAAAUAUCUAUAAUAUCUAACAUGUAGGAUAGACAUAAUCAAGUUUAUAGUUCUCAUUGGUGAAAUAGCGCUUCAAAACCACCGGAUUUACAACAAAUCGUUGUAACUUGUGUGAUUUGAUCAUUGGUUCUAUAUGCUGCUUCUAGUCAUGAUAGUUUGAAUCAUUGAACUUCUUAACCAUGGACUUAUAAAUGAUUGAGAGAUUGAGGAUUGAGAUUUUGAAGCCAUGAAUGCAAAGAUCGAAGGCUCAGAGUGGAUGAAAACCUUAGAAUGUUCGAAGAAGAAAAGGCUUCAAAAAAAGGGCUCUAGAUGCCCUCUAAAAUAAACCGACAAGAAAAAUGUAACUAAAUGAAUGGAAUUUUAUUAGCUUGAAUGUAAAGAUGGUUACAAGAAUAAUGUUUAUAGCUAUCUAUAGUAGAGAAGAAGGUUAGCCUUUGCUAACAGCUCUAAAUAUACUAAUAGUCAAAAAUACAAUCUCAAACACUAAAAUGAUUAAAUGAAUAGCAAGAGUUAGCAAAUGCAAGUUGAAAAUUUACUUUAGUGACGAAAUGUUUACUAAAGUGAUCUACAUUUGAAAGAAAUUAUAAUAAAUAUAAAUACAAUUCAAGUUAAUGACAUAAUUUUUUUUACUCAUUUGAUCUUCCUAUGAUUCAUUAUACUAAAAUAAUAAAAUUGUUGAUGUCUCCUCUCACCUUUAAAUGUUCAACUAUUUUUGUUCAUACUUUAACAUCAUAUAUUGAAAACUUGCUUGAUGAUUAUCUCUCUUUACAUAUAUAUGUGUGCACACUUGUGUGUUCUCUAAGAGUAACACUGAGAGAGUUACUCCUCAUCAUCAUUUAGUGUUAAUGAGUAACUAAUUAUAACUAUUAGAUUUCAAGAAAAUAAAAGGUGAUGAUCUUGGAGUAACUUGACCCUUAUUUAUAUAUGUGUGUGUGAGAGAGGGAGUAUGUAUUCUGAAACUCAUUGCAAUAAUUUUUGGGUUUGAGAUGCAGGAAUUUAGUUGUUAACAACUUGACAAUAGAUGAUGAUUCAGAUACCAGGUGAUUAUUAUACACUUUCUCUAAUGAUGAUUGUUUUAAUAGUUCUUUUAAAACAUACUGCAUAUAACCUAUUUUUGGCUAUAAUAUGAAUUAUGAUCUUGCUUGGAUUCUGUUCCUCAGAGUCUAGUUUAGAUUCAUAUGCUAGUUGCCUCCAUUUGAAACAUUUUCCUUUCCAUAUAAGUGUACUGUAUCUUGCUUGCCAUCAGCCGAAACGCAUAUCUUAUUUAACAACUUCCAAAAUUUUAUUUCAUUGUAGUUGAUGUUUUCAGUACCCCGUUUAUUUCUAAUUCUCUAGCCCAUGGUUACAUAUAUUCUUCACUAAUAUCUUUUUGCCAUGCUUAUUUGAUAUGUUUAUUAAUUGCUUUAUUAGCUACAAGUUAACUUGUGUAAUGUGUAUUUGAUACAAUGAUUAAUUGAUUAAUUUGAUAUUUUCAUUAAUUACUUUAUGUACUUUUAAUUUCCAAAGUAGAUUGUCAUCACUAGAUGAUAAAAGUGAAGAGCUAUUUUACAAGAGUUUUCUAUUUCGAACCUCCUUUACGAUUUGGAUAAUCAGAACAAGGAUUCAAUCUUUAAGGUUUUUUUUUGUUACAGAAUAAUCUCUAUGAUUAAAUAUAAAGACCUUUUUUGACAAAACAGAAUAAUCUUUAAGGCUGUACUUUUUUUUUGUUUCAUAGAUCUACCAACUUAGGGAUUUCUGCAAAAACUAAUUCUCAUUUGGUAACACUUAACCAAAAAAUGGUUCAGUAAAUUCAAAAUUGUGACCACUCUUCAAAAGUUGUUAAUACGUGCUUGGUUGAUUUUCCUAAACUUCGGAGAUAUUUUCACAAGAAUCACGAAGUUGUAGUUCUCAUUUGUAUUGGGGUAUAAGUAAAAGCCUUAACAUUUGUUAGAGAUCCCACAUCGAAUAGAGAUUAGAGCAUUUUAUAGUAUAUAAGUGGGUGCAAAUCUCACCUUAUAAGCCGGUUUUAUGAGGUUGAGUUAGGUUUAAAAUCCACUUCUUAAUUAGCACUCGGAUCUGUUUCUGAUUUUGAAACAAAUUUGCAACAUCUGUAAUAUCUAGUUAUAUCUAAUAAUAUCUAACAGCAUUCAAAUCUUAAGAUCUGAUUUCUAUUUAUAUAUGACUUGGAAAAUUCAUUUGUUGACCAAUCUUUUAUUUGGUAACUUUUCUUUUGCAGUGGCUUGCCAAAUGGGCUCAACUGUCUCCAGAAAAAUUUUCCUUGCAAUCAAGGUGUUGGAAGAUGUAAGUUUGACUUUAAGCUAUUUUUUUUCAUGUGUAUGUAAGUCGUGCUAGGCACUAAAACUCAUAAGAAAAUAUUUUCUAAAAAGAAAUUGUUUACCAUUAUAGAUAUCUUAGAGGGCAAGCCUUUGGGCAAUGGUAAAGUCCUUACCUCGCCCUUUUUACUAUUAAUUAUAUCAUAAUUAUAAACCAAAUUCUGAACUCAAAUGAGGCAAAUUUUGACGUUUCAGAGUUAAUUGGCCAUCACAUGUAUCUACUAAUACUAUGGCCUUUUCAGGAAACAAAUACCCUUCAAUCCAAUUAAUUAUUUCUCAUAAGAUUCUCCUAGUUACUUAAUUUAAUACUGUAAAUCAGAUAAAAUUGAAGGUAUAAGUUUCCUUUACAAGGAAAAGUUAAUACUUAACAACCAGAAGCUCCACUACUAGUAGAAAAUUACAGUAAAAAUUUAGUAAGGAGAAAAAUAAAUCAAAACUGAAACUAAAUAUAAGUUUGAAUUCAAGGAAAUCUACUUUCCAAAGAAAAAUAAGUGCUAAAAAAAUAGUAACACAAUUACUGGAAUGGAAGGUUAAAUGAAUACAGCCUCUGCCCUCUUGCCUUGAGCCACCUAACUAUUAUUGAAAUAUCUGUUCUGUUCUGUCUCUAUUAUUUUCCAUCCCUUAUUAUUCACUUUUUUUUUCUCUUCUAUCAUUGCUUCAUUCUCCUCUCUAAUUCAUUACUGUCCCUGUUCAUUGUGUUACACUCUCCUGAUGCUAUUUUCUCCUCACAUCUGGUAACAUUUCCAUUGAAAAUCAUCUUGUUUCCUUCAAGUUUUUACCUUCCCUAAAUCUAACUAUUUUGUCAUUUCUAUCCACAAUAUAAAAGUUUAUGUUGCUUCUAUCCAUUGUCUUUACACAUUAUGGAUUCUUCACUUGGCCAACCACCAUUAUUUAAUUAUUUUUGUUGGACUUGUUAGAAUAACCUACCUUAAAAUUUAAAAAAUAAAUUCUUAACCUUUGUUGGACUCGGAUCUGUUUCUGAUUUUUGAAACAAUUUUGCAACAUCUGGAUUAAUAGAUUGACAAAGUGUUGGUUACUGGCUCAAAAUGCUAGGAAACUUUCUGUUCUAAUACUUUCAAUGUGAAAUCAGGAUGACCUAAAGGAUUACUAAUGGGUAUUGUUCACUCCAGUGUAUAAGAAUGUUGUCUGCAGUACUAUUAAGGGACAUGCAGGAAUAAUAAUAGUUUAUUUCAAAUCAGUCCUUUAUAUCUAUAACUAAUUCAAAAUCCCUGACUAUUGGAUUACUAUGACUGAAGGAUUUCCAUGUCUUCUUUUUUCAUUACAUAGAAAAGAAAUAGGAUAAAUUGUGUUUUAGGUCACUCAAUAUUUGGUUAAUAUUGGUUUUAGUCCUUACCAUUUAAAAAUGGUGGUUUAAUCCUUUCAUUUUCUAGCAUAUGGUGAAUCUUGUCCUUGGUCAAAUUAAAAUGAAUCACGGGAUUAAAGAUGAAAUUCAUCAUAUUUCAUAAGUACAGGAUUCAAAACUACUGUUUUCAAAAUGUAGGAACUAAAGUCUGAAACCAUUUUGACCGUAUCUAAACGAACCUAAAUCACACUUCACUCAGAGAAAUAUGGGGCUCUAUCUGAAGUCAAUCCUGUUAUUUAAUACUCCUUUUCACUCAUUCAUCAGUUUCUUAUCUAUGAUUCUAUGCAGAUUCUGACUUUGCAAUCAAGUGUGGCGGUUCCCAAAUUACGUCCACAGAAGGAAUAGUGUAUGAAACGGAGAAUGAGACACUUGGUCCUGCUACAUACUUUGUUACUGAUACAAGUAGAUGGGCUGCUAGUAAUGUUGGAUUAUUUACGAACAAUAAUAAUCCAAAAUUCACAAAAUCUGUGACUAAUCAAUUCACUAACACUAUGAAUUCGGAGCUCUUCCAAACAGCACGACUCUCUCCUUCAUCAUUGAGAUAUUAUGGCUUGGGGCUGGAAAAUGGCUUUUACAACAUCACCCUUCAAUUUGCAGAAACAGCUAUUGAGGAUUCUACUACAAAAUGGGAAAGUCUUGGGAGACGAGUCUUUGAUAUAUAUAUUCAGGUACUUUUGUAUUUACCAAAAUACUUGAAAAUCAUAGAUGAUAGAUAGUGCAACAAUAAUGACAAUGAAGAACUUGUAGAUCUACCCAGGGUGUUAAAGUAUCAUCUGCUUUUGUUCUCUUAUUUAUGGAAAUUCGUACAACAUAUAACACAUUUCCAUAAACGAGGUAUAAAAAGAAGAUGAUUUAUAUUUGAUAGACUAAAACUAAAUAUUUUUUCAAUUUCCAAGUACUAAAAGCAUAUUUAACUAAUUUUAUAAUAUUAAUGUAUUUGUACACGUUAGGAGAAAUUUCCUAAUAGACUAAUAGCUAAUUUUUUCGGAAGUGAAUCCAACAUCUCACAUAAGACCAAGUGCUGGUGUCUUUGUGUAACUUAUAUUCUAUUUGGUGUCCUAAUCUGGUGAAGAGAAAACUCUUCAUUAAGUAUUUAAGAUGCCAUCACCUUGAAAUUUCUACUAAAUAUUAUAAUGAUUUAAGGUCAUGUGUGCAUUAUUCUUAGCUUACAUUGGCUGGAUGAAAAUUGGUUGGAAAGGAUUUUUUUUUUCUUAAUUAUCCAAUUAAAUAGUAUUCCAUCUCGAGCGAGCAUAUUUCGUCUUUGUCCAAAUGAAAUUUGUAGAACCAAGUUAUGUUUUAUGUUAAAUAUUUUGAAUCCAUGUUGUGUCAUUGGUUUGGGACAAAAAAACGAUUGUUUGACCCUCUCUUUUCUUGCCUUUUAUUCUACCUUCAUUUUUCUUUACAUUUGAAUAUUCUAGGGGAAUCUUUUCUUGAAAGAUUUCGACAUACAAAAGGAAGCUGGGGGCAUAUCAUUCAGAAGUGUCCAAAAGCAAUUUAGGUUUGAAGUGUCUGAAAACUAUCUUGACAUCCAUCUCUUUUGGGCAGGAAAAGGGACUUGUUGCAUACCAAAUCAAGGUACUUUUGGGCCCUUGAUUCAAGCCAUCCAUGCUAUCCCAGGUAAAACUAUAAAAAAAAAAUUGGCAAUUCAGUUGUUUAAUUACUAACCUUUCACAAUGUAUAAUCUCUUGCAGUAAAAUAUUCAAAAUUUGUUUAUUUUUAUUUUUAUUUUGAUAAAGUUGCCUGUAUUGUACAGAUUUUAUACCUAGUGUCAGUAACGAACCUCCAAGCAAUAAAACAAAUAGAACUGGCCUAAUUGUUGGAAUUGUUGUUGGAGUUGGAGUUGUAUGCUUCCUAUCAGUUUUUGUGACUUUUUGUAUCAUUCGGAGAAGAAAACGUCAGCAUGAGGAUGAAGGUAAAUACACAUCAGAGUAUUUGUAUAGUAAUGCUCUCGUGAUAUUUAAGCUGUAACAACUUCUAGGAGAAAAAAUUAAGAAAAACUAAAAUAAGUUUCUUCGUAAAUUAAAAUUAAUUUAUGCAUAAGUUAAUUUGUAGAAACUUUCAUAUAGCCUCUCUGAAUUUUUAUUUUUUAACUUAUAAGUUAAUUUUAACUUAUUGAGAAACUUAUUUUCUUGUUCUUCUUAUUUUUCUCUUAUAAUUUUUUUAUAGAGAAGUUUAUCCAAUCAGAUCCAAUUUAGAGAAAGGAUUUCUCUAAACAUGAAAAGCAAGAAAGCAUCAUCCCAACUUUCAUCAAAAUAAGUCUCGGGUUCCCUAACUUUAACAUUAUUCAUGUAUGAUUUUGCAGAGCUUUUAGGAAUUGAUACAAAGCCAUACACUUUCAGUUAUUCUGAGUUGAAGAAUGCUACUAAUGACUUCAAUAUCGAAAAUAAGCUUGGAGAGGGAGGUUUUGGACCUGUUUAUAAGGUAAUAUUCUGUCCCUUUAAGAUAAAGGUUAUGUUCUACUUAAAAAGUUAUCAUUAUAAAUACUGCUUCAAAUAAUACUCAUGGCAACUGGUAGUCAAUGUUGAGCCCACAAUCAUUCUAGAGGAGCUUAAACUCCUUUGAUUAUUUUAUUUAACUAAAAAGCAUUUAAUUAAUGUUUCCAUAAACAUUUCCUGCUUCCUAGUUACCUUAAGACUUUAGUGCUUGUUGUUGUAGAUAUCUUUGGAUAUGCCUUUGGCUUGUUUAAUAUAACUAUUUUGUUGAUAAUUAAGUUUUAGUUCUCAAAAGACAAAUGGAGACUUUGUUCUUCCCCUAGCCAAAGUAUAACUUAGCCUCUACUAAUAGUUAUACUUAUGAUAUGAAAGUAAAUUUGUAUCCUAAUAUUCAUUUUUUUGGGAAAAUAUUAGAAGUAAAGGAUAGUUUGUUACAAAUUGAAAAAAAUAAGUGAUUCUAAUGUAAAAUAUUUUGGUGAUUAUUUUUAUAAAAAGCAAAAGCUAAUUUAUGUUUAUUUGCAUUCAUAGAAACCACUUUUUUCUAAAAAUAGUAGAUGCUUUCAUGGAAAGUUAUUCAAAAUAGCUUCCAAUUUAAUCAGAUUUAGAUUCUUUAAAGUAUCUGAUUACUUUUAAAAGCUGAAACAACUGCAUAGUGAUUUUUCUGAAAGAGAAAGUUGUACCAAACAGGUCCUGAAUCCUUUCUCUAAGAGAAUGUUAUUUUUCUUUUUUGCUCUUGUAGGGGACACUUAAUGAUGGAAGGGUUAUUGCUGUGAAACAACUGUCAGUAGCAUCCCAUCAAGGAAAGAGCCAGUUCAUAACUGAGAUUGCUACUAUAUCAGCUGUGCAACAUCGUAAUCUGGUGAAACUAUAUGGAUGUUGUAUUGAGGGAAACAAAAAGCUUCUGGUGUACGAGUAUCUGGAGAAUAAGAGUCUUGAUCAAGGAUUAUUCAGUAUGAACAAAAUAUAUAAGUUUUGUCUAUGUGCAUCUAAACUUAUGAAUGCCUACUUGUUUUCUCAUUUGCUUGUACACAAAUGACUAAGGACAAACUUGGUUUGUUUGGGCAGGUAAUUCUUUAACCCUCAAUUGGUCCACACGCUAUGAUAUCUGCUUGGGUGUUGCCAGAGGUUUAGCUUAUUUACAUGAAGAGUCUCGUCUCCGUAUUGUACACCGUGAUGUGAAGGCUAGCAAUAUUUUGCUUGACUAUGAGCUUGUCCCCAAAAUAUCAGAUUUUGGGUUGGCCAAAUUGUACGAUGAUAAAAAGACCCACAUAAGCACUCGUGUGGCUGGAACAAUGUGAGUCAUCAAUACUUCGGGAAUAUGGCUACAAACUUCUCUUAGCAGAAAAAAAAAAUGAAAUUUUAUCCAUGAGUUAAAAUUAUAAGAUAAUUUGAUACAACUCUCAUAGUUUCUCUGAACUUUUACUUCUAAAUUAUACAUAAGCCAAUAUGAAUUUAUGGAGAAGUCAAUUUCAUUUUUCUUGCAUACUUGUUUAAGAGUCCUUAUGGAGAAGUUCGUCCAAAUAAAAUCCUUUAAGUUUUUGUGGUUGGAAUUCAUUUUUGUCUUAAAUAAUUCUAAACUGUUGAUAUACUCAAAUUCUUGUGAUGAAGUGGAUAUCUUGCACCGGAGUAUGCCAUGCGUGGACACCUUACAGAGAAAGCAGAUAUAUUUUCAUUUGGUGUUGUUGCUCUAGAGUUAGUCAGUGGGAGACCAAAUUCUGAUUCAAGCUUGGAAGGAGAGAAGGUGUAUCUUCUGGAAUGGGUAUGCAUUCUGCCUCUGUUUUCUAUAUUGGUUAAUGUUAAUAUCUGUGGUGUUUAUCUUAAUUAUACCUAUAUUUUCUGCGAAGCAUUACAAUCCAAAGGUUAAUACCUUUUCAUCUCGAUUUUGGUAUUGCAACCGAGUUCAAAUCUAAUCUCAUUAACUGUUAAACAAGUAAAAUGCCAUUUGGUUUACAGGGUAACUUUUUUAAAAAAUUGAUAUUUCAUUUAAUAGGACAACAAACGAAUCUCACAUGAUUACGAACAUGGUAGUUGAAUCGUGAGUCCUAUGUGAAUCGGAGAGCUUUCAAAUCAUGAAUCAAAUUAAACACUUGUAAACAUACAUCUUUAUCUUUUUAAUGUCAGUUUACUUGAAAAACAUAUGUUUUCAAUUUAUAUGGGUUGAUUUGUCAUGGGAAAGUUAACAAUUGCUUUUGCUUUCUAAUUAUCAAGACAAAUAUCCAACUACCAUAAUAUGAAGUCAUUUUCUUCUGAACAUUUGUAGGAAAUGUUGUAUGUUGAUAGUAGUUGACUCAUGUUAAAGCUUAGUAAAAUGAAUUGAGGAUUCCCUCCUCUUUGACACCAACAAUUGUGCACUGAACAUUCAAAGACAUGUUUGUCAUUUAACCUUUUUGUCAUUGGUUUUCUGUUUCUUAGGCUUGGCAGCUUUAUGAAAACAACCUCUUAAUGGAUCUGGUGGACCCUAGAAUAUCAGAAUUCAAUGAGGAAGAAGUAAAACGUGUUGUGGGAAUAGCACUUCUGUGCACUCAGACAUCACCAUCAUUAAGACCAUCAAUGUCCCGUGUGGUGGGAAUGCUUUCAGGAGAUAUUGAAGUGAACAGUGUCACUACAAAGCCUGGAUACCUUACUGACUGGAAAUUUGAUGAUGUGACCAGCUUCAUGACUGAGAAUGCAAUUGAAGGAUUGAAUACAAGUCACCAGUAUUCAUCAGGAAGUACCAGCAUUGUGGGUGGUACAGACUUUACACCAUUAAGUGUUUCAAAACUGAACCUUAAUGAUGGUCUUAGUGAGGGUAGGUAAGAAUUGGUGUACUCAUUACUGUUCAGAUCAAGUGUAGAACAAUUAUCAUGUCACUGCUCCAAAACUUGUUUUCUUUUUCUCUUGUUUUGCAUUUUCUUUAGCCAUUUGUUUUAUUGUGUAGUUAAUGUAAAUAGCCCCCUAAGUUUCAAGAGAAUGUACAACAAUGUGUCGCUAAUAGGCCUCAACCAGGAAAGUUUAUAGGGGAUUUUUUUGUAUAAACACUAUUUUCUUUGUUGUGAUUUUUGUUUUGAACUACCCUUUUCUACAAAUGAAGUCAUGGAAUAAAUUAUUUGUUGUAAUUGAUAGCUGUUUGGAAUUUAGAGUGUGAGAUGUAUUCAAUCCAUUCAGGAGAUCAACCUUUAAAAGUGUUAAAAUUUUAAUGAUUUUGGAAACUAAAUUCCUUAAGUCUUAAAAUUGUAACAUCAAAUUCUAGAAUUGAAACGAAAGGAAGAACAAGCACCACAACUUGAAACCAGAAAUUAAACAUUAGAAACUUGAUUAAAUGUUUAGUUUCCUUAAAAAAGGUGUUUUUAAUUUUAGUUCCUAUUAUUUUAUUUUGUUUGAUUUUGUCCCUUUUAACUUUCUUUUGUUGUUAGUCUCUCGAGUUAACUUUCCUCAUUAAACUUAAUAAUAAUAAUAUAAUAUAAUAAUAAUAAUAAUAAUAAUAUAACAAUAAUAAUACAAUAAUAAUAGUGCCAUAAUAACAUUAUCACAUGUCAACAAAAUAGUGAACAAGAAAAUGAUUAUUACAAGAAAAUCAUUAAAUAACAAUUAAAUUUAGAAAAAAAAAUAACUAGUCAAUAUAUUGAUUAAUUAGAUAUUAUUUUAGAUACUAAACAAUUAUUGAUAUCUAAAGUGAUUUCUAUUAUUAAUAAAAAUUUAUAAAAUGAUUUUUAAAUUGGUAUCUAAAUUAGCUAUCAAGAUUUUAAUUAUUAAUAUUUUAAAUUAUAAAUUAGUCUCUAAAAGACUAAUAGAGACUAAUUUAAAAUAUAAAAUAGUUAGUAGUUAAAACUUUGGUAGCUAAUGGUUAGAUACCAAUUCAGAAACUACUUUAUAAUUUUUUAUUAAUAAUAGAAGCUACUUUAGAUAUCAAUAAUUUUUUUAUUUUAUAAAAUUCUCUUUAAUUUAGUCAAUAUAGUAACUAAUUAUUUUGGUCUCCAAAAUUAGUUUUUAUUUAAUGAUUUUCUUGUAGUGGAUGAUGUUAUUAAAAAUAUUUCAUUAAUACACGAUGUCAUCAUGUACUCCACAAAAAAUAAUAUGUGUAGCCAUUUUUUAAGUAGUACAUGAUCCAAUACCUAUCAAAAGAUCUCAUUAUAUGAGUAUUUAUAUGAUUUGGUUAUAACAAACACUAUAAGGUGUGUUGUGGUAUAAAAAAUCUCACUCGUGUGAAGUAUAAAUUAAGACUAAAAUAAUAGAGUAGAUGAGAAAGACUCACCAGCCAAUACAACAACAUAAAAAGUUGUUGGACGAAACAAUGAAACAUGCUCACAACAGAAGAACUUAAGACAAUCCAACCUUCAUGUUUAUACUUUAAGUGGUUAAUAUAUUAAAAAAGAACAUUGGAAAUAAAGAAGUUGCGCAUGAAAGACAUUUGAUAUAAAAAAAAGAAUUGUUGAUCGUCUAGAGCCAAUUACGGCUACGGUUGACCAUCUGCCUAUUUCCAGUGAAAGGUUGACCUUUUAGAUCCCAUUUAUGCAGUUUUUCAUCUUUUUAGCUCCCAAAUUCUAAUUCUCACUUUUUCGCAUUCUUCCAUGAUUUUUAGGUCAAAUCAACUCCAAAUUAGCUAUUCAAAAGUAAAUGAUUUGGAUGAAUCAAUUGGGAAAAUUGGGAUUGUGGUUCAUCCUUCUCAUUCAUUUGUAUUUUUAAUGAAUAAAAACAUAUAACAUUUCAUCUUGAUUGACAUUGAUGCACAUAUAAAAAUCAUUCAUAUUGAUUCCUCAUAUACAAAAUUAUUAAGAAUGUUUCUUAAAUAUCGAUUCCUCGCAUAUUUAUAAAAACCUCUUAUCAUUACGAGCAGAUGUUAUAAAAUAAUUAACAUUUCAAAUUUAUUCCUCUCAUUCAAAUAUGUUAUGCAUUAUCAUUAGGUAAGAUACAUAGAAGUACUUUUCAGUCAAAUCUAAGAAUCAAAAUCAUGAAUAAAGAUUCAAACUUUAAUAAUAAAUUGACAAUACCAAUCAUCAAUUAAGAACAAAAUAUUAUAAAUAAAUAUCACCUCAAUACAUAAGAGUUUGAAGAAACUACUCUCAAUUCCAUAGGGUAUUAUUAGCCACUCAUAUUGGCAAUUACAAGCAUGAAAAGCAAGAAAAUAAUAUCCAAGGUGUUACUCCUUGACGGUUGUCUCCUCUAGGGUUUUUUUUAUCACACCUUCUAUUUAAACUAAUUGAGUUUAGGUUAAGAGACAUAUCGCUCAAGUGAUAUAUUGAUUGCUUAAGCGAGUUUCACGAGAAAAAGUCCAACUUCACUGGAGUGAACUCGCUUAAGCGAGUCUUGGGCAAGUUCCUCUAAAAUGAUCUUACUUAGGCGAGUUUAAGCGAGUUUGACUGAGUUUUCAAUGUUUCAAUUUUGUCUUUUCAUCUUGUCUUUCACUUGUCCAUUCUCCUUUAGCCCUUUUAUCUUUAUUUCCUCCCAAAUUCCUAAAAUUAACACAAAUUUGAGAAUAAAUUGUUCAUAUUCAUCUUAUAAUCCAAAAAAUGUAAAAAGGCUAAAAUUUCUAAAUUAGAGGUUGAAUUAUAAAUAUUUUAUCAAUCAAAGUGCAUAAGUGUCUAUCAUUUUGUAUAAAAUAUUAUUAAAUAAUGAUACUUAUAAAGAAAACAAGUAGAAUACAUAAGAAAAAGAAAGGUUGAAAUUUGCAUUGAAAAUUUUCGAAGAUUUUGGUAAUAUCAACUUAUGAUGAAAUAUGGUCAGGCGUAGUUUUAACUUGUCACAUGUAAUGUGGAAAAUUGUUUAUAAAUCUUGUGGAAAUGUGGUAAUGUAGAAACACAUUUAAAACAGAUUCAAGACAUUCUAAAAAGUGAGAAUGGAAGAAUAAAAGUUAGAACAACUUAUCUCUUGAAGACCUAAGCUCUUGAUACCAAAUGAUGCAAUCUUAGCUUGCAUUGCUAUGAGUCUUUUAUUUUGUAUUUUGGGGUGCGGAAUUUGGUGGGAUUGGGUGGCUAAAAUGAGUAAAAGAAAUUGUGUUGGUGUAUGGAAAAUGAUAAUGAAGCUUAAGUGAGGUUAGGCCAACUCCUAAGAAGAUUCAAACAAAACACUAAUAGAAGUGCAAAAUUGAGAGUGAGAAUUUGAAGACAAAUGAGCUAGCAACUUGGACACCAUUUCAUUAUCAAUUCAAAUCUAAUUUACAAGGGGGCUAACACUUGUAUUUAUAGUGCUAUGGGCAGCCAAUGUGCAAGCUUUAACCCUAAAAAUUCUUCAGAUGGUCUAGAGUUGCAUUGGAUCCAAGGAGACCCAAUUGUAACUCUAGCUAGACUCUUUCUUUUUCUAUUUACAUCAUACUCUAAUUGGCUCAAUACAUGACCCAUGAAAAUUGGCCUAUGGCCCAAGGUAAUGACCGAAAUACAAGCCCAAAAAAAGUCUAUACUACUUUGUACAAAUUUAUAAGACUAGGAAAUUUGGAAGAAAAGUUAAAAAUUAAUUCUCUAUAAAAAUAGAGUUUUCUGAACUCCUUCUUCUUCUUCCACUCUUCUAGCCAUGGUCCUAGUUAAAGGCACAAUAUGUGUCCUUCCGGAUGGUCCUCCAUCAUUUAUUAUCCUCGUUCUCUUCGUGUUCAACCAUUUAGUUUUCUCUGUGGGUGGUUUUUUUUUUUUUAUGAAUUAUGAAACCUUAACUCUGAAACUAUUUUCUAGAAAGACAUGUUGUCUUUAAACCUUUCUUAUGAGAUAUUUCUAGAGUCACCAUUGUUCUUACAUUUAAAUAAUUUUUAGUAUAAUAUUAGAUCUUAUGAAAUGCUUUAGGAAAAUUGUCCAGAGUUAUCUUUACUUUGAAUUUGAAACAUAGUUCCUAAUGUGAUGAAGUUUUAAAUAUAGUUCAUAUUUCAUAAGUUGGUUAGAGAAGAAAUGGUAAUGUAUGUCUCUAAAAACGUAUCACUCAAAGAAUGGAUAAAUCUAAGAGAAUAUGAGAAUCCCCUAGGUUAGAAUUCCACAAGGAUGUAAAUAUCGAGAAUUUGUGGAACAAAGGAGAGAAGCACUUAUCAAAAUGUUUGAGCUCAACAUUAUGUCUGUAGAAUAAAAAAAGAAAAAUUAAAAUUUUUUUAGAGACAAUCACACCUUACAAUUCUUGAGUUCGAUUUAGUUACUUAAAUCUAUAUAAGAUAUGAUUUAUUUUAUUAUUUUUUAAAUACCAUCUUAUAAAAUGUUUAAUCAUAAGAUCAUUUACUUUAUGUUAUUUUACCCAUUCUUCAUAACUCUUAUCCAACACACCCCUCUCCCAUAGGUAUACACAUAAUAAAAGUUGAUUAAAGUACGUAACAUAUAAUUAAAAUUAAAAGCAUUAUUUACAUAAAAUAUUAUAUUGUGUAUGAGUAUAAACUAAAAUAAUAUAUAUUAUUUAGAAAAGUAAACUAAGGAUUAGAGAAGACAUAAGACUUAAGUCUAGAAAGAAGUAAAUUGCCCUUAGAUGAGGACAAUCUGAUAGACAAUCUCUUACCAAAAUUUCAUAAGUUCGUUAAAUAAAACUAAAUCCUUACCUUUCGAAUUAGUUACUUCUUAAAUAUGUUUUUCAGUGUAUAAUGGGAUGCUUGAAUUGAUUUUCCCCUAUAAAUACUAUAUUUGUAUAGAUAAAAUGAGUCUAGAUAGUAAUUGAAAUUUGUUGUACAAUUGUUGAUGUGCUGGUUGCCUCUUCGUUCCUCACUUGAAGUGUUCUCUUUUAAUUGUUGAUGCUCGGUUGGGGUUAACAUGAAAAAAGUACUCUGUGUUAAGAGUGUAUAGUAAAAACCGAUUAAAGCGUAUCUUACGCCUCCAUAGAGGGUUUAUUUAUAGUGUUUAGUCAUGGAUCUUUGUUGUAAGUGAUCAAAUAAGAGUUAACUGAUUUAUAGCAUGAUUCCCAGAUUUAUAGGGAGGUAUGUUGGUAUAUCUGGAGAAUGCCAGAAUAUAUUUAAUAAAUCAAUAUCUUCUAUUAAAUCAGUGUUCUAAUUUUCUCAAAAGUAUUACCCAAAUUUGAUGGGAUAUGAUCAUGAUUCGUGGGAGUUCUCAUAACUGUCAUUGCUACCAUUUAUUGAGCGCCUUAAAUGUAUAUUCAUGUAAUCGAUCACCAAAAUCGAAUGAUUAAUUUGUCCAACACCGACAAGUAGAAAUACAAUACAUCCCACAUUGAAAGGAAUACUUCAACUUUUUAACUUAAAAAUCAAUCUUACUUUGAAUAAUAGACUUUUUCUCACUUCAUUAAAAUUUGUGAAUAUUUUUUUUUUCUAUUUCCAUUAAAUUUGAUAGGUGAAGAAAUUUAUUCUUUACCUAUUUUAAAAUAAAAGAAUAUUUACCCGUACUUCUGAAUACACAUCAUCAUUUUUAUGAGUUAAAUUAUAAUGGAAAACAUGUACAAACCAAUAAUCAAUUUCAAUCAUAUUAAAAUAUGAACAACAUUAAAUUUAAUGGAAUGUCAAAAUAAAACCAAGUUAAAUUUAAAACAUUGAAGACAAAAUUAAUCUUUUUUAAAAAAUAAGAAAUUAAAAUGAAUCUAGAAAAUAAUUUAAAGAAUCAAAUAUGUAAUUUAACCUUUAAUUUUUUUUAAAAAAAUGUCUAUUAAAAAAAAGCAAUGAGAAGCAAAAAAGUUGCAUAAUUACAAUAUAAAAACGUAAAUAAGCCCAUGUUUAUUUUGUUAAGUACCUCGUACAGGGUAGUGUAUUACUAAAGUGUGAGAAAAAAAAAACUCUAGUAAAUAAAUAGAAUAUAAGGUUAAUUAUUUUUUUUAAUGAUUUUUUUUCAAUUUAAAAUAAAAAAAUAUGAUUAUAAAAUUUGAACUAAGGAUGAGGUAUUGGUUAUUCAUUUCGUAUAUUCUUGUUCUAAUGCUGUUAUAACUAAUUUGAUAAAGAAAACACAUGAACUCAUUUAAAAAAAAGUGAAAUUAAAUUAAAAAUGUUUAAAAUAAUGAGAAAAUACUUUUUUUUAAAAGAAACAGUAUAGUAUCAGACCUAAUACAAAUUGUAAAAAUAAAUAUAUUUUAUGCUUUGAUGAAUUUUUUAAUAUUGAAUUCCCCUCAAUUUAAUAAUGUAAAACUAAAGAUUAAAAAAACAUGAAAUAAAAAAAUGUGAAUUUCGGAGAUUAAUUAAUUUAUUAAUAUUUAAUGUUACGCUUUGUUGAGAAUGGAGGUGUUGAAAGUGUUGCAGUGGUUUCCCUCCUCUCACACUUCCACCAUUUAAACGAAACGAAGAAUCGUUGAUGCAAUUUUCGAAUUCUUCUUCUUCCCCAAAACCCUACUCUGCAACUGCGACGCUUCGUCUUCUCUGCAUUUGGUUUGAUCGCACCAACUUGUUUUGAGCUUGUGAGUUUGUAAUGCGUGCAUUGUCUUUGUUUGUGUGUGUAUCGCAACUUGAUUUUGCAAAAUGCUGGUAACAUGCAUGGUGUUGUUGUUCUUCUGUGGUGCGUUUUGGUCACAUUCGUAAUGUUUUUUUUCUCUUCAAGUUAAGUAAUGGGUUUUCCGGAGCCUACGUGUCUGUGUUUUAACAUACUACUGAUUGCCACUGAAGGGUUUUUUUUUUUUUUCAGUGUGGUGAAUCGAGAUUUUGUUUUGGUCUAUGUUGUCCUAAGGUUUCUCUUUAGUAAAAUUUGAUUUAGGACUUGGGUUAGUGUGUUAAUUAUUUGUGCUCAAAUCGUUGGUUGUGGUGAAUCAAGGUUUGAACCCUCUCUGAGUGAAGUGCCAAAUACAAUUGGGUUUUAACCCUUCUCAUUCUCAACAAAAAUAACCCGCGCUAGAGCAACACAAAUUGUUAUGAUUUAUAAUUUGCUCUAUUUUGCUGAUUCAUUGUCUGAAUUUACGAGAGGACAAAAGUUGGAUGCAGUAGCUUAGGUGCCUGUGGUGAUGUUCUACAAUCAGUGUUUAGUUUCACUAUGAGAACUUAUACUGACUUUUCAUGUAAACAUUUAUUAUGGGAUUAUCGAAAACUAAACUCCUAUUCUAAUGGAGAAAGAAACACUAAAAGUGCUUAAGGGACUGCAUUUAAGUAUCUUUACUGAAUGGAAAUUAGGGCAUUGAUUUGUGUAAAACAGUUUGUUAUUAGUACUUUUAGUUAUAUGUUAUGUACGUGUAUAAUCUUUAAAAUGACAUGUCUGCAGUUUGACAUUUUGUUUCUAAUAUGCUUUUGCUUUGCUAGCUCAUGUUUUUUUGGUUGAACUAGUAGUUUGGUAAUCUUCAUCUUCUUUUUAAUAUUUUAUACUUCAGAAUAAAUAUAUUGUCUUUGUUUGUUUGCUUUAUCUUGGUAUAUUGUUAAAAUGGUUAUUCACUACAAAUGAUUUGUUUUUCGUUUACACAAUUGGUUCAUAUUGACAGGGAUUAUGAUGCCCUACUUUGGAUUUCUUAAUGGAAAUUUAUAAAGAAAGUACUGUCACUAACUAAUAUUAAAUCCAUUUCCUUUUCUGACAUAGUUUAGUAUUAAAAUUACCGUUGCUUUAUCAAUCAAUGAUUUUAGACUGAUAAUAAAAAGAAGACGACUGUGCCCAUUAGUCAAUACUAAACAUCGAAGUAGCCUAAACAAAUUUGAGCAAUUUGUUCUUGUCUUUAACUACAGACCCAUAUUUUAGUAAAAUACUUCAUCUGUUUUCAGAAACCAGAUAAUGGUGUGUAUGGCGUAGUUUUCAACAAUGGGUUGCUCUAGAGAACAAUCAUGUGGUGUUUGUUAUAUGGUGUCAAACUAGCAUUUGACUUACUAAUAGGCAGAAAAGUUGAAAGGAUAUUUCUGAUAAUUGUACAACUGGAACACGUUAUUGUAGAAUCUCUGGAAAUCCUUACCUUGUAACAGAGUAUAUCAGUACUUCAAAUUUUAACAUGGUCUAUUCGUUUUGUGAUUGAUGAUUUUCAGUGUCAUUUGUUGCCAAGGAAAGAAUGACAGAGGUAGUUCCUAGAACUGAAGAGGCUGCUGAACCUCCAGCAUCACCUCAAACAUCUCCUGAUGUGCCACAUAAUAUGGAAACAGAACAAUUCACUCCUACAAAGUAUUCUAUUAUCAGUAGGAAUGGGGUUGGGACCACAGGAAAACACAUAUCUUUACUUGUGAAUCAUUUCAAAGUUUCUGUCAAUGCUCCAGACACAGUGUUUUUCCAGUAUAGUGUAUGUUCUGUAUUUCUCCCUCUGCAAUUUCGUUGAAUCUUAUCUUAGACCUUAGCUCAUUGUAGCAUUUCCAGGUUGCUAUUACUUUAGAAGAUAAGCGAGCAGUUGAAAGCAAGGGCAUUGGGAGAAAAGUGAUUGAUAGGCUUUACCAAAUAUACUCUUCUGAACUUGGUGGCAAAAGGUUUACCCAUGAUGGAGGGAAAACUUUGUACACAACGGGUCCUCUGCCACUAAAUAAGUAUGAGUUCAAAGUGUUUUUGGAGGAAUCGUUUAGAAAACGGUAUGCCUUUUGUAUGACUAUUUUAUUUAUUUGUGCCAUGUUUUUUUCCCUUUAAGCUUAUACUGUUCCAACUCUAGCAGUAGUGCUGGUGCGGAUGGAAGUCUUCGUGAGGAAACUAAACGGUCAAAAAAUUCUUUUCAGUCAAAGACAUUCACGGUGGAGAUAAGUUUUGCUGCUAAAAUACCCAUGCAGUCCAUUGCUGUUGCUCCGAAAGAGGUUGACUCAGAUGCGUUGAGAGUGCUUGAUACUGUACUGAGGCAGCGUGCAGCUGACUGGUACCCAAACAUCUUCUGAAGAUAAAAUUCGAAGAAAUAUAGUGAUUUUUUUAGUGGAAUUUAAAUUUUAAUCAUAACCUCUUUGGUCUAACUUAAUUGAACCAUUUUCUUUUGAAUGUGAAGUGGAUGUCUUUUAGUAAGGCAGUCUUUUUUUCAUGAUGACCCAAGAAAUUUCACUGAUGUUGGGGCUGGUGUAACAGCAGUCUCGGGUUUUCAUUCGAGUUUUCAUCCCACACAGCGAGGAUUGACUCUCAAUAUGGGUAGAACGGUUUCAUACAUAUCUUGGAAUCUUAUUAUCGUAAAAUUGUAUUCUUUUCGUUGUUAACACUUAUUUUUUUUUCUAGACGUGUCAACAACUAUGAUCAUAAAACCUGGUCCUGUAAUUGAUUUUCUGUUAUCAAAUCAGCAAGUGAGGGAAUCCCGUUAUAUUGACUGGGAAAAGGUGAUGAACUUUGUCCAUGAAUCAAAAUUAGCAAUUACCUGGUAAUUUUUUAAUUCUUGAUAAUUUGUAGGCCAAAAAAGUGCUUAAAAAUUUAAGGGUGCAAGCAACUCAUCGAAACUUGGAAUUUAAAAUUUCUGGCUUGAGUGAGAAACCAUGCAUUCAGCAACUGUAAGUUCUUGCCCUUUGAAAUUCAAGUGUCUAGUAUAUUUACAUGAAAUAAGAAAAAUAGAGAAAUAAAAUCUUAGGGUUCUAUUGACCCAAAAAAGCUCGAGUCUGAUUUCUUCUGCAGUUUUAGUAUGAAGGUUAAAAAUGACAACGGCAAUAAUGAAGGACAGACGGUGGAGAUUACUGUAUAUGAAUAUUUUGCCAAACAUUGUGGCAUUGAUCUGACCACAUCUGCCUAUCUUCCAUGUCUUGAUGUUGGAAAACCAAAACGGCCCAACUAUCUUCCUUUGGAGGUUGGUUGAGGUUUUAUUGUGGCUAAACCUUGUUUUUAUUUUUACUUCAGUCUAUCCCUUUGGACCAAUUAUAUGUGACUAUUGUUUCCUUCUCUUUUUCUUUACUUUUGGUGGAGUAGUUAUGUUCACUUGUGUCCCUCCAACGCUAUACAAAGGUACUCUCUCCGAUGCAAAGAGCAUCUUUAGUUGAGAAAUCACGCCAAAAGCCUCAAGAUAGAAUCAAAAUUCUGAAACAUGUAAGUUUAUAAUUAUUGGUAUGUUGUUCCAUUUUAUCAUUAAUAUGUUAAACUCAUUAAAAUCUAUAGGCUGUAGGAAACUAUUGCUACGAUGAUGAUCCUGUUCUUGCUGCAUGUGGAAUUUCUGUUGAGAAAGAAUUUGCUCUUGUUGAAGGUCGUGUUCUUGAGGCACCAAAGGUACACAGUGAUUGAAUAUAUAGUUCACAUUUUUUUUGUGCACAUGAAAUAUAGAGUUGACUAGUGAGAUGAAAGGAAAAAUGGCAUAAAAGAAGUGGUUUUCUUAUAGAUAUCCAUUUGUUGUUAAUUUAGUGUCUGCUGGUGAGGUAGUCAGCUAGUUAUUUUAAGAAAUAAGUCAUGUUGCCUUUAAAUAAGAGGGGUUGAGAGGGAGUGAUUUCUAGUCUUUUGGUGAAAUAUAAUUGGGAUUUGGGACAGACCUGAAUAGCUUGAAUAUUCAGGAAUUCUUUGAACAGAUACACUCAAUCAAUAAAGAAAUUCUAUUUUCUUUCAUUUUUCAUCCAUUUUCUAUCAUUUCUUUCAAUUAUUUGAGAAAUAAAUGCUCACAUUGAUACAAUUCUAUUUGAGACACAGUUGAAGGUUGGUAAGAAUGAUGUUUGCAUCCCAUGUAAUGGAAGGUGGAAUUUUAAUAAGAAGGUUUGUGUUAUUCUUUCACAUUCAGAAAGUGAUUAGAGUUAUCUAAAAUAUGGCUGACUAACUCAGAAAAGAUGAUGCUAUAUUUCCUUUUCGUAGACACUUCUACAACCAUCGCAUAUUGAUUAUUGGGCUGUUGUCAACUUUUCUGCAAGAUGUGAUACUAGUUACAUAUCAAGGGAGCUGAUCAGAUGUGGAAUGAGCAAGGGCAUUGUAUGUCUCUGGGCAUUAUAUUCUAAUAUCUAUGCUAUAUUUAUCUGUUUCCUGUUUUUAGUUUGAUUAAUCAUUUCAAAUGUACUUAAAUAUUUGUGCAGAACAUUGAACGGCCGUACUCUUUGAUAGAGGAGGAACCACAGUUGAGAAAGUCUAACCCUGUUGCAAGGGUUGAAAGAAUGUUUGACCUGCUGAAGUCAAAACUAAAUAAAGAACCAAAGUUGAUUCUUUGUGUGUUGCCAGAGAGGAAAAAUUGUGAUAUAUAUGGUAUAUCUUUAGGCAAAUGUUUCUAGGGUUUCCUUUACAUCAAUUUUUUUUUUCAUCUUACGAUCAUUUAUCAACUUUAGGGCCUUGGAAAAAGAAGUGUCUGAGUGAAAUUGGGGUUGUCACACAGUGCAUUUCCCCUGUCAAGAUCACUGAUCAAUACCUUAAUAAUGUACUUCUUAAAAUCAAUUCCAAGGUAACUGAGUACUUUAUGAUUGAUAUUUGUACAAACAUAACUUAUAACUUAUUUUAACUUGGUAACUUUAUGUAAAGUUUAACUAAUUUUUUAUGACUUCAAUAUAGCUGGGAGGAAUAAAUUCUCUGUUGGCAGUGGAGCAUUCUGGCCAUCUUCCCCUUAUUGAAGAUACCCCAACAAUGAUUUUGGGGAUGGAUGUCUCUCACAGAGGUCAAUUAGAUAUUCCAUCAGUUGCAGCUGUAAGUCGAGUUUGGUUUUGUGUUUUCCUCUAUCUUCGUUGUUACAAAAAGCUUCUUGUACCUUUGUAUUUGCAUUUUUUGUUAUCUCCGCAGCAUAUUGUUGAAUUGUAGGUUGUUGGAUCUCGAUGUUGGCCACUGAUUUCAAGGUAUAGAGCGUCUGUGAGAAUGCAGCCAUCUAAGGUGGAGAUGAUUGAUGCUCUAUACAAGCCACUGGAAAAUGGGGGUGACGAUGGUAUUAUCAGGUUAGAAUAAAAAUAUAUAUUGAACUACUGCUUUGUAUUUUAUAAGGAACAUGCACAAAAUACCCUGAAUUUCCAUCUCAUUUUGAAGUAGCCUGAUAGGAUUCUAUGUAUUAAUUUUGUAAAAGAAAAAAGGUCAUGGGUUAGUUUAAGGUAAAAAAGAAGAAGAAGUGAUACUGGUAUAAAAUAGUUUAUUGAUUAUCUUUUAGAGAUUUUGAAAGAAGUGGAAGUUAGAUAGCUCACUUUUUAAAAUUAGAAUUCUUUUUGAAAGUGAAGCAAUUAAUUUUAUGAGAAGCUGUUUUAAAUAGCUUCGGACUGUGGCCAUUUUGUUUAAGAUUAAAAAGGAAGUGGUAAAACAAUAAUUUAGUGAUUAUUUUUUAGAGAUCUUAGAAAAAAUAAAAAUUAAUUCAUGUUUGUUUUUACAAGAAAAAAAACUUUUUUUAAGUAAUUAAUCUUAUGAGAAAUUGUUUUUAAUAGCUUCCUUCUGAUUAUAAUCAGAUUUCUGAUUGUUUUGAGCUUCUUAUUAUUUUGAAACCUGUAAUAGACAUAAUUUUUUUAAACCAUGUGAUUCUUAUUACAAUAUCAUUCAAUGAAAUUUGGAGAAAGAAAGGUUUUAUUAACACUGAAAUAUUCAAUAAAGCACAUAUUAGACACUAUGACAGUGCUUUGCAAGCUAAGGCUACUGUGUUGACUUAGUACUGAUGUGACAGUUAACAAAACAGUUGUAACAAAUUGAGAUAUUGUUUGUAACCAAGUCAGAUACAGUUACCGAUAUUAGGACCACCUACUAAGAUGCUAUUGUACUUUUGUGUGGACUACACUAAAUGACAUAUACUAACAUUCCUUCUUCCUCGCAAACAUAGGAUUGUUGAAAAUAGCCAAUGACCUUGAGUUUUUCUCUUACACAAAAACCAAGCCUUGGUAAGAAUAUCAACAAGUUUGGUCACAUUUAAGCACAUGAGUAAGGACGAAUUUAGAAUUUUCUCUCAAACAAAAAGGAUGUCCAAUUCUGUGUGUUUUGUCCCAAAGUCAAAACAAGAUAUGAUCAAAAAAAUAGUGCUUUGAUUGUCAUAGUAAAUGAUUGGGGAGGCACAAUUGACAUUCAGGUCUUGAAGCAAGGAUUGAAUCUAGAGAGUUUUUUCGAGGCUAUGAUGGCAAUACUUUGUUAUUCUACCUUGGCAAUGGCAAUUGUCCUGGCAACCAAGGAUUGCUUCUUGGGCCACGAAGUGAUCACCUACUUUAGAGACUAUUGUAGUAAUGUGGACUACACUAACAAUUCUUGAGUGGAAAAAGCUAAACAAAUGGGAUUUAUAAUCAAAUUUCCUAUUCUUUUUGGUUUUUUUAUUUUUUGUAAAGUUGUAACAGACACAAGAUAAAAUAAGUGAUUUCCUUGAGAGAUUAUUUAGUGAAGGAAACUUAAAUAAAUGGGACUUAUAUUGUGUAAAUGGGCAAGUGGAGGAACAAUCGUAGUUAUUGGACUGUCCAACAAUACCAUGUAUUUGAGGAUAUAUUCUAGAAUAUAGAAAAAUUACCGAGGGUAGAGAAUGCUAUUGAGCUGGUUGAAGUUUUCUUGACAUAGUGGAAUGAUUCUUGGGAGGUUAGGGGAAUUUCGCUAAUUGUGUGAGAAAAAGUGCAGUCAUCUAUGUAUCCAAUGCUAUAACAAAACGACAUUUUAAUAUUCUUACGUUUUCUAAAAAAACACAAUUUGGAACACUAUGAAAAAAAAGUGUAUUUUUUGGGAUGAAGAUUCUGGAAUGUGUAAUGAGGAAUUAUUUUUUACUAUUCCAGUUUGAUCAUUUUGAAACACCCAUAAUAAAAUGUCACUACAAAUAAGGUUUCCAGAACUAUUUAAAAUAUAUUCUGGAAUGUUAAAAUUAAAAAUUAGAACUUUCCGGAUUAUGCUUUCUGGAAGAUAAGAGGUGUGGAAAGAAAUUAAAGAGGUGCAAGAAGAAAUUGUCCUAUAUACAUUGUGGAUAAUUGUUAUACUAUGUUAAAUGUAACAAUUAUAACUUAUAUAUGCUAUUUAUGCUUCAUUAUUUUUUGUACCAAAUGUAGUUUGUUCAUAUUGUUAUCUAUUUAUCACUGGCACAUCAAAGUCAUUGUAAAUUGUAAUGAUUAAAAUAUUUUCUUACAGGGAAUUGCUUCUAGAUUUCUAUGAUUCAAGUAACGGCCGCAAGCCAACUCAAUUUAUUGUCUUCAGGUGUCAUUCUAUCUGAUAGAUAAUCCAAUCAUAUAUGUUCUUUUGGUGAAUUUGUUUGUAGGUCAAAAUGUUAUAAAUUAGAAGAUGCUGAUGUUACAUAUUAUAGCAUCUCAAAAUUAUUAAUCAAUGGAGGAGACCACUAGCAUUGUUGAGUUGAGUAUGACAUGGAUAUUUUUAAAUAAUUAUUCUCAUUUUAAUAUCUUGUCAUUCUACUAUUUGGUUAUGUAUCCCUACCAUUAUUAUUGGUUGUAAGGAUUGCAUUGUUCAGAUACUUUAUUUGAUUUUUUCUUUUUCAUCUUUUUCUAAAAUAAUUCCUUGUGUAUAAAAGGCAAUGUAGAGAUUGACGAUGGUUCUUUUGAGGUUUUAUGCAUGGUUGUUAGCUGGUGUGAUCAAAAGUAUUUUAUAUGUUCCGUAUUUUCCAUGUAGUUCAAUCUUGUCUCAGUUUUGUGUUCAGUUUUGUUUGGACAAUGAAUUUAUGCCUACUGUUAGUUAGUGUUACUAGAGAUAGAGAGCAUGUGGGUCAGGAAGGUGGAGCUAUCAGGCGUUGUGGGAAUAGACCUUGUUGGGUGGAUGGAUUAAUAAAUUGGAAAGGUUCUUUGUGUAGCAAGACAUUCACCCAUGUGAAGAUACAAUGGGCAUUCUGGAGUAUGGAGGGUGAAGCCAUGCUUUGGUUUCAAUGUUGGUGCCAAGAGGAUUUCUUUAGAAUUUGUUUGAGAAGGUGAAGAAGGAACCAAAAUAUUGUCCUUAGAGGAGAGAGGGAGAUGCCACUAAAUUCUGGGAAAAAUGACUGAGCAACGAGAAAUUGAAGUGUGGUAGUGACAAGACCGAUUCUUGGUCCUUAAGGAUUUCGGCCAGCCUUGUGCCAUCAUUGAAAUUUAUCAUAGUAAAAAUUCCAUGGGCUAAGCUAAUAUUCAACAAAUUAUAUCUAAAACUAGUACAAACUCUACCAGUAUUCCUUAAAUUUAUGAAAUAUGGAUUCACUCUUGGUGAUCUCAAUUUCCUUUAUCACUUGUUAAAUAUCUGAACUGUGUUUUCGUGUUCAGGGAUGGAGUUAGUGAAUCACAAUUUAAUCAGGUUUUGACAGUCGAGCUCAACCAGAUAAUCAAGGUUACACCGCAACUCUUUCACUGUUCAUUUUGAUAAUGUGCUUGAUUGCUGGAAUCUUACGUACACAUUGUUCUGAGUGGGUGCUUAGAUUACACAUUUCUCUCUUUAAAGAAAAUGGGAAAAAGUUAAUAUUUUCUACAGCCCCUACCUCUUAAAAAAAAUAAGAAAAAGGUAGGUGAAAAAUGCAACCAAUUAAACAGAUGUUUCCUCCUAAUUAUAGGAUUAUAAUUUCAGGCCUAUCAACGUCUUGGUGAGGAUGAUGUUCCCAAGUUCACCGUGAUAGUGGCACAGAAAAAUCAUCAUACUAGGCUGUUUCAGGCUAAUGGUCCUGAAAAUGUUCCUCCUGGUAUGCUACUUGUUUUGUUUACUUACUUGCAUACAGGUAACGCACAGGAUCAUUGUAAUAUAAAUUUUGCUCUUCUUCUUCAGGGACUGUCGUGGACACAACAAUCACGCAUCCAAGUAAUUAUGAUUUUUACAUGUGUGCUCAUGCGGGGAUGCUGGUAUGUUUACGUAGCAUGAGGUUUUAGAGAAAUGUUUGAUUGUGAAUUAAAUUGGUAUUUGUUGUUUUGUUUCCUGACCAUAUAAUAAAUACAUAGGGAACAUCUAGGCCUGUACAUUAUCAUGUGCUACUUGAUGAGAUUGGUUUCUCCGCAGAUGGCUUACAAAAUUUGAUCCAUUCGCUGUCCUAUGUGUAUGCACUCAAUCUUUUGUUUAUAUACAUGCUUUCAUUAUUACCCUAAACCCUACUUAGUUGCUUCUUUAUAUACUUAUUUCAGGAACCAAAGAAGCACAACUGCAACCUCAGUUGGUACAUAUACAAUAAUAGUGUUUUUUCAUCUGACGGAAGUGAUGUGAUUAAUUUGUUUCUAAUAAUUUAUCCUCAUUUUUUAUUCUUCAGUGGCACCAAUAUGCUAUGCGCACCAUGCUGCGGCUCAGAUAGGACGGUUUUUGAAUCUUGAUGAUUUAUCAGAAACGGGCUUAAGUUCCAUCCCAGAGCUUCCUAGAUUGCAUAAGAAUAUCAGGAGUUCCAUGUUCUUCUGUUGAGCUCAUCAAAUCAAAGCGUAAAUGUACAUUUAGUAAUACUCAGCCCAAAUUCUGUUUGAUGGGGGAAAUGGAUUCUUGGGCAUUGAGACUUCUUUGCGUACAUUGUUAGCUAUGAAAUACGUAUUUCUCUUCAAAAUGUGAUUUUAAUUCAUGCGUAAGAUUUAAUUUAAUUUUAUGAAUUAAUAACUUAAACAAUGACAAUAUUUUUGCUCUAUGCUUCUGAGUGAAACGACAAGGACAGAUAUUUGAAUGCAUUAAGAGAAUUUUGGAAUACAGUUUUGAUGGUACCAAAAUAGAAAAGUAAAGCUUGGCUUUGAAUUCUCUCCCAAUUGUACCUCAUUCAAAUGUAAAGAAGUAAAAGAAUUGUAACUUUAUUAGAAAAGUAGUAAAGAAGGUGAAAAAAGUCAUGGAAAAGGAAUGCAUCUCAUCCACGGCUCCAUUGUCUUUCCUCCAAAACUCUAAAUGAAAAUAAAAGAAAGAUUAAUCAGUUCAAAUCUAAAACCAUCAAACCCCACAUAUUGGUCUAAAACGUAGAUUAUGAACAUACGAAAUCCUCAUCCAUGAAGUAAGGAUGCUUUAGAGCAGCUGUCGCAGAAAUCCUUUGGCUUGGAUUCAAGCAAAGCAUUGCCUGCAAAAAAAAACCGAUAAAUAUGGCAUCAGAACAAGAAUUAAACAGUAAACUUUUUCUUUAAGGAACAUCCAUCUUUUCCUUUCUACAAUUUUCCAAUUCUUAGUAUCAUAAUGACUUAGUUCUUUGCAGAGUUUCAUGACCUUUUACAAAACUUAACAGUAAGACCUAAUGACCUUUUACAUAUGUAGAAGCCAAAAUAAGUAUCCCUUCUUCCAAGGAUUAAAUUGAAAACGACUUAAAUAUUUAAAAAUCAAAUUGAUUGCUUAUCCUAUUUACAGUAUUCAUUCUAUAAAUUUUUUAAUUCAAAACAUAAUUUUUAUUUGAAAUAUUCUCUUUAUCAAUUUUUCUCUUGCAAAACAUAACCUAUUUGUAUAAGCAAUGUUGCAUAAAUUUUAUUAACCAGUAUUGCUCAACUUGGAGUAACCUAGGCUCCAGACACUUGAAUUCCUAAAAUAACACACAUCUCCAAAUUGCUUCUUUAAGGACAGAUACUACAGAAAUUUAUUUAUUGUUCGUAGAAACUGUCCGUUGCUUAGAACCAAAACAAAACUGUGGAGUAAAACUUACUGAUAGAAGAUCGAGGCCAUUUCGUUCCAGUCCAGGAAAAAGUGUUUCCAGGCCCUGCAUAGCAGAGUAGAGUUGUAACUUUUAAAGAUUCUAUGAAAAGGCAACGAGCCAAAUAGCCAUUGAGAAAUGAGAAUUUAGUACCACUGGUUGAAAAAUCGGGAAGAGAUGAAGGUUACGUAUUACUCCAGAGACUCCUGGCCAUGUUUCCUCUGUGGGGGUACCUAACAGUCUUCACAGAGAAAAUUCUUUCUUGUUUCAAUCAUAAACGAGAAUUGCAUGCAAAAGUCAAGUGGAUAUUUUUAUGUGUGUCAAAUCAUACCUGAACAUUACGUCUAACUCAUCCCGGCCUUCAAUCAGUUGGAGCAAAGGUUGUCCAAGUAGCAUCUCAGCAAAUAUACAACCAACAGACCACAAAUCAAUUGCAGCUGAAUAUUGAUAGUUGUCACACAAGACUUCAGGUGCCCUGUACCAGGAAGUUCCUAACUGACUAGUGUAUUAGUGAGGUGUCCACUUUAUAAUAAGACUUUUAUUUAUAUACCAAAGCUAAAACUAUACCUAAUCAUUUGUGGAACAUCAUUAUUUUGUAAUAAAGCUUUUAUACCAUACAAAUGUCUUACUAACCAAUCAUAGUUUGUGACAGAAAGAACAAGUUGAAGAAAACAUGUAUGCAAGUUACAACCGUCAUCAAAGUUUUUCUUUUACUUUUCUCUAUUGAUAAAUCAGUUCACGAAAACAAAUUUCUAGCAUAUAUUUUAUUCAUUAUAAAUAUUAACAUAGAAGUAAAAUAUUAUUAAUAAAAGACUAAUGAAUAUUAUCUUGAAUUUUUAAUAAUACAUAUAAAUCAAACAUAUUUUUUAAAUCUCAUGAUUAAAAAUAAAUGAAAGGAGUAGCAUAUUUCUUAUUUUACAUAUAAAGAGGGACCGUGAUUUCUAUGUUUAUAUGCUAUGUAUAUAUAUGCAAAUGAAAGGAUAAUGCAAGCAAAAUAUACAGUUCAAAGGAAUAAUGAAAUACUGGAAGAUAUGAUAUUUAUAAUCACGGGAUGAACUUAAAAAGAAAAAUUAGAAACUUGAAAACAUAAUAUAUAAUUAACCUAAAUAAGCCAGAGAGAAUCAAUAUGUUCCUUUCAAGUCAAUUAUACCUUCUCAGAAUACAUCAGGUCAUCUCUAAACUCUCUAGCCAAACCAAAAUCCGCCACUUUGAUCAACAUUGUAGGUUCAUGAAUCAGCACAUUCCCUGGUUUCAAAUCUCUAUGCAGAACCUUACGCGAAUGGCAGAACUCCACAGCAGAGAGUAUCUGGUACAUGAAACUCUGCAAGCAAAAGAAAUUUAAUCACGGCAGUUACAGGAGUUUUAGAAUUUGAGAUUCGUUUACCUCAAUCUUAAAAGUAUUUAUAGAUAAAGUGAUUUAUAUAUAGAUGGAUAGAUAUAGAUAUAUAUCAUUAGUGAGAAUGUAUGUUUGAUCCGUUAAUGAUAACAGGAGUUUAUUUGACUUCAGUCAAAUCUUAUUUUACAAAAGGAUAAACCCUCAAGUAUUAAUAUUCUAUAAAAAAAAAUCUGAAAAUAUAAUUUGUUUUUCUUUUUAAUAGUAUCCUACAUACUUAAAUAAUUGUUUUCCACAAACUUAAUUAUUUACUACAGUUGUAUUUUCUAGACUUAACCUCUUACUGUUUAUCUUAAUUUCUAAAUUUAAUAAUUUACUUUUAUUUUAGUAUCUACACUUAACUAUUUAUUAUUAUCAGUAUUAUUGUUACUAUUAUUAUCUAUAUUCUUAAAUUCAAUUUUCGGAGUGAAUAUAGUUAAGUUUAGAAAGUAACAUCAUACGGGUUGAGUUCAGAGACUAAAUGAAUAUGCAAUAGUUAAUUUUAGUAACCAAAUUAAUAAUAAAUGGGUCGUUCAAUUUACUAACCACUAAACUAAAUUAAUAUACAAAUUAAACCUUUUAGAGAUUUUUAUGAACUUUAAUAAUUUUAGAACUUAAAUGACAGUUCACUAUACAAUCUAUUUAUCCUUCUUAACAGUGAUAAAUGUCAGGUUAUUCUAAGCAAAAUUGAUUUUAACACAAAAUCACAAUUUAAUUAAAAGUGAUGAUGAACAAAAUUUACUCUAAAUUUUAUAACAAAAUGCCUUUUAUUGAAAUAUCCAAACAUAAAUCACUUUAUUAAAAUCAACUCUAACUAAAAUCAAUUUAAAUCUAGGUUUGCUUUCAGAAUUCACAUUUAAUGCAAAAUUUCUUUAGAUUCAAAAGAUCCUUUAAAGAUCCACAUCCAACAAUGCCUAAUGCAUUUCUGAACAAAUUAAAAUCAAAUUCAUAAAACAGUAGUAAAAGCGCACUGUCAUACCUUUACAGUCAACGCAUCCAUGGAAAAACGACUGUCAUAAAUGAACUCAUGAAGGUCGAAAUCGAGAUGCUCGAAGAUAAGAUUGACAUAUCUGUUUUCGGUGAAUCCGACUCCAAGCAGCCUGACAAUGUUGUCAUGGUAGAGGUCUUUGAGGAACGACACUUCGCGGAUGAUCGAAGACGGAACACCCUGGCUCAUUCCGACUAAUGUGAUCUCUUUCAUGGCGACGAGUGCGCCGCUGUUAUGAUCAAGGCACCGGUACACUCGCCCGUAGCCACCUUCCGCCGCCAUCUCCAGUAUCUCCAAGUUCAUUGCCGACGUUUCACUGUAAUCGUCUCUGCCUUUAUCGCAGAUGUUGCACCAUGCCAGACGUGUCAUCCUACUCCACCACAAAUAUAACCAUUAAUCACUCAGAUGUAAUCGAAAGAGGAAAAAACACAGAAAAACGAUAAACAUCGAUUAGGUUAUCGAAUCCAAAUAUCACUGUUCUUGAAGCAAAGACGAGUGAUAAAUAAUAAUAAUUACAGAGAAUCGAAGGAGUCAAUCCAAUUGCCAAACCACCACAUUCUGAAAGAUUGUUUGAUACAGAGAGACGAUAGCAACUGUAACAGAAUUUGGACCAAACUUUGAAAGAAAUCACUGAUCACUGAACCCACUCCAUUUUUAUAGCUUUCUUUGAGUUACAAUUUCCCGCGAAAAAGAAUAACAAACUUUUCGCUAACCAGUAGAGGUCUGCCACGUGGCAAAUAUAUUGUUAGUUUAUUGCUGUUAGGUAACGGUUACUUAACCGAGCAAAAUAUUACACGGGUAUAUAUUUUUUUUAAUUAUUUUUUUAUUUAGAUAGCUAAUUGAUGCUUUAAUUGUUUAAUUCAAAUAAUUUAAUGUAAUAAUCUAUUCAUAUUUGAAAUUUACUUAAUUAUGUUUCCUUCUUGCACUUUUUUUUUCUUUAUUUUAAUAGUUAUUUCUAUCAAGAAAUUUACAUGACUAAUAGAGAAGGAACUUAAUCUUAAUUGAAAAAAAAAUAAUAUAAAAAAGAAUUACAAUUUUAUUAGGACAGAAUAUUAAUAUUGAGGAUUAUAUUGAAACAAAAUAUUUUUGAGGAUGAAACCAUGAAAUCAAGUAUUUUGUAAUUUUCUGAACCCUUAUAUACCUGCAUGGUUUCUGAACCCUUAUAUACCUGCAUGGUUUCUGAACAACAAAGUUCUUCAUAUUUACAAAAUAGUGUACAUUGGGCAAAACUUCCUAGUCACGAACAGAAGAAAAUAUUAACACACAAAUUUAUGGCACCCGCAGCAAAUUUACAAGGGAAAGGGAGACCUCAGAAAAAUGAAAUAAUUUGGAAUCAAAGUGGCAACCAUGGACAAAUAAUGUUUACAAGCUUGGAUCAUAUUUAACAGAGAAGGUUGCAGUUGUACUUGCACUUGCAGCAUAUGACAUGGUGUUACCCUGGCUAUCUGAAGCAGAGGAUGCAUUGUAGGAAGAUGAACCCUUGGUAUCAUUAUCAACAUCUUUUUUGUCUCCUCUGAUUUUCAGGUCCAUGAAAUCUGAAAUCAAGCCUGGUUUUGUUAUCUUACUUUCAUCAAUGUCCAUUUCUCCAGUGAGCAUCUUCACCACAGAAGACAUUGGUGGCCGGAGUUUGGAUGUGUCCUGAGUGCAGAGAAGUCCAACUUUCAGAAAUGUACAGGCCUCCUCGGCAUCGAAAUACCCGUCUAGGGAUGCAUCUACAAGCCCUACCAGUUCCCUUUGCUGAUAAAGUUUCCAUGUCUGGACAGAAAUGUUAAUCAAGUGUAAGUUAGAGUCCCACAUUAUGUAGAAAUGAAUGAAAUGAACAAUAUACAAGAAAAAACUUGUAAACCUAUUGUCUUAAGAUUUUUUGAGAGAACCCAACAAGAAGCUCAAAUUAAGAGCUGGUAGAAAACUAUCUUAAUGUCAUAGAAUAUGAGUACUUGUAGCACAAACACUAAACAAUACAGCACUACACAAUGCGGACCCGGACACUUCAACAUGUGUAAUCUUCAAAAUGUAAGACACGAAGACACGAAUCUAUAUAUUAUUUCAUCAAUAUGAAUUAUAUAAAUUCACAAUCAGGAUUUAUGUAAACAAGUUUAGUCAAAUAUAAGAAAAUGAAUCUAAUUUGUCUAUCUAAAAUCCUAAAGUGAAAAAAGAAUAUAAUUCAUUUAGGGCAUUUUAUCCCUUUCUUGACCAUCAUUAUUGAAAAGGACACUUUAGUUUAAAUUUAUUUAAAGACAAAUUAACAACUUUAAAAAAUUUCACAUUAUAUGAAGAUGUGAUAAUUCAAACAACAAAUAUUCUUUCAGAUAUGAUACAGUCUUUUGAUAGUAGUAUCAGAACUGUCAGAUGGGUUUACCAAAUAUAAUUUUAGUCUAGAGGUAGACUCUCACAACUUCUGGUUCAAUGUUCCCUAUUUAAAGCAUAACUCUAAAAUUUCAAUGUUUUUUCAUGCUGAAGGAACAAAAGAAAUUUGAAUGUUGAGGCUUCCAAUCAGGUACACCUUAAGGUGGGGUUUAUAACUUCUUAAUCAAUCACAAUUGAAUGGAGCUUGGAUGGAAAACUAAAGUAGAAAGAAGAGAAAGUGAAGUUCUAUAACAAAAAAAUUAGUGGAGACUAGAACUUGGACCUAUUUGGAUGAGUUUCUUCAUAAGCACUUCUUGGGGAGAAAAAUAAGAAAAAUUAAACUUAGCUUCUCUAUAAGCUAAUUUGUAGAAGCUUUCCAUCUAGCUUCUCUAAAUUUUUAUUUGCAUAAGCUAAUUUUAGCUCGUGAAAAAUUUGUUAACUGAAAAGAAAAAAUAACUCAGAAGAGGCUCCAUAUUUAUUGAUCAAGGUUUACAAUCAUUCUGUUGUUUAAACUCACCAUCUUCUGUACAGUUUCUAUACAUGCAGGACCAAUUUCACAGGUGAAAGGUAGUUAAAAUCCACAAAAAUUGAGUUUGUUAGACACAAGAUAGUGUAGUAUGAACUAGCCAUCACUGAUGAGGUUGCAAAUAAGGCAACCCCCAUAGAAGACACAAUUAAAGCUUUCCAACAUUUUCCAUACAACUUGAAGCUUUCAAUAAAAGGUUAUGUUAUCACAUACUUGGCAGUGAAUAAACAACUAAGAAAAUAGAAAUGACAUACCGUUUCUAAGAGAAACUGCUCUCCUAUCGGUAAUCGUGUAUUAGUGUGACAUCUUCCACUCACUAUCUCCACAAGGAGUACACCAAAGCUGUAAAUAUCUGCUUUACGUGUCAGGUGCCCCCUUAAUGCAUACUCUGGUGCCAAAUAACCUCUGAAAUAAAAGAUGCAGCAUUAAGUAAAGGAAGUCAAUAACAGUAACAGGAGAAGAGAAGCUUUCCUCUUUAUCAUGUGAGAAGUGAAAGUUUAUGAAUGAAUACACGGGACAUAAUAUACAAUUAAUCUCUAGGUCCAACCAAUUUUGCUGUGAUAGAUUCUGAUAAAUUCUGACACUAUCUUAGAAAGUAAACUUCAAUAUAGUAAGUAUUAUUCAACCAUAUCUCUAGUCAAAGUGGGAUUUCCAACUCAAGAGGAAGAGAAUUGCUCCAACAAAUUUAUCAACCAAUUUAUGUAUAUUUCAAUAAAAGAAUCCCUGAUCUCUAUCAAGCACUUCAAUGAUCUCAGUUGUGUAGUGGUUGAUGAUGAAUUUACAACAAGCAAGAUUUCGUGUGUGCUGCAUUUAAUGGACUAAAACUCUUGCAGAGCAAAGGCUCAACCAAAGGAAUCCCUUGUCAAGAUUAAAGAAAAAUACUAACAGAUAAUCUAAAGUAAGUUGAACAUAAAAUUCAAAGUCACCAAUUUACAACAAAAUGAAUUCAUAUAAAUAUUGAACAGAAUCAAUAAAGUCAAUUACAUUCUAACAUUCUCAAAUUUUUCAGUAUUAUGCUAUAUAAUUCUUCUGACCAUUCAACAGAGAUGAAGUCUUACUUUUGGGAAGGAAAAGGAAAGUAAAAGUUUCCAAUUUAUGCACAGGAUGUUUAUUAAAAUACUCACAUUGUUCCUGCCACACGAGUGCUGACAUGAGUCAUGUAUGAUGGAAUAAGCUUUGCAAGACCAAAAUCUGAAAUCUUAGGUGUAAGGUCUUUGUCAAGGAGAAUAUUGCUUGCUUUUAUAUCCCUAUGAACAAUAUGUGGUUUUACUUCUUCAUGUAGAUAGGAGAGCCCACGUGCAAUCCCAAUGCAAAUCCUAGAUCUUGUUUUCCAAUCAAAAAUAUUGUUAUUGUGACCUGAACCUGCAAUUGAAGAGAAAAUAACUUAUUCAGAAAGCAUAGGUAAGGAAAAUAAAUUAAUAUAACAACUCCAUGAUAUUCUAAAUGACACAAUAGAAUUUCUGUUCUCAAAUUUUCUCAGAAAACUUUACCACAAAAUUUCAAAGCAUUUACCUAAAAUGGUUUGCGCAAGGCUAUUGUUCUCAAGAAAAUUGUAGACUAAUAUUCGGUGUUUCCCUUCCACACAACAACCAUAUAGCUUAACCAAAUUUUCAUGCUCUAUUUCUGAGAUGACAUUAAUCUCUGUCAUAAAUUCUUUCACCCCUUGAGUUGAUUCUUCUGAAAGAACUUUUAUAGCAGCUAGUUUCCCAUCUUUUAGUAAUCCCUGAUCAUCCACCAUAAUAUUGUUAAGUUUUCACUGAUAAGGAAAGGAAGAGAAAAAUAAUGAUCAAUCAAAUGGAUACGAUGAUGCAACCAAUAUUCAAAAGCUACUAAAUUACCUUAUAAACAGAACCAAAGCCACCCUGCCCAAUUUUAUUGGACUGACUGAAAUUGUCAGACGCAACUUUUAGUUCUUUGAAGGUAAAGAUUCUUACAUUUUGAAUGCCUGAGAAUUCUGUUCACAAACAUAUUCAGUCAAAAUCAAGCACUCUAACUAGAUUUUUUAUGCAUUUUUUCAUAGGUAUAUUGAUUCUACAACAAUAUUCUUAGAUUAUGUUAAAGAUUAAACUCAAAACCAUCAGUUUUAUUUUCAGUAAGCAGGAAUUUGAAUGACCAAGAAUAAUUACUUUUAAUGCUAGUUUUACAUAUCAUUUAUAGCAUAAUUCAAAUUUUGAAUGUCAUUUAUAACAUAACAGUUAUCAGGAAACAAAUGUGAAUUUGAGAAGUCUAUUGUUCGGAAACUAAGUGAAAUAAAAAUAUAUUAUCAGUUCCCAUAUUAAUCUAAUAUUAUUGUUAAAUUACCUUCAUCAAUAUCUGGAUCGAGUUUUGGUGCAGAAGGCACUUUCCUACUAAAUGAGAAUGGGAAGCAAGUCAUGACUAGAGGAUGAAGUAUUCGAACACGGCCAAUAAUAUGAAAUGGAAUAAAUAUCUUUGAAUUAAACCACUUAAAAGGUCACCUGGAAGAACCACAUAGAAGUGUCUGUCUUAGAAUAAUAAAGUGGAAGUCCAAUAUAAUGAUAACCAUAAUGCUAAAACUUCAGAUCUUAAAACAUGAAAGCAAACAAACUACAUUCACAGAUUGCUAAUUACUAUAUCAGAUGAAACAUACAAAAAAGUAAAAAAGUAAUAACUAAUAUCAUGGUCAAGGCUCCAACAUUUUUUUCAAUAUUCCAAAGAUAUCAUCAGUUCUAUUAAACUAAAUUAAAUGCACAAACAUCAGCAUCAUAUUGCAGUUCAAGUAGUCAGAUUUUCACUGAUUACAAAUACUUUCUUUUCAAGCAAAACAUGUUUGAAAAUUUUAUGAAAGACGCAGGUGACAAAAAAACAAGUAUAUUUGACAGUUCCCAGAGCCAUAUAGCUAAAACAAACUAAGGAUGCAUCUAUAGUCCCCAAAAUCAUUCUUCUUUUGCUGCCUUCCAAGAGGGUUCCUGAAAAGAUGACUAUUUCUCCAAAAUUGACCCAAAACCCCCUUCUCCACAUCUAUUCUUAACUAAACUAAUUAUCUGUAUCUCAACCACUGAAUUCAGAAUUUCCAUAUGUCGGAAAAGCAUAAUCUUAAAUGAAAACCAUUUUUUUCACCUAUAUCCUAAUUUUCAUACAGUUCUCUUGCUCUAAACUACAAGUUUGAGCAUUUCGUGCUUCAUUUUGUGCUUGUUUUUCAAAUCUCAAAGAGCAUUGUGAAUAAAAAUGUGAACUUGGCUUCCUCGGGAACUAAAAUAAACUAUAAGAGAGAGAAUCAAGAGCCCAAUCAUAAAUUUAGAGAACAAGUAAAAAAUUAAAUGAAGCAAAAGAUUAUCCACAGGAACACCCAUAACAGAAGGAUAACGAGAAACUAAAAGUGCAUUACAUGGCAGAAACGAACCUUGGAAAGUAGUGAAAACAAGAACAAAAAUUGAAACCAAAAAGAGAAGAUUUUUCUGAGAGAUGAGAAGAAAGGGUGAGAGUUAAUGGGUUGGUUGGGUUUGGUCAACAAGGAACAGUGUCUGAGAUUAUUACGAUGAUGUGGUGUUGUGGGUUUCUAUUCUCUGUGCAGCUUAUUAAUACAUCUUGCCGCGUAGUGUGAAGGGACCGCGUUUGGAAUGUGAAAUCGCUUCUAUCAAUGCAAUUAAUUGACUUUCUAAAUAAAUUAACAAACUACUAACCUUUGAUAAUUCUGAAAAAUAAGUCAAGUCAUAACUACUGUCUUCUGAAUAUUAGUUAAAAAAUUUAAAUAUACUUUAUUAUUUUAUUACAACUAUAUAUAUAUAUAUAUAUAUAUUGCUGUAAAGACUAGUUUCCCAACGGUCAAGUUGCAAACUUUGACUUAUCGUACAUAGAAAUAGAAAUGUUGAGAGUAUAUUAAAAAGGUAUAAAGUAUACUGGUAAUAAUUUAAUCUAAAUUUUAUUUUUGUACAGUUCAGUUGUCACGUGAAUUACUAUUAUAUGAAAGUUGUGAAUAUGAAAGCUAGAAUAUGUCAUUAUACUCGUUCUAUGAUAUAUGUUUAUAAUGCAAAUGUUUGUCGAAGUUGGCUAGGUUUAAGAAAAGUGAAUUUUUCUGUUCUGAUCUUAAAUUUGAGAGAUAUUGUCGAUUUUAAAAGUAGAUAUUUUGUUACAGUUUUAUCUUUAAAAGAUUGUCUUGAGUAGUGUGAGACUACUGGAGACUAUAUUGAGGGAUUAUAUUAGACUAUAUUGACUGAAAUAUUAUAUAAGUGUUCCAGUAUGCUAAUACAGUCCCACAUCGUUUAAGAAUGGAGGUUAAGGGCAGUUUAUAUUGACUUAAGGUCGGAACAAUGGCGUCCACCGUGAGGUCGAAGAGGUUCCUUCGCCCCUCAACUAGGGGAUCCACUCCCCUUAGACCUCGACUGGGGGGCUUGUUCCCGUAUGCCAAUACAGUGUUUAACCCGCUUAACUCACAACAACAAAAAUCAACUAGAUUUUAAUAUUAUUGAAAUUGAACAACAAUAAAAAUGUUUCGAAAGUAAGACAAGAAGAUGAUGAUUAAUCAAAAAGUUUUUAUGGAUUUUUAGUAUGUUAGACAAUAGUUUCUUUUUAUAUUUCCUUAUGAAAGAUUUAUUUUUGACAUAUUUAUUUAUUUAAUUUAGAUGUUAAUCUUAUCUUUAUUUAACUUAAAUGGUUGAGUAAUGUAAACAUAUGAAACAUUAAAACAAAAUUAUUAUGCAUGUAGCUUUUAUAAAAGAUUUUUCUUAUGCAAGCAGGGUUGCACAGUCGCAGAUCAAUUGUGACAUCCCUUUAUAUAUAUUUAUAUUUAUAUACGAUUUCACUUCAAUUCAAAACUUAAAUAUGUUCUUUAUUUGUAAAAUUAAAUUUAUAUUACAUGAGGUAAUUAUAUCUGUUUUAAUUUGAUAUCUGUUUUCUAGAAUUUUUUCCUUUGUUUUGAACUUUUCAAUAGUAUUAUAAUUUAAAAAAGAAAUCACAUAAGAGUUUGUACUUUUCAGUUGUACUCUUUCCCAGAGUCACCUUCCUUAUUGUGUAUAAUUUAAUAAUUAUUUAAUUACAGUAAUUGAUUUAAUUUUUUAAGUGCGUGAAUAUUUUAUCAACAAAAAUGUUUAAUUAUUUUUCAACUUGCUUGUGCCACAUACUUUCGUUAGGUGAGAUGAUCGCUGCAGGCUUCAUGUGCACGUGGUCAAUAUUCAACAUCAACAAUUUUUUAUAAUCAAAAUAUCAACAACUUGAAGGAAGAGAUUAUAACAAAAAGGCUUAAAUAUGGAUUUAAAUUUAAUUAAUAAAAAAAAUUAUUUUAAACUUUUUUAGAAAAGUUUUAUUUUACUAUUUUAGUCCAGAAAGUAUUUUAAAGAACGUUUUGAACAGUAGAAUAAAAUGGCAUCAACAGUAUUUUUGAAACUAAAAAUAAUUAAAAAAAUAUAAAUAUUAAAAACGAUAAAUGGAAUUUGUUAUUUUGUUGGUCAUUAUAAAAACAUUUAAUUUCUUUUGGUUUAUCUUGAUCUAACAUUUUAGUUUCUUUGGAGCUUCCGAUCUUGAGAUAUCAUUGUUUAAAUAAAAAUACCUUUUAUUGUUUAUGUAAGAAAUGAAUAGUUGUAUUCUUUUAAAAUAUAAAUAAAUUAUAAAUAUAUUAAUAGUUUAAUUAUUUAAUGUUUUUAAUUUUAUUAAUAUAUGAGAUAGUAGCUUAUAGUUUUGUCCAAAAUAAACUAAAAAUUUGAGUUUAAGUCUAAUUCAUCUUAAUAAAAUUAUUUAUUUAAAGUGAAGUUUAUCCUCACAUAUAUACCAUAAAUUGGUCAUCAAUAUAAAAAUUUAACAUUUUCUACAUUUCAAAUACUAAAUUGUACCCUUUUAAAAAAUCAUGAUUUAUGUAAGGGUUUUUGACCAUAAUGGAUUAUUUUUUUUCUUUUUACCAAAAAUGGGGUUCGUUUAAAAAAAAUUACAAAUUUAGGCAAGUCGUGUCAAUUUGGUACGACUUCAUAUGCACAAAUUGUUUCAAUUUGACACGACUCUGCCAUGUCAUACUGAAAUUGUGCCAACUUGGCACGACUUCUGCCCUAUCAUACUGAAGUCGUGCCAACUUGGCACAACUUCUGCCACGUCAUUUUUUUAAAAAAAAAUUAUUGUUUAUAUAUUGGGUAGUAAGUUAUGUAAUGUUAAAAAUUAAUUUGAUACGUAACUUCUAAGAGUGUUAGUUUUAAGGAACAAAAAAUUGGAUAAUCGUGUAUGGAUCAUGUCCGGUGCCAUUAAAUAUUAAAAUAUCAAAAAAUUUGCCCACAUGAGACAUUAAAUAUCAAAAUAUACUUUUUGGCUAGUGGGAAACCAUGUCAGGCGACAAUGUCCUUAGGAGUUAAUGGCUCAAAGUUUGAAUAAGCUUAUUAUCCAAACAUGAUCCAUACACGAUUAUCCAAUUUUGUGUUCCUUAAAACUAACGCUCUUAGAAAAUUAUGUAUCAAAUUAAUUUUUAACAUUACAUAACUUAUUACCUAAUAUAUAAAAAAUAAAAUUUAAAAAAAUAUGACGCGGUAGAAGUCGUGUCAAGUUGGCACGACUUCAGUAUGACCAGAGCAUAAAUCGUGCCAAGUUGGCACGACUUCAGUAUGACAUCGCAGAGUCGUGUCUAAUUGGGACGAUUUGUGCAUAUGAAGUCGUGCCGAAUUGAUACGACUUGCCUAAAUUUGUAAUUUUUUUAAAAUAGACCCCAUUUUGGUAAAAAGCAUAAAAAAUAACCCAUCAUGAUAAAAACCCUUUAUGUAAUCUGUAUAUUUUAAAAAUUAUCAAAAUUAUUAUUGAUAAAAAAUUAUUCUUUAAAUAAUGAGUAUUAUAAUUAAAUAUAGUUCACUCUUAACCAAAUUAAUUAUACUUUUGUUAAUUAAAAUUAACUAGACUACUUUUUAACUUGAUAAAUUUGAGUAAAUUUAGUUAUUUGAAAAUAUUGAUAGUUUUCAAUUUUGGAACAAUAUUUAGAAAUUUAGAAAAUAAAAUGACUAGAUGAAGAUGUGAUGUGAUGUGAUGCUUCAUUAGAUUCUUUUAUAUAAAAUCCAUGACACUAAAUUGAUAUUCCAAUUAACACAAGCCGUGGUGAAAAAUUAGUGUCUUACAAAAACAAAAUUAAUAUAAUAUUAGAUUUUUCAAUUUUCUGUUGACCUUUUACUCACUUUUUACAUUUUUAUGUAUUCGAGAACCGGGCUGGCUCUAGAGAAUUAUUGAGAAGAUUUUUCUUUAUCUUCGUCGGUUGGUCGUAGUGCACUUCAAUUUCAUUCUUUGCUAGCUUCUUUCUUCUCCUUACUUGUCGUCGUAAUACAGACUCGGAUGGUACCUGCAGAAGGCAAUCUGAUGCUCAAGUCAAUAAAGGUGUUCGACACUCGGUUGUCAGAGCACGGUAGAUGAUGACGUACCUGGACCUUGAAAUGUGUGCUAUUUAUAUUACCUUUAGUGGACUUUCCUUAUUGGACCAUGUUAGGGAGUUGAACCGCGAUUAAGGAUGCAUUACCUAGUUCUUAAUCGUGAAUUAGCUUUAUUGACUAUGUUUAAGCGUAACUGGAUUUGAGGUGUUGAUCGGCCCAUUGAUAUAGUUCAUGACAUUGGUCGACCCAAUAAUAGAGACUGAUACAUGUGAUAGGUCGUACAACUUUCACCAGUAUAUUUUAUAUUAUAUUUAUUACUAUCUUUUGUUUGAGCGUAAAUCCAUUUACAUCGUUUAAAUAUUUAAUUUUUUUUAUUAUAAUAAUGCAGUUUGAAGAUUAACUUUAUACUGUUAAAAAUAUAAUUAUGAAAAUCUAAAUACGAAAGUUAAGUUAUUAUAAAUAAAAAAACCCACAACAUAAUUUUAAGAUCUUGAGGUUGCUUAUUAUUCAUUAUAACAUGUUUAGCACUAAAAAUACUUUUGUCUGAAUCUAGUUGUUCUUCGAAACUCUAAAAGAAAUAAACUAACAUUCCAAAAUAUUUUUACAUUAAUUAUCUAUCUGAUAAUUUUUUUAUUUGUAGAAGUAUAACUUUAUGAAACGUGAAGAUAUUUCUCACUAAUUUUGGUGUAAUUCUAUAUUUUAAUUAUUAAAAUAGAUAUUUUUUAAAAAAAAUUAAAAAAUAGAUAAAAUAUGACAAAAUAUCAAAAUGAUAUGAAUUAAGAUGGCACCAAUUGAAAUCGUCUCAACACCACACAAUAUAAUCAAAUUUUAAUUAAAAUCAUAUUAUCUUAACGUUACUUAUUAUUUUAAUCAUUUUUAAAAAAAUAUUCAUUUUAUUAUUAAAAAAUAAAAUUAUAUUAUAUUAAUAAAAAAUUUACUAUAUAUAUAUUAUGUGUGUACUAUUCUGUAUUAUUUUUGGGUGCUAUAAUCUAUUGAUGUAAAAUAAAUUUUAACAAUAAAGUAUAAUAACUUAAAUGUAAAUUUAUUGAUAAAAUAUUAGAAUUAGAAGCAUACCUACAAGAAUUGAUGGCUUCAAUAAUAAGUAGUUGUUUUUAUUUAUGAUAAUAGUUUGAGUUGUGAAGUUGCAACCAAACUUCUUGAAGCCAUCAGAAACCCUAUCAUUGACUUUUCUCAAAUAUAUAUUAUGUCAUCUUGAUGAUGUAACACUCAAUAUUCAUUUCUUUACGUCUGCAACUUGCUUUCUUGGUUAGUUCCACUUAGUAUUUAAAAAAAAUAAAAUUGUAUAGUAAAUUAUAAAUUUUAAAAUAAUUUCAUUUUCAUAAAUUUUAAAUAAUUCUUUAAUUAUCAUUUAUUUUAAGUGGAUCACGAUGGCUUAAGAAGAGCAUGUGAAUGACUGUGAUAUUAGGGCCCUUGGUCUUUAGAGAGGCUACAUUAUUGUAGAGAGACUCUCCUGGGUCAAGCAAUUCUUUAGAAUAUUUAAAUUAAAGUUAUUAAUAAUAGAUAUAAAUAACUAUUAUUUAUUAAUUAGAUAGUAUGAUACUCUUACUUGCACUAUUAAGUGUUGUAGGAGGCACUUCACCACUUCUCUUUGUAGAUGGCAUAAUGGAUGCCAUGCUCCCACCUAGUUGGAAAGGCCUAACAAUUGACCAAUAUGAUGGAACUACGAAUUCAAAUUUCUAUGAGAUCCAAAUUAGCUUGCCUAUGUCGCUUGUUUUUCACAUCUUUAAAGGGUGACAUUGAGUUAGUUCACUAGGCUUCCACCCUUCUUGAUUGACUGUUUCAACAUGUUUGUAGCCAAGUUUGGAACACAUUGCGACCAUCUAAUCACAUCACUUGACGUUCAUUGCCCUAGAAAAUAUUCAAGAGAAAAAGGGAGAGUCAUUAAGACAUUUUACAAAUUUUUUGGGAAGGUAUCUUUGAACAUCUGCAACCAUAACCCCGAAGUAGUCAUGCACCAUAUAGUCACAACCUUGAGAUUGAGACCUUUCAUAGAUAGCCUGUGCAAAAAAAAUAGUGGUUGGCCUAGACGAACUAUGACAAUGAGUCGCGAAAUUCUUGCAACUAGAAGAGUUGUACGACUUCAUAAGUAAAGUAAUGAAUGAGAUGAUACUUAAGAAAAAGCACAAAAAAAAGGAGAGAUCAGGUCGAAAUCAUCAUGUUGUGAGGCAAAGAGAACAUCGGGGACCAAGAUUCUAUUUGUAAUCCCCCGUGAAUGCAUACCGAAUUGGAAUCCUUGAAGAUGUCUUUAGUGUCGAACUUAUCCCAACUCCCAAGAAAGUACCCACCCUACCAAAUGUUGACACCAACAAACCCUAUAGGUAUCAUGGAAUUUUGGUCAUGCCACCGAGGAGUGCUUGGCCUUAAAAUACAAGAUCAAGAAAUUAAUAUAGGCAGGCCACCUACAAAAGUUUGUGAAGGAUUUCAGAUAUCAGAUAGUUGGUCACUUGCCUAGGCGAAGGGAAAAUGCACUCUCCCGAGUCAUGACGAACAUAACCAUUAAAGCGAUUUUGCACAAGAUGACAAAGAACAACAUAGGUUGAACCAAUGUUCCCAGUUAACACAGAAAGAGAGGGACCGAAAAACACAUCUAUGAGGUGUCAUUAACACCAUCGCAGGAGUUUGCUAGGGAGAAGCGUCGACUUCCACAAGAAAACGACAUCUCUGGAUAGUACAAUCAUUAAAUGUUGUGGCAUCAUGCCCCCUGAAAGUGAAUGUCGCCCGUUACCUUCAUUGAUGUCGAUUUGAAGGCCAUAGACCCUAUGCUGGAUGACCCAAUGGUCAUCACGAUAUAAAUAGAAAAAAUUGCAGUUAUGAAAACCCUAGUCGAUCAGGGAAGCUCGGUGGACAUCCUCUAUUAGAAGAUGUUCCAGAAGCUACAAAUCCUCAAAAAAGGAUAUGCACUCUUAUGAUAAGAUUGUAGGGUUCUCGUGAGAAAAGGUAGAUACAACAUGUUACAUUGACUUGUAUACAAAGUUUGAUGAAGGUGGUCUAUGAAGCAAAACUAUCAAGAUUCGUUAUCUAAUUGUCAACACUAACACCUUGGAUAACACUCUCUUAGGGAGAUCAUCUCUAAAAAAUUUAGGGGCGAUCAUAACAACACCUUAACUAGCAAUAAAUUUCCCUCUGCGUCAAGUGACAUCAUCACGGUCCAUGUCAUGAACCAAAGGAUAACAAGAGAAUGUUAUGCCACCAAUUUAAGGAUCACACCUCCAUCUCUAAACCAUGAAUGGCCAUGACCAAAAAGGGACAAUAUGGUAGCCAUGAAUGAUUUCGACCCAAGAUUAAAUAAUGGUCUCUCAGUAGAGAUCGACGAAGACACCACCCUAUUGUGGCUCAAGAAUGAAAGACAAAACACUAGGUUAAGAACCUCUUUAACCAAGUCUGAGGCUGAGAUGCUAUCUAAAGUCCUAAAAGACAAUGUCGGUUUAUUUGCAUGGAUGAUAUCAGAUAUGUUGGGUGUGAAUCCCGAGAUUUAUCAUACACAAACUCUCAAUUACAAGGAAGCACGACCAAUGUCAAAAAAAAAAAGAAAAUUAGAAGAAGAAAAGAAGAACACAGCGAAAGAGGAGGUUGAUAAGUUUAUCAACGUCAAAUUCAUUCGAGAAGCUUGGUAUACUACUUGUCUGACAAGUGCAAUUACGGUAAAGAAAGCCAAUGAAAAGUGAAAGAUGUGCAUCGACUACACGAAAACACUGACCAUAUACAUUGAAAAAUGAAAGAUGUGCAUAAUUGAAACUAUAUACAGAUACAAGAUUGACAUGGUCUAAGACUUGCACGGUUGAAGAGAUCUAGGAAGCUUAUCGAAUACAUGUUGGAAACUAACAAAUAAUUAAGUAUGAGAUUAAUCCAUAAUCAAACAUGUUAAACCAUUUGUAUUACUAUAAUAACACGAGGUUCGACACCUUUGACCAUAUCGAUCGAGGCCCAUCCUUGUGAAGGCACAUUACCACUUGUCACCAUUGGUGUUGCAACUUCUUUGGAGAAAUUCAUGCUAAAUUUCUUAACAAGAUCACUACAUUACUUAUUAUUAUGGGAGAUAAAGAAAGAGUUUACCAAAAUAAUCACAACUGAAGCAUACAAGGUUCUUUUUCUGUACAACAAUACAUGGAAUCUCAAAUCUUGUAAGCACAAUUUGAGAAUAUGAAAAUUUCUUAAAAUAUCAAAAUUUGAAUUGCUUUUGUGAUUGUAAUAGUUCUAUAAAAGAUUGAUAUAAAAUUUUUGUUAGUUGAAUUUGAAAACAGUUAACACUUUCUUUUUUACUGAUUAUGGAUGUGUUAAUUAAUUAUUUUCACUUUACAAUUAAUGCAAAUAAAAAUGUUUAAUCGAUUAUGAAAUAGUGUAAUCAAUUAAUAUCUUGUAACAUGGUUUUCGAACUCUCUCGUUUAAUCGAUUAUUAAAGAGAUAAUCAAUUAUCCUAUUCUAAAUUUCAUUAGGAACUAACUAAUCAAUUGUACUAAAACUUAAUCAAUUAAUAAAGUUAAAAUCUUUUGAAAACAUUUGUUUUUCACUUUUAAAAACUCAUUUAAUUUUUAAUUCAUUUUAGUAUGGUUGGUUCCCAAUUAUAAUGUUAUGAAUACUACAUGUGAAACACUCAACAACAAACAAACCAUGAAAAUCAAAACUAUCUAGACAUAUCUAGACAUCUUGAGCAUCUUUAUCUUUAAACAAUGUCAUCAAAACAUUUUUACAUGAGACAUGAAUCACUUUUCAAUUCCAACAUCUUAAAAAAACUCUCAUUUAAGAAAAAUAUCUAAAACUUCCACAAGCAAUUAAGAACAGUUGUUAAUUAUGAAAACUAUAGUUGUACUUUUUUAAAGAGAUUUGAAAACCAUUUUUGUUAAAUACUAAAAUAAUUAUAAAUAAAUAUAAUCAAUUAUUAUGUUAUUAAUGUGAUUUAUAAAACAUUUAGAACCAAUUUAACAAAUUAUUAUUAAAUAUGAUUAAUUAUUUAAAAGAAAUCAAAUUGUUUAAGAUAAAUUAUUAUUAUUAUUAUGUUUAAUUAAAUACAAAAAUUAAUUUUCAAUACAAAUUUACUGAAAAUUAUUUUAAAAAUUAAUUAAUAUUUACAUUUAAUCACUAUAAAAUAGUUGAAAGUACCCUCAUCAUCCUCUACGUCAUCAAAUGUAAUCAUGAAUAUGUCAUCAUUAAGUGCCGUAGUCAUCUCUUUCUUCUUGAAUAUCUAAUAAUAUAUAAUAUACAAUAUUGAUUUAUUUUCAUUAAUUAUCUAGAUAAAGAUAAUAAAAUACAAACCUUAUCCCAUUACAUAUUUAUAUCAUUAUAUAAAUGAAAUUAUAAAGAAUUAUACUUUCAAAUAUUAAAACAAUUUGAAACAAAUUUUAAAUAUAAGAAAAUAUAUCUCACCAAGACAUCGUUUAAACGACAAUUGUUUUUUUCAAACAAUUUUUUAAUAAAAGAAAAAUAUUAUUAUUUUUCUUAUUCAAAGAAGUGCUCAAAUGACAAUAUAUCACUUCAGUUAUGAAACUUAUUGGACAAGAAAAAUAAUUACAUAUAUAUUUUAAAAAGUGGUUUCUCAAGUCUGCAAGUUUAACAGUCAAAUAUGCUAAAAUGAAACUAAAUCCCAUUAAAAUAAGUGCUGAAUAAUAUUAUCGGAAAAGUAAGAGGACAUAACAUACAUUAAGAAAUAUUUUUUUUAUGUUAAAUAACGAUAAAUGAAAUUUAUAAUAUAAAAAAUAAUUCACAAUCUUCAUCCAAUUAUGUAAAUCACGUGAAAAGACUUAAAAUUCCUUUUAGUUUAAAAAAUUGAAGUGAAUUCUACUUUUUUAUCUCCAAGCUUAGAUUUAAAAAAAUAUAUUAAAUUUACUAUUCAGGGAAUUAAAGUGUAAAAAAAAAUGUUCCUUAAAUUAAGUUUUUAGAUUUUUAUUUUUUAAAGAUUAAAUUGUUUUCUUUUUAAUUUGGAAGAAUAAAAAAAAUUAAAUACUAAAACGUUAUAAAAAUCUGAUCCAGAAUUAAAAGAUAAAUGAAAUUAGAUAAUUCAAAGAAAGGCUGCGUCCUUAAAAGCUUUUCCAUGUAUCUUAGUUUUUCAGUUAUAACUAGUAUGCAUUUUUUUAUUAUUACAAUCAUUGUCAAAUAAUUAAUAUAAUUGUAUUAAUAGUAUUGCCCGCUCAAAUAUUUAUUUUUUUUAUAAAAAAUAAUUUUUUUAUUAUUAUUAAAAUAGAAUAUGAAAAAUCACCUCAAUGCAUGUUGAUUGAAUAUCAUUCUUGAGUUCUGAGGGUAAAUUUCUUGUGAAGAAAAUUUUCGUAUGGAUGUUGUAAUAAUGAAAGUUAUAAUUAUGAGUUUGGAAACUUAGUUCUUGAAGUUUUCUUUAGCAAAUAUUGGAGAUCUUUUGGGUUCAUCAAGAAGUUUUCAUAUGUGUUGUAUUUGGUUUAGGUGUAAUUGUGACAUUUUUGCUGGUUAGGGGUUCUUGGUUGGAUUUCUUGUGUUUUGCUAGACAUGGUGUUCAAUGUUGUUUUCUGUAAUACAGUUUUACUUUUGUAUAUUGAGCCUUUUCUGGUAGGAUGCAAGAAAAUGGUUUUAAUAUUUUGUAAUAUUUUCUUUUGUUAAUAAGUUUGAGCAUAUAACUAUAAGAAGUAAUUCUCGAAAAAGAAUAAACCAGUAUAAAUUUUCUGUUGUCUCGUCCUUGAUCUUUUAAUUUAUGCACUAAUUAGUUGUUAUCAAUUAGUUUAGAAAAUUAACUUGUUAAAAGGUUAUCUGUGAAUCUUUCAAUCUAAUGAUUCAAUAUAAGAAAGAUUAUAAUUUUUUAAAUUUGCAAAAAGGUUUUAAAGUUCCAUUCAUCCCACCCGUCUUAAACUUAGUUAUAUUAUUUCUUACCAUUUUCGAUUAAAAUUUAUCCUUUCUAGCGUACUAUUUAUGUUUUUUUUUUUUCAGUUUUAGGGUUUGUGUUUACAUGUUAUACUUUUAACUUUUAAAAGGUUUUAAAGUUCAAGAUUUAGGUUUAUGGUUUAAUUUUUCAAGUGUACAAUUUAGGUUUCUAAAAUCAAUUUUAAUUAAAUUCAUUUUACACUAAAAAAACAACUUAAUCUUUCUUAAAUUAUUCCAUUACUACAAUUUUCUAUUCAUUCAAUAAUUAUUCCAUCAUUCAAAAUAACAAAAAACAACUUUGUUUUUUAUAAGAAAAAAAGUGCAAAAAAACUUAGAAAUGCAAAAGUCGUGCAUGAUAAGCACGAUUUCAACAUUUCGUGUUCAACAAAAGUCAUCUUCCACACUCACGAUUUCAUUGUUAAUCAAUCUCGUGUGCAUCAUUCACAAUUUCUGUGUAAAGCUUGUUCAUACUGAAACGUGAACCUUGAACACGACUUCUAUUAUACAAUCUCAUGCAUGUUAGUGCACGACUUAUCUAUUAUGGAAAUAUUUAUUUUUUACCUAUUUCAAGAAUUUAGGUUGUAAAUUGCACCAAAUUGAUAAAAAACGAAAGAAAGAAGGAGGAAGAAUAAAGAGCGAAAACUUACUUUUAAAAUACAAGAAUGUAUUCAUGUGCUAGGUACUUAGGAUUUAAUUGUAUCACGUUUAUCAUUUUAAGUAGCUAAAUUUUUCUUUGUUGAGAUUGAAAAACAAUAUACUCAUUUGUACUCUUUUGAUUCAAUACGUAAGUAUAUUUUCUUCUUAUCUGAUUUGAUUUAUAAUAGUUAGUUUUUACCACUCUAACAUUAAUGCAAAACAAGAGAUUCAUUAUGUGCAUGUGUUACAAAGUCUAUUCAAACUCAACACCUUAUUAUACUUCAACUUCUUCCCAUUCCCAUUGUAUACUUAUUCUUAUUAUUCUUAGUUCUUGGACUUCUUCCCAUUAUAUACUUAUUCUUAGUUCUUGUCAAACAUUACUACUUGGUCCACUUACCGAAAGGUAAAAUAAACCAUCAUCAAGUUUUUUUAAGUGGAAAGGAUGAGCAUGCCUUUAUCAUAACAUAUUUCAAAUUAUAAAAAAAAAAUAUCAUAUUACUUAAUAUAAAAUAAUUCUGAAUUGUAUAAUCCAAAAUCUUAUUUUAAAUUACAUAAAAACAAUUUUAGAUUAUCUAAUCAAGAUCAAGAUUAUGUAAUUAAGUUAUAGUAUCAGAUUUUAUAAUUCAAAUUAUCUAAAAAUUUCCCAAAUUUCAUAUUGUAAAAUAUAAUUUUAUAUUGACAACAAGUGUUAUGAUAUUAGGGGAUGUAAAAAGAAAAAAAAAAAUCGAUUUCUUCCUGCACCCUAACAAAUGUCUUCUUGCACCCAUCAUUUUCAAAGAAGAUUGUUUUACCUUUUAAAAAAUGACUUCCGAAUUGCUCUAUGGAAUAUAUUUUUCAAAAUACAUUUUAUUAAUUCCAGAUUUCCCAAUCCAGAAAUCAAAAAAAUGUAUUCCAAAAAAGAUAUUUCAAAAUGACUUUUUGUAUUCUGGAUUUCUUAUUCCAGAAACACGUUUUGCUUACGAACUCCUAUUCCAAAAUCACUUUUUUGCUUAUGGAACCCUAUUCCAAAAUCACAUAAAACUAUUUAAGGAUAAUUUAAGUAUUUAAAAGAAUGUAGAGGUGUAGAAAGAAAAAUGUAGGGGUGUAGAAAGAAAAAUGUAGAGGUGCAAGAAGAAACUCCCCAAUUAGUGAACCUACCAGCAGAAUAGCUCAACAACCCAAAAAGAAUAACAAAAAUGGGAAGCAAUAAUAAAUUUUCUACACCUCUAGAAAAUAAAAUGUCAUGUUUAGUGAAUUUAAAUAUAAAUAAAUUUCAAUUUUCCUAGUACUGUCUAAUGCAGUUAUUUAAAAAAAAAACUACUUACAUUUAAACUUAAACACCAUCUCCAAUAAGGAUAAUUUAUAAAAUAUAUUUUAUUUUAUGAAAUCAAGAAAACUAAAUGAAAUUAAUUAACAUUCUUUAUCAGAAUAAAAUCUAAUUUUAACCAGAGUUUUUUGAAUCAGAGGUUUUUCAGCUAUAACAGAAACCAAAUAUAAAAAUCUAGAUUGCAUUACUUGGGACUCAAGAACAUUUUGAGUUGAAAAUCAGUCCUUAAAAAUCCUAUGUUUCACUGUUAUCCUUUUGUGCAUGUCUCAUGCCAUCAGUUUCCUUAACACUUACCAAUGGAUGAAGAUGGAUGAGCCAAUAAUUGGUGUAGCCAUCAAAGCCAACUCCACUAACAUUUGUUGUGAAGAAAGAAUUUCCCAGUUUCUGGAACCAACCACCCAAACAAGUAAUAAGUCCCUUAUCACUGACUUUCCUCAAAUAUAUCAUCAUCUUCAUGUAGCACUGGACUAUUCUUCAUGUGUGCAAGGCUUGCUUGGUUACUUCCAUCAACCAAUGAAGACCUAACUACCUGCAAAUAAAUCAUUUCUUUUCUUCAUCAAUCCUAUAAUUGUGUGUAACAUAGUAGAACAAAAUUUGGAAACAUAGUUUCCUGAGAGAGUUAUUUUUUAAAAAUAUACCAAACAUGAGAAACAAACAUUCUCUACAUUAAAUUUCUGGAAAACUAAUUUUUUUUUACUGACUGUCCAUUACAGUAAUCUAGUUACUUAUAACUAAAAUCUAAGAUCAGUGUAGUCUAAAACCAAGUAUUAAUAAUAUUGGAGAUCCCAUAUCAAUUAUAAAUUAGGACAUUUCAUAGUUUAUAAGUGAGUGCAGACCUCAUCUUAUAAGUUGGUUUUAUAAGGUUGAGUUAGACAUAAAAUUUACUUCUUAAUAUGAUAUCAAAGUCAUUUAGAGUCUAUCCAAUGAGAGAGGCUACUCUUUGAGUUGCAUCAAAGAGAUGUUGAAUGUCAUUAGCAAAAAUAUAGUGCUUAGAAUUUCUAAGACAUGUUCAACUGAUUGCCAUGGGAGAUCAUACUACUCGAGACGCACAUAACCGAUUUCACCAGAACAAAGCCGAUGGUGGACAGCAGCAGCAGGGCAGUGAUUACCAGAGAUAGUGGACAGAGGUGACCAGGGCUAUUGAUACCAACUUGAACAAAUGAGAUGGAGAAAGUACAGUGUAUAAAACUUACACUGUUUUACCUUUUUAUUGAUGUAUGUGUGUGUGUGUGUAUAUAUAUAUAUAUAUAUAUCUCAGUGGAAAGAGGCAAGGCACUUAAUUGGAACCCUAAACUAAAGCUGGGUACAUACAAAAGAAAUAAUAAUAAAAUAACAUUACAUUUCAACACAUGCAACAUACUAAAUAAUGGCGACAUAUAAAGAAUGCACCAGGUUGCAAACUCCUAUAUGAAGACAAGGUGACAGCUAAAUUGUUUGUUAACCUAAUGGCAAGAGAUCUAACUAUAGUUAUGCGUUCUUGUAGGGGGAAUUUGAUCUCAUGGAGAACUAAGAUGCAAAAUACAAUUGCUUGAUCCAGCAGAGAAGUUCAGUACUAAAUUGAAAUUAGCUUCUCCACAAGUUAAAAUUAACUUAUGCAUAGACUCAUUUGUACUCUCAUAGCUUAUUUGUUUUUUACUUGGGAAAAAACUAAUUUUAGCUAAGAAGGAACUUAUUUCUUUUUUUUCUUCUUAAUCUUCUAGAAGUCCUUUUGGAGAAGCUCCCAAACAGGCCCUACAUGUUACAAGGCUUAAGCAACAUCUCCAGUAGUUACAAUUUGGAGAUAUUUAGGGACUGACCUAUCCAUGACAACCAAGUUGCUCUUCAUAUUGCAUCCAAUCUAGUCUUCCGUAAGUGAACUAUACACAUAAGAUAGAUUGUCCUUUCGUGGGAGUAACUGCUCUCAAGAAAAAAAGCGACUAACUUUGCUAGCUCUAGUGACCAACUGAUCAAUAUUUUCACAAAAUCUUUCAUGGGAUCUUGCGUAGAUUGUAACAAGCUUGGUGUAUGACAUAUACACUUUAGCAUGAGGAGGGUAUUAAAGAUACGGUUGUGUAAAUGGGGAAAUAUUGUAUAGUCUUAAUUUUAAGGAGUAUGUUUUAUGUUUCUUUUGUUUCCUACUACUGUAUCAUUACUAUUCCUUAUAAAUAUAAAAUCAUGCAUGUGCUCAUAAGACAAAUUCCUAUAAAUCUUUCUAUAUUCAAGAUACAAUAUAGUUUUGUAUAUUCUAAAAGAUCAAUGAUACUCACAACAAAAUCCUUGCUUCUUGUUCAAACUCAAAAAAAGAGACAUAAGUAGUCCAGCAUGUAUGCUUUAUAGCUAUUAUGUAACCCAAAAACAAAUUGUUGCUUGAUCAAAUGAAGCUCAACCCUGAAAUCUACCAUCAAAAUGGUAACUGCUUUGACCAUGACUAAAUCAAACUCCAAACAUACCAUCAGUGACUAAAGAUCUUGGCUUUAACUAAGACCUUCGAUGAGUCCAAACAACAAUUGCCAAUCCCAGUAGGCUUCACCACUUCGUGACCAGAUGUAUUUGGAGACAUAUAGAUUACAAACAGCAUAAAACCGGGUACACAAUUUAUACCAUAAAUUUUCUGGGCAAGAUCAUAUGAUAUUACAUUCUCUACCGACAAUAGACAAACUAGUAUAAAAACAUAAUCAGGAAGCAAGCACACAUGCAGUUUAUAAUUUUAAGAUACAAAAGAAUAUACAGCAUAAGAUCUAAUUUUAAAGUCGAUAAUAGCAUAUAACAGGCUCAGAUAAUGCAACCUUUUCAAUUUCUUCUAAAAGAUUCGUAUUCUCCUUUAAGUACUGUAUUGCUUUGUCCCUUCCCUGUCCCAACCUGUUUCAAGACACCAAUUGGAUGGUUAACAUUAAACCAUGCAGACUUACAUAUAAAAACAACCCACCAACCAUUUGGACAAAGAAUGGGGAAUACAAGGUAAAGGGAGAGAAGAAGGCAUUGAAGAAAAACCAACUUUUGUUUCACAACUGAUUAGCUUGCUAAUAAAUUUUACAUUAUAUAUUAUUGCAUUGUUAAGUCCUUAAUUUGGAGGACACACCCAGAUAACAGAGAGAACAAUGAAAGAGAUCAUUAAAUAAGUAAAAAAUAAGUACUAAGAUUCAGAAAGUAGAGACAGUACCGAUGGUCUCCAUAGCUGUACCAAGAGCCCUUCUUUAAAACAAUAUCCGUCAUUUCUGCACAAUCUAAAAUGCAUCCCUGCAUUCAAAAGAAAGAGUUAAAAUAAUGAUAUAGACUAACAGGUCUAAAGCUUUUAUGCUGCAAGACUCACCAGCUUACUGAUUCCCUCUCCAAAUAUAAUUUCAAAUUCAGCUAGUUUGUAAGGCCUUGAUACCUACAACAACUUAUUGAGUUAAGGACCUCUUAAACAUAGUUUAAAGUCAAUGAAAAUACAGCAUAAUAUUUGCUAAAAUAUCAAAGAUAUAUCUCCAAAUAUCUUGGUUUUAUCUUUAGAGUAAUUUAGAGCACCUUAGAUGAACUCAGGAUUGAUUUCCAUAUUUUAUUAUAUCUCCUAAUUUGAAAUUAGGGGUUAGUGCUUUGUAUAAUAGUGACAUCUCUUAAUGUUGUGUUGUAUACCAUACAUAUGCUAUAUUUAAAAUCUUAUAAUAGGGCACACGAGAAUAAAUCAUGGAUACAAAGAACCAAUCAAAAUCCCUAAUUUGUAGUAACCUAUAUUUCCAUAUUUGCAUGUAAUAGAUGUCCUCAUUCAAAAAUAUUUUUACAACACUCCCACCUUAAGCUGAAGCAAACAUGUCAUAUGAACCAGGCUUGUUAAAAUAUAGACAGCAUAUGAUCCUUUAAAUGACUUUGUGAACAUGUUGACCAGUUGGUCACUACAGCUAACAAAGUCCGUUGUAAUUUCCCUUCACAAACCUUUCUUACAAAUCUACAGACUAUCUUUAUGUGUUUAGUACAUUCAUUGAAGAUCUGUUUUGACUCAAUGUGGAGAGCAACUUGAUUGUCACAAAUAGGUUCAGUAUCUUCAAUGUCUCCAAAGUGAAGUUGUUGAAGGAAUUGCCUAAGCCAUGUAAUUUAGCAUGUACUUGCUAUCAAUAGUAUGGGAACCACCAAAACACUAGCGCUAUUGUUUCAAUUGCACACACUAGUAACUCAUUUGCUAGCAUCUCUUAGUCUUCUUCCCUUGGUCCUGGAUUGUUGACACUCUGCAUUUAACCACAUUUCUGGUAAUUGUUCAUUUUCUCUUUCCUUUUCUACAUUUGCUUAUGCCAAUGAUUCCCAAACCUAGUCCAAGGGGAUCAACACUAACCACUAACCAAUCCCAUUACUGUUUAAUUACCUUUACAAAAGACAUUGCUACCACGCAUGCCUAGAGUUUAGGACAGAUGAUUGUCAUUGAAUGAGUCUCAUGGCCUCUUCUUUUUCUCUACUCCAUCAUGCUUACUACUUGGGAUACUUUGUCUCCCUUAUCUUCAAAUAUUGGUCCCACAGAUGAGGUUUCUCAAUAGGACCUCAUGCAUGGACAUAUUAGAGGUUGGUAGAACCCCUCCGUAAUGGUCUUUAAAAGGUUGCUUGGUGGGACCUCACAUUUAAUUUUACUGAAGGUGUUGAUAGGAAGCACCUUUGUAAGUACUACCUGUAACUAACCAGAAAUUUGUAUUGCUUAUCGAGGAACCAGGUCCUAGCCACGUUCCGACCAUGGGAAUUGAUUACGAUGAGUAUGAUCCUUCAAAGGUGUUUGAUUCCUAGAAUUAGGAAUGGCCAAUUAUUUUUUUAUACUAUCAAGGUUAUUUUUCUUAUUUUUGAGUAGUAGAGACAUGAGGCACAUAGUUUUAAUUCAUUACUUGUCAUGGACAAUCAGUACUUUAUCAACAAAUUCCUUCAUUUCCUUUUUAAUUCUCCUAUGUCUUUGGAUGUAUGUUGUUUCGGUGGAGCAAAGAAAAAAGAAUUACUCAUUUUCACAAUAAAUUAGCAAGGAGUUUUGUCUAAAACUGAAAUUUUCCGUUAGUGUUUGUGAUGUAGUGAAGAUGGCUUGUUACAUGAAGAAUAAGUGGAAGGGCAGAGUCCAGUAAAGGAAUUGGGACUGGGGAAGAGUCUGGCAUGGCCUCACAGGCAGGAACAGCGGCAUGUUCAUGCUCCACAAUGGAUUAUUGGUAUCACUGGUAUGUUUGAAGAGGGAGUCCUCAUGUUGAAUUUCCUAAAAGACGCAAAAGAAGGACAAGAGGAACAAGAACAACCAUUGAAAGAGACUCAGGAGAUAAUGUAGCAGACUUAAAAGUGUCACACAGCUGAGGAAUCGUCGUGUUGAAUCUCCUAGAAGACAUAAAAGAAGAACAAGAGUAACAAGAACAACCAUCAAAAGAGACUCAGGAGAUAAUAGCAGAUUCAAAAGUGUCACACUGCUAUCCAAUUUUUAUACACUGUCACAAUAAAUCUAGAAUAAAUUAUCACAAGAAACAGAGAGACUGAUCAAUGACAAGUAAAAAUGAAUCAAAAUUGCUAACUUUGGAAAGUAUAAUAAAGGUCAAGUUUCAAGGGAUUAUGUUAUGCAGCACUAUAAAAAAUGAACAGAAAUGUUUUAAACAGAAAACUUCAAAAUUUACAAAUAUUGUCGCUUACCUUGCUCUUUUGUACUCUUAAACGAACUUUAAGGCCAAUUUCUUCAUCUCCUUUAGCCUAAAAGAAAUUGAAACCAAAAUGAAAAUGCAACCAGUGAUGCUUCAUUCAAACAACUUUGACAUCGCAGUCAAAAAGAUAAUUUCAGUAAAACUGCUGAUAGUUUGUAGUUGAGAUGCCUCUGGGAAACAGGAAGGUUUAAGAUGAUAUAAAAGAUUAUGCUAUGAUGGUGUUAUUGAGCUUACAGACUUUAUCUUCCCUGCAGGACGAACUUCUAGCCGAAGUGACGCAAAGAACUUCAAUGCAAUCCCACCACUGGUCACUUCUGGAUUUCCAUAAUAGACACCAAUCUACAGAAGUAAAUUAAAAAAAAAAAAAAAACUAGAGGUUUAAAAAAUCAAAUAUAGACAUUGAACUCCAUUGAUUGAGGAAGCAGUUGGAAUUUACCGUAGUCAUAACGAAAUGUAUGCAGUCAUCCAAAAGGAAAGUUAGACUAAUCAAACACAAGUACCUUAUAUCUUAUUUGAUUCAAAAAUAUAAGAGUGCAACCAGCUUUAGAUGCAUUCCCAGACAUUUUACGCAAAGCUUGGCUCAUAAGACGAGCUUGUAAUCCAAUUUGUUGCAUUCCAAUCUCCCCCUGUGCAUUUAAACGAAAAAUCUAGUUAAAAAAAUGCACUCCUUAAAUUAUAACCAGGAGUACCUAAAAUCAAAAAGUAGUUGUUUACUUCAAUUUCAGCUCGUGGAGUGAGAGCUGAGACAGAAUCCACACAAAUGAGAUCUAUGGCUCCAGAUCUACACAUUCGGUCUGCAACUAUAAUAUGGAAAGUUCAAUCAAUUCAUAGACACCAAACAGCACCCUGCUAUUGCAAUAUGGACAGCGCAAAUAUUAUCUUUUCCAUUUGAACACAAUCACAUUAAAGGCAAAUAUAUUACUCUCAAGAGCCAUCUCGCCAUGAUCAGGUUGGCAUACAAUUAAAUUUUCUACAUCCACUCCUAAUGCUUUAGAAUAUGCAGGAUCAAAAGCAUGCUCUGCAUCAACAAGCAUUGCAUUGCCUCCUAACUUCUGCACAUCAUAAAAAAAUAGCAUAUUGAUCCAGAAUUCUUUUUUUAUAUUAAGUGAUUCUUCAUGAUCAAUAAUUAAUGAUUUGAAAAACUCCAAACAGAAAAGUUACCUGCACUUCUGCAAUAGCAUGAAGAGCUAGGGUGGUUUUCCCACUACUUUCUGGUCCAAAUAUCUGGAAAAGAUAUAGCAGAUAAUAUCAGCUUGACCCAUGACAGAACAAAUGAGUUAAUAGUGUGUGUGAAUGGGGAUUUUAAGAAGGUAAUAUACUUUUAUAGAGAAUUUGAAAUAUUUUAUGAUAAAAUAUGUUGUUUAAUAAGGAAUUUGAAAAGAAAUUGAAAUUCUAAAAUUUUAUGAGUAAUUUGAAUUUCAAAUUUCAGCAAAAGUAAGAAUUCAAACUUUUCAUAUGUUCAAAUUUAUGUCACUUCCAUUUGUACUCUCUCCUUGGCUCAGCCUUAGUCAAGGCGCCAUCAACUCAGUUAAAACCAAUCAAGGUGUCGUUAACUCAACAUCGUGUUUUGACCAAUGUUGGCAAAGAUUUCUUUUAAGCUAAAGUCAACCGAAGUUAUUUUUCAUCUGACCUCGUUUCGGUUAUUUUAUUGUCAAUGUAGGCCAGUGAUACUUCCCAAUCAAAGUUGGUUAGGGUUUAUUUGGUCAACAUCAAUAGUAUUUUUCAACUGAUGGCAAACACAAUUUUUCGGAGUCUCGGGCCCACUUCUCUCUACCACAUAAGCAGCACUUGACGCGGUAAGGUGAGAUUUAAUGGAAAUGACCAAUUUGUGUACUUUUUAAAAAACAUAGGGACCAAAUUGAUUUUUUUAAAAACCACUAUACUAAAUUGAAUAUUGACCCUAAAUGUAGGAACAAAUAAGGUAAUUAUACCAUAAAUAUAUAUCUCAUUCUUCCCAAUCCAUAAAUGUAAAUAGGUUAUAUGAUCACAAAAAGAAAAGAACAACAACGAGAUGUAUAAAGGCAAUACCUCUACAAUUCUUCCUUUAGGAAGACCACCACCUAAAGCACAGUCCAAGGUCAAACAACCACUGGGGAAAGUUUCACUGCAAACAUUCAAGAUGAAAUACAAAAUCUGUGAUGCCAUUUGAUUCACAGAAAAUAGUGACAGGGUAUAUAAACUGAUGUUUCUCUACAAUUUAGGUGAGACAGAGAACAUAUAUAUGGAGAAAAUGCAUACACUAAAGCUCCACCAGCACUGCCCAGUCUUGUAACACUUCCCUUUCCAAAGGAGCUGUUUAUAUCAUUCAUUGCUGCUUCCAGUGCUUUUUGCUAGAAUGGAAAUUUAUUGUCAGAUUGAAUACACUUAAAAUUAGAAACAUAUCUCAUCAACAAUUUAUAACUAAGGAGAAACCCUAGUAGAAGAAUAAACUACUAAUUUUAUGACCGUGACUGACUAUAUUUUCAUCAGAAACCUAAAAUCAAUUUAGGCUUAAAUAUGUUUUUAGUCCCAGCAAUACGAUUAGUAUGUUUUGAUUUUGGUUCCCUAAAAAAAUUGUUUCUUUGUUUUCCAUCCUAUAAAAUUUGAAAGCACUAAGUUUAGUCCUUAUAAAAUGUGAGUUUCAAUUUAGUCCCAAAAAAAUAUUUUUCACUGAUUUUCAUCCCUCAAAAAUUCCAAAUCACCAUUUUUAAUGCCUACUAUUCAUUUUAAGAUAGAUAAAUAUAAUUUAUUUUAUGAAUCUUAAGAGUUUCUUUUACCUGUUGCAUGCUAACAUUACAUCACAAUACUGGUAAUGUGUCACUUGGAAUGGUCACUUAACCUUUUGUUCAACACAUAACCAGUUCAUUAGUGUCAUGAUACUAGGGAUCAAAAAGUAAUAAUUUCCAAUUUUAAAAACAAAGAAAUUUUUUUACAGGGACCAAAAACAAAACUCACUUAUUUCACAGGGACUAAAACCAUAUUUAAGUCAUCAAUUUAUAACAAAUAUGGAACCAUAUAUCCUAAAAUUGACAUGCUAAAUGAAUCUAAUGGACCAGUAAAGGAAACAUUAUACUUCCAUGAGUAAUGAGAUCAGGGAAAGUGCAUAAAAGAUGAUAUGGUGAAAUUUUCUAUAUCCUUAUGUCUAUCCAAAAGGUGUAUUGAAUAUACGAUGAUGUCAAACAUUUCUAGAAACAAUAAAAUAUCAUACAACAUCAUACCCAGAUAGAAUAACUCUUCAUUCUUUUAGAGUACCAUAUCUCUUCUAUUAAACAACAAUUCUUGAUAAGCAGAAAUUUAUUCAAUUCCUUCUAGCACUAUCCAUAAGCCCCACUAACAGAGCAUGAUGAGAUGGCAUUGAUUAAUGACUAUAGGUUGCCUACCAACAGUUGACAUGGCUAUAAUGUAGCUUAGGUGGGUAAGGACAUAAAAUUGAUUUUGUUAGGAGGUUGUGGAUAUUUUGAUUAGUUCUCUUCUUAACUUUUAUUUCUUAUGCCUAACCAUAGACACAACCAACUAGACCAGCCACCACUGCUAUCAUUACCAACUUCCCAGUUCCCAUGUCAUCUACAGAAAAGGAAGGCAAAGAGGAGGCCAAGAAGGAACGAAUGGAUGUGAAAGCAGGGUACAUGACUAAAUGAGGAAAUAGAAGGAGGAUAUUGAGCCCCAUGGUGAAGACUAACUAAGACCAUGGUAUCUGUGGCUGAUUUAAGAACCAUAUUAAGAACAUGAUAAAAUUGCAAUGCUCAUUUCACAAGUCAAUAUUUUCUAUGCAAGGAUAUGAGAAUUUCCACAUGCAUACUCCUCUUCGCUUCUGUUCACAGGAAAACGAACACAUGAACAACAUCAUACAAAUUCAUUUUACAUUGCUCACUUUGAAUUUGGUAUCCUUACGGUUUAAAGAGAGGAUGAAGAAGAGAUUUAGAUUUCGUGUAAAAUGAACUUUUAACCCCAAGUGAUUACUAUCAAGUAUAAGUAGCUAACUAAUCUGUAAAACCUAACUGAGUACAAACAAGUAUAUAAGCUCUAUAAAGCUAACUUAGAGUUAGGUAGGAGGUUAGAAGACGCAGCUGCACUACUAUAGUAGCCGUUAUACCUAUACUAUUGCUGUACUAAAAUAGAAAAGAAAACUAUAUUUUUGCAGACUAACUAUACUCUAAUAUAGCUCAAUAGAGAAUGUCACAAAAUGCAAACAAAACUUCGUUUCAACAUUUUUUAGUGAUUGUCGUCCCCUAUCCCACCUACAUGGCUAGAGAUUUUCAGAACUAUACAUACAAAGAAAUCAACAAGCCCACCAAAUUCAAGUAAGCCCUUAGGCAAUGUCUUAUGAAAUGUCCUUCAAAACCUAGAUUUUUGUUAGUCCAAUUUCUCUAUCUCAAGUUAAAGCAACACAGCCACAGCAUAACAUCAAACACAUAUAUCCAAUGAUCACUGAACCAAGCACUUAGUAAUGCAACUCAAAAUAGUACAAUAAACAAACAAAUAAAAAUCUCUUCCAAGUAUGUUUAAACAGACAAUAAAAACCACACAAAAAAGUCCUGAAAAGGUGAUCUUUUUUUCCAUAAGUGAAAGUACCAACAAGAGCACAAACGCAACCACCCACUUCAAAAGGAAAGUGAAACCUUCGUGAAUGAAAUAUAACCAGGGCCCAGAAAGCAAAAGGGUUCAUAACCAAUAACAACAGCAGCAAAAUGGAGCAUACCCUAUCAAUGAAGCGAGGGUCGAAGUCACCGGAGAGAGCACCAUUGGGUCGGCCUUCAAGUUCGCAUUGAAUAUUUGCAUGCUUGAAAGCGGUGACAGCACGAAACCUUAGAGGAAGAGGGAACAACAGAGAAGAAAAGAGUGGUGCCUUGAGAAUAACACUAUGGGGUUUCAGAGGGAACAUCAAAUCCAUUAUUGCUGGAACAAAAAUGAAGAUACAAAAAAACGUGUUUUUUUGUUGUUGUAACAGAGAUAACAGGGAAAACAAAAACCUGCCCAGACAAAAAUCUAUAUCUUCGGUCUCGUUAGUUGUUCAGUAUAAACAUAUAAACAGGGUAAUAGAACAUAAAUCAUGAAAAUCAAAUAAUCAUCUAAAUGCACUUAUUAAUAUUUAUAAUAUAAUAUUAGAAUGUAAUACUCUAAUAUAUUUUCAAUAUUUCUAAAAAAAAUAUUUAUCUAAUUUAAAAUUAAUGUUGAAAAAAUUACUAUUUCAAUUUUUUCAGACAUAAAAAACAAUUGGUAGAAACUAAAAUCAAAAUUCACUAAUUUUUUUCAUAAUUAAAAAGAAUAAUUUUAAAUUUUAGAAUAAUGAGAAACGAAGAAAAAUUAUAUGUACCCAAAUAAAAAAAAUGAAAAUAGAAUACUAGAGUAAACUUAUAAUUUUUUCUAAAAUUCAAGAAUUAAAAUAACAAAACGAAAAUAGGGAGACUAAAAUCUCAAAUAAGAAAUUAAAGAGACUAAAACUCCAAUUUAGCCAAAAGAAAUAGUUUCUAAAAAGAUGAGUUUUAAAUGUAAAUGUAAAAAUAAUAAAUUGAAAUUGGUUUUAAAUAAAAAUCUAAUUUUAGUUUUUUCAGAAAAUUAAUGAUUACUUUAAUAAAAUUGUUAAAGAAUUAAAAGUAAAAAGUUUUUAUAUUCACGUGCAUAAGAAUAAGAAUAUGGUCCCUUCAUUUUCUAAAAUGGACUGGUCCGAGCUGAACAAGUCACAUCAUUCAACAUUGGAAACCGAUAAAUUGGAUGAAUUGGUUAUAUCAAAUAAAAUAAAAAAAUACGUAAUAAAUAAGGUAAUAUCCUCUAAAUUUGGUAACUAUGCGAUAAAUCAGGUAAUAUUAUUUUAUUAAAAAUAUAUAUUAUAUAUGACCCAUAAAUGAAAUAACUCACUAUUAACAUUACAAAUAAGCAUUGCUAUGCAAGAGAAUGUACGCUUUAAUCAAUAUAUUAUUCACUCUUAUACAGAGUACUUACUUUAUCAUUGGAGAACCUUUUACAAGUUAACUCUCGACCAAGAACUAAGGAAUGAGUACGAGAAAGGACGAAGGAGGAGCUAUCAUGUACUAUCUAGGCCUUAUAACCCUAUACAGGUACAAUUGGCGCCCACCAUGGGACCAAGAUAGAGUCAAAGAGCAGCAAAUGGUUUCGACAAGGCAUAUGGCAAGCGAGAAAAUGAAGGAGGCCGAGCAAAUAGCUAUGCUCCAAACCUAACAAAGAGAUGGCAGAAAUGUGCCAGAAGAACAUGGAGGAGAUAUGAGUCCUACGUCAGAAGAAUAAAGAGGAAAUAUGAAUCCUUCGAGAAUAGAAUGAUCAAAUGAAGCAACAACUAGCCGAGAUCGCAUCUGAACUAGGACCUCGAAGGCCAGACCCAAAAGUCAGGAGACCACCACCUAGAUGGGGUCCUCAAGGAUCUGAAAGUUAGAAGACAAGCCUCCCCAGAAAAAUUCGAGAAUACAAAAAAUUAGGAGAAGACUACCAUUCUUCGAAUUCAAACUCAUCAAUCCUCCACGCCCCAUUAAUCACAACAUGCUCUCAUUUUGGAAGAGGAACAUAUGAGACAUCCCUUUACUGAUCAAAUCAUGGAAGCAAAACUUCCUCCUAAUUAGAAAGAAGAAUGGAAGGAAGAUCAACCAAAACUUUAUAAAUAGAAUAUGACCCCCAAAAAGUGGAGCCCCCUUCAUCUCAUUGUGACUUCCACACAUCUAAGAAGUUUCAAUUACGACGAAAUUUCGAACCCCAUUCGGCUGAGGAAGUUUUGUCUUAACAUGACAAUCCCUCUUGAUGCCCAAAGACUUGACUCGGUUAAGGAAGUUUUACCCUAACAAGGCAAUCCCUCCCGAUGCCCCAAGGCUCGGUUCAGUUAAGGAAGUUUUUCCCUAACAUGGCAAUCCCUCCUGAUGUUCCAAGGCUCGACUCGGUCAAGGAAGCUUUGCCUAACAUGGCAAUCCUCUCGAUGCCUAAAAACUCGACUCAGUCAAGGAACCUUUUCCUCGACAUGGCAAUCCCUCUCAAUGCCCUAAGGCUUGGCAUGGUUAAGGAAGCUUUGCCUAACAAUCAACAAUCCCUCCCUAUGCCUAAAAAUCUCUACACUUCGGCUAAGGAAGCUUUGCCCCAAUGUGGCAAUCCCUCCCGAUUAGUGAUAAACCAAAUAGUUAGCUCGGUAAGGAAGCAUUGUCUCAAACGACAAUCCCUCCCAGCAACUAACCUAAAAUAGCUUUUAACCACUCCUACAUGUGGGAUCAUUAAACAAGAAAAAUGCAAGGUAAAGCAACUAAUCAAAAUUCAACUUAUUAAAUUGAGCGGAGUAGAACGUUCAGUCGAAAUUCAUACUUAUGAAAAAUUGCAAAGCAAAAACACAUGGUCAGCAAACCAUUAAUGAUCAAAAUUGUCACUUCCUACCUCGAGACACCAAAUGGUCAUAUCUAGGAUCUUCUGGAAGGUUCUCCCUUAAGCUUGGGGGACAAGUGUACCAGUCGGAGCCGAACGAGCCACAUCACUCGACAUCGGUGACCGAUCGAAUGAAUUGAUUAUAUCAAAUAGAAAAUAAAGAGAUACACGAUAAAUCAUGUAAUAUCCUAUAAAUCUGGUAACCAUGCAAUAAACCAGGUAAUAUUGUUUUAUUAAAGAAACGUAUCAAAUAAGGCUCAUAAACGAAAUCGAUCAUUAUUAACACUCUAAAUAAGCAUUGCUACACAAUAGAAGGUAAACUUUUAUCAUUAUAUCAUUCACUCUUAUACAGAGUACUUACUUGAUCGUCAGAAAACCUUUUGCAGGUUAACUCUCGACCGAAGGAAUGAGUACAAGAAAGGACAAAGGAGGAGCGAUCAAAGGAUCAUAGAUAAUUGUUCCAACCAGUAUCAUGUACUAUCUAGGCCCUAUAACCCUAUACAAGUACAUAAAGUACUCUAAUGAUUUUGAAUAAAAAAACUUCUUUUUUUUAGUCUUUAUCUAUAGGUUGGUAUGGUUAUAUUAUUUGUCCCUUGGUUUCUCUUUGUAUUUUUUUUUUCAUUACAAGUGUAAUAAUUUUAUGUUCUAAUUGGUCUAGAUUUGAGGUUCUUUUUAAUAUAUGAGAAUAAUUAUAGCGAAGUGACUGAUGGCAAAAGUGAUUAUAAUAAUGAUAAUAAUAUGUUCAUUGAUUAUUUAAUAAAAGCAUUUAUGUUAGAGAGGUGAUACAUUUAUAGCAAUACUUAUCUCUACACCACUCCAAGAUGUGAUGUGGCAUUUUAAACAGCAUGGCAUUGGACGUGUUGGUGGAUGUGUGGCAAAGUAUGAGGAGUAGAAAAAGGAUAGUAGAGAGCGUGAAGGGUUAUGUGUUGUCCCUUGUGUGAAGGUGUGUUGAGCUUAAGUUAUGGCUUGUGUGUCAGAGUGGCGGUGUGGGCGACGAAGGCAUAGCAACGAGGUGGUUCAACCAACAUGGAUUGUGAAGGUUAGUUACUAUAAACUAUGUUUUUUCAGAAAAAUAUUGCAAAGUAGAGGGAAAAAUUAUUGUUGGUGAAUGUUAGGGUAAGGGUGAAUGUUGUACCCUUUUGGAAGGGGGCGUGGAUGCAUAGGGGGCGAUUGUAUUUGUGGCAUUAUCAAUGAUAAUUUGGUGCCAAUUUCCAUAUUUGUUUUGAAGUCAUGUUGGAAAGUCGUUGUAGUUGUUGAUUUGGAUAGCAUGGUAUGUACCAAAAUUGAAAAGUAAAUCGCUAGUUGUUGUUUAAGGAAAUAUCUAGCCAUGGUUGAAUUAAGAUGAAUGUUGGUCCAUUGAGAAAAAGUAGGCGGAUCAUGUUGAAUGUUGAAAGUACCUUUUGAAGUUGAAACACUCCUUUGGAGAAUAGGAGAAUAGUGGAGUAUUAGUGAAUAUAGAUCAGGAUAGGUUGGCCUAGAAAAGAAUUAGAUGUGUGUUGUGUGUAGGUAAUUUAUAGUAAUGUUGUAGUUGAUAGUUGGAUUUGAUAGUUGGAUCAUAGGAAGUACAUUUAAGAAGGAAACAAUAAUUGGGAAGUGUUACAAUAUAAAGUAUUUAUGUUUUCUUAUAUAUUUUGUUAUUUAUUGUUUUGUAGAUGCAUUUGAGGCAUGAAAAAUGAAGGAAAUGGAUGGAGGAUUGAUUUGGUGCAAUUUUCGCUUAAGCAAAAAUAGUUUCAUGCAAGCAAAACUAGGGUCGAAACCAAUAUAAUGUCACUCAAGCUAAAACAACAAACUAUAAUGCAAUUUCAUUACUAGUUUUUUCACUCAAGUGUGGAUUAAAUCGCUCAAGCGAAACAAACAAUAGUGAGAUGAUAAAUGUUGAGGUCGAUUUCGCUCUAAUGAAAUAAUGUUGUCUUAAGAGAAAGAAAUAAAGCAAUGUCAAGUUUCACUCAAGUGAAAAAAAAAAAUGUCGCUUAAGCGAAACCAAGAUUGAUACAAAGCCUACAUUUGAGUCCCAUAUCACUCAAGUGAAAUACAACUGUGUUAAGUGAAAAAUGGUAUAGGUUCACAAAUUUGGACAUGAGGCGACUUUCGGUCAGGCGAACCCAUCAUCGCUUAAGCAACCUCGUGCAUGGAUUAAAAGCUAAUUUUGCAGUCAAUUUCGCUCAAUCAAAAAAAGAACUCGCUUAAGCGAAAGUGUGAUUGAUAUGAUGCUUAGAUUCAGGCUUUAUAUCGCUCAAGCAUAAUAAUGUUUUAUUAAGCAAAAAAUUGUAUGGAAAAAGGUUGGAUACAGGGCAAAUUUCACUCAAGCGAACCCACCAUUUCUUAAACAACUCCAUGGAUGGAUUGAGAGGUAGUUUCAAGGUUAUUUUCGCUCAAGCAAAAAAGUGUCGCUUGAGCGAUUUAUACUGACUAGCAGUUUUAAAGAGAGGGAAAUAAGUUUUAUAAUUUUUGCUCACACUAAAUUCCCACAACCAGGGAGUCGCUCCAACUCUGUUACAUAUUUCUCUUCCUAACCCUACUCCAUUCGACGAAUCUAGUUCUUCAAUUACCACCAUAAGUUGAACAAAAAGCACCCAAUUAAUUUGUCAUUCUUCUAUUUAUUUUUUAUUGUGUUAUUUGUUGUGCCAUUCUUCUAAUUGUUUUAUUUAAUGAUGAAUGUAAUAUGUUGGUUCAUUUGCACUUGUUGUAGUGAGAUGAAUUUCUUUUUCUUCAUUGGUAGUGUAUUUACUUAGCAUAUUACAUGUUCAAGCAUGAAUUAAGGGAUUGCCUAUUAAAAUAUUUGAUAAAAUGUGUGAAUGAUAUGAUAUGUUGUUCUUCAAUAUCCACCACAACUUGAAAAUAAACCACUCAAGUAAGUUGUCAUCGAUUUGUUGUCUCAUGCAUUGGUUUGCACUUGUUGUGUGUUGAAAGUAUUUUUCUUUAGUUUGAGUAUUUUGACUUAUGACAUUACACGUUCAUGCAUGAAUGAAGGGACUAGCCAUGAACUCUUUGAUGAAAUGUGUGAACGAUAUGUUUUCUUGUGGAUUAAUGUAAAGGGCUAGUUCAGAUGUAUAAACUUUGAAUGAACAUAUUUUGACAUAUUGUGUGGAGUUGAAUGUGUGACUAAAAUUUGAUUGCAUCUUAAAUUGUGAGUUUAUAUAAUUCAUGGGUUUAGCUUUGAAGGAACAAAAAAUGGUGAGGUUGUGAAGUUGUAGUUCUUCAUAAAUUGUGUGACUUUUAAGGGUGGAGUUACUUCAGAAAGGGGAAUUGAAUGGAACUUAAACUCUAAUCGCAAACCUAAAAAACAAACAAACACAGAGUCCAACAAAUAAUAGAUAGAUAGAUAGAUAGAUAGAUAGAGAGAGAGAGAGAGAGAGUAAUGGACACUAAAUGUAUACUAGUUCACUCUUCAGCAAGGACUACAUCAAGUCCCCUUGAGCAGCUCACUGAAAAGCCUUUUGCUAAGUCUUCUCUUACCUCUCGAGGUAGACCAGUAUUCUAGACACUACAGGUUCUCCAAGUAUUAUAUCCUCUCCAAGUAAACAAUCCUAAUUUCCUCCUAAGAUGAAGGACCUUUAAAUACAAUAAGAAAACGUUAUUUCAAAGAGAACAAUGAAAACUCACAGGGUAUACUUCAAAAUAGUUAAUGAUUUACAAUGGUUGUGAAAAAAACUCAAUUAUCACAAAUUCGCUCUUCACUGACAGAUAUGAAAAAUGUAUAAGCACAAUUCUAGACACAAUUGCUAAAAGAUUUUAUGUACACUUGAAUGUUUCGUAUGAUGCUCGUAUGUACAUGUAUACUUGAAUGUUUCGUAUGAUGCUCGUAUGUACUUCAUUGUUGUGUAUUUCAACAUUGAGAUCUUUAUAUAAACUUCUGAAAUGUGUACAUUGUAGUUUUAGGGUUUCUUUUCUUCAUAGUAGCCCUUAUAUGCUUGAUAUUAAAACUAUUGUUUUGAUUGAUCUUCACGUGUAAGGCUUUUAAAAACUUUCUUUUUCUUCCUCAAAUAUGAAUAUUGACACUUUAAUCUUCAUUACUUCGAGUAUUAGCUCAAUCUACCACGUAGUUCUUCUUUUUUUAAUACGCUAGAUAUGGAAACUUUUGUUAUGAUGCAAUUUGUGUUUCCUUAAAUAUUAUGAAAAUUUUCAAAAUGUUUCUUUAUCUAUAUUUAAUUUGAACAUUGAAGCUUGAAACAUUUAUGCAGUUAAAUAUUUCCAUUCCAAUUUUGUUCAUCGUCUUCCACAUGUUAAACAAUCAAUAUGGAAAAUUCAUAUAUGUGUCUUCAAUGCGUUUUACUGUUUGUGUUUUGAAACAUCUUUAUAUCUGAAUAUCUUUGUUCUUAUUACCUUGAUAUUGCUUUAUGCUUGAUCUGCGCAAAUCUUGCUCAUCAACUUCAUUUCUUUCCUAUCAGAAGCUAAAUAUGGAAAUUUUGGCUUUUGACUUUAUAUGCGUCUUUAUGUUCCUUUGACAAUUUUAGGGAACAAAAUCAGUAUCAGUGAAUAUUAUAAUUAAUAUAAUAAAUCAUUGUAUCACUGAAGCAAAAUCUUUAUAAUAUUUUCUAUUUACGGAGACUUUCUUUUCUCAUAUUUUUUAUUUUUAAUGCACUUUCAAAUUCUUUCUAAGUUAAUAUUAAAUCAAAACUAGCGUAUUUACAUUUAACCUAGAUAUUAUUCCACUAAACAUAUUUUGAAAGAGUCUUUGAUAUAGAAAAUAUUCAUCUGUUUUUCGGAAUCUUUACACUAAAAUACUCUUCAUACAAAAUCUUUCCAAUACAAUCUUAAAUUUAAUUAUAUUUGCACAUAUGUAUUAAAAAUAUUUAAAACCAAUAUGGAAAACAUUUUUCAUUCACAAAAAAUUUAAGCAAAAGGUAUUUGAGAUUUUCAAGAUCUUUGUGUUACGUUCUCAAAUACAAAAACUUUCCAAAAUCCUUUAACCAAUAAUCUUAUAUGAAAAUAAUGUUUUCUAUGAUUUAGAAAUGUCAAAUAAGAUUUGGAAACAUAAAUACAAUGUCAUAAAACAUUUAAAGAAUGUAAAGAUUAAGUAUGGACACUUCCCAGGUGUAGUGGUUCAUUUGACGAGUUAAAGAUGCUUGUAUCAUCUGAUAUAUGCAAUCUUCAGUGUACAUCUGAUGCUCGUGAACUUGUACAUCUGCCUUGUGUUGCCCAAGGGGUUUCGUUUGAUGUGAGCUUUUAAUGAGUUCAUCAACACUUAGGAUCGUCUAAUGUGUUCUUUCUACGAGCUUCGUCUAAUACAUGUUUUUACAUAUGAUUUCUUAUAUGCGUAAUGUUCUUUAUUUUCAAUGUGCUCUUUGAAUAUGUUAUCCAUUUAGAGAAUGAACACGAAGAUUGGAUCAUUUAAGCGUGUGACAUUAUUUUGUAUAACAACUUUUUUCGUUCUUGUAUCGUCUAGUGAGUCUUGCUCAUUUACUCUUAUUAUUUUCGCCUUAACUUGUAUUGCACAUGAGUGAGCUUUGUCAUGUCACAACAAAUCUUAUAAUGUUUGUUAUCUCCAACACAUAUAGACGUUCGUAUAAUUAGAUCAUCUUAUGGGUAUUGAUUCAUCUACUGACUCAACAAGUUCACUAAAAGUCAAUGUCAUUGGAAGGGGUGAUUGACGUGGCUGAUGGAAUGUUAAAUGAACUAAAAUAAAUUUCAAGGGUAGCCAAAGGAAAGUGGGAAGAUCCACUAUUAGAAGUCCAAUGGGCAUAUAGGUGCACACCUUAAUCUGCAACAUAAGAAACUCUAUACAACUUGACUUAUGGAUGGAUGCAAUGAUACCAGUAGAAGUGGAUGAGCCUUCACUAACAAGACAACUUUUUGACAUGAAUAUCAAUGAUGAAAACCCCACAACUAACCUAGACUUACCCAAUGAAUUGAAAGACAAAACCCAAAUAAGAGAAAAGGCUUACAAGAUUAGAGCAUAAAAAAGAUACAAUUCAAAGGUUAAGCCAAAGAGGUUUCACCAAGGAAAACCAAAGGCAUGUUCUUGGGAAUUUUGGAGUGACUAUUCCAGAUCAACAGUGAAGUGAAAAUGGAUCACAUCGGCUUAAGUACCUCUCAGGGGAUCCUAUUAUGAGAACAUGGAAUGCAACACAUUUGAAGUUUUGUUUUAGUAAAGUCAUGGUUCAAUUGUAGAUGUAAUCUUUCCGUACUUGGUCUUUUUUCCCUCAGGAGAAUUUUGACUGAGAAGGUUUUAACGAGACACAUAAAUAAAGUAUCCUUUCUUUCACGACUAUAUGUUCCAUUUUGACAUUAAUAUAUAUCGGCCAAGAAAAAAUUAAUGUGAUCCCUCCUUAAUACUAAAUCAACCUAGGAUGUUUCACACUGAUCCCUCUUUUUAAGUAUGCACUAAUUCAACCAACAAAGUUUUGCUAACACAAUCCAACUACCAUUAAUAAAAAUCUUAAAAUGGCAUAAAAUCAUAAAUUCAGAUAACAAUAUAAUUCAAAUACAGAGUAAAAACUCACCGCCAAUUACAAAAAGUUCCUAAAAUAAUAAUAAUAAUUCACUAACAAGCCAAAAGAAAAGCUAUUUACCAAAACAAUCUUAAAGAUUGAGACAUGAACUAAGGUCCUUGACCAUCCUGAGAUCCUUGCUCGACACCAUCAUGGCCUUCAUCAAGACCACCACCAACACGAUCAAUCGGGAUAUCAAUCGACAUCAGAUCCCUUAGAUAGACAUCUUUGUCGACAUCAAAUUUCCCUUUAUGAACAAGAAUGUUAUAGAAAAAAACAUCCUAGUGAACGAUCUGGUUAAACAUGUAUUGUUGGAACUUUAGAAGCUUUACCUCAACCUUCGUUUUGUUGGCAUUCGACUCUUCAUGAGCCAAAGUCAUAUCUGUGAAAAUUUUCUUUAAGUCCUUCAUGUUGGUUGCCAACCCUUUUUCCUUCUACUUUGAUAUCAGGCACUAGAUCUGCAAGACUGAAACGAUUCCAGAUAUCUAAAGCAACAGCAAAUAGUUAUGUACAAUGGAAAUCCUUAAAACAAUUAGAUUAAGCAAUAAUAUGCUUGAUUAAAGAUCCUUCACCAAGCCAAUCUAGAUCCAUUUAUACAAAAAUCCAUUAUAACCUUAUAAAUUGGUUGACAUUUUACAAAUAUAAAAGUACAUUCAAUAACAUUUAUUAUUUGAAUAUUCACCCAACUCACUUUUACAUAAAAAUAUCUUUUGAAUGUGUCACUUGCUAUUUGAAAGAAACUCAUACCAAAUCCACUUAGAGAUAUAUAGUUUCAGAUUCUAGAUUUAAAAUUUAAAAUCACAAUUGCAUGUUAUUUAUAUUUUUUUUAUUACUUUUUUCAUCGACUUUUCAAUCCAUUUUACAUAUAUACGCCACCUUAUGUAAAACUUUCAAAAUAAAAAUUCAAAAUACAGCGUCAUGAAGAGACCCAAAAACUAACAAGGAACUGGAAUAUUCAAAAUUACACAAUGCAUCUCACCUACAAGGGACAAAUUUAAAUGAAUUUCCCCAUAAACUCGAACUUUGAGUGUUCAACAUUUAAUCUAUAUUAAAUAUUAUUAUAUACUAUUCAUUUUAUCUAAAACGUGUAGGAUUGUGGAACUACAAUACAUAAGUUAUAAUUUAGUUUAAUCAAUUUUACAUAGUUAUUUUAUAAGUAUAAAAUUAUUCCUCAGCACAGUAAUUAGACCUCCAUAAGAGAAAUAUACUUGCAUUUAUUAUUAUUAAAAGAGUUUAAGUGUAGUUUUGGUACGUACUUUAUAUUAUUGGUAUUUUUUUUCUUAAUUUUAGUUGUUUUAUUUUUAAUUAUCCAUACCUUUAUUCAAAUUUUAAAUCAAUUAUCCGUAAAAUUCUGUUACCUUGGACAUGAUACAGUGAGAUUGAGAGAAGUGCAUGACAAGGAGUGAAUUUUUAAAAAUUAUUAAAAAUGUAGGAGUUGUAACCCAAUAUAAUUUUGAUAAUGAUUUAAUAUAUUUUUUAAAAUUAAAAUUGAGCAAAAUAUUAGAUAAUUAAAAAAUAAUAAACCAAUACGUAAAAUAAUUCAGCGUAAAAAAUAUAGAUAACUAAUAAAAUUAAGAGAUCAAAAUUAUAGAAAAAAUUUAGAGCAAAACUAAAAUUUUAUAAGAACGCCUUUGACAUGAAGAAAGUCUUUGACACUUUCACUCGUGGUUUUUUUUAAAUCACUCAAGAGUAUGGUUUUCGCCAAACUUUCACCUAGUGGGUUUUGCAUAUUCUUUAAUUUGUUCUUCUUUUAUAAGGAAUAACAUUUUGAAGAUCGACUAGAAAUGAGGACAUUUUAUAAUAUAUAAGUGAGUACAACUUCAUUCCAUGAGUCGGUUUUAUAGGGUUGAAUUAAGCUUAAAGUACAUUUCAUAAUAUGGUAUCAGAGCCCUUUAAAAUUUAUCCAAACAAUAGUUUGUUGGCCUUAUCAGGGCACCCGUUAUCGGACCACUCAUAAUAUGUUAUCCCACGCACGAGUCUUACUUUUUUUAGGGAUAUGUAAGGGUUACUUUUUUUUGUUUAUCUUAGUUGCAUGUUUGUGUUUGUGUAAGGAGCUAAGACGUAAGUUGUUUGUAUAAGAAUUGAAGUAUUCAUGAAAUAUCUCUAUUUUAUUAAUUCUUUUUUGCUGAUAAAAAAAAUGAGUUUAUUACUUCUCUAUGGGUUUAGGGUAGCAGAAUAUAAUACAAGAAAAUCAUGAAAUAGAAACCAAUUUGUAGAAACCAAAAUAAUUAGUUGUAAUAGUAACUAAAUUAGAGACCAUUUUAGAAACUAAAAAGAAAUUAGAUUUCUAAAUUAGUUUCUAUUAUUUUCUAUUAUGGUUAAAUAGUUUCUAAAUUGGUAUCUAAUUAGCAAUCAAUAUUUUUGCUACUAAAUUUAGAAGACCCUUCUCUUCCAUUUGUUGUUUUGUUUUGUUGAACAUGUUUAAGGGAUGUUUUUCUUUCCAUAUGCUAUAUGCUGCUAACAUUUUUCUUCUGAUAACAUAACAAAUAGGACCUUUUUUAUUCUAUAAAUCACAGAAUACAAAAUACACGUAUAUUGUUUGACAGCUCCAUCGUAUAUCAUUUGCUAUUUACAAAGCUAACAGCAACUGCAUGCAUAGCCAACAACAACAGAAUCUUCAAUUUUUCGGGGCAUCAAACGAAUCAAUCAUCUUUUUUCUGAAACACAACGGGGAGUGAAGCGCCAUCCAAAGCAAACAAAAUCUUUCCAUUCUCACGCAGAAUUCCAGCGUUGCCACAAACGAAUCCACAACUGGAGCAAAGCUCCAUAGGGCACCACUGGAAGUUAUAGAUUCCUGCACUUUCCGUUUCCACAAUUCUGAAAUAGUUACCGUACAACCCUGCACUAUCAUCUUCCCCACUGAUGAUGAGCCUCCUUCCACUCCCUGUAUCGUUCUCGCCCACCCUCCAUUCCGUGGUCUGCACACACGUCGAUGAAACUUCCACGAACUCCACUUUCAAGUCCCUGUUCACCCCUAUAUCCUCGUCCUGAAUGUUGUUCGCAAAAUGAGUGAACUUCACUGGAAAACCUUGUGCAGAGUCCGUGUCUUCAAGACCAACGUACAAAGGGCACGAGUCGUUUCUGUUGAUCAAGGUGAAACGCCCUCCGUUCUCUGUUAUGGCGGGUUUGAUGUAAUAUUCUUCGUCGUUAUCCACGGGUUCGCCAUUUGUGUCGAUCACGUACUGGGCUAGUGUUUGCUUGGCCAUGAAAAACCACACCGCGAGGACUAGGGAAGCAGGCACCUUCAUCGACAUGGUUAACUUUUUUGUCUGUCACACGAUGUUUUUAAGGUCUGUGGAUUUUGUAUAAUGUGUGGCUUUUUGGGCUGCGGGAGGAAGCUAUUUGUAGGAUAUGUAUGAUAUGAUUUCUUGGUGUGUUUGGAGUUAACAUGAGUUUGAAAUGCCGAGUUGGUCAAUGAUGACUUAGAUGAACAAUGAUAAAUCCAUAAAUAUAUUACCUUUAAGAUUUUGGGUUGAAAAGUAAUAUGUUGAUUUUUUAUAAUCUCAUUAAUGUUAAUUUAGAUGAUGAAUGCUUUAAAAAAAAAUUUAAAGGAUUUCUCAGCCUUUUGGUUUUAUAUUUGCUUUAGUAUGAUUUUAGUAUGAUGUUAGAGGUAGUUUUUCGGGGGGCUUUACCAUGAUGGGUUAUUUUUUUUUAUUUUUACUAAAAUAGGGUCUGUUUAAAAAAAAAUUACAAAUUUAGACAAGUUGUGUCGGCACGACUUCAUGUGCACAAAUCGUUCCAAUUUGACACGACUUUGCCAUGUCAUACUGAAGUCGUGCCAACUUGGCACGACUUCUGACAUGUCAUACUGAAGUCGUGGCACGACUUCUGCCCUGUCAUACUGAAGUCAUGCCAAUUUGGCACGACUUCUGUCAUGUCAUACUGAAGUUGUGUCAACUUGGCACGACUUUUGCCACGUCAUAUUUUUUUUUUUUUAAAUUAUUUAUAUAUUGGGUAGUANNNNNNNNNNNNNNNNNNNNNNNNNNNNNNNNNNNNNNNNNNNNNNNNNNNNNNNNNNNNNNNNNNNNNNNNNNNNNNNNNNNNNNNNNNNNNNNNNNNNAUCAUCUAUGGAUCAUGUCCGACACCAUUAAAUAUCAAAAUAUCAAAAAAAUUUCAUACAUGGGACAUUAAAUAUCAAAAUAUACUUUUUGGCUAGUGGGAAACCAUGUCCCGCGGCAAUGUCCUCAGGAGUUAAUGACUCAAAGUUUGAAUAAGCUGAUUAUCCAAACAUGAUCCAUACACGAUUAUCCAAUUUUUUGUUCCUUAAAACUAACACUCUUAGAAAAUUAUGUAUCAAAUUAAUUUUUAACAUUACAUAACUUAAUACCCAAUAUAUAAACAAUAAAAUUUAAAAAAAAUAAAUAAAUAUGACGUGGCAGAAGUUGUGCCAACUUGUCACGACUUCAGAUGACAUGGCAUAAGUCAUGCCAAGUUGGCACGACUUCAGUAUGACAUGGUAGAGUCGUGUCUAAUUGGGACAAUUUGUGCAUAUGAAGUCGUGCCGAAUUGGCACGACUUGCCUAAAUUUGUAAUUUUUUUUAAACGGAUCCCAUUUUGGUAAAAAGCAAAAAAAAAUAACUUCAUCAUGAUCAAAAUCCCUAGUUUUUGUCAGGUUAGAAGAUGCUUUGUUUCUUAAUUUUUAAAAAUGGUGUUAUGCGGUUUGCUAUAUUUUUAUGUAUAAAAAUUAAAUAUUUUUUAAAUGAUUUUUUUUUUAUAUAUAUUCUUGAUUGUUGAUAAAAAGAUAUUUUUAUUAAGUUUAAUUUAAUUUUUUAAAAUUGACUUUAUAAGAUGGUAUCUAUCUUAAAUUGAUUUGAUUUGUAUUAAAAAUAAGAUCUUCCAUAUAUAUUUGGUGUUGAAUAUAUACAUUAAACAUUCACGUUAACAUCAGUAUAAAUAUGGAAAGAGACCAAUAACAAAUCCCACAAUAGAUUUAAAUAUUUGGGAUUUAAAUAUUUAUUAAGAUAAAUUUUAAAUAACUCUAAUAAUAUAUAUUAUAUAUCUGAUAUUAUAUAUUAAUAGAAAGAAAAAAAUCAUUAAAUCAAUAUGUAUGAUUUAUAAAAAAAAGUGAAAAAUAUAUCUAACAAUAACAAAUAUAUUUUAUUUUGAUAACUUUAAAUUAUAAUAAUUUUAAAGUUGACUUUCAUUUGUGCUUAAAUUGGAAAAGUAGGUUGAUGAAUAAAAGUCCAACAUGCCAUAUCUAAUGGGACAUUACUUGGUAUCGCUACAAAUGUUGCAUGUGGGGUGAGUUACCUACUUUAAAGGAUAAAGCUUUGAUUUUUUGAAUAAAUAAAGUUUGAGUAACUUUUUUCCUCCACCCAUCAAUGCCAUCAAAAUUUGAAAUUUUGUUAUUAGAUUACUGUUCCAUCUUGACGGCCAGAUCCAGAGGAAUAGUUCUGGAAGCAAGAUUGCUAUUUAUUACUAAAAUAUUGCUGUAAAAGACGACUUGAUUCUGUUAAUUUUGUGUCAAAAUUCUUCUUAUGUUUUUCUAUAGAUUAUAAAUAAAACUUUAUGUAAAUAAUUGCAAGCAUUACUUAUCAUUAUAAGUUCUUGGUAACCUAUGUAGCUGACACAACACGAAUACGGACACAAAGAUACCUUUAAUCUAUAAAAUAUAGGAUACAUGGACAUGGAUCUAUAUAUUAUUUAAUUUUGAAUUAUAUAAAUUGAAAAUAAAUAUUUAUAUGCAAAAGUAUGUUCCAGAUUCUUUUGGGAGCAGGAAGAUAUUUUUCAUGACUGGUUCAAAAGAAUUUGUUCUUAUUUUUAUAAUCAUAAUAAAAAUUUAUACAAUAAAUUUGAGUUUUUAGAAAGUUAUUGUAUUUAUACCUUUUAAAAUUGUGUUAGAACCAUGUUAGAAUUUUCAAAAAUCCAAUAAAUAUUUCUUUGAAUUGAACACUUCACCGAUAAGUAUCCUACGAAUGUCGUACGGAUGUCGACACGGAUACGUGUGUCCAACACGGAUACACCAUUUAAGAAGUGUCUGAGCCUAAUAACUAACGAGAUUAUUCAAAAGAAAAAAAAAAUCAAAAUAAGGAAGGAAAAAAAGAGAAGAGAUUAAGGGAAAAAAAAAAGAAAAAAAAAGGAUCGAUGUAAGUCCUAUAUUUAAUAAUAAUAAACUUUGGUAUAAACUAAACAUAGUUUAAAUUAUUUUUUGUAUAAGUUAAAAUGACUUUUUACUAAUUAGGCAUGAUUUUUUUUUCAUUACAUAGAGAUAAUCUUUUAAACAUAGAUAUCUUUUAAGGGUUUUCUUUUUUGAUUAACAAAAUAUAUACAUAAGUAGUAUAGAAGUUCCUACAAGUGUUUUUUUUAAAAAACUCACUUUUUGGCUAUUUAUUUAAUAAGUUAAGAUGCUUUAAAAAUUAAGAAAAAAAAACACUAAAAAUUUCAGUCAGUGACUAUAUAUUUUAUAAACCUAAUUUAUAGAAAACUUGUCUUAUUUAUAAGAAGUUGGCCAAAAGGUGUUUACAUCAUUAAUAACAAUAGAGUAAUUAUGGAAGAGGAGGUUAAGGGUUUGUAGGAAAAGUUUUAUGAAGUCUGUGAGAGGACCGUGGUAACCACACUAUUAUGUUUAGCAUUUAAAUGAUAUAUUAGAUUAGUCAAAUUAUAAUUUAGUUUUGUUCAUGAAACAUUUUUCUAAAACAAUUCCUUUUUUCUUGUUCUCUAUAUAUACAUGUACUAUAAACAUUUCAAGUAUGAAAGGUUUCAUCCUCUAACCAUUAUUUUAUUUUUUUUACUUUCUAUUCUUGAUAUGUUUUUUUAUUUGUCGGAUUUACAGUAGAUUUUUCAUCUAGGUCCCUACCCCCUUAGCUUAGCUUUGCCCUCCAUUUGGUGACAAUUGUUAUUUCAUAUAUGUUAUCUCAAUAUUCCCUUCAUUUGUAAACAAAAAUAGGUAUUCAUUCCUUCUUUAAAGUUAUUAUUGUUUUAAAUCUUCUAAAGAAAAUCAUUCCAAGUUUUGCUCUAUGUGUAGGAAUAAACUAGAUGUUUUAAUCCUUGCAUAACUUUUUAUACUUGUUAUAAAAUUUAACCUUCUCAUUAUUACAGUAACAAUCACUAUUACACAAGGUAUAUAUAUAUAUAUGAAUGAUGGGUCUAGGUAAUAUUUAUCUACUGGUACACAAUUCGUUGUCGUGCUGGUAGUCUCCUAAUUCUUUGAAGUUUUUCCUCUCGCUACGUGUGUGCUCUAUCAAUCGGGUACCUACAAUUGCACUCUGACGCUCAAGUCAGUAUUAUAGUAUUAUAGUUUGUCAUCUCAGGAUAUGAAAAACGUACAUUUUUUCCCUUUCGAAAUCUUAUAUAGGUUGACCUGCCCUCAUUUGUUUGGGUUAGGUAAUUAGUUCACUCAAACGUGUGUAGUGGUCUCAGAAUGUGCGUAAUGAUUUCCUAAUAUCAUGGACAUGUGUCCCGAAGUAUGUCUUUAACCUAUUCAAUGCCAUUGUUUUAUUUAUUAUUUUGUAAAUAUCAUUUGACUUGUCUGGUGUCUGGUAAAUAUAUAUGUAUAUAUAUAUAUAUAUAUUAUUUUAUUUUUUUUGUUGAGUCUAUUUUCCGACCACUAUAUUUAAUAUUCUUGUAGUAAUACUGUUCAAGACUUUUAUAUUUUAUAAUAUUUCAACGUUGCAAACCGUCGUAUAUUGUAAUUUAUUUGGUUGAAAAGUGAUGAAUGUUUGCCACUUGUAUUGCUAUCUAGGAGUAGUUCCUUUAUAUGCCAAUUGCUGUAAUUUUGUUACUUUUCUUCUUCUUCGUUAAUUGCCCUUCCAAUCCUUUUUAAAUACGUACGUCACCUGAAAAUAAAAUUUCAAACUAAAAAGAUUCAAAACAUAACAUCAUGGACUUACAAUAUUCAAAACCUGAGACUGUCAUCUAACUCACCAACACAGAAACUUAAAUCUGAAACGUGUAGAUCUUGCAACUGCAUUACAUAAAUUAUAAUAUAUUUUAUAUAUAUUUUCUCUACAAGUGCAUACAAUUUUUACACCUUUUACAAGCAUAAAUCUCCUGCACCAAAGAGAAAAAUAAAAAUAAAAAUAACAUUAGACCUCCAAAAAAAAAGAGAAAUACACCGAAUAUUCUUAUUAUAUUACAAUAAAAUGUGCAAAAGUAAGAUUUUACAAAAGGUUUUAACAAUAACUGAUUUUAAAAGUGCAAUAACAAUUUGGUAAAGAAAAACUACUAUCGGACUCCAUUAGUUAACAUAUGGGUGGAAAGAAAAGAGAGUAAAAUAAAUUUCAUAUUUUUUAUUAAAAUACUGGUAUCUCCAAUAUUUUUUAGUUUUUAAUCCCAAUAUCUAAUUAAUUUAAUUUUGAAAGUAAUUCUUUUAUUUGAAUACAAUUUUUAAUUUCAAUCUCAUAUAUUUACAAACACAAUAACACAUAAUUACUUAAUUGAUAUUAGAAAAAAAAAUUGAAUCUCUUAACUAAAUUCACAUAUUUAACAUAAACAAAUUUAUGAGGGUACAACAAAUUAUUUAAACACAUAGUAAAUUAUACAAUGAGAGUGAAAAGAUAACUUAAAGAAAAAUAGGGUAAGAAUGAAAAGAAAAUAAAAAAGUGUAUGAAUUACAUACUCCUAACAUAACAAGUUGGAGUUUUUAUUUUGCAGAUCAAGAAGAUCAGAAUACUGAAUAAAUGUAUCUUUAUUUCAUACAAUAUAUAUAAAAAUGGAUGAUAGCUCCACCAUAUUGUUUAAUCUUCAAACUUAAUCAUCCUUUUUCUGGAACACUACAGGGAGAGCAGAACCAUCCAAGGCAAACAAAAUGGUUCCAUUCUCACGCACAAUCCCACCAGUUCCACAGAUGAAUCUGCAAGUGGGGCAAACUUCUGUAGGGCACCAUCUGAUGUUAUAGAUGCUCACGUUCUGUGUUUCCUCGAUUCUGAAAUAGUUUCCAGCACUGUGUGUUCCGUCAUCAAGACCAGUGAUGAUAACCCUUCUUCCAAUGCUCGUGUCAUUCUCACCCAACUUCCAUGCAGUGGACUGCACACACGUCGAUGAAACUUCAACGAACUCCACUUUCAAGUCCCUAUCCACCCUCACUUCAUCGUCAUCUUCCUCUCGGGCAAAAGGGGUGAAUCUCACAGGGUACCCCUGUGGCAAGUCAGUGUUUUCAAGACCAACAUGCAAAGGGCACGACUGGUUCCUGUUGAUCAAGGUGAAACGUCCUCCGUUGUCUGUUAUGGCUGGCCUGAUGAAGUACUCCUCGUCGCUUUCAAGAGGGUCACCGUGUGUGUCCAUCACAUAGCGGUUGUUGGAUUGGGAGAGCGUUGGUGUGGCCGCCAAAAGCCACAACGCGAGAGAGAGGGAAGCGAACAGCUUCAUCGACAUGGUGACACUUUGGUCUCAGAAUAGUGUGGUUUAAGGUUUGUGUGGUUUUGCAAUGGUGUGCGUGGUUUUUAAGGUUGCAAGAGGAAGGUAUUUAUA